rnacentral:lncRNA from 1 species
UCUUUUUUUUCUUUUUUUUUUCUUCAUCUAACUAUACAUUUAUAACAUGUGUAUUUAAUAGAAACCUAGUACAGCUUCUAAUUAAGAUUUUGGAUAGCUUCUCAUCUAAUACUACAUGAAUUGGAUUAAUAGCAGGAAACUUACUUAAGUUUGAUAUGGCUACAAUAAGUUUUAAUUCCACUCCAUUUCUUUUCUCUGCAUGUUCCACCAUCUGAACUUUAUUUGAAGGAAUAGAGACUACUAGUACAUGAGCCAACUUUAUCUUUAGUACUUUUGAAUAUGUUGUCAUCUUAAGUACUUAUUGCUUACUUGUGCUAUGUAAUAGUUGUAGGAAGAAAUCAUCCCUCUUAUCACUUGCAUUCACUAUACAACAAUUGUGGAGUUAGACAAAUCCUCAUUUAGUAAUCCUAAAGUUAACUUUAUUCUACCAUAUUGUCUUUUUUGCUAUAAUAUACAUAUAAGGUACACAAGUUGGAUUGAGUACUAAUCACCCACUUACUACACUUGCAAUUAAACAAAUUACUUCUCAAAACACUAAUGCUUGCAUUGUAGUUACUCUAGAAGCCUUUUUUCCUAUACAAUGGACGUUUUUACAACUUCAUUGUAUUCCACAAUUCCUUCUAUUUAUAUACUUUAUACUACAAAUUCACAACUAAUUUUUAAAUUAAUAUAUUAUAUCCUUUUAAUAUUCUCAUUAUUACUCUCAAAACUUUUAUAAGUUGAUUUUUGGAUAGCAUUGGUCUUCCUAUCAUGUGCUAUGCUUGUACUUUCUAUGGUCUAUUUCAUAUCUUAAAAAAAAGAACUUGUCAUUAAAGAGGAAGUUUUUUAUGUUGGUAUUUAGUUGCAAUUGCAUUGGUCAAACCAAUUUAGGAUUGUAUCAAUAUAUUGUAAGAGAGAUCUAGCUACUUUUGCACUAUUAUCCAUUAAAAACUCAAUCUUUAGUUUGUAUAAAAAUGUAUAAAUUUAUUUCAAUUAUUUUUUCUGAUCAUGUGCAACAUGGAGUCAUGUGCAAUAUGGAGUCAUGUGCAAUCUUUUUUAUUAUUUUGGGUAUGAUUAUUGUAAUAGUGAAUCACUUUAGUUAUAUAAAAGUACAAAAUCAAUACAUGAAUUAGCAAAUCUAGCAAAAAAAAUCAUUUUUUCUAAACCAUUAAUGAUUGGGAUCUUUUAAAGGUUUUUUGGACUAUAUAUGUCCAUUGAUAAAAAAAAAAAAAAAAAAAAAAAAAAAAACUAAAAAAAAAAAAACUAAAAAAUUAUAAUAGUUUUUUUCAAAUCCAUAAAAAUUAUUUUAUAAGAAAAUUAAAUAUCAAAAAAUAUUAAAAUAUUAAAAUAUAAAUUAAAUACUAAAAAAAUAUUAAGUAUUUAUUUAAAAUAUAUUAUAUAAAAAACUAAAAAUAUUUUAAUAAAAUAUACAAAAUAAUAGAAAAUCAAAUAAAAAUUCUAAAUGAAAAUAAAAAAUACCAAAUACUGAAUAUAAUAUUUUGUAAAAAAUAUAGAAUAAAUAAUAACAUAAAGAUAAUAAAUUAACCACAAAUAUAUUUUUUAAACCAAAAUUAUUUAACUAUUAAUUCAUUUUAAUUAUAUAUUAAAUAUUUAUUAUUGAAUAAAUUUAAAAUUUAUUGUGCUUUUAAUAUAAACUCUCUAGGAUAUUUUGAGAUUUUUUAAAAAAAAAUUAAUGCAAAAAUAGGUUAUAUUUUGGAGAAUUAUAUAAAAAUUAGGUAAUUAAACAACACAUUAUAUCAAAGAGAGAAAAGAUUGGAGACUAUAUAAUAUCUCAUUUUUGUUAUAAUUGAAGUAUAUAGAUAGUAAAUAUGUUGCAAAAAAAAAAAAAAAAAAAAAAGAAUUUUAAGUAAAAUAAUAUCUAGUACCAUAUUACAUAUGUAAAUUAUUCACAACAAGCAAUCAAACCUAUAAAAAAAAAAAGAUACAAAAUACCAAUUGUAACAAGUGACCAAAAACAAAGAAAAGAAGAAUAAAAGAAGAUAACUACAAAGAAAAGAAAAGAGUAUGAUAAUACAAAAUUCAUGAAAUAUGGCAGUGUUGUAAAAAUAUAGAAAUUACAAAAACUAAACAUGUUUUAGUACAAAAAAAUUAAAUUUAUACAUAAGCCAAAUCAAAUAGAAGAAGACAACAACAAAGACACAAAAAAAAUGUGUUAAGUUAGGGGUUUGAAGAAAGGACAAAAGAAAAAAAGAAAAAAAUAUGGUCCUUUUUUGCUUCUCUUUAUCCCUUCCAACCUCAAAAUCAAGGAGUAGAGUGAGUCAACAUAUGAUCAAAACAAAUGCAAAAGGAAUGUAUCAAAUCAAAAGCUUUCAAAAAAACAUGUUCUUAGGGAGGUCUAACUUGACUUGAGAGUUGAUCCAAUCAAUGGAUAUACAUACGCUUGGCACAAGUCUAGAUCCAGAUUGAAGGAAUGUGCAUUAAAUGGGUAUGGAGGAGGAAUGUGACAGUGGCCUUAUGCCACACACAACAACCCAACAUUCUUAUCAAGUCUCACUCCAUUUAUUUGAUUGAUUGAUUGAUUGAUUGAUGCCCAUGUUGCCCCAUUGGGCAUCAAACUUAUCCCUUCAUCCUGCACAGAAUGCGUGGUCUCACACACUCACACACAUAUCAUUUUUAUCACGUUUCAUGAAUUCUACAUGUUUAUUUUACAAAUAAAUAAACAAAAUGGGUGCCAACUAACAAGUGCUGCACGUAACCUCGCGGUCGAUCAGGAAGACAGACCAGCGUAUUCAUGCCUAUUCGUAUUCCUCUUUGAAUGAAGCAUGAAGCACGUUCCCUCUUUGGGAGAUGAUGCCAAACCAGAAGGAACACACACACACACAUACACACAAGCUCUCGUUUCCCUUGUCCACCAUUUGUUGUUGUUCUUCUUCUGCUAAGCCCAUCUCUCUCCUCAUCUCGCUGCCAUCUCGCUGAUCUGCUCUCUCCUCUCGGCCUCGAUUGGGAGCUCUCUGUCCAGGCUUUUCUGCACCUCCACUGCUUUUACUACAUGUACGCCGUGUUCGUGAAAGGAUUCUGUCUGCUCCGGUGCAAGUUGCGGUCCGGGAUGUUGUGCUCCUGUUGGGAACUAGAGAUGGGAGAAGAGCCUAGAGAGGAGAGCGGUCUUAAGCGAGCAGGUGCUUGGACGUGCAGAAUGAGCGCCUGAGUAGCGGAUUCUUGAUGGUGGUGAGUUAUCAAUCUCUCUUGUGCUUGCUUGUGAGGUUUUACUUUCUGUGAUGUCUGUCUGUGAUUCGGCGUUGUCCAGUUUAGAAUGGUUGGAGCAGGAGUUUGGAGUUUGAGAGGCUGGCUGUGCUUGAGAAUCCUUGGAACGGGGGGUUUGUUCUGGGUCCUUGGGUGGGAGUCGGAUUGCGUUGUAUUGAAAGCCCAGAGAGUGCAAAACGAAGGCCUUCGAUUCGUUUCAUGGGGUUCUGUUGCAGAUGGGAAGUGUUUUGUUUUGAGUUCUAGUUUUGAUAUUCGCAUUUGUUUUGAUCGUUUGGAGUGUGUGUAAACUAGAGUACUGUGAAGUGAAGUAGUAAUGAGGAUGGUGGGUUGUUGUUUUUAUGUUAAAUGAAAGAAGGCAGUGCAGAGGUUGAUUAGGUGGUAAGCUACCGUUACCAGAAGUUAAUGGCUGUUGUGAAGGAGUUGCAGUUGCUUUCACGUGUAUUUGUUGAGUCCUACACUUACGUUUCAUGUUGGAGAAACUUGUGUGGACUAAAAGUUGUUUUUAUUUUGUGUUUUAGAAAUGAAUGGUGUGAUAAUGUGAAAACUUUGUACAAUAUGUAGAGAAAUGUUAGUCCCUUCUUUUUGUUAGGGUAGUGGUAGAAAAUAUUCUACAAUUUUUUUAUAGACAUACAUAAAUAUAUGUUUAGAUAUAAUAUUGAAAGCAUAAUUUUAUUUGGAUGUGAUGACAUUCCUGAGAUGUUGUCUUUCUACUAAUUUAAUUUAAAUAAAUAUUAACAAGCCACACAUGUAGAUGUCAAAUUAAAGCUAUAAAUAUAAAUUUGUCAACAAUUGUUGGUAACACCAUUAUAGUUUUAUUUUAUAAGUGGCAUGAGGAGCAAAUAAAGGAACAUUUCUUAUAUAUUUAAAGGAGCAAAAUUGGAUAUUUAUGAAGAAUCAAAUAGGACUAUUUCUUUUAUAGUUGAAAGAACAAAAUUAGAUAUUUGUGAAGAAUCAAAUAGGACUAAUUUUGUGGUAUUAUUUAUGAUGUACAUAUCAAUAUUUUGAAAGUGUAUGGUUGAAUUUUGGAUAAGAGGAUCUUAAAAGUUCUUUGAGCAGUCGAACAUAUAUAAUGAAGAUUCAAAUGACGAAUUAAAAAUAAAACAUGUAGAAAUGAAAGAUAUAUUAUAUUAAAUUCAAGUUUAUAUUGAUAAAAUAACACUUUGACUGGAAAAUAUAAAUAUCUUGAAUAGGAAUCAAUGUGCAAAACUUUGAAGAAAUAUUAAUUGUAUUAUAAAGUAUUUCAAAAAUUGACUAGUAUUAGCAAUAGAAAUAAUAAAUUUGGAUUAUUAUUUGUUGAAUUGUAUAUUAUAGUGAGUAAAAUUUAAUUAUUAGUGGAAGAAUAUACAUGAGUCAAUUGGUAUAAAGUAGCAAUCUUUCAAUUGAAGAACAAAGAAAUAUUUAAAGAAUUUAUUUUCGACUUAAAAUAUUAUUACUUUGUAGCAAAUGAUAUUCUUUUCAAUAAUUUUGCCAAAGAAUUUGAAGCUAUUAUACCUAUUAUAUUUGAUGUUGUCACAUUUAAUAAAAUUAAAGAUGACAACAAAAACUUAUAUAAGAAGUUAAACCAAGUGGUUAAAGAUGUGUCUAUUAAAAAAAAUAUAUUAAUAAAACAUCUAUUACAAAGAUGGAGGGAUUUACAUUUCAUAGAAGGUAGAGAAUUAUAUAUUAUAGAAAUUUCAAAUGACAAUAAUAGUUUGUAACUUUUUAAAAAGUUUAUACAUAUGUGCAUAAUGAUAUUAAAAUUUGACAUAUACAUAGUUUAUUCUUUUACUAUUAUAUUCUUCAUUAUCUAUGUAGGUAGAAAUGCAUGAAUAAUAAUAAUAAUAAUAAUAAUAAUAAAAACAGAAAAAAUGACAAAAAUAAAUAAAUAAUUUUCUAUAGAAAUCUAUAUUUGUUAAAAAUAUCAUAAUUAUGCAAGAAUAAUAUAAAAGUAUUAUGUCUUGUUGAAAUAGGUGGAAUAUAUAAGACUACAUUAGCAAAAAUUACUUUCAAUGACAUCAAACAUAUGUAUGGUGUAGUCUAUUUUUUAGAAAGUAUUCUAAAUAAUACAAAUAGUUAUACAAUUUUAUGCAAUAUUGUAGAACAGUUAUUAGUUUGACCAAAAUCUAUAGAUUUGAAAAAUGCACAAAAGAUAUUCAUAGACUUAUUAUUGGAAAAAAAAUCAUCAUAGCAUUGAAUAAUAUAAGGAAUAAAAAUUAAAUUAAAUAUAUUGUAUAUAUGAAUAUUUUAUAUGCAAGUAAUAGCAACACUUGAAUUAUAACAACACAAGAUUUGAAACCAAUGCAUUAUUGUACUUCAAUUAUUCAUAAAAUAGACAUUGUAGAACUUAAUGAUGAUAGAAGUUUAAAGUUGUUUAUUACUUAUUCUUAUAGAAAUCAAGUCAAACUAUCUAAAGAACUCAUGGAUGUUGGCAAAAAGAUUAUAAAAGCUUGUAAUAGUCUUUUUUUUAAAUCUAAAAGUAAUAGGUGUAGUUUUAGGAGAACAAAAGAGGUUGAGAUACUAGGACUAAGUUUUGCAAAAAUUGAAAAGAAGAAAUAAUUUAGAUAGAGUUGAAAAAAAUAGUAACUAUAAGAUUUGGAGUGUUUUGAAAAUAAAGUUUUAUAUAUUUAAAAUUAAAAAAAAAAAUCUAUAUUUUUGGACAUAUAUUAUUUUUUAUUGGUAAUAAUAUAUAUCAAGAUAUCAUGUCAAAAGAAAGAAUAUUGUACAUGUAAAAAAUAGUUUUAAUUAUUUUAUUGAUCAAGAUAGAUAUUUUAUAUUAAAUAAAUUUAUUUAUGAAUUUUUGGCAAAAGCACUUAAAAAAAGAGUUGUAAAAAUGGAAAAUCAAUUAUAAGACAUGAAAAGAAGGAUUGUCAAAAGUGAAGAAGAAUAUAAAGUCACAAGAAUUUGAAACAUGAAUAUGGUACCAAUGGAUGGAUUUUUAAUUGAGAUAUUAUAUUUUAUUCUUCUUUAACAUAUUGAACUUUAUCAAAAAUAUUUUCUUUAAAAUUAAAAAAAUUUAAAGAUAUUAUUUGAGAUAUUAAAAAAAUCACUUCUUUUAUCAAAAUUAAUAUAAUUUAUUAUUAAAAUUUGAUAUUAUUACUAAAAGAAUUGAAAAACCUUACAUCUUUGAAAAAACUAAAUUUAAAAAGAUGUUUGAGUUUAAAAUCACUACCAAAAGACUUAAAGAAUCUUGCAUCUUAAAUUAAGAUUAAUAUAAAUUGGUGCUACAACAUAACAUUAAUACCAACUUUAUUUAAAAGUUUUAGAUUUUUAAUAAUAUUUAGUUAUAAUUAUUUUAAAAUAAAAUUUCUAACCUUAAAUCAUUCAUAAGUCUUAAAAUAAAUAGAACCUCAUGUUUAAAAAUUGCCAAAAGAAUUAAAAAACCUCAAAAAUUUAAUAGAAAUUGAUAUAAAUAGGUACUCAAGCUUGACAUCAUUGUCAAAAGAAUUAGGCAAUUUUGCAUCUUUGAAAAAUAUAUAUAUAUAUAUAUAUAUAUAUAUGCUCAAGCUUGAUAUUAUAUCUAAAGAAUUAGACAAUCUUACAUCUUCAGUAGAAUUUGAUAUUUAUAGAAAUAUAUAUAUAUAUAUAUGGAUGCUCAAGUCUAAUAUUAUUACUCAAAGAAAUGAGAAAUCUUAGGUCAAAGACAUAUCUUGGUAUUAAAAAAUGCUCAAGCUUGAAAUCAUUGUCUAAAGAAUUGUUAUAUCUAAUUGCUCAAGUUUGACUUUAUUUACAAAAGAAUAAAAAAAAAACUUACAUCUUUGAUAAAACUUUAUUGUAGUUGGUACUCAACUUUUAAAUUAUUUUCAAAAGAAUUAAAAAACUUAACAUCCUUAAAUAGACUUGAUAUGAUUAGAUGUCUAAGUUUUAAAUCAUUAUCAAUAAAAUUAAAAAAUCUUAUAUUUUAGAAAUUUCUUUAAAUAAAAAGAUAUUUAAGUUUGAUAAUAUUAUUAAAAUAAAUAAGAAAUAUCACAUCUUUAAUAGUGCUUGAAAUGAAAGAUGCUCAAGUUAGACAUCAUUAUCAAAUGAAUUAGAAAACCUUAUAUCUUUGAUAAAACUUAAUACACAAUAGUAUUCAAGUCUGAUAUUAUUGCAAAAAAAAUUAAAAAAGCUUACAUCUUUGACAUGGCUUGAAAUUUAAAAAAAAAAAAAAUCUCUAACUUAACAUUAUUGCCAAAUGAAUUGAGAAAUCUCACAUUAUCAACAACACUUAACAUAAGUGUAUACUUAAGUUUAUCGUUAUUAUCUAAAAACAUAAAAUAUCUCUUUUUGUUAAAAAGAUUUGAUAUAUUUAAGUGCACAAGUUUGACUUCAUUUAUAAAAGACUUGAAAAGCUUCAUAUUUUUCACAUUAUUUUGUCGUAGUUGGUACUCAAGUAAAUUAAAAUUCAACUAAAAUCUAUAAAAAUAAAAUAAAAUAAAAUAAAAUCUUCUUAUUAUAAACUGUGUUAUAUUAUUCAAAUUUAUAAAACUAUAUAGAAAUUAUAAUUAGAUCUUACAAAGUUUUUAUAUCUUUUUAAUAUGCAAUAAGAGUUGAACAUAAAUUUUGUUGAAGCUAUUAGAAAAAAUUCUUAUAUUCCUCAUUGUUUAAUUUGCUAUAUAUUUAUUCUAAAUAAAUUUUGUAUACAAUAAUUCUUAUAUAAUUUCGGUAUUUAUUUAUUUUUCAAAACCAUAUUAUUCUAUUUUUUCUUUUUUAUUAAAAAUAAAAUUCUUAAAUUUUAAUUUGUUAAAAUUUGACUAUAUUAGUAUAUGAAAAAAACUUAUGUAUUUCAAAUAUUAUUUUUAAAAAAUAUAUAAAUUUUUUCAUUUUUUCUAGAAAAAACCUACAAAAUAGAAUUAGUUCUAAUAAAAUGUGGCAUAAGAAUAUGGAGAAAAAAAAAAAAAAAAAAAAAAAAAAAAAAAAAACUAGUCUAUCAACAAUGCUUUUUAAACCUUAUUCAAUUAUUACCAAACAAAUUUCAUCUCAAUUUUUGAGAUCUAUUUUUAAAUUAACAAUUGAUACAUUUUUAAAAAAGUAGAUUAUGAAUUAUCAUUAUUUACUAUUAAAAAAAUUUCUAAAAACACAACCUCAAACUAAUUACUGGAUGCCAUUAAAGUUGAAAUCAUCCAAAAUUAACUUAAAACUACAAUAUAACAAUUUAACUAGAUAAAAAUUAAGAUUCAAAAUUUGAGUGAUCUUCUCAAAAUCAAUUAUGUAGUACAAUAAUUAUAUCAAAUUGAGUAUAAUAAUCAAGACAAAUGAAUUAUAUUGAAACAACUUGGUGGUUUGAACAAGAUAUGGGCGAAAAUGAUUUCAAACUCAAUGCAACAACAUCCUUCACUUCAUCCCCCCUAAAGUAAGAGAGUACAUUUCUAUGUACAUUUUUGUACCAUGAAUUUUAAAAACGAAAUAAAUCAAUGCAGUGCAAUUGGGGAGGAGAUAAAAGCCCGUAUACAGUAAAAAAUAGAUAAAACGUGCCCCCACCUCCUCACAACCCCCAACAACCAACCUGCAAACUUGCCAAAACCGAUUCCACUAAGGAAUCGUCGAGUAGUCCACGUUUCAGAUCCCGUGCGGUCCCUUUACAUGAAAAUAAUGUUAGGUCAGAUGACGCAACCGCCCCCAGCAACGAAUCCCACGUGUGGAGUCUAAGUGGAUGAAUGAAACAAAGUCAAUUAAAAAAAGGAGGGGGGAACAGUGACGUGGGUGGAUGAAUAACGCCAGCCUCGGGGGAUAGCCUCGGGGGAACGAACCUCCACCUCUAGUUGCGGACCAUCGUUCCCUCGUGGAGCCUCCCCAUUGGCCAGGCUUUUCAUCCAAAGACACACUGCCACCUGUGAAUUGGGGAUUCCGAAGCAAACCCGCGGUCGAUGUCUCUCAUUCUCCGCCGUUCUUUUGAAUACCCAAACUCCCGCAAAGGCUGUAUUUUUUGGGUUUUUUGGGGUUUUUUCUUUCUUCCUGGGUUUUCUUUUUUUUUCUUUUUUUUUCUUUUUUUUGGAUUUCGAAGCGUUUAUAUGAAGUCACAAGGGAUGUAGAAUUGCCAGGUGUUGUCGCGGCGACUAUCACUGUGUCCGUCCGUCGCUCCGUCCGUCCGUCUGUGUUGUCUCCAUCUUGGGAAGGGGGAACCUGCCGCGAGCCUAUGGGAUUGAUUGAAUGAGAGAUAGAUCGCAACGAAGCUGAAGAGGCCCAGGCGUUGCGUGUUGAAGGGCCUGUCUUAGUAGCGCUCCCUUCCUCCUGGCGAUUCUGUUGGAGUUGUCGCAGAGUUUCGACAACUGUCAUAGCGAUGGCUGUCGCACUGGGAGCAGCAGGUUCUUUUGCUGGUGCUGCUGCAGCACGGGCCUGGACUUGCAGUAGCAGCAUCAGCAGUUGCAACGAGAUCCGGACCCGGUCGACGAGUGUCACGAGUGCGCAGGUUUGCGGUCUGAUAAGGGCGGAUGAUGAGGUAGGACGACGCGGCGUCAAGACGAGGAGUCUGCGGUCUGGGGGGGUGGUGAGGCGAGCUGUGCAGCGGACGGAGCCGGAGCUUUACGAUGGCAUCGCCCACUUCUACGAUGAAUCGUCGGGCGUAUGGGAGGGCAUUUGGGGGGAGCACAUGCACCAUGGCUACUAUGACGAGGAGAUUGUGGAAGCCGUCGUUGACGGCGAUCCUGACCACCGGCGAGCGCAAAUCAAGAUGAUUGAGAAAUCUCUUGCGUAUGCUGGCGUUCCUGGUAUGUAUUCUUUCUCUCGUAUUUCAUCUGUAGAGAUGUGAGUGGAUGCCAGGUUUUUUACACUCUCCAGCCGAGCCCUACGCCGCCUAUCUGUCUGUGGCCGUGUGGAGAGUUCGAGGGUACGCUCUCGUUUUUUCACUGUAGAGUGCCUUGUUUAAUACAUUAUUUGGAGUAUUAUUCCGCAGCUUCGAUUAUGAAUUCUGAUAGAGCAUUAAUGCAACAAGCAAAUUUGAAGGAUGGUGACCGAAGCGCGAGUAGCUACGAGUCAUAUUGUUCUUUUGGUGUCUUUUUCUUUUAAGAACGCCCUUUUCGUUGUGAUUUUGUUUGUGCAGAUAGCAAAGAUUUGAAACCGAAGACGAUCGUCGAUGUGGGUUGUGGGAUAGGGGGAAGCUCACGUUACUUGGCCCGGAAAUUCCAGGCCAAGGUGAAUGCCAUCACGCUCAGCCCAGUGCAGGUUCAGAGAGCCGUAGACCUUACUGCCAAGCAAGGCUUAUCUGACCUCGUCAAUUUCCAGGUAGCGAAUGCCCUGAACCAGCCCUUUCAGGAUGGUUCGUUUGAUCUCGUGUGGUCCAUGGAGAGCGGCGAGCACAUGCCAGACAAGAAAAAGGUUAGUGACAUUAGGGAUAAAUGUUAAUACAUUGACUUAUUCUUGGUUUAUAUAUAUAUAUAUAUAUAUAUAUACAAUCUUUUUGCGUUUUUUCUGAAAUUCAUGUAGUUCAAUGUAAAGUCUGGAUGCAUUCGCUAAGUUUGGGUUCUUUCUCUGUGAAUGGCUUUGAAGUUUGUGGGCGAGCUUGCACGAGUAGCAGCUCCCGGCGGUCGCAUUAUCCUGGUGACGUGGUGCCACCGUGAUCUCAAGCCCGGUGAAACUUCUCUCAAGCCUGACGAGCAGGUUUGCGACCACGCUUCAUUCUCUUUUUUUUCUUUUUUUCUUUUUCUGCAGUAUCUUGUCAAGCUGUCACUAAAAGUACCGAUUAAUUUGAUUCGGAAUCAUACCAUCUCACUUAUGGGAGUUAUUUAAUUGCUUUUCCAGGAUCUUUUGGACAAGAUUUGUGACGCAUUCUACUUGCCAGCCUGGUGCUCGCCGUCGGACUACGUCUCCAUAGCCAAAGACUUAGGCCUGCAGGUGAGAAUUCUUCUUAAAUCUAGUAAAACAAGUUACCAAAAUUUUCCUCUUGUCGUUUUGUCACUAUCGUUACAUCUUUGUCCUUAAUUUUUGUUUUGUUUUUUUCGUUUUUGGUUUUUGUUGAGAGGUUAAGUAAUAUAGAGGUGAAAGGUUUCCUGUAACCUUUGGCAGGGAGGAAGCCCAGACUCUGGGCCCUCCACCAUGUUACUCAUAAUCACACUGUCGCUCCACUGAUUUACAUAGAAAUAUCUUUGGGUCAGAUAAUUUUUUAUUGUUCAGUCAUUUGGCAAAGUUGACUGAAACCAACUCCACAGGUAGGUUCUAAAUAGUUCCAAACAUAUUUCCUGCCUCACAGGAUAUCAAGAGCGAGGACUGGUCCGAGUACGUGACGCCCUUCUGGCCAGCGGUGAUGAAAACCGCCUUGUCCAUGGAAGGGCUGGUGGGACUGGUCAAGUCCGGCUGGACUACUAUGAAAGGAGCUUUCGCCAUGACGCUCAUGAUCCAGGGCUACCAGCGAGGGCUCAUUAAAUUCGCUGCCAUCACUUGCAGGAAGCGGGAUUGACCGACUGAUUCAGUCCUUCCUCAUUUCUCAUGACAUCAUGGACAAUGUCGCAACCGAUUACAUUCUUAUGCCAGUGAGGAAUGGUUGCGUGGUUUCUGGUAAUCGUCAAGCUUCGGAGUAUAAGGGAUUGAGGUCUCCGCUAGUAGACUUUACUAUGGCAUAUUCAACCAUCUGUACCUUGAGGGAGUAAUCACCAAUUCGUGCAUACAUCAUUCGGCAAAAGAUCAUUGGACGUCUCUUCCAGAGAGAGGUGAUUUCUUUCGAGAAUCUUUCAUGGAUUCAUCGUUUGAUAGACGGGCUUACAGUCCGGCUGUUUUUGUGCUCAGAAUUUGCGGUGUUUUGGUGAUGUUUGAGAAUCUGUGGGCUGUCUGAGAUCCUGUUGGAGACGAAGCUUGUCAAAUGGUCUUUUCUAGUUCUUGUCCAUUGCAGUUUCCAUUGACUGCAAUUUAUAAAAGACAUCAACAUAGUUUUAGGUCUAAUAGUCGUUUCAUCACGUACUGCUUGUGACAUGUGUAACCAGGUCACGGUGGAUGUGCAGAUUUGACUGAACUCCAUUAAGCUGCACUGCAAGACUUAAGUUACAAUCAGCACCUGUUACAAUGCAUUUUUCAUGACUUUAUUUUAAAGUGAGUUUUCAAAGAGUUUUAUGAUAGCUUGAUUUUAAGCUUGAAAUGGUGUUGCAAGUCAAGUUUUAUGAAGAGUCUUCAUCUUUACAAGAAUUUCACAGAACUGUCAAAUAGGUGAUUAUAAUUUGGAACGGUCAUCUUUGUUACAUUGUGAAAAUAUGAAUUAUCCUACGUAUCAGAGAACGUUAUUCUGGGCUUGCAUGUGUUCAAUGAAUUUUGAAAAUAAAAAAGCAUCAUCUCAGUAUGAUUAUCAAAUUGUCAAGUUUAUAAUAUUAUCUAAUUUUAUCUCUAUUUUAUGUUUUAUCAUUAAAAGGCAUAAGAUGUAUUCAUACAAAUAUGGUUUGAACUGUUGAUAAGAAUAAACGUUGUCAGUAAUUUAUUUUAAGUAUACAAGAAUCCUAGUAUUUUGUUAACUACAUCCUUUACGGGAAUACAGAAGAAUUGCAAACAGAGUUCACAUUGUAGUAAACAAGAAUACAAAGAGAAAGAAAGAAAAAAGAUUAAUAGAUUGUGUAUAUAUAUAUAUAUAUAUAUUUACAUAGGAGAAUGUGAAAUUGGCCCAUCCAUCAUUGUACGCUUUGCCCUUAAGAAAUCCUACUGCAAUCAAGGGAUGGGGGGCUGAGAACAGAAACGGUAAUGGUCAAGAACAGGAUCUAAAACUACUAAAUUUUAUUAUGUUUAUUAACUUCAUACAACAACAAGUAAUAACCAACAUAAUAUUGGCACAAUAUUAAUUGCUUGGAAACGUAAUUCAUUUAUCUGCAUAAACAAAAAUUAUGAUAAUAAGAUAUUCUUUUUUUAUGUUAUAUUAAGUAGGGUCAAUAACUUUGUAAUCAAAUUCCAACCUUAAGGCAAUUGCAGCAAUCUUUUGAUGAAGUGAUAUUUAUAUUUUUGUAGUCUAUAGAAUACCUGGUUAAAUUUGCAAAACAAAAUAAUUGUUACUUUCUUUUGCAAAUCUUUUAUAUUGUUCAAUAAGAAUGUCAUCUUCAAAGUUUCUAUUGAUAAUUAUUGGGUUUGGAUUUACUUGGUAGACUUCCAAAUUUUAUAAUUGCCUUAAUAAUUAGAAUACAUCCAAUGAUAGUGAAUAUAGCUACUAGUACAAAUGUCUUAUUGAAAUAGACUUUGUGCUCUUACAAAACUUUCAUUGUCAUUAGUCUUGUCUUUUGAUAAUUUAUAUCUUAUACAACAUCUUUCUUGGUCUUUAAAUUAACUUGUAAUUUAUAGUUUUGCAAUUAUUUGCAUCAAUUGGAUCAUUUUUGUCCUUAAGCUAGUCAUAACCUUUCAUUGUCACAUCUUUAUGAAUAAGAAUUAUUAGUGGUUUGUCAACUAUAGGCAUAUGAUUGCAAAUACUAUUUCUACUUGGACUUAUCUCUAACUCUUUUAAUGAUUUUAUUAUGUUUAUGAAAAAAUUCACUAUAAAAAUAAAUAAUUGAUUUAUUAUACAAACUUAUUUAUCUAUAUGCUUUAUAUCCUUACUAUAUACAAAAAAAAAAAAAAAAAAAAAAAACAAUUCAUAGACUUUGCAUAAAUUUAUGUUAUUUAAUUGACAUGUAGAUAUUUAUGGUUUAAUUAUGUUUAGAUAUUCAACUAAUUUUAAAGAAAAAUAAAAUAAAAUAAAACUAAUAUAUAAAAAAAAUUAACAUAAUUUUGAAUUAUUCACAAAUUUUUUUUAUUUGAUUAUUUUUUGUAGAAACUACAAUUUUUAAAAAAUCAAAAAUCAAUUUUCUUGGAUUAUGGAUUAGAUUUUUAUUGUUAUAUUUUUAUAUAUAAUUUUUUAAAAUUUAUAAAAUUUAAAAUAAAUUAAAUCUAAGUUAAAGAUUUAUUUCUUUCAUGCAAGGGUAUUCUUUUGAUACAUAAUUAUAUUACAUAAUUUCAAUAUAUUUUUACUUUUAUUUUAUCUUUUGAAGAUUUUAUUUAUUAUUGAAUUUAGAGCCAGCAAAGUUAAAAAUUCUCCAUAAAUGUUAAACACUUGUAGAUAAUUUUAAUAAUUAUCUCAGUUUGUUUUAAUUACAAAAAAAUACAUAUUGGUAAAAGUUAAAAUUUUGUUGGAGUUGUUUUCUUCUUUAUCCUUUUAUUCUUUUGUGGCAAUAACCAACAUUCAUUAUAUUGUUCAUUUUAGUUUAUUUUUGGUUCCAUUAGUUAUUUUCAAAAACGUAGGACAUAACAAAGUUGUUAUGUAAUACCAAAGACAUUAUAGCAGAUUACUUCAUGUGGUUUUUUUUAGAGGUUUUUAAAACUAAGCUUAUCAUCAAAUCAACAAGUAAUUUUCUUUCAUAAACAUAUGUAUAUAUAGAUAGAUAGGGGAUUUAUAAAUUGACCAAGGCAUUUACUAAAUCAAACCACCCAUCCUAAUCAUCAUUUAAUUUGUUUUUGUAUUGAUUUAAGAAUACAAAAUGAGCAUUCAUUGAAUUGUACUUAAAAUCAAUGCAGUAAAAAUAAAGCCAUCAAUCAAAAACAUAAUACUAAAGAAUAGAAAUGCAUUGCAUGUCUAUUAAAUAUUGUCAAAUUUAGAUACCUUAAGUUUUUGCACAUAUUGUAACAAGUUGAAUUUAUUUCAUUCAAUCAAGAAUAUAAUAUUAGACCAAUUCUAUUGUAAUCUAUGUAUUCAUACAUAAAUAUUUUUUUAUAUCAGUUGGAUGUAUCUUUUGGAAACUUGUAAUGAUAUAUUGUUUGUAUAUAAAUAUAUAUAUAUAUAUAUAUAUAUUUUGUGCAUGAAUAUGCAUGUGGAACAAUCUAUACGUAGAUUUUUGUAUAGAUAUAUAAAAAAAAAAAGAAAAAAAAUAAAAAAAAAGGAAGUUUACAUGAAAGAUAAGAUGUGCAAGAUAACAAAAAUAUCUUGCUGAGUGGCAAUUAUUUUUGCUAUAAUUUUUUGAUUAUUCUUCGUGGUUUUUUUAAGACUUUUAAUAGUACUAGGUUUUUACAUUGAAAAUUAUAGUAAUCAGUUGUUUUAGUUUACCAAUUGUAAAAUUUGUCACAGUCAAAAUGUUUUGAAAAAUGAGACAAGAAAAGAAAUGUUGCAUAGAGUUCUUAUAACCUUUUAAACAAUUUUUGAAGUUUAAGACCAAAAAAUCAACUUUAAAAACACAUCAUUAAUAUACAUUGCAGGUUUAGCAAAUACUUCUAGUACAAUAAUAAGUUUUUUUACAUUACAACUUAGAAACCUUAAGUUGUAAUGUAAAGCAAUAUAUCCUAUUUGAAAAUUACAUACUUUUACUUUAAAAUAUGGUUCAAUGUUUAGAAGAAUGUUAGAUAUCUUUGAAAGUUUUACACAUUUUUUUCGAAUCAUAUCAUUUCUUUGAGUAAUGAAAAGUUGUAUUAAAACAGCAUAGGCAUUGAUAAAUAAAUUAAUUAAUACAUUAAUCAUGUGUUUUAAGAAUCAUUAUUAUUGGUAUUACUUACACAAGGUUUUAAUGAUAUAUGUAUGUAUGUAUGUAUAUGUAUCUCUCUCUCUAUAUAUAUAUAUAUAUAUAUAUAUAUAACGAGGCUAUUUUUUUCUUUUUUUUAUUGAGUUUUACAUUUACUAGAUCUGAAACAAAAUGUGUGUUAUUUUCCAACAAGAUCAUUAUUUUUUAAAAGAAGCACAAUUAUAAAUUUAAACAAUGACAUUUAACAUGAAUUUUAUUUCAAAUAGUGUGUGAAUAUAUAUACAUAUAUAUAUAUAUAUAUAUAUCUAAUGCUUAUUUAUAUAUUAAAUACAUCAUAUAUCUUCAUAGCACUUUCUAACAUGAAUUGGUGUUAUGUAUAUAUCUAUAUAUACAUAUCCAUGUACAUACAAAUAUACUUAUUAAAUCUUUGUUUUGUGUUUAUUGUACACUAGACAUUGGUAUCAAUUUCUAUUAACAAACAAGAGUCUUUUUCCAAUUUUAAUUCAAUUUUUGAAAAUGAAACUUAAUAUAUAUAUAUAUAUAUAUAUAUAUAUAUAUAUAUAUAUAUAUAUAUUGUUGUUGUCAUAAAAUUCAUGUGGCAAUAUUAUAAAUAAAAUAUUUUUUUAAAAUGAUAAUUAAAAAAAGAUUAAGAUUAAUAUGAUUUCUUUUGAUAUUUUUUAUUAUUUAUUAAUAUCAAUUGAAUAAUAUAAUACUUAAAGAUAAAUAAAGAGUAUUACUAAUGCCACCACCACUUAUUCUUAUUAAUUUUUCAAUAAAACUUUGAAUAGAUUUAAAUUUAUUUUUUAUAUAAUAUAAAAUUAAAAAUCAUAUUAAAAAUAUUAACAAUUUUUUUGGUUUGAAUUAAAGAAAGACUAAAGAAAUAUAUCGAGUGGUUGGCAAGUAGUAGUCACAUUGGCAAUACCCUAAAUAAGUAUACAUAAUCUUAUUAAGUUUUUAUUGUUCAAUUGAACUUUUAGCUCAACAAUAAUUAAAAAGUUUAGAAGUUUGUGAAGUAAAUAUCAAAUACCUAAAAAUGUAAUUUUUAUACAUAUGUAUUUAUAUAUUCAUAUUUAUAUAUUUUAAUUCUAUAUUAUUUUAAAAAGUAUUAAAAUUUUCAAUAGAAAAUUUAUUUUAAGAUUUAAAUCACUUUAUUGCACAUUAAAAACUGCACCUCAUUUAAGAACAAUCUCAAAAUAUUCUAGAUUUGCUCAACAAUAUAAGUUUUUGUUAAUAUACAUGUAUCUAUCUAUAUAUAUAGACACACCUACUCCAAAACAACUAAAUAAUAUUACACAUAUAAUAUAAUUUCAUACCACCGUGAGGUUUAUAUAUAUUGGACUUUAUUGAACACAUGGAGGCUAGAAUAAAAAAUUAAAAACAUAAGAAUCCUAAAAGCUACCUAAUCUAGGAUUCUCUUCAAGAGAAAAAAAUGACUCAAUAUGGGUUAGGAUUAUCACUUGCCUGGGCCACGUAGGAUCCCCACUCCGCCAAAAAGUAAUGGGCAAGGAGAAAAAAAAGAAAAAGAAAAAGCUAACACGGUAAUGGGCCAUGCGCGGUGGACGUAAUCGUGGGAGCCUCUGCGAGGCUUCCGUUUGGGGGGGGGGGGGGGCUCGUUGCAUUCCCAGCUGGAGCUGAAAUUCGCGAAGCGUCAUGCCCACGGUUCUCCGUCGGAGCGAUCAAUCCAGUCCGUCUCAUCUCACCGUCGCGCACAAUUCUCUUCCUCACGCGGUCAUAUGCAUUCUGGGUUUGCCUACAAUCGUAUGCUGUGUUGGGUUUUUGAUGGGUUCCUUGUUUUGAGGUUGAAGCUCGCACCGAUUCUACCCUCGCAAUUUGUCGUCGUAGCUUGUUCGUUGACCGAGUUCUAGAGCAUUUCUGGACUUGGGUUUUCAGUUUUGUGAGACAUCGUUGAGAGCUUCUGAUGUUAGUAGACCAGAUGGAGUAUCAGGGGCAACAAGGGAGUGGAGGACCGCAGGACGAUGCCUUUUAUGAACUGCUCUCUAGCACGGCGCUGGCGAACGCGAAGAAGCAGCAACAGCAGCAGCAUCAGUUCGAACAGCAGAAUCAUCAGCAGCAGCAACAGCAGCAGUUUGAUUCCCGGAGCGAGGAGGGGCUCCCGAAUUAUGACUUUCAAUCUACUUCGAGCUCCUACGGCGGUGUCGUAGCCAAUGGAGAGGAUAUGCGCAAGGCCCCCUCGGUUAUGCCCGUCGUCGAGUCCUCUCAUCCGCCCCAUUUCCCGACGUAUCCGCCUGGAUCUUCAUAUUCGGUAAUUGCCUCUCUUUGGAUUUUUGCUCCGGGAAGUUUUGGUCGUGAUAACCCUAAUUUGCAAGAGGGUUGAUCUAAGAUGUGCUCAUGUCCUUGUUUCAUUUUGCAACAUCAUAACCACACGUUUGAAAUCAGGACUUCCGUAAGUUUUGAGAAUUCCCUUUUUCUAGAGCCCUAGAAGAUGAAGUUCUGUUUCUUGGAGCUCUGUCUCGACCUAGCAAGCUCCACUGAAAGUAAUUUUGUGUGUUUAAUGCUUGAUACCUUGCUUGUUAGUUUAUUGUGUCCUUGGACAUCAGAGUUAGGGUUUUGAUAAGUUUAUUAAUUACGAAAAAUAUUCUGAAAAGGAUUGUCUGCAUUGAUGCAGAAUGCGCGGCAACAUCUUCCUGUUCCAUCGUUUGUGGAGUCAUCGCCCCCUAGACAGGAGAAAGGGAACGCUGAAGCUGCUACUGUAGCUGCGGUAGAGCAGACUAUGAAGAAGUAUGCCGAUGAUCUGAUGCGCAUGAUGGAGUCCAUGGCUGGGCGUAUUGGUCAAUUGGAGUCGUCGACUCGACGCUUGGAGCAAAUAAUGACCGACUUCAAGGGUGGAUCGGAGAAGAGCCAGGGUGUUUCAGGCGGCAAGCUCUUACUCAUCGAGACUAUGCUCUCUGAAGUGCGUCAUGUGAAAUUAUACAAAAUUUGUGUGCAUUUUCACCAUGUGAAAUGGUUGUUCGAAUGAUAACAAUUUGAAACAUCAUGACUCACUCUUGAUUGUGACUGGUCUUCUUCGCAGGUACAACGUGGUGUACAGGAGCUACGCAAUAAACAGGAAGUUAUGGAUGCUCAAUCUACAAUUGGAAAGCUUCAACUGGGCGACGAGGGCGUUUCUUCCUCAGUCCACUCCCAAACGUCUUUGGAGCCACCACCGGCGCAAUCUCCGCGAGCUCCCCAAAUGCCAGAGACGCCACCUUAUCCGAUGGGACCGCUCCCUCAUGCUCCUCACCAUCCGCCCGGUCAUCUUCCACCUUACAUGGUGCCACCACAGUUGGUAGGUCUUGCUCCUCCUCCACCACCGCCUCCUGCGCCUGAGCCUCAUUACCAGCCUUCUCAGCAAGGCCCUCCUCCUCCUCCUCCUCCUCCUCCUCAGCAGUCUUACCACAGCCAGCAGCUGCAACAGCAAAGUACCCCGCCAUCUGCGCAUCCUCAUGGUCCAUUCCCUCAACCUCCUGAGCUUCCACCAUAUGGCGCAACACCACAAGGACCCUACAAGGGGCAAUCGGGGAGCUUCGGUCAGGAUGCUCCUCCACCGUCUUAUGGAGGUCGGCCGCACCAUAUGCCUCAGACUGGGCUUGGUGGGUCGCAAAUGUACGACCAGUCGGGUGGGAUACCACCCUACCAAUCUCAAGGUCGGCCUGCAGCCCCGGCUUAUGAUCAGCCAAUCGGGCUACCGCCUCCUGGAUACUUCAAUCCGGGGUACCGAAGUGGGCAGCAAACCCCGUCAGCUCCGAGUAGCGGAGCUGGAGGCUAUCCUCGGUUGCCAACAGCUCAGCCUGUGCAACACGCCAUGCCAACGGCGAGAGAGCGCGAAGGAGCUCAACCGUCUUCCGGUGCAACCCCUUUGUCAACAAACCGACUGUCUAUUGAUGAGGUGAUCGACAAGGUCGCAGUGAUGGGCUUUUCUAAGGACCAAGUGAGGGCGGUGGUGCGGAGGCUCACCGAGAAUGGCCAGUCUGUGGACCUGAACGUUGUUCUUGACAAGUUGAUGAACGGAGAUGGCGGAGCGCAGCCGCCGAAGGGUUGGUUCCAAAGGGGCUGAAAAUCUGCUUCUCUCUUUGGAUGCUAUUGGUCUGUUUCCAGUAAGUUGUAGGGGAUAGCAGUAGAUUUGUAGCAAUAGACUUCGAUUUUGUGUCUUUCAUGUAUAAGUCUGGUAUUUAUGUGUACAUACAUAAGAGGUGCUGGAUGCUCCUGUCCUGGAGUCCUCAGUUGAGCUGUUAAGUGUUAAUGUUGCUUGACAAAGUUGCUGGUGUACAUGGGAGUCUCUGAAACCUGCUAGCAUCAGUUUUCUGUUCACCUUCACAGAAUUUUGCUGAUUCGAGUCUUGUGCUUACAUAGUAAUAGAAGCCAUCGAAGGCAGCCAUGUGCGUUGUAACAAGACUGUUAAUCAAAGAGAUUUUUCAUGACCAUAUCUAUUGAAUCCCAGUGAGCACUUGUGCUUGUUGUGUAAUGGGGAAUUGUGCGACUCCGCGUAGGAUAAUGGGUGGCAUGUUCUAGUCACGCAGUUGUGAAUUUGCAUUGCAAUAACAUUCGAGUGUUGCUUUUGUCUGAAACGCCGACAAGCUUUCGAAGGAAUCAGGACAUUCACAUCCACUUACAGAAUUAUUUUCACAAGACGAUCUUAACUCCAAUUUCAGUAUAGCCGCAUGCGCAGACUCGGUUGCUCAGCCUAGAGAAAGGAGGCAGUGAAAUAUAGAUGCGAUUUCUAUCUAUAUCUUGUUCUUUUGUGUUCACAUUUGGAGUGAGAUUCACAUGCCAUAGAGGUGAGAUGUCUUCGCAGCUUUUCCGUCCGUCCUGGAUUGCAGCAUUCCUGCUCAUGGAAUGAAUUGCAGUCAGACUCCUGUUUCUUCUUCUGCUGCUGCUUGCAUGCUGCUCUGAAGAAGUUCCUGAAAUGUACUUUUCCCCUAGGUUUUUAUAGCAGCAGCUGCGGCCCAAUAUCAAAUGUGGGUAUUGAGUGCUCAAUCCAAUUUGUGUUAAUGGACCUUACUUCGGAGGAUUCAAUGUAGAAACCUAAACCUCAGCAAGGCACUCACAACUGAAAUUAGGGUACAUUGGCGUCAUCAUUCUGUUCAAAGAUUCAUAAAGAUGGAGACUGAGACCAUGGUUUAAUUGCAUUGUUGUAUCUGUCAUUGUGCGUUCAAUCCUAUCAAUCUGGGGGAGGCUUGAUCACGAUUGCCUUACAGAACCAACGUCGUAUACCCUUUAUUCAUGAUUCUGCUCUUUCAACCCCUAAAGAAUCAAAGCUGCACAUGAGCGAAAACUUUGGUUGCAAAAAUUGGGGUCACAAUGGUCGUUACAUGAGAACCACUCAUUAAAAGAGUGAAUUAAGAAUUGAAUUUAUUAUUUGCAGAAUACGAAUCUUCAGGCUUAAGGAGGCGAUUCUUCUGGUAAUGGGAUGCAGGUUUCGCCAGCAGAUCAUUAAGCAUAGACAGUGUUGAAGAUGGCUUUCAGUCAGCAACUAAGGUUAGUGCGAACACCAGUCUUUAUCCUGCUCCGAACGUUUAAUCUUUCAUUGGAACAUCUCCAUGUUCUUGUUUGAAGUGCCUGUGUUGGAAUGCUAAUUCUGAGGGAUCAAACUUCUGCCACAGCUCUACAGCUCUACAUUGUUGUAGAAGGAUCUAGAGAGAUGAUUAGCAGAAAAUAAUCUCAACAGUUAGAAAUUUUUCUCUCGAAUUGAAUGCUUUGCAAAGAACAGGCUUGGUGAUAAACUGGGUCAACAGGAGCAAGCUUGUCAUUCCCCUGAACUACUCAUUCUUGUGCACUCAGUCGAUUUCAAUGUUACGCUAUAAGAAAAUCGCAUCAAACAAGAAGGAAUUUGUGUGGUCUCGAUGUUCAGAUUGCCCUUGAUUGUCUAUCUUUACCUUCCUUUUGCGCAUUACUGCUCUGUCUAUUUCUUUCCGAUUAGCCCACAACUUCACAAUGUCUAAUUAGCUCUCAACUUCAAGUUAUAAAACGAUCCCUUCAGUUGUGUUUUUCUCAUGGGUUCAAACUGACAUUUUUGUGAGGGCUCUUUAUUAUCAUCUUCCUCAUCGUGUGUACUUGGCAGCCAAACCUCGACGCACUGGUUAUGCUUCUCGAGGACCCAAUCGGUGCAAUCAGACUAUGAAUCGUGUCUGUUUGAACGGCAGUGGACGAUCAACAUGGUUGAUACACACAGAAAUCAUGCCAGUGUUGAAUUCUGGUCUUAAGGAAAUGAACCCAGGGCAUGGACCACUGUGAAGUCUAUUCCCUUGAGUUUAUCAGGAUGCCCUUGUCUGCUUAACAUUUAGCUUGGGUUGUGUCUACUGCGCAGUAUGUUUGCUCAUACUAAAUUUCCUGAUGGUUUUCUCAUGUUUAAUCACAAGCUUAUGAAAGUCUGUGAAGAGGGAGUGAAGAACUGAGCAUAUAUUUUUGUAAUUUCAUUGUGACAAUCCUGUGUUCUUGCUCAUUUGCAGAUUCUUCCUUAUUUGUCAUUGUUGUGAUUGAAUUCUCUAGAAUAGCUGGACAUCUCUUAACAGACUUCAUAGAUGCUGCCUAUUCUGAAAACGAUUUUUUAAAUGCAGUCAUGCAUGCAGUGUGUGGUGCUUUGUUUCGAAAUUUGUUAUCCAAAUCUGUAACAAGGACCGUAUGCAAUAGACACAAUGGAAAUGCAUUGCCAGUAUUAAGAUUGAUGUCAACUACACGAACCAUUUUGGGUUUGGCGAACAUAUUUUAAUCUUCUCGUAACAUAUCAAGGCGAUAGAGACCUGCAACACAUUAAACGAGUAUGAUUUGUGAAAACAAGUAGCAAGUUGAUGAUGAACUGUUGAUGUCUAUUUUGCAAUAACUUGAGAAACCUACUUCUAUACCUAAUGUAGGUGUGGUUUUUUAAUUAUAGAGAAAGUGAUAAAUUUGAUAUGGAUUGCAAAAAAGCAGAUACUUAGUCUUUAUUGAUCUCCAUUUAUCCAUAAUUGAAAGAGUUAUUAUUAUUAUUAUUCACAAGAAUGACAUCCAACCUUAAACUACACUGUUUUGUGUUUUGAGUGUGUGUUUUUUUUUAAUCUAAAGUGUUAUUAGUAGAGUGCAAGGUGUUGUGUAAGUCAUAUGUGUAUUAGUAUCAAAUGUUGACAUUUAAACUAUACAUUGUAAGUAGAGGAGGAUAUUUUAACUCUUAAGUUUUUGCAAUGUUUUCAUAUGAGGAGACUCACAUCCAAAACAUUUAUAAAUAUAUACAUGUCUAUAUAUGUAUAUAUAUAUAUACAUAUAUAUGUGUGUGUGUGUGUGUGUGUGUUUAUUUUAAAGAUCUAUAAUAGACAUAAAAUUGCAUUACAUUACAUGUAAUGAGAUGAUGAGCUUUUUUUUUGAAAUAUCUAUAUGGUAUAUGUAUUAUUUUAUUGAUAUUAAUUUUUUUUAAUAAUCAUCCUACAAUGAAAAUAGUAAAUUUAUAAAGAAUAAAAAUACCAAUUAAUAUAUAUGUUAUUUUCUUUGUAAUACUAAUAUCAAUCUCUUCUUGUUUUUUACAAGCAUUUUGUAUUGUAUGUAGUUGGCACUUAUAUCCAAUUAUUCUAACAAAGUAUGCUUUGAUUAUAUACAUUAUAUUGCUUGUAUGUUCUAAUAACAUCUAUUAAAAAUAUAUUUAUUUUAUUGUAUGUACUUAUAGAUGAUAGUUAAUUUUUUUCACAUAAGUAAACAUAAGUUUAUGGAUAAGAGAAGUAAAUGAUAAAAAUGCAUGUAUGUAUUUGUUGAUAAACAUAAAAGCCUUGAGUAUAAACAUAUUUGAUUUUUUUUAUUUUAUCAAUGGCCAUAAAAUUUAAGGAUAUGAAUAUAAAUAUAUGUAAUAUUUUAAAAUAUUAGAAAUAAAUAGAAAUAAUCUUGUACAUGUGUUGGAAACCUUAAAGCUAUUCAAAAGAAAAUUGAGAUAUUAUAGUACAUCAAAUUUUUAAGGUUAUUUGGUCAUAAUUAUAUACAAAUACUUUCUAAUUUAUAUAGAAAUACUUUAAUGAUGUAAAAGGUGUUCUAUCAAAUAUGUUUGCAGGAUAUGGCAUUAGUGACUAGUUGCUAGAUUCAUGUUGAAAUACUUAUUCUUUUACUAUUGAUUAUCAUUAGAAUACUUAUAUAGAUAUGUAUAAUAUAUUAAAUAUAUAUAAUAUCAAUAAAAAAAAUAGAUAUGAUUAUAAUAGUUGUAGUUAUAUAAUACAUACAAGAUUAAAAGACAUAUUUAUAAAAAAAAUGUAAUCAUAGGUUUUAAUUUAAAUUAACAUUUUAAAUUAAUAUAAUAUAUAUAAUAACAUUUGACAAAUCAUUGCAAAGCAUAAAAACUAUCUUUUAGUUGGACUUAGCAUUAUAACCUAUUUUUAUUAUUAUUCAUAGUUGUAUUAGAUGUAUUAUUAUUAGGCACAUGUCUCGCAUAUAAUAUGUCUUGCAGUUUCCAUAUAUAUAUAUAUAUAUAUAUAUAUAUAUAUAUAUUAUCUAUGCAUAAAAAUAUAAGAACAUACAUUAUAAUAAAAAUAAAUUCAUGAAAUAUUUAUAUUAUCUAAAAUUAGUAUAUUUAUUUUAUCUAUAGAAGAUAAAAAUUAUAUAGGCUCUUUGAGGAAUUUUAAACUUUUGCAUUUCAUCUUCUAUAGUAAUAUAUAUAUAUUCUUACAUAAAUUUAUAUAUCUAUUUGACAAAAGUACAACAAAUAUUCUUGUCUUGUUGCAUUAUUGUUGCUUCACAAGUCACACAAUACAUGGUUAUAUAUUCUAUUUUUCAUUCUAUAUAUAUUUUCUAAAUUAUCUAUAUAUAUGCAAUGUUUUGCUAUAUAGAUGGAUAUGUGGUUUUAUUAUUGUAUAAAAGAAGAAAAUACACUACACAAAUAUUCCAUUUACAAAUAUAUAUAUAUAUAUAUAUAUAUAUAUUCUAUUUACUUAAUAGAUGCAUUAGAGGAAUUAACUUUCUUAUCAAUUAUAAUAAAAUAAUCAAGCACCAUUUCUACUAGAAUUCAUUAAGAUUUUUAUUGCUAAUUUCAAAAGAAUUGUCCCAUAUAAAUAAAUUACCUUUUAGAACUCAAUAGAGGUUUUUAUAUAUAAGAUGAAACACUAAUAUUCAUUUCUUCUACUUUUGCUCCAAUUACUAAAUACUCCAUUCAAUUUUAGCAAAGAUGUAAAAACAAAAAACAAAAAUAAAAUAAAAUAAAAUCUCCUAUUUACUACAUCAAGUUCCCAUUUGUUCCUUUUGCAUAUACAAGUAGUUUAGUAUUUGAGUCUUGUAUAGCCAUAAAUAAGGCAAAACAAAGUAGAUUAAAAAAAUAAAUAAUAUGAGCAUCUUUAGGAGAAAGUCUAAUCCUACCUAGAAUUUGCUAACAAAGAAAUUGACACAUAAGCACAACUAACAAACGAGCUUGUGUGCGAUUGCAAUACUCCCAAUACACCCAAUACCCAUGCAAUUGAGCAAGCAUAAGUUUUGCAGCAUUGCAAAGCCAAUAUUUGACAUUUUUUGCCUUUUGCUCAGAUUUAAUGUUAGAAUCGACCCACAAAAUUUUCCCUUUCCUACUCAAUGCAUGCAAAUAUCUCCAGCACAUGAAAACUGGUGGAAACUUGACGUAGUGAAGAUGAGGUUUACAGACUGCCCAUACGUAUAACGUAGAGUUUGAAAAUAAGUACAUUGUUAGUAUGUAUGUUUGCAUCCACGUUGUCCACACUUCAAGUGCCGUAUACGUGUGACCAUAUCCGUAUACCGCCGCGGGUGCAGCCUGUUACAAGUCUUUUCUAUCCGAUGAUGCUUCAUGUAAGACCCACUUUACAAAUGUCACGUUGCCAGGUUCGAAUUGUGAAGGCAGCGUCAUCUCUACUCUUUCCUUGCUGUGUGAAUCUGCUAUCCUCCAGUUGUUGGGUCCCUUCGACCCAAGAGCUGAUCACUGAGAUUGACAGAGCGAUGUUCGUUUCGCAAUAUUAGGUGUAGUUGUUGUUGUUGCUGCUGCUGCUGUGAUUUGUGAUUUGGGAGUGAGAAGUCAAGGGAUUUGAGGGUUGAAUUCAACAAUGCCUCCGUUGUCGCAAGGCUUGGCUCUGAAUUCGCAGACCUUAUCAGCUCUCUCGCUGAUUUUGGCGGUGCCGAAGGUGAUAGCCUCGGCUGGGUCGGAGAUGUAUCAAGACCGGAUGCUCAGUGCGAGUCUCCUGCAGCCUGGAGCGGUGAAUGUGAAGUCUAGACGUGGGUUUCUCAAGUUCUGCGGCACGUGCACGACGUGCAGGCGAAAUGUGAAAAAGAUGGUGUGCAAAUGCAUUGGUGAGGACCCUCAAUGUUCCAGGUGAGGGUUCUGUGGCUCACUGUGUCUUGAUUGGGUUCCAACAAGAAAAACCUAAUUGCAAGAAUCUAAUCUUGAGCUUGGAUUUGUUCAGUGCAUUCCUUAGUGCAAGCAAUAAGGUUUCGAAAGCCCUCGACGAAAGCCCAUGCAGCUCAAGAUUCUUUGAGCAUAGUGUCGUUUUUGUGUCUGCGUACAUGGCCUCGGCUAUCCUGUUUCUAAUUGAGAUUUCUGGACUGAAAAAUACGCUCUAAAGGAUGGCAAUCGCUGCUGUUACCAUUUUGUCGGGCAAUUGCAAAUGAUGUUGGAGAAGCUCUGGAUGGGGCGCAGAAACGGGUUUUAUCAAUCAUGUAGCAAUCUUUUAGCUCAAAUCAACCAGUUUUCAUGCCCAAAUCAAUCCACGAUUGAAUGUAUAAUCUGCAUUGCAGCUAUAGUCCCAAUCGUGGCGGGGAAACCUUAUUUCACAGGAGCUGGCUUUACAUGGAUUCUAGAGGAGGCAGGAUUAUUCUUUGUGAGCUUUUUCUGGGUUGUUAGCAAUCCCUCUAGAUGUUUAUUAUUUAUCAUGUUCUUAAUAAUCGAAGUCCUCAGUGGUGAAUGCGAUUUUGAAUUGAUAGGUCGAAUGCGUCUGAGCCACUUGAAAUGAGAAAUCGUGACGAAAUUGUGAGGGGAGGACGGAUGCGGAGGCGAACGUUUGGGACCAGUAUCUUAGGUGGUGCAAUAACCCUUCCAUUCCUUCAGGAGCUUCAGGGUAAGCUGCCACAGUCGCUGCUCUUCCAAGCUACAACAUCAUCAGUUACUGUACAUGUGCAGCCCAAGAAACCGUUUCCUACAGCUGUUAAAUCAAAAAAUAUAAAUAUUUAAAAGCACAAAGUCUAAAUACCAAGAUCGUUUGUGCUCUGCAUCAUUUACUUGAAGGUGUAGUAGACUUGUUCUUUGCUGGCACAAAGAACAACAUUCCCUCUCUCGUUUUCCUAAUAAUGUACGAGUCCUCGCAAGCAUCGCAUGAUCGCAACUUCACCUGUGAUUGUUUCUAUAACUGUGCGUUGGAUCUGGGAUGCUCCACAGCGCGAGCUCUUGGUGACCCAACUGUGACCAUUGAUGAGGUGACCCCUACGAUCGCACCUGCCGGUAGCCUACCCCCUGCAGAGGUGGGCUUAAUUCUUCACAAAGUUGAAUGAAUCGUACAGCUUUGCUUUUCUUGAUUAGUAUCUAGUGUUGAGUAUGUAUCGCCAUCAUGGCUAGCUUGAGUAUUAAAGAGGAAAGAGGGUAUUAUGGUUGCAACCAGGAACGCACAGUGGAGCUCUUUGAACGCAACACUUACUCAGUUGUGAACAUCUUCGAUGUCUCACUGCGCCCUCAAGUCAACAUGACGGGUUCUGUCGAGGUGCCUUUCUUCGACUUCUCCUUGGACUACUGAUUGCGUUGAAUCCAACUGGUCGUUUUGUAUCAAAGCUAUAUUUGUCUGUGUAAAUUUUGAUCAUGGAUUAAGGUGUAGCGGCUUUCUUGUGCAGGUCCCAGAAGGAAAUGGAUCGGGCUUCAUUUGGGACGAGGAAGGCCACAUUGUAACAAAUUAUCACGGUGAGCCAGUUUCUCGUACGUGCAUGGUUGCACUGAUUAAUGUGUAGGAAUUCCUUGCAGGUUGGCAUAAGGUUAUAUAUAUAUAUAUAUAUAUAUAUAUAUCGAGAGAGAGAGAGAGAGAGAGAGAGAGAGAGAGAGAGAUUUUUCAUAAUAUGAGUCAACCUCGUCUUGUAUGCUUGCGCAGUAAUUGGGAGCUCAUUAGCACGCAACCCUCCUCUUGGACAAGUUGUAGCGCGCGUUACACUGCUGGGAGCCGACGGGUAAAAAUCUUUUUGCUGCACAGUUGCUUCUUUCCGUAGCAAUUAGAGUGAUUUUGAAUUCUUGAACUGUGAUGUUGUCGAGGGUGCAGGAGUGGUGUACAGAGCAUCGAUUUUCUCUUGCAUUAAAUAAAGUAAACUGCGUAGUUUUCAUAUCUUGAAAAUUGAUCCUGUCAAUGAUCUCGAGGCUUAGUGGCUAUUUUUGGUGGUGGUUUUUGGGCAGGGUAGAUAUCAGAAGAAUUUUGAGGCAAAGCUUGUCGGUGCUGACAAGACCAAAGACCUUGCAGUGUUGGAUGUGCGUCUUUCUCAUUUAAUUCUGCAGAGAUGAUUAUACUAUGUCUCUUUUUAUUCAUACUAAGCCUCUUAAGUUACGGUGGAGGUUUAUGUCAUGUUCAUUGACACCUUGUUAAACUAUGUGGGCGCUUCAGGUGGACGCUCCAGUGGAGCUUCUCCGUCCCGUCAAACUGGGUCAGUCUUCCAAGCUUAGAGUUGGACAGAGAUGCCUAGCUAUCGGCAACCCAUUUGGUUUUGACCACACUCUGACAGUCGGUGUUGUAAGUGGUCUGAACCGCGACAUUUUCAGCCAGACUGGUGUCGUUAUUGGGGGCGGCAUUCAGACUGACGCAGCCAUCAAUCCUGGCAACAGGUAACAAGCACACUCAAAUACUGUUGUUAAGCUUUUGGUUUACUUCUUUCCCCUGAUUUCUAUCCACUGAUCUGCGACACGGUGUGUGGUCAUACAGUGGAGGUGUGCUCUUGGACUCAAAUGGCAACCUCAUUGGCAUCAACACCGCAAUCUUCACUCGCACAGGUGCUGAUGUCUUUUUCUCUUCAUGAGGAACAUUCCCUUUUUUUGUCUUAAUCCUGUUUCUGGCUAUCUACCGAGGGAUAUCGCUAACUGUGCGCUUUUUCCCUCCCCAUUUGUUUUACCCGCAAUCAUGUAGGCACGUCAGCCGGAGUUGGAUUCGCAAUUCCUAUUGACACAGUCGCCAAACUCGUGCCUCAGCUAAUCGCAUAUGGCAAGGUCUGUAAGAAUGUUCGAACUUCAUUGUUUCUGUUCGUCUCUGAGAAACCAUCAUCACCGAUUUCUAAAAUAUAUAUAUAUAUGAUCCUUCAGGUUAUGCGGCCAGGACUCAAUGUACAAUUUGCACCUGAGGCAGUGGCCAAGCAACUCAACGUUCGCAGCGGCGCUCUAGUGCUAACAGUAAGCUCCUAAACAACUUGCAAACAAAUUAGCAACUCUCGCUUAUUGUUCUUCCCGUGUCUCAUAUUUUCUUAUAUCUUUCUGUGAAUGGAACAGGUUCCAGACAAGAGUGCAGCUGCAAAGGCAGGGAUUAUUGCAACCAGGAGAGGGUUAACUGGAAAUAUCCUUUUGGGCGAUGUAAUUGUUGGAGUUGGCGAAACCACGGUGAGUAUACAACCUCUCCCAUGCCUUGAAUACUCUUGGUGAAUAUCUGUCACUGCCACUGUUCCAGACAACUCUUUUUCUGCAUUUAAGAUUGUCAUUUCCACUUGCUCCUCAUAGGUGAAGAACCCUCAAGAGCUCACGAAAGCAUUAGACAGUUACCAAGUCGGAGAUCAGAUUUUGCUUAAGGUCCAGAGGAAUGAUCAGAUUCAGGUGCUGCCAUUGACACUGGAAGAGAGCAUGCGAUGAGAAGAAGACAUAAACCACUAUUAAACAUGGGUCAGUGCUUAUCAGAUUCUUACCAGAAUUUUCCACAUUGAUUGCAGCACAAUAUGAACUAUUCAAUCUUCCGGCUCUGUAAUUACACACGAAAGAAUUGAGUCCCAGGUUCCAUCUGAUGCAUGUAUUGUCAUUGCCCUCUGCUUAGCAAGCUCUUUGUGUCUUCUCCUGUGAGCACCAUUGCGUUGGAUCAGUAUUACUCGUUGGUGUUUGUGAUGUGUUUUUCGAAGAUGGAUUUGAAAUGAAUGUUAUGUGUAACCAUUUUUUUAAAAUGCUCUUGAAAAAAAAUUAUCAAUAGCAGUGUAAUGAACACUACUAAAUACAAUGUCAUGAAAUACAGCGGAAUAAAAAUUACAAAAAAAAAAAAAAAAAAAAAAAAAAAAUCAUCACUUAGACAACGCUCAGAAUUGCUUAAAACACUUCGGUUAGGUGUCGUGUUCACACUAAUACAAACGAUAUAUAUAUAUAUAUAUAUAUAUGUAGAAGAGAAGAGAGGGUUUUAAUUCAUCCAUUCAUCCAUCCACGCUGUCAAGUUUCUGUCCAUCCACGCUGUCAAGUUUCUGUCCAUCCACGUCAGACCUGAGGGGGAUCACCAAGCCGCACCCCGCUUACUUCUAUCCAGUGUGAACGCAAACCAGUGCCCAUGUCCCAUCGAGAUUUCCAUAGCCCCACUUUUUUCUUUUUCUAUCUUUCCUUUCAAUAUGUCUUUAUCGUUUUCCUCCUCCUUCUUUGUCCUCUUUCCCUAUCUACUCCAUUUCUUUAUUCUUUAUAUAUUCUUAUUUUUUGGGGAGGAUCGUUUUCACAUGAGUAAGCACAUCGAGGCCUUUGCAAUUGAAAGGCCCCAUCUUAAUGGUCAAAAAGGGACAACUAGAAGGAGCCAAGUUUGCCAAUAUCAAGGGGAACAUGGCCCCACUCUGGACUUGGAAGGGCCAGACCCUCAUUAAUUAUGUGGGUGGCCCCUCUUCAACACAGGAAAAAAAAAAAAAAAGAAAAGAAAAGAAAAAAAAAACAACCUUUUUUUAUAUGGAACCCCACUGGGUAAUUCUCAAAUGCUAUAGAUCCUAUGUUUCUAGUUUUCUGGUUCCUUUUUCACUUUUCCCACUUUUUUUUCUUUGUUUUUCCUCCCUGCUUUCGGUUCAAGGACGGGUGACCGUAGAGCUGACGAACACCCCAAAGGUACAAAAUAGAAGACAUGGGAAGCCGUGCCCAUUCCUUUUCUGCACGCUUGGGAUGGAUGGAUGAACAGAAUCCUUCAUAUAAUGGAUGGUGGGCCACAGGUGGGUGAACCUCCAUCCAUCCAACUACCCUUCUUAUAGUUGCACAGAAUGUCUCCUACUUGUAAAAGUGUACUUAUCCAGCGCAAAUUGCUUUAGUUUCCCAAUGCAAGUGCAUUACCAGUGUCAUAUCUCAAUCAAACUCAUUAUCAAUUGCAUAUCUGAUGUGAACACACAAAUGAGAUGAAUCACUGUGAGAACAUUCACCACCAACGAUACGUAAAACUCAUCCGUCGUCUGCCGCGCACCUGAAGCCGACUCAUGGCGUACUACCCGAUGCCGUUUUUUUCUUGUUGUUGUUGUUGUUGUUCUGUUUUUUUCCAGUGAUUGCCAUCCAAAAAGGACUGGAGGGCAUGAAUUUCGACACGCACCCACCAAAACGUUAACGAAAUAUCCUUUCGCACCCAGGAAAACACUGAGAGGAAAUAUAAGGGGAAGUGGGGGGGGGGUAUUCGCAGCGCCAGUUGUAGUAGCUCUUUGAAGUCCAACGGAAAGCAGCACAAAAAAAAAAAACUCUUUUUUCCGCAAUCAAGUCAUCAUCUCUUCUGUUCGAAUCUGUGCGGCGCGUCUUGCACAUGCGCCCCUCCAGGGACUCCGCCGCGGCUCUGACUGCACUGCACUGCACUGGAUCUUUUACACUCCACACCUCAUAACCGUUCCAGAGAGUGACCAGAGCGUGUUGAUGACGAUGAUUCCAGCAUUCUCAUUUGUGGUCUCGCUGUAAACUGAGACCUCCGACGACUGCUCAGUUGGGUCAACCUUCCGCCACUGAAGGGUUAAGUCCUCUCCUGUUGUUGUGCAGUGUCAGUCCGCCCAGGAAACUGUGCAAAAACCCUGCAACUCCCUCACUCACUCACUCUCACUCAUUUGUGGACAAUUCGACGAACGGACAGAUGGACGGACUGCCUGACGGACGGACUGACUGCCUGACUUCCUGACUGACUGAAUGGGUGCAGUAGUUGCACAGAAGGGCUGCCUCCACGUGACAUACAGUAAGUACCGCAGCAACAGAAGCAUCAGAAGCAGUAACAGCAGCAUUUGCAGCACCAUUAGCACCAAAGACGGGGGAGUGGGCUCUCUCUGAUGGGUCCAGAUCCCGAGAAAACUCGAACCAGAUCGAUCGAUAGAUCGAGACAGAGAAAGAGAGAAAGUGGGCUCGUAUUUCCAGAAGCAGAUUCCAAGCGGUAAAAGAGGCGCUGCUGCUGUUCACCCUUUAAGAUCCACGUAGGAUUCCACCUAGGAUUCCACGUAGGUUGCCACGUGGUACCUUGGUUGAUGGCCGGGUCGGGCCGGGCUGGGUUGGGCUACGGUGGCCCCGUCCUUUGGCUGACCCCCCCCCCAGGCAGGUCCGACAGACUUCUUCUUCUCACCCCUUCCCUGUGUGUGACCCUACUCCCACCCUUGUCUCUCUCUCCAUAUAUAUGAUUAUUAUUAUUAUUAUUAUUAUUUGCGUACAUGAUUGAAGUUUUUCACAAAAAAUUAUACGUGUGAGUGAAAUUUGAUCUGAUAUGAUAAACAUUUUAAGAUUUUUACAAGGUGGAUUGUGUGUAGGUAAAGAGUUAGUUAGGAUGAAAACUCGGUUGGUAGUUAAAGUUUAAAAAAAUUGGUGUUUAUUUGUAAUUAUUUGUAAUUAUUUGUAAUUAUUUGUAAUUAUUUUUAAUAAUUUUGGCUUUAAAUGUAUAAAUGUAAUUAUAAUUAUUAAAAACUUAUGGCUGAUUUUUUUUUAAUGUGAAGUAAUCUAUUUAAUACAAAAUAUAUAUUUAAAAAAAUCUACGAGUAAAAAAAUAAAUAAAACCAUCAUUGGUUGAUUUACGUGAGGAAUAAAAACAUUAAUGUAUCAUUUUUUUAACAACUAAGUAAUUAAAAUAAAUUUUAAUUUCUUAAAAAUAGUUUACAACUAUAAUGUUGUAUCUUUAAUAUAGGUAUAUAUAAACUUAUAUAUUUGUAGUGCUUUUAGUUGAGUUAUAUUCAUAUUUAAUUUUUUUAUUUUCAUAUUUUUAAAAUAAAAAAUAUUCAAUAACUAUAUAUCUGUAAAUAUUGCUUAUUGUUUUAAAAAAAAACUUGCUCCACAAAGAUUCUUUUAAUGCAAAAAUUAAACAUGCAAUGAAAAUAAAUUACAAACACAAAAGAAAUAUAGAUUAAUUACAAACUCAAGUUUUAUAAAAGUUGAAUGGAGAGGAAAAUAGAAAAUUUAGGUAUAUAUCAAUUAAUUAUUUAAUUCACUUAAAAAUUAUAAUUUUAAAAAAUUAAACAUAAAAAUUAGAUGAAAAAUUAAUGGUGAAAAAAAAAAAACAAAAAACAAAACAAAAAAACAUAGUGGCUUGUUUUACAUUUUAAAGUUUUUAAUCAUACAUGUAAUUGAUAUGAACAUUAAAAUAAUUUUUUCUCUUCUAAAUUAUUAAAGUAAUAAAUUUGAGUAUAAAAAAAUAAACUAAUAUCUUUAAAUUUUUUAUAAUACUAUUUAUAGUAUUAUAGUAAAUAUAAUUACUAGAUAUUUAUUUUUUAUCAUAAAGUAAUUUCAUAUUAAUUUAUUUUUAAAAAAAAUACUAUGUAUAUAGUUGUAUAUUUGUAUAGGUGAAUUGAAGGGCAUUUUAAAGACAUGCAUACAAGCUAAAGUCAAAAGAUGGAUAAGUAGGUUUUCUUUUUUACAUCUACUAACAAUUUAUAUAUAAAGAGAUAAUUUUUUUCCUAAUGUAGAUUUACAAAAGCCAUUUAUUGGUAUUGUGUAGCUAUUAGAGCUCAUUAAUUUCACUAGAUCUCAACACUCAUAAUCAAACCUAAAUCCAAUGCAAUCCAAUAUUAGAGCUCUACCACCCUUAGAUUGUCAAGGAUUAGCAAAUUUUUGGAACAUGUUCCUUAGUAUCUAUAAAAAUGGAUCUAUUCAUGUGACUUCACUUCACUUAUUCUUUUUAUAAUAUUUUUUGUUAUUUGAGGUAGUAAUUUUAGUAACUAAUAUGUUAAUUUUAACAUUAUUAUAUUAUCAAGAAUAAAUUAGUAUUUUUAAAAUUAAAAACUAUUAAAAAAAUAAAAACUUAGGUUUUAAUAUUCUACAAUUAAUACAAACUUAAGAAUCAUAUGUAUUUCAAUUAUGAUCCAUAUUUCAUUCGAAAUCAAAGAAAUUUUAAAAAUAAACAAUGUAUUAUAUAGACUCAAGAUCUUUCUUCUACCUAUUAAUGAAUAUAAUCUAGAUAUUAUAUUUAAAGAAAGAUUAACAUCUAAAAAAACAUAUCAUUUUUUUUUAAAGUUGACUAUUAUUGAUUUAUCUAACAUUAAUCCAAUCUAUUCUAAAUCUUAAUAUUAAGUUCACUAGGUAAUACAAGUGCCAUUGUUUAUUUAGAAGUAGGUUCUUUUAUAAUUUUCUUUACAUUAAUUGCACCUCACUCUCCUACAUAUUAAAAUGUGCAACAUGUUUUUGGUUUAAUAAUAGGCUUGAAAAUUGAAGAAAUAAAAUAAACAAAGGUAAAAAGAAAAAGAAAAAUAAGAAAAAACUGAAGUCCAACUCAACAUCAGAGAUCCCUUCAACUGUGAAAUCGAGCCUGACUUUCCAACCUAACUCUGAUUCACGCACUCUCACUGCAACCAAUCCAACAACGCAGUGUGGAUCCACCCUACUGCUCAUCAUCGGGGAUGCCAGAAUGUGUCAGAAAAUUGAUACACACCGUCGUGGUCGCACUGCUAUGAUGAUGAUAGAUAGAUAGAUAGAAAAUGGAGCCUGCUGUACUGUAGCAGCAGAUAAGAGAAGAGAAAAGAAAAAAACAGCACAAAGGGUACUCUCCAACUUCCUUGCAACAAAACAAAACACGCACACGAAACUCGACAGUAGCAUGCAUGCUGCUACACCGGUGCCGAAGCGCCGAAUCUAGAACACCGGAUGGAUGCAGGCCGAGAAAACGAUAGAUAGAUAGAUAGCAUGGAAUAUUGGAAACAUGCAGCAUCGCACCUCGAACAUCCACACGGCUGAAUUGUGGUGGUAGUGGUGGUGGUGCAGAUUCGGGAGCGCAGAUAUGUCGAUGCCAGUCUCACACGGAGAUCCGAACUGGACAGUUAGUCGCGCUUUCUCUGCACUUACUGCUAGCGUUUUGUCGACGAUACGGGCUACGUGACACCGAUCGAUGCUUCGAUUCUCACGGUGUCUAUCGCUGUGUGUGUGUGUGUGUGUGAGUGUGUGUUGUUUUUUCACGGGGAUCCGCAACGACUUAAUCCAUCGCCGAACUCAUCAGCUGGUGGUGGUGCUCUUCCUGGUGCGUGAUCUUGUCGACGACUGUGAUUCUGAUCCGUCAUGAGAGGUUUUGUUGGAUUCUUGCUCGUUUUGUUUCGCUUUGGAUUCUUGGUUCGAUGAAAAGCUUCAGGAAAUGAUUUGUAAAAUGAUCUCUUUUUCAAAGUCCAAAAACUUUACUUAUUCAUUCAUGUGUGUGUGUAUAUAUAUAUAUAUAUCCAGGUAGGUAGGUAGGUAUACAAAAAUAUAAAUCAGUGAGUAAGCAAUUAUUCUGUAUUAAUAGGCUUAUUGAGGUAUGGGCUUAUAUCAUUCAUUCAUACAUGUGUGAGUGUGAAUGAAUGAUUGAAAGUGUUGGUUUUGAGCAAAACUUAUUUAGAUAUAGUUAUUAAAUAAAUGAUUUAAUUAGAACAUAUAGUCAUUGGCUUUAACAUCCAAGUAACAUCCAAGUACCAAGGAUUGUUGAAAAAAUUAAUGAUAAAAAAUAAAAAUAAAUAAAUUAUAUGUUUUUAUAAAAUAAUAUUUAUUAAUUAAUAAUUUAAUGUAUUAAUAUUGGUUUCUUUUUAUUUCAUGUAGAAGACCCAUAUUCCAUAUUUCUGACAUUGGUAACAAAUAAUAUAUGCAUUUGCAAAAUACAUUGUUUAAAUUUUGUAAGAAAGUUUUAUGUGUUAAGGUCAAAAAGAAGAAAAUCUUUAAAAUAUUUGUUGGUUUUUCUUGUUCAACAAGUAUUUUUCAACAUUAGAAAUACAAAUCUUGAAAAAAAAUUAUAUUUAAAAAAAUCUUGUUUUAAGAUAUUAGAUUAUUAUUUUGAGUUUAUAAAUUUUAAAUUUUAAAAUUUUAAAUCUUGAAUGUUACUUUUAUAGUUUUAAAUGCACUCCAAAAAUCGUGUAGUAUAGCCAAUAAUAAAUUAAAGUAUUAUACUUAGCAAACAUUAAAUUUAUAGUCUUAUUUCUUUAAGAAUUUAAUUUCUAAUUUUAAUAAUUUGAUAGAUAUGUUUAAUAUUGUUUGUAAUCAAGCAUUAUAAAAGACCUCUUGAUUAAUUUAUUAGAGAUGUUUUGUUAAAUAGUUUAUAAGAUUUUUAAUUUAAUUCCACACCAAUAUUAAUGUAGAUAAAUUUUACAAUAAAAUCAAGAUUUAUUUUUUAAUGCAAAAGUUUAUUAUUAUAGAUUUUAUUAUCUAUCAAAUUUAUAGUAUGAUAUUGAAUGAAUUUUCUAAAUUUAAAUACAACUUUAGAAUCAUUUUAUUACUCUCUAUAACUUUCUUUUGUUCAAACUAUCUUGAAUUUUAUUAGUUCAUACAAAAUAAUUGUCUAUAAAUAACAAAUUAAUUUUAAAGCAAAAUUUUGUAAAAGAAGCCAUACUUAAAGGGAUUUUAUACUUGUAUUAAAAAUAGAAAUAGAAAUAAAUAAAUAAAUAAGAAGAUGCUCUAGUAUUAUAUAACAAUAUAAAUAAUACAAUUAAGCUUAAAAAAAUUAUUAUAUAAUUUUUUUAUAAUUCUAACAUCUUUUUUAUAUAUUAAAAAGUAACUAUCAUAAUAAAAUGAUGUAGUUACUUUUAUAACUACAACUAUAAAUAUUUAAAUAUAAGUAAUAAAUAUAUAUUUGCUAAUAUAAAGUUUUAAAUUUAACUAAAGAUAAAUUAAGUAUACCUAAUUACAUGAAAGAAACAGAAAGAGAAAAAAAAAUAUAAUGAGAGAGAUAUAUUUUUAGAUUUAAAAAUAAUUCCAUGUUGACAAUUUAGUAUAUGUUAGUUGCAACAUAACUUAUAUCAUUUUUAUUUUUAAAUAUUUUAACAACAUCCAUAAAAUUUUAACAAACAAACAACUUUUUUUUUUGGAUAUAAUUUAUUAUUUUGAAAAAUAAAAUAAAAUAAUAUAGUAUAAUAUAGUUUUGUUAUGUACAUAUAAUUUAGAAUUGUCACAUUACAUUUAGAGAGUUGUUAAAGCCACACUCUAAUGUUAUUAAAACCACAUCUCAUGAUUGAUUUUGUCCAUCUUCCAUCCUGUUCCUUGUUCCAUGUCCCUCAUUCUCUAUUCCUUGCCUCUAUCUAUGUUCCCUAUCCUCCAAAAUUAAUCAUCAAAUAGUUUGGGAGAUGUGGCUUUGACAACUCCUUAGAUAUAUAUAUAUAUAUAUAUAUAUAUAUACACACAUAUUAAUUUAAAAAAAGAAAAAAGAGAGAAAAAAAUAAUAUUUAAGAUUUCAUUUUAUUUACAAAAGUUGUAAUUUUUACAUUUAACUAAAAGACCUAAUAUAUGUAUAUAUAUAUAUAUAUAUAUAUAUACAUAUUUCUAAAGAAGAAUAAUGUUUUAGGGUUAAAAGCCAAGAACCAUAAAAAAAGCACCAUGAAAAGAAGCAAGACAAAAAUAAAAGGUGCAAAAAUCUACACCUAAAAAAUUAAGAAGUGGAUGGAGCACUCAUUCAAGGUCCUAUUUGAAGGGUUGUCUAAUUCUUCUUCCUCCUCCUCCUCAUCCCUUUUUUAGGGUUAGGGCUAAAAAUGAGCAACAAGAAAGCAUCAUGAAAUGCGGAAGGGAGGCAGAAAAAGGGGGGGUUUGGACGGAGAGUUGCCCCUCUCCCUUGCUCCAUGUGGGGGGCGACAACCCUACUACUCUCACACACACCACUACUAGCAAGCAAAAGCAAAAGCAAGAGCAAGCAAGCAAGUAUGGUUCAGGGGGGAGGGCGUAGCUGCAGCAGCAACUCCACUCUCCUUCAUCACCCAACACGGUGGCCCUUUUCCACAAAACACCAACAUGAUGAUGAUGAUGCAAGUGUGUCCUUCCCCUGCACAAUGAAAUGCUACUUACAUGCUCCGGGCACCUGUGAUUACAAGCCCCACUCUCAUGAGAAGCAGGAAAAGAAGAAGAAUACGAAGAAGAGUAGUGACGCAUGGCUUCCUCCUCAGCAGACAACUUGAUUAACAUGAUCAACCUGAUCUCGACCAGAUCGAUUAUCGAGAAGCAGUGGAAGCUACAUUGAUCGAUCGAUAGGGAGACCGAUCCGGGAACGUGGUUGUCCUAUUUUUAUUUUUAUUCUAUUUUAUUCUUCUAGUAGUUGUUGUUGUUGGGAGGUGGUGUUAUAUUGAGUUCGAUGGGGUGUAUUUUUGUUUUUCUUGAAGAUCGGGUGCAACAGGGAGUGUGGGCUCCGACCACGGCGCCCGGGGUUCAGAGAUCGACGACCCACAGGUGGAGAGGGGGGCGGGGAAAGAAGGUGGGGGCUGCUGGGAAUGCCCAUGGAUGAUCCACGGCGCCCCAUCAUCCAUCCACGAUCAACUGAUCAUCGACUAAAUUUGGCCCCUGUAAUGCUCCGCAAAUGCGGCUGAUCCUUGUCCGCGCCAUCCGACUUCUCACUGGAUGCAUGAUCUCUCAAGUCAAUCAUCUCUCCAACCACACUCUUCCUCCUCCCCAACCCCCGCUUCCUAUUGCCCCUUCCUGCCUGCAAAUGGGCUCUCUUCAGGUCAAAUAUCUGGAAUAAGAAAUCGCGCAAUGAUUUUCUACAGCCCCAGGGAACGAUUCGGCUCUAGUGGGCAGCAGACGGCAUCAGCAGGAAGUUUAGCGUGUGAGAGCAGGAAGAGUGAGGGUUUCCGGAAUACAUUUCAAGACAGUGUCAGAGCCUGAGUUUUGGUUAUUUAAUCUAAUUUGAUUUUUUCUUGCGUGUUACCUGAAUUUUCAGUGAAAUAGUUACCUCAACUGUUACCGAUCCAGAGUGAUUUCGAACACGCUUGCGGUAACAAAAACUAAUUGUGGUAGAUAUCUUUUUACACAUGUGUGUGGGCACAUAUAUGUAUGUAUAUAUACGCAUAUAAAUAGAUAAAAACUUUUCCGGGACGAUGUUACGUCAUAACCUAAUUUUAAACACUGCCAUUAGCGGUAUCCCUGAUGUUCCGAAAUACAUUGGCAACAAGUCAAUAGUCCUAAAAUUAGUUCCAAAUGUCAUUCUCAUUUACGCAGCCGCCACAUUUAGCCAUCGGUAAAUAUAGUUCAAUUCUGACACCGUGCUUGACUCUUUCUAAAUAUACAGUUAAUUGAUCCGAGCUCAUUUAAUCAUUUGCACAUGUAUUCGAACCCGGAAUAGUAGAGUCCAUACCUUGGGUGUUACCAACAACUUUGCAGCACUGAAGCUGCAAAAUUUUCUUCCCUCAACAUCAACAAUUAUUAUAAAGUAUCUUUGAAUGAUGAAUAAAGAAAUGGGGAUUUAUUGGAGAGUUCCUGUACCGAAAAGGAUAGGGUAUUCUUUGUCAAACAUGGGAUUAUCACCCGAGGUUUCUUGUACAACUGAAUGAGCAGUGAUGAUGGUAACAAGAACUCUCUUUAUUUGCCAGUACAACACUGGCCUAGAUUCUGGACACCCUCAAAUCAUUGUUAUAUGAUCAGGGGGAUGUUGCUCUCACUGCAGCAUCCCAAGAUAAACAAUCUCUGUUUUCGCAAGUAAAAGAAUUCGAGAAAGGUCAGAACCCCAGAGGUGAAAACUGACGCAACUGGAUUGUAAAGCAGUGGAGUUGGCAGGAGAGGUUCAUACAGCCAGCCCUGCUCGGUCCUCUGCAGCUUUGUGAUCAACCGAUGAGGUCUGGGGACCACUGGCAAGCUUUUGCUCGCGGUAGUGUCCAUCGUCCAUUCCUACAUCAGUCCUUUAACUUACUUCCGGCUUUGGCAACCUGUCGAUCUCCGUCCCACUGUGGGUCCGACGCUACCCAGCUCAGCUUCUAAGUUUGUCACUGGUGUCGCAUGUAUAUGUACCUAGAAGGGUACAGGCGGGCUGCCUAUCAUGGCUUGGCUACUCCAAGCAUUUGAGAUUAAUUCUAAAUUCUGCAAACAAUCGAUCGCAAUAUAGUCUCACUAGAUUUGGGUAGGAUGGUUGAGUGUACCUUCAUCUUUCUACCUCAUCAUCGCACUGUAGUAGUGAGCGAUCGGGACAUGCAGCGAUCGUCGAGGCCACUGCUGCUCUGGCAUGUAUAGGUUGGAUGUCGCGUUCGCGGUUAGUUUACAGGCGGAGAUCUCUGACUCCAAGGCCCUGAGAGAGCCUCCUCAGUUACACGGUGGUUGUAUCUGCACGGAGUGGUUCCGGUGCUUUGCAUAAUUUCUCCUCAAGUCUGUUUCCUGUAGGUUUCUAAGAGACUUCUUUGAGACCACAUUCUCUCGCAUUCCUUGUGCCAGCGUCGCUUGGUAAUGAAGCACUUACUUGUUGCAUCUCGUCUUGUUAAGCUUGAACUUGUCUCUGUUUUCGAGCGCUGCACUUAUGACUUGCAGGGUCAACACGAGAUGUUCGAUCUAUUAGACAUUCUCAGGUGAACGAGUCAGGAGACUAGUGCCGGAUUCGUGUUAAAGUGUAACUUUUGCAGUUUUUCAUCAGUCAGCUUCUGUUUGCUGCACGCAAGUUAGUGUUCACCAGUCCUUAGACUUACGUCUGUUGGAUUUCAAAUGGUCCCAGUUGUAAUCCUGUGACAAGUGUAGACAUAGUCUCUAAGAAGCAAGCUACUCUCUGCUUGCGUUUCAGUUGCUUUGUAGCUGAUCAUUUCCCUCCGGAGUCUCCAACAGGAGAAAAAGGAAUUUGAAGUUUGGUUGUGCACAUGUCUGGGUAUGUGAAAAUCUUCAUUUGGGAAGCUCGCGACUUUGCCAUUUAACAAAAGACACUUGACACCUUUUUCAAUUUCCGAAAAAAUGACUGCCACUCACGUUGCAAGUAACAAGAGAUCAUCCACCUCAUUCCCCGAGUUCGUCACAGCCCCUUGUAAGCGAUGGAAAUCCGAAGCGGCCUGGCAUCACGUGGAAGAAAUAGUGCCAGAGCCACCGCCUGCACAGGAUUUUGAUCUCAAGGUAAAAACCUGCUAUUCAAAUAUGGUGCACCCAGAGCCCACGUCGGUGUUGGAUUUGCAAACCAGUCCAGGACGGUCUUGCUCGUCGACGAGCCUGAGCUCGGGGACGGACUCCCCUCACUCCGUCUCCACAGACUCUUCCAAUUUCUCCACCACUCUGCAACAAGUUGAGCAAGAUGACAUCGCUAACUGGGUGGACUGCAUGGGUUUGCCCGAAUUUGAAGAAUGUGGGCGUCCUUUGGAGGAGGUUCUAAAGUCCGACAUCGACUUCAAUACCACUGACAUCGACUUCGGCUUCGAGAUGACAAGUUUGGAACAUUGCAGUGCCGUUGCGGAGCAUGAUUUCUCCGUGAGCCUUUUGUCUGACUUCCUCGGGGAGCCCGAUGAGAAUCUCCUUCUCCCGGAGAGCUUCCACUAUGCAAAGAGGUUGCAGGAAUUAGACGAUUCACUAUCGUCAAUGUUGAAUGAGGUACGAUCGAGCGGCUCAGACUCGGAGAGCAGCAUCCCGACGACAGCCGAGCUCGUUAGACUUGUUGAAGCGCAGUCUUGCGAGGACUUAGGAAGACAAAGAGCUUGUGGCGCCAGAAACCACCACCACAGCCGCGCCGGGAGCUUGGGCUCGACGAGCGAACCGCAGACCUUGCAGCAGCCUGAAAACAGCGGACUGCAGCUGGUGCAUCUACUGUUGGCGUGCGCUGAAGCGAUUGACAAAUCCCACUUUCACAAAGCAAAUCCUAUUUUGGACCAAUUGGGCAGAUUCUCCAACGCUUACGGUGGCCCCAUGCAACGAAUCGCUCUCUACUUCGGAAACGCCCUCAGCAAUCAUCUCGCCGGGGUUGUCAGCCCCACUGAUCCCCACUCGCCCUCAGAUUCCAAGUUCGCGUACCAAGCCUUCUACAAAAUUCUUCCGUUCGCUAAAUUUUCACAUGUCACGGCGAAUCAGACCAUAUAUGAGGCAGUUCUGAGGAGCCAGAACGUUCAUGUGGUUGAUUUGGACAUUCAACAGGGACUGCAGUGGCCAUGCUUCAUACAGUCCCUGGCCAUGCGCCCUGGGGGUGCUCCUCACCUCAGGAUCUCGGCGGUCGGGAUGAAUAUGGAGAGUUUGCAGACAACCAAGCGGUGGUUAACAGAAUUUGCUGAAGACCUCAAGGUGCCAUUCGAGUUUACCCCAGUUCUCUCGACUUUGGAGAAUCUCACCCCAGCGAUGUUGAAUAUUCGGGCUGAUGAAGAUUUGGCCAUCAACUGCUCCCAAGUGUUGCACACACUCUCCGGAGACGAGGCCGUUUUAGAAAAGUUGCUGUGCAUGUUUCGUAACCUAAGACCGAAUGUGGUGACACUGCUGGAGGCCGAAGCUAACUAUAAUGCGGCCUCGUUCAUUACGAGAUUUAUCGAGGCACUGCACUAUUACUGUGCGCUGUUCGAUUCUUUGGAAGGAGCGUUAGGUCGCGACAGCGCAGACAGAUUCCAUAUUGAGAGCACGGCAUUUGCUGCCGAGAUUAAUGAUAUCCUCGCAAGUAAGGACAGUAGUCGGCGUGUGCGACAUGUGAGGUCAGAGACAUGGCGAGCCUUGUUUAAGAAAGCUGGAUUUCGAUCUAUGGCUUUCAGUUCGUAUACUGUACGGCAAGCUCAGAUGCUGCUGGAGAUCUUGACCUCGAAGCACUUGAUGCAAGCUAACUCUCCCAUACCGUAUAAACUUUCAGAGGAAUCAACAUCUCUGAUUUUAGGGUGGCAAGAAACUCCUGUGAUUGGUGUGUCUGCUUGGAGUUGUUGACACCCUCGAAUGGGAGCCCUAAACAAUUAGAUUGAAAAACUGUGCAUAAUUGUACCAGUACUUGUCAGUUAGGCGGCUGUCGUAGGUUUAGGCGGUGAUGAAUGAAGCUUGCGGUGGAAGCUCUGAGGUGGUGAGAUCAUACCGCCAGUGACGAGAUGAGCCUGCACCAUGCGCAAUCUUCGCUCGAGUAGUUGUUCUAGUAAAGUAUCAGUGUAUAUAAGUUCAUAUAAUCGUGUCAGACUGGUGGGAUCACGGUGCCAACUUUGUUCCAUCGCAGAUUUCUCUUCGCCCAUAGUGAUUUACAUGUUACAAUGCAUUAAGCAGUCUACGAAAAAAUUAAACUCAGUAAUGUUCCGUCAGGCUUUCAGCAUCAUUUCUUGUACACAAGCACUGAGCAAUUAUUAAUUGAACAAGCAUCCAAGAAUCAGUUCAAUCCACAUAAGCACAGGAAUCUAAAUAAGAUAAGUGGACCCUUGGCUACUUCAGAGUUGCUCUGAAAAUGUUCCUUGACCUGCCGUAAACAUUGCCUCCUCAACUUCUAAAACAUCAUCACUUGCCACUGACUCUGCAGAGAAUUCAUUACCAGCACUCAGAAUGUUAACACCAAGAAGAACAAAACACCGUCAAGACCCUGUUCAGAGUUGAAGCAGUACUAACAGAGAAACCUCACUUGCCUCCAAAGACUGUUCCUGUCUCAAUGCCCCCGCAACCACCUGAAAAAUUAAUCCUUAACUACAAUGCAGCUGAAGUCUCAGGCCUGCAAUCAGUGACUUCCACCUCUACAGCUGAAGCAUUAGUUUGCUGACCACUAAGUGUACUGCAUGUCAGGGUUCAUUAGCACGAAAUGAAACAAAGAAUGCAGUUGGAAACAUUUGAGGCAAACCGCAUCUGUACAGAAAAGUAGCUACAGUUAAUAACAUCAAACUCUUGAGGCAAACCCUGCAACGUUCAAUCACAAAAAUUCUGCCAUAAAAAGGGUUUAGUUCAAAGGGUUCAUCAUUCACAAGUAGGGUUUCAGCGCUUGGCACUGUUCCUCCUCGGCACCUGACUAUUACUGGGCAGUGUACCAUCCGCGAAGGGGUUUGGGGAGGAGGCCACACUGGGAGGUUUCCGUGACGGUGGGGAAUUGGGGCUGAGAGAUUUCUGGGAAAGGGGGAGACUGCCUCGCUUUGUAGAAAGGGAGUUGCUGCCUGAGGAAGGCACAUUGGUUGUUGGUGCUGAACCUGAUGAAGCAGGGGGUGUAAACCCACUAGUACCUAAUUGUGACUUGGUCCUGCUUAGAGUUGCCGACCUGGAGCUCUUCCCCGAAUCAGUGCCCUGCCGCGGAGCGUUUGUUUUACUAGUGGAUCCCUUUUUGGAAGCAUUGGAGGAGCUUGAAUCAGAUGCAGAUGUUGUCGAACCACUUCGACCUGUAGCGUCUGCACUCGACUUUCGCAGACUCUCAAUCUUGGCCCGUUGUAAGUUGUCAUCCAUCUUACGCUUUUCCUCCUGCCAGAGGAUAGUCCAACCGAAGGCCUCUGUUUAAUUUUUUAAAAUAAAAAGAAUGGACGAAGACAGGACAUCAUAAUCCUUUAGUAUUACAUGCGUGGAAACGGCAACAUUGUGCAUCGAAGGCGCCUUAAACUACAUAUCUGCAUGAUACAUGCAAAAGUUGUGAAGUCCCUUCCAGAUACUGUACCUGCUCUUCUUUGCUAAGCAUGUUCCAUUCCUCGUCCUCACGAAGUUUGUCCAUUUUCUCAUAUUCAUCCUGCAGAAGUUGGCACCCAAGUUUAAGUCCUCUAAAAUUAAUCAAUCUAUCUUAGGAAGUCAACCUUACUGGAGGCCCACUCUAAAACACAACGUACAGAGCUGCUAAUUAUGUUACCUGAGCAGAGGGGUGAUCAUGUGAUGGAUCCCUGUCGAGGACGAAAACUCGUUUCUGACUAUCAGAAGCAAUGCGUGCAGCCUCUACUACUUCACGAUCAGUGUCGUUCAACCUCUGGGUAGCCAGGUGGUUGAUUCUCUCAAGUAGAGCCACAUCAUCAGGGAGUCUUAUUACUGUCCUAAGAGGGUUGAUUAUCUGACAGGCUCUCAUUCGAAUGCUCGGCACUGGAUCCUGGAAUCCUCGCAUGAUCCACAACAGAGACGAAACAUGUCAACCUAGGGGGUAUUUGGGAUGCUAUCAUGUGGACUAUUUCCAUGAGAAACCACAAGGGAUACUAUGGUGUUGACAGACAAACCUGGAGGGCAUUGAUGGCCAACUCCAGGAAGCUCUCUUUGAACAUACGAGAACUCGCAACUCUGCAGCUCUACAAUAAAAAACUAAGUUAGCAUGUGAAUUAUUUGAUUUGAAAAAUACAGAAUCAAAUAAGCUAACAGUCUGAGCAUGGCGGUUUCAAUUUUAUGCAAGAUAGCUGCGGAGGAAUCUCCAACGUUAUUGAAUAAUGCGUAGAAAAGUUUCUGCUAUAGAAAUUCAUUUUCACUGAGGGGUUGGUUUACCUGAGAAAACUCUCGCAGAAGUCGAUGUAAAGCAAACGCGACCAAUAGCUUUGCCCUUGCCCAUACUCUUUCACCACUUUCUGUGCAAGUUCAUAACGCUGCUGAAUCUUGCAGUUAUUCCUGAAGAUUUGAUAGAAUAUUCAAUUAAUAACUCAGCUGAGCAAUACCUCUUCGCAUAACAUUCUAGGCUUAUAAUCGAAAGUUCCUCAACAGCAGUGAAAAGAGCCACGCAACAAAAAUAUGAAACGAAUCUCCAACCAAUCAUCUGAGAGAAGAAAACGAUAUUGUACCGGAGAAACACAGCAAGCGCUAAAGCCGCUGAAAUCUUGACCGGUGGUACACCAUCCGCCAUAUAACGGAAACAAAUAGGCACAAAAUUCUCGUAAAUCUGGUCACUGGUCAAGUACUCCUGCAGACAUCAACACGGGAUAAGAAAUCAUCAUUGGGCCCCAAACCUCGAGUUCUCUGAACACCAUAAAAGGAGAGUACAUGUACGUGUUCAAGAUGUUUUCGAGCAUAGAAGAGUAGAGAGAAGCUUUACUGCUAGUAGUGGAAAAGCUUGGAGGAGAGAGCGCUGCAUCCGCCAUUGAUUGGUGCCACUAACGCUCUUCUCAGCUUGCAGCAAUGAAGGAAUCAUGUUUGCGUAGGUUGUGGCUUUUGACUGUGUAUUCGACACACUGAAGUGCCCUGGUGGAAUCCAGCCCACCAAAUUCUAAUCUCUGAGUCAAAGUUGCGUUCACACGAAUUCAAUACGUAAGCCAAUGCGUGCCUGGCGAGCUUUAAGCCUAAAAAUUUCAUCGCCCCCUCGAUAAAGGGAGUUAUCAAACCUAAGACAACGUGAAGGAUGCCGAACAGCUUGGACUGCACAAGCAGAGCCGGGUCCUUCAAUAGACUGUAGAAGCUUUCUCUCAAGUAAGAAGCUGUACGCUCUUUACCAAGGAUCUUUGCCACCUGCAAAUUGAACAAUCGCAUAGAAUUGGUGUGCUAGAGAAAGGACAUCCACGGGUACAGAAGUGAAUGAGACCUCUCAACACGUCAAGACUACCAACAGACAUAAAGAGCCGAGUCCUUUAAUGAGUAAGAAACCGAUUUCACAGACAUGAUUGUGAUAAAAUGAAAUACAAACCUCAUGUAAGCAGGCAGCUGCGGUGCAGCGAACAAUUGGAGAUGUAUCUUGUAUAUAUUGGAGAUAGGUGGCAUGUAACAUAGUUGAGUAUUUGCGUGCACCAAUUGUCUUCAGAAUGGCAGGAAAGUUGUAAGCACAAAGCUGCAAUACAACACGAAUCCCUCAAAAAUUAGCGUGAUCAACCUAGCAGUGUGCAUGUCUUGAUUUAAAAACCACCACCGGCAACUUCAAGCGACAAUCACUUCAUUAAAAUCUUACGAAAAUAAACCAAACUCAAAUAUUGAUUGUUUCACAAGGAGAGUCUUCUAACAGAAGUAAAUCAGUGCACGCAAGUUUCCUCUGACUGUACCUGACGCACGUCCUCAUUGGCUUGCUGAGACAAUAUUUUAUACGCGUCCAGCAAGAGCGUCGCUUCAUCUUCUAAUAAAUCUGGCACCAUCUGCAAGCAUGUAACAACUAAGCUUCUCAAACAUUAAGCAGCAGAUGGGGUCUUAAAUGAGUACUGUCUUGGAAGCAAAAGUGUUUGCAAACCAAGAUACAACACAAAAGAAGACAAGCUGAAGCAAGAGCUUGCAAGGUUCAGAGUCCAAAAUGGCUUUUGUUUACUAUCAAAAAGUUGGAACGUGGUAGAGGGAAGAGAGUGCAUGAGAAUGGGCUUCUAUAAAAUGACAUAACUGUCUUGCUUGUGCCGGUCUGUUCUCAAAAUCAACCAGAGCAUUUAAACAUAUUCCGAAACGUGCAAACCUAAUCACAAGUUUUGUGUGGCUGACCUUUAUGAUAAUGUCUCCAAGUAAUCUGGCAAGGCAGACAUGCAUAGCAGCAUUCCCCUCAUCACAUAAUCUGCAGUAGGUAGAAAUCACAAGAAAGUAAAUAAAUAAACAAAGAACAAAAUAAAAACAAAACAAAAGGACAAAAAGACACAGUUCUUGAACAUUAUACUGAUUAAUCUAGCGAUAAUACAGUAACCUGACAUUGGUUUGGCCCACAAUAGUUCACGCGCAAGGACAGUUAUGACUUUGAUAGUACAAUGCAGAGGGUAGAAAUCGUUCACUUUCGCAACUUGUUAUGUGUGGUCCAAUACUCUGGAAGAGACCAGAUCUCUUAGACUUGUAUUGUAUGUGUAUUCAAGUGACGACAACCAAUAGGUGGGUUCAUUUUAUGUGAUUUCACAAGGGCGUUGUAACCAUUGCUAUCAGAUGUUAGUGUCGAAACCGUUGCCACUAAAAUCAACAAGGUGGCACAGGAUUUUGAAUUAAUUCGCAGGGGGUAUUGACGAGUCUGACCAGCUUGAGGGAGGCAAUAUACUGAGCAAGAGGAGUUGAGGGGCGCACGAACGGAGGAACGGCAACACUUGAAUCUGACGAAUGUCAGGGGGUAAGAACCCCAGCAACUGCACCAGACUUUCCACCGCUGCGGACUGUACCACCAAUUCUUCGUCUCUCAGCAAUUCAUUGAGCUCCGGAAAUACAAAUAUCUGCACGUAGAACAACAAAUUGUCGAAUCAUUCUGUAGAAGUUGAGUUUGUUCCAUUAAUAGAUGUCCUGAAAAAGAUUGUCUGAUGCGAGGAAAGAGACAUAUCAUCGUCACACAAGCACGAGGCUCCUACGAAUAUUAUGGUGCUACUCCAAUGAUAUAACUGAAGUUACUGGAUUGUGGUGUUACCAUGAAGGUGUUCAAACCAACAGAUCGAGAAAUGUUGUUAAGCUGCUCGCACAUGCACGUCCGCACUUCAGAAUCUGUGUCCUGUGACCAAGUCUCGUAUGAGUUUCGCAAUAAGGCUUGUUGAAAAUGGUGAAGAAUAAUGAUAUACAAAUACAGACGCAGAAGACAACUGGAAAAGUCAGCAUCAACCUGACAAAGGCCCAUAGCUUUGUGCAAAUACGUUUGCAAGAUAAGCUUCCCAUCAAGGAAGGGUGCAAUGGCUCCGAAUAUGCUGCUUGCAACAACAUGAGCCUGCUUACUCUCUUCUCCCUGCGCUCUCGCAAGCGCCAGUUGUAACAGGUCCUCGGUGAGCAUCUAUUACGCUCAAAAACAGAAACUACGAGUGUAAAUGCACGUUGGUUUUGAAGACUAGGGGAAACCAUAUAUUAAUUUAUUCGUAUUCCGUAAUUAAUAAACUAGAGUCUAAAUUAUAUAUAGGUGUCCGUGAGGGAUUACCUGUUGGGGUACCACCGGCACUAGAGCCCGCAUCGUCCCCAGCCAGGAUUUCAUGACUUCAGGGGUGCGAACACCAUUUAUCAUACGAAAAGCUAUGGGAAAAAACCAAUCUGGCGCCUAUGCUUCCAAUUCCACCAUGCACCUCUCCCACCAAGUCAGAUUUGUUUCUAUCGAUCGAUUCAAUUCCUCUCCAAACACUUCCAUUGUCACUCACCACAGUUUAUGAAUCAACAUGAAAUUUUUAACAGAAUUACUUGAUACAGAUAUUGGUGAUUACCUCUUUCGACAAGGAUGCAUCUAGCAGUAUUGUAGUAAGAGCCUCAGCUGCCUGAAUCUGCAGCAUUUGCAGAAUUGAAGAUCACGUUUCAGAACCACUUCGAAAUCUGUUGCUUCGAACCAAACCCCAAUCUCUGAGUAAAGGUGAAGAAUUGGCUUAAAUACAAACCUGGCAAUGUUCACUGUAUUCAUCAAGGCUUGCAGUGAGAGUAGGAAAUAUGGCUUCAUGCGCCUUUGUUCCAUACUCAUUGAAAAGGGAAGGUAGCUUCCCAAUUGCGCAGCUAUGCUGUAGCUGCGGAAAACCAACCAAACCAGAAUGUUAAGCUACUUGUUGUUAAGAUGAGCAUGUUUUUGUGUUAAAAAUAACCAAAUUCAAGAGCAUUUUUAUAAGUCGGGACUGUUGAAGGAUGUCAUAUCUGCAUUCUCACACCACAGAGAAUAUCCUUUCAAGCAUUGCAGCUUGGAAGUAUCCCUUAAAUGAUUUCUGAUCUUUCAACUUACCGGAUGCGCGUUUGAAGCCAGGAAUAGGCAGGCUCUUUCAAUGUCACCGAGAUUCUCAUCCACAGUGAGUCUCUCGAUCUCCUCCCCACUUCUCUCAGCAUCUCUUCGAUGCUGCAAGAUGAGAUGUGCAGAACCCAUUAAUUGCCAAACAUUGGAAGUAUGUGAAAAUCUCAAAAAAUAUGCGUCAAAUUUAUCUAGACUUCAUGAUGGAGAAAAGACAUGGUGUAUGGUACCUCUUUAGUGGCAUCUUCAAACGAAACAUCGACCGCCUCAUUCACCUCGUGCCACAUCACGACAUGUGAAAGCCCCUGGUUACUUUUCUGCCACGCCGGCUUACAUCUCCCCACCAUAGUGCAAUGUGUAUUAACUCACAGGCUGCGUCAAAGGCCAUGGCGUCCAUCCCGUCACUCUCACCCUGGUCCUCUCUGAUCGUAAUGCAGGCAUAUCUUGAACCACCACAUCUUCGCUUAUACAGCAAUUAGGGUACGAACUGGGUGCACUAACACAUCAAUAAUCACACAAUCUGCUUACCCUAAAAACAAUAAAUUCCAAAGAGGACGCGAGAUGCUACGGGGACCCUAAAAAUAGAGUGACGAAGUCGAAAUUUUCACAACGACUGCAAAAUCCCCUUCAUCCUACGAUAGCUCAAUGAUCAGAAUUGAAUUAAGAUGACCCCCCUCUCGUAAUCGCAAACGUUCUACGCGAAGGGUUAUGCUGAUACGAUCCACAGUCACGCUAGCAGAUGUUGUACGUUACAUUUUGGAUUCAUGGGUUGCUACACAUGACGUCUGGAAUGUUUAUGAGACAACAUCAACGGUGAGCCAAGGGGUGACAUAAUGCUGGGACUAUGGGCACAGAUCCUGGAACUAUACGUUAACAGGAGUUAUCAGACCAGAAACGAAAGCGAGCUUCAUUUGGCCCAUGUGCCUGCUUAGAGGAGCCCCAACCAAUGGCGGCGAGACUAAUUUCAUUGAAGGGCAUUAGGGCACACUCCUCACGAUCCAGUUUCCAUUCUUUUCACACCUCCCACACGCGGAAUCAUUUCCGCUCAGGGUGCAUCUCGCUCAACAUCGGUUAUUGAAACAACACAACCACUUACGUACGUCCCGUUUCAUACACCAACUGUCUACAUGGCAGUCCUACGAGUACCUUAGUUUUUUUCUAAGUGGAGGGACUAUUGAUCGUCGCUUCUCAGAACAUUGAAUCAGACUGUGAGCAAGAUUGAAACCUGAUCUUUCAAACCUUCGAAGCCAUUUGAGUUUUCUUUUCUAUUCUCUUACAUUUCAGUGCACAACAAAUUACGUAUCAGUUUCGAGAAAGUGGAAACCAAGGUGUAUAAAAACCACUUUCGUCUUCCAAGAAUUUACGUUGCCUUCGACCUUCCAAAGUUGACAACAAUGAUGGAGUGAGAUAGUAGGCCAGAAUGACCAGUUGCAUCGUCCUGGAAAUAGGGUCUAGCCAUGAAAGUUCUGAAACGAAUCGUCAUUUGAACAGAAUGCGGUCACUGACUCCUCCACCCUACUUUCAUCCUGAACUCAAACACAGGCACUUCAUACCCCAACCCACUCCACCGCAGUACACGAGACAAUGGUGCCUCCCUCCUCGCAGCCCCUCUUCGUUAUUGGACAACGGUUAAGCGUGUGCCGUGUAUCUGGCCAUAGGCACCAUUGACCUCCAUGUCCGCGCCUGACGGGACCAAACAUAGACCCGCAUUAACUCCAGUUCACCACUCCGGGCUUCGAAGCAUCGAUAUCCCUCCGACGGAUUGAUGGGUUUCAACGCGGUCGGAUGGACCAGGUCCAGCUGAGUCGCACUUCAAUGCGCACAGCUCAGAGGACGGCUUCGCGGCGUCCACCGAAGUAGUGGCGAUGGAGGGACGUAGCACUGUUGCCAUCGCAGAGGUCCCAAGGUCAGCUCUUUGAUUGACAGCUUAUACAAUUUUUUCCACCUCCAGUUCGGACUUUCGCUUUCUGCCAACCACUGUAGUUGCAACCGAUAAGCACCUUCGUACUCGGGGAAAAGCGUCUUCAGUCGUGCAGGCGAUCAGCGCGAAUCCCGAUAAGUACACGUGAAGGCAGCAGAAACACGGCGCGAGAGGUACUGCGCUGCACGAUGCAGCUUCUGUGGGCUCUCAUUUCGGCACUUCGAGACGGCUCAUCUCAGAGUCUUGGAGCUGAUCUCGUUUCUUGAGCUUUCACAACGAUGCCGUCUGGCAUGCCUUGCUGCAUGUUAUGUUUCGAAAAACACACACACACACACACACUAAUACAUGUAUGUAUGUAUGUAUUUAACAAAGAGAGAGAAGUUAGUACUGUACAAUGUGUAUUUAGUUCCAGUACAAUAUCUUUGUUUCUGUCAAGUUAUCUAGAAGAGCAUUUUACGUUUGAUCAUUCUAUCUUUGAGACAUUCAGAAGCUUUCCACGAGCAUUUGUGCACAUUUCGAUGAAUUCACAUUUCCGAAACAAAAUAUCUUUUCAUGUAUUGAAUGUGUGUUCACCUUCAUUUGCUUUAAAAUGACAAUAUUGAACGAUUUUAUCGUUACAACAAGCUAUUGUAAAGAUUGGUUGGGAUAAGAGAAGAAAACACAUGCACCUCCCAAACAUACACAAACAUGCUAUACUUGAAUAAUCACUUUAGACAACUUUGGCACCACAUUUUUGAGUUAGAUUCAAGAUUGUUGAAUGUUAUACAUGGGAUUCAAACUGCCUAUGCCCCACUUCUAUUGUGGGAUGUAAGAUAUUCGUAAUCCUAUCUAACACAAAAACAAAUGUAAAAGUAUGAUUGAUUAGGAACUGCGCUAUUUUUAAGCCAUAACAAACUGUAACUUCAAUGCUCUUCAAUGCAGCGUAAGAGGGAUAGAAAUCUAGAUACAGAAGGUGCAUUGAUUGUAGGAUUUCGUUGAUGCGGUUAAUUGAUUCAAUCAAUACCACUGGAAACAAAAGCGAAAGGCAUAUUCUUCAAUAGAAAACUCUGAACCAACUAUGAACUCUGAUCAACAGGAUUUAUAACCGAGGUUGUGUCAAGCCGCAAAUCUACGCACUGCCCCAGAGAUAAGCAUCUCGACAGUUUCGGGACAGCGAAGGCGUCGAUCGGAACUCGCAAUACGCGCAGUUGCAGCAAUAUACACUGUACAGAUCAAGCGCAGGAGUUCGUGUCUGGAGUCCCUCGUGGGUUGUGUAACGCAUAACGACAAGAACGUGCUUGUCAUAACCCAACACUCAAGGCAAAUGGAUCGGGAGAGCUAGGGAAGUUUAGACCCGCGAGUACUUGGCAAUCUGGAAAGUACAUCUGUUGAUUUUAUGUACACUGAACGCGGCGGUCGAUCUCGGCUUGGACAGUCACGCCCGCCAUGCACUGACACCCACAAGCGGCGUGUUGUCCCAACCGAGGACAAGAAUGCCAUUUUCAGUUCGUAGGUUGUAACCGCUCAGAGAGAAGUAAAUUUCGAGCAGAGCCCGCGCUUGGCUGAUGGCCCGGGUACUGAGAGGCAUUGGCCGAAACCCUGCCAGUUCCAUCCGUCGCGACCAGUUCUUCAUCGGCUCGUGCCGAGUUAUCCGAUCCUCGCCUUCGCACGCCACGAUGUUGCGGAUCUUCUGCCCCGUGAAGAGAUGCUCCACUUGUUGGAGAGCUGGGGAGCCAGAGGGCAGCGCAGCGUCAAGAGCAUCAUAGACCGCGGAGUAGUAGCGCAGGCACUCGAAGAAGCGGUUGAGGAAUUUCGGGCUGUUGUGAUCCGCAUCGUUUUCGGAGAAUGCCACUACGCGAGGGUUCAGCGACCGGAGAUCGCACAAGAAUCUGUGAAACCGCUCGUCACCCCAUGUAAGCAGCUGGUGGAACUGGUUGGCGCUGUUGAUGCAGAGCACUUCCCAAUCUCGCAAGUCCAGCAACCGCACGUCGAAGGACUUCAUGUCGACAACCAGAGGGCAGAAUUCGAAGGGAACUUGCAAAUUGCGAGCGAAAUCUUGUAACUUCUCCCUAGAUUGCUCAAGAUCAUCAAGUUUCCCGAUAGAAGUGAUCCUUAGGUGGGGUGGUCCCCCAGGCCGCAAGGCGAGAGAUUGGAUGACAGCCGGCCACUGCAUUCCCCGCCACCCGGUGUUCAAAUCGAUCACGUGAACAUGUUGCGCGCCUUCAACUGCGUCGAGUAUAAUCUGAUUCAGAGUCAGAUUGGGGAAUUUGAUGAAUGGAGUGUAGUCAUAAAUCACACUGAAAGAAUGCAGCAUGUCCAGAAUUGCAACAUCACCGUCCUUCUCCAGCCCCUUGUAACGCCCACUGUCAAUAGAAUUUGUUAUCCGUGCGUAUAGCGCAUCCACAAGCACAGUACCAAGGCGCUGCAUUGUGGUGGUACAAUGACCAAGCAUCCCAUUGAGCCGCCUCAGAAACACAUACGCCACGUCUAUCUGCUGGUUGGAAAUGGCUUCCGCGCAUGACAGAAGGAGUUGUACGAUCUGCAAUCCAGUGGCGGAUGUUGGCUGACUCUGUCUAUUAGACGCAGUGUCCAAAACUUUGAUUAUUCCUCCGUCGCCAAGGAAAUUCUGCUGUAAAAUUGGCAUGCUCUCAGCUCCAGAUGACAAAGAGUUACUCUGCACCUCCAUGCACCGACCUUCGUUGUAGACUUGGCCACACAGUAGCAACCCCCCCGUGUAAAGAUCUGCAACAUACUCCGGCCCCGACCUCAAUUCCCCCAGAGUGUCAGUCUGCAACUCCGUGGCGCGCUCGUCCACCUUGUAGAGAGUUGUGAUCGACGGCCACGUCGAGAGCUGUGGAUGUUCAAUAUUCUUACCACUUUCGACAAAUAAAGCCUGAUGCUGCUGGUCCGCACCGGCGAGUGUAUCCCGUCCGACUGGGGAGAUCCUUGAGAUAACCUCGGUGAAAGCAUUGCUCCCCGCAGCAAUUGUGGGCUGACUUCCUUGCAAGUGGAAAUCCGACCCUUGGUAGUCCCCUUUCGUGCCGACGAGCGCCUGUGGCAGAGAGUAUUGCACUAUUUGGGGAGAUACUGCAGGAAAAUUGAGGUGGUUCUGCGAAGGAAGAGCAGAGGGGCGAAGAGACGAGAACCCGGGGUUGUACGAUCCCACCUUAGCCUGCAACAUUCUGUUGCUCAAAUUCGAGUUCUGUUCCUGGAUGUCACACGGCGACUGCGGCGGCUGACAACUGGAAUAAUCCCGGCGCGCAUUAUCCAAGUCCUGCAACAACUGCGGAAACUGCCGGUAGUGCAGAAGCUGCUGUUGCGGAACCGCGACACCCCAGGGAUCCGAAAUUGGUUGAGUACGCUGGCUAAAGAUCGAGGUUAAGUCCCCAUCUGCCAUGUUCUCGUAAGAUUAGUGUGCACACUCAGAUUGUACGUCAGCCUAGUAUCCUGAGUUGGUGUAAUCGAGUGGGGUCUACUGUCAUAACAAUAUCCCCCGAAUUUCUACGAAGGAUUCAGACAAGUCGUUCAUUCCUUGGAACCUGUUAUUCUCGAGUCCGUGCCUGUGCCUGGUGCUGAGCAACCAGCCAGGGCACAUAGAACAAAUCUGGCCCAUUCCCAAGCCGCACGCAAUCAUCAUGCACUGAAUCAUUCACUAGAUUUGAAAGGUACAACCUUUUAAGGCCAAGCAGGACGUGGGAUUUCGAUGAUCUUUGCCCGAACUACUGCAAUCACACUAGCAAGAGUUAACAUCCAUUGAGGCCAACAACCACACCAGGUCACAAACGUUCAUGACAUAACCCUGUUAGACACAUUAUUCUAGAGAAAUUGGAUAGGAUUAGAAGAAUCGGGCAUACUUGCAUUGUGAAUACAGGAAAACUGCAAACACUCAUCUUGAAUCUAUCCAAAAUAUGCCCGAAGCAUUCGAAUAGAUUAAGAAGAUUGUCGACUGCAAAUCAUAGAACAGUGAGGCAAGAAUCACCAGAUGAAUAUACUUCUUUAAAAAAAAAAUCCUUUCGGCAGAAAAGUGUCCUCUACUGGUGUGUUAACUUGAAUGAGGAGACUGGAAAGAAGAAUCCCUUAAGAUUCCCCUGUCUUUAAGUUCAUCACCAUCAAUAGCAGCAUGCACACACCAAUGAGCAGGCCGUCGCACCGCCAAACCUUGACCCCCCCAUCAAUCUAACACUUCUGACAACGGCGAGGGAAUAUUUUCAAUUCAGUAAGCAGUGGAGUCAGACUCACACUGGAUGCCUAGAAUAUUUCCCAACCCUGUUGACCAUAACCUCCCCGACGUCAACUCUUCCAAACAAGAACCAGCGGAUCGAACUCACCCACACAUACCACACUCGACCCAACACACAGACUUCCAGGUACUGACUCCACCGUGCCAGAAUCAAGCCCGCGCCGAAGCCGAACCCCUCUGCGGCUUUCAUCUCGCAGUCGUCACCCAGACACAAAAACCCCGAGCAGAACCCCCUCUUUGUCGGUCCUGAACCCAAUCUCGUCUCAAAACCAGGCGACGUUACAAAAACUGACACUGAAAUUCGAACUGGAUCUCUAAGCUUCCCACAACAACCCUCCGAGAACAGAGCAAUGGAGCUCAGAACUCGGCACAAGCAUCUUCCGCUCGGGAAAUCUGUUGAAUGCUCGGCGCGAGGUCCGGCUGGUGGAGCGGGCAGUCCACAGUCAUUCCUCCCUCUCUGUGUCGUCUAUUUCUACCGCGAACGUACGACAGUUGUUUUAGAAAUCCAACGGAAUCGCAGCGACGGAACUUGGAACUAAACUAAACUGGGCUGGAUACAGUUACCGUGCACAGUGGCAUCUCCUGAUGUCGAACACUGUAUACUUGCUUGCACCGGAUCGUGCUGGACGCCGUCCGAUUGUUUUGGGGCUAUUUCUUCUUCUGCUUCGUCUGCCUCUCCUUCUUCGUCCUCGUCGUCAUCUUCGUCGUUUAAUUUGCCCAAGAUUCUAUUUUGUCCCUGCCAGUCGUGCAGUGUCCAAGACUCUGAGGAUGGAGAGCAGGAUCCGGCAAGAUUGUCCGAUUGUGGAUGUUGGGAAUUUUGCCACAUGUGCGAGGAAUGAUACCGGAUUUUUUACAGCAGGGCACCGUUUUCAUCUGCUCAUGGGGCGUAUCUACUAGGUUCUGAUUCCUGGUCCCGAUUUGGAUCAAAGGCUAUUCGACAUCCGGUGCAGGACAAUUUUCCCGCUGUGGAUGCUCUUCAUUUGAUUUUAUGCAACACCAAAUACUAAAGCAGCCUUUUUUUCUAUCUCUGUCAGGGUACUUCACAAUGGAAAAAUUAGAGAUUAAGAUGAAUAGUGUGAACUAGGGUACACAAAUAUAAAAAAAUCUCAUUUAUUUAGAAUAUACAAAGUAUUAAUAUACAAAGGUUUACGAUUUGCUGGUUAUUUCCUGAAACAAAUAUGAAUUCAAAAAGAAAAAUUGGUUGUUUAUAUAUAUAGAAGUGUGUACUUGACUUUUCUGGACAUGUGCAAGCAUUAGAGUAGGUGGUUUUGAUAAUGAAUGCAUGCGUGGAUGGAUGAAUGGAAGAACCGUACGUUUAGGCACCAAGAUUUUUUUUUCUUUGAAGUUUACAGUAUGCUAAAAAUACAAAGUUGCAUCCUUGUUCUUUUUAAAUGAAUCUGACUUACUGUCACGAUGUAUGGUUUAAAGAUGCUAUAUCAAAUGGUUUUUAAACUCGAUUCAUUGUAUGCAUGCCAUGUUAAUCACGUACCAUUGGUUUUUGCGGCAAAAAUAUAAGUAAUUUUAUCACUAUAAUUGGUUUCUAAUAACUUAUAAAAAUCGAAAUUCUUUUUUGUUAAAAAUUAUGUGUAAGAAUGAAUCUAUAUACAUAUGUAAGAGUUUUUUAUAUAUAUAAAAAAAAAAAAAAAAAAAAAAAUCAAUAUACAUACAUAUGAUUUAUUUUUUAAAAAAUGUUUGUUGAAACGUUCAAAAACCUCAUAAAGACAUAAUAAAGUGAAAUAAAAUAAUAGAAAAACAGCUUACAAUAUUUUUAUGUUAAAUUAUAAGUGGUUAUGAAGGAUAAAUGACUCGGAUCUCAAAUAAGUACAAAAUCUUAUCUAAAGCAUAUACACGCCGAACUCUAUAAAUAGACAAUGCAUACGAAGCAUCAAAAUCUGCCUGCCAAGGAAUACUUAAAAACAUGUCUAGGCAUGUCCUUCAAAACUACAAGAAUAAACAAACAAACGAAACCGAAGCACACCCCUAAGUAGGCCACAAGGCGCAGAAUAGAGAUCGGACACACCAUCGUGGAAUCAGGCUUUUCUCCCUUGCUUCAGCAUUCGGUAGAGACUCGGGCUUGAAAUGGAUCCCCGAAGCGAAGCCUACCCCCUGCACCACCGUCUUCUAAGUAGGAAAAUAAACCAGCUUUCUGGUGGACUUGGGGCACACAUCGGAGAUGCAAGAUGGGGAGUUCGUAGCCGGAAGGAUAGGUGAUGGUCGGAUGGUCCGAUGGUCCGAUGGUCUGAGGGGUCUGUCCCAGUUAACCGCAACGCAGGUCUCGUCGGACUGGCUGGCUGGCUGGGCUAGUGGCGAUGAUGCAAGCCAUACACGUCGCAGUGCCCACAUCGCCUUCCUGCCUGCCUGCCCAUCUACUUCCUCGUUUUUCUUUCUGUUUUGUGCUGUCUCGAGAACAUCGGCGGGUUUGUUUUGUCUGGUUCGGUUAACCGUUGGAGCCGCAUCUCCGCAGCUCCGCGGCUGGCUUCGGACAGUCCACUACUUGGGACUGUGCAACUGCUGCCAGCUGCGAUGUGCUGUGGGGUGCCCACUUAUCCUCGCCAUCGUCACUGUCGUUGAACUACUACGUCAGCAACGGCAAAAAGGGGACGGAACGGGACGGACAGAAAGGAAGGGAACGAACAUAAUGGAAGAGGACGGACGGAGCGGGAGGGAGGGAUCCGACGGAACGGGGGGGGGGACGAACGAAGCGAUGGAUGGCGGUGACGACGGAUGAGGAGGUUCCGUUUGCUGACUGGGAACGUACAUCCCACGAACACAGUUUCACGCAUUCGAGUAUUCAUAUAUAUAUAUAUAUAUAUAUUAAUAUCGUCAUUCAUUCAUUCUCUCAAGAUGUAUUAUGUCAGACGAGCGGAAGUCUAUUCUGCUGAACUGUUGUAUUCCUUAUUUGAUGUGUUGGUUUAUGUUUUUAUUUAUAUUAUAUUGUAAAGAUUUUUAUUCUUUUGUAUUUAGUGUGUUGACGUAUGGAUUUUGUUAGGAGAAUGAUUAUAAUUGGCAUGAUAAAUGUUUAUAUUACACUGCAUUUUUGUUUUUAUCAUUCGACCAUGCCUACCAAACAUGCAAGCUUUAAGGUACUGCAACCUAUUCUCAACAACCUCCUCCAUUUUGACCUAUAGGGUGGUGUAUUUUUUAUCAACUUGACAUGAUAAUAAUGACCAAUUUUGAUAUCUUAUGGUUUCACAUUACUUAAUUCACAUUUGACCUCAACUCUAUGGUUCCAUUGAAUAAGAAAUUAAGAAUUUCAUGCAAACUCAAAAAAAAUUGUCAGGAAACCAAGCAUUCUUGAUUUUAUAACCAAUCACUGGUUGGAAUUAGGUUGGUCUAUAUGUUGGAUUUGUGUCAAAUAUGAUCUUGAGCUAAAACAUUAAAAGUAAAUAUAUUUUUGAGCAGAAUAAUAUGAAAAUACCUAAAUCCCCCCGAUUUCUAUUUUCCUACACAAGAUUUUUUAGAAAACAAUUUCGUACACAUGCAACAAUUAUGCUAAAAUGCUUAAAUUAUUAGAAAUUGAUCAGUUGCCUUAAUCUUCUUGAAGUGUUGGUGAAAUUUAUUAGCAUUUAUAUUUUAUGCGGGCUACAAAAAUCAUUUGUCUAAAUAUUUCAUAGUUAACUUUAAUAUAUUACUAUCUUUAUUCUACAAAUCUAUACUAAGAUAAAAAUUAAAUAUUAAAUCCUUAGAUAGGGAAGAAAAACAAAAACAAAACAAAACAAAAUAUAGUUACGAUUUAGAAUUUGUAGAUUAAUAUAUAUAUAUAUAUAUAUAUAUAUAUAUAAAACAAGAAAACAAAAAAUAAUGAUAAUUAUUUUUAUAACUAAUUUUUUUUAUUUUUUUUGUAUAAUAGACACUUUUGCAAGAAAAAAAAUUACCACUCUAAAUUAGAUGAAAUAAAGCCAACACUUUUUUAAGAAUAAAUAAAAAAUAAAAAAUAUGUAAUCUUUAGUAAAUUUUAUAAAUAUUAUAACAACUAAGAGAUGAAAAUAAUAAGAUUAUAAUUCUACAAGACCAUGUUACAUAUACAAAUAAAUAAUAGUGAUAAUAAUAAUAAUUAGAAAUGAAUUAGAGCCAAAAUAAAAUGGAUUGCUAAAAGACAUUUAUGUUCCAAAGAGUUAAUUUAUAGAAUGAAAUAAAAGAGAUUAAACAUAUGAAUGUCUAGCCUUUUAAACAAUUAUGAUAUAAGCACAAAAAAUACUAAUAAAAUUUAAAAAAAUAACUUGGAAUAUUUUACAAAAGUGUAUAAGAAGAGAAAAAUAAACAAUCACAUAUUCUGUUUUAUAGAUACGGUCAAAGUAUUACAACCAAAGAAAUUUAAUUCGAAAACUAUAAAUUCUAUCUAAGAAGUACAGUUUAAAAAUAAAUUAAAAUAAAUAAAUAAAUAAAUAAAUAAAUAAAGACAUAAAGGCAUCAUAUAUUUGGUCAAGAAUAAGGUCAAUUAUUUGGUCAAUUAUUUUAUAAUCAAACUAUUAGAAAAACUACUCUAAUCAAUUAUUGGAGGCCUUUCAAGUCUCGUCUUCAAAAAAGAGGAUAGAAGACUAGUCAUAAAUUAAAUACUAAUUAUUCUUCUAAACACCACUUAGGAGAUGUUUAUAAAACUAUUACUACUUAGAAUCCAAACUAUCAUAUUUGACCUAAUUGAUCAAGUCUAAAAUUCUUUCAUGUACAAUAUAUAAUUUACAAUAUAACAUUAGUUGACAAAGCUAUAUAUUAAAUUCGAGAACUACAUAUUAGAAGAAAACAUUUCACCAUAAAAACAAUAAAAACAAUACAAAAUAAAAUCAGUCUCUUAUCAAAUUAAACUUUAUUAAAGCGUAUAACGGUAUUUAAUAGGAUUUUAUGUAUAAACCAAUAGGUGCACUAGGAUAUGGAGCUAAUUAUAUAAGAAUCACCAUAUAUAUAUAUAUAUAUAUAUAUAUAUAUAUAUAUUUUGUGGUGCCAAAAUAAUAAUAAACAUAAACGAUAUAAAAAUCUCUAAAUUGUUUCUUUUAAAAAGAUGUAAUAUAAGGGUGUCAACUAAUUCCCUAUUUAUACAUCAAUAUUAAUGAGGUAUUAAAUUUCAGAUCAAACUUGUCUAAAAACUAUUAAUUGUGAUAACUCUAAAACAAUCUAGAACUAAAAGUCAUUCAGUUGGUAGUCAAUAUAAUGGCAAUUCAACAAUCUUCUUGAAGGACAAUAAAACAAAUGUGAACACAAGCAUAUUGGUAUUGGAAACUUACUUUGCAUCCUAAAAUUUUAACAUAAAUUUUUAAAAAAUUAAUAGCCAUAUAAUAUUCAAAUACACUUUAAUUAAAGUAGAUAAACAAGUAUCAAUAGACAUAGGCUAACAAAAGCAAAAUACAAGCAUAACAUUGGUGAUAUUACUUAGAUAAGAAGAGAAUUCUUCUCUCAUUGGCAAACUUUUGAUAAAAAAAAGUCUAAAAGAAAUUAACUUAUGGAAUUCCAUAUAGUUUUAUUUUUUAAUAAAUAUUAAUUUUUAUUUUUACAUUAUUAAUUUUUAUUUUUAUAUUAUUAUUAUUUAUUAAAUACUUUAAAAAUUAUAAAGAUAAUCUAAAAAAUAGUUAAGAAUAUCAUGUAAAAAAAAUCAAGUUUAAAAUCAUAAUAAGAUGGCAUAUUAUUAGCUAAACUAUAUCCAAAAGCGGCUUAAAUCUUCUUGAUUUUAACCGAUUCCUAAAUACCUUAUCAUUUAUAUGGAUUUUGAAAGUACCUACGUUAUGUCAAUGUAAUCUUUUUGUAAUUUUUAAAUAUUGUGCCUAAUACACACACUUCUUCAAAACAAUGGCACUUGAAUGGACAUUGGAUAGUCAAUAAGAGUUGCCACAAGAUCCGAGAUAUAUUUAAGAAUUGGAAUUUUUUUAAGUUGUAAAAAUAUAUCUACUAAAAAAAAUAUAUUAUAAGAACCUAUUUUGCAUUUUCUACUAUGAUAUAAGAUAUCCUUCCAAUUAAUUAGACCUAUGAUCUCAACAACCCAUGCUAGGAAACUUCAUAGAGUUAAUUUAAGAAAAACCAAAAAAAAUUGUGCUUCAAAAAAUAAUAUUAUUUAAAAAAUAAAAUGAAAUUAAGAAAUAAUCUUAUACAAGUUUAAGUUUUAUAAUAUAAAAAUUCAUUAUUAAACAUAUCAUUUCACAAUAGAUGCACUUAAUAAAGCACAAUUUGUCUCUUUAUAAAGCCAAAGAAUUGGUGGGCACGUUUCUCAACUUACUCAUAUGAUUAUUUUCUUUUUAAAAAAAAUAGUAAUAUAAAUAAUUGAGAUAUAUAAAAAAAUCAAACUUUUUAAUAAAUUUAAUAUUUAUUUAUAGUUAUACAUUAUAAAUGUGAAAAUAAAAAAUAUAUAGAUAUUGCAUCAAGGUAUUUCAAUCAAACUUAUAUAUAAUUGUAAUUAAAUAGUCUAAUAAUAACUAUUAUCAUAAAUAUAUCUAACACAAUGUAAGAUGGUCAAAUGGCAAAAGAUCCUUAAUAGAAAAAGACAUCUCUUUUGAUUGAUUUUGGACAUUUUUACAAAUUGGAGUAUGACUUAAAUAACUUCUUAUGCACAUGAUUAUGUAUUAUAUACGAAUUUAUUUCUAAAAGAGGCAAAAUCCUACUACAUAAUAAUAAGUCUCUUACUCCUAGCUAAAUCACCAAAUAGAAUUACAUCCUACUAUAUCGCUUUGGCCUUAUUAAAAAGGCAUUUUAGAAAAGGAAUUGGUUCAAAAAAAAUACUAUAUAAUUUAAAGGAAAACCUUAAUAAGUAAUGGCAUUCAAAAAAUUAUAUUCUUUAUAUUACACAUUGGCUGAAAUUGUCAUUUUCAUGCUUUAAAAAAAAAUUAAAAACCAAAUUAAUCCAAGAAUAAAGAAUAAGCAUCAAAUAUCAAUUUAGUAAUCAUUAGACAUUCUAUGGUCCUUAAUCUUUGUUCAGUAUAAAAUAAAAACAUAUUUAGAAAAUUAUCAAUCUAACUCAAAGACAUAUAUAUAUAUAUAUAUAUAUAUAUAGUAGUCAUUACAAUAGAAUAAUAGAAAUUUUGGAAAAUAUGUAUAUGCUUUUGGAAAAUACAAAAAUAUACAAUGGCAUGAUCUUUUGAUAAUAUAAUAUGAUAAUGAAAAAAUUACAUGAUUAUACAUUACUUUAAAAAAAAUUCCAAAAAAAUAUAUAAUUUAUUUCAAAUUUUUAUUUAAAGAAAAACUAUUGAAAAGUUAUAAAUGUUAGAUUUGGAUGAUAAUGAUAGUUACAACUAUUCUCUUCUAACCAAGGUAAGUCUUUUGUAGUUUCUAUUUGCAUCUUAAAAGAUCAAGCUCUAGUCUAGUAAAAUUUCUAUUAUCCUAUUUGAAAAAUAUUUUUCUUUCUGUUUAAAUAAGUAAAUAUAUAUAUAUAUAUAUAUAUAUAUAUAUAAACACAUAUUUUGGUAAAUCUAUUCAUUUUCCUUAUUCAUAGUCUCUUCACACAUAUGAUUAGAAUGUGCUUAUAUUUAUUAGAGAGAAAUAGAAAAAAAAAUUAGGUUUUUAAAAUAUUAAUAAAAUUUAUAGCUAUUUCAAUCUAGAUCUAAAAAUACAUAUUUAAAAACAAUAUCAUAUUAAUUUUAAAGAUGUGAUUAUUAAAAUAACAUUAUUAGUAUAUAAUAGAAUUUUAUUUGAUUUAAUUUAAAUUGAAUUUUGCUAAAAUAUAUUAAUAAUUAUCAUGUAUAUUCAAUUUAUCAAUAACUAUUAUCUUGUUCUUCCUGAAAAUUGGUAACAAGCAUCACAGUUUGUUGAAAUAACUACAAAAACUAAAGUUACAAUGAACCUUCUAAAUAAGCCUUUAAUAUUGUCAAUGCAUUAUCCAAGUACUUUAGGAUGCAUUAUUAUUUUUUUAUUUACGUCACUUAACUAACUAAUUUUAGAGCCCAAGAUAUUAUUAUCCCUACACCUAUUAAUACCAAAUGCUUCUACUUCCAAUAAAAUCAUGUAUUUCAACUAAUAAAUAAUAUUUAUCAACUUAAAUGUUAAUUACAUUUUCCUUAGAGAACACUUUUUUUGUAAAUAGAAAUCUAUUAUUGAUUCAGUGCAUUAUUUCUUUGACUAUACAUUUUUGUUAGAUAAUGGAUCUUUGUUACUAAAAGUUUCUUAAAUAUAAAUGAUAAUUUUGGCAAUCAAAAUCACAGUUUUUGUUACAGAAAAAUUGAUUUGAAUACGAAGUACUAUGAACUAAUUUAAUUAAAGCAUAUUUGAGUUACAAAUUUUAAAAAUUUUAAAUACAUAUAUGUAUUUAUUUAACAAAAAAACUUUUGACGGUUAUUAUUAGGAAUUUAAUUUUAAUUUUUAAUUUUUUUAGGAUUCUUUAAAAAAAUUAUAAAAUUUCACAUUGCUUGCAUAUUAAUUAUAAUUCAUUCAUCAAAAAUUAUAUUAACUUAUAAAAACCAUAUCAAAAUGGUACAUUUAAAAUAUAUAUAUAUACAAAAACAUUAUCUACAUAAAAUUAAAAAACUAUUAAGAGAUGAAUUUUAUUUAUUAUUUUACUUAAUUUCUUCCAUUUAUUACUCAAAAUAAAAUUACAAGAUAAUUAUUUUUUAUCAAUGUUAAGUCUUAGUUUUUAUAUAUAUAUAUAUAUAUAUAUAUAUAUAAUCAAUCAAAUUUAAAUUUUAGAAACAAUUUAAUACUUAUUUUUAUAUUAAUUUUAAAAAAAUUAAAAUAUAAAAAUAUCAUUUUAAAUUUCAACUAUAAAAUCGUAUUAUAGAAAAAUCUUUCAAAAAAAUAAAAGAUUAUUAUUUGGAAUACAAAAAUAAUAAAAAUUUAAAUAACAAUAUUAGAACAAUACAUUUGAUUUUCAUUUAAUUAAUAGAGAUUAAAUUUACGAUUUUUUAAAAGUUGUUAGAAGUUUUAAAUUACUUUUAAAAUCAUACGGUUUAUCUUCAAUCUAAACAAGUAAAAUAUUAAAUUUUUGAUUUAAAACAUAAUAUCAAACUAAUUAAAAAGCACAUUCACAAAAUUAAAUGAUUUGUUUAAGAUAUUUAAAUUUAUAUUUAUAUCUUUUAACCCAAAAGACCACAAAUUGUUCCAAUCAGAAGCACAUUUUUACAAAGUCUGUAUAAGCUUUGUGCUAUUAUUUGACUUUUUUAAAGAAAUAUACUUGUUAGUCCAAAAUUUGGUAUUGUGCAAUGCUAUCUAUUUUUAUUGAAAAAUUAUUGAUUUUAAUUUCCUUACAAGAAAAAUAAAAAAAUUAUAAUAGUUAAUUUUUAAAUUUUAAUUUGAAUUAUCUCUAUAUAUAUAUAUAUAUAUAUUCAAAUAGAUUAAUAUGUAUUUAUAAAAAUAAAUAUAUAGAAAAAUAAAUUUGAAAAUAUAUCCAAGUUGUAUCUAUAAAUGUAUAGUUUAAUUAAGAAAAACUGAACUAUAAUAUUUUUUUGUAGAAGCAUGCUUUUUACAUCUUAUAAAUUAGGGUGUUUUUCCCUCAGCAUCACAGAGAAGAAAAAUUCAUAUAGAAAAGAGGUCGAAAAAAUGACCCUCGAAGAAAACUUACAAAAAUACAAAAGUAAUAUUGAUGUAAUUUGAUUUCACUAAAUUACUUGAAUCUAUUAUUUUAUAUUAUUUUGUUGUUGAAUAUUAUGCUUUUUUUAAAUAAAUUAUAUAUAUAUAUAUAUAUAUAUAUAUAUUCAAUUUAAAAAUUCAAUCUUUUAACAUAUAGUAAUAACAUUAUUAUUUCAAUAGAACAAAUUAGAAAAAAUAAAAUACAUGACUAAUGCACACAUUUGUAUAAUAAUUUGACUUUAGAUUAUUUUUAAUGUAAUCAUUUUCUAGUUUAAAAAUUGUAAGAUUUUAAUUUUGAUUUUGAUGAAUAUAUUUAUUGUCUAUAUUAAGAAUGUAAUAUGUUAUAUUUAAAAUUUAGUGGCUAGUAAUGUCAAUCACUUAGAUGCUGCUUAGUACUAUAUAUAUAUAUAUAUAUAUAUAUAUAUAUUAUAGAAAAAAACAUCUAUUAAUCAAGGCACAAUAGAUUUUUCUUUAAAUUAAAAUAUUUAAUAAAAAUGGUUUGUAAUUUUUUUAAACUGUUUAAAAAAUAAGGUUUUUGUAACACAACCACAAUUUUUAGUAAUGCCACUACAACCUACCUUCUACUCAACAUACUGUAUAGCCUUUUUAAUCCCAAUCAAGAACAAUUGUUAAUAUUUCUAAUAUUUAUAUUUUUAGUAAAAUAAAUAAAUAAAAAGUUUCAUUAAAAUAUAUUUUGCAGCAAUAGCAAAAAUUGUGGUUGCAUUAAGAACACCUCAAAGUAUUAUGUAAUGAUUUCAAAGCAAUGUAGUAUAGAAAGGUAUUACUCAUGUGCCAUAGCUCUUUUAAUUUUGUUUGUAAAAUAAAUCCUAAAUAAGAUUAUCACCAAGUUUUAAGUGCUACAAAUAUGUUUGGAUUGUGUUAAUAGAAGUGAAUUAUUUGUGGUAAUCUCGGCAUGAGAAGGAAAAGAUUAGUAAACUAUGGAAUGGAAUAUGUAAUAACAACGUAAAGAUUAAGAUAAUGAGUGAGUGAAGAGCAUGUAUAAAAAAUCAAAAAUGAACUUUGAAUGUUUGAUUCAUCUUUUAAGGGUUUAAGUAACAAUGUAAGAAACUUAUUUUAAAACCAAGAAUCAUGGUUUCCAAGCACAAAUAUUUUCUAAAUAUGGUUGAAUGUAAUUAGAGCAUAAUGUUGGGAACAAUAUGAUGUAUUUAGCUUUAGAUGAAAAUCAAUAAUAUUUUUUUGUGCUCGUUUAGAAUUUUUUAUUUUUAUUUCUACAACUCUUAAAUAUUCAAAUGAACCUCCUCUAAUUUAUAUCUGCAGUGGAUGUAAAUUUUAUAAAUUAUAUAAAGAAAAUUAAUUAAGGGAUAUAAGUUUGCAAUCUAGGAAGGACCUCCAUUUAAAUAAAUAUUAUCAAGUAGGCAAGAAAUAUUACUUGACGGAUAUUAAAUAAUUUGGGUACAUCUAUAUAUCAUUUUAUAUUGUUACCUAUUUUUGAGGUGUAAAGAUAUUUCUUAUCCAUUUUAAAGUCAUGAAAGUGACGUUAUAGAAAUCCUAACAUAAUCACAUUACCAAAUCAAAGAGAUUUUAAGUGCAACAAGAAUUGGAAUUGAACUCUUAGAGGUGAAAUGUAUACAAAAGUUCUUCUUUCUUCAAAAAGCUAAAAUUAUUAGGUUUAAUAGUAAAUGUAUACAGAUGUACCUGCAUUAUAUGACACCCCUUACCUAAUGUAUUUGUUGCUCACCUAAAAAUAUUUACUAGAACAGAGGACUUUACUAGGUCAUGAACUUUUGUCCUUAAAUUAAUAUUCCUCAUGUAAUUUAUAAGAUUUCCAUCUACCAAGGUAAAUUAGAAGAGGUACACAUGUACGUGUACAUAUAUAUAUAUAUAUAUAUAUAGAUACACUAAACAAUAGAGAAGUAACUUGAACUUGAUAUUCAAUCUUCUGGGAUUAACCAGAGUUCUAAAUCACAUGAACACAUUUUUGAUGAGCCAAUUUCACAAAGCAAAUUAGGGUUUCACAUAUUUUGAAACAUGAUGCGCCAUUUGCAGGAUCUGAUAAUUCAGUCUAUUCCCGAAUGGAUUCGUACGUUACAAUUGAACUUAAUUCUUUCUCACCGCAAUUUUACCUAAGAUGGCAUUGUUUUUCAAUUAUCAUUUCUUCACUACACAAUCACGUGUCUGCUUUUUCGUCCAAAAUUAUAUUUUCUUCACAGAGCACAAUUGAUUGUAUCAUUACUUGACUCAAUUGUUUGAAUUACUCGUUUCAAGUUCCUCGUUCUUACCAUGGGAGUUCGUGUCACUUGAAAGUGUUUUCAUUUCAGUGAUCAACAAUAGUGUCUUUUGCUCAUUUCUCCUUAUAUCAUGCUUACGUAACUUGUUUCCGGCAGCGAAUUAAAAUUCUAUCAAGUAACAAGAUAUUUGCCAAGCACCUUUCUAAACUAUUUCGACGUUCUUGAUUACAAUUGGCUUUAAAAAGACAUUGGACCAAUGCAUGGUACGUGGUAGGAACUCAAGUUCAUUCCUGAUAUUCCAAUCUUAGUGGGCCAUCCAAGCCCUGUCCAGCUCCAUUUACAGUUGUUGCCCAACAGCAACAAAGCCCUGAAAUCCUGCAGAAAUCACGUAAACGAACACACGUCUUUGUUUUUUUACACACUCCAAACUAGUUUAACGUCUUCUAAAAGUUUAGAUGCGUUCACAACAACCAAUUAUAAAUAAAGCGACACCAGCACGAAGGGGAGCAAAACAAAGUACAUAAAGCAUAAUCAAGCAGACAUGGACAACAAUUAUUCUCGUGUGAACCCAGUUCAUUUGAGGGAGCCUAGCUAUAGGUACAAACAUGUGACAAUUUUCUCUGUUUAUCUUGCAUGGAACCAUCUGUGGCAUUUCAGCUUUUCAAAAAAUGACUUGUCUAGUUUUUCCCAACUCUUCUACUCUACAAUGGCCUUUGAAACACCAACAACCAAUAGGUCCAACUUUUCCUCCACGAAUUGCUGCUGAUUCUACACUCCCAUAUACAGACGACCCGUGACCGCAACAGACGGCCAGACACAGGCAGCAGAAAUCAAGGCUCUGGAAAUCCAACUGGGUCUCACCACUCUCCACUGCUAAUUCAAAGAGUUACAGGGACGCUUCACUAAUUAAAUCCACGCUUCUUUUCAGUCCGUCUUGGGAACCUUCUCCUCCACAUAUUCGUAUUCGUGAUCGGCAGCCUUCAAUGCCUUCAGCUUCCUGUAUCCCUUGUCUGUGCCGAAUAUCCUGUUGCGAACAAAACCAACAGGUGAGAAAAUCCGAGAAUCACAGGUGUUCACAAAAGAUCUCUGUUCCAAUUUGCACGUCACCGUUUAGUUGUGACCCAGCGACCAUGACGAAUCUGUUCUCCCUGCAUGUACAUUAUGAUCACGCCAGACUAUGAUACACGGCAUCAACCGAUGCCACAGCUUCAGCUAUUUGGAGACUUCUGUUCAAAUAAUACUUACUUAAAUGCCCACUCAAGGAGAGUGAUGGGUAGAAAGCAUUACUUAGAUCGAGUUAAGAUGGAUGAGAAUUGAUGAAUAGAAAUUUCAGGAACAUUAAUUGUGCUGAACCUGGAGGUUCGGGCUAGAGAACUUACCAGUCCAUGUAGGUAAAUGUGGAUGAGUAAUUUCCAGACUUAGUGUACAGAAGACGGUGGUGAUAAUCAUGGAAGUCCGCACUGUUUGGCAACAUCCAUAAGUUAGCUAGUUGUACAGGAAAGACCACGAUGAUAAGAUGAUAAAAUUAGGGCCUCAAAGACAAAUUUCAAGAAACUAGAAAUAACGUACCCCCCGUAGAUCGGCAAGUAUCUGGAGAGACUCCAUGGAAAAUCAUAACCACAAUGGGCUUCCACGGUUUCAAUUACACGCAGGCUCAUCCAAAUCCAUAGAGUAAGGAGAUGAGGACCAGUAAUUGCGGGUCCAAAGAUUGUAGCAAAUCCAAGGAAGAGAAUCUCCGCAGGAUGGGCGUACUCAGAUGUCAAUCCGAAAGGAGUUGCAUACCUGCACGACGACAGGUGAGAAUUCACUAAUAGUGUUGUUGUUAUUAAAUGAUGGAUGUGAUGAAUAUCCCCGAAUACGAAACAGGAUGAGUUGUAAAUAACGACAGCAUUUUCCAGUCGAGAUUGGAAACAUUUCAAUGAACAUGUAUAAUAAUUACAUUCCAAUGCUCUUGAACACACACACUUCACACAACGUAUGUGAUAUCACAUAGCAUGUAUAAAAUAGACCACCUGUAGAACAUCCAACAAGCACUAAUUCUGAAAGACAUAUAACAAGAUUUGCAUCCAGGUUCAGGGAGGAGAGCACACACUCGUGAUGGACGCUGUGAACAUUCUUGUAGAGCCACUUAGUGUGCAGAAGACGGUGACCCCAGUAGAAGAUGAAAUCUUCCAAUAUGAAGUAGGACAAGAUCUGGAAGCACACAAUAUUCCUGCAUAGAACGUCCUCAUUCAUAAGGUGUACACUAACACUGAAGCACCUGGAUAUUGUUGACUGGUAAAGUAAUGAGAGAGGCAGAGAAUCUUUCAGCAGCAAACACCCACGAAAGCGUGAGCACGCACAAAUUAAGAGAACACAUGCUGCUAACUUACAAAAUGGACAGUCUUACCAGGAAGGUAGAGGUAACUGACUGGUGAAGCCCAUGUACUUGAAGACGGGAUAUGAUACAAUCAUGAGGGGCAAGUUGACACAGAUGUGGUAAAGCAGUAGCUUCAUAACACACUUUUCUUGCGCUGCAACAGAGUUCACCUUUCCCUGUUGUUCAAUAAAUACAGAAGAACAUUCAGAUGCAUUUCGUUAUUUUGUUCCAUUGAAUGAGAAGGACUUCCAGUUAGGCGCGAACACAAAGCCGCUUGCGUGAGAUCCAAAACGAGGUGAAUAAAAAAACAAAGUAAAAUAAUACAAGUUUAGAAUGAAGACUAGUAUGAAAGCUAAGAAUACAACACAUUAGCCAUGCUCGCUGUACCUGUAUCUUGUACUGCCGUUGAUAUCCCAACCUCUCCAUAACAAUGAAUGGAAGACCAGAAAGAAAGAAUACACUCUCGUGUAUAAUGAAGCUGCCAAUUGAUGCCAGCUGGAAGUCGGUGAAGUUAUUUAUUAGGUACUGCACCAACAAAACAUUAUGAUGUCAUCCUGAUCUUCCUCGAACAGACGUGGAAGCAAAGCUUUCCAUGUAAUAUGAUACCUUCUCUCAACUUCAGCGUUGCAAAUCAAUCUAACCAACUAGAAGCCAGCACCAUUGCGCCUGGACAAGCAAAAGAACCAUGUGUGUCUAGCGGCACAUGUCGGCAGUCGAUCACAAUGCCUGUAGUAGAAUAUGUAAUAACAACCCGUGCAAAAGAAGCACCUCGCUCGAUCAUAGAGUUGGUCAACUGAAACGGGCACAUAAGCGUCUAACCACGGAGACGAUAAGAUCUGAUGGCAUCAUCAUCAACAAAAUCCCAAUUCUGUACCAGAAUUGCAGUCUGAGGAAAACCUUUCUGUCAAAUAUGCACAAUUAGCGUACACAUCUCUGCUCCACGUUCCCAGGUGUGACUACGUACAGGUAGUUUAAUAUUCUAAUGGAACCCAGCGUGCUUCUGAAAAGAGAAUUAAUACAUCGUCCACUAUUUACUGAUUUCAUUGUGCACUUUCCUUAAACAAAGAGCACCGCACCAGAGCCCGAGUUUGUCGCUAACCAAAUCCGCUUCAUCAAGGAGAUUCUCUGACAACAAAAGUGCAUAACAAAGUCGCAGAACACAUCAUGGAAGGCACUACUUCGAAUUAGGGUUGAAAUUUUCAAAAAGCCUGUGUAAAAAGGCCGAUAAAUUUGUCGUCAGUGGCACGGAACUGACUGUACACGGCAAGCGAUGAAUUAGCUGGUUCACGAUCAGAGGAGCAACUCCAUAACUUCUCCCACCGUUGAAUUCCAGGACCGGUUAAUUGAAUGGGAAAGCGUGGAGCAUGUCGACAUCUACCCUACCACGAACUGAUACUUGUCGAAAGUUUCUAAAUGUAACCGUUCACACUAAAGAUCUGAUACUGCGUAGGACACAACGUUAUCUCAGAGCCAAGAUAUGGAGAAGAGAUACGUGGAACACUGAACAUCGGCGAUUGUCUGAUAAUGUAAGGACGCUUCAGUUCUUUCCCACCAACACGAUUUCUACGGGGAAAUGAAAAACCUCUCACGACAACUGCGCCUCCUCCAACAAGCUUCUACACGACCGAUACACCCACACAUUGCCGCAAUCGGGGCACCGACUGCUGAAAAAUACCAAAUGCUACACACCGCAAAAUGCUCCCACUUCAUAAAACGCCUGACAACCCACUCCAUCAAUCCACGCACGUAGGCUAACACAUCGACUCAAUCACCCAUUGAACCACACCCUCACACGCUGACAUUCACACACAUAUCCAAAUCAGGCCGACGUUCAAAAUGGACCUGCAGGCAACAGAACAACAUCCACCAGGCACCACGAUGACAUCCACUGGCGUCUUCGCACCGCUCACAAACCUCAGGAAAAAGGUAAGAAAACAGCGGCACGCAACCCAACAACAGACUCACCAGCCAUAUUUUCUCCAGAGCAGAAGCCAUGCUGGAUCGAUUUCCCUCCUCCUCGCUUUCUGAACACCCCAACGCAGGGCGCUCUAGCGCGCUUGCCCUCAAGAUCACUACCACCACCACGGGUCUUGGUAUCUACCCAGCGAUUUCACCACAUCCCAGAAGAGCCUGUCCCUCGCUAUCCUUCCUGUGCACGAUUAAUGCAGGGCCACCAUAAGGAGCCACAAUGGGGAAGAUCCGCGAGGAGAGUCGCGGGGGGUGCGCUGCGGGCACAGUGCAAUGCAGAGCGACUCGCAGAUGCGCGAGGGAUUUGAGAGAUUCAUGCAGCAGCGAGUGGAGCUCGGUGGCACCCCUUCGCCGCGCGGACGGUGUCAGGCAACGCGCGGCGACGACGACGACGACGCCUCCUCGCCCCGCCUCCCCCCUCGCCCCGCGCCCGCGCCUCGUAAGCUCGCGGCUGCUCCCAAACCCCCGCUCCUUCGACUCGUCACGCUCGCGCUCGCCGUUAUCAGACGCCACCAGACGCGCGUAACCACCGAGGCGGUAGGCGAUGCAACGCUCGUGAGCGGUCUUUGGUGAGUCAGCGGGCCACGUAGCCCAGUGGCAUAAAUAUCGUCGCCGCCUUGGCAGGAACUGGGAUGAGUGGGUGGGUGGGGGACGGGUGAGGGAGAUAUGGAUGAGGACUGAUUGGAUGCAUGUGGAUGAAUGAUGUCUCUGCGUUCCCAAGGGGGACACGUACCCAUGGGGCCUGGUCAUGUACUCAGCGUUGCGGGUACUACCGGUAUGGGAACCGUGUGACAUUCCCAGUCUCUGAUAAUAGCUGUUCGAUCGUGUUCCCAUGAUUGGGAACACACGAUAGUUGCCUUCGAACCAACGGGCUGGGUGAUGUUCCCUUCAUUCUUGACAAUGUGGUAGUUGGCAGCGAAUGGGACGACGACGAUUGGAUGAAUGUCUGACUUUGGAUAAAAUAGUGGAUGAAUUACUUAUUAAAAUACUUAUUAAAAUACGUGAAUGUGUUUUCGUGAUUUUUUUUAAAAAAUAUUAACAGCUUUGCUCAUUCAUUCGGUGCUUAAAAGUUUCGUCUCAAUUAAGCCAUUGCUAAAAGGAUUUUUACAUCCAGACGCUCCUUCGAAAGGCAUCUCCAAUUUUGUGUUUAUUACUAUUAUUAGUGUUUUCUAAACAAGACAUGUUGUAUCUUCAUAAUAACAAUUCAUACAAAUGCAUAAAAAUCAAUUAUGAAGUUUUAUAAUGAAAAGUUCUAGUGAUUUUCAACCUGACUACUUGAAUUUUUUAAAAUGCUACUGCAGAAGGGGGAAUAUAUAUAUAUAUAUAUAUAUAUAUAUAUAUCACUAUUCAUGCCAUGUAAAAAUAAAUUAAGAGUUAACAAAUUACAAGUUUUGAAAGUUACAACCUCUCACCUUCUCUCCUAAGCACAGAGCUCCCUUGGAUUUGUAAAGGUCGUUUAUUAUUAAAAAAUGAUAACUUUGGUAUGUAUAUAUAUAUAUAUAUAUAUACAUACAAAUAUAUGUGCAUCCCAAUCUAAUAUUAUUGAUAAUGAGUAACGUAUUUUUAGUUCGUUUUAAGCCAUUUUAUUAUUAUUGUUGUGUAGGGUAACCAUUCAAAUUAUAAACAGUUUACAGUUGUCAAUGAAAUGGUAUCAAAUGAUAUUAUAAUAAGUUUUAUAACAGAAUGUUCUAUUUGAAUAACAAAUUUAAUAGUACUAACAACAACGGUAAGUAUUUGAGAUUGGCAUGCAACCAAAGAAAGUUUAAUACUGGUCUUAUGCUCACAAGUAUACAAACUGUCUUUGCUAGAUUACACAAUUAAUAAUCUCCACCAAAAAGUAAGAUUAUUUCAAAAGAAUUUUUAAUAAAGUCAAAUAAAUAAAUAAGAGAAAGGAAAUAACAGUAUAACCUGAUUCCAAUUUAGAAAAAACAUGAAAAAUGCUUCAUCUUGAUUGUUUAGCUAUCAUUCAUCAGAAAGUCUUGGUGGUUUCCUAAAUUCAUUCUUUUUUCAUUUUGAUAAUGCAAACUUGCUUAAUUAAAAUAAAACGUGUAUAAUUAGAAAAAGUUUAAAAGCUGGGAAGAUGAAUCUAAUCUAGAGGGUUUAAAAUAAAAAUAAUGUGAUUUUGAUAAUGAAAGGUAUGGCAAAGUUUUGCAAAUUGGUGGAUUGUGUUAAAAACAAGAUACAAGGAAUAAAAAUAGUCUUUAUUCAAGGGGACAUUUAGGUUGAAAGCUGAAAAUUGAGCCUUGGAAGCCCAAAAUGCCAACAUGAUUAAUUCUUUUGACACUGCACUACAAGUUCAGAGUAGAAAUACAAAUCCAAUUUGAGGUUAUGAGUUUAGGGAGUAAAGGAUAUUGGUGGUUAAGACAAGCCAUUAUACAAAAAAUAUUAGUAACAAAAUUAAUGAAUUGUGUACUUGAAAUAUUUACUCGAUCAUUGAAUUGUUUAUAGAUUUGUAAAAGAUACAAGUACUUACUUAAGACACAACAAUUGUGCAUGUUAGUACAUGGAACAUAAAGCACAAAAAUAUCACAACUUGUGGGAUAAAUUGAAUUGUUGCUCUUUGUAUAUCAUGAUAUACAUAUAUAAUUACAUGCUGCAUGGUUCAUGCACAUAUUAUUUAUAUAUCUAUAUAUGUAAAAUAAAAUAAAAUGAAAGUUUUAAAGUUUGUAGCAUAAAAUGAUUUUGAUGGGAGUUGUAAAUUGAUUUGGGCAUAUGGUGCAAACUAUAUAUAUAUAUAUAUAUAUACCAGAGUACAGAAUACAAUCACUCUUUUUGUAUUGUUAUGCCUAUAUAUUGUUCUUAUAGAAUAGCAGUGCAAUAGACAAUCAAAUCAAAGUAGUUAGAGAAUUAGACUAAAUUCUACAAGAGUAAUAUAAAAAUUGUAAGAGAAAUUAAUUGAAAUAAAAAACAUAAGCAUUAAGAAGUAGUUUUAAUUUAUAAAUUAGUUGAAUUGAGAAAAACGUUUUUUUUUUUUUUUUUUUUUUUUUGAUGUAGUGGAGUGUGGAGCAUAUCACAAAGGAAGCACUUCAUUAUUAUUUUUUUAAAACAUGAAAUGACGAAAAACUAAUCAGAAAAAUAAAGGCGAAUGGGGGAUUCAAAAGUAUAAAGCCGCGCCAAGGGACGUGGACUAGUGGGGGGCAGGGUGAGCUGAUGUCAGAGCAAAUAGGGGUCGGUCAUAGGGUCCAGGUCCCAUGCCCGCUCAUGUGUCCCCGUCAUAGGCAAGACCUUUCGGUGACGGGUCCCAUCUGGGGAGCGUACUCUCUUCUCUCUUCCCUUCCCCGCAAGCCAAAUUGUUCACUUGGAGGGGAAUUCGCCACGUAGGCUCGACCACCUCGGAUGUGAGAGUUCCUUUUCCCGCCACGACCCGGUACUUCAAAGUGAGUGGGAGGCAGACGACCUUUUCUCAUAGAGGCUCCGAACCCGCCCCGUUCACACCGUGCCUUACAUUCUCCGACGUGGCAGUCGAAAAUGCCACGUGGAUUUCCGAUUCCUUACUGUUUCGAAAAUGCCAAGUGGUUAAUUUUCUUUUGAUUGAUUGAUUGAUUGAUUGAAUGAUAUAUUCAUUUAUUUAUUUAUUUAUAUUAACUGAAGCAAAUGAUUCUUUCACAAAUAAUUAAAUGAGUGAAAUUUUAUGAAUUACGAAUAGGUUGGAAAAAGUUUUCUGGAUCUUGAAACAAUUGGUUAGAAACAUCUUUGUUAUUGAGAAGAUUAGCCCUUUGUUCAAUUUAAAUGGAAUAUAUAUAUAUAUAUAUAUAUAUAUAUAAAAAUGUUGUUUUAAAAAAUAAAAGUAUAAAUAUCUAUAAAAUAUGCUACCAAAUAAUGUGAUAUUUUCUUGAAGAACAUUUGAUGAUACUUUCACACAUAUAUUGUAUACAAAUUUAAGUUCAGUAAGUUUAGUAAAUUUUUAUUGAUUUCUGAAGUACAAAUGUAAAAGAUGGUUCUCUGUGUUCUAUUAUAUAUAUGUCUUUUUAAGAUAAAAAUACAUUGCAAGAAUGAAAUUAUGUUCUAACGAAAAAGUUUAGAUAUUAUUAUUAUAAUCAUUGUAAAUAUUACAUGUAAUUUUUUUUUUACUUUAAACUUAUUUUCUAAAAAAAUAAAAAUAAUGCUGCUUCUAUUUUAAACACUAUCAUUGAAAAUAUUUCUUCAAAACACCACUAUAUCUCUACAUUUUUCUACAGGAACCAUUAGGUGGAGAAUCAUAUACAUGUUAUUCACAUGUAACUUAUGUGCUAUAUCAAGUUCAUAAUGAUUUUACAUUAGCAUAAAGUAAUAUUUGCUAGAAAACAUAAAGUAGUAUUUGCUAAGCCUUGGAAACAAAAAUUUAUGAUAAUUAUAAAAAACAAUUCAAUUGAACAUAAAAGAAGAAAGUUUUGGGUUGUUAAAGGUGGUAGUGAAUUCAAUUAACAAUGUUAUAUAAUAUAUUAGAAUAUUCUAAUUUCUAUCACAAUAUUUUUUUUAAAUACAUAUUACAUCACAAACAUAUAAUUUGAUUUUUUAUAAGAAGAAUAUUUAGAAAAUAAACAAAUAAAAAUUAUAUAAUAUAUAAAUUGAUAAUUUAAACAUUUGUAUUAGUCUAAAUAGAAAUAAAAAUAAGAGAUAAGAAAAUAAAUAAAAUAAAAAAUAAACAAAUAUACAUACUUUUCUCAUUUUGUAAGCUAUUAUGAUAAUUGCAUUUAGAUAGAAACAUCUUUGGCAAUCAUUAAUAUUAAAUAAAUUUUAAAAUAUUUAUCUUUUUAACAAUUGUUGUAUUUAUUUUUAAUUAAUAAUUUUUUUGAAUGAUAAUUGUUAUGAAGGUAAGACUAGUCAGCAUAAUAAAUUUCAAAAGAAUUCUUUUAAUUACUUAGCAACAUCAAGUUUUUAUUAUACAUAUAUAUAUUUACUUAAAUAAGAAGUGUUGAAUUGAAGGCAAAUAUAAGUAUAUUUAAUAUUAUCUUAUGGCAAAGCUUCUUAGAAGCUUUAUAGAAGUGUAUUUAACUUCAUACAUAUUUGUAAUUGAUUGGUAAGUUAAAAACUUGACUAACAAAUUAGCCACAUAUCACAUAUAUUGGUAGUAUCAUAGACAUACAUAUUUAUUCCAAUAAUUACCUAUAUAAUUAGAUAUAAAUAGAUAUAAAUAGAUUAAUUUCAUAAUAUCUACUUGAGAAGCUUCAUACUUUAUUAAAAAAUAAGAAAGAUUUGUAGUUGAAAAAAAUUAAACCAAUACAUAUAGAAAUUAUAGAUAGUUGUUUAUUAUCUUUUAGAAAUAUUAUCUAUGAAAUAAUUUUUUAAAAUAUAGCAACUAAAAAUCAUAAUAAUUUAAUAAUAUUUAAUAUCAUUAGAUCUCCUUCUAAUCCAAUUAUUUUAGGAUUAUUGUGGCUAGAGAAGUAUAAUCUUCAAAUAAAUUUGAUUUAUCAUAACCUUAUUAUUAUUAUUAUUAUUAUUAUUAUUAUUAUUAUUUAUAUAGUUUAGCUCAAGAUUUUAUUAGUCAAGUAGAAAAAUAUAAUUCUAAUAUAACCAAAAUUUUAUUGGUAGGUGCAUGAACUUUUAUGCAUGGUACAAGAUAAGAGUCAUUUUUUUUUAUAUAUGCAAUAACUAUUUUUGAUGGAAAAUAGACUUUAUGUGGUAUUUUAAGCUAUUAUUAAGAUUAUUAAGAUAUUCUUCAAAAGAAAAAUGUAAAUACUCUUUUGAAACAUUGCUCCUAUGAUUGUUCAAUUAAUCUUCAAGAUUGAGUUCAACUACCAUUUGAACCAACCUAUUAUUUAUUGCAAAAUAAAUUGACUAUGUUGAAGAAAUACAGUGAGAAGAACUUGGCUAAUAAUUUUAUAUGCCAUUCUAAAUCUCUGACAAGGACUUUUAUCUUAUUUGUAAAGAAAAAAGAAUGAUCUUUGUAGAUAUGUAUAGACUAUUGAAAAUUCAAAAUGAUCACCAUUAAAAAUUGAUAUCCUUUAUUUUUGAUUUCAAGACUUUUUGAUCAAUUCAAUUAAGCAUAGAACUAUACAAAAAUAGAGCUACAAGAAGUAUAUUACUUGAAACUAAUUAAAAAAAGAGAUGAAUGGAAAAUUAUGUUUUGAACUAAAUAUGAAAAUUUUGAAUAUAAUUUCAUAUCAUUUGGACUUAUAAAUGUACCAACUACUUUUCAACAUCUAAUGAAUGAUGUCUUUUGUGAGUUUCUUGGUGAUUUUUUUGUAUGUUAUUGAAACAACACUUUUAUCUAUUCUAAGAACAUAGAAGAGGAUGAACUUCAUGUUUGUUGUAAAAAUUGAGAGAUAUAACAUGUCAAGAUGAAAAAGUGUCUAUUUUAUCCUACUCAAGUUGACUUUUUAGAAUACAUUAUUUUAAACAAUGGCCUCAUAAUGGAUCUUAAAAAUAUCUCAACUAUCGUGGAUUGAAAGAUCUUGAAAAUAAUCAAAGAUUUGCAGUGUUUUUUAAGAUUUGUCAAUUACUACUAAAUCUUCAUGAUGAACUUUUCUCAAGUUGUAGCUUUUCUUAUACAUUUGAUAUGUAAAGACAAACUUAAGUAGAAUAAAGAAAUUGAGGCAUCUUUUAAAGCUUUGAAGAAAAUAUUUAUCAUUCCACCAAUUUUGUAUUGCUUUGAUUUUUUGAAGGCAUUCUAUAUGAAAACAUAUGCAUUAGACUUUGUUAUAGAUGCAAUGUUGGUCUAAAUGAGAGCAGAUGACAAGUUCUACUUGAUAGCAUUCUAUUCUAAAAAUAUUUCAAUAGCCAAAAUCAACUACGAGAUCCAUGAAAAAGAACUUCUUUCAAUUAUAGAUUCAUUUCAAGAAUGCAAUCAUUAGCUACAAGGCACUUCUAUUUUAGUCACUAUGUAUAUUGAUCAUAAGAACCUCGAGUAUUUUAUGAUAGAUUGUACUUUGAAUUGUUGUAAAGCUUGUUAGAGGAUGUUUUUAUUAAAAUUUGAUUCUUAAAUCACUUAUUGACUUGAAAAAAAACAAGAUUUAUUAGAUACCAUUUCUAGAAAUUUUCAUCUUAUACUUAAAAAAGAAGAUACAACCUUUAAUCAACAAAGAAUAAUUUUCUUGAAGUUGGAGCAUUUUCUUCUUUAAGAAAUGAAAUCAACAUUGAUUAAUGAUUCAAUCUUUCUCAAGUAAGUUCAAUCAAGUAUGUCCUAUGAUUCUCUUAUUCGAGAUAUUAAAAAUAAUUAUUUUAAAUAUCAUAAUAUAUUUAAGUUUAAGUUUUAAAAUAAUCUACUUUAUUAUAAGAAAAAAUUAUAUAUUUAAAAAAAAAUAGCUAGAAAUUUUUAGAAGUCUCAAAUAUGGAUGGCUUUAUAAAAUCAUAUGACAUUUGUUCAAAAUUAAAAACUCUACAUCAUCUAUCAUAUAUACUUCUUUAAUCAUUAUCUGUUCCAAAAUAAUUAUUGUCUUCUGUUUCAAUAGAUUUGAUCAUGAAUCUUUUAGUUUUAGAUUCUUAUGAUUUUAUGUUCAUGAUAGUAGAUUGUUUUAUUAAGAUGACAUAUUUUGUAUCAUGUACAAAAUCUAUCAUAUAUAAAGAAACAACUAAGCUUUUUAUUAAUAACAUCUAUUGCUAUUAUAGAUUAAUCAAAAAUAUUAUAUUAGAUAGAAUGACUUACUUUGUAUCAAAAUUUUGGAGAUUUUUUUUUUAAUUCUAAAAAUAAAUUUAAGACUAUCUCUAGAUUUUAUCUUCAAAUUAAUGGACAAACAAAAUAUGUAAAGUAAGUUUUAAAGUAAUAUUUGAGAUUUAUCAUCAACUACCAAUAAGGUGAUUGGAUAAUUUUUUUUUUAUCAUUGAUAGAGUUUGUUUAUAAUAAUACAAUACAAUCUUCUAUACAACAAUUAUCUUUCUUUAUUAAUUAUGAUUAUUAUCCAUGACUUCAUGUUUUUGAUGAUUCAAAAGUUAAUAAUCUUAUAGAAAAAGAUUUGACAAAUUGUUUAUAUAAGGUACAUAAAACUAUGAAGCCACAUCUAAAAGAAAUUCAAGAACAACAAAAGACCAAUUUGAAUGUCUAUUCUAAGGAGCAACCUCAAUUCUAUGUUGGCAAAAGGUAUGAUUACUUUGUCACAAUAUUAAGACUAGCCACUAUUAUGACAAGUUAGAUUAUUGUAGGCUUGAACCAUUUCCUAUUUGUAAACAAAUCGAUUCAAUCACUUAUUGAUUAUUGAUUAUGAGAGUCUAUAAUGAUCUAUUUUGUAUUCCACAUAUUUUUUUUGAGCCAUAUAGAAUAAUGAAUAUUUUACAAAAAAGACAAAUGCCACUUCACCUUAUAAAAGUAGAUCAUAAUGAAGAGUUCAAAAUUGAAGAAGUCUUAGACACUUGGUGGCACUGAAAUAAGUUGAAAUAUCUUGUUUAUUAGCAUAAAUAUGAUAUUAGUAAACAUACAUGAAAGUUUGUGAAGAAUCUUACAAAUACACCACAAAAAAUUGAUUCUUUUCAUCAACGAUAUCUAUCACAAUCAAGAUGAAGAAUAACAAAUCUUUUUUAUUAAAGAAAUGUAAUUUUGAAAAGAUUACAUCAUUGUUUGUAAUUUUUGUGUAUUUGUUGUAAUAAAGAGCUAAAAAAUCAAUAGUUAGUAAAUUUAAUUCAAGAGCUAUCAUUUAUUGAUUUACAAGACAAAAUAUUGUGAUUGUUAUAAUCUUCAAGUUGACAUCAUAGAUACAAAGACCUUCAAAAAUGACAUGUCCUUCCUCCAAUGAAUGACAAGAUAUAACAUAUUUGAUAUCAUGACCUUAGAAAAGACUUUUGAUUUUUGGUGAUUUUAUUAGAGAUAGAAAUGACUCCUAACGGUAUUUCAAAUGUUUUAUUUGAAAGAUGUUACAAAGACAUUAAUAAUGAUCAAAUAACAAGAUGGUUUUUUUGCCUUGAUAUAGGACACUUAUUAAUGAUUGAAAUCACCUUCAAAUAGAAAAAAAAAUAUGAUAAACACAUUUCAUUGCAUUUUGAACUUCUUCAAUAUUUGAUGAUUUCUCUUUGUAGAAUUUGUUUCUAAAAGGAAAAGAAAUAUCACAAAUAUAUAUUUUUAUUUAAUUAAAAAGUAGUAGGUAGAAUGUAAAUAUAAGUAGAUAUGAUAUUAUCUUAUAGCAAAGCUUCUUAGAAGAUUUAUAGAUGUAUAUUUGGCUUUAUACAUGUUUAUAGUUGAUUAAUAGAUUAAAAACAUAGCUAAUAAAUUAGCAUGUGUUAGUUGCUUGUGGUAAAACCUAACAAUUUGGCACACAUGUAGGAAACUUGCCUUGCAAGUUAAAACAUGUGAUUCACAAAUUGGACAUAUGUCAAAGAUCUUACAGAAUGUUGAUGCAUAACUUCUAAUUAGAUAGUAUACAUGGAGACAAGAGUGAAGCCUUUUUCAUACGUAUCUAUGCCUUUGUAAGCUUUAGUCUUCUUUCAAGACUUUCUAAUCUUCUUGUCUUUGGCAAUGACCAUUCUAAUUUAAAAUGAUUAAAAUGCCAUCUUUGAAUGAUUUUUUAGUCUUUUUGAAUAAUACAAGAGUGUGUUGAUCUUUAAGUCCUUUAAGAUUCAUGUCCUUGAUGAUUUAAAAUAUAUAUAUAUAUAUAUAUAUAUAUAUAUAUAUAUAUAUAUUACUAAAGUAAUAUCAUAGUUUUAAGAUUGAUUAAAUACUAAUGAUCAUAAUCUAUUUUUAACAUUUUAAACGUAACAAUACAAAGUUAUUGAUUUUUUAUUUUGUUAUUGUUUUAAAAAAUACUAUUAUAGAAUUUUUAAAUAUUAGAAUUUUAAAAAAUUAAAAUUAUAAGUUAUUCUUUAAUUUCUUAUAAAAUUAUUAUUUCUUUUUAUAUAAUAUAGAUUUUUAUUAAAAAUAAUUUAAAAUUUUAAUAAUUAUUAAAAUUUAUUAGUAGUUAGACAUCCAUUUUUGAAAUAAUAGCCUUGUAAUAUGUGCCAUUUGUAUAUAAAAACAUCUAAACUAAAAUAAAAUAAUCUAAAAUGUAGAUUGUUUAAAAUUAAUUUUGUUCAAUUUUUUUUAUUUUUUUUUAUUUUUUUUUGUAGUUGUUGUAUUUUAAAUUUUUUAUGUUAUAUUUUUAAAAUUUUACAUUGAUAUUUAGUUGGUUAGAGUUUAUGUUUACUAAAAUCUAAAAUUUUAUUUAUUAGAGUUAUGACAUUCAAGAGAUAUUUUAAACAUUUAUCUAAAUUGCUCCAUCUUUGUUUAUUCAUAUUAUGGUAAAUUUAAAAUUCAAGUUUGGCAAAAUAAGUGCUUUUAGAUAGUCUUAAGAAAUAGUAGUAAAUAAUCAUCUAUAAUUGUAACAAUUAAAAUGUACAAUAUAAUGAAAAAGAUAUAUUGAAUUAUUAAAGUGGUUAAAAUAAUAUGUUGUAUCAAAGAAAUUUAGGCAAGAUAGACAUAUUAAGUUUGAGUGGUUAAAAUAUAUGCUAAAAAAAAUACAAAGCAUUCAUUUGGUGUUUUAUCAAUAAAAAUUUACUAUGGCCAAAAAACACUAUCAUUUGAAGUAAAUUAUCUUUUAUAAAUUAUUAAAAAAUUUAAAUGUUUUAAAUGUUUCAAAUAAUAAUGGUAUUGUAUAUUAAAAAACAUACAACAUAUAUAUAUAUAUAUAUAUAUAUAUAUAUAUACUAAAACCAUAUUAGAAUUAUUGUUAUUAGAAUUUAAUAAAUUAAAUUAAAUUGCUCUAAUAUUCUUACUUAUUGAUAGUUAAUAACUAUUUCUUAUAUAUAUAUAUAUAUAUAUAUAUCAAUUAUAUUUUAAACUCAUGUAUAAAUAUGUAUUUUUUCUUAACAGUACCAUAGAUAAUUACAUCAUUACUAAUGAUAUAUUCUAUACAAUUUUUUUAAUACAUCAACACUGAAAUAUAUUUGUCCAUGGUUAUCUUACUUAAUAAGUAACAUGAAAAAUACAUGAGAAUAAAGGAAACCAUUAGGUAGACACUCCCCUUUUAUUGCAUUGACAAACCUCCCCCUUGUGUCAUGCACCCCUACAUACAAACAACAAAGCUCUUAUUUACACUCACAAUUUGUAGUCAAAUUUAGAAGAAAAUAUUCUCAAAAUGAAAUUAAUAAGGUUUUUAAAUUGAAAGAAAGAAUUAUACGAAAUAUAUUAUGAAAUUUUGUUAACUCAAAUAUAAAUGAAUAAAUAACUAAAAUCCCAGAAACUACUGCAUGCACAUUGUCUUAAAAAAUUAUCCAAUAGCUAUUUAAUGUAAAUAUGAGUUUUAUUAUGUGUGUUCAAAGAUGUGUGGUAUGGAAGGGGGGGGGGGUCCAUGCAAUAAAAGACAUAUUCUAAGAAGCGCAUGCAACAAAUGUUACCGACGCUACAUGUCUUUCAGUAGCAUUACUUUUAUACUUUUUCUACCCAACAUUCAUUCAUACUCUCCUGCAAUCUUUCUACACACCAACAUUGAAAACGAAAAAAUGGGUUCUUUCAAAAAAGAUAUUAACAGAACUAACAUGCUGUAUACAUACAUACAUACACACACACACACACGUAUAUAUAUAUAUAUAUAUAUACCAAAGUGGCACCGAAUACAAUCUGUCAUACCGGGGGCUCAAGUUUGGGUGCCCUUUUCAGCGUCAUCCAAACCCAAAGGUGGCAUCUUUGCCAAACGAAAAGCUUGUGGCACCAUCCGAACAUGGAAUUCAAGCAAGGCACUUGCUGGGGCUUUGAUCCACAUGAAUGAAUGAUCCAAGGGAGCUUUUUUCCUUCGAGGAGCAAUAAAUGAUCAACCCACAUCCCCACAAUUCUGAUUUUGGUUCCCCCAUUCAAACAAUUGAGUGAUCCCCCAGCCUCGGUCACUCCGCCCGCGUCGCACAACACAGUUCCGCUUUGUUUCCAUUCCUUGGAAGAGGCUCCCUUCUCCCUCUCUCUCUCUCUCUCUCCCGAGUGUGGUGGCAUCGGGAACUCCGCCAAGUUGUUAAUGGGGGGUGGGGGGGGGGGGGGAGAGAGGUCCUCAGAGCUUAAUCCAAACUUCGAAGCACGAACGCGCAGACUAAAAAAAUGUAUUCGAAUGCAUCAGAAACUGAAAGAAAUCACAAAGCGAACAGCUCCCCCACAGCGACCAAAAUCCCACGAGAAACCAUGACAUGGGAUACACACACGCUUCUCACACACGAAAACCAAAAAGGACCAAGUGUGUGAAAAAUUUGCAAUGCAACACAGUGCAGAAGAGAAAAACAGAGACGCAAUGGAAUGCAAAAACACGAUGACAAAAAGAGUGCAACUUCGAAGGAAGAAGACUACCUUAUUCCAAUCCCCUCUAAAGGUAUAAAUCUGUUUUAGAGGAAAAAAUAUAUGAAUUACAAAAAAUAUUGCACACCCGGAGAUAUCAAUGGGCAAGCAUCCCUCGACAAGUGAACAUGACGAUAUCCGCAUCAAUCACGUAAUCCCACUCUCAACUAUGUACUCAAUUUGAAUCCCUUGGUAGAUAGAUACAAAGUGCCUAGUAUAAGCGACCGCAUCCCCCACUUCUACAGCUCUAAACCCCCUAACAUGGAUAAUUAUACCAACCCACAUGGAUAAUUAUACCAACCCACAUGGAAAAUUGUGCAAUGCGGGUUCAGUAUUUUUUUGAUUUCAUACCUAUUUACCGUUUGCAGCGGGACUGUGCUCUGUCGUCGGAGGAGGAUGUGAGCUUACGCCAUUGGAUUUGGCGUGCUCUCUGGAGUUCGUCGGGCUCUGGGGCGUGGGGCUGCGCGUGUUGGGACUCCGAAGCGCGGGGCUGCGAGGAUGAAUUGGGCUGGCGGAUGUGCUCGUGCCGUUGCUCAUCUUUUGUGGGCCUGUCGACGGAGGGCCUUCAAUUGCGAGCUUGGGCUCGGGUGCGGGAAGCGCGAGCUUGGGGGGCGAUGGCGGGGUGAGGACGUAGUUGACGCGGGGUUUCACGGGCGGUAGGGCGGGGAGCGGGACCUCUUGAAUGAACCACUGGCGGAUGAAGCUCAUCGGGGGGCGGGCUUCUGGAUCAGGGUGGCAGCAGAAUAAGCCCAUCUGCAGCAAUGUGGUCAUCUUCUCGGGGUCGUGUGAGCCGUCGAGCUUCGGAUCCACAAUUGAUAGCAGCGUGUGCUGCUCGUGGGCUCGCCAUACCUGGUCGACCAAGCUCACGUUCUGAUUCUCGGGCAAGUUCUUGUCGAGCGCCUUCCUUCCCGUCGCAACCUCCAGAGCCAAAACCCCGAAACUGAACACAUCGGAUUUCGUUGAUGCUUUUCCCACCUGCGAGAGCUCUGGGGCUAAGUAACCCCGCGUCCCGGCGAUAAUGGUCGUCUGGACGUUGUCGGUAGUGUGAUGUAUCAGGCGGGCGAGUCCGAAGUCUGCGAGAUGCGGGUUGAAAUUCUCAUCGAGAAGAACAUUGCUGGGUUUCACGUCACGGUGGAGAACGCAUUGUUGGCAUUCUUCGUGGAGAUACGACAACGCGCACGCCACUCCUCGCAAAACCGAGUGGCGCAUGUCCCAUCCUGCGAAUUUAGCGUUCGUGUUGGUGCCGUCGAGGAGCUUGUCCAGGGAGCCAUUGGGCAUGUAGUCGUAGACCAGGAGCAGAUUGCCCUUCUCGUGGCACCAUCCCUGGAGCUGUACGAGGUUCCUGUGACGAAUGCGGCUGAUGAUGGACACCUCAGCGAGAAACUCCCGCUCUCCUUGAUUGGAAUCGUGCGCGAUCUGUUUCACGGCCACGAUAGAUCCAUCGCUCAACGUCCCCUUGAACACACUCCCGAAGGCACCUCGCCCAAGGAGCUCAUCUGCGCUGAACUGCUUCGUCGCCUGCGACAGCUCCCUGUACGUGAAGAUUCUUGGGCCAUAAAAGGUCGAGUCCGCAGGCUUCAGUGCUCCUGAGUUACCACUCUUCUUUGAUUUUGAUCCCGUGAUGGCCUUCUUGGAGCCAGUUUCCUUUCCAGGCUUGGCGGAACUCCCGAGGCAUUUUGCCCCACAGCACAAAAACCUCAACGCUGAAGUCAUUCAGAUAAAUUUCCCCUCCCCCCCCCCACCCCCCCCCGCACCUCCCUCCCUCCUCCCACAGUCUCUCUGCUGCACCAAACAAAUCUCUCGUGGAAGUCGAGCUCGAGCUCUGCUUUCGCCAGGCUGCCCAAUCACCCUGGCGCAUUCACACAAUUCCACACAAACCGCUGGCCCGGAAGCAAAUCCCCGCAGCCGAAUCGAUUCGGCGCAAUCAGGGUUUAAGCUCUCAUCGCUCCCUCACCUCCGAAGCUGCAACACACCACCAGACCCCAAGCCACUCCACCGAUGGUGACUUCAUACCACGCCUAGGUCAGGGUGCAGCUCGAUUCCUGCUGGCGAGUUGAAACCCACCACCCUACGAGAGAGGAUGGACGAAUUGACAAGAUUAGCCAACUCGUCACAUCCGCGAAACUAAGAUUCGUUUCCCCAGUGAUGAAAGUCGUGCUGCUCAUGCACCUCCAGCACAGGAGCCCUGCGCAAGAUGACGACGACUGCAAUCUUGGAAGCGCGCGACGACAACGUGUGGGAUAGUGCCGGAAUUGCACAAUUCCGCGUUGCCGCUUCAUUUCCACCCCAUCGCCUUGUGAAUUCCACUCAGCCCCACCCUACUGCAUGUCUAGGUUGGGUAGAUCCCCCCAUGUUGCGGUGCCAGGACGAGCGCUUGCUAAUAACGGCCCCAUUCCGGGGAUUCGGCCCCUCCACUAGUGGAUCGGGGACUGGUCACUGGCUGUCCAUCCCGUGCAGGCUAACUUAUUGAAUUGGGUGGAUUCAUUCCUCCUCGGCGAGCCCAGACUUACCAUCUCUGGCAUCAUCUGGGGCGUUGCGGCGUUCCCGGAGCGAGCCUCCACCAUCAAGUCGUUCGUGCUUCGACCAUUUCCGCCGGAUUUAGCAAGCUGCUUCUCUGUUUACUCACAUUUGUUGUUUCGGUUGCUCUUUUCUGUCACUUCUUCUUGCGAUCUCCCCCUCCCCCCCCCCCCCGCACAGUGAUCUCCUCCUCGAGUAGCUUCCCCAGCCCUCUCACCCACCGACCGACUUCACGCUACCUCUCCAGUGUCUGCGAAUGGCUCCCACCGAUUGUUGCUGCGCCAUUGCUGUUGCUAUUGCAAAUUGAUCGAUCGAUCGAAUGAUUCCGCUCUCGUUACUACUUACUGCUCAUUCAUAGUCCUCCUCCUCCCUGGCCCUGGACGAUCCACGGCACCUGAAAGCACCAAUCUGUGCUUCGAUAAUUUUUGGUCGAAGCGCCGUCCAUCACGAUCCUCUCAUCGCUCCCUCUCUCUCUCUCUCUCUCUCUCUCGCUACUUCCGUCGAAGUGUUUUUUUAUUUUUUUUUUGGCCUCGGUUUCUACGCCUCGUCGACAGUUUUUUUUUAGCUGUUUUCUCAUUCGACAGACAGACCGCUGCCUGUGCAAAGGUUUCAGAAUCGGUGUGAUUGAGAUUUGAUCAAAUUUAAGAUCGUUUGGUUUUAGUUUCUAGGAACUUUAGAAGUGGGUUUCACAUCAUGGAUUAUCAGAAAAAUAUAAAUAAAAUAAAUAAACACUCGUAUUGGUCAUUCAUAAAUAGAAACUAGUUCCAAUUGCACAAUUUGUUGUGGUUAUAAAGAACUAAUUCAAUCAUGUGCCAUUAUUUAUUGACUGAAUUAUUUUUAAACUAAAAAAAUUAUAAUUUAUCAUUGACAUGUAAGUAGCUGUAGCUGUACACCUCAUACAUUUUCAAAUGUUUUAAGACCCACCUAAUUCUAACACUGCUUUUUUGAGUAUAUAGUCAUAGCCCAGUGUAUAAUCCUGAGACUGCUGGUAAUGAAUAUGAACCACUUCUCUAUGUAUACAUAUAUGUGUGCCAAAACUGAAGUAAACAUGUCUACAAUUUUAGAAUUAAAACUCGUAUCAUUAAUAUAUAUAUAUUAAAAUUAUUCUUAGUAUUUUAAAUUUAAUGUCUAAUCCAUUAGUUGUCAAAAUUAAAUGUGUUGAAUAGACACGAUUUUAUGCAUACAUUUAAUGGCAUUUUUAUUUCUAUUUUUGAUUUAUUUUGUUUUUAAAGUCAAAUUCUAAUACAACACAGAAAAAUCAACAGUGCAUUGAGAAUUAAGAGUAUGAUGUUGAAUCAUUAUUUUAAGUGCAUCUUUUUGAAAGUGGUUUGAGAUAGAUUUGAGUAUGGCUUGUUAUUUUUGCAUUUUUGCAUUUUUGCAUUUUUUUUUUUUUAAACCUAAAUCACUGAGACACAGAAUUGCUCUUUUAUAGAUUAACCAAAAUGGUUUUUUUUAAACACAAUUGCAAUCAAUUACACAUAAAUAUCAAAUGAUUUGAAAUAUUUACCAACGACUUUUAUUUAUUAUUUUAUUUAUUUAAUAUUUGUGAUGACGAUAAGAUUGCAGCUUUGUUUUCAAAUAUUCAGUUUUUACAUCAGAGCAUGUUAUUUAAAAUAAUAAUAUUCAUACAUGAGAGAAAAAAACCAUAAAAAAUAAAAAAUAAAAUCUUUUGAUUUUGUGUUUCUAAUUCAGUAAAAGAGUUAAAUAUUCACAUAACUAAAAAUGUUGAUAAUAAAGGAAAGUUUCACAUUACAUCAAGGAAAGUUUCACAUUACAGCAAUUAAAUAUAAUCAAGGAAUCAAUAUACUGCUAUUUAAUUGUAUCAUGUAAUACCUUUUAAAACUUACUAUAUGUUUUUAUAUAUAUAUAUAUAUAUAUAUUGAAACAUGCAUGCACAUCAGUGAAUACUAAAAUCAAUAAAUUCUAAAGUUUGUUUAUUAGUAACAAAUAAAGUGAUCAUGGUUAUUAAAAUGCUUUUUUAUGGUUUUUAUUAAACUAACAAUUUGUUAGAUAUAACUUUAAUUAUUUACUUUUGUAUGAAUCUAUAAAAUUGAUAACUUUUUCUACUGCUCUCAACAACAUGAAUUUAUUCUAAGAGUUAAAGUGGAUGCAAUUGGAAGAGCGUUUAUUAUUUUAUUAUUUACAUGAUCUGGGUAGUAUAUUAGUACUACUCGUGUGCUCCACGACACAUGUUUCUAGUAGCAUACGUAUCCCUAUACAAUACUUGUCUUAGUCUAUACAUAUCACCAUUGUAAAAAAAUUACAAGUUUUGUUUAAGACCCAUUUGAACAAGCAAAAGUAGAAACAUAUGAAAUAUGCAAUCCCUCCAAUUAUCCAAGGUAUUACAGAAACAUAUACAAGUUUUUUAUCUUUACAUUUUUAUUAUCGAGUUGAAAAGAAUGAAUGUAGAUAUACGACACCAAAAUAAUAAACAGUUCCACAAUGAAAUUCUUGACUCUCAACCCAAACAACCUGGUUUUUUCAGCACAUAAUUCUACUUUAAAGCAGGAGUAUCCCCUAUUCAUCCGUAUUAAAACGAAGGAACUGAGAGCAAGUAAAAGCUUUGAAUUGAUGGGAGGAUGAUGAUUAAACCCAAUGGGGAAUUUGAUUUGCAAUUACAAAACAUGGGUCAAAUGAAAAAACAUUAUCAUCACGCACCAUUAAACUUUACACCACGAAGAGAAGGGGGGAAAAUAGACCCGUAUGCACUAGUCCACACCCGACCCCGAAGAACCUCGGGCGCCACGUGGCUUGAUCCUAUUCGCAGGAAUGUGCUUCUAUUUCACAUGGCAAUCCACGUCACGGGCGUAGAAAUUUCCUAACCCGGAAGGGGGAGUGGGAUUCGCACUUCCCAGAAGCUGACUUGGCAUCAGAGCACGGACCUCAUUUAAAUGGUAGAGUCCAAGUCAGCAAAUUUCGGGAGUCGUAACCAAUGAGAGAAACGCUUGGACGCGAAGAUUGGCCAAGAGAAAGACACGCAUUAACCAAUCGAGCGCCCGCCGUUCCCUUAACUGGGAAUGAUGACACGUGGCGGAAUAUUAAUGGACAAGAUCGGUGUGUUUCAGAAAGAGCACUAUCUGCAUUGAAUGCACUUGGGCGUGACCACAGAACCCGAAUUCAAACCCCUGGGAAGAAACUCGCUUUCAGGGUCUUGAGCCCCUAUCACCGGGACCCGCCCCUUUAUGACCUGCACCCAUCACCGCUUGUGUACUACCAAAGGGUCCAGUAGCUAUGGCCCACACUUAUUUCGGAGCCUCUUCACAUCGUUCCCCGUUGCCUUUUCGGAUCUAAAUAGCACAACUCACAUGGUGGUGUUCCCAAACAUGGCCACGAGCGGGCGAUUUUACACAUUUCAUUUAUGUAUAUGUAAAAUUUCCUUUACACGAAUGGAAUAGAGUGCUUGCUAGCGUGCGUGCGUUUGUGUGUGCGUGUUGUAUAUUUAUCCAUAUGCGUGUAAGAUCCAAUGCACAUUGAAUAUGAAAAGAAAAAAGAAAAAAAAGAAAAAAAAGAAGCACUGUAGGUUAGUUCAUCUUUACUUUGCUUUCUUAGGUUAACUCUUCCACAACGAAAGAAUUCGGCAGACAGGAACAUGAGGAUUCUGACAUGUUCUGGAUCGGAUCUGUUGUGAUGAGGAGGAGCUGCCGAGGAAUGCGUAGAGGAUCGAACAAGAGGGCUCAGGGAUGAGAUCGAAGAUGGAAUUGGAAAGCCAAGGUCCUUCGGGAUCGGAGCUUUCACCAUAUGGACGCUCUCUUGGUAACGUCGUUGGGAGCGACAUGAGGCCUGUGCGAGUUAUCAAACGGCGGGCUGGAUUAGCGGCGAGACGAUUUCACUGCGUGGAGCUUGGUUUACUUUAAGAAACGCAGACGAUGCCUUCAUUCUGUGGUGUGUUCAGCGCCUUUGCAGUCUCUGUCUGCUCGUACACCAGAUAUUCGAAUUUCCUGAUGUACGACCGCCUAAUUCAGGGUUCUCUGGGGGAGGUAUUCUGUGAAUGCUGUCGAUGCGCACGUAUCGCCUUACAACGAGCUGUUUGAUUUGGCAUUGCCAAAAUGACAAUUCAUCAGAUCUUCAUUUUUUCUCUGGAAUGUCUUAAUUUCUGACCCUAGAGGUUAUUUGUCUGUGGCACAGCAACAUGCGAUUGGAAGAAUUUGUAAUGAUUCAGAGUGCACGAUUAUUCUGUGGAAGAGCAAACUGUUGAUUACACAUGUUGCUCUUAAUUGAUCUUGCUACAUGGGAUGAGAGGCUUUAUAUCUGACACAAUCGUUCGAUACUCAGGCUUAUUUUGAUAGUGAAGUGCUUGGCAAGGUGAACGGAGCUACUUUUUGCAGCCUAUUGCGCAGGUUUGUGCAACCUGAUUGCUGAAGCCGUUGGUAUAUUCCUAUACUCAUGCAUCGCGGCACUGCUCUUGUUGCUUUGUACACUUGAGCUCGACAUUGCUUGUUAUGUUGUUAGCACAAAUGUAUAGCAUGCAACAAUAUGAAAAAAAUAGCCUUAACAGAUCUCUGUAAGCUCCAAGGUCGCACAACCUUCUAUGGACAAGGAACAUUUAUCACAGAAUGAACGUCGAUCGUAUUGUCACAAUAGCACCUAAAUUGCUGGUCUAUACUGCAUAUGCUACGUACAAAUUUUCUGUAACAUCUGGAGCAUUUUUUCUUUUUUAUAUUCAAAUACUCACAAACACACAUAUAUAUAUAUAUAUAUAUGAUCUUCUUUUCUGCCUCAGACGUGACGAUGUCGCUGGAGUGAUCCUUGAUCAUCACCUUUGAAGAAGCUGUUGAUUCCUCGAGUAGUUGGAAAACUGUUGGAUUUGGUGCUUCAGCAUUGUAUUCGAUGAGCACUGUCCGAUCUAUUGUCUCUGGUAGAGGAUCUAAAGAGGUGAUGUAGGUCUACGUAUCCAUAUCACUUCGUCGUCGCCGCUUGUCUGCAGAUCUGAGAAUGGACCCGUUUCUUUUUGCAUGUUUCUGUGCGAGUUGGAAUUUGUCCUGUAUUCAAUGUUUUAAAGAUCCGAAGACGCUUAUUACUCUUGUAGUUUGAGUUUUAUGCUUUAUGAUGACAAGCAUGUUUUUUGUUGCAAACAUGUACUGAAAUACUGCGACAACAUAUAUAUAUUUUAAUUUGAAAAGUUGGAAUUGUUCUACAAUACACAUGAGUUGUGUCAAAAAGUAGAUUUUAUUACUUUGUAGAUUUAAAACAAUCCGCUACAAUAAGAUAGAUGAAAAUGAUAAUUUUACAUCAUCAAUAAAAUAAAAAUAUGAUAUCUUGAUUGAUUGAUUGAUUUAUUUAUUUUAAAUUUUAAACACAUACCCCUUAUAUGCUUCUUCUUGCAUAUUUGCAUUCCAAAUUUUGUAGUGUGGCUUAGAUAGUUUUAUUUUUUAUUAGUUCAUUGUACUUUCUCUCAACUUUUUUUUUCACAUUAUUUAUAGAACAGUGAUAGACCUUGCUAACCACAUAUAACAACGCCAAUAGAAGUCAAAUUGACAAAAAAUACAAACGUAGUCCAUUUUGUUGAUUCAUGUAUACUCUACAUUAUUUUACUACAUUGCCAAUAAAACAUUUUGAUUUUCUGUAUGCAAACCUCAAUAACCAAAGAAAUAUUUGUCACAAAGUCAUUAAACUCCACAAUAUUUUACAAACAUUGACAACAUUAACUACCUUGAAAGCAAAUAUUCUUUCAAAAUAUUCUUCCCACAUUCUAUCAAAUUACAUCCUUCCGUUGAAAACCAUGUAAAUAGAUCUUGUUGGUUCUUUUUUAACUUCACCUUAUUGAUGGGUACCCACUGUUUUUAUCAAAGUCUUAACAUCAAUUGCCACUGUUUUUAUCAAAGUCUUAAUAUCAAUUGCAAAUACGAAUUAUUCGAACUCAUGAAAAACAACACCCAAAAAAAUAAAACAAAACAAAAUCGGAGCAUAUCUGAGUAGAAAUACAGAAAGUUAUUUACACCAAUAAACAAUGCAGGAUAAAGAGAAAAACUAUCUCAAAACUUUAAAAUGCUGCAAGAUGACGUGCCUCUAAUGCUUUCACAUCCUUCACUCUUCACUGAAGGGGUCGAGUCAGGAUUUGAGGGUUUGGGGUUUAGGGUUUGGAGACUCGAUACCCUUAUGAAGUAGAUCUCGGCAGCAUCCUCUGAAUUCUCUCUAGUCUUUCACAAAUCUCUGGAAAGGCUGGUCUUUUCAAAGGAUUUGUGUGCCAGCAUUGCUCGAUGAGCUCCUUCAACUCUGAGUUCAGAUCUGCAGGGAGCUUCGGUCGAAGCCCUUCUCUCACUCUGUGGUAAUCUUUUCGUUUUAUAUCCAAGAAAGGAGUUAUUCCUGUCAAGAUCUCGUACGAUGUAAUCGCGAAACUGUAAACAUCUGUUGCCUUAAGAUCAAGCUUUCCUCGUGUUUCAUCGCAGCCUGGGAGUAUUUCAGGUGCCCGCCAAAACCCAGUGCCUGCAUUCAUGUAAGGUCCUCGUGCUUGGCUUGAAUCCGAAGGCAGUUCGAGGUGAGAGAUGCCGAAGUCCACAAUUUUCACGUCUAGACUUCCAGCAUGUUCCUGAGCGAGCACAUUGACGGGCUUCAAGUCUCUGUGCAUCACCCCCUUAAAGUGCAGAUAGGCCAUACCUAAUGCAAUUCUGGUGAUGAUGAACACAGCCUCAUGGAUGUCAAAGGGCACAACAUCACAAGCAGGAAUCUUCUGUCCUGUCGCCUCUGAGAUUUUUUUCUGCAUCCGACUGUAAAUCAACUCAUGCAGAUUGCCUUUCAUGUACUCCAUCACAAUUGAGCACUUAUCUUUUGAGUCCACAGAUAAACCUACCAUCUGCACUAUGCAAGGGUGACGACUUAGGUUGAUCAAAAAAUCCACUUCAUGCUGCAGGUCUCGAUGAGAUGAGCCUGUUUUAAACCUCUUCACAGCGAAGGUGCAGCCUAACCAGGUUGCCUCAUAAACUUUUGCAGAAUUCCCGUGUCCAAUACAUCUCACUUUUUUGAGCUCCCCGGGCGGAAUCCUCAAAUACUCAGGCACCAUAAGCUCACUAGGACUGCGACGAAAAUGGGUACUAUCUUCUUCCUGCGCCUCCCACGUGCUCGACUGUUCUGGUGUUUGAAUUUUUCGCUUCCUUCCAAUCAAGCCGAAGACUGCCUCCCGAACUAUGGAUAUGCCCCUGAAAACACCCAACACGUCUUUCCCAGGCGAAGUAAUUGUAACAGGAGGCUUUUUGGACCUUGUUACUCCUAAAAGAUGACAGAUAUUUUCAAAACUCGGCCGGAUCCUAGGUUCUUUAUCCCAGCACGUUGUAAUUAGCCCCUUGAGAGACUUGUCUAAGUCCUCAGGCAACUCUGGCCUAAAGCCUUCUUCGAUCUGUUUUAGAAGGUGAUCAUCUUUUAUUCCAUCGAAGGGGUAUUUUCCUGUCACAAUUUCAUAGCAAGUCAUUCCAAAACUGUAAACAUCGCUCUUCUUCAAUGACUCCUUCGAAGGCUGUAAUCCACCAUACUCUGCAAUGGCCUCAGGUGCAGUCCAUCGAGGCCGUCUUGUCAAACUUGCUUGUUUGAAUGCUACAGGAUCCCACUCUUUGUCGAGUUUCUGAGACCCCCUGAGAUCAGAGAUUUUGACUUCAAGGUAUUGAUCACAAUUCUUAACCAAAAGAUUAGAGCACUUGAGAUCUCCGUGUACAUAUCCCUGUUGGUGCAUAUAGUACAUGCCUUUCGCAAUCUGUGUAAUGAUAUCGAGUUCUUCACUCCGAUUAAAGGGCCGAGAAUUUGGUGUCGGAGCAAACUGCAAUUUCUGUCUCAUGAAGUCUCUUAAAUCUCCGUCCAUUAACUCCAUCAAGAAAAUAGAUUUUUCAUUGUCCUGACCAAAACCAACAAGGCGGGUAAUAUGAGGGUGCCUCAAUCCUUCCAAACAGCCAACCUCCUUCAACAAUUGUUGCUUGUUCCACAUUGCACCACCAACUGCACCAGCUUUGAAUACUUUAACGGCAAAAUCGCAGCCAAGCCAUUUACCGGAAAAUACAAGCACCCAACCAUCCAUCUCCUUUGGAUCUCGCGUACUUUGUCUCCUAUACUCGCGCACAGGGCUGUUGAUUUCUAUAGCCGCCAAAUUAAUUUUAAGAUAACUCGGCAACUCGUCACUGCCCUUUGCAUGCUCGUUCUUCUCCAGAACUACGUGUGCUAUCUUCUCCGCAUCCAUACCCAUAUCCGUUGUUCGACUCAACUCCUGAAUGUUAGUAAAAAUCUCCUGCAUCUCUUUCUUGUCCGCUUCGGCAUCUGCUGUCAGUAUAUUGAUCCUCGUCUGGACCGAUGUGGACUCGAAGACUUCCGUCAAGCCCUCAAAGUCAAACUGCGCCUUCAUGGUGUCGAGUUCUUCAUGAAUCUCCUUAAAUGCCUCUCGAUUAUCAGUCCGGCUAAUAACAAUGCUAAUUCCUUUAGGAUCCUCAUAGUACGAUACCAAACUCUGCCCCUUCAAUAGCACUGUGAGAAGAUCGUCAAAGGCAGGAUAGUCCUUGUUGCUGCUGCUGCUGCCACCACCAAAUGCUUUGCCAACAGUAGAAUAUUUGUCGCAGCUCAUGUUAUUCAGUAACUCACUUAUGGCAAAGUAACGAUCUGCAACGCGCUUGCACUGGCGCUUGUUCACCCAUACAGUUUCGGAGAUUUUCCGAACAUUCGCAAUAAUUGCCAAGGCUUGUCGGACUUGAUCAAUUGGCUCAUCGACCAUUUCCCAACCAGAAUCUGUGUGAAGAGAGAAAUCUGUUUUUAGAAAGGGAUCAUGUCUGUCAACUAGCUUGAACCACAUACAUUACGAUGCCAGGUUGAUCGCUAAGAAAACGUUCCCAAAAUUUGUUGCAUGUAAGGAGAAGUUGACUGGCUGUUACACUUCCCAAUGUGACAAUUUCGGUUAUCUUAGAUGUUCACUAGCGGAUGCAACUGAAGAUUACAAAACCAUGUUGCCCCUCUUCAUCGUCAUUUAUGCAUUCCAAUAAAUUACAACACAUUGCGAGUCGAAUUUGCAAGACAACACCAAAAAUCUACCUGAUAAAAAGAGCUUGCGAUACCCUUGUUGCAACUUAGUUGACCCAUUGAGUUGGAAUACGGCAGGCUUGUCAAAAGAAAUAAAAUGAAAUUAUAUAUAUACGUACAUGUGUAAGUAAAAAGGAAAGAGAAAAUUAAUUCAUAUCUUACCUGGAUCCGAAGACGUAGGAAAUGCCAUACCGUGAAGUCGGUGCUUUUCUCCUCACAGCUCCACAGUGUUGAUGUUAAUAAAAACCACAUACAAUGGUGAUAAUUUGCGCUCUAUAAACAGAAAUAUUGUGGGUAUUUAGCAUCAUACCUCAAACCUAAGAGACAGACUUAUGUUAACAAGUAGGACAAUUCACACGGCACCUUCACAUCCCUUGGCAUGAGGCAAACAAAUAAAUUAUGAAAACGAGGCGACAAGUACCUAACCAAAUAGACAAUAACGCAAACAAGAACUCAAUAACGCUGAAAACGUGCCUGAAACUUCACACGUCUACCUAAUCUGUCUCCCUUGUUCACUUAGGCUUGUCUAUGUAGUCAAUUGCUUAAAUGUUUACAUGUGUCAAAUCCACGUCCUUUUAAAUUGAGACAGUAAACAAACGGGAAACAAAUUCUUAAGCUGGAAACUGAAAGAGCGUUGUAGACAAGAAAAAUAGCCAGCUACUCGGAAUUAGGUGCAGGGAUAAUGAUACGGCAGAUUACCGCUACGAAAACAACCCCUCAAACUCCACGCAGUUCUCACCCAGCAUAAACCAGGCCCAACAAAAUCCACCACAGCAGAUUCUGAAGGCACAAUGUCUAGCCUCACCACACAUGACGCCAACUACAGUGACAUCGCAAACUUUACAGAAUUGAAAGAAGCGGAGUCCUCUGCAAAGAAAUAAAGAUGAGCACGAAUCAGCAAGAUAUGCUUUCACAUCUUUGAACAAAUUUCUUCUACGACGAUGCUGACCUAGUAUUCUGUUUCUUUUUAAUGCAUUCGUGAGUUGCGUAAGGUACAUACCUAGAGCUUCAACAAAGGCGAAGAACGACAAUUAGCUCCAGUGAUCAGGAAACGUAACCCACCCACCCACACAACUUUGAAAAUCCACCUAAAAAAUGCAUUCCUACCUUGAAGUCUGACGUCUCUUUACACCGCACAAUUGUAUGUUGAAUUCGACCCUGUUCCGUCUCUGCUGAUUCAACCUCCGCCAAGUCUAGCCAAGGGACGCAAAACCAAACCCUCAGAUCGAUCAUAAGCACGCGAGUCCAAACACCUCCGUCGCCAACACACUGCUAAACUCCAUAACCUCCUCGAUCCGCUAUGAACAGAAUACAUGAAGCUCUUUCUGUGUCCCGAAACCACACGAAGUGCUGCUAGACGCAAAUUCGAUGCUUGUACAGACAUUGUCUGCAUAAAAGUCAACUAUGCUUUGGAACAUGUGAUGUCGGUGCAUGAAUCCGACAACGCCAGUUUAAAUUUUCAGACAGUGAGUUACUUUCCAGAAAGAAUUUACUGUUGGAUUCUCCAAAGUAUCUAGUGGAUUUUCCUGUAAAUCCGCCCAUCUUUCCGAAAAGAGGAUCGGUUGAACCUGCUGAAGGGUUAUGACAUCACCGCUUCCUUUCAUGCCUCCUCUCUUCUUAUCAGGCGUGCAAAUUCCAAUUUCUUUCUCUGUUUUGGGUAAAUCCACGAACCCUCAAUCGGAUAGUAUGAUUUCUCAAACGGACUCACUGAACUUCCGAUCACUUUGUGUUAGAAACUAAAACCAACAAAUCACAGAGAUUCUUCCAUGUCACGCCGAAACUCCACAACCAUGCGACUCACGAUAAGGCUGGGAGGGUUGUGACUUAUCCCGAAGUCGCUAGUCUGUACUGAACAACUUGGACGAGAGUUAUCACACCAAGAAUGAAAAAUAAUUGAAACAUGUGGUGGACUGUCCCACAAAUUUAGAGGCAAAAGCCAUCCUUCAACGUAAUGGUGGACCCAACAACAAGAGAAAUACCUCGAAAUUCCAUCCUCUUCAGCAAAUGCCGCUCUCCAGCAACCACCAAGAAUGAGACCAACCGCGACUGCAUGUCCAUUCCUACGCCCCUCAAUAAAAUCCUGCGUUCUGUUUCUACACGAGCGCAAUGUGCUGAGUUUUUAGGAUUUCCUAAGCGAAACUGAUGGCGACUUCAUGUGACGACAGAGUCGACAGCUCGAGAUUAAACGCAAUGCCAUCAUCCGGAUGACACGGGUAUAAUUGCACCUUUCUAGGCGAAACAUGAAUGGAAUUCCGAGAAUUCAAGGUGGAAUCCUUCCGGAUAUUCGGUGGACUUCAAGAAGGAUGCCGACAUUUCGAUCCGAGCGAUUACAGGAGGACCUAAACGGCAAAUCAAGACGUAGAGUGAAGUGUAGAAUCGUCGUCAGCGGCGGUCGUCACUUCCCUCGAGCUCACCGCCGCUUGUGAGGCCCUCAACAGCAACUCGACUUCGCUGUGCUGCUCAAUUUGGGCAUUUCUGCGCUCAUGCAUGACACACUUGUUCGAUCGGUGCCCCGCACAUCUGCGUCGCUCUGAUGCACAUCGCCACUUCUGCCAUCACUUGCACUGCGUAUUGACAAGUUGCAUUUAAUCGGAUCCUUAUCACUUUUUUUGCAAAUUGCUUUCAUGAGGAUUGGUACCAUAAGAUGAUUAUCAAAUGCAAAUAAUUCUGUUUAACCAGAAUGUUACGCGUAUAUUGUGUACUUCUACUCGAUGGUCCAUGUCCCUAUGCAAUCUUGUUGCACUCAAGUUUUCCUAGUCAAUUGUUCACACAUAUUGAGUUUGUAUUCAAUUAGGUUCUCACUGUGUGUACACGUUGAUUGGACAAUGCGGACCAAAAUUUUCAUAAGUACCAAAAUAUGCAUAUAAUAUUGUAAUACAGAUGACAAAUGAUAGGUAGUAACCUGCGACAUUGUAUGACAACCAAACGAUACAAUGGAUAAGUACUAAACUGCCGAGUAUAUUUUCACACUGAAUUUCGUAAUGUCGUGGAUUAGACCUUAUUGGAGGGUUCAACGUAGCCAUUUCAUUAAGAAGAGUAGGAUUUAACUAUUCUAUUCUAAAAAAAAGAACAACCUACAAAAUUUGUUAUCAUCGUAUUAAUGAAAAGAGAUUGAAAGCUGUGCUUCGGCCAAACUCAUAAGUCCAUAAUAUCUCCGGAUGCUGCGACGAAUCAUGCUUUCUGAAUCGUAUUCACCGACAAACUGAGAUAGUCCCAAACCAGGCAAGCUCAUUUUUCAAAUUCUGGCAUCCAGGACUCAGAGUUCUUAUCGUUUCGCCUGUGGUCUUAGGUCGUUAGUGAGUAAUAAGCUAAGCAUACGCAUAUCGCUAUCUCUGGUCAUUGAUUACUACGAGUAUGACUAACUCAACAUCAUUGUGCAAAAAGGAAAAGAUAGUGUGCUCUCCGCUUGUGCUUCGGAACGCUGGCUGCAUAAGAACGCAUCCAUGAUUCCAUACUGCUUGCUUGGUUGCCAGAUAUAUAAUUGUCAGAUUCUAACGUGGACGGAGUUAUACGAUGGCGAGCCCCUGAGCUUCAGAGGUGCUAUCAUAUAUGAGCAUUUCGCGAGCAUUAAGAGCUUGACAUACGUUGAUCAUAGCAUGUAUCGUUUGGACCCGCUUGCCCAACUGCACCAUCUGCACAGAAAGUCUCUUCCAGUUGGCCCACCACGUGAGAAGUUGCGAAUUGACUAAGUUACUAGAGUGGGAGUCAAUGAUGUUAAUUUAAACUGAUGUAACGAUUUCUCUGUAAUGUUUCUGACAUGAGGGCCGCUUUCCAUACCCGUUUGGUGAUUACUAGUCAGUGCCGCAAUGACCACAUUGCUCGUUCAUCCUGAGGUCAGAAUUGUUCUGAAUGCGUCGUGUUGAUACCCUGUAUCAUAAAUGGCAUUCGAUGCUAAGCACUGAAAAAUCUACUGGAUGCCCUUCUGAUUAGCUGCAAAUACGCUCGUGCGCAUAGUUGCAAGGAAAUGCUACAUCUCGCCAAAAGUGAAUACCAUGAUAUACGUCAAUAGUAGCACCAGCCCGUGCGCUGUUCAUACAAGGAGGCAGCCACGAAGGUCCCCGUGGCGGCCUCGCACUUCUUACAGCAAUACGAAAUGAAGAGUUCAAGUGACGACAAACCAAGCUAAACUCCUUUUUGGUUAAGAUCGCUCCAGCCGUUUUCUUCACCUUGGUUGACGAGGGUAAGACUCAAGAAUGAUGGAAAUGUCAAUAUAUCACGAAUGUUCUUACCAAAGAAAUACACAGCACUGGUCGUGGCACAACCAAGUCAAAUAAUAAGCCUCAGAGAGCAAUCAUGAAGUCGUAAUGAGAUCCUCCCCCAUUCCAGAAGUGGGCCUUGCAGAUGAUAAUAAAUCGGAGAAACCUUUUCAAAGGCCAAGUUCAUCAGCACAGGUAACUCUAGUGACAUCCAAUACUGAAUUGUGAGUAACAAUUCAAUAUUCAAUCGUAAACAACCGACACUUUUGAUAAACCGGGGCCAUGACUGGUCAGUAUCAGUAAUUACCACUGCACACUCGCUCUGUCCACCGUAGUCGAAUGAACGAAUCAAAUACGUACAAGGGUCCAAUAUAUUUCAAUAUAACAGUUCUAGCCGUGUUUGGAAGUUGCAACAAUUUCUACGCAAGUCAAGCUGCUCCAACGGGUAUCACUGUCAGCGAGUGUGGUACUUUGAAAGCAGAACCACUGGAAGAAGUAUGUAUAUUUAUGAGAGCUGAAACCCACGCUGCCAACACCAAUAUUGAAUUGUUACUCACAAGCAUGUCCAUGUGAUGAAUGCCAAAUCUUACCAGCUGAGUGUGAACAUAGCUUAGGGUUGCUUCGAAGGCCGUUUUCUGCGAAGGAAAGGCAGUGCCCGAAAUCCACUGCUCGCACUAGUAUGCAUUUCUUCAAUGGCUACUUGGGUUGCCGUCUGGAUUAAUUCCUGGUCUACAUUCGAUAAAUCUGGCGUAAUAUCCGCAUCCACUUGACCACUGACCAGCUCAUUGGGAUCACAUGGCUCAGUUACAUCCUGUUCAGGCUGAAUGUUGUCGUUCUGCUCGUGAUGACCUUCGAGACCUGGAACGACAUCUUCCUCAGGUACACAGAAACCUCCGCCACUAAAAAGAUACGAGGGCGUUGGCACGCUCCCCGUUUCAGCUGCAACAGCUCCCGUCUCUCUAUCUCUAUGGACGUCCCCAUCGUCCCUAAGGUGGCCUGCUCCAGCUCCUGCCUGAUAUUCAGCAGAACUGGAUUGAACAAAAUUGCGGUGAUCAAUAAUCUCUUCAGCGUGGUCUUCUCUGCUUGGAUUCGAAGUUUGGCUCCCAGUAGAAACAUCAUCUUCAUUCUCGGGGUUAUCCGCUGCGUCAUCAGAACCUGCUGGCUCAUUAUAAUUAGCUUCAUUCUUGCGAGCUCUGCUAGACUGCAAAAAAAUAAAAACAGUUGUGCGGUAUUAGAAUAAGUAAAAAUGCCGACCCUCGAGCAUAGAAUUCAUAUUAUACUAAUACAAAAAUAUUAGUACUACUCACCCUACGAAUUGGCAAAAGUUGGUCUUCCGCUUUCCUUUUUGGUCUGCCUCGUUUCGUUUUCAUCUCGAUUACUGUGUCGUCAUGGUCACUUUCACUAGAAGCAGUGGAGGCGCUAUCCUCGUCUGCUUUAGUAACGUCAGAAAUUCUACCUCCUCUACUUCCUCUUCCUCUUCCCCUUCCCCUUGUUUUAACAGCCUCUUUGUUGUUCUUUCUAUUCCUUCUUCCCCUCCCUCUCCUGUUUGCGUGACCUGAAGUAAGAUCUUCCGAAUCUGGGAGGCCUUCUGCAACAUCCACAUCAUAUCAACUUUAGUGAUUAUUGAGGGAUAUGCAGUUGUCAUACACAAAUUCAAAUACUCAGUUUCAAGUUGGUUAUUCUCAUGACUGAGUUGUACCUGUUAUAUUUCCUUGCACACUGUUCAAGUCUGCUUCUUCCACAAGUUCGGUUGCUAUUUUUUCAACUGACUUUUUGCUAGAGCCCUUUCUCUGCUUCUGUUUCUUAGCAGGGGGACCAUCCAAAGAGGAAACGUCCACCAACUCUUUAGAUAAUCGACCUGUGGUUCCCCGAAGGGCCUUUUGAAUGCGAGCACUCCUGACUUUAGCAAACCUUUGAUUGAAAGCGUAGAAGGCAUCCAUGCGAAGUUGUGUCUGCAGAAUCGAACAGCAGUAUAAGAUUACAAGCAUAAGAUGGGCAGAGACGACAUUAAUUUCUGAACUAAACACAAACAAUACCUCUUGCCGAUCAUACUCCUUCAAAACGGACAAGAGCAAUUCAUCUGCUUUCUCUUUGGGCCAAGAAAACCGCUCAAGACAAAACCUGCAAUACAACAUGGAGUUACUUCAGCAAUAAAAGAAAAACUGUACUUGCGAGCAAUAAAACCAUCCUUGAAUACCACAACAUAGGAAAGCAUAAUAAUCAAGCCAUCUAAAAGUAAGUCUCAGAUACUCGUAAGAAAAUAUUCCCUAAAAAAACCGCUUUCACAAUGGGGAAGCUGGAAUUACUUUCGAAGAGCCUCAAGGUCUGGUCGACCCCAUGAGAAACCUUGUUUUGAUUUCUCUACACGAGGACUUUUAUAUUCCGCCACAACUGCUUCACUUGGAAAGGAUUCUGGGAUUUUCCAAUUUUUGCUUACAGCCCUCUGCAACAAUCAGAUGUUAUCCUUGGAUCGGGAGACCAGCGUUUCAUCUUCAUAUAUUCCACAAGUGGCCAAUCUGCUCCAACGCAGAAACUUACAAAUAUACUGAAGCAGAUACCAACGGGCAGCUCGGAAACAUGAUUGUUAGCCAUCAAAAAAGGGCAAUGCUUAAUGAUCUUCCCACUCACAUGACUCUCCAUAAAUGCUUGCUGGCGGAGCUCUCUGGCAGCAUCAUCCUGAUCAUCUCCAUUGCUGGUUUCUGCAGCUUCAUUAGUGGCAUCAUCUUCACCCAUAUCGUCUGCUUUUUCCUUUUUGUCCUUAGCUUUGCUCCGUGAACCCUUUCUUUUAAAUCCAUUACCUCCAAGUUCAAGAAGAGACAAAUCUACAGACUCCACCAUCUCUUUGAAGUUUUUAAGCCCAUCGUCCUCGUCAAAUGCAUUAACUACCUCGAUAGCAUUAACUAUGCCAAUGCCACUGCACAGAUGCGAGCAAUUUAAACGGAGUUGCUAGUGAACUUCAAAAAGACGUCAAAAAUAAUAACCUCAUAAAAAAUUGUGAUACACCAAUACCUUUCUGUGUAAACAAUAAAACCCUAAUCCAACACAAAUUCACUCUCCCUUUCACACGCAACCGUAAAAAAUAAAAUUGUGUGUUUCGUUGACCUCGUCGACAACUCUUCUUUUUUAAUACAAAUUCAGCUAUCUGAACUAGGAUUUCAACCUGACGCCUUCCGUGUAGUCACUUCCAAGUAAUAGAGCCAUUCGUAUGAGCUUAUCUCGAUCCAACCCCAACUCAGUCUCAACAUCCUGCCACCAGACAAUGCACGUUUUAACAUGAGUGAAUGACUACGAACUGCGCUGCACAACUGAACACGAGUAACCCAAAAUCAAAUCAACGAUCAUGACCAUAAGAAGAAAUGGAACCUAUGCAUGCAGACUUUAACAUUCAUCAAAAAUUGUAUAUUACCUUCAUGUAGUACGUUUCCACGUAUUUACGGUCAUCGAAGAUAUUCUUGUACACAUUGCGGCCUCCAAACAGGAAGACAUCAACAUCAUCGGUCACUACACCAUCAACUAACUUCUCUGCAUCUAGAAACGCACAUUGUGCUUCUGCUUCCAUGGGAGCAAUCACAUAAGGCAACCCAAACAUUUGCAACAGCUCCUGCACAAUACAUAAAUGUCACUACACUUGUGUGGCAACAAGCAAGAGUUAAGGACCUAGUUCUAAUUCGAGGCAAAGUAUUUUCACUCAUUAAUCAUACCCGAACCCUUGGAAAAUUUUAGCGGUCAUUACUUACUUGGCACUCUGCAAACAUCUCCGAAGUAACAGAAUCUGCAUUGCGCUCGUUCUUUUUCUGCAAUUCGCGGAGCUCAGCUUCUUCUUCUAGAAGGAGCUCACGUUCUUUAUCUAUCCCUGCAAGUAGUUCUUCUUGUUCCUUCUCAAAUACAGCCUGCAAUUCAGCUUCAUCUCUUGAAAGUGCCUCACGCUCUGCCAAUAAACCGGCCUCAUGCAUCAGCAUUUCUUCCCGGUCCUUCGCCAGAUCCAUGUCUUCAGCGUCUUUCAGCAUUUCUUCCAUUGGUAACACACUUUCUGAGCCGGGUUUGGCAAAAUUAGGCUUCACAACUGUAUUCAACCCACCACUACACAUGAGGAGCAGAAUCUUAAAAUUUUACGUGAAUCCAGAACAUGCAUCAGCAAAAUCUCGAAUCAAAUAAAACCCUGCUCUUACCAAAGCAUUCUCCAGUGUCCAUAUAAGAGGCCAAUGCAUUGAAGGAUGGCUAGUAUGAAGACAUCAGAUGUACGAUUUAACUUCUAAGAUGUCGAAAACUCACAGUAAUACUUUAUUCUUAAUGUUCUUAGACAUCCAACACAAAAUUGGAUGCGUGCAAGCAUUGACAAACAGUACCUGACGAUAAAUUAUCAUGCUGAUCGGGCGUGGGUGAGCUUCCCUUUGGGCAAUUGUUCACGGCAUCAUGCACUGACUCCACUUCUUUAAGGAUAUCUGCCUUCUCGAUUCUUUCAGGAUUCUCAGGAACGUCAGUUUCAACAUCAACACUAAUUUCUGCAUUGCUCUUUGUCCCAUUCAGUAGUGCUUUUAAAUUCUGAUCAGAACCAACUUCUCUGUUUACAAGAUCAUCAAUUGCGAAUCCUGCAACACCAACAUUCACAUUCGCCAGAUUAUUCAGACGGGAUUUUUCUUCUUUUUCGUCAUCAUAUUUCGAUGGGUCCUGACGUGGAUUGUUGUUAAAUGCGACAACGGAACUGACUUGUGUUUCAUCCGUUGAAGGAAUCUCUUGAAAUUGCUGUCGGACCUCAGCAGCUGCUCUAAUCACACCAGCAGGAGAUGAAAUUAUUAGAUCUUCAGCAACAGCCUUUCCCUUCCUCGCCCGCUCUCGUGCAAUUCGAGCUUCUUCUGAGUCUACAUUAAGACCCUUAUCAACGGUGGCAAGAGACUCCUGCUCUUCAACUCUGGAUACACCCCCAGGCGACGCUUUAGCACCACCCUCAACAGGUUCUCGGAUGACUAGCUGAGGGAGAGCCCGCACGGGCGCUCUCCACACAUCAUUUAAACUCCGGCGUGUAGCUUCUUGAACCUCAAUAUCCUCUUGAGUCAGCCCCAAGCCUGAAAAAUCCAAAAACAAAUUUCAGAAAAAGAAAAAGCACUGAAACAUGGCUUCCUUGCUUCAUUCAUGAUAACCCCUUCACAACAGAGACCCAUAAACAAUGGAAAACAACAAUCAUACUACACAAGCAAUACAUCAUACAAUACAAAAAAGACGGAGAGGAUAAAACAACGUCGAAAAGAAACUUAGAAGUAACGAAAGAAGCGUGCGGAUUUGCAAAGGUUUGACCAACGCAACCACUGGAAAUAGGAUAAAUGUAGCAGCAAGUGGAACCGGACCUGCUGCGACAGUAAACCCAGCUGCUGGUACUGCAACUGCACCGCUGCCAUCCUCCCACUCUACUUCACUUUCACCACUCUCCCCUGUGUCACUGUCAUCACUCAGUCCUGUAUCUUCAGAGUCAGGAUAAACCCCAGGUUGAGCAGAUCGGAGUCUAUCAUGUUCCGCUAAGCUCUGCUGAAUUGCAAGGGCCAUCUCUGCAUCACUAUCACCGCCAAGAGUCAAAAUAUUUCCAGCUGGAGUUUGAAUGUGUGAUUCUGAAAGAAUGCUUUUACGAUGGUCGAGCUCUUGAACUCCAUUGCUACUCUUCAAACCAGGACUAGGUUCUUGUGCACCUUGUAAAUCGCCAUCUUCCCAUUCACAGUCAUCGUCGUCAUUCUCUUCUGCAACAGGCACCAGCGCCGAGGCAGUGCUCUGUACUAGUGGCUUUUCAAGGGAGCCCUGGGGUCCAUCUCUGACUAAAUUCUUGAAUAGAUCUAAGUCUUCGUCCUCGUCAUCUUCAUUGCUGUUAAAGGUGAUUUGGAUGCUUGGCACAUGCGGCAUACCAUCUGGAUUAGAAGCUACCUUAGGCCCUACACCUGCAGAUACGUCAUCGUGUAUAAAUUGAUCAGCAUCUACUUGAACUAGCACACCGGGACUGGUGGGAGGCCUUCCUGAGAGAGACUCGGAAAUACUAGGAUUGUCUCCCAUUAUGAGCUUCUGAAACACCUCGCCAUCUCCACUAUUGACUGCACUCUCUGCAAAGGCCGACACAUUGUCAUCCUUCAAUUCUUCGAGUGCUUGCCGCUUCUCCACAUCCUUCAUAAGAUAGAGAUUCCACUGCAAAUCUCUAGUCAUAAGGACACCCAUGCCCCGAACUCUACUCACUCGCGUCCUCCCUUUUUCGUCCACAUAUGUUUGCACGGUGCUAUCUGAAUUCUUGAUAACAUCCGAAUCUGUGCUUAAUGCUCCUCCAUUGAUUGGCAGUGACCUGCACGCGAAUAAAUUCAAAACUAAAAAUAACUUAGACUUGAUACAAAUACUAAAUAGAAAAAAGGUUUGAAUCUUAUGCUAAUUCACAGCUGCUAAAGAAAAUCAUCCUCAUCGCGCAUGCACAAAGCAGAACUGUACCCACAAUCGGUAAUCUAAUGAAUGAGACAUUUUACAAGAAAUUACAAGGAGAAACUCCCGGCACGUUAUUAUCCAACCUUAAACCUGAAUGCUCAAGAAACGUACGUGAAAUUGGUACAUAGAAGUGACGAUGAAGUAGAUGCAGGUGGUUGCACUUUCGGUUGAGGAGGUUUCAACGAGGUCAGUAUUGAGUUACCACCACCUUCUCCAGUCAAUGCCCUGUCAACUUCAAUAUGAGUUGAAACUUCAGAGUAAAAAACCUACAUAAUAGUCUCAUUAACAAAGCUCACUCAGGUUAUAUAAACAAAAUGACUUGUUACACUAAAGUGAUACCUAGCCUGCACAUUGAAGGCUGAUUGACCAAAACGUAAUUAGUUAACUUCUAUCCUUUCGCACUCACAUAUUAACCGACCUCUUACAUAUCCUAAAAUACAUGCCUCUCAUCAACAGAAGGAAAAAAGGCUCUUUCAAAAUUAUGAUGGCUAAAACACCCUGCACUAUAUACAAACAGAAAGCUUACGUUUUGUCUCCUUGAUAAGAAGUAGUGAAGACGAACUCCCGAUUUGUCUCAGAUGCAAUACGAGUGACAGGUACACCUCCCACACCCUUUACAGCAGCAGCUUUUUGUGCAUCCUGAAUUCCUCUGCGAAAUGCUACUGUCUUCAAAUAAGCAUCUAUUUGUAGUUGAGAAAAAGAAGAUGGAACCUGCACACAUUUUCUCAAAACCAAGUGUUAGGUUGCAUCUCUAAUAUCAAUAGCAGCAUAAAUAUUGAACCCGCUCAAAACCAAUAGUGAUACGUAACCUACGGGAACGGUUGUACUUUAGAAUUGAAAAUACUCAAGUCUGCUUAGACAGGACAUUUGUACCAAUCUAUGAAGGUUACCUAGAUCCUUGAGAUUAAAAGUAGCAUAUCUCCUGUGAAUCAGAUAAUGUUUUGCGACAGGGAUGGAUGCUCAACCUUGGCAACCUUCUGAAACUUAUGUCGAUUUUCAGCCACAAGCUGCUCUCUCAUCUGCAGAAAAAUACAAAUCAAUUACUGACACCGAAAAGGUGGGCGAAUACUCAUGAAUCACCAUGAAUCAUUCAAACUUCAAGCUAAGGCAACGUAAUUGUAAAUACGUAUUCGUCAACUACGGUCACAGUUGUAUCAUUCUUGACCAUCACACCAACCAAUACACACAAUCAAAUAUGAACUAAUCAUACCUGCACUAAAAGUUCCAGCUGCACUGAAGCAGGCAGAGAUGCCAAAACCUCUGGAUCCAACUUUCCUUCCGUUGAUGGCUGCACGAUCACGUACAUUUGUAUCAGUCGGCAAAUGAGACAUGGUAUUAACAUGACCUUAACUACCUCUUGAAAGUUUUGAGAGGUAUCACUGAACCCUGUAACAUCCAAACAAGGUUCCCAAUCUAAGAACCUCGCCAAUGGUAAAUCUGAGGCUUAGACAAAGUUAUUUAUAAUAAAAUAAAUAAAAAUUCAUCAUCUACAUAUCUAAUACCAGCAAAGAUAUUCAAGAACUAAGAAAGAAAAGAUUUGACCUGUAACCAAUAUCAAACGACACGCUCAAAGGACUCGAAAUUGUCGGCCAAGAGUAUUCUUACUGCAUCUUCUGGAUCUAAAGAACCAAUCCAAAAUCAAGUGAACAAACGACAAGGCCAGCAGAUAACUCAGAUAUGUGCGGAGAGCAUGUGUUUAAUAUGUCUCGGUAUUGUUCUUUUUCAUGCUACAGAUUUUUUUCAUUCAAACGACAUGAGCAUAUAAAGGAUGAGAAAUAUACUUACAAGGUACACAAGCUCUUCCUCAUCAUCCUCAUCCAAGUCCUGUUUCUCAACCUCGUCCCACCCGUUCAGUCCUUGCACUUCAUGUUCUGGUAUUUCAGUGUCCUCAUUGUCUUCCUUCUUAUGUCCUAUCAUUGAAGUUACCAGCCUGACACAUUUAUCAGGUCACACGAUCGAAAUUCAGUUAAUAAACUUACCGUUUCCAUUUUCCUUCACUUUUGUCACACCUAUGUUAGCCGCAUGAAGGAAGUCAUACUGCUUAAGGCUCAGCGAGGAAACUUACAAAUCAUCACUAGCUUCCUGCUUAAGCACAUCACUAUGUGAAGUUGCACCAGAAGAGGAAGGAAACCCUUCAGUGCCAUUCAUCCCACUAUCGACUGCAGCAACGUCAUUGCCAUUGUCGAUGUUAUUCCUCAUGGACGAUUUAUUCUGCGUGCCACCUCUACCAGCAAUUUCUUCCAACUUCCUAGUCCGUAGCUGUUCAAGACAUGAUGCAAUGUCAGCAGAGAUAGAGUGUGUAGCGUUGGUGACGAGAUAUUGAUUCAAAACUAAAAUUAUGAAAAUUAGUCUGGCCAUAAACCCUAAACCCAUGGAGUGCAAUGGCAACUAUACAGUCCCAGCAAAGAGUUCGUGGGUUCUUAAAAAAUCCUGACAUGUAGGCUAUUCAAUUUUUAAAGGAAAUAAGAAAUAUCUCCAGGUAGGAAGAGACCAAUCAAGCUCACAUGAUUCAAAAGCAGCUUCUCGGCAGUCUUCCGAAUUCUGGACUGAGCUUGCUCUCGCUGCCUCCGGCGAGCAAUUACGGUCCGCCUCUUCAGAGCAGGAGUACCUCCAUCAAACACAAAGACUGGCUUUACUCGCAGAAAAAGGAGCUUGCAAAUUCGGCGGAAGAACCCCAACAAGUGAGCAUUGCGGAUCAUAUCUCCACGAUCAUCACGCAUUGCCUUCAUAAAUUGGAUGAUCCAUAUACUUGCGUCUGUUGCAUCCACACGCAAAUGUUCCAAUUAGCCACAUCAUCAUCAUCAUCAUUCCACACAUCCAUCAUCCCUCAAGAAAUUGAUCGAAAUUCACCGUCUUGCUACUUCAUAUGAUUCAAAGACAGAUUCACAGCAAAUUGCACGCACCCUAAAAUGCGAAGAGUCAAGUAUUACAAGCAAUCUACGAACUGUCUGGGAUUUAGUCAAAAUAAUGGAUACACACCUAUAGCAAGCUUUCGACUUCCAAGAGACUCCACGGAAACUCGUCGCCCAACGGGAGCUAGAAGCUCCCACAAACCGUGAACUCCCAUCUCUCCACAGAAUCUUAACUAACCUUUUUAGUAGAUAAUUCAACUCCACUGAAUGGAAAAUCUCCGAACUACUAGCUGCUCAAUCCAUACACUCUCGAUCCUUCCUCUGAUUAGCUACAUACACAUGAAGACCUAACUCAUCAUCAACUACAAAACAGUUGCAUCAGACUUGAUGGUUCGUUUCAUACCCUGCAGUGCAAAAUUGAGAAUCUACCCAGAAGACUACCUAAUUACAACAGCCUUCCCAACAAGCAGCAUGGAAGCAUUAAGUCAUAAGUUGAGCUGCAACCGAUCAAUUGCAGGCACUGUUAGUAUAAGUUAAAGUCGGCACGCAAUGCCACUGCUCGGCGGAAACGGCACCGAGAAGCAGCGGCGGCAUUCCUUGACGAGUAUUAAUGAAGCUAUCCAGUGCUACGCAGAGUGAGAUGCAGCAAAUUGAUAGCGAGCGCACGAUACAGGCUCAUGAAAACCCUGACAGGGAGACUCUUCGUGACGAGAUGAGGCGGGCCAAAGCAAUGAGCUGCGUGGGACUCCCUGAGACUUGUGCUCUCCUCUCGAGUGAGACCCGGCGGCGGUCCGGCGACAACAAAGAAUCGUAUGCCCGGAUAUAUAUUCCUAUUUAUAUCCCAAUGUAUACUAAGACAAAUACCCUGAUUUAUAUCCUGAAUAGUACCCGGAUGUGGCACUGACCUCUACAGUCGUUUUGAAAAGUGUGUCACAGGGCAUAAACUCUUGCUCGAGCGAAAUAUCACGAUCGUGUGAACCGCCUAUUAAAAGCAUAGAAAUAGAAGAUUAGUUUCUAGAAAAAAAAUAAAACAAUGUGGCCUACAGAUGCUCUCAAUUCUUUGUGUUUUAAUUCUACAAAAUUAUAUUGACAAAUUUUUCGUCCUAGAAAGCAUGGAAAGUUUUGUUUUAUUUUAUUUAUUUAUUUUAUUGUAUCAUAACUUUUCAUAUAUAUUUUUUUUAAUAUAAUAAUGGUGGACAUAUUUGAGUGUGAUGAAUAAAACUUUUCAAGGUCAAUUCUUGUCAGAUUUUAUUUGAGGUACUUAUGGUAAUGAAAAUGAUUUUAAAAACAUAAUAUAAUAACAAUAACAUAUUUGAAAUGGUUUUUAUUGAAUGAAUCUUUGGAUCAACCUUGUUUAUUCAUAUUUUUUUAUGGAAAAUUUCUAAUAAACUAGUGAAAUUUUCUUAUUCUCAAAUUUUUUUGUUGUAAAACUAGAAUGUCAUGUGAUAUGGCAUUGGGUGCCAAAUUCCAUUGAAUGUACGUAGUUUAGUUUGAUUAGUGGUUUUUCAUCCAUUGAUAGUUUUUUUUAUUAGUUUACUUUGUUCAUAUCAAUUAGGAUUUGAGUACUUAAGUGGAAAAAAAAUCCUUAACUUAAUGUUCUUGUCUUGCAAGUGAUUUUGAGAAUGAAAGAACUUAUUGUAAAGGUUUAUUUGACUAUGGUGUUUUAGCCAUUUUAGUAAAGCUUUAGGAUUUCUCUUAUUUUCAUACUUGCAUUAUUGGAUUCCUUCUUUGUGGUGUGAGAGAUAACUUGACUUAGUUUGGUAUAGAUUUCUAAUCUUUUACAUGACAAGAAUCUUUCUUUUCCUUCAAAUUAUAGUAUAGCAAGUUAAAAUGAAGUAGAUUUAAAAUUUUAAAAAAUAAAUUAAAAAAUCCAUUUUUUUUUUAUUUAUUUUUGCUGCUAAGAUCUAAGCAUUGUUGUGUUGGGCACCAAAAUCCACUUGAGCUGCUUUAUUAGAAUGUAGUGUGAUAUAGGUACUAUAUUUACUAUGUGAAAUAUUAAUACAGAGUGCUAGAGCACAUGAUCAAAGUAGUGUUGCAAAAGUGCAAGGUUGCAAUGCUAGAUUUUGUAAGGCAAAAUAUUGUGAGGCAAGACUAAGUUGAGGUGCUAAAAAGUAGCGAUGAGUUUUUGAAUACAAUUAAAGUGGCUAAUGCAAGUCACGAAGUUUGAUUAUAAAGAAUAGCAUGUAUAAAAGCAAAAUUAGAGUCACGACACUAAACAAUAACAAGUUACAAUCUAGGAGCAUAAAGUUGCAAGAAGUUGCAAUUCAUGGAAAAUCUAGGUCACAAGUUUAUUGUAUAGACGAGGAUCACAAAGCUUACAAAGAAUAUUGCUAAAAGAAAUAGGAUUUAGUCACAAUGUAUUGAAAUUGUACAAAAGAGCAAGAUCAAAAUCACAAAGAUCAAGCUUGAACAAUUUUUAUUUUUGUAUUUUUGGCAUUGGAAGCAAUGUCGAGGUUAUUUAACAAAGUGUUGUCAUAUUACAUCAUGUUUAGCUUAAGAAUGGACUGGGUACUUGGAUAUGGAAGAUAAAGGAAAAACUACAACAACAAAUAAUCAAUAACAGUAAUAGUAAUCAAUAGUAUCAGCUUUAGUAAUAGUAAUCAAUAGUAGCAACCAAUAAUCAAUAACAGUGACCAAUAAUCAAUAGCAGUAAUCAAUAAUUAGUAAUAGUAGCCAAUAACCAAUAGCAAUAAUCAAUAUCCAAUAGCAUUAAUCAAUAUCUAGUAGUAGUAGCCAAUAAUUAGUAGCAAAAACCAAUAUCCAGUAGCAAUAAUCAAUAUCUAAUAAUUAUAACCAAUAUCCAAUAGCAAAAAUCAAUAUCCAAUAGCAAUAAUCAAUUUUCAGUAGCAAUAACCAAUAUCCAGUAGCAAAAAUCAAUAUCCAAUAGUAAUAACCAAUUUCCAAUAGCAAUAAUCAAUAUCCAAUAGCAAUAACCAAUAUCUAGUAGCAAUAAUUAAUAUCCAGUAGCAAAAACCAAUAUUUAGUAGCAAUAACCAAUAUCGAAUAGCAAUAACCAAUUUUCAAUAGUAAUAACUAAUAUCCAAUAGUAAUAACUAAUAUCCUUCAAAAAUACAAAACUUUAGCAUUCAAUUUCUUUAAAUUCAACUGUUGGAUUGAGCUCAAAAUUUUUGAAGCAUAAGAUAAUAUUCUUAACUUCAAAUGGAUGAUAAUUACAAAAAUGUACUUGGGUGUGGAUUGGUCUUCUUCUCCAAUCUAAAUGUUGAAUUUUCAGUACCAAUUUCUUCUUAUCAAACCAUUCAAUCAAUUUUAAAAUUCUUACAUACAAAGGAAAAUAAGUCUACUAUCUAAAAACUUAACUUUCAUUCCAAUCCAACUGAUAGAUUGCAAGAUAUCUUAGAAAUCUUUACUAGUCUUUAAAAUCCUAAAUUCUGAGAUCAUAACCUACAAAAACCUUAAUAACCUUCAAUCCAAUCUUUUGAUCAAGCUCUAAUUUAUAGCACAUAUUAAGUACAACUAUAACCAUUAACUUACAAAAUUUCACUUAUAGAUCUAUUAUAGAACUCUCAAAAACGCCCAAAACGUCAACCCUAUUUUAUUUCACAAAAAUCCAAGUCAUCCAAAAUAAACUUGACUUUCUAAAGCUCUUACAAAAUCAUUACAAAUCCAAAUCAUAAAAAAAUAAUGGUUAUAGAAAUCCUAUCUAGUCUGUUAUCAAAUCCUAGUCUCCAAUCUACAAAAGCCUCCUACUUUGCCCUAGGCAGUCGUUUUAGUGACUAGAGGUCUAAUUUCGACCCUAUCUCACAAAUAAUUGAUCCCCAGGUAUCAAUCUAACCUAUCAUAAGGAUUUUUUAGCCUAGUCCUACCCUUGACUUGAUUCUAGUAUCAAUCAUAUUAAUCAUUUACUUCUUCUAUUUUGAUUUUAUCAAUUUAUAGCCUUUUAAGGCAGUAAAAGAGUUUCUAUAUCCUAGAAGGUAAAUUACUAAUUAACUUUUAUCUACUUGCUAGUAAGACAAGAAAAUAGGCUAAGAAACUUUUAUAAAAGCCUUAUUAAAAUAUUAUGAAUUCUUGUUGAAUUAAUAUAAUAGAAUAUUAAUUAAAAAAAUCAUUUUUAAUCAUAUUUUUAUUAUAUAAUCAUGUUAUAACAUGAUAACGCUUUGCAUAAGAAAUACAAUGCAAUAAUUUGAUACAAAUUACUAUAAAAACAACAAAAACAAACAGUAACUAGCAGGGAUUAACAAUAGCUCUUGACUUUUAUGGCUUAAGAUAUCAAUCUAUAAUCUUAGGUAAGUCAUGAUGAUAAGACAUUGCAAUCAUAAGACCACAAUGAUAAGAUAUUGUAGUCAAAGAAUCAUCGCGAUCAUAAGACCAUAGUGAUAGGAUACCACAAUUAAAAGAAUCUAUGAUAAUAGGAUGAAAAUCACAAGGUUCCGCAAUCAUAGACCUAGUAGGAAAUUAUAGGAAAAAAAAAAAAAAAAAAAAAAAAAAAAAAUGUUGUCUAGAAUUUUUAAGUAUCAAGUUUAGAUACUCAUUCUAAAUACAUAUGGAGUCUGAAUUUGAUUAUUUUUUAGUCAAUUUUAUAUAAAAGAGACCUAAGAAGUUUAUUAGCAUGCUUAAUUAUUAAAGUGGCGGUCAUUUGGAGCAUUGAAGUGGCAUUCACUAAAUGUCAAUUACUUUCUAAAUAAGCUUUGAUUUUUUUUUCACUUCUCCAUAUUUUAUUUUAUUGCAAUUAUCUUAUAUUAUCACAUGUUCUAUGAUUUGUGACCAUCAAUUAUAGGCAGAUGCUAGUUUCAUUGGUUCACUUUUGAUUUUUGCUUUUGUGUUGUCAAAGAUGAAGAUCUAGUACCGAUUUUUAGAUUUUAUUUUUAGUAUCUUUUCUUAUUUUUGGAUAUUUUUUUAGAGAUUUUUUGUAGUUAUUUUAUUUUAUAUUUCUACUAGUUUGUAUUAAUAGGUGAAUUAUAGGAAUGAGGUUGAGUUGAUGGUCGGCAAGAUCUUUUUAUUUGUAGGUUUGUUGAACUUAUAGUGAUCUGGAGGUGAUGGCUAAUAAAUUAUAAAUCUUGGUGGUUUUGCAGGCAUAUGUUGUCCUUUUAGCCUUUCAAUAGUUGUAAGUAUUCAAGUAGUCUCUUUUAUAGUGCAUAUUAGGAGUUAAUAUUAUCAAUCACUUUCACUAGUCUACUUGAAUAGUGACUACAUUGAGGACUUUGAACUAGAUGUGGAUACUAAUGAGAAUUUUUAGCUUGUUUCAACAUUAGAUACUAUUCAAAGGCUUUGGAUGUCAAAGGUGGAUAUAUUUUAUAAGAUAAAAGAUGAUCCUUAUGACAUGGUAAUAGAUAGAUUCUUAAAAAGAGCUUAGGGCAUUUCUUUGUUAGAUUGGAGACUUUGAUUUCAAACAUUAAUGAAGGAGAAGCAUCAAAGGUCACCCACUUUUAAUGAGUGGUAUGUCUUUGAGCUUUUAUCACAAUACUUGGAGCAUGAAGUAUUCUAAACUUAUGAAAAAUGGAGUGAGGAACACUCAUUAGAGCUGUAUGAAGUGGAAUGUUAUUGGAAGGCAUACAUAGAGCUUAUUUCACCUCUUAAGUGGUGAUAUCUUAAGCUUCAUAUCUACAAUAAAAGAAGAAGAUCCAAUCCAAGAAAAAAUUGAUAUAUCUUUAAGAGAUACUAGAGAAAAAAAUGUAGCUACUUCCUUAAUCAAUACUCCAACUAUUUUGUUUCAUAUGGCUCAAGAAAUGAUGAUAUUUUUAUUUGAAAUGAAAGAGGUACCAUUAUUUGAACCUCUUCAAAUAUUUAUUAAACACUUAGAGCUCAAGUAUGGAAAUUUAAAACAAAAUCAAAUGCAAUGCAUUCAAGACUUCCACUAUGAAUAAAAAGAUACUUCAUGUAUUAUGUAUACUUAUUUGAUUUGGUUUGUAGUAGAAUUAGAAGGUGUAUUUGCUGAGAACCAACUUAUUAAGAUUUUCUUAUCGAAGAUUAAUAAGAGACUUUUAGAUUGAGAAAUAGAUUCUCAAUUAUGAUGGCAAGGCAACAUUGAUAUAAUCAUUUGUUAAAAUUAAAAAAUGUAAUAAGGCAUUUUAUCAAUAUCAUGCUACUUACAUAAUAGAUUGGAUAGUAGGUGUGUUUUAAGCCUAAGAAGAUGGCAACUACCACAAGUAGCUUGGCUGAAAUUCAACUUGAAAAGACUUCAUUGUGGUAAGCUUAAUUACAAUGAAGAAAAUUGUUCCAUAUUAUAUCCAUACUUAUGGCUUGUUUUGGAUAAGAAAAAGGCAGUAGAAGCUAAAAUUGCUAAGGUAGAAAAGAGAUUCAAUAAUUUGGCCUUAUUAAGCCAAAUGAUUGGAUUUCAUGUGACUUCUAGAAUUGAAACAAGUUUUUCUUCAAAAAACAUUAUAUGUUUGGUACAUGGAGACAAAUGAUAGUUAUAAUUGCCACAUGUGCUUAAACAACAACUAGGAAUAUGGUACCUAUAACAAGUGAAGUAUUAGAAUUUUAGUUUAGCUAUACAAAUAUCAAAGACAUAAAGUAAAAGAUGAUGCAUAAACUAAUGAAAUCCAUGUCAAAGAAAGAAUAACAAAAUAAAAAUAAGAAAACACGUAUAUUAAAAAGAAAUUAGAAUAGCUUAUUCCCAAAAGACAAGAAAAAUUGAAAUUCUUGAAACUAGACUAGAAGCAAGAAAAUAAUUGACAAGAGUGAAGGGAACUUCAGUCUUGUUUUUAUAUAUACUAUCUAACUAGGAGCUACGUGGCAAUAUUCUAUAAGACCUCUAAUAUGUGUUGACUUUAUAGGAUACAUGCCUUGACUUUUAAGGCAAUUUUUUCUAUAUUUAAGCUAUAUAGUUAGCUUGGUCUUGAAGCUAACAACAUCUAUGGUACAUGGCCAACUUGUUGAUCACUUUUUUAAUCCAAAAAGUCAAUUAUAGAUACCUAUAAAGUCAAAGUAGUGUCUAUGAAGCUUUUAGGAAGCUUCUAUAGAAGAUAUUAUAGAAUUAACUCAAUUUUACUUACUUCUAUUUACAUCUACUUAUUUAUACAAGUAAUUACUAGCUUACAUGUUUAUGUUCGUGAUAUUAUUCUCCCUUCUAGAGACAAGUUCCACAAAGAGCGGUCCUCAUAUGUUGAGAAAAUCUAUAAUGCAACAAAUUAUAUUUGCUACAUAUUCAGAUCUUUGUUCUCUUUGAAGAUGGUUGAUAGGACCUCUCAACCAUUGAUAAUGUCUCAUACAAGGACGAAAAGACUACCCUCUUAUUUGAUUAUUAUUGAGGCCUUUGUAACUUUCUUUAAAUAAAAUAUUUAAAAUACCAUUAAGAAUUGUUCCUACCUCUAAUAAAAUUACCAAACAUUGGGAGUCUCUUCUAAGGUUGUGAUACCAAAUGCAUUAUAUCUUGUCAUCUAUUCAAGAAAAAACAUGUUAUUCUUGAAGAUCUUCAUUUUGAUUACGUCAUCUUAAAGGUUGUGACAAUUACAAUAUCUCAUCUGAUAAGUCAGCAAAUAAAGGCUCUUUAGUCGAAUCUAUUGGUUGUUGAUUCUCCAUCUUCUUAGUAUCACAACUACAAAGAAGCUACAAACAAAGAUUGAAAGUAGAAUGUUAUUUUGUCUAGAUUUUGUUUCUUUUAUAGAAAAGGUUUUUAUCUUGAUUUUGAUGGAUGUCGUCGAUGAAAAGCCUCCACGACCUUUGUUGCAUUUACAAGAUUCUUUAUUAGCUCCCAUGUACAUACACAAAUAUCAUAUCCUCGCUAAUGGACAAGAUAUUUAAAUUUAUUUUGGUGCUACCUUGAAUCUAAGACUUCUUUGACUUUGAACUCUUCAUUAUUAUCGACUUCUAUAGGAGGAGGUGAAGCUUGUCUUCUUCUUAGUAUGUCUAGUGUCUAGCAUGGUUCAAAAAGAGAUAUGUAGAAUAUUAGAUGGAAUUUCAUUGACUCUGGUAAGUGUAAUGUUAGGGACAUAAUCCUUAGAACCUUCUAGAGACAAGUUUCUAGAACCUUCUAGAGACAAGCUUCUAGAACCUUCUAGAAGCAAGUCUCUGGAACCUUCUAGAAGCUUCUUAGUUAGUAGAAGAUGUUUGGGACAUAGUCCUUAAAACCUUCUAGAGAUAAGUUUCUAAAACCUUCUAGAAGCAAGUCUUUGGAACCUUCUAGAAGCUUCCUAGUUGGUAGAAGUUGCUUGAGAAGCUUCCUAAAUAGGAGUAAAUAUUGGAAUCGAGGCUGAAGAGUUCUUCAAUCUCGACAACACAUCUCUUGGAGCUCUAGCUCACCUCUCUGGUGUUGUUCUUGUAUUCAUCUGAUUAAUCUAGUUCUUGCCAGUUCUUCUUGAACUUCUUGGUAGAUAUCAAGUCUGUAUUCUGUGUCUGUGAUAGUUUGUCGAGACUUUACUCACCUCAGAUAUCAGAGCUAGUUUCUUCUUUGUUAGAGUGUGGAUUACCCCUCUGCUUCGAAGUGUACUAGUACUUUAGAGGUUGCAGAUUACCCUCCUCUAAACUGAUACUUCUUUUGUUACAAUAUUGGAGUCUUAUUCUUCUUGGAGAGAGUGGAUUAUCCCUUUUCUUGAAGCUCUUAAGGCAUUUUAGAGGUUGUGGAGUACCGUCCUCUAAACCAAUAUUGUCUUCUUGUAGAGUCAUUCCUGUCCUUCUCUUAGAAUGGUCGGGGACCAAGACAUUAGUAUGAUGGAAAGUUCAGAGUCCAAGUUAGAUGCUAUCAUGAAUGCCCUCGCUACGUUAUCACAAAGAACUGCAGAGAUUGAAGGAGUCAUGGCAAGGCUUCAUAAUGAUGGAGCAUCUGGAAUGGCACAAUUUAGGUUGCACCAGCUUCAAACUUCUACACUUGGAGAAGCAACUUUGCCUCAGGUUCAACAAGCACCGUUGGUUCUACAACAUAAGGAACCCCGAGUUAGCCUUCCGGACAAGUUCGAUGGUACACGUUCCAAGUUUCGAGGAUUCAUCAACCAAAUCAAGUUGAUAACAAUUUUACAGCCCGAAUGCUAUCCAACGGAGGAGUCAUGUGUUGGACUUGUUGGAACCUUACUUACAGGACAAGCUCAAUCAUGGUUUGCUCCUUUGUUUGAGAAACGAUCGUCCAUACUAAACAACUUUGAAACCUUUUUGGAGGCAUUUGCGGAAGCAUUUGGUGAACACGACAAGGUUCGAUGGGCUACAACAAAGAUCCUGUCACUACGACAAGGGAUGCGUUCUACAUCAGUCUAUGCAUCGGACUUCAGGCAAUUAGUAUGCGACAUCAAUUGAGAUGAAGAAGCGUUGAUGAAUCAAUUCUAUUGGGAUUUAAGGGACGAUGUGAAGGAUUUGCUGUUAACUCUUCCUGAUCCACAAAUGCUCAACGAAGCUAUUAGCCAAGCUGUGAAGUGGUAUAAUCACCUAUUCCAAUGUUGCCAAGACCAACGUUCAAGACAACAUACGGUUCGCCACACCCCAACUAUGUUGGCAAGCAGCGUGAAUUCACAUUCUGAGGUAGAAGACAUGCAAAUUGAUGCGAUACGUGUCAAAUCUCUUACUCUAAAAGAAAAAAAGCGGCGUAUGGAGGAAGGUCUAUGCUUGUAUUGCGGUGAAGAAGGCCACAAAGUUGGAAACUGCCCCAAGAAGCAAAAUCGACGUAUUAUCAAGACUAGGGGUGUGUUUAUUCAGGAAAACAAAGAUGCCCAGCCACAAUAGGAACCGUGCGGCUGGACAGUGAAAUAUCGCAACAACAACCAGGUUCCUUUCUUUCCGCUCAACCUGCCCUUUGUUUUACAAUCCCUUUGUUUAUUGGCCCUCAGAAACUGAGAACCUUAGCAUUAUUACAUUCAAGAGCAUCUGCUUGUUUCUUAGACGAAGAAUUCGUAAGGCAUCAUAAGAUCCCUUUAGUACAAAAAUCCAAACCUAUUCACGUUGAGGUCAUAGAUGGACGACCUUUAUUGUCUGGUAGUGUCACCCAUGAAUCAGAACCUAUAGAAGUGACGUUUAAGGACCAUAGUAGUCAUAUUAUUUUCAAUAUUAUUAGAACUCCAUCAAAUCCUGUUAUUCUUGGUCUUUCCUGGUUGGAAAAGCAUAACCCAUCUAUAGAUUGGAAGUUGCGGAAGAUGACCUUUCCCACAAAACCACCCAAGAGCAAGCCUAGUAGAAAACCCCGAAUAGAGAAAUCCUUAUUUAUUGGAGCAAGAGCGUUUAUAAGAUUGUCCAAGGGAGGCACACCGUUUGUCAUUUAUGCGGCUCCAACUACCGGGGAGAAGAUCUCGACAGCAAGUAUACCGGAGCAAUAUAAAGAUUUUAAAGACGUGUUUCAAAAGAAAAAUGCCGACAUGCUAUCGAAACACAGACCAUAUGAUUGCGCCAUAGACUUACAGGAAGGAGCACAACCGCCUUUUGGUCCAAUCUACAAUCUAUCGCAGAUGGAGUUGGCAGAGUUGCGGAAGUACAUCGACGAGAAUCUAGCCAAGAACUUCAUCCGUCAUUCAAAAUCAUCAGCUCGAGCACCCAUCUUAUUUGUGAAGAAGAAAGAUGGCUCGUUGCGGAUGUGCAUGGACUAUCGAGGCCUCAACAAGAUAACAAAGAAGAAUCGUUACUCGUUACCCUUGAUUUCUGGUCUCUUAGAACAACUUGGAUGUGCAAGGAUCUUUACAAAAAUUGAUCUAAGGGGAGCUACAACCUCAUACGAAUCAAGGAACGAGAUGAGUGUAAGACAGCGUUCCGUACAAGGUAUGGCCAUUUUGAAUAUAAUGUCAUGCCAUUUGGUCUUACCAAUGCUCCAGCGGUCUUUCAACAUAUGAUGAAUAAUAUUUUCCGAGAGUACCUUGAUGAUUUUGUUGUCAUCUAUUUGGAUGAUAUUUUGAUAUUCUCCAGAAAUGAGGAAGAGCAUGAAAAAUACGUUCGUUUGGUAUUGGAGAAACUACGCGAGCGAGGACUAUAUGCCAAGUUCGAGAAGUGUUUAUUUCACCAAAUAGAGAUGGAGUUUUUGGGGUUUGUUGCGACUACGAAAGGCUUGAAGAUGGACCCCAAGAAGGUGGAAGCAAUUGUGUCUUGGGAGGUUCCGUAGACGGUUAGAGACGUACAAUACUUUCUUGGUUUUUUUAACUUCUAUCGGAUCUUUAUCAAGAAUUACUCUCAAGUUGCUGCUCCUCUCACUCGGUUGACAUGCAAGGAUAAGCUGGAAUGGGGACCUCUAGCAGAGAAGGCAUUUCCAAACCUCAAGACCGCAUUUAUUACGGCUCCAAUCUUGGUACAUCCAGACUUUACAAAGGCCUUCUAUUUAGAAACUGAUGCUUCGGAUUUUGCUUUGGGAGCUGUACUUUCACAAAUGGGAGAAGAAAAGAAGCUCCAUCUGGUUGCAUUCUAUUCUCGAAAAUUCUCUGCUGCUGAAAUCAAUUAUGAGAUCCACGAUAAGGAACUUCUUGUUAUAGUGGAUUCUUUCCAAGAAUGGCGUCACUUUCUUGAAGGAGCUGCACAUCCAGUGAUCGUAUACACAGAUCACAAGAAUUUGGAGUAUUUUAUGUCGGCUCGAGUUCUAAAUCGACGUCAAGCUCGAUGGAGUAUGUUGCUAUCUAGGUUCGAUUUUAUUAUCACUUAUCGACCUGGAAAGGAGCAAGGACUAUCUGAUGCCUUAUCGAGGAGAUCAUAUCUUGUACCAAAGGCUGGAGAAGCAGCGUUUGAUCAACAAUGUACGACAUUGUUGAAGCUAGAGCAAUUUCAGCUUUGCGCUACUAUUAUGCCAAUUGAUGCUAACUUCCUGAAUCAGGUACAUGCCGUAACCAUUGAAGAUUCAGUAGCCAUUGAUAUUAAGCAGCAUGCCAAUGACGACAAGUUCAAGGUGGAGGAUGAUCUUUUAUACUUUGAAGAGCGAUUAUAUAUCCCAAAAGGACGAACACGACUUCGAGUUCUUCAAUCUCGCCACGAUUUUCGAGCUGCGGGACAUUUUGGAUUCAACAAGAUCUUGGAGCUUAUUUCUCAAGAUUUUUGGUGGCCCCAAAUGUGGAAGGAUGUGAAAGAUUUUGUCCUCUCCUGCGACAUCUGUUCAAGAUCCAAGAAUCCUCGGCAUCGCCUUUAUGGACUCCUACAGCCAUUGUCGAUUCUACGUCGACUAUGGUCUUCAAUUUCCAUGGACUUCAUCAUGGACCUACCAUCAUCGAACUCAUUUGACAGCAUCUUUGUCGUGGUAGAUCGGCUUACAAAAAUAGCACACUUUGUCCUUUGCAAGAAGACAUCGUCCAGUGAAGUCAUAGCAAGGCUCUUUCUCGAUAAUAUGUAUCGAUAUCAUGGACUACUAGAUGAUAUCAUAUCAGAUCGAGGAACCCAGUUCGUAUGGAAGUUUUGGAGAUCUCUCUUUGAGAUACUGAAGGUGGAUAUCAAGCUUUCUUCAGCUUUUCAUCCUCAAACUGACGAUCAAACGGAACGGGUGAACCAAGUCAUGGAACAAUACUUACGAUGCAGCAUCAACUAUCAGCAAGACGAUUGGACUACAUAUCUACCACUAGCCGAGUUUGCAUAUAACAACACCCUCCAUGCGUCGACUCAAUACACACCAUUCUUUUCCAACUAUGGGUAUCAUCCAAAGCUUGAUUUAUUGAGUCCAUCAACAAAUAACAAUCCAACAGCUGAAGGAUUUGGGAAACAACUAUCAGAGCUUCAAAAUACGUUGAAGCUUCAAUUACAAUCCGCUCAAGAAUCCUACAAGGCGUCUGCAGAUAGAUUUCGGAAUCAAGCACCUACUUUCAAAAUUGGAGAUAAAGCAUGGCUUCUUCGACGGAAUAUCAAGACCAAGCGACCAUGUGAUAAGUUGGGCUAUCGAAGAUUGGGACCAUUUAUCAUCCAAAAGCAAAUCAAUGUAGUGGCGUACCGUCUGGAAUUACCGGCUUCUAUGAAGGUACAUCCAAUCUUUCAUGUUUCUUUGUUGGAGCCUUAUCGAGAGUCAUCUUUUCCUGGAAGAGUGCAUUGUCCGCCACCUAGUAUUGAGAUCGAGAACCACGAGGAAUACGAGGUUGAAAAGGUGCUGGAUUCUCGGUGAAGGUGGGACAAGUUGGAGUAUCUUGUUCAUUGGUGCGGCUAUGACAUUAAUGAGCGAACGUGGGAGCCAGCUGAAAAUCUGACCAAUGCGCCAUAAAAGGUACAGGAAUUUCAUCAACAACAUCCUCAUAAACCUAAGUCGGUUCGACAAUAGCUUCUUUCUGAAGCUUGUUCACCCAAGAAUAUAAGAAAGGGAGAGAGUACCACCAAAAUUCAUAGUUGAUGUAGUUAUUUUCUCCAAGAUAAAAUAGAAUUUUUUCAGUAGCCAUAGUUUGGUCUUCUGAUAUGGAUAGCCAAGAGAUAGAUACUAUGCCACUCAGAUUAUCUCAACCAACUAGUUUACGAAGGCGACCCCGAGAUGAAGAACCACCUGCACCACGACGACGACAGAGGAUACCAAGUAACCGAUCACUGGUGAUUGUAUUUGAGUCCGACCCUACUUACGAUGGUCAACCAGAAGGCAUAUUUGCAGGACAAUUUCACAAUGAGGACACGGAAGUUCAUGCUUGGUCAGAAGUUGAAAGAGUGGGCCACUACCGUUGGCUUCAAGGGCCGAUGAACCACUUACCUCGUGAACAAUAGUUGGAGUUCAUAGCAGACGUUAUGCGACAGAUCUUCAUUUUCUUGCGUUGGUACUGAUUGAUAACAACAUUGCUUCUCAGAGACCUCGAAGCUAAAGGAAGGGGUGAUGUUAGGGACAUAGUCCUUAGAACCUUCUAGAGACAAGUUUCUAGAACCUUCUAGAGACAAGCUUCUAGAACCUUCUAGAAGCAAGUCUCUGGAAUCUUCUAGAAGCUUCUUAGUUGAUAGAAGAUGUUUGGGACAUAGUCCUUAGAACCUUCUAGAGAUAAGUUUCUAGAACCUUCUAGAAGCAAGUCUCUGGAACCUUCUAGAAGCUUCCUAGUUAGUAGAAGUUACUUGAGAAGCUUCCUAAAUAGGAGUAUAUAUUGGAAUCGAGGCUGAAGAGUUCUUCAAUCUCGACAACACAUCUCUUGGAGCUCUAGCUCACCUCUCUGGUGUUGUUCUUGUAUUCAUCUGAUUAAUCUAUUUCUUGCCAGUUCUUCUUGAACUUCCUGGUAGAUAUCAACUCUGUAUUCUGUGUCCGUGACAUGUAAAUGAUAUACAACUAGAUUGAUUUAAGUAGAAAAAGAAAAUAGUACAAGCGUACAAUAGUAUAACUUGUCACAAGGAUGAGUGGUCUUGAUAUUGUAAUGAAGUAAUCAUACCUUGUCACCCAUGUGGAAUGAUAGUUGUUCUUUUUGAUAGACAUCUGUAUUGAUCUUUUGUUAUUCUUAAACUUCUUUUAAGUGCUCCAUCAUUGUUGCAUGUAGCUUUGACAAAUGAUUUGCCAAAUCUUCCACUGUAGGAUUAUUAGCUUUGAGAAAGUCAAUCUAUUUUGUUACUCUUGUCAAUCUGUCAAAGACAUGAACUAAAAGAUGAAGCAUAAACCAAUGAAAUCUAUAUCAAAGAAAGAGUAACAAAAUAGAAAUAAGGAAGUAUGUAUAUUAAAAAGAAACUGCAAUGGCUUAUUGCCAAAAGACAAGAAAACUUGAGAUUCUUAAAAUUAGACUAGAAGCAAGAAAAGAAUUAAUAAGAGUAAAGAUGGCUUCACUCUUGUUUUUAUAUAUACCAUCUAAAUAGGGACUAUAUGGCCAUGUUCUAUAAGACCUCCAAUAUGUGUUGACUUUAUAGAAUACAUGCCUUGACUUUCAAGGCAAAUUUUUCUAUGUAUGGGCCAUAUAGUUAGCUUGGUCUUGAAGCUAACAAUAUCUGUGGCACAUGGCCAACUUGUUGAUCACUUUUCUAAUCCAAAAAGUCAAUUAUAGAUACUUAUAAAGUCAAAGCAAUGUCUAUGAAGCUUCUAGAAAGCUUUUGUAGAAGAUAUUAUAGAAUUAACUUACUUUUACUUACUUCUACUUACAUCUACCUAUUUAUACACAUAAUUACUAGCUUACAUGUGUAUGUCUAUAACACCAAAUAAUUAUGGAUAUCCUAAUAUUUAUGAGCAAUUGCCUUUAUUAAUUAGCUUUGCAAAUAAGUCAAGGAUAAGAACUCGAUGAAAAAGUAAUUCAGACAAGUGAGCCUUCACUCAAAGAAAGAUAACAAAAUAUAAAUAAACAAGUAUGUAUAUUGAAAGAGCAACUAGAAUGGCUAUUGCCAAAAGACAAGAAAACUAGAGACCCUUGAAACUAGACUAGAAGCAAGAAAGGAUUUGACAAGAGUGAAGAAGGCUUCACUCUUGUCUCUAUAUAUACUAUCUAAUUAGGGGCUACGUGGCAACGUUCUAUAGGACCUCCAAUAUGUGUUGACUUUGUAGGACACAUGCCUUGACUUAUAAGGCAAGUUUUUCUAUGUGUGGGCAACAUAAUUAGCUUGAUCUUUAAGCUAACAACAUGUGUGGUACAUGGCCAACUUGUUGACUACGUUUCUAAUCCAAAAAAUCAAUUAAAGACACCUAUGAAGUCAAAGCAGCAUCUAUGAAGCUUUUAAGAAGCUUCCAUAUUAAAUACUAUAGAAUUAACUUACUUUUACCUAUUUUUACUUACUUCCAGCUAUUUGUAUAUGUAAUUACUAGCUUACAUGAGUAUGUCCGUGACAUUAUCCCGCUUUUUAUGAAUGAGUUCCAUGAGAAGUGGUCAUCAUAUGUUGAAAAAAUCUAUGAUGCGACGAAUUAUAUUCGCUACAUACUCUGAUCUUUGUUCUCUUUGAAGAUGAUUGAUAGGGCCUCUCAACCAUCGGUAGUAUUCCAUACCAGCACAGGAAGAGCACCCAGUUACUUGAUCAUUGUUGAGGCCUUCAUAACUUCCUUUGAAUAGGACAUUUGGAACACCAUCAGGAAUUGUUCCUAUCUCUAGCAAAAUCACCAAACAUCGAGAGUCCCUUUCUAAAUCGUGAUACCAAACGCAUUGUAUCUCAUCAUCUAUUCGAGGAAGAACAUGUUGUUCUUGAAGAUCUUCAUCUUGAUUGCAUCGUCUUGAAGGUUGUGAUAAUCGUAAUGUCUCGUCUAGCAGGUCAGCAAAUGAAGGCUCUUGAAUCAAAUUCACCUGUUGUUGGUUCUCCAUCUCCUAAGCGUCACAACUACAAAGAAGCUAUAAACAAGGAUUGAAAGUAGAAUGUUAUCUUGCCUAGAUGUUGUUUUUUUUAUAAAAAAGAUUUUUUUCUUGAUUUUGAUGGAUGUCAUUGAUGAAAAGCCUCCACCGCCUUUGCUGCAUUUGUAAGAUUCUUUAUUGGCUCCCAUGUGCGUUUACUAAUAUCAUAUCUAUGCCAAUAGACAAGAUAUUCCAAUUUAUUUCGACGUCGCCUUGAAUCUAAGACUUCUUCUACUUCAAACUCUUCAUUAUUGUCUACUUGUAUAGGAGGAGGUGGAGCUUGUCGUCUUCUUGGUAUGUCCACUGUCUUGUAUGGUUCAAGAAGAGACACGUAGAAUACUGGAUGGAUUUUCAUUGACUCUAGUAGAUAUAAAGAAUAUGAAACUGGAUUGAUUUGUGCAGAAAUAGAAAAUGGUCCCAGCCUUCGAUAGUCCAACUUGUCACAAGGACGAGUGGUCUUGAUAUUGUGACGAAGUAGCCAUACCUUAUCACCCAAGAGGAAUGGUGGUUGUUCCUUUCGAUAGACAUCCGCAUUGACCUUUUGUUCUUUUUGAGCCUCUUUUAACUGUGCCUUCAUCGUUGCAUGUAGCUCUGAUAAAUGAAUCACUAAAUCUUUUGCAACAGGAUUAUUAACUUUUGAAAAGUCAAAAAUAUCAAGUCGUAGAUGAUAACCAUAAUUAGCAAAGAAAGGUAUUUUUUUUGUAGAAGAAUGUAUCGUGUUACUGUAAGAAAACUUUGCCAAUGGUAAAAGAGUUGUCCAAUCAUCUUGUUGGUAGUUAAUGGUACAUCUUAAAUAUUGCUCCAAAACUUGAUUAAUACGCUUCGUUUGUCCAUCAGUUUGAGGAUGGAAUGUCAAAUUUAGUUUUAUAUCUACUUUUAGAAUCUUGAAAAGAGUCCACCAAAAUCUUGAUACAAAUUGAGUUCUCCUAUCUGAUAUAAUAUCCUUGGAUAAUCCAUGAUAGCGAAAGAUAUUAUCAAGAAAGAGCUUAGCUGUUUCUUCACCUGUGAUAGAUUUUGUACAUGGUACAAAAUGUGCCAUCUUGGUAAAACAAUCUACUAUCACAAAUAUAGUCAUAAGAACCUGAGAUUGGAAGAUCCGUGAUGAAGUCCAUAGAAAUAGAAGACCAUGGUUGUUCUGGAAUGGAUAAUGGCUGAAGAAGUCGAAAAGGUCGAUGACGAGGAGUUUUUGAUCUUGAGCAAACAUCACAUGAUUGUAUAAAAUCUUUAACUGCCUUCCACAUUUGAGGCCACCAAAAAUCCCUGGAUAUCAGCUCCAAAGUCUUAUUAUAUCCAAAAUGUCCUACUACUGAAAAGUCGUGACGAGCUUGAAGAAUAUGUAAACAUGCUUCUUCUUUUGGAAUAUAUAAGCAUCCUUCGAAAUAGAAUAGAUUGUUCUUAAAUUCAAAUUUAGAGGGAUCAUGAGAUUUAGAAGAAUUAUUCUUGAUAUCAUGAACAAGAGGGUCUGAAGACAUACUUAAUUGGACUUGCUUAAGAAAAAUUAAAUCAACAUUCAAUGUUGAUUUUAUUACUCGAAGAUGAAAUUACUCCGACUUCAAGAGAACCGUUCUUUGUUGCUCAAAAGCUGCAUCUCCUUCUUUUGGUGCAAGAUAAGAAUGUCUAGACAAGGCAUCAGACAAACCUUGUUGUUAUCCUGGCUGAUAAGUGAUGAUGAAUUUGAAUCUUGAUAAAGACAUACUCAAACGAGCUUGACGACGAUUUAAUACGCGUAUUGAUAUAAAAUACUCGAGGUUCUUGUGAUCCAUAUAUAUGAUGACUGGACUAGAAGCGCCUUCUAGAUAAUGACGCCAUUCUUGAAAAGAAUCCACAAUUGCAAGAAGUUCUUUGUCAUGGAUCUCAUAAUUGCUUUCUGCUGCUAAGAAUUUUUUUGAAUGAAAGGCUACUGGAUGAAGUUUGUCAUCUGUUCCCAUUUGUGAUAAAAUCGUACCUAGAACAAAGUCUGAUUCAUCUAUUUCUAUAAAGAAUGCUUUGAAAAAAUCAACACAAUACAAGAUUGGUGCAAAAACAAACUCUGUCUUCAAAGAUUCAAAAGCAACUUCCGCUUCUUGAUUCCAUUGGAAUUUAUCUUUACAAGUCAAACGUGUAAGUGGAGCUGCAACUCGAGAGAAGUCCUUGAUGAAGAUGCAAUAGCAAAAAGCAUUGGACAUUUCUUAUCAUUUUUGAGAUCUUUCAAUGUAUAAUAGUUUGAAUUUUCUUAGGAUCUAUUAUAAGUCCAUCAUUUGAAAUGAUGUAACCUAAGAAAUCGACUUGAGUAGUAUGGAAUACAUUCUUUUUUAUCUUGGCAUAGAGUCUUGCAUCUCUUAAUUUUUGUAACACACGACGAACAUGAAGUUCAUGUUCUUCUAGAUUCUUAGAAUAGAUUAAGAUGUCGUCUAGAUAACAGACCACAAAAUCGUCCAAAAACUCUCGAAAGACAUCAUUCAUUAGAUGUUGAAAAGCUGUUGGUGCAUUUAUAAGUCCAAAAGGCAUGACAUUGUAUUCAAAAUAUCCAUACCUAGUUCGAAACACAGUCUUCUAUUCAUCUCUUUCUUUGAUGAGUACUAGAUUGUAUGCUCCUUCGAGAUCUAUUUUUGUAUAGAUCUUAAUUUGAUUCACUUGAUCAAGAAGUCCAAAUAUUAAAGGUAUUGGAUACCUGUUCUUAAUGGUAAUCUUGUUGAGUCCUCGAUAAUCAACACACAUCCACAAUGAUCUAUCUUUUUUCUUCACAAAUAGAAUUGGAGCUCCUAUCGGAGAUUUAGAAUGGCGUAUGAAAUUCUUGGCUAGAUUUUCUUCAAUAUACUCCUUGAGUUUAGUCAACUCAUUUUGUGAUAAACUGUAGAUUAGUCCAAAUAGCGAUUGUACUCUUUCUUGAAGGUCAAUUGAGUAAUCAUAGAGACGAUGUUCCGGGAGUGUAUCCGCAUUCUUUUUUUCAAAUACAUCUUGAAAUUCUUGAUAUUGAAUUGGAAUGCCACUUGAAGUCUUUCCACUAAUAGAAACAGGUGUGGCAUAAAUAAUAUAUGGAGAUUCUUUCAUAGCAGUAUGCAAGAAAGCUUUUACACCUAUAAAUACGAGUUUAAUUGAACUGGACUUAUGACUCUCUAUUUGAUUAACUACAUUGUUAGUUAUACUUUUAGAGAAAGUAAGAGUUCAGGAAAUCCAAUCUAUUUGAGGGUUUUAUUUUUCUAACCAUGAUAAACCUAAAAUGACUGGAUUAGAAAGAGAUCUAAUGAUAUUAAAUACUACAAAGCUAUUAUUACUUCUAUAGGGAGGGUUUUGUGAGUAAUAUCUCUCGAAGAUAAUGGACGACCAUCUAUGACUUCUACAUGAACAAGUUUAGUUUUCUUUACUAAAGAUAUGCUAUGUCUUUUAGUAAAUUCUUCAUCUAAGAAAUAUGUCGAGGCUCCUGAAUCUAACAAGGCAGAGGUUUUGUAAUAUUUAGGUCCUAAAAUAAUAUUUAAUGUAAAACAAAGAGAGGGCUCUGAAGAGAGAAUAGGACUUUUACUAGAUGUUGUCCAAGAUUUCAACCACACGGUCCCUAUUGUAGUUGAACAAACUCGUUUUCUGACAUAUUGUUUUCUUUUACAAUCAUACUCUUCAUUUUGUGAUUGCAUCAUUUUUUUUGGACAAUGUUGAGCACUAUGCUUUGGUUCUCCACAAUAUAAACAUAAUCCUUCUUGAUGACGAUAAGUCUUUUCUUGCUCAGUAAGAGGUUUGAAACGUACUACAUUAAUUUGCAUAUCUUCUACUCCAAAUGUAUGUGUUGAAGAGGUGUUGGUGUUGCCAUUGAAUUAUACUAACGUUGAGAUCUACUUGUACGGUUCUCAGAUCAAAAUUCAAAAAGGUGAUUGUCGCACUUCACAGCAAAGUCAAUUGCUUGACUCAAUAUUUCAGGAUUAGGUAAAUUGAGCAUUAAUUUUUUUACCUCAUAUUAUAAUCUGUUGUCACGGAUACAAAAAUAUAGGCUUGAGAUCUAACAAGAAGUUCAAGAAGAACUGGCAAGAAGUAGAUUAAUCAGAUGAAUACAAGAACAACACCAAAGAGGUGAGCUAGAGCUCCAAGACAUGUAUUGUCGAGACUGAAGAACUCUUCAGUCUUGAUUCCAAUAUAUACUCCUAUUUAGGAAGUUUUUCAAGCAACUUCUACUAACUAGAAAGCUUCUAGAAGGUUCCAGAGACUUACUUCUAGAAGGUUCUAGAAACUUAUCUCUAGAAGGUUCUAGAAACUUAUCUCUAGAAGGUUCUAAGGACUAUGUCCCAAACAUCUUCUACCAACUAAGAAGCUUCUAGAAGGUUCCAGAGACUUGCUUCUAGAAGGUUCUAGAAACUUGUCUCUAGAAGGUUCUAAAGACUAUGUCCCUAACAUACUCUACCAACUAAAAAGCUUCUCAAGCAACUUCCAUCAACUAGAAAGCUUCUAGAAGAUUCCAGAGACUUGCUUCUAGAAGGUUUUAGAAACUUGUUUCUAGAAGGUUCUAAGGACUAUGUCCCUAACAUCAUCCCCUCCUUUAGCUUCGAGGUCUCUGAGAAGCAAUGUUGUUGUUAAUCAAUACCAACACAAGAAAAUGAAAAUCUGUUACAUAACGUCUGCUAUGAACUCCAACUGUUGUUCACGAGGCAAGUGGUUCAUCGACCCUUGAAACCAACAGUAGUGGCUCACGCCUUCAACUUCUAAUCAAGCAUGAAAUUUUGUAUCCUCAUUGUGAAAUUGUCCUGCAAACAUGCCUUCUAGCUGACCAUCAUAAGUAGGCUCGAUCUCCAAUACAAUCAUCAAUGAUCGAUUAUUCGGUAUCCUCCGUUGUCGUCAUGGUGUAGGCAGUUCUUCAUCUCGGGGUCGCCUUUGUGAGCUAAUCAGUUGAGAUAAUCUGACUGGCAUUGUAUCUAUCUCUUGACUAUCCAUAUCAGAAGAUCAAACUAUGGCUACUGAAAAAAUUCUACUUUUUCUUGAAGAAAAUAACUACAUCAACUACGAAUUUUGGUGGUGCUCUCCCCCUUUCUUAUAUUCUUGGGUGAGCAAGCUUCAGAAGGAAGCUAUCGUCGAACUGGCUUAGGUUUAUGAGGAUGUUGUUGAUGAAACUCCUAUACCCUUUGUAGCGCAUUGGUGAGAUUUUCAACUGGCUUCCACGUUCGCUCAUUAAUGUCGUAGCCGCACCAAUGAACAAGAUACUCCAACUUGCCCCACCUUCACCGUGAAUCUAGCACCUUUUUGACCUUGUAUUCCUCAUGGUUCUUGAUCUCAAUACUAAGUGGCAGACAUUGCACUCUUCCAGGAAAAGACAACUCUCGAUAAGGCUCCAACAGAGAAAUAUGAAAGACUGGAUGUACCUUCAUAGAAGCCGAUAAUUCCAGACGAUAUGCCACUACAUUGAUUUGCUUCUGGAUGGUAAAUGGUACCAAUCUUCAAUAGUCCAACUUAUCACAUCGUCGCUUGGUCUUGAUAUUCCAUCAAAGAAGCCAUGCUUUAUCUCCAAUUUUGAAAGUAGGUGCUUGAUUCCAAAAUCUAUCUACAGACGCCUUGUAGGAUUCUUGAGCGGAUUGUAAUUGAAGCUUCAAUGUAGUUUGAAGCUCUGAUAGUUGCUUUGCAAAUCCUUCAGCUGCUGGAUUGUUAUUUGUUGACGGACUCAAUAAAUCAAGCUUCGAAUGAUACCCAUAGUUGGAAAAGAAUGGUGUAUAUUAGGUCGACGCAUGGAGGGUGUUGUUGUAUGCAAAUUCGGCUAGCGGUAGAUAUGUGGUCCAAUCGUCUUGCUGAUAGUUGAUGCUGCAUCGUAAGUAUUGUUCCAAGACUUCGUUCACCCAUUCUGUUUGGUCGUCAAUUUGAGGAUGAAAAGCUGAAGAAAGCUUGAUAUCUACGUUCAGUAUCUAAAAGAAAGAUCUCCAAAACUUUGAUAUGAAUUGGGUUCCUUGAUCUGAUACGAUAUCAUUUGGUAGUCCAUGAUAUUGAUAUACAUUAUCGAGAAAGAGCCUUGUUAUGACUUUACUGGACGAUGUCUUCUUGCAAAGGACAAAGUGUGCCAUUUUUGUAAGCCAAUCUACUACGACAAAGAUGCUGUCAAAUGAGUUUCAUGAUGGUAGGUCCAUGAUGAAGUCCAUGGAAACUGAAGACCAUAGUCGACAUAGAAUCGAUAAUGGCUGUAGAAGUCCAUAAAGGCUUACCGAGGAUUCUUGGAUCUUGAACAAAUAUUGCAGGAGGGGACAAAAUCUUUCACAUCCUUCCACAUUUGGGGCCACCAGAAAUCUCGAGAAAUAAGCUCUAAGGUCUUGUUGAAUCCAAAAUAUCCUACAGCUAGAAAAUUGUGGCGAGAUUGAAGAACUCGGAGUCGUGUUGGUCCUUUUGGAAUAUACAAUCGCUCUUGAAAGUAUAAAAGAUCUCCUUCUACCUUGAACUUAUCAUCAUUGGCAUGCUGCUUGAUAUCAAUGGCUACUGAAUCUUCAAUGGUCACGGCACGUACCUGGUUCAGGAAGUCAGCAUCAAUUGGCACAAUAGUAACACAAAGCUGAAAUUACUCUAGCUUCAAUAACGUCGUACAUUGUUAAUCAAAUACUCAUUCUCCAGCCUUUAAUACAAGAUAUAAUCUCCUCGAUAAUGCAUCGGAUAGUCCUUGCUACUUUCCAGGUCGAUAAGUGAUAACAAAAUUGAACCUAGAUAGCGACAUAUUCCACCGAGCUUGACAUCGAUUUAGAACUCAAGUCGACAUAAAAUACUCCAAAUUCUUGUGAUCCGUAUAUAUGGUCAUUGGGCAUGUAGUUCCUUCAAGAAAGUGACGCCAUUCUUGGAAAGAAUCUACUAUAGCAAGAAGUUCCUUAUCGUAGAUCUCAUAAUAUAUUUUAGCAAAAGAGAACUUUCGAGAAUAGAAUGCAACCGGAUGGAGCUUCUUGUCUUCUUCCAUUUGUGAAAGUACAACUCCCAAAGCAAAAUCCAAAGCAUCAGUUUCUAAAUAGAAGGCCUUUGUAAAGUCUGGAUGUACAAAGAUUGGAGUCGUAGUAAAUGCCGUUUUCAAGUCUUGAAACGCCUUCUCCACUAGAGGUCCCCAUUCUAGCUUAUCCUUGUAUGUCAACCAAGUAAGAGAAGCAACAACUUGAGAGUAAUUCUUGAUGAAGAUCUGAUAGAAGUUAACAAAGCUAAGAAAGCAUUAUACGUCUCUAACCGUCUUCGGAACCUCUCAGGACACGAUUGCUUCCACCUUCUUGGGGUCUAUCUUCAAGCCUUCCGUAGUCACAAUGAAUCCCAAAAACUCCAUCUCUAUUUAGUGAAAUAAACACUUCUCCAACUUGGCAUAUAGUCCUCGCUCGCGUAGUUUCACUAUGACCAAACGAACGUGCUUUUUAUGCUCUUUUUUAUUUUUGGAGAAUAUCAAAAUAUCAUCCAAAUAGAUGACAACAAAAUCGUCAAGGUGCUCCCAAAAAACAUCAUUCAUCAUAUGUUGGAAGACCACUGGAGUAUUGGUAAGACCAAAGGGCAUGACAUUAUAAUCAAAAUGGCCAUACCUUGUACGGAACGCUGUCUUCCACUCAUCUCCUUCCUUGAUUCAUACGAGCUUGUAAGCUCCCCUUCGAUCAAUUUUUGUAAAGAUCCUUGCACAUCCAAGUUGUUCUAAGAGAUUAGAAAUCAAAGGUAACGGGUAACGAUUCUUCUUUGUUAUCUUGUUGAGGCCUCAAUAGUCUAUGCACAUCUUCAACGAGCCAUGUUUUUUCUUCACAAAUAAGAUGGAUGCUCCAAUUGACGAUUUUGAAUGACGGAUGAAGUUCUUGGCUAGAUUCUCGUCAAUGUACUUCCGCAACUCUGCCAAUUCCAUCUGCAAUAGAUUGUAGAUUGGGCCAAAAGGUGGUUGUGCUCCUUCCUGCAAGUCUAUGGCACAAUCAUAUGGUCGGUGUUCCGGUAGUAUGUCGACGUUCUUCUUUUGAAACACGUCUUCAAAAUCUUUAUAUUGCUCUAAUAUACUUGCUGUCGAGAUCUUCUCCCUAGUAAUUGGAGCCAUAUAAAUGACAAACAUUAAACCUUCAUUGGAUGAUCUUACAAACGUUUUUGCUCUAAUGAAUAAAGAUUUCUCUAUGCGGGGUUUUCUACUAGGCUUGCUCUUAGGUAGUUUUGUGGGAAAGGUCAUCUUCCGCAACUUCCAAUCUAUGGAUGAGUUAUGAUUUUCCAACCAGGAAAGACCAAGAAUAAUAGGAUUUGAUGGAGUUCUAAUAAUAUUGAAAAUAAUAUGACUACUAUGGCCCUUAAACGUCUCUUCUAUAUGUUCUGAUUCAUGGGUGACACUACCAGACAAUAAAGGUCGCCCAUCUAUGACCUCAAUGUAAAUAGGUCUGGAUUUUUGUACUAAAGGGAUCUUAUGACUCUUUGCAAAUUCUUUGUCUAAGAAACAAGCAGAUGCUCUUCAAUCUAAUAAUGCUAAGGUUCUCAAUUUCUGAGGGCCAAUAAACAAAGGGAUUGUAAAACAAAGGACAAGUUGAGCGAAAAGAAAGGAACCUAGUUGUUGUUACGAUAUUUCACUGUCUAGCUGCACGGUUCUUAUUGUGGCUAAGCAUCUUCGUUUUCCUGAACAAACGCGCAUAUGGUCCUGACAAUGCGUCGAUUUUACUUCUUGGGAUAGUUUUCAACUUUGUGGCCUUCUUCGCCGCAAUAUAAGCAUAGACCUUCCUCCAUACGCCGCUUUUUUUCUUCUAGAGUAAGCGAUUUGACAUGUACCUCAUCAAUUUGCAUGUCUUCUACCUCUGAAUGUGAAUUCAUGCUGCUUGCUGACAUAGUUGGGGCGUAACGAACCGUAUGUUGUCUUGAGCAUUGGUCUUGGUAACAUUGGAAUAGGCGAUUAUCGGACUUCACAGCUUGACUAAUAGCAUCGUUGAGCGUUCGUGGAUCAAGAAGAGUUAAUAGCAAAUCCUUCACAUCGUCCCUUAAAUCCCAAUAGAAUUGAUUCAUCAAUGCUUCUUUGUCCCAAUUGAUGUCACAUGCUAAUUGCCUAAAAUUCGAUACAUAGACUGAUAUAGAGUGCAUCUCUUGUCGUAGUGACUGGAUCUUUGUUGUAGUCCAUCGAACCUUGUCGUAUUUACCAAAUGCUUUCAUAAAUGCCUCCAAAAAGGUUUCAAAGUUGUUUAGUAUGGACGAUCAUUUCUCAAAUAAAGGAGCAAACCAUGAUAGAGCUUGCCUUAUAAAUAAGGUUCCAACAAGCUUAAUACGUGACUCCUUCGUUAGAUAACAUUCAGGCUGUAAAACUAUUAUCAACUUGAUUUCAUUGACGAAUCCUCGAAACUUGGAACGCGUACCAUCGAACUUAUCCGGAAGGCUAACUUGGCGCUCCUUAUGUUGUAGAACCAACGGUGCUUGUUGAACCUGAGGCAAAGUUGCUUCUCUAAGUGUAGAAGUUUGAAGCUGGUGCAACCUAGAUUGUGCCAUCCCAGAUGCUCCAUCAUUAUGAAGCCUUGCCACGACUCCUGUAAUCUCUAUAGUUCUUUGUAAUAACGUAGCAAGGGCAUUCAUAAUAGCAUCCAACUUAGACUCUGAACUUUCCGUCAUACUAAUGUCUUGGCCUCCGACCGUUCUAAGUAAAGGACAGAAAUGACUCUAUAAGAAGACAAUAUUGGUUUAGAGGAGGGUACUCCGCAACAUCUAAAACGCCUUAAGAGCUUCAAGAAAAGGGGUAAUCCACUCUCUCCAAGAAGAAUAAGACUCCAAUAUUAUAACAAAAGAAGUAUCAAUUUAGAAGAGGGUAAUCCGCAACCUCUAAAAUGCUAGUACACCUUCAAGCAGAGGGACAAUCCAUACUCUAACGACAAAGAAACUAGCUCUGAUAUCUGAGGUGAGUGCAAUCUCGACAAACUGUCAUGGACACAAAAAUACAGGCUCGAGAUCUAACAAGAAGUUCAAGAAGAACUGGCAAGAACUAGAUUAAUCAGAUGAAUACAAAAAUCACACCAAAGAGGUGAGCUAGAGCUUCAAGAGAUGUAUUGUCGAGACUGAAGAACUCUUUAGUCUUGAUUCUAAUAUAUACUCCUAUUUAAGAAGCUUCUCAAGCAACUUCUAUCAACUAUGAAGCUUCUGGAAGAUUCUAGAGACUUGCUUCUAGAAGGUUCUAGAAACUUGUCUCUAGAAGGUUCUAAGGACUAUGUCCCUAACAUCCGUAGAAAAAUUGAAUAAUAAGUGCAGCAUCAUCCUACUUGAUAUCAGUUAUAAGUUGUCAAAAUUAUAAAGUGUACAAUAUUAUUGAUUGAUUGUCUUGUCGUAAAAUACAGAUCUUAUUGAUUGCAACACGAAUUACAUCAUGUUCUCCAUACAUGGAUUGAAACUUCGUUAGAAAAGCCUCUAGAUUAUCCAAUAUUGGAUCUCGUCGUUCAAGAAAAGAUGAAAACCAUGAUAGUGCUGAACCUAAAAGAAGCAUAUCAAUGAAUCCAACUUGCGAUCCUGGAGUUGGAUAGCUUUGGGGUUGAAGUUCAAUCACAAGUUACACUUGAUUGAUAAAUCCUUGAAACUUGGAUCUGGUGCCAUCAAACUUCUCGGGUAGGACAAUUCUUGGUUCUCUAACACUGAAAAGGCGUUCCACUAUAGGAGAAAGGAUAUGAUUUGGUGCAGAUGUUGAAGCAGCUCCAACCAUUUCUAUAUCUUUACUUCCCGCCAAUCUUGUUGUUCCUUGUGGUGGUAAAUUGAGUUGAUGCAUCGCAAGUAUUAACUCCCUCAAUUGCUCUUGCAUUUGUGCCAUUGCACUCUUCAUUUCAAUAAGUUCUGCCGUGAUAACACUUAGAAAAGAGAAGAUGUCUAAUAUUGCUCAAGACAAAUAGAAGAGAGAAUUUGAGAACAAAGAAAAUACUAAAGACAAUAUCAGUUUACAAGAGGGUAAUCCGCAACUUCUAAUAUGCUUAUAUCUUAUCAAAAAAAAGGGGUAAUCUACUCUUAAUCAAGAUUAGACAAAGCUCUGAUAUUGGAGGUGUACUCUUGUCAAUCUGUCAAGGACAAGAACUCGAUGAAAAAGUAAUUCAUACAAGUGAGCCUUCACUCAAAGAAAGAUAACAAAAUAUAAAUAAACAAGUAUGUAUAUUGAAAGAGCAACUGGAAUUGCUAUGGCCAAAAGACAAGAAAACUAGAGACCCUUGAAACUAGACUGGAAGCAAGAAAGGAGUUGACAAGAGUGAAGAAGGCUUCACUCUUGUCUCUAUAUAUACUAUCUAAUUAGGGGCUAUGUGGUGACAUUCUAUAGGACCUCCAAUAUGUGUUGACUUUGUAGGACACAUGCCUUGACUUACAAGGCAAGUUUUUCUAUGUGUGGGCCACAUAGUUAGCUUGAUCUUCAAGCUAACAACAUGUGUGGCACAUGGCCAACUUGUUGAUAACGUUUCUAAUCCAAAAAGUCAAUUAAAGACACCUAUGAAGUCAAAGCAGCGUCUAUGAAGCUUUUAGGAAGCUUCCAUAUUAAAUACUAUAGAAUUAACUUACUUUUAUAUAUUUUUACUUACUUCCACCUAUUUGUAUAUGUAAUUACUAGCUUACAUGAGUAUGUCCAUGAUAAGAUAUUAAUUUUGUAGUAUAGCCUUCUAUUUCAAGUUCAAUACAAGAUGAAGAUACUAGUAUCAAAAAUAUAGUAUAUAUUUUGAUAUAUAAAGUGUUGAAUAUGGUUGUAUUUUCUAGUGUUGAUUGUUGAUUUUAGAAUUUAAACUACUAGGAAUCUUUCUAUUGGCUAGUAAAAUAUUGAAAGGGAAAGUACCUAUGCUAUUGUUAGAUGGAACUCAAGUAGUUACAAAGCCUUUAAUUCAAAAAGAUUUAGCUAGGUUAUAAGCAAAGCUUGUAACUGAAGCUAUUGCCAUAUUUGAUGAAGGUUAUUCAACGCUCAUAAUUGUAAAUUCUUUAAGUGAGGUAUCAUUGGUUGUAGAGGUAGUAUUUUUAUUUGAUGUUGCAAGUAGACCUAUUGAGGAACAUCAAAAUUUGUGUCUAUGAAUUGUAUGGUGUCAUAUUAUGUGAAGUCUUAUUUGAAAAAACAUCAGAUACCUAAUUGUGAAAGAUAAAAAAAUUACAAUAAUAAAAUCUAAUAAUUAUAAUAUAAUCAUAUAUAAAUUGUAAUUAUGGCUUAACAAAUAUAAUCAAAUAUUGAUCAAGUUCAAUUAAACUUUUAAAUAAAUUAUAAAAAUUAAAUCCUAAUCAAAUCUCACACAAAUCUUAAUAAAAUCCAAGACAAAUCCUAGACAAACCAAGUUUCUAACUUAUCAAUCAAUUACAAUUACAUAUAAAAUCAAAACAACAUUUAAGAAGCUUCUAAGAAGCUUUCCUAGAAAAUAUUAUAAAAUUAAUCUAUUUUUACCUACUUCUAUCUAUUUAUAUUACCUAGAUAAUAAUUACAAUAAAUACAUGUCGAUGGUAAUAUCUCUAUUAUCUCAAUUUAAUAAGAAUUCAAGACAUUUAAAGAAGGCUUUAUGAAAGCUUUUUACUUUAUUUUUUUUUUCAAUAUCUUAUAGUUUGAAGUUAGCAAUUUUUUCUUCAAGGUUGCGUUUUUUAAUAAAAAUGCUUCUAUUGCAUUAAAAUGGCUCUCAAAUAGUAAAAAUAAAGUAGAUUAGAUAAAUCAAUGAUAUGAUUGACUAUAAAAUUAAGCCAAAUAUAGGAUCAUACCAAAAAAAUCCUUAAAUUAUUUAAAUUGAUACCUAAAAGAUGUCCAUUUUAAUCAUAGUGAAAAUCAAAUCUCAAUAAGUAGAAUGGUUGCUUAGGGCAAAAUGUGUGGGCUUUUGGAAAUUUGCAUAAAGGAUUGACAAGCUAACUUUGAGCUUAUUCUAGAAGUAAAAGACUUAUUUCAUUGGAGUUUAUAAUGUGUGAGUCAUGGAAUUGAUUCAUUUGUAUGUUUAAUACAAAAAAUGCACUUAUAGUGUUCAAAAUCACAAAAUUAGUGAAUUAGUCAAGGAACUCUUAAAUAAAUAGAAAAUUUUUUUUAUAAAUACAAGUACUAAAAUACAAUGUAUAGUUGAAUUUCUUAAUAUGGAUUUUUAAGAUGAAAAGAUUUUUUUCUCAAUUUAGCUUAUAUUAGAUUAUAGUCUAAUAAUGGUAGUUUUUAAUGUCAUUGAUUUUUUAUUAGAAUAGAAAAUUACAAAGGAAUAUUGGAUUUUAAAAAAUCCAAAAAGAAAAAGAAAAAAUAUUAAUAUCUUUUAACAAAUAAAAUAGAAUAAAAAUAGUUGAAUAGAAAAAGAAAAAAUGUUUGAGAGAAGGUAAAGAACUAGUAGGAAGAGAAAAGAAAAAAAAGAAGAGAAAACAAAAAAGUAGAGAAAAGAAAAAAGAAGCUUAAAGAAAAGACGGGAGAAAAAAAAAAAAAAAAAAAAAAAAAAAGAAAAAAAAAAGAGAAAAGGAAGUGACUUCCUUACCUUCCUGGAUUUUUCUAAAUAUGGAUGUUGAUCCGAGUUUUAAAGAUGGAGCUAUCGGGGCCUGGCAAAUUGCGCAGCCUAGUCUUAUUCCUCCCUCUCUCUCUCAUUUUUUCCUUGGUACUGUGUUCCUAAGUUCUGAAAAUUCGAGGCUUCCUUCUACAUUUUCUCUGCUCCUGAGUGAGAUGCUGUGGUGCGGCGCUCUCUUGCGGUGAAGCAAAUUCCUUGCUGCAGUGUGCGGGUGUCGGUGUUGCCGUUGCUGAUCCCGUCGACGGCGUCAGGUUCUUCCUUCAGCGGUGGUGCUGCCCAUUUUGUUAUGAUUGUGUGUUGUUGUUGGUGGUAAUAUUCUAGUACGGAAGGUCUCUCGUUGGUGUUGCUUCUCUUCGUUGGCUGUUUCAGUCUAGCGGUACUGGCCGCAUCGACGGUGGUUUCUUUUGUCUAGUUUUUUCUUGCGGAGCGGCGAGGUGUAGUGGUUGUUGACAAACUGAUGCUGCUCUUCAGUUUGUGCCGCUGCUGGGUGCGAGUGCUGUGCAACAAGAAAUUCCAGUUUUUUCUGUACUAGAGUGGGAGGUGCGGCAUCACGUGGUCGAGGACCUGUUGAGUUGGGGAUGGUCCAAGUCGGCGAGCUGCGGUCAAACUCUCCUUUAAUUGAUCUCUUUUCCUCUUCCGCACUGUGUCCGACAGCGUGCAGCAAUCUGUCCUGCUCCUGUGAAGUAGCAGCGGUGAUCAACAUUCCCUUAAUUUCUGUGGCAGUCUCUUCUCAACGAUUACUUGCGCAAAACUUAUGGUUGAUGUUGAAUGAAGUCGCUUCCAUAUUUUGGAAAUAUAGAGUGGCAUCAGUGUUGUUAGUGGUAACAUAGAACCUUAAAGGUGGCUGGAAAAAGGAUAUUCAAGACAUAGAGGUUUUCAAAUCCAGAAGGAACAACUGUUGGAGUGGAGCUUCGAAGGGAGGAGCUGCUUGGUCGGAGUAUAGGGAACAAACACCAACUUCAAGUAGGAUCGUUACGUGGAAAUAUUCCUUCAAGUACAAGGAAUAUUUCCACGUAAGAUAAUUGAUUCUAUUAAACAACAAUUGACUAGGGGAUGCUAGGGUUGGGAUGAAGUUAGGUUAGGGUUGAAGGAAUCCAAAUUGGAUGAAAUUAUUAAACAAGGAUGAUUAUAUAUUGCAAAUGAAUUUUGUGGAUAAAUUUUAUUAUGGAUGAAAUAUUAUUCAAGGAUGAGUUUUCAUUCUUGGAUGAAAUUUUAUUAAUGAAUGAAUUUUAAUAGCAAAUAAAAUAAAAUAAUAUACAUAAAAAAAUAAAAAAAUAAAUCUCAAUGCAUGAAAGUGGGUGGAUAACUUCAUAUUAUAAGUAUGAAUUGUAGUGAAGAUUUUAUUUCAUUAAUUGGAUUAAUUUUAAGAAGUUAGAGAGUGAUUUAAAUUAAGAUUUUAAUAAUAAAUGCAAUAGAUAAAAUCACAUAAUUAAUUCAUUUGUUGUGAAUUAGAAUAAAUUUUGAAUUAAUAGAGAUGUUUUUUUUGCUUAUAUAAUAAAUUUAAAUAAGCAAUUCAAAUUUAGUAUUUGUAUUGGCAAUUAGGAUUUUAUAAAAUAAUAUUAACACUGGCUUCCUUAUCUAAUUUAUGCAUAUUGAGGAGCAUCUACUAUUGGAAUUUCUUAAACAUAUAAUUAAUUGCAUUUAUUAGAUGUGUAUAAAAAUCCAUGCCAUUAUAAUGGAGCAAAUAGGAGAUAUCUAAUCAUAAGUACAAAGAUAUACCAUAUCUAAGGUAUUUUAGGAUUUGCAAUAUCUAAAGCUCUAUUAGUUUGGAAUGAGAUAAAACUUGGCAUUUAAUUACAAGCCUUCAUGACCAAACUACAAACCAAUUUUUUGAAGUAAAAUUAAUAAUUGAAAAAGUAGAAAUUGCUUCUAAAACUUCUUUAUCAACUUUCAAGCUGGCAGCCGAGAAAAAUUAGUAUAGUAUUUUGACUUUCCACACAAUUUAUAAGUUGGAUUGGGCUGAAUUUAAAUAGAAAUAUAGAAAGCUUAUAGCAAUAUUAGUGUACUAUAUUUUACACUAUUUAAACAAUCAAAUUAAGAAAUAUGCUUUAUUAAAGUUCGCUAACUAGGAUUUUGGUUUAUAAGAAAAAUUUAUAAGUUGCAAAAGAAUAAAAGUAACAAAAUAAUUAGAGUUUGUACAUGCUUAUGGUUAUCAAAAAGAUUGUUUGAAUACUUUGUAUUUACAUUAGGGUGUUGCUAAUUUAAUUGAUGCCAAAUCCUAAAUUCUAAAACCUACUCUUAAUCUUAAUUUUUCUUGCUUUUCCAUUAUAUUCGUAAAUAUUUUUAAAAAAAGAAAUAAAAAAGAAUUAAAAUAAUAUUAAUAAAUAAAACUAUUUAUUAAAAAAGAAAUAAAUAAAGAAUUAAAAAAGAAUUUACAAAAUAAGUAUUGUAAGUAAUUAAAAAAAAAGUUUAAACAAUUAAUUAAAGAAACUAACAUGUAAUUAAAAAAAAAUUAGAAAAAAUAGUAAAAGUUAACAAAAAAUUGAAAUUAGUGAAUAUGUGUUGAUAUAAGAUAAUAAGAAAAAAACAUAUCAACACUUUGCAAUUUUUGUUGAUAAAAAAUGUCUCAGCAAAAAAUUUAGAUUAGUUCAAAAAGACUUCUUUUCUACAAAGCGUUAGUAUUAUAGAGGCCCAUGAUUUGUUGAAUUUUAUUGAGUCAUCACAAGUAAAUGCAAAAAUUCAUCAUAUAUAUACAUUAUAUAAAUCUAUGUAAAAGCGCUUUGAGCUACUUUAUACAAUCUAAAUUUGAAAUGCUAUGAGCAUUAUUAUACAACCAUAUAUUUUUAAGAAAUAUUCAAUAAAAGACUAAUUUAUUUAUUAUGCUAAAUUAAUUAAUAUAUAGUGAUUUGAUAAUUGAUUUGCAUAAAGAAAGUUAAAUGAAUGAAUUCAUUCAAUAUAUUUUUAUAAAAGUAUUUGAUAAGAGAUUUAUUUCAAAAUCUAUUAGUAGAAUCUUUAUUGAAUGUUAAGAUUUCAUUAAGUUUUUAAGUUAUUACUCAAGCCUCAUAAUUGAUAAUUCAAGAUCCAUCGAAGAUAAUUUCAAUUUUUUUUUUAUCUUUUUUCUUUGUUAAAUAUGUAUUUGACUUAUCUUUAGCUAUUCAAAUCUCAGCUAUUUUGUAGUACUAGAAAGCAUCAUACUAUACCAUUUGUUUUUUUUUGUUAGUUAAUAAUAAGUUGCAUACUUCAUAAACAAAAUAAAAAAAAAAAGCAAAUCCAAGUGAAUCAAGUUUUUCUAAUCUCAAAGGCAUAUCGUUGGAUGGUAUCAAAAAACAACACUAUCUAGUUCAUUGUUUGGAUAUUUGCUAAAGCUUCAAAGAUAACUGCCACUCAUAUCUUGUUGAUGCAAUUGAAAUAGUUAGGACUAAAGACAUGAAUGAAGAAUUCAACGGUUUUUCUUUUCUUUACAUCCUAAAUGCAAUGAUACUUCUAAUUCUUCCAAAUAUUAUAGAAAUCUUUUUAAAACAUGAUCAUGGUCCCUAUAAUCAAGUAUUUGCUUUAUUGCAAGAGUCUACUCUCUUUGUUCUUAAAUCUGUAGAUUUUAGUCUAAAGAAUAGAUUCUACUUUGUAGUUUUGCUCCAAAUUGAAUUUCUCAUACCAAAGAUUUUUUUUAUUUUUUUUAUAAUCAUCUCUUUUAUAAACUCUAUAAGAAAUCAAGCAAAGUUUUGUAAUCAAUGCUUGGUUCUUACUUUCUUGUCUUCUAAAGUCUUAGGCUAAAUGUUCUUCAAAACAAACUUUGCAUUGAAUUUAGACUUUUUCAUCUAUCAACAAACUCAAAUUUUAAGUCCUAAGAAUUUAUACUAAUUAUCUAUUUUAACUUUAUAGACUUUCUUAUUAAUUAAUAUAUUUUUGCUAAUCCUCAAUCAAUUUAUUAAUAUUUGGAUGCUUCUCAAGUUGAUGUGAUUUUUUAAUUUUAUAGCAAUCAUUCCAAUUUUUUUCAUAAUUUCUAUUUUUGUCUAUUUAUUAUUGAUAUAAUGAAGAAGUGCUUGCUUUUGUAUUUUUCACUCUUUUUUUGUUGCAAUUGUAUAAGCAAGUGGCAAUUUCUAGAGUAAAAAUCAUUCUAAUAGAAAUCUCACAAUAAAUUAUGUUGUAAAUUCUUCAUUACUUUUAAUUGGCUUAUUUUCUAAUAUUGAUUUACUACUGAUUUUUCCGUGGAUUCUUUGUGAUUUUUAGUAUUUAAAAUGGUUUGAUUUAGUUUCUUUAUCUUGGAUUAAAUAAAGUUUAAUUUAAGAUUUUUGAUUGGGCCAUCACUUCUUUAGUGAUUUUGAAUCUAUUCUAUGCUAAUUUACUUUAAAAGUCCUUUUUUUUUAGUAGAUUUUACUUUUUACCUUGACAAGAUCUCUUUGAUUAUGCCAACUAUAAAGCCAAUACAUCCAAUAAUGACACUAGACCAUUCCUUCAAUGAUUUGAUUUAUUAAAUUAAAAAAAAAUCUAUUAUUACAACUCCUAUUUUUUGUUGUCUCUAAUCAUAAUAAAAAGACACUUGUUUUUUUAAGCUAGUUGAGAGAGUUAAGGACAAUGAAAAAUAAUCAUGUUUUUUUUUUUUUUUUUUUUUUUUUUCUACUUUUAAUUUAAUAUCUAAUUUUAAUCAAGUUUCUUUCUUGUAUGGUUAUAGCACCUCCGAAUUUCUUAAGAUACCUCAAGUUCUUUGACUCCAAAAGCUCAUCCAUCCUAAGAUUUUAUACACCUUAGAUUGUGACUACUUUGUAAGUCAAGUCAAAUUCUAGAAAUUUACCUCGCUUAUUAGUCUCUUUUAGCAAUGUAUUUAUUUAUUUAUUUAUUUAUUUAUUUUUAAUCUUUGUUUCUUUAAAAAAGAAGUGAACUUGGAUUAUUAUUAUUUUUUUUACUUAAGCAUUGGCAAUGGUAGUCAUUCUACUUAUUUAUUGAUAAUAUCUUUUGUUGUUGGUCGAAUAUGAUCAUCUCUUUGCUCUUUGACUUGCCAAAACCUUCCUUCUAGACUUGAUAAUUGAAUAUUAAGAAGAGAUCAAAGGAAGGAGGGAGAAUAUAUAGGCAUCUUCAUAAUUCUAAACAAAAGGUUAUAUACAAUUCCGUCUUUUAGAGUAAAUUAUAAAAAUAUUUUUCAUCCAUCUCUGCUAUUAUAAUAAGAAUCCAAUAUAAUACAAUGACAUUAUUGAGUUGGGACUUUUUUUAAAACAUCAUUAUUUUAGGUUUUUGUUUUUAAAUUGUGAUUAGGAUUAAUUUGUACCAAUUAGAUAAGUUCUUUAUUAUACUAUUAAUAAUUUUUUAGUGAUAUUAUAGCCAUAUAUCAUGAAUAUACAUAUUUAUUCGAAUAAUUAUCUAUAUGAUUAUAUUGAAGUAGAUUAAUUUCAUAACAUCUUUUAGAGAAGCUUUGUAAUAGCUUGAUAGACAUAGAUUUGACUUUAUACAUAUUUGUAGUUUAUUGAUAGAUUAAAAACUUAGUCAAUAAAUUAACCAUGUAUCACAUGUAUUGAUAGCUUAUAGAACAAGUUAACUAUGUGGCAUACAUAUAGAAAACUUGCCUUUUAAAUUAAGAUACGGAUCUUACAAAAUCAACACAUGUUAAAAGAUUUAUAAAAUAUUGUCACAUAGGUCCUAGUUAGAGAAUCUAUAUAAAGACAAGAGAAAGCUUUCUUUACUCUUAUUAAUACCUUUCUAGUUCUUAGUCUUUAUUAAAAACUUUUCUCAAGUUGUAGUCUUUGAAACACACAAUAAACAUGAAGUUUAUAUUCUUUUCUAACAACACAUCUUCAUCAAGAACUUUUUUCAAGUUGCAACUCCACUUAUUUGAGAUGUAAAGACAAACUUAAAUAGAAUAGAGAAGUGUAAGCAUUGUUUGAGGCUUUGAAGAAAGAAUUUACUUUUGCAUCAAUCUUAUAUUGCGUUGAUUUUUUUAAGGUAUUUUUUUAUAAAAAUAAAUGCAUCAAAUUUUAUCUAAGAUUUUAUCUAAGAUUUUACCUGAGAUAAUGGUAGAUAAUUUUAUCAAGAUGGCAUAUUUUGUAUUAUGUACAAUAUCUGUUACAAGUGACAAAAUGAAUAAGUUUUUUUUUAACAACAUCUAUUACUAUUAAAGAUUGUCCAAAGUUAUUAUAUCAAAUAAAAAGACUCAAUUUUUAUUAAAAUUUUGAAGAAACAUCUUUAAGAUUUUAAAGAUAGAUAUUAAACUCUCUUUGGCUUUUUGUUUUUAGAUUGAUAGGCAAAUAGAAUAGAUGAAUCAAGUUUUAGAGUAGUAUUUUAGAUGUACCAUCAACUAUCAUUAAGAUAAUUAGAAAAUCCUUUUACCAUUGAUAAUUUAUAUAUAAAAAUUUGCUAUAUUUUUCUAUUCAAUAUAUUUUUUUUUACUAACUAUGGUUAUCAUUUAUAAUUUGAUAUUUUUGACUUUUCAAAAGUUGAUAAUCUUUUGUUAGAAGAUUUGAUAAAUUAUUUGUUAGAGUUACAUGCAAAAAUGAAGGUGCAAUUAAAAGAAGUUCAAGAAUGAUAAAAGAUCAAUAUAGAUGCUUAUCAUAAGAAACAACCAAAAUUUACCAAAGGUGAUAGAGAUGAUUAUUUUGUUGCAGUAUGAAGAUUACUUAUUCUUAUGAAAAGUUGAACUAUUGUAGACUUAGACCUUUUUCUAUUUGUGAACAAGUCAAUCCUAUUACUUAUUAAUUACAUCUAUUGGAGUAUAUGAAGAUCAAUCCUAUAUUCUUUGUGUCUCUUCAUAAGCCAUAUAAGACUGAAUAUCUCAAAAAGAAGAUAAAUAUUACUUCUUUCAAAAAAAGUAGAUAAUAAUUAAAAGUUCAAAUUGGAAGAAGUCUUAAAUUCAAAGUGACACCAAAAUUAGUUGAAAUGCCUUAUUUAUUAAUGUAGAUAUGACAUUAGUGGAUGCACAUAGAAGCUAUUAAAGAAUCUUGCAAAUGCAACAAAAAGAGUUGAAGCUUUUUGUUGAUAACAUCCAUCAAAAUUAAGAUGAAGAAUAACAAGAUUUAUGAAAGAUGAUGGCCGCCCUUUAUGAAACUUAUCCUUAAAAGGAAGAAUAAUAUCACAAACAUAUAUAUUUGCUUCAAUAAUUACCUAUAUGAUUAGAGAGAAGUAGAUUAAUUUCAUAACAUAUUCUAGAGAAGCUUCUUAAAAGUUUUAUAGAUGUGGUUUUGAAUUUACACAUGUUUCUAAUUGAUUGAUAGGUUAGAAAUUUGAUCAAUAAGUUAAUCACAUGUCACAUAUAUUGGUAGCUUAUGAAAAAAGUUAACUAUGUGGUAUAUAUAUAGAAAACUUGUCUUGCAAGUUAAGAUACAUGUCUUCCAAAGUCAACACAUAUUAAAGAUUUUAUAGAAUAUUACGACAUAAUUUCUAGUUAGAGAGUAUAUAUGGAGGCAAAAAUAAAGCCUUCUUCAUUCUUUUCUAUACAUUUCUAGUCCUUAGUCUAGUUUCAAGACUUUGUAGUCUUCUUAUCUUUAGUAAUAGCUAUUCAAAUUUAAUAUAUUACCAUCUUUGAGUGUCUUUCUAAUCUUUUAAAGUAACACAAGAGUAUAUUGAGUUUUCUUUCUUUGAGAUUUUUUUUCUUUGAGAUUCAUAUCCUUCAUAAUAAGAGUAUAUUGAAUUUUUAUUCUUCAAGAUUUAUGACUUUGAUACCAUAUGGUAGUACCAACUAGCCUUUAUAUUAUUUUUUUAAGACUUCUUCUCUCUUUUGUCUCUUACUUUUGAUUUUUUUUAAAAAAAUUAUUAGAUUUUAUUCUCCCACACAAUACAUCUUUUAUUACUGUUCAACUUGCAAUCAUUAUUUUUUCAUGUACAAUAAAAUCUCUUAAUAAAUAAAAUAUAAUAUCUUUAGUUUUAUUCUUGUAAUUAAUUUCUUUCAAAUAUUAUAAAAUCAAGUCUCUUUCUUAUAGUUGAUUUUUAGCUUUAUUCAAUAUUAUGUGUAAUUUAUACAAAAUAGUUUCCUCAUCAAGUCAAUACUUAAUAAUUGGUAGUAUUAUUCUAUUUUGAGACUUCUAUCCAAUGAUGAAGUAUUGAAUACAAUAAAAAAUGAUUUAAAUUCAUUACUUUCACUCUCUUUUAAAUACUACUUUUAUUAUGGUCUAAUGUACAAGUGAAUCAAGUUUUGGACUAAUAUUUGUAAUAUACCAUCAACUACUAUUAAGUUGAUGAAAUAACUCUUUUGCUAUCGGUAAUUUUUUUUCAUAACAUAUUAUAUUUUUUUACUCAAUAAAUACUUUUUUAUGCUAGUUAUGGUUAUCAUCUAUAACUUAAUAUCUUUGAAUUUUUAAAAGUUAAUAAUCCUACAAUAAAAGAUUUAAUAAAUUAUUUAUUAGAGUUAUAUAUAAUAAUAAAAGCAUAAUUAAAAGAAAUUCAAGAAUGAUAAAAAAUCAAUGUAGAUACCUAUUGCAAAGAACAAAAUUUAUUUUAUGUUAUCAAUAAAGUAUAGUUACUUUGUCAUAAUAUCAAUAUUAGCCACUCUUAUGACAAGUUGGAUUACUAUAUACUUAGAUCAUUUCUUAUUUGUGAACAGAUUAAUCUUGUUGCAUUUUAAUUAUAUCUAAUGGAAUCUACUAAGAUCAAUCAUAUAUUUUAUAUGUCUUUUUUUGAAUCAUACAAGAAAAUAGAUUUAUUUAGAAGAAGACAAAUGCCACAGCCUCCUAUAGAAAUAGAAAAUAAUCAAGAGUUUAAGAUAGAAGAAAUCAUAGAUUGAAGGUGGCACCAGCUUAGGUUGAAAUAUCUUAUUCAUUGGUAUAAAUUUGAUACUACUAAGUGCAUGUAGAAGCUAGCCAAGUAUCUCACAAAUAAAAUAGAAAAAAUCAAAGAAUUUCAUUAAUAACAUCCAUCAAAAUCAAAAUAAUUAAUUAAGCAAUUUUUUGUUAUAUAUAAAAAAAAUGGUUCAAAGAAGCUUAUAUUUUAUUUUCUAUCUUUGAUUGUGGGUUUUUUUUUUUUUUUUUUUUUUUUUUUGUAUUACUGAAAAGAUAGAAAAUUAAUAACUAGUGAAUUCAACUCAAUAACUAUUACUUGUAGAAUUAGUAGACAAGAUAUUAUAAUUAUCACUACCUUUACGACAACAUAAUAGAGAUAAAGACUUUAAAAAAUGAUAUGUUCUUCUUGGAGUAGAUGGCAAGAUAUAAUGCAUUUGGUAUUAUAAUUUUAGAAGAGAUUCUUAAUGUUUGGAUAUAUUAAUCAAGAUAGAAACCACUUAUAAUAGUAUUUUAAAUAUUUUAUUUUAAAAAAAUUAUAAAGAUUUGAAUAAUAAUUAAAUAUCAAAGUGGUCUUCAUUUUUUGUAUUGAGUACUAUUAAUGGCUUAGAAAUCCUAUAAAUUACCUUCAAAAAAAAUAAAGAUUAGAAUAUGUAACAAAUAUAAUUUAAUGCAUCUUAGACGUCCUCAACAUGUGAUCAUUAUUUCUUAUAGAACUUGUCUCUAAAAAGAGGAAUAAUAUAACUUGUAUUCAUAUUUAUUCUAAUAAUUACCUAAAUAAUAUGAAUUAAUAAAAGUAAAUAAAUUUAAUAAUAUCUUAUAGAGUAACUUCUUAGAAGCUUUAUAAACAUGAAUUUUCCUAAAUAGGUAUUUAUAAGUGAUUGAUAGAUUGCAAACUUAACUAACAAAUUAGCCACAUGUUGUACAUGUUGGUAACUUGUGGUAUAAGUUGAAGAUAUGGCUCAUAUAUAGCAAACUUAUCAUGUAAAUUAAACACAUGUCUUAUAAGUUGGAGACAUGUUAGAGGUCUUAUAAAACAUUUUUAUGUAGUUCCUAAUUAGAGAAUAUAUAUAAAAGCAAGAGUAAGACCUUCUUCGCUCUUGUUAAUUUCUUUUUUGCUUCUAGUCUAAUUUCAAGGAUCUCUAAUUUUCUUAUCUUUUGGCAACAACUAUUCUAAUUUCUAUAUAUAUAUAUAUAUAUAUAUAUAUAUAUAUAUUUUUCAUCUUUCUUUGAAAAACAUCUCACGUGUUUAUUUGCAUUCAUUGAAUUCUUGUCCUUGACAAAAAGACACAUGUACAAUUUGUAUGGCAAGUUUUUGACAUGUGUCUUAUAAGACCAACUUAAAAUACAAAGUGGAUAAUGUACAAUAUUUAGCCAACUAAUUGGCCAAUUUUUUAACUUGUCAAUUACUUAUAAAUAUAUAUUAAGUCUAUAAAGCUUCUAAGAAGUUUUCAAAUAAGAUAUCAAUAAUUUAAUCUAUUAUUAACUUCCACUUAAUCCUAUUUAUUUAAAUAAAUAUAUUAAAAAAAUAUGAUUAUCUAUUAUAAUUACUCUUUAGUUAUUUUUUCUAAUUUCUUUCUAUAACUUGUUAAAUAGAUCUUAAUUUAAGUAUUUUAAUAUCAUAUAUUAUUAUUGCAUAAAGAUUUUAUUUUAUUUAUAUCUAUAAAAUAUGAUGCUUUCAUGGUUAUAUCUUUAUUUUUAUUAUAUUAUAUACACACUUUGUAUUUGAACAUCAAAAUUACCUCAUAUAUACCUACAUAUAUUUAAAAUUCAUCAAAAUAGUUCUUUAUCAAUAAAAAUAAUUCACAAAAAUAUUUAAGUAUAUAUUGAUAUUUUCUUUCAAUGCCAAAUUUUUAGUCUAAAGCUUGUUAUUGUCUAAACAAUCUUCCUAAGUUUUAAUUUUAAAAUAUAUUAAUACUUCUUGCAAUAAUUAGAAUUUUUUUUUUUGCUUCUUAUGAAACAAUGCAUUCAUAGAGAAAUAAGGAGAAGCAAUGGCAUAAUAUUGCAAAUGCUUAGUUGCACAAUAAGAGAUGAGAAAAAUAGAAGAAAUUAAAAUUAUGUAGUGAGUUUGUUAUGAAUAUGUAGAAAUGACAAAAGAAACUCUAUGCCAAAAUGUGAUAGAUUAAGAAGAUCAAACAAACAAGCCACAAAGGGCAAAGCCAUGUGAGCAAAAAAAAAAAAAGAAGAUAAGUAUACAUGUUAAUACAAGUUCUUAAUUGUGUGAUAAAAGAUAGAAAUAACAUGUGGAAUUGCAAGUGUGGAACAUAGAUUUACAGGUAUAGAUCAAAUUACAAGAUCAAUUGAAACCAAAAACAAGAUAGAAAAGUGAGGAAAGAUUUUCUAAGGUAAUCAUUUGUAGGUGUUAACAAAUUCUAAGUGAAACAUGGUUGAAAUGAGAGAGGGGCAGGGUGCUAUACAACUGGAAUUUGAAGAAGAAUGCUCCUUUCUCCUUAAAUGUGGACAGAGUUGAGGAGUGAAGAACAAACUUGAACAACACUGCAAAGAAAGAAACUGGUUCAGAAACUUCUGAAUACUAUAUUCAAUCAAGGCAUGGUUUUGGAACUAAGGGGCAGAGUCUAGGUCCUGUUCGUCCAAAUCGGUCUUGACCCACCUACCUUAAGCUCAUUUUUUCACUCACUUUAUCUGCUUGUCAGCAGAUAGCAGUUAAAUAUAAAAAAUAAAAGAUAAAUACCGCCUAAAGGUUAACGUCAGCAGCUCUCACUUGGAACCGGUGCAUGCAAAACCCUGCUCUCACGUCAAGAAAUCUGAGGUUGGCUAUGGUGCUGGGAUCUUGCUAUUCGAGUCGACUUGCUUCAGCUACACCAUAAUUGUAACAUUUGUCUUCGAUUGUCUGGAUAAAGCUCGGAAAAAUCUCGGACAUCCAUGCACAUUACGCUGUUGAUGCCAACACUGUCGGUUUUUGCAUGAAAGAUGGCCUCACAGAGAAACCUGGGUUCAAACAAACACAUUUAUCGUAACGACGGCAUUUUGACUCGGAUGAAUGACAAUUUAGCGCACUACGUGCCACAAACAUGGAAUCAAAUUCGAUAAAGUGAAGAUUUUUUGGCACCUGGGUGCUCUUUUUAGCUCGGCGUCGAGGCUUGGAAGCGAGAAUCUCGCCAAUGCUGAUGGAGUCUGUACGCAUACCUUCCUGUCAAACCGCUCUCAUUCCAAGUUGAUCGAGAAAUACGUCUCACCACGAUGUGCACGCACCUGGCUAUCCGCCUCGUUGGUGAGCAUGGUCGCCGCAAGACGACAAUCGAUGACAAUCGAUCUCAGGUGCCAAAACUAGAUCCUUGAAACUCGCUCGCAAUACAGGAGACUUGAAUUCAUGCCUCCAAACACCCCAGGCAGAUUUCAACCCAUAGAUGCAAGAAUUAUUCAAUUAUUCCAAAGGUCAAUACUGCAAGCAGUUGAUUCUCUUAUAGAAAAUAAGUGCAAAGAUAUUGAUGUAUAUCAAUUUGUGACCAUGCUAGAGAAUACUUGGUGUACUGAAAUUCCCACAUCAAGAAUCAUAAAUUUUUGGAAAUAUAGACAUAUUUUUUUGGUUCUUUUUGACAAUAUAGAGGCAAAGGAGGCAUUAAUGAAAGAUAGAGAAUCUCAAGAAGGAAUACAUAAGACAAAUUUGGAAGAAGUUACUACCUUACUAGAACAACUAGUAUCUAUAGAGAGUGAAAUUGGAUCCACUAUGAAUGUACAUGAGUUUAUUAAUUAUUCAUUGGAAUUUUAUCUAAACAAUCCUUCCAUACUUAUUGAAGGAAAAAUUAUAUGUAUGCUUGAUGGAAGAGACAAUACAAUCAACAAUGAAUCUAUUAAAAAAUAAAUAAUAUGCAAAUGGGUGAUGUGGUGGUAGAAAGAAAAAGAUUCAAAGACAUUGAAAGUGUAUUAAUAACCUUGAAACAAUUAUUGGAACAAAGAUCCAUUCGUGUUAUAUUUUUCAUCUUAAGCAUUUGAAAACUUUAAAAGAAAAUAUGAUCUUGAAUUGCAUAAGAAUUUCAUCAAAUUACUUUAGAUUUAUUCUUCUAUUAUGUUUAGAUAUAUAAUGCCAUUCAUAUCUUAUAUAUUUUCAUCUUUUAUUUAUAUAAGUAUUCAUAUUUUUAAUUCCAAAAUCACAUAAGUGUUAUUCAUAUGAAUGUUACAAAUUAUUGGAAUCCACAUUACAAAUAACCAAUCUAUUUGUAAUGAUGAAGAAAGUAUGAAGUGGUGCAUCCUACCAAAGAAGAGCGACCUUUUUAAUUAUUCCUUCCUUAAUAAGAUAAACAAUGUACACACAUUUUAUUAAAUAAAUAAAUAAUUUUUUUUAAUCAUUAUUAAAUUCACCUACUCCUAAUAUGAUAUUAAAAUAUAAUCUUGAGAAAUGUUUUUGAAAAAAAACUCAAAAAAAUAAUAAAAAUGAAAAAAAAAAAGAUAAUUUAUAGAAGACAUUAUGUAUAGAAAGUUGGAGCAUCAACAAAUAUUUUUUUUUUCUUAAAAAGAAAUUUAGCUACAAGCAACCUUGUUACAAAAAAAUAUCCCAAAUUUGAUGGCUUGUAAUACUCUAUUUGGAAGAAAAAGAUUGAGACAAAGUUUGAAAUAAAUAAUAAUUAGGAUGUAGCUUCAAGAAAAGAAAAAAGAACCAACACUAAUUCAAAAAGUGGAUACAAUAACAUCACCACUAACCAUUCAAAGUAAAAACCUUAUCAAAAAAUAAGAUCAUGUUUUUUUAGCAACAAUUUGAAAUUGUAUAAAAAAAUUGAUUUUUUCUUAUGACAAAGCAUUCAAGACAAUCAAUGAAGCAUAGAUGAUCCUUAAAAUACAUACUUCGUAAGUGAUAUAGUGUUAAAGACAUGAAUCUCAAAGAAAAAAAAACUUCAAUAUACUCUUGUGUUAUUCAAAAUGAGUAAAAAAAUCACUCAAAGAUGAUAUAGUAUGAAAUUAGAAUACCUAUUGUUAAUGACAAGAAGAUUAGAAAGUCUUGAAACAAGAAUAAGGACUAAAAAGGCAUUAAUAAGAGUGAAGAAGGCUUUACUCUUGCUUCUAUAUAUAAUCUUAAUUAUGAGCUUCAUGGCAAUGUCCUAUAAGACCUCCAAAAUAUGUUGACUUUGAAAGAUAUAUAUCUUAAUUUUCAAAGCAAGAUUUCUAUAUGUCUACUACAUAGUGAGUUUAUUUUAUAAACUAUUAAUACAUGAUUAACUUUUUGACUAAGUUUUUAACCUAUUAAUCAAUUACAAAUACAUAUAAAAUCAAAAGAGCACCUAUGAAGCUUCUAAAAAGCUUUUCUAAAAAAUAUUAUAAAAUAAAUUUAUAUUUAUCUAUUUUUAUUUAAUUAUAUAGAUAAAUAUUAAAAUAAUAUAUAUAUAUAUAUAUAUAUAUAUAUAUAUAUAUAUAUAUAUAUAUAUAUAUGUGAUAUUAUUCAUCUUUUAAAGAUGAGUUCUAUGAAGAGUGAUUAUCAUAUUUUAAAAAAAUCUAAGCUGUGAUAAAUUAUGUUUGUCACAUACUUUGAUCUUUGUUCUAUUUGGAGAUAGUUGAUAGGUCCUUUUAGCCAUUAAUAAUGUCUCAUACUAAGGUGCAAAGACUAUCCUAUUAUUUAAUUAUUGUUGAGGCCUUCCUAACUUCCUUCAAAUAAAAUAUUUGAAAUUAUAUCAAGAAUUAUUCCUAUUUUUAAUAAAAUCACCAACCAUCAAGAGUCUCUUUCAAGGUUUUGAUAUCAAACAGGUUGUAUCUUACUAUCUAUUUGAAGAAAGACAUAUCAUUCUUGAAGUUCUUUAUUUUAAUUACAUUGUCUUGAAAGUUGUGACAAUUGCAAAAUCUUAUCUAAUAAGUCAAUAAGUAAUUUUUUUUAGUUGAAUCUGUUGGUUGUUGGUUUUCCAUCUUUUUAGUAUCACAAAUAUACAAAAGUUACAAAUAAGAGUAGAAAGUAGAAUAUUAUCAUCUAUAGAUCUUAUUUCUUUUAUAUCAAAGAUUUAUUGUUUUUUUUAACUUGAUUUUGAUGGAUGUUGUUGUUAAAAAGCUUCAACAUUUUUUAUUGCAUUUGCAAGAUUAUUUGUUGGCUUUUAUGUGUGUUUACUAAUAUCAUAUCUAUACCAAUGAAUAAGAUAUUUUAAUCUAUUUUGAUGUCGUCUUGAAUCUAAGACUUCUUCUACCUCAAAUUCUUGAUUAUUAUCUACUUCUAUAGAAAGAUGUAGCAUUUGACUUUUUUCUAAUAUAUUUAUCUUGUAUGGCUUAAGAAGAAACAUAUAGAAUAUAAAAUGAAUCUUCAUAAACUCUAGUAGAUGUAAUCGAUAAGCAAAAAAAUUGACUUGUUUAAAAAUAAAAAAAGGUUCAAACCUAUGACAUUUCAACUUGUCACAAGGACAAGUAGUCUUGAUAUUGUUGCAAAAUAAUCUUAUCUUCUCAUCUAUAUUAAAUUGUGGUUUUUCCUUGCAAUAAGUAUCUGCAUUGAUCUUUUUUUCUUCUUGAGCUUCCUUUAAUUACACCUUCAUUGUUGUAUAAAGCUUUAAUAACAAUUUUUUAAAUCUUUUGCUGCAAGAUUAUCAACUUUUGAAAAGUCAAAGGUAUCAAGUUGUGAAUGAUAAUCAUAAUUGGUAAAAAAAGGUAUUUAUUGAAUAGAAGAGUGUAUCAAAUUAUUAUAUGCAAACUUUGCCAAUGGCAAAAGAGUUGUUUAAUCAGAUUGAUGAUAAUUGAUAAUAUACUUUAAAUACUACUUUAUAACUUGAUUCUCCUAUUUUGUUUACUCAUUAAUUUGAGAAUAAAAUUCCAAAGAAAGCUUUAUAUCUACCUUUAAAAUCUUAAUAUAAAUUAAAUCCUUCUAUUUGAUAUAAUAUCUUUAGACAAUCUAUGAUAGCAAUAGUGUUAUUAAGAAAAAGCUUAGCCAUAUUUUUUUUUAUCUGUAAUAGAUUUUGUAAAUGAUACUAAAUAUGCCAUCUUAGUAAAAGGAUCUACUACAAUAAAUAUAGAAUUAUACAAAACUAAGAUAAGAAAUUUUGUGAUGAAAUUCAUGGAAAUAAAAGACCAUAGUUAUUUUAGAAUAGGUAAUGGCUACAAAAGUCUAUAAGAUCAAUGACAAGGAGUUUUGAAUCUUGAAUAAAUAUCACAUGAUUGUACAAAGACUUUACUUGUCUUUCAUAUUUGAAGCCACCAAAAAUCUUUCAAUAUUAGCUCCUAAGUCUUGUUGUAUCCAAAAUGUCUAAUUGCUAAAAAAUCAUAAUGAACUUGAAGAACAUGUAAUUGUACUUUGCUUUCAAAAAUUUAUAAUUAUCCUUCAAAAUAAAAUAUAUUAUUUUUGAAUUUAAACUUGAAAGUAUCUCAAAAAACAUUGCAUAUUUUUAAUUAUUUUUAAAAUCUUCCAAUCCAUGAUAGUUUGAAAUUUCUUUAUAUCCAUCAUAAGCCUUUCAUUGAAAAUGAUGUAUCCUAAGAACUCAACUUGAAUAGUAUAGAAUAUAUACUUUUUUAUCUUAAAAUACAAUCUUAUAUCUUUAAAUUUUUUUAAUAUAGAACAAACAUGAAAUUUAUGCUCUUUUAUGUUCAUAGAAUAAAUUAGAAUAUUAACUAAAUAAAAAACAUAAAAUCAUUAAAAAAUUCACAAAAAAUAUCAUACAUGAGAUGUUAAAAAGCAAUUGGUGCAUUUGUGAGUCCAAAUGGUAUGACAUUGUAUUCAAAAUGCCCAUACUUAGUUUUAAAAGAAGUCUUUUAUUCAUCUACUUUUUUGGUACAUACUAAAUUGUAUGCUCCUCAUAGAUCUAUUUUUAUAUAGAUCAUUGCUUGUUUGAGUUGAUAAAGAAGUUCUAAAAGUAGAAAUAGGAGAUGUCUAUUUUUGAUAGUGAUCUUAUAAAGUCAUUAAUAGUCUAUGCACAUCUAUAAAGAUCCAUCUUUUUUCUUCACAAAUAAGAUAGGAGUUCUUAUUAGAGAUUUUGAAUAGCAUAUGAAGUUUUUAGCCAAAUUUUUAAGAAUGUAUUCCUAGAAUAUAGCCAACUCAUUUUGUGAUAUGCUAUAGAUUAGUCCAAAUAGUGGUUGAGCUCUUUCUUACAAAUCAAUUGAAUAAUCAUAGAAUCAAUGCUUUAAAAAAAUAUUUGCAUUCUUCUUUUCAGAAAAAAUCAUAGAAAUCUUAGUACUAGCUAAGAAUAUUACUUAAUAUCUUUGUACCAUCAAAAAUAGGCAUAUCAUAUAUAGCAAAAGAUGAUCUUUCUUUUGCUGCAUUAAUAAAAGCUUUUGCAUGUAAUAGUAAAGGUUUAGAUAUAAUAGGCUUAUGUAUUUUUACUUGACUAAUAAAAUUUUGGAUAAAACUACAAAGAAAUGUAAUUAAAUAUUUAACAUUUAAACUAUCAAGAAAUUAUUGUAUGCAAUAGCUCUAGUAGUAAAUUAUUCUAAAGAAUUUUUUUUUUGGCAUUGUCAAUAAUAAAUCUUUGACUUUAUCCUUUAAUUCAUAUGAAAAUUGAUUGAUAAGGAUUUUAUCAUUUCAAUCUAUGUUGUAAGUAAGGUUUUAGAAUUCAGUAGUAUAUAUGGUAUCUAAUUGUGAUUCUUGUUGUAAAAAUAAGAGUUAGAGGUGUAUUAUUCUUUUUCUAUCACUUUCUUUGAAUGUGGUUGUAAAAAUUUCUAGGAAUGAAUUCAAAUUGUAAAAGAGUUGUAAAUCUUUUUCUAUCAAAAGUAUAAACCAUGAGAAAACACUUCCACAUAGAAGUGUAUGUAUGAAUCCAACUUAAAUAAAUCCAUUAGGAUAUUGGAAGAAAUGUAAUUUUAAGUAGAGAUUGACUUAUUACAAAAAUCUUCAAAAUUUUAAUCUUGUUCUAUCAAACUUCUUGAGCAUAUCAAUUCUUGUCCAUAUUAUACUUGUAGAAGCAAAACUUCAUAAAUUUGGUUGUGAGGUUGAUUUACUUGCUUCCUUCAACUAUGCAACUUCUUGACAUAGACUUUGAACUUCUUCUAUAGAUAUAAGAGUAGUAUUUCUGUGGUUGGUACUUACAAUGCCUAAAUUUUUUAUCCUAAGACUGUUGACAAAUUUGUGAAGAUCAUCAAUUAUUGCAAAUCUAUUCUCACUUUUGUUAAGUAUAGCAUCUAUAAUUUUUUCUUCUAUUUCAAAUAAAUUAACAAAUCUGCAAGUCAAAUUAGAGGAAGUUUAUCUGUAAUUUCUAAUAUCAAAUGAAAAUUUCCACAAAAAAGAAUAAUUUUCUCUUCUUAAGAAAAAUAUCAAUGUUAGAAAACUAAAUAAUUUUUUUAAAGAUGGAUAAUUCACAAUCUUCAAAAUACAACAAUAGAAGUGAGAUAAUCUACUUACUUCUAAAAUAAGAUAAAAACAAUUAAUGCACUCUAAUCAAACUAUUAAGGACAUGAAUCUGAAAGAAAGAAAACUUCAAUAUACUCUUAUAUUACUAAAAAAGACUAAAAAAUUAUUCAAAGAUGAUUUAGUAUUAAAAUAGAAUAGCUAUUGCCAAACACAAGAAGAUUAAAAAGUCUUGAAAUAAGACUAAGGACUAGAAAGGCAUUGACAAGAUUGAAGAAGGCUUCACUCUUACCUCCAUAUAUACUCUUAAUUAAGAGAUAUGUGGCAAUGUCCUAUAGGACCUUCAAAACAUGUUGACUUUUUAAGACAUGUAUGUUAAAUUGCAAGGCAAGUUUUCUAUAUUUGUAGUACAUAAUUAGCUUAUUUUGCAAGCUAUCAAUACAUUGUUAAUUUGUUGACUAAGUUUCUAAUCUACCAAUUAAUUACACACACAUACAAAGUCAAAGCAACAUCUAUGAAGCUUUUAGAAAACUUUUCUAAAAAAUGUUAUGAAAUAAAUUUAUAUUUAUCUACUUUUAUUUAAUCAUAUAGGUAAAUAUUAGAAUAAAUAUACAUGUCUAUCAUACAUAAUCAUUAAAGCCUAUCUACAAGAAAAAUUCAUCAUACAAAAUAUGAAAGCCAAAGAUUUAAUAUUCUAACAUAUAUAUAAUUUCAAGAAUCUUCUUUAAGAAUGCUAAUCUAUAGGAGUUAUCAUAUCCUCUCAAAUAAAAAUCAUUGCUUUCAUGAAGUCUAUGCUAUUCUAAUAUAGUAUUAUAAUCCAAAUACUUUAUACAAUAGAGAUUUUAACACUUUUAAAAUUAUUUGCAAUCCUCUUAUAAAAAAAAAUAAUCACAAAAGGCUCCUUUUUAGAUUUUUAAAAUUCAAAAGAAAGAACAAAUGGCAAUGUUAUAAAUCAAUCCAAAAAGACCAUAGAUUUUAAAACUUUAUAAUAAACCCACUAUUUCUUUCUUCUAUUAUAAGAAAAUGAGACAUAGAGGAUCCAAGUGUUUUAAAAAUAAAAUCAAAGUUGCUAAAAAUUUAGCAAAAAUAAAAAAUGAAACUAGAAAAAAUAAAUAUAGAAGCAAGAACAAGUUAAAGAAUUAUCUUCCGCUUUCUAUACUCAUGUGUAUUUCACAUAAGUCUUUUGCUUGGAAAAUUUUCUUAAACUUCAAACCACAAAAGACAUCUACUGGUUUAUUAUUACAAGAGAUAUACAUUACUUGAUUGAUGAUAAAAAAAACAAUUUAUCAACUAUAAAUCAUUUUUAUAUAAUAAAGAUAAGAUCUAUCUUAGUAAGGAGACAAUAUUAUCCAUCUAUCACAAAAAAAAGUAGAAAUUUCUAUAAUUAAUGAUAAAAGACUUUGUCUCUUUAACACAAUAUAUAUACUAGAUUUACAUAAAAAUUUAUUCUUAAUAUGUAAUUACAAUCUAGAAAAAAGAGGUAUUUUAAUUAAAUAUCAAACUUAUCAUUUCUUUACAAGAGAUAAUAUUAUCUUUUCUUCAUAUCUUUUUCAAGCCAAUCUCUAUUAAUUUAGAUCCAAAAAAGUACAACAACAAAGAGUGGAGGUUCAUACCAACAUAAUGAAAGCUCUAUGGUCUUUGCCUAUUUUAAUUUUUCUAUCUAUAUCAUCAUCUUCUUUUACUUAUCUAUUGUUUCUUAUUGUUGACAUUAAAAUAGUUUCAAUUACCUCCUUAUAUAACUACCACCAUCCUAGUGGCACAACUACAACACAUUUGUCUUCAUCAAUAUUGCUUCUAUCAUAAUUGAGAUUCUUUGUCAUUGUGUAUGAUAAAGCUUAUUAGAUAAUUAGCUCGACUUUCCCUUCCACAUUCAACAACCAUGGUGUUGAAAUGCCCCUACUCAAAUCAUGUCACGGACACAAAAUACAGACUUGAAAUCUAACAAGAAGUUCAAGAAGAAGUGGCAGAACUAGAUUAAACAGAUGAGUAUAAGAACAAUACCAGAAAGGUGAGCUAGAACUCCAAGAGAUGUGUUGUCGAGACUGAAGAACUCUUCAGCCUCGAUCCUUAUAUACUCCUACUUAGGAAGCUUCUCGAGCUACUUCUAUUAACUAGGAAGCUUCUAGAAGGUUCCAGAGGCUUCCUUUCUAGAAGCUUUUAGAAACUUCUCGAGCUACUUCUAUUAACUAGGAAGCUUCUAGAAAGUUCCAGGGGAUUCCUUUCUAGAAGCUUCUAGAAAGUUCCAGGGGAUUCCUUUCUAGAAGCUUCUAGAAACUUCUCUUCUAGAAGGUUCCAGAGGCUUCUCUUCUAGAAGAUUCUAAAGGCUUGUUUUCUAGAAGGUUCUAGAAACUUCUCUCUAGAAAGUUCUAAGAAAUAUGUCCCUAACAUCACCCCCUCCUUUAGCUUCGAGGUCUCUGAGAAGCAAUGUUGUUGAUCAGUACCAACGCAAGAAAAUGAAGAUCUGUCUCAAACUUCUACUAUGAACCCCAACUGUUGUUCACGAGACAAGUGGUUCAUCGACCCUUGAGGCCAAUGGUAGUGGCCCACGCCUUCGACUUCUGACCAAGCAUGAACUUCCAUGUCCUCAUUGUGAAAUUGUCUUGCAAACACGCCUUCUGGUUGACCAUCGUAAGUAGGCUCGAUCUCAAAUACGAUCACCAGUGAUCGAUUACUCGGUAUCCUCCAUCGUCGUCGUGAUACAUGUAGUUCUUCAUCUCGGGGUCGCCUUCGUGAGCUACUCGGUUGCGAUAUUCUGACUGGCAUAGUAUCUAUCUCUUGGCUAUCCAUAUCAAAAGACCAAACUACGAUCUAUCUUGGAGAAAAUAACUACAUCAACUAUGAAUUUUGUUGGUGCUCUUCUCUUUUCUUAUAUUGUUGGGAGAACAAGCUUCAGAAAGAAGCUAUCAUCGAAUUGAUUUAAGUUUAUCGGGAUGUCGUUGAUGAAACUCCUGUACCUUUUGUGGCGCAUUCGCAAGAUUUUCAGCUGGCUCCCACGUUCGCUCAUUAAUGUCAUAGCCGCACCAAUGAACAAGAUAUUCUAACUUUUCCCACCUUCGCCGUGAAUCCAAUACCUUUUCAACCUCGUAUUCUUCGUGGUUCUCGAUUUCAAUACUAGGUGGCGGACAUUGCACUCUUCCAAGAAAAGAUGACUCUCGAUAAGGUUCCAACAGAGAAACAUGAAAGACUGGAUGUACCUUCAUAGAAGCCGGUAACUCCAGCCGGUAUGCCACUGGAUUAAUUUGCUUCUGGAUGAUAAAUGGUCCCAAUCUUUGAUAGUCCAACUUAUCACAUGGUCGCUUGGUCUUGAUAUUUCAUCGAAGAAGCCAGGCUUUGUCUCCAACUUUGAAAGUAGGUGCUGGAUUCCGAAAUCUAUCUACAGACGUCUUAUAGGAUUCUUGAGCGGAUUGUAAUUGAAGAUUCAACAUAGUUUGAAGCUCUGAUAGUUGCUUCGCAAAUUCUUAAGCUGUUGGAUUGUUAUUUGUUGACGGACUGAAUAAAUCAAGCUUCGGAUGAUACCCAUAGUUGGAAAAGAAUGGUGUUUGUUGAGUCGACGCAUGGAGGGUGUUGUUAUAUGCAAACUCGGCUAGCAGUAGAUAUGCAGUCCAAUCGUCUUGUUGAUAGUUGAUGCUGCAUCGUAAGUACUGCUCCAAGACUUGGUUCACCCGUUCCGUUUGGCCAUUAGUUUGAGGAUGAAAAGCUGAAGAAAGCUUGAUAUCCACCUUCAAUAUCCCAAAGAGAGAUCUCCAAAACUUUGACACGAACUGGGUACCUCGAUCUGAUAUGAUAUCAUCUGAUAGUCCAUGAUAUCGAUACACAUUAUCGAGAAAGAGUCUUGCUGUGACUUCACUGGACGAUGUCUUCUUACAAGGAAUAAAGUAUGCCAUCUUCGUAAGCCGAUCUACCACGAUAAAGAUGCUGUCAAAUGAGUUUGAUGAUGGCAAGUCCGUGAUGAAGUCCAUAGAAAUUGAAGACCAUGGUCGAUGUGGAAUUGGCAAUGGCUGUAGAAGUCCAUAAGGGCGAUGCCGAGGAUUCUUAGAUCUUAAACAGAUGUCACAAGAGAAGACAAAAUCUUUCACAUCCUUCCACAUUUGGGGCCACCAAAAAUCUCGAGAAAUAAGCUCCAAGGUCUUGUUUAAUCCAAAAUGUCCCAUAGCUAGAAAAUCAUGGCGAGAUUGAAGAACUCGGAGUCGUGCUAGUCUUUUUGGAAUGUACAAUCGCUCUUCAAAGUAUAAAAGAUCUCCCUCCACCUUGAACUUGUCAUCAUUGGUACGUUGCUUGAUAUCAAUGGCUACUGAAUCUUUAAUGGUCAUAGCACAUACUUGGUUUAAGAAGUUAGCAUCAAAUGAUACAAUAGUAGCACAAAGUUGAAAUCUCUCUGGCUUCAAUAACGUUGUACAUUGUUGAUCAAACGCUGCUUCUCCAGCCUUUGGUGUAAGAUACGAUCUCCUUGAUAAAGCAUCGGAUAGUCCUUGCUGCCUUCCAGGUCGAUAAGUGAUAACAAAAUCGAAUCUAGAUAGCGACAUAUUCCACCGAGCUUGACGCCGAUUUAAAACUCGAGCCGUCAUGAAAUAUUCCAAAUUCUUGUGAUCCGUAUAUACGGUUACUGGAUGUGCAGCUCCUUCAAGAAAGUGACGCCAUUCUUCGAAAGAAUCCACUAUAGCAAGAAGUUCCUUAUCGUGGAUCUCAUAAUUGAUUUCAGCAGCAGAGAACUUCCGAGAAUAGAAUGCAACUGGAUGGAGCUUCUUAUCUUCACUCAUUUAUGAAAGCACAGCUCCCAAAGCAAAACCUGAAGCAUCAGUUUCUAAAUAGAAGGCCUUUGUAAAGUCUGGAUGUACCAAAAUUGGAGCUGUAGUAAAUGCUGUCUUCAAAUCUUGAAACGCCUUCUCCGCUAAAGGUCCCCAUUCCAACUUAUCCUUGCAUGUUAAUCGAGUGAGAGGAGCAGUAACUUGAGAAUAAUUCUUGAUGAAGAUCCGAUAGAAGUUAGCAAAAUCAAGAAAGCAUUGUACGUCUCUAACCGUCUUUGGAACCUCCCAAGACAUGAUUGCUUCUACUUUUUUGGGGUCCAUCUUCAAACCUUCUGUAGUCGCAAUGAACCCCAAAAAUUCCAUCUCCGUCUGGUGAAAUAAACACUUUUCUAAUUUGGCAUAUAGUCCUCGCUUGCGUAGUUUCUCCACGACCAAACGAACAUGCUCCUCAUGCUCUUCCUCAUUUUUAGAGAAUAUUAGAAUAUCGUCCAAGUAGAUGACAACAAAAUCAUCAAGGUGUUCUCGAAAGAUGUCAUUCAUCAUAUGUUGAAAAACCGCUGGAGCAUUGGUAAGACCAAAAGGCAUGACAUUAUAUUCGAAAUGACCAUACCUUGUACGGAAUGCUGUCUUCCACUCAUCUCCUUCCUUGAUUCGUACGAGAUUAUAAGCUCCCCUUAGAUCAAUUUUUGUAAAGAUCUUUGCACGUCCAAGUUGUUCUAAGAGACUAGAAAUCAAGGGUAAUGGGUAACGAUUUUUCUUUGUUACCUUGUUGAGGCCUCGAUAGUCCACACACAUCCGUAAUGAUCCAUUUUUCUUCUUAACAAAUAAGAUGGGUGCUCCAAUUGAUGAUUUUGAAUGACGAAUGAAGUUCUUGGCUAGAUUUUUGUCGAUGUACUUUUGUAACUCUGCCAACUCCGUUUGCGAUAGAUUGUAGAUUGGGCCAAAAGGUGGUUGUGCUCCUUCUUGCAAGUCUAUGGUACAAUCAUAUGGUCGGUGUUUCGGUAGUAUGUUGGCGUUCUUCUUUUGAAACACGUCUUCAAAAUCUUUAUAUUGCUCCGGUAUACUUGCUGUUGGGAUCUUCUCCUCGGUAGUUGGAGCCGCAUAAAUGAAAAAUGGAGUGCCUUCCUUAGAUGAUCUUAUAAACGCUCUUGCUCCAAUGAAUAAGGAUUUCUUUUUUCGAGGUUUUUUACUAGGUUUUUUUUUGGGUGGUUUUGUAGGAAAAGUCAUCUUCCGCUGUCGUAUUACGUGCUUUCCUGCUUGUGAACGCGCCGGGCGUCUGGCUGUAGAAGGUAGUAUGGAGAUUUGCCGAUAGUCAAGCAGUCUAUCAGUUUUUGACUGCUGGAAUAUAAAUGACUGCAACAAUGUACUGUAAAUCUAUACGGAUGCUCUUCGACUGCUUGUCGAAGUCUCUUUUUUUUUUUUUUUUUUUUUUUUUUUUUUUUUUUUUUUUUUUUUUUUUUUUUUUUUUUUUUUUUUUUUCCAGCCGAUAGGUCUUUAGACGUUACAGAGAACCCCGAACAACCCAAACUGUUAAUCUUCAAUACCCCUUUGUACUUACGAUCUUGUAUCCACUGACUGUCCUGUUAGAUUAACCCAAUAAAUUUCAUUCACUCCGCAUACUCAAUCCUAUAGACAUCCCUUUAAUCCUUCAAUCACAGACGUAACUCGAUUUUACAAAACAGUCAAGAGUAUUCAAACCCACUUCAUUUAAAAAUCCCGAUUCACCAUUACAAUACUGACUUCAACAGCGAUUGCCUCAGUCUUCCCAAAACUCUACGAAGAAGAAAAAUCCAAAUUCUAUGUCUUUCCUUCCCCGACCCGAAGCAUGAAGCUCCUCUCUCUAAUUCCCUUGAUCUUUCAAAAACCUCCAAUGAAAAACCGAACUGGUAACCUUGCAAAAGCUUGAAAACUCGCUCUCCCCACCGAUUCCCCCGAAAAAAAAACCUCCCCCCUCAAAACUAUAUCCCCCCCUAACCUUAUCCUCUGAAUUUCUUCAAUCUUCCUUCUUAGAUCCGGAAUUGGCUCCCACCUCAAGCUUGGAUCCGAAAUUGGCUCUCGCCGUCAAGCUUUCUCCUCCGUUUUUACCUUUAAGAAAUCCAUUUACCGAAAACAACGUUCCCUGAAAUGGCACAGAGAACAGGACAGCGUGAAACAGAAUCGAACCCCAUAAUCGGGACCACAUUGAGUCGCCCGACCAAUUCAGGUCCUAUAUUGGGAAAGAUGCCCAUAGUAACCUUGAUGUUCCCGUAAUUGGGUCAAAUUGGUCCUCGCGUCAGAUUGGCUAAGACCCGUAGUAAGACCUGGAUUUUCCGUAAUUAGACUGCAUUGGGUUGACCGGCCAAUUCAGGUCUCAUAUUGGAUAAGAGGACCCAGAUUGGAUUAUCGAAAUUGGAUCCAAUUGGCUCCUCGAACCCGUCGUGUGAAUUGGUCCUUCUCUUCCUGCUGACUCCCGUUAUUGGAAUCGAAUGGAGCAUUUCAGUAUGCCCCGGCUGACUGUACCGGAGUGACUGAACUUGACCACUCAGUAUUUGUACAGGAGUUGGUUCAUGCUCCCAAUAUUCGAGGUAAUUGAAUAUUAAUAAAAUUCCCCUUUCUUUUUAUUUUCACUGUAUACUCGUGUUACAACACGACAUCCACCCCCUCUGAACCUGUGCAUCUUCCGGUAUGCACCAAUUUACCCAAUUGCUGUUUGAUUCAGAAUAUAUCCCCUAAGUCUUUGUCCAGUUCGUCUUCGUCACCUUCAUUAUCCAUAUCACUUUCAUCUUCUUGCUGCGGAAUCUCUGUACCUUCAUUAAGGUCUUCCAUAUUCAUCUCUGCGUAUCUUCGUUUAAAUAUUUUUACUCGCUUCCCUGCAAUUGCUAUUUUUAAUUUUAUACCAUCUAACUCCCGUAAUGAGUAAGUCGCAUUAUCAUGAACAGUUGUUAUAACAUAUGGUCCAAACCAACGUUUUGAAAAUUUCCACAAAGUACUAUGUUGAUUAUCUACACUAUUGUCAUAAACAAGUACCCAGUCACCUUCCUCGAUUGCCUUUGGUCUCAAUCGAUGUUGCUUAUCGAAUCACGCCUUGUUUUGUAACCUUGCUCUUUUUAACCUUUCCAAUGCUAUCUGGACAUCUUCCGUUCUUUGCUCCAAUUAUCGAAUCCUAAUAGCCAGAAGUUCUUCUCUUGUCAAUCCAUCUUCCCAUGGUAGCAUACUCCAAGUAAAUACCUUUUCUUCAAUCGGCAUAAUUGGUUUUUGACCUGUCAUAAGUUCUACUGGCAUAUAUCCUGUCACCGAACUAUGUGUUGUUCGAUCAGCCCAUAAUGCAAAUGACAAAAGCCGUGGCCACUCUUUAACCUUCCCAUUACAAGCUUUAACCAAUGCUUUCACAAUCGGCGGGUGACCGCGUUCGCUUUUCACAUUCCCUUCCGGAUUAUAAGCAGUAGUCAGUGAUAGUUUAACUCCACAUUUUUCAAAGAACUUAUGAGCUUUUUGUGCAUUCAAUUCUCCACGAUCUGCAGUGAUUUUUCCUACGCACCCGUAACGGCAAAUGACAUCUUCAAGCAAAAACCUACAAAUCUCCUCUGUAGAUUUUGUCCUCAAUGCUCUUCCUUCUACUAGAUUUGAUAAAUCUUCACGAGCUAAAACCAAAUAUCUCAUCUGCCAUAACCCAACCGGCAUAAUAACCAAAUCAACAACCCAUUUAAAAUGAAUAGCUAGAGGAUACAUAGGAUGAAGACCAUCUCGAUGUCGGAUAUUAGAAUACGAUUGACAGAUUUCACAUGACUCUACAAAUGAGAGCACAUCUCGAUACAUAUUUUUCCACCAAUAUCGUUCCUUGAGUUUAGCAAAAGUAGCCCAGAUUCCUCUAUGCCUUGUCCAUAAACUAUCAUGAAACUCCUUUAAUAAUUUUAGUUUUUCUUCCCUUUUGCCUAUCACUCGUUGUGGCAUCCCAAUUCCUUUCUUCGGUCUCUUCCAUAAGAAUCCAUCUCGAAGUAAAAAUCCAUAUGCUUUUUUUCUUAUUUGUUUGAAUUUUUCUGUAGACCAAUUCCCCUGCUUAGACAAGGUAUUCAAAUAAUGACCAAUAUCCAAUAAUUCUCCUUCAUAAGAUUCUUCAAGAAAUAGCUUGUCUUCUCUGUUGAGAUUCGAUAUUGAAUAGAAUUUCAAUCCGACAUCAUCAAUGUCUUCAACCAUUUUGUCCUCCCUCUCGUAUCUUACUCGAGAUAGCAUGUCUGCUACUAAAUUGUCCUUUCCAGUGAUAUGCUUAAAUUCUGGAUUUAGUGACUUAAUAUAAGCAAUCCAUCUCAACAUUGCAAUAUCUGGCGUUGAACAGUUAAUAAUCAUUCCAAGCAAUGGCAAGUAAUCUGUUUCAAUUACUACUACUGCCCCAAUCAAAUAGUCCUUUUUGAGCUUUCAUAGUCGAAACAACUCCCCAAAGUUCUCUUUUGACUUGCGAAUAUGCACGCUGACAAAUACUUAAAACUUUAGUCCCAAAUCGAACUGCAAAUCUACUUCCAUUCGAAUCAUUUUGACCCACCGCCCAUCCAAUGGCAAUUGGACUAGCAUCUAUAGUAAGAAUCACUGGUUUAUUGCACUUAUAAUCAACCUUCCUCAAUAUUGGAGGUGACAUCAAUAAUUUCUUCAAUCUUUACAUUGCCUGAAUAUGCCUUUCUUUCCAUUCAAAUCGGUAGUCCUUGCAUAACAGUUCAUAUAAUGGAUUCAUAUAUGUGAGCAAAAUGAGGGAUCCAGAUUCGCUAAAAUACACAUGCACCCAAAAACCUGCAAACCUCUGUUAAAGAACCACAAUCCUCUUUCAUCCUUCCAAUUGCAUCAACUUUAGUCGGAUCUGGUUUUCUUCCGUAAGAUCCGCAUAAAUGUCCAACAAUUACAACCUCUCGUACUCCAAAUACGGACUUCAUACCCGAUAAUGUAAGAUGAACUUCUCCAAGCCGAGUUAAAAUCUUUUCACAAUCUUGUAUAUGAUCAACAACAUAUUUGCGACACCCCCUCGUAUCUAAAGUUUCAUCCUUAUCUCCUUCUCUACACCCUUUUAUAGGAACAUCAUCCAGAAAAGGCAUAGUCUUUUCCGGAAUAAAAUCUCUCAAUACCUUAUUCAUCCCAUUCAUCAUAUGCGCAACCGAGUUGGUCGCGCCUUGAAGAAGAGUGCACAUUCUAACCAAUCCAAGCGGUGUCCUCAUCGUUGUCAUAUCUCUACUUCCUUCGGCAAGUUGAAAUUGAUCAUAACCUGAAUACAAAUCACCCAUUGAAUAGAUCGCCCUUCUAGCAAACGCCUCAGCAAAUUCAUCCACAAUAGGUCCAAUUCCUGCAUUCCUGACAGUUACAGCAUUCACCGGCUGCAUAUCUUGAAUAAACCGUAGUGACCCAUUCUUCUUAGGUACCGUAAACCAUCGACUAGAAUAUGGUGCAAAUGAAGAUUCUAAUAUUUUCAUCUUUAUCUUUUCUUUCAAUAGUUCGACCAAUUUAGGUAAAUGUGCCCUCGGUACUGGAAUCUGUCUUAGAUUCCAAGGUACAUGCGGUACACUGAAGAUAACCAUAGGUGUUAUAAUAUUUGGAUCCACACACCCAAUUUCAUGAGAUUCGAAGGCAAACGAUCUACCUUGUUUAGCCAACAUCUUUUUGAAGCAAGUAAUUUCCUCCGGCAAUAAAGAACCAUCAGAACCAAUCUUCAAUUCUUCAAAAGUCUCUUCAGUAAACUGAUGUCUAAUACUCAUUGGAUCUCUUAAACUUGUUUUUUUUGAUGCUUCUCCCAUUUGUUCUUUAGAAUCCUCUGGUAAUGGUCCGGCAACAGGCUUUACCUUCUUAUCUGCCGUUUUAUAUCUCGUCUCUACUGUGACUUCUGGUGCUUGAAAAGAUUCAAGCAUGGUAUAAACCUCUCUCGAAUGAAUCUCAACAAUCUUAUCAUUAUCCCCUAACCCAAUAGAUGUAAUCAAUUCCAAUGAAUCUUCCAGCCCAUUUUCUUCAUAAACACCCAAAAUCCUCUCAUCAUCUUGCAAUGUACCUAUCUUGCAUAACUGUCCUUCAAUAUCAUAUAAUCUUUUUCUUUCUUUUCUUUUAAAAUCAUCAACUUUCUUAUACAUAAUAUUUCCAUUCUCCAAUAUACCAAUAAAACUCGCAUCAAAGGCACCUUCAUCUCGCGAGAGUACCUCCUCUUUUGUACCUCCAUAAUCUCGCUUUACAGUAGUACCUCCCCAAAAUCCUUAAAUCCUUCAAGAAUCUUUGGCAAUGGUUUCUCCCUCAACCUAUCUCGAUUCCGUUCAUGGUUAAGAGGUACUGUUAGAAAUUGUACAGCUUUCCUCCCAUCUUCGCUCCGUACCCUUGCAUAAGCAGAACCAUCGUCAAGUACCUUUGUUUCCAUCUGUGUUGCCGUGAUAUAAGGUUGUCCUAAAAUCAACGGAUAAGACGUUGUAUCUUGAACGAAGAAAUGUUGCUCCGUCGCAACAUCCCCAAUCCGAAUUUUGACAUCUGGACAAGCUCCAUAUAAUUCGCCUCGUGUGUUAUUAGCUGCUUGUAUUGUCCAUCUAUGUUCCAUAUCAAUUGGUCAUUUUUGCUUCUUAUAAAGACCUUUAGACAUGAGAUUUAUUUCAGAACCAUGGUCCACCAAGGCAACUAUUGGUUCUUCUAUAUCUCCUACCUUCACCAAUACCUCAGUAGUUGCCCUUGUCCAAUGCUUUCGAGUAUAAUGGCUCAAAGUUUCCAUUUCCUUGUCACUAGAAUCUUCGAAACGUACUCGCUGAUUAUACCCAUUCUUUUCAUUUGUUGGUUUCUUGUAACCAAUAUCAACCUCUUCUUCAUCUCUACAUAUUCUUGCAUCAAUAGCAUGACUCAUUCCAGUUUCGCUCAUUAAUUGCCUCUUUCGCUUAAUGCUGUCAAUGAUAACAUCAUGAAACUCCUUCUUUGCAAUUCCCAAGACUUCUUUCAAUGUGAAUUCCACCUUAGCGUUUAAUAUACGUUCUUCCAACACCCCUUUCAAAUUUGUUGCCGCUUCAAUAUCAGAAAGUAGCUUAUAAGCAAUUGAUUUGCCCUUAUCUUUUGUCUCCAUUGUUUUUUCUCCCAAUGAUGCUGAGGUAUACUUUACAAGCAAUUCUUGUGAAGCUGCCUCUCGAGCCUUGUCUCCUCGAGUUUGCCUCUUAAAAGAAUUUCCUUCUCUAGUAUCAUCAAAAUUUCCUCGUCUUUUUUCUUCCAUCAAAGCUUCAUGUUGGCUCUUAGCAAUAUAUGCAUGAACUGAAAGAGACUCAACAGGAUCCUCCCAACCUAUUCUUCCUCGUAUUGUAGCUGCAGUUCUCAAUAACGCUUCUCGAGGUAAUUUCCCUUCUUGCAUUGUAGAAACGGCAGAAGCCCAAAACUCACUAGUUUCCGUACUUCCACCAAUUUCAUCAUCUACUCUAGCACCAUAACUUGCACUUUCUCGUACUAUUGUUUCAUGCUCUUUUAAGUAAUCUUGAACCAAUGCUCUCAUUCCUCCCUUGCCAAAAUUGGUUUGAAGAAGAUCCUCCCUAUCUUUCAAUGCUAUCUUCCCAUCUUUCCAGUAAAUAAUUCCUUGCCGUAUCAUAUUAUUAAAUUCAUUGCAAUCUUUUCUAGUGUGUAAAGCAUCAUCACACCAAAUGCAUCUUUGUACAUAUCCUUGUUUUAAAACAUUCUUCGAAUUAUUUAUAGAAGUAUUCUCUUCAAGUCUUGCCAAUUUGAUUUGAAGAUCUCGCAUUCCUCGUAUAAUUUCUUCCAUACCCAUAUCUGCUUUCUUUGACAAGGAUGUCGAAGGUUGAACUGUAGGCAUUGUCGGUGGUAUUGUACGUACUGGAGCUUUGGGUGCUUGUACUGUUUUCGAGAUAUUGCUCCUAUCCUUCCUCCUUUCUUUUUUUGUAAGCAACCCCACCGCAUCUUCAACGUUCUUCCACUUCGUUGUCAAUCCUUCAUCUUCUUCUUUGUCUUCAAGAAGGGGUUCUAAUUUCUCUUGCAAUUCUCCAUCAACAGCUUGAAGAAAUAGAUCAACUUUGUUCGGCUCCAAUGUCAAUUUUUCUACCUUCGAUAAUUGAGAGUACUGCCUCUCAAAUUCCCUUAGUAGCUCUGUUGCUUGCAAAUUCUUAUUGGGCCGUUCAAUCCAUUCCAGAAACAGCUUCUUAGUAACGCGAUCAGCAUCUUCCAAGAAAUAUUCGUCUUUCAAUGCAUGUAAAAAAAUCCUUCCAUGAAUUCCCACAACGAUCCGUAAUCGAUGUAAUGUGGUCCCUUAUCUCCGGUAUCGUGGCAAGUCCAAAUAGUGCAACCAUUUUCUUCUCAGAAACCCGAUUUAAUUCCAUUUCACGAACAUAACAUCUUAAAUAGCUUGAAAUAUUCCUCCCAUAAAAUUGAUCAAUUUUAUUGACCACUGCUUGCAAUGCUUUGGUUGCCAAAGCUUCCUUUCGAUCAUUGCUUUGUUGUUGCUGCAUUGACAAUGAGAAGGCUUGAAACAAACUAGCAAUAGAUAGAUCCAUGUGCAUACCUUGUCCUUUAGAAGACUCCCCACCAGAAACUUCUCCCAAAAAUCCUUCAAAAUUUUUAUUUUCGUUUUCCAUAAAAAUAAAGAUAAAAUCAACCGAAAUCCAAUACCUUCUACCUCAAGCUUUCACGUCGGGUUCACCACUUAUGUCGUAUUACGUGCUUUCCUGCUCGAGAACGCGCCGGGCGUCUAGCUGUAGAAGGUAGUAUAGAGAUUUGCCGAUAGUCAAGCAGUCUAUCAGUUUUUGACUGCUGGAAUAUAAACGACUGCAACAAUAUACCGUAAAUCUAUACGGAUGCUCUUCGACUGCUUGUCGAAGUCUUUUUUUUUUUUUUUUUUUUUUUUUUUUUUUCCAGCCGAUAGGUCUUUAGACGUUACAGAGAACCCCGAACAACCCAAACUGUUAAUCUUCAAUACUCCUUUGUACUUACGAUCUUGUAUCCACUGACUGUCCUGUUAGAUUAACCCAAUAAAUUUCAUUCACUUCGCAUACUCAAUCCUAUAGACAUCCCUUUAAUCCUUCAAUCACAGACGUAACUCGAUUUUACAAAACAGUCAAGAGUAUUCAAACCCACUUCAUUUAAAAAUCCCGAUUCACCAUUACAAUACUGACUUCAACAGCGAUUGCCUCAGUCUUCCCAAAACUCUACGAAGAAGAAAAAUCCAAAUUCUAUGUCUUUCCUUCCCCGACCCGAAGCAUGAAGCUCCUCUCUCUAAUUCCCUUGAUCUUUCAAAAACCUCCAAUGAAAAACCGAACUGGUAACCUUGCAAAAGCUUGAAAACUCGCUCUCCCCACCGAUUCCCCCGAAAAAAAAACCUCCCCCCUCAAAACUAUAUCCCCCCCUAACCUUAUCCUCUAAAUUUCUUCAAUCUUCCGUCUUAGAUCCGAAAUUGGCUCCCACCUCAAGCUUGGAUCCGAAAUUGGCUCUCGCCGUCAAGCUUUCUCCUCCGUUUUUACCUUUAAGAAAUCCAUUUACAGAAAACAACGUUCCCUGAAAUGGCACAGAGAACAGGACAGCCUGAAACAGAAUCGAACCCCGUAAUCGGGACCACAUUGAGUCGCCCGACCAAUUCAGGUCCUAUAUUGGGAAAGAUGCCCGUAGUAACCUGGAUGUUCCCGUAAUUGGAUCAAAUUGGUCCUCGCGUCAGAUUGGCUAAGACCCGUAGUAAGACCUGGAUUUUCCGUAAUUAGACUGCAUUGGGUUGACUGGCCAAUUCAGGUCUCAUAUUGGAUAAGAAGACCUGGAUUGGAUUAUCGAAAUUGGAUCCAAUUGGCUCCUCGAAUCCAUCGUGUGAAUUGGUCCUUCUCUUCCUGCUGACUCCCGUUAUUGGAAUCGAAUGGAGCAUUUCAGUAUGCCCCGGCUGACUGUAACGGAGUGACUGAACUUGACCACUCAAUAUUUGUACUGGAGUUGGUUGAUGCUCCCAAUAUUCGAGGUAACUGAAUAUUAAUAAAAUUCCCCUUUCUUUUUAUUUUCACUGUAUACUCGUGUUACAACACGACACCGCAACCUCCAAUCUAUCAAUGGAUUAUGUUUUUCCAACCAAGAAAGACCAAGAAUAAUAGGAUUUGAUGGGGUUUUAAUAAUAUUAAAAAUAAUAUGACUACUAUGGUCUUAAAACGUUACUUCUAUAGGUUUUGAUUCAUAGGUGAUGCUACCAGACAAUAAAGGUCGCCCAUCUAUGACCUCAACAUGAACAGGUUUUGAUUUUUGUACUAAAGGGAUCUUAUGACACUUUGCAAAUUCUUCGUCUAAAAAACAAGCAGAUGCUCCUGAGUCUAGUAGUGCUAAGGUUCUCAGUUUUUGAGGGUCGAUAAACAGAGGGAUUGUAAAACAAAGUGCAGGUUGGGCAGAAAGAAAGGAACCUGAUUGUUGUUGGGAUAUUUCAUUGUCCAGCCGCACGGUUCCUACUGUGGCUGGGCAUCCUCGUUUUCCUGAACAAAUACUCCCCUAGUCUUGACUAUGCCUCGAUUUUGCUUUUUGGGGCAGUUUCCGACUUUGUGGCCUUCUCCACCGCAAUACAAGCAUAAAUUUUCCUUCAUACGUCGCUUUUUUUUCUUCUAUAGUAAGAGAUUUGAUACGUACCGCAUCAAUUUGCAUGUCUUCCACCUCUGAAUGCAAAUUCACACCACUUGCCGACAUAGUUGGAGCAUGGCGAAUUAUAUGUUGUCUUGAGCGUUGGUCUUGGCGACGUUGGAAUAGGCAAUUAUCGCACUUCACAGCCUGGCUAAUGGCUUCAUUGAGCGUUCGUGGAUCAGGAAGAGUUAACAGCAAAUCCUUCACAUCAUCUCUUAAACCCCAAUAGAAUUGACUCAUCAACGCUUCUUCAUCCCAAUUGAUGUCGCAUACUAAUUGCCUGAAAUCCGAAGCAUAGACUGAUGUAGAACGCAUCCCUUGUCAUAGCGACCAGAUCUUUGUUGUAGCCCAUCGAACCUUAUCGUGUUCACCAAAUGCUUCCGCAAAUGCUUCCAAAAAGGUUUCGAAGUUGUUUAAUAUGGAUGAUCGUUUCUCAAACAAAGGAGCAAACCAUGAUAGAGCUUGUCCCGUAAGUAAGGUUCCAACAAGGCCAAUACGUGACUCCUCCGUUGGAUAUCGUUCGGGCUAUAAAACUGUUAUCAACCUGAUUUGAUUGACGAAUCCUUGAAACUUGGAACGUGUUCCAUCAAACUUAUCUGGAAGGCUAACUCGAGGCUCCUUAUGUUGUAGAACUAGUGGUUCUUGUCGAAUCUGAGGUAAAGUUGUUUCUUCAAGUGCCGAAAUUUGAGGCUGGUGUAGUUUAGAUUGUGCUAUCCCAGAUACUCCAUCAUUAUGAAGCCUUGCCACCACUCCUUCAAUCUCUACAGUUCUUUGUGAUAACGUAGCGAGGAUAUUCAUAAUAGCAUCUAACUUAGACUCCGAACUUUCUGUCAUACUAAUGUCUUGACCUCCGGCCAUUCUAAAAGAAGGACAAAAAUGACCCUAUAAGAGGCAAUAUUGGUUUAUAGGAGGGUAAUCCACAACCUAUAAAACGCCUUAAGAAUUUCAAGAAGAGGGGUAAUCCACUCUCUCCAAGAAGAAUAAGACUCCAAUAUUGUAACAGAAGAAGUAUCAGUUUAGAGGAGGGUAAUCCGUAACCUCUAAAAAAUGCUAGUAUACCUUCAAGUAGAGGGGUAAUCCACACUCUACUAAGAAAGAACUAGCUCUGAUAUCUCAAGUUAGUGUAGUCUCGACAAACUGUCAUGGACACAAAAUACAGACUUGAAAUCUAACAAGAAGUUCAAGAAGAAGUGGCAGAACUAGAUUAAACAGAUGAGUACAAGAACAACACCAGAAAGGUGAGCUAGAACUCCAAGAGAUGUCUUGUCGAGACUGAAGAACUCUUCAGCCUCGAUCCCUAUAUAUACUCCUACUUAGGAAGCUUCUCGAGCUACUUCUAUUAACUAAGAAUCUUCUAGAAGGUUCCAGAGGCUUCCUUUCUAAAAGGUUCUAGAAACUUCUCGAGCUACUUCUAUUAACUAGGAAGCUUCUAGAAAGUUCCAGGGGAUUCUUUUCUAGAAGCUUCUAGAAACUUCUCUUCUAGAAGGUUCUUGAGACUUCCUUUCUAGAAGCUUCUAGAAACUUCUCUCUAAAAGGUUCCAGAGGCUUCUCUUCUAGAAGGUUCCAAAGGCUAGUUUUCUAGAAGGUUCUGGAAACUUCUCUCUAGAAAGUUCUAAGGAAUAUGUCCCUAACAAAUCACCACAUAUUGUUCUUCUUUAUGUUGUAUCAUAACUAUCAUUUCUACUUGGUAUUCAUACUUUUUAGCCUUAUCAAUAUCACUAUGGUCAAUAUAUUAUUCCAUCGCCAAUUUUACUACAAGUAUCCUCCAUCUUAUCAAAUCAGCUAGUAUUCACCAAUAAAAAUUCAAUAGAAGCUUCAACUUUGCUUAAUUAGUUGAAUAUUAUGGCUAAUCUUUCCAAAAAUUUAAAUUUGACCAUGACAAUAUCUACCAAGUCACAUGCUACUACCAUCCUUUCAAAUCUGUUUUUGUCUUUGUCAACUUGGUUAUCCUAGUAAUGACCAUGUUAAGCAACUCAUCGAGAAAUCUGCUAUCAUUGGAUGAAAUAUUAAGAUUGUAUCCCAUCAUAUUUGCUCUACAUGCUUCUAUAGUAAAUAUUUGACUACAAAUAUUUUAAAACAACUUGAAAUAAUCCAUCUUGAUUUGAGUAAUUAUAUAGCAAUGUCAAAAAAAUUUAACUAUAAAUACUAUAUUAUAUUUAUAAAUAAUUUUUAAGGUACAUGGUACUACAAUUCAUAUAUCAAAAAAAUAAAUAUAUACACAUAUUCAAAAUCUUUCAUACAUGGGAUGAAAAUCAAACUAAUUAUAAGAUAUGUAUUCUUUUUUUUAAUCAAAGAAGAGAGUAUCUCUAUUCCAAGUUUGAUUAAUAUUUAAUAGCAUACAAAAUUAUGCGACAACCUAUCACAGCUUAUAUACCAUGCCAAAAUAAUGUUGUUAAAUGUAAAAAUCAAACUCUUCUCAAUACUAUCAAGUGCGUGCUUUACAAGGCUCAUUUAUCAUAUUAGAGCGAAGCAAUCAUUUGUGCAACUUAAUUUCAAAAUCAACUUUCAAUAAGAAGAAUUCCUUCUCAUAUCACACCACUUGAAUUAUGACAUAAAAAAAAUAAAAAUAAUAAAAAAAUAAAAAAAAAUUGAUAUAGUGCAUAUUCAUGUAUUUGAAAGUUGAUUUUUUACAAAGAUUCUUAAUCUAUUUUGAGUCAAAAUUUAUGGAAAAAUCUAGUAAUGUAUUUUUUUUUAAUAUAGUCCAAUCAAUACGAACUAUAAAGUACAAUAAGAUACUACUAGUGCCAUUCUUAUUUUGAAGGAUAUUAUAUUCUAAAAAGAGACUACUUCUUGCCAAAUUCAUGUUCUAUUCAAUCAUUUCCAUGAUAUUAUCUUUCAAGCCAAUCUGAGCUUUUUUUAGUUCAGUAAGUCAUUCUUCUUUGCUCUUUCUAUCCUACCACCACUUUUGUAUGUUGGAGCCAUUCCAUCACUGCCUUCAUCUUUGGCAAUAGCAUUUCUUUUCAUACUACACACCUCUAAUCCGACUGCUCUUACUAUUACACAAUCUCUAACUACUAGUCUUACUUCUCCAAUAAUGUCUUUUUACUUACAAAAUCCACUCCAAGCUAUUUGUUCUUUAUUAGCUUCCAAUGAUCUAAUAUUUUAUUUGGCCACUGUUGAAAUAAUGCUCCUUUUAUAUGUUAGGUCUUUUCUAAUAAAUCCAUAUAUUAUGCAAUCACCUCUUUUAUUAGCCAUAUUAUUUAUAAUUCUAUUUAAUGUAAGCUCUUUCUAUGCCAUGUAUCACGUCUCUAACUGAAUUGACCCUCAUGCUACACUUGAAGCAUCAUGUUCAUGCUCAUGCUCAUAAUUACCUUUUUGAUGCUCAUGCUCAUAAUUACCUUUUUGAUGCUCAUGCCUUUGAUUCUUCAUUGGUCGGUUUCUUUCAAAUGCUAGUUCAAUAGUCUUCUUGUAUUUACAAGGGUGUAUAACUUUUGCAUGAUCCAUUCUACAAUCUAUGAUCACUUUGCUUGUAAUAUCUAUCAAUUUUCUCUUUUUUAAUAAAGCGUGCUUUCCUUACCUUGGCUACUAUUCUAUUAAAAUCUACCUCCUAUACCAAAGUAAUGAAAUCAUUCAAUAGUAGUCCGCCAUAGUCAAAGAACUAAAUUUCCAUGUGAUUAAUUAAACAUUGAUAUUUACAAGUCUUCUUGUUUAUUAUAAAUGAAUCACAUGCAAGUAGAUUUUAAAAUUAAAACUAAAUAAUAGGAGUUUUGUGAAUUGCUAAAAAAUACGCCUUGUGGCUCUUGAAUUUAAUUACAUUUUAGGUUUAUAUUAUCACAAAAUACUCUCUCCAAUUAUAAGAAUCUAAUUGAUUUGAUUCAUAGUUACUAUCACAAUUUAAUUGGAUCUUCACAUUCAUCAAAUGAACAUGAAGACGACUUUUUUCAACAUAGUCUUGCACAAAAAAAUCUAUAUGUGGAUUUUUGAGGAUAACUUCUUUCUUUGUCUUAUAGAAGGCACACUGUCAUGUAGUAACAUAGCUAAAUGGUGAAAAAUAAAAAUAUAGAUGUUAUUAUAGAAGAGCCUAAUAGAAAGAUAUAAUAAAAAAUAAAGAUAAAUAAUAAGAAGGUAGUAAAAACUUAAGUCUUAAUGCUACUUUUUUAUAGAAGAAAUUUCUACUUACUUUGUAAAAGCAUAAAUGAGCCAAAUCAAAAUAAAUGAAAAAAUAAAUUAAUAUAGGCAUAUUUAAAAAAGUAUUUAAUAAUAGAUUAAAGUAAAAAUUACCUCAAAUUAUCAAAAAUUGAUACCCAAAGAAGACUAGUUGUAACUUAAAUCAAAAUUAGAGUCUAAGAUAUAAAAUUAUAAAAAUAUAGUAACUAUAAGAUUCUUUUGUAAUUCAAAGAGUAGAAUAUGAGAGAAAACUUGAAAAAAGAUUUUUUAAGUAUUAAUUUUAUAUCAUUUGGAUUAAUAUUAAAAUUUUGAAGUAUUUUCAAAGUUAAUAACGUACUUGGUGGAUUUGGAUUUUAUAAAAUAAAAAUAAGUUUACAAAUUUCAAGAUUUUGUAUGUUUCAUAGUUUAUUUAUAAGUGAAAAUUGAAUAAUUUUUUUUUGAUUUUUUUAAAUGUAUAUGAAAAAUUUAAAAUCAAUUGAAGGAUUAAUUUGAAGUACAUGAGGGUUUUUGUAGGUUAUGGUUUCGAAAAUUUGAAAUUUAGGAUCUAUGAGUGAUUCUAAAAUUUAGCAAUAUUUCCUGGUUGGAUUGAAGUGAAAUUUAGUGAGAGCAAUUAAGACUUAAAUAUCUACACAUAAUCUAAGUAUUAGAGUAAUUGAAUGGUUUGCCAAGGAGAAAUUGGUAUUGAAAGAUCAACAUUCAAGUUGAAGAAGGAGGGUGGUCAACAACUAAGAGGUUUUAAGAGCUUUUCUUGCAAUUGGUAAAUCAAAUUCUUAUCAAAUUUUGUAUGAUUGUUAAUUGCUUGUUGAUAGAAGUGUAGGUGAAAUUUUGAUUAAGAUCUAUAGUUUAAUUAAUAUUUAUUAAGGUUUCAAAUUGCUAUAGUAAUUAAUUAAAAUUUACUUGAGAUUUUUUUAAUUAUUUAUGAUUUAGGAUUUUAUUAGGGUGUGAUCAAGAAUUAAAGUUUAAGAUUUUUUUAGAAUUUGAUUAGAAUUUAUUUAAGAAUUGAUUAGGAUUUUUUAAGGAUUUGAUAGCAUUUGGCCUAAGAUUAGGAUUUAAAAUUUAUUUAGGAUAUUAUUAGGAUUUAUUUAAGAAUUGAUUAAGAUUUAUUUAAAAUUUAUGAUUUCAUUAAAGUUUGGUUGGAAUUGGUUUACAAUUUCAUUAGGAUUUUUUGGAGAUUACAUUAGAAUUUGAUUAAAAUUCAAUUAAAAUUUCUACUUUUUAAACCUCUACAAGAUUUUUUUAUUAUAUAUAUUUUAUUAAGAUUAAUUUGUGAUUUUUUAUAUUUCUUUUGAAAGUUCUUGAAAUUCUUUUUGGAUUUAAUUAAAAAUUGAUUAAUAUUUUUAUAAUUUAAUUUAAUUUUUUUUAGGAUUCUAUUAGAGUUGUUAAAUUUGUCUUAAUCCAAGUUCCAUUUUUCUUUCCACAAUCAAGAGUCUAAUACAUUCUCAAGUAGAAUUUAUGUAAUAUAACAAUGUCUUAUGAGAUGACUACUUCAAUCCAUAGAGGGUCUUGCAAAUAUCUAAUCUACAAAAACCUUCAUGCACUUCCUCUUAUAUAUAUUUAUAUUCUUUAUUUUUCUAAUCUACCUUGUUUUAACUUAUUUAUAGUUUUACAAAGUAAGUAGAAUCCAUUUUGAUAAAAGACAAUUCUAAUACUAUAAGAUUUUACUAUUUGUUUUUUUUUAUAUUAUUUUAUUAUAUCUUUUUAAUUAGGAUCUUCUAUAAUAUUUUUUUCUUUCACCUAAUGGUCAUAUUACUAUACAAUAUUAUUUAUAGAGGUUAUUAUUUAUAGUAUUUUUUUAAUUUAUUUUAAAGAUUAUUUAUAUAUAUAUUUUUAAGAUUUCUUAUUAUUUUUCUUUAGGAUUAAUUUGAAACUUCUUUGUGUUUCUUUUAUAACUUCUUUUAAAUUUAUUUUGGAUUGGUUAAAGUUUGAUUAGGAUUAUUAAGAUCUAAUUAAGGUUAUUUAAGAUUUUAUUAGAUUUGGUACAAUUAUUCUUGUAUUUCUACUUACCUUCUAGAAUUAGGCACUUGGUGCAUUCUCAAUCAAGUACAUACACAAUACAAUACUGAUUGCCAAACAUGGUUAAAAUCAGACCUUGAGGUACAAAACCAAGCAUCUAUGUUGUUUUUAAAAUCCUUUGGCCAAUCAAAUAAUGGAAUUUGAAAGCAAACAUAAUUAAGCUUCUUUGACCAUUAAUUUUGAAGAAUUUAAGUUUGAAAUGAAAAUGUAAUAGCUUUGCCAAAUCGUGGUUGUUUUGGAUGACUUUGGUUUCUAUGAAAUAAUUUAGAAUUGACAUUUUGGACAAUUUUGUAAGUUUUAUAAUAAAUCUAUAAGUGAAACUUUGUAAUUUGUGAGUAUGGCUAUGUUCAAUGUGUGUUAUAAAUCUAAUCUUAGUGAAAUAGUUAGGUUGAAGGUAAUUAAAAUUCAAGUGGAUUGAGAUCUUAAGAAUUGGAGUUAAAAGAUUAGUAAGAGUUUUUAAGAUCUUUAGCAAUCAGCUAGCUAGAUUGAAAUAAAAAUUAUUUGUGUAGAUAGUAGACUUGAUUUUUAAUACUUGUAUAAAUUUUGAAUGCAAUUCAACAAUUCAAGGAGAUAUUGGCACUAUAAACUCUAUACUAAAAUGAAUUAUCUUACAUUUCUCUCAAUUGAUAAGUGAGAUUGAUUUCUUUUUUCUUGUACUUGUUACGAGCUCAAUUGUACAAAUUUUAAAUUAAUAUCAAUAAUUCAAUCAUUAGUUUUUUAAGUUUUAAUCUACUAUAGGAUUUGAUUAGGAUUUGGUUAAGAUUUGAUUAAAAAUGAUUAAAAUUUGGUUUAGAAUUUAAUUAAGAUUUGAUUUAAGAUUUGAUUAGGAUUUAAAAUUUAUUUAAGAUUAAUUUAGUAUUUUAUUAAGAUUUUUUAAGGAUUUAAUUAAGAUUUAUUUAGAUUUUUAUUAGGAUUUAUUGAAGAUAAAAAUUCACAAAAUAAACUUCACAAAAUACAAUAACAAGCAAAGUUUACUACUUAUUAAAAGGCUUGAUAUUUUUAAUACUCAAUUUUUAUAUUAAUAAUAUGUUAAUUAUGGCCAAUUAUCUUAUAUUGCUAUACACAAUGAAGAUUCAAUUUUAUGCACAAUUUUUGGCCUUGAUGAAGUUUACAACCUCUUGAGCUUAGAAGUAAUUUGUAAUCUUAAUACUAUCUCAGUGCAAAUAACCUACGCUCUCUAUAUUCAACAAAAACUUGUAAAGUUUGGCUUUUUGGAUUCUAAGCUAAUUUUAACUUUGAUUGCUUUUAGAAUAUACUUCUUUAUUACAAAUUGUUUCUUUAAUUCCACCAAAAAACUACUUCAUGCUAAGUUUUCUUAUGCAAAUGUUAUUGAUUCAUUAUACUAGGCUAGCUUGUGUACUCACUCAAAAAUUUCCUUCUCCAUCAAUAUCCUUAUCCAAUACAUGCAUAAUCUUAGACAAAUACAUAAACAUGUUGAUAAAUAUACUUUUUGAUAUCUUCAUGGUAUUGUGGGUUUUUUUUGAAAUAUUAUAAGUCUUUUUUUAUUUUAUACUUCCUUCACAAUUUUAGCUAUGCCAAUUAAGUAAACAAAAUUGAUGAAUGCUACUCUAUGUUUGGCUAUGUCUAUCUAUUUUUUAAUAGCAUUGCAACGUGUUUUAGUUUUUUAAUACUCAUUUAGAAUUAAUUGCUUUAAAAAAAAUCUUAAUCUAUUGAUCUCAUUAACUCUUGUUUUCAUCCACCUAUUAAUCUUUGAUCCAACAUAUAUAAACUAUCACAAGUUUUACAACAAUCAUUCUUAAUUAAAUACCUUGAUUAUAUUUAAUAGUGAGAAUCUAUCUUUUUUAAGAAAAUUAAAUACAAAAAAUAUAUAUUUACUUGAAUGAUAAAACUUUUAUUAUGAAAUCUUAAAUUUAUAUCUAUUAUUUUAAUAAGCAAGCUAAUCAUUGAUUAGGUGAAGUGGUGAAUUCUUGCCAUGAAGUUCAUACCUCAUUUCAAGGAUCAAGAAACAAUCUUUAGAAUUAAAUCAUUCUAAGUUAGUUAAGUCAUCUUGAACUAACUUUUACAUGACUAAUUCACAUAAUUUUGAUUGCUGAUGGGAUGAAAAAUCUCUACUUAUGACAUCUCCUUCCAAAAUAUAGGUCAUGAAUUGGAGACCUAAGACUUAUGCAGAAAAAAGUUGUAAUUGGAGCUAAUAUAUCUUAAGCUUUGAUUCAUUGACAUGUUAAUCAAUCUUCUAUCUAUCCAAAGAGAUAAGUUCAUAAGUCCCAUUCUCAAAUUUCGUAUAUAACUGAAAUAAUUCUUUCCAAUUAGACUUAAAUUUUUUUUUCUUUUUACUUCAUUAACUAUCUAUCAAUCAAUAGAACUAAGGCUUUGACUUAAAAUUCUAUGACUUUAGACUUUGUAUCAUGUAUGAGUUUUCUUCUUCAUUGAAUUAUGUGAUUUGAAAGUAUUGUUUACUAUUGUCCUUCUUUGAGCCUUUCCAAUUAUAAUAAUCUUAGUUUGAAAUUCUUUUAUUUUUUCAAUCUGUGUGCUAAUAUAAGCUAUAUGGAUGAAAUUUUUAAUUUUAUGAAUAUGAUGAUCUUAAAACCAAAGGCCAAGUAGAAUGGAAAAAAUCUUGUGAUGUUUUUGUAAGCUAUUUUAUAGGCCUAAAAAGCCUUAUCAGCAUGAACAUCCUAUAAUCUUUAUUUAUCCAAUAUCACUUUUGCUAUGAUAUCAUAUAUUAUACCAUUUGCUCUCUCAAUCAAUUCAUUAGCCUGAGAUAAUAAGAGUUGGGCCUCUUGUAUUUAAUGGACAUCUUUUGAAGUAGAUUAGAGACUAAUAUAUUAAUAAAAUGGGAGCCUUUUUCAUUUACAAUCUCAUGUAGACACCCAUAUCUACACACAACUUAUUGAAAAUGAAGUCAGUUCAUACCUCAUGGAUGCACUUUUUUACGGCUAUCACCUCACACCAUUUAGAUAAGUAAUCCAUUGCUAUAAUGACAUAUUGAUGAUGCUUUGUGGAGAUAGAUAAGGGUCCCAUAAAAUCCAUUAUCUAUUUUUUUAAAACUCCAAUUAGCAUAAUAGGGUCAAAUUUGGUAUGUAAAAAUUAUUGCUAACUAUAGGUUUGAUAUAAAUAAUAAGAUUGGCAAUGAUUUUUAUUAUCUUAAAAUAUCUAUAGCCAAAAAUAUCAUACUAUGAAUAUCUUUUUAACUAUGCUAUUUUCUAUAAAGUCCCCUCCACAUGUUCCAUCACAAUACUACUAUAGGAUUAAUUUUGUCUUUGUAGGUCUUACAAUUUUUUGUAAGAUUUUGUCACACCUUAUUUAAUACAAUAUGUCAUUGAUCAAAAUAUAUUGCAUAUUUUAGCAUCAUUUUUUUCUUCUUAAAUGCAUUGUAGAGUCAAAAAAAAAAACCAUAUUUUUCUAGUACAAGAUUAUAUCAUUGAAUUGACUCAAGACUUUUGCAUUGGAUAUGAUUUCUUCUAAGGUGUAGCAUUUGGUAUCAUUAAACAAGCUAUCCUCAUGAAUUUUUUGUUGUUGAGCCAACUCUAAAAGAACCUUUGAUUAUAAAGUGCAUUAUCUUUUUAUUCUCUUAAUCAUUAAAUCAAACUAUUACAAAGUUAUCAACAAACAAGAUAUCUUACUUAUAGGAUAAGUUUCUAUUAUCAAUUAUUUUAUUCCUUCAUAGGAGCAUUGAAAAUUUAUAAUAUUUUUCUUAACAAUAAAUAGUAUUUAAAUUUCAUCCAUGUAAACAACAAAGACAUCAUGAGAUUUUUAGAUUUUAUUUAAUAUAUCUUGAUUGAACUUAGCACACAACUAAUAUAAUAUACUUGAUGUCUCCUCUCCCUUUUUAUUAUUUUUGAUGAAUAUACAAGCCACCAAAUUGGUGUUAGAAGAGGUAUUAAUGAUAAAAGCUUUGGUCCAAUUGGUAUUUUAUAUUAUCAAUCUUCUACUCAAAUUUUGUUUGAUAUAUGCUAGUACAUCUUUGCAUUCCUUUCUUCAAUCAAAAUCUAACUUAGUUAAGAAUAAGUGUGUUAUUGGCCUUUUCUUGCCUAUUAAAUUAUCAAUAAAUAUUUUAUUAUAGUUUAUCAUUCCCUAGAGUUUGUGGACCUUUGCUUAAUUCAAAUAUCCAUGGAAUUUGAGUAUCUUCUUGUCUUUAUCUUCAUUGAUGUGAAUUCUUUCUUUAAAAAUAAUAUGUCUUAAUAGAAUUCCUUCUUUAUAAUCAAAUUGAUACUUUAUUUCAGCUUAAACUUCUUUUAUGUUUGCCAAGCCUUUAAAAAACUUGUCUAAGCUAUCCCACAUAUUUGCUCAUAGGAUUGUAUAUUCAAAAAUUAUUCAAGUAUACUCUAAGCAACUUUCCAACUAGAAGAGCAAAGAUUUUUGUUUGUAUCCAUUGAAAUAUCCUUCUUGCAUUGCACAAAUAAAAUGUCAUUCUUUUAUAGGCAAAUGUAUUGUAAGGAGUAGUGAAUGUAGUCUUUAACAUGUCUUCUUCUUUAAUUACUACUCGAUGAUAUCCUACAUAAUCAUUGCAAAAAGAUACCAUAUCAUGCCUCAAAAUUCCAUUCAGCAAUUGAUUUAUAAAAAAAUGGAUAUUCUAUCUUUUUUGAUUAUUUAAUUUAGUACUUUAUAAUAUAUAGAUUUUCUAUUUACCACCAUGCUUCAUCACAAUGACAACAAGUAACAUCCAUUGUGUAUUAUUCAUUGGAAUAAUAAAUCCUCCUUUCAAAAGUUGAUUAAGCUCAAAUUUAAGAAUGGCCAUUUUAUUUAAUUCCAUUUGCUUCCAACUAACUUGGCUCUUAUUUCUAGCUCUAUAGUAUACAACUCUAAAUUAAUAGCAAGUAAAUCUAAAUAGCCAAUGAUAAACAAAGUGAAGAUGUCUUUGGCCAAAGAAUUAAACUUGUUUUUUUUUAGCUAUGUCAAAAUUCAUACCAAUCAAAUUAGGUGUCUUACUUCUUACAUUUUGGCCAAGGUUGCAAUUAGCUUUAAAGUAAAGCUAUGAAUUCUUUACUAGAGCUAGUGGUAUAAUUCGAACUUUAUAAUGGCCAAUUAGAUUUAUUAGAUGAUUCUUCUAAAGAAGACAAGUCAUUAGUGUGAGUGAUUAAAUAAAUUUACUAAUUAUUUUAGAAUAAAAUAGAUAUAUUUAGAGUAUUUAAAAUCAAAAUAUAUGAUGAGUAGUGUAAAAAUCGUAAAACAAAUAGAAAAUUAUAAUGUUAAUUAUAGAAAUGGAGUCUCAAUAAGUCUUAGAGAUAAUUAUCUUAAUUUAUUUAGUAUUUUUAUUUAUUAUUGAGUAUUAAGGAUUAAUAUUAAGAUAAAUAUCUAUAUUGGCCUUAUAUCUAUAUGUAUUAUUUAUUAAAAAACUAUAAAUAUUAGUAAAUAGUUAAAAGAAGCAUGAAAAAGAACCUCAUAUCAAUUUAAUUAGUUAUGUAAAAAGUAAGAUUUAUAGUGGAUUUAAAUUAAUUUUAUUAAUAUAAAAAUUUAUCAAUAUAAAAAAUUAUAGCCUCAAAUUUAUAUUAUUAUUAUAAAACUAUUUUAAGAUUUUUGAGGAUUUAUUUAAAAUUCAUUUAGGAGUUUUAGAGUAAUUUUUAAGACUUUGGUAAAAAUGAGUUUUACCACUUUGUGAGCCAUUAUGAAGAAAUGGAGCAAGAUUUGAAGGCCAUGCAAGAUUCUUAGGAUAAUUGGAUGUUUUUAAAUACCAUGGUAAAGUCAAAAAUACAAAAAAUUUGAUUUUAUUAGUAGAAAAUAGGAGAAACAACACAAUAUAGUCAUUGAAAGAAGAGAAGUACUUAAGUCCGAUAUGGAUUGUAGCACCUUGAAAGUAAUUAAGAAGAUAAGACUAAGGCCUUGUGGCAUCUUUUAGAAACCUAUACACACUAUAUGUGAGCCUUAGUAAGGCUCAAAUUCUUAAUUUAUAAACAAAUUAUUCUAAAAUAAAAUAUUUCCACUUAGUUUUUUUAUUUAUUUACUUGUUAUUUUUAAAACUUCAUAACUUACUCAUAAUAAUUUAGAUUUAUAUAUUUCUUAUACCAUUGAAAAAAAAUUAAAAAUUAAAAAUAUUUUUUAUUUUUAUUUUUUAUUAGAUAAAAAUAUAAUAAAUAAACUAUGACUAGUUUUGUGGUGUACAGUUGCUUGAUUGUACUUGUUUUACUUAUUUUGUAUUGUACUUCUUUUGUUCUUGCUACUUCUAUUUUAUACCACCAAUUACAAGAAUUUUUUAGUUAAGGACAUCUUAUAAUUUGAGUUGAGAGGUGAAAUUUACCUUCAAAAUUGGUGUUAUUAAAAGACUAUUUCAUUACUCUGAUAUUUACAUAAUUAUGCCUCUAGCCAAUUUUCAUUUGCCAAGCUUUCAGUAGUUAAUUACUUUGAUCUUGAUUAUCUAGGUUCAACUUAAUAUUAUUAUAUAACCUUUAUUUAAAUUAAUGAUCUCAAAAACAUGAAAUUCUAUAUUAACAAUUAGAUUAUUUACGGUUAUUAGGAGAUUGGCAAUUAAAUCUAAGAAUUUAAAACUUCUUUGAUCCACUACCUUAAGCCAUAUCAAUGAUGGUUGGAUCAAUUUUAAUCUUGCUUCUCUUAUAAACUAGCUACAUAUUGAUUGUUGUGCCUCCAUCUAUCAAAUAGUCCUUCACUAUAUAUCCAUUUAUAGUGGCAUUUUUUUAUAAUAAAUAUAGAUUGCCUAAAGAUCUCUUAUGUUUGAAAUCAUCAACACUGAUUUUUUUUGGCUUUUGAGUACUAAUAUAUGCUCUCAAUUCUCUAUGGAAUAAUGGAUAUUUUUCAACCAACUAACCAACUAUAAUAUUAGCAUUUUAAUGGCCUAAUAUGGCUACUUUUGAAUAUUCAUGAUGUUCCUUGAUUAAUAGCAAGUCAUGAAUUUUGAUCUUCCUUCUAAGUCUACAAGUUUUAUUUUUAUUUUUUAUGAUUGAGAGUUUUUGUGUCUAUAUUUUUUAGAAACUCCAUGUCUUGAUUCUUUAUCUUUUUGUAACCAUGAUCUUAGUCUUUUUAUUGGAAAAAAUAUCUAUCAAGUUUAUUUUGACUAACUUUCUCUUUGUAUCGAAAGAUAGGCCAUUUUAUUCUUUUAGAGUGAAAUUAUAUUGUAAGUGGUCUUUUUGGCCACACUUAUGACAUUCAAUAUGCAAAGGUGGUCUAUGAUGGUAUCUUGUGUCCCUACUCAUUGAUCUAUGCCUUUAUAAAAUAUUUAACUUCAAGUCUUGUACAUCAUUCUUGAGCUAGUUGUAAUCCUAUUUUAAAAUCAAUACAACUAAAGAUAUAGUAAAUAUUAAAGAAGGUCUCUUUGGAACCUUUUAGAAUUUUUAUUGUAUUUCUAUUUGAAUUAAGGUGGGAUAUAUUGAUAAGAAAUAUAUUUGAGAUAUUGAUAUGAUUAUUAUAAGAGGUUGGAUCAUACCUCUAAGACUUUUUUCUUUACAUUGAGCUAGCUACAAUAAUUCAUCAGAAAUAGUUGAUUUCUAAAAUGACACAAUCUCUUGAAUACUAGACAAUAGUCCAUAGAUAAAACUUAUAAGUAAUAAUUUAUUAAUCUCUAAGUAUACACGUAUCAUAUCUACUAUCUCAAAAUCUACUUCUAUCAUAAAGAUUCCUAAAAUAUAUCAUUUAAACAUUAUCUACAAUUUGCACAUUCUUUUACUUUAAGUCAUGUACACUUUCUUGAAGUAAUUUUAUCAUUAAACUUAAGGAUCCUAAUAGGUUUAUAUAUAUAUAUAUUUAUAUAUAUAUAUAUUUAUAUAUAUAUAUAUAUAUUUAUAUAUAUAUAUAUUUAUAUAUAUAUAUAUUUAUAUAUAUAUAUAUAUUUAUAUAUAUAUAUAUAUAUAUAUAUAUGUUUAAAUUCAAUGAUAAACUCUUUUUUCAACUCACCUUAAUUUGGAUAAAUUGCCUUUGUCUACUUCUUAUACCACUUUUCAACUAUAUAUUCUAAAAAAUCAAGAAACAACAAUAACCAAGACUCCUUGUACAUGUCUUGAUUUGCCACACAUGCUCCUUUAAAUUCAUAGAGAUAUGAUUUAAGAUCUUCAUGAUCCUCCCUAUAAUACACUAGAAUUGCCACUAUUACACUUUGUUUUUUGUUUAAUAUUGAUGUAGGUGCUACAACUUUUCUUACAAAGUUAUAAACUACUUUUUUGCUAUUCUUUCUAAGAGAUUGUUUUCAAAUUUUAAAAUGUUUCAAUUAUACUUCAAAGUUUAAUUUUGGCUACUUAACAAUUGGAUGUAGUGGUUGUAAGCCAUCAAACUUAACUUCCUAAUUUUCAAUCACAUAGUUGUAGACUAAUUUUAAAUCCUCUUCUACUAAUAUAUUUUUGACACUAAUCUAUUGGACUAUCUCUAAUCUACAUGCCAAAGUAUUAUAUUUGGCCUGAUUAGAAAUGUAUUUUCUUCUAAUUUUAUUAUAUCAUAUGUCUUUUAUCCUAAGGUCUCUAUAAAACUACAUGUAUAUCCAAUCUAUACUUUCUACAACUUGAUCUGUCAAAAUGUAGAUUCCAUAAAUAAGAAUCCAUUCCAUCACUUAGACUAUAGUCUAUUUCUUUAAGAAAGAUUUAAGUCCUAUGCAUCAUUCUCAAUUUUGCCACUAUAUUUUUUAAAUAGUAUUUUAUUAUCUACUAUUAUAUUAUCAUUUAUCUUUAUUGAUUGUAACCUUUUAUGAGCUUUAACAAUUAUGUAUCUAAUCUUGUCACUUAGAUUAUCAUAUGUUACUAUUACUCCAAACAUUUCACUAUAUAGAGAAUUCUUACUUCACUAUCUUAUAGUUCUCAAGUCAAUUUGAUUCAAAAGUUGUUUAAACUUUCUUGGAACAUGGUACACAAACUUUAAAAAUUACUUACAUCAACAAGGGUAGUAAGAUAGAAAAGUACUAGCCUACUUAACAUUAGAUUCUUAUGACCAACCUAUCAAAUAAUUUUCACAUCCAAUAAACUUAAUGUUUGUUAUUUCUAUUGGAGUAAAUUUUCUAUUACAAAUGUAACAAAGUAACUAAUGCCAAUCUUCACUUAUUUUUCUUUUCAAAUCACAUGCUAAUUCUUCUGAUUUUUCAAACUCCUUAUGAUCCUUUAUUGACUAAGUUUUAGUUUUGACCACUUUAAACAUACAAAAGAAAUAAGAUCUUUGCUUCCUAUUUUUUUCUCUAAAAUGAAACAAUUGUAAUCUUAAUAAUACCAAGUCAUGCAAGCUAUGCUUUCUUGAAACCACACUAUAGAGAAGCAUCUAGACACUUGACCAAACUUCUUUUCAUUGUUUGAUAUCAACAUCUAAUUAUGGAUGUCCUUAUAAGAUCAAAAUUAUUCCUAUCUAUAUCAUUGACUCUCCCAAGACAAAGAUAAAUUUAUGUCCUGUCAAUGGAACCAAAGAUGCAAUGCAUUUUAGUUUCUUGGAACUCAUUUGAGAUUGACUACUUUAAAAGAAAACCUUAUCCCAUUGGUCUCAUCAGCUCUUGACUUUAUCCAUCCAUUAACCAGCAAUCCAACAUACAUGAAUAAUCCCAAGUUUCACAAGGAUCAUUUUCAAUUAAAUACCUUGACCAUACUCAAGAACUAAAAUCUAUCUUUAUUAAGCAAAGGUGAUACAAGGGACUCAUGUUUACAUGAAUGCUACAACUCUUACCAUGGAGCACAUGGUCCACUGCCAAAUUUAUAUCUAUUGCCUUAAUAAGCAAACUGAUCACUAAUCAGGUGAACUGGUGAGUUCUUGCCAUGAUCCACUCCCCUUGCCUUGAGGAUUGUGCCUCAUGUCUAGGAUCAAGAAGCAAUCUUCAAAAUCAGAUCACCUCAAGUUAGUUAGGUUGUCCUGAGUUAACUUUCACAUGACUAAUUCAGAUGAUCUUAAUUGUUGAUGACAUGAAAAAUCUCUACUCAUAACAGCACCAUCAGCUAGGCCUUUGCAGACCAGAAGUCCACCCUCUGUCUAACACCUAAGCAGAGUACAUUGCCAAAGCAAUUACUAUGUUUGAACUUGUGCGGCUUUUGCUGUUGCUCCACUACCUCCACUGCACCAAAACCCUAAAAAAACCUACCUUCAUUUAUUGCGACAAUCAAUCCAUGUUGGCAUUAGUAGAUACAACCAAGUUUUACUCGAAGACGAAACACAUUUCCAUUCGCUAUCAUUUCAUCCGCCAACUUGUAGCUCACCAAAAGUGCCAUUCUAGUAUUGUCCUACCCACAAUAUGCGAGCAGAUAUUUUUACCAAAUUCCUCUGGCAGAAGCUUGCCCAACACUUACCAUUGCUUGGAGGAGAAAUUCCACCCUUGGGAUGACUUGGUUAAGCGGCCGUAUUGGAAUCUAGAUUUCAAGUAACCAACCCAUCUGUAACAGUCAAGUAAGAGUGAAACGGCGCACCCUGUCGAAGAGGCACGAUCUUUUCAGUCGCUCCUUCCUCGACAGGAUAAACAAUGUACACACAUUUUAUUAAACAAUUAAUUACAAGUUUUUCGAUCAUUCUCAGAUUCACCUAGUCCUAAUACAAAUUGUCUGUGCUACCCCCGGUAAGUGGUACGCUUCACUCUUACAAAACUUGGUGGGCCAAUGUUUUGAUCCUUCAAAUUGGUAGCCAAACUUAUUGUCUCAUUGUUGUUCUGAGAAGCAUUUAACUCCAGAAACUUGAAGAGAACUUUGUCAUCUUUCAUGUCUGACAUCUCCAUUGUCUGAUAUAUGCCAGAAGAAUGUGAACGUCACAGUUUUAAAUUCUCGGAAUUUGAGACAGACGGGUGAAUUUUUAGGGGAUUGACAAAUUUAAAGAGAAACUUGAUCAAGUUAGCUAGAGCCGCUUCUAAGAGGACUAGAGGAUAAACUCUCACGAGCCUGUAGCAAGUGAAAGGAGCGCAGUCUACAGCUUUAUUUCGUCUUUAAUUAGCACAUCAGAUCCUGUGUUAAGGUUGUUUUUGAUUGAAUACUGGUGGUCAAAAUUAUGUGUCUGAUUCUUCAGAGGAUGUAUACUCAUAUGGCUUCUCAAAAGAGCUUCAAAAAUUCAUUCAUAUUAAUUAGAUUUGACAUAUUCUAGACAAGUCUUUCAAGUUUUUUUAAAAAAAAACAUCGCAAUUAGUUAUUCUGGGAGCUUGUAAUGUGAACUUGAUUCGUUUGGUAUGGGGCACACGAGCUUGCUUCUCGUGGGUUGUACAGAGCAGACUUAGCGGUACUGGUGGCUAACAUAACGAUCCCCAAGUUUGAGUUCGUCCCACCUUAUAUUGUCGUAAUACUUUUUUCUUCGACCCCCUGCAAUUAGAAAUUCCAUGCAUGAGCUCAGAAUUUGAAAGCGUCGGCUGUAACAGGUCCCCUAAACUUUGCCAGCAGGAGUUUGAUAUCGCAGCUGAGUCAGACUUUGACUAUUAAUAGAAAAAGCAGCAGGCAUGUUCGAACCAGAUCCCAAUAGCAUGUGACAUGCAUGUUGUCUUAUCCACCACACGUACUGCUUUUGAUCUUUCUGGUGGCACUUGUCUCUCUUGUAUAUAACCAGCAGCAGUUAUCCAUGUUUGACACUUCGCAGUUGAUCUUUUGCAUUGCUCAUCGUUCGAGAUGGCCUACUGGGGUCGUGUUUUCGUGGCCUCAUUCCUAGCAGCACUGUUAUUGUUGUUGUCGGUAGGAAGCUCACAAGCUCUGGAGGUUGUCAACCAUUCAGGAUGCAAGGUCGUCGUCUUCGUGCCUCCCAUUUGCGCACCCUGUGUAUGCCCGGUGCAUAAUCCGAAUUGCCUCUGCCCGGCAGUGUGCAGAUUUCGGCCGGGUGUGACGAUCGACAGGAACGGGAAGGUAACACUGCAAGUGGACGGAGCGAAUUUCAAUCCGGAUCUGCAGUUUUUCAAUGUUGAGAUCAAAGGAGUUACUUUCGUCGUGUCAAAGGCUGAUCUGAAGAAAAUCACUAUCAGGGCGACGGUUAAGAUCACUUCGAAAAGAUGUGAGGGUGGAAAGGGUAUUCUGGUCACCAUUUACCCGAAUUCGAAGGCUGCCGCGGGCAAAGACAUCUGCCUCCUGCCUGGUGAAAAAUAUACAAGUUGAGAGGCGCGAGGGGUCGGAUAUUGUUCUGUGAAUAAGCUUCGGGUUUUUGAAAUUUUACGCAUAGAUCAUGAUUUCGCAAGUCCCAUCGCUUCAGGGGUUGGAGUGAUGCGAAUCGCGUAGAACUCCGUGUUGUUCCAUAGAGGUAUUGAGCUGAUAGUGCACAACGUGAAGGCCGUGAAUAAGACUAACUUUUGUAUAUACAACCGUGUAAGGUUCAGCCAUUUGUAUGAGGCUACUCAUAGUUUCACCUUGAACCGCAUUACUUAACGGAUCUUUUCAAGCGGUGUCCUGGUGAAUACCGAAAUUGCGCACAAUAAAUAGUGGAUGAAUGCAUCCUUCAUUGCAUGAUAUUCGACCGUCUCUCUUCCCACAUCCGACUAUUAUUCAGAAAGAAUCCUCCAGGGCGCGAUGAGCUAAUCUGUUCAGGCUUGGACGCGACAAUCAUCUAACAAUGGUGGUGUUACAUGAAAAUCAAUUCUGCAUAUCACAAGCCAUCAUUAGCUGCUGAUUUGCAGUAUCAACGGUCUCCAGAUUCAACCACCGAAUCGUGUCCCUAGGGAAGAAACAUCUGUUGCACAAUAAUAGAACGCGUGCGCACUGUAAAUCAACCACAUUUUUCAUGUUGCAGCUGUACCCACAAUCCGUCGAUGUGUGCAUGUGCAGUGCCGCAACUUGAAGAGUUUUCUAGUCAAUGAAUCCCCUCAAACCAUUCAGCAUUCUCUGAGCUUUGUUCGCAUCAGAAUUAUUUUCUACUAAUAUUCUAAUGAAUUUUAAAUAAAUAUGCAUAUUUUUGAGACAAAAUUUUAUUUAUUCCUUGCUUAUUACUAAAGAUAAGAAAUAAAAAAUAGAUAGGUAAUCAGUGGCAGUUUUACAAAAUUUGUAGUUAUCUUCUACUCUAAUGUUUUUAUUUCAUCCAUCCAACAUUCUUACGUACCCAAAGACAUAAAUGACAGAUAGUUGCUUCAAAUUUUGUAAGCAACUUACUAAUAAGCAACCAAAUAUUAGAAGUCAUUAAAAUAUUAGAAAAAAAAGUAUAGAAUUAAAGAUGUGGGCUUUUUUUAAAUAUAUGCAUAUACAGUGACAAACAAAACCGAGUACAAAAUCUGAAGUGCUAACUUUCAAGAGCAAUUACAGAAAUUUCAAUGAUUGCUUUAUAAAUCUGAAAGUUACAUGGAAUAAUACACACAGUCUUGUACACAUGUACAAAGUUGCACAUCAAAUUGAUAACUAAACAUCCUUCUACAAAGUCAAAUCAACAACUAUGUCUUGUACUCAGUAUUGUUCAAAGAAAAUCUUCAAACUUCAAUAUUUAAUCCAAUAACCUUUUGCUUCCAAAACAGCUGAAAUCCUUCUUGGCAUACUUUUGUAUAGUUUCUCACAAUCUUUUGCAUCAAAACUAGGGUAAAUACUACAAACAUUCUCCCACAAUUCUUGAACAUCUCUUGGCCUUGGAGUGACUUGGCUUAAAUGCUGUUUGAGAAGGGCCCAAAAAUGUUCCAUUGGAUUCAAAUCUGGAGAUUGAGCUGGCCAUCGAAGGAGCUGAAAUGGCUGUGAAGAGAGCCAAAACUGAACACUUUUUGCGGUAUGUUUGGGAUCAUUAUCAUGUUGAAAAACCACCUUAGUAGGAUCUAAGUUGUAAUUUUGUGUGGUACUUUGCAAGUAGGUUUCUAAAAUUUUUUUGUACAAGUGUUGCUCCAUUCUACCUUCAAUUUAAUACCAAGCACCCGGCCCAAAAGCAGUCAUACAACCCCAAAUCAUAAUUGAACCACCACCAUGUUUGACAGUUUGACUAACAUGUUUAGGUCCAGGUCGUUCUCCUUCUCUCAACCAACACCAAGACCUACCAUCUGAGUUGAUUAGGUUAAUCUUUGUCUCAUCACUGAAAAUAACCCGUCUCCAAUCAUCAACGGUCCAAUUUUUGUAUUUAUGAGCAAAACUCAACCUUGCAAGAACAUGUCUUUUGGCAAGUAGAGGCUUCUUUUGUUGCACACGAGCACCCAAACCAGCUUCUCUCAAACCACGCUUCAAGGUGAUGUCUGAGAAGUGUUUACUUGUUUUUUCUCGAAGUUGUUUUGCAGCUGCACUUGCCGUUUUGAGACAACCAGCAGUGACAAGGUGCACACCAAGUUGCUUCUCUUGCUCUCCUAAAACCUUUGGACGUCCUCCUCUUUGCUUUUCUAUUUCACCACUAAUCUCCCUCCUCAGAUGAGCUACUGAAGACUAACUCAUUCCAAGUGAGUCUGCAACUUUUCUUGUAGAAACACCACUCCUAAGCUGCAUCAAUGCUUGAUGCUUCAAUGAUUCACACAACCGAGGCAUAGAGAUACAAUUGACAAAUCAACUUUCACUAUAGAUAGUACACAACAAGAGCAACACAACAAAAAAAAAAUGCCCUCAAAUCUUGCAACAAGGAGUGUACAUUAAAAUUUCGAAAUUCAGCAAGAAGAAGCAACCAAAACUGAGUACGCACAUCUAUGUGCUUCUACAACACUUUUCUCAUAAACCCUACCUCAAAUGAUAAUGAGAUUUUUCAUCCAUAUAGAAGACUGGAUGAAUAUACAUAAUAAAGAAGUAAUUCUAUCAAUUGACUUAUGUGUCAGUUGGAAGGAUCAAUGAACUAUGAGUGUUCAAAUUUUGUACUCGGUUUUGUUUGUCACUGUAUAUUUAUAUAUUAUUUAUAAAAAAUUAGAAAAAGAUUAAGAAUCUAGAGUGGAUGAAAAUAUUCUUAUAAAAAGAGCCAUAAUUAUUUUUUUUGUUUUUGUUUUUGUUUUUUUUAUUUUGUUUUGUUUUGUUUUUUUUUUAAAAAAAAAAAUUUAGUACUAAAAACUAAUACAUGUUCUAGAAUAUUUGAAUACAUAUUCUACUAUGUCCAAUGAGUGGUAGGUAGAUGAUUAGACCUAUCAAUGAAAUUUUACUAGAUUAUAUUCAUCAAAUAGUUGUAAUUUGAGAGAUGUUUAAGCAAACUAAUUACUUAAUGGUUUUUGUAAAAAAUACUCAAAAUUAGAUUUAUUAAUAAAAACCUUUCAAUAUAUUUUUAUUAUCAAUAGAUCCAUAUUAUGUAGUAAGUGAAAUAAUCAAACUUUGCUUCUAAUGAAUAUUAUGAAGAUCUAGAAGUCACACAAUUUUGAAGUGUAAACUUUUUUUGAUAACAAAAGCUAUUCUUUUCACUAAAUUUGUUUCUAGAUCACAUUCUACCUAUAGUAUUUCUCCAUUUUUUUAUUUCAAAUAAAUUUAUAUAAUUAUUUUAAAAUAUUAUUUUAUUAAUAUGGCUAAUUUCUUUAAGAAAAUUUUAAAGUUUGAACCCUCUAGAUUAUUAAAUUAAUUUGAUAGCUUAACUAUUUUAAACUUAUUUUAAAUUCUUAUAUCGGUGAAAAGAAAAUUAUAUUUUCAUCCUUAUACAUUUAAGUGUUUCCUUAAUGUAGAUUAAUUAAAUAUGUAGACUAAUUCUUAGUAUAAGGAUAAAUUUUAGAAUUUUUUUGCCUUAAUAUUUCUUAAUUAUAAUCCAUAUCAAAUUUUCUAUUAAUUACUAUUCUUGCUUCUUCUUAUAUAAUUACCAUUAAAAAUCAUGGUUUAAAAAAGUCACUAAGAUUAAAAUCUUAUCUUCUUUAUAUUGAUUCUGGACAUUACAAUAGAUAUCAAUCUUUUAAAUUAAUUUCUUUGGACUUUCUAGCUUUGCCAAAUUCUAAUAAAGUUUUUAGCACAUUCACCUUAGUUUAUGUCUUAAUAAAAGAUGAAGGCCUAAAACAUUACAUUAUAAGAUGUUCAAUUAAUUUUAAUUGCUAACAUCUUUUUUUUUUUCUACAUUUAAGCUCUUAAUUUAUAAAAAUAUAUAAGCUUAAGUAUUUUCAAUUAUAAAUUAAAUUUUAGAUGUUAAUCUACAUAUUUAAUUUAAAGGCUUUUAGAGCUUAGCUUUGAAACAUAUUUUUUGAAGAUUCUUCUUAGAAUAUAUAUAUAUAUAUAUAUAUAUAUAUAUAUAUGUAUAUUUUUUUUAAUAUUUCUUCCAAUGUCAUCACUAUGUUCAUUGGAAGAAAAAUAUAAAGUAUAUUAUUUACUAAAUUACAAUCUUUGAUGUCUUUUGUAUAUAGCUAUUUAAAAGAGCUAAUUUUAUUGCAUUUAAUAGCCUUUUAUUUAUCUACUACUCCUUAAUUAUCACCUAUAUAUUAAAAAUAUAAUUUAAUACAAGUAUUAUAAUCUUUAUUAAUAUCCUAAGUUAUUUCUUUGUAAUAACCUUUAUAAACACUAUAAAGAACUAGCCUUAGAUAUCCUUCAUACAUCUUAAGAUUAGCCUCCAUGUUUUUUAAAUAUCACCUUUGAAAUCCUUAAUUAAUUUUCUUUCUUGGAUUUCUUUCUUAAUAGGAAAUUAAUUAUUAAGCAUAGACUGCCACUUAUGUUGAAAGACUUAUUUUGUGGUAUAUUCAUUCUAUAUAAUCAAACCACACUUAAUAUUUUCUCUCUACCACCAUUUAAAAUCUCUAUGGUGUAUUCAAAGCUAUAAAAUUUACUGUGAUAUAAACUUGAAGCUAAUCUCUUGAUUAAUAAUAUUUAUAUUAUACUAAUAUUUAGUUGUUCUUCUUGUAGAGUGAUUAUUCCAGAGUUUGACAAAGAUUUAAGAAUUAAUGUAAAGUCCCAACAUUAAUUCUACUAAUUUAGAACUUAUUUCAAUUACUAUCAAGAUAUUUAGGAAUAAAGUGAAAGACCACUUUUCUUUAUAGUAGUUUUUGUAGGAUUUAACAAGCACCUUAGCCUUGGAUUAACAACACCUUCUACAACCAUUUAAUUUUGAAGGACCACCCUUUUUCUUAAUGCUUUAGUUUCCAAAAGUCUCAAAAAAUGUCUCCAACCUUAACGUUUAUCUCAUCUACUAUAAAAUCCUAAAUUAUUUCAAUGUAAUAGACUGAAAUUUGUCAUAUAUUAUAUUAUAUGAUAAAUAAAUAAAAAAUCAUACCUUAUGUAUGUUACAAGUGUAUAUCACCAAAAUUCAUCAAAGAGAUUAUAAUGGAUUUAAAGAGUUUUUUAAAACACAAAAGAAUUAAAGUAAUUGGCUUACCUCAUGCUUCUUUUAAAUUAAUAAAAAUUCUUAUAUAUAUAUUUAUAAUAUUUUUUAAAAUAAUUAUAUUAUAUCCAAUUGAUAGAUAUAAAACAUUUAAGUUUUUUUUUAAUAAUAUGGAAGAAAAGAGAAGACAUUAAAAUUGAUAGAAAAAUAUUUUUUAAAAAAAUUAAUAUUUUUUAUUAAUAACUAUAAAUAAUUACAAAUUGGAUCUUAAUUUAAUCUUAAGAAACCAUUAAAAUUAUAUCCAUGAAAAAAUAAUUAUUUAUAGCUUAUAAUAGACUAAGUAGAAGAAAAAAAAUAGUUUAAAAGUAGAAUUAUUUUAAAUUAAAAAGUUAUAUUAUUUUUUAGAAAUUCACCAAUUUAAUACAUUAUCUCAAUUAAGAAUUCUAACUUCUUAUAUCAAAUAAGAAAAAUUAUUAUUAAAAAAAUUUAUUAAAGAAUUAUAUAAAGAACAUUUAUAGGAAAAUUUAUGAAUCUAAGAUAUAUAAAAUAUAGCUUUAGAUUAUAAAUACCAACGAUUAUUAGAGAAAUCCAAUAUCAAUAUAGCAAACAAAUGAAAGAAAAAAUCAAUACAUUAGGAUUUAGAUAAAUUAUAUGUAUUUUUUUUAAUUCUAUUUUUAUAUCAUGUAAGUAAUUUGUACCUUGGUUUAUAAUACCAAUAGCAUAUUAUAGAUGAUUGAGUAGUUUGUUUUACUACAAUAUCAAAUAAAGGUCUUAUAUGUUGUUAUCAUAAAUAGUUUCUAUCAAAUCUUGUAUUUUUGAAUGAUUUUAGGUGGUUAAAAAAAAUCUUUUAUAUAAAAGGUAAUAUAUUUUAGAUUUAUUUAUUUAGAAGAAAUAAUAAAAAUUUAUUAUAUGAUAUUAGAUAAUAAUUUUAAAAAAUUAUAGAUCUUCAAUUCCAUAUUAUAUUUAUUACUACUUUUAUGUUCUUCAAAUGUAAAGUAUAAAAUUAUAGGUAAUGGCUAGACUUUAAUGCAUUUUUAAAGUCAUUAAUAAUUUUCUUUGAUUUUCGUAGUUCAAUAGAGCCUUAAUCUUUAUACUACAUGUGUAAUAAAUCUUUGCAAAGAAUAGAGAAAUUAAAAGAGAAAAGAAAAGAAAAGAAAAGAAAAGUGUGAAAGAAUCUACAAUAGAUGUGAAAAUGAUGUGAUUUUUUUCUCUUCAUUAAAUUGAAGGUUAAUUGUUUGCAUCUCUCAUCUGUUCUGCUGUUUCUUUUCUCUAUUAAUUAAUUUGACUCAGCACAGAAAUAAAUUUUCACAAUUCAAUUCACUAUUAAUUAAUUUUACUCAGGACUAUAAAUUAUUAAUUAAUAAUAAAAUUAAUUAAUAGUGAAUUUGAGCAGGGCUCCUCUGUGCUGAGUAGAUUUGGCAUUAUGGGAAGCAGACUAGCAACAGAUUCUCUUACUUGUGACAUCUACGAUAGGAGCUACGAAGAUCCUAUGACCAUUAUGAAUCUAGUUAUGUUGCACAUGAGCCUUUUAAUUCAUUUUGCUUAUGGAAAACUUGCAUUAUUCAGCACUCCCUGCCAGAAAAAAAAGGAAUGAAAAACAUCAUGCCUUUCAAGCGUUGACGUUGCCUUGCCACGAUCACUGCACCAGAAUGGCGGCGGGAGGCGCAAGACGGUUAUUUUGUAAUCAAAAUGACCCUAGUUAUGAACAGAAGAUAUGUGCGAUGCUUAUAGAUUCUGUUUACGCUGUCGGAGUCAGAUAGAAAUGAAGAGGCUGAGAAGUAUGUCAACCAACACUGGAAGAGGGUGGGAUUUCCUAAAGCCGCUGGACUUGGUGCAGAAGUUUACUACCGCGUUUACCCUGAUCGAAACGCGAGCGCUCCGCGCUAUGUCAUUGCUUUCAGGGGUACCGUGCUGCGUUACUUGCUUGAUGUGAUUGCAGACAUACGAAUUAGACUUGGGAAUCACCAAAGCAAGUGGGUACAGGAAAUUCAGGCUCUGGUUCUGGAAGUGAUCCAAAAAAUCCGAUGUGAGGGUGGAAGAAUUGAACAGAUCCGCUUAACAGGGCUCCCCCUCGGGACGGAGAUUGCACUUCUGACCGGCAUCCAUUUCAAAAUCCAAGCACGAUAUCCACAAUGAGACCCUUCUCUUCAACCCUCAUAAGCUGACGCUUGCUAGCUUUAUAGCAAGGAAGUUUCGCCCUCCGCAGGUUACGAAUGAGGAGCCCUCUUCGGUUGGCACGAAAGCCACAGACCUUGUUGGAGAUGUGGGCACAAAGAGCUCGUCAAAACUGAAGGCAGAGUAGGAGGACUUUCAGAAGCUUCGGGAUUGGGUACCUCGCUUCUAUUUGAACUCUCACGAUCCCAUUUGCCCUCAAUACAUCAAGUUCUACAAGGAGCGGUACCAGUAAGCCACUAUUCACAUGCAGGACACACCACUUGCUUUAAACUUUUCUCCAUAAAAUCAUCAAAAUGUUAGUAAGACCUCCCCGAAGUUAACUGACGUGAAGAUGUGAAUGACUGAGUCCUUCGUCUGUAAACAGCACACCAACGGUUGGGAUAUGCAGUGCAUGUGCUGUGGUUGCUUUCAUAGCUGUUUCCUGAGCGAAUAGUCUGAUCGAAUAGCAAUGCAGUGAUCGAGAAGUUGGUGAGACGCAAGCAGGCAAAGGAAAAACAAAAGGUGGGGGUGUCGGGUUAAAAAAAGGUGAAAAAACGCAAGUGUGUGUUCUGCAUCAUUGGUUUACAAGGCCCUCGGCUGUAUCGUUUAAGAAAAAUACUUUACUUCUUACCAUUUGUCUAUCUAGGGUGCCUCUGUCCUAAAUUAAAGUAUUGUAGUCCAUCUUCUAUGAUCUUCACCAUAUAAUAUAUGUGGACCUUGAAGACCACCCUACUACCCUAUAUGUUUUGUCUACUAUGCAGUAGUCUUUUCAAAUCCUCAUGUGUGUAUGUGGCAAGGUUUGUUAUCUCUAUUGUAUUUUGUUCGACUUCUGUUGUGUUCUUAUUCUCUAUUUCUGCUUUUCUGUAGCUGUUGGCAUCUACUGCAACUAGUAGAUCAUCUAUUUCAUUCUAUAAUACUAUAUUAAAGAACUCAAUAGUGUACAAACUAGAUUGUCUGAUCAGUUGAGAUUUUGGAUGUCUUUGGCUGAUUUGGGCAAGAAAUUGCCUAUGUUGCUCCAAUUGUUGCUAUCUUAUGUCUAUAUAGUGCAGUUGCCUAUGUUGCUCCAAUUAUUGCUAUCUUAUGUCUAUAUAGUGUUGUGAUUGAUCAAGGAUUGGUCCUCAAUAUUCUUCUCCAUCAUAGUCUUCGCUUGGUGGUAUUGCUACUUGUUGUGAUAUGAUUUGCUCUGCUUGUUCUAUGUAAAUAUUUGUAUCUUAUAUUUGUUGUUUUAUGUCCAUAUGUAGUUGUAUUAUUGUCAUCCCUCUAUCAAGGAUUGGCCCUUGAUAUUCCAUUCUCUUGUUGUCUUCAUGGUCAGGUUCAGUUGUUGAUACUACUUCUUGUUAUAGUAUAAAUUAUUUUUCACAUCUUAUUUUGUUUUGCAGUGAGAUGCUUCUAGGGAUGGUUUUUUUGUUAUAUUUUCAAGUUGUUGCUAACCUCUUAGUUCUAGCCACACCUCUUAGAAUAAGGUGUCGAUAACUCCAUCCAAAUUUUGCAUGACUAUUGUAUCUUUUGUGCUUCUAGACAUGUUAUCUUAUGAAUACGCUUUAUCUUUCUAUGUGAUGGUGUAUUUGAAAGGGUUGAGUCUUUGACAUCAAUAGGCUGUAGAUCACUAGAUGUAAUAGAAGAAAUAUGUUUGAUAGAGUGAGGUACCAUUUGGGUUCUAAUCUAUUUAUUGCAAAGAUAUCUUUUGUAAUUCAAAUCUUCAUGAAUUUGAUAAUCAUGUUUGAUUUCCGUUCUUCACUUUGAGUAUGCUUGAAUAUUUCAUUCCUAAUUUCUACAUUCAUGCAUAUAAUUAUUUUUUAUGUAUUAUACAAAACUUUUCCAAGGUUAAAAUACUUUUAAUUGAAUUCUUAUACUCAUUUGGCAACCCAGAUGUUCCAUAGUAAGUUGCAUCUCAAAAUCUUCCAUGCCAUAUUAGUUGAGAUCAUAGAAUUCUUUGAGUCUCAUUUGGAUUAUUUUUCAAUGUCUUUAAUACUUGCAAUAUUGGUAAUUUCUAUUAGCACAAUCUACCAUGUGUCAUAUAUCUUAGAGAGGUGCGUAAAUUAUUGGAGAGCUUGUAAGUAAGUCUAAGCUUUUUUUACUUAUAUAUAUGCAUAUAGUGCAUGCGUGGCAAACUCCAGCUCAUCAAAUGGAUAAAGUUUGCACAUACUAUCCUCUCUAGCUAUGCUUCUUCACUUUCCUACUAGUAAUCCUCUUACCAUUGUUAGCCAAAUCAUUGCAAAUAUUUUUCUUGGUAGCUACAAAUGCCAUACUCUUUGUAUUAUUUGUUUGAUCUAUUGAUUUUGAUACACUUAAAUACAAAGAUGUGUAAUUCCUAACAUUAUGUUGAAUUAUUCUCUCAAGCCUAUUGAGUAUCUUGUUUGAUAGUCUAUCCAAAGAAAUAAUUUUUUUUGAUGGUGCCUAGUUUUUUUUUACUUACAAUCUUUUCGGUCCUAAAUAAGGUCUGCUACCUAAAUUGUGACUUAAUUGUGUCUCAAAUAGCCAAAUUUUAGAUUCUUGCCAUAAUGAAUUUGUUAGAUUGUAGCCUUCUAUGGUGUUUGCUAAUCCGCUUAUUUAAAUGACUCUGACUUAUUGUAGUAGACCUAUUGGUAGUUGAACUAGUAUAUCAUGAUUAAUUUUGAAUUCUUCAAAUCCUUAUUUCUUGUAGUUAAUUACAAGUCAAGAUCAACCACUUUGUCUUUGAGGUAAUAAACUCAGGUGAUUGGACCAAAUAUUUGUGUCAUGAUCUAAUCUUUGAAUUAUAGUUAUUGGUCAUUGAUAAGGUCAAAAUUCGUCAAUCUAACUUUAAUAAUUGGAUUUCAUUUUUAUAUUAAUUUUGAUCUAGUUUUGGCUACAAGCUCUUCUAUAGGCCUCUAAUCUUGUAUGUCUUUCUGCCAUAUAUCCUUCAUUGCAAAUACUUUAUUUAAUGUCUAUGUUCCAAAAGUCGAGUUGAAUUUGGACCUUAAUUGUUCUCCAUUUGACUUGUAGAUAAAAGAAUUGCGAAAUAAAGAUUGAUGGAAUUUUUAGACUUAUAUUAUUAGAUUGACUUAUUGUAGGUCUGUCUGAGUUUUUGUUUAAGAUUGAAUCACUAUUUUUUACAACAAGGUUGCUGCUAGAAGAGUCUUUUUUAUAUGUAAAAUCCAAUGUAAGCUUAUAGGCCAUUGUCUUGAUCCAAUUAUCCUUGAGUGAUUUGCUUUAUGUUGUAAAAAUAUUUUUUAAGGUUCAAAACAUGGUUUUAAGUCUCUCAUCAAUAAUUUGGUCAUAAGAGCUUCGACUUAGAUUUGUUGAUUGAGUAUCUUAAAUCUUCUAAUUGCAAACAAUUGAAUUACCAUGCACCACAUAAUCUUAGCCUGAGUAGUACUACCCACAACCUUAACUCAUACAUUAUUGUAUUAUAUGAAGUCUUGCUCAAGAAUCCACUAUGCAUCUAGCUAUAGAAGGUAGAAUGGAAAUUGUAACAACAAAAUCAUAAUUCUAAUAGAAUAUUAAAUAACUCUAAUUAAAUCUUUAAAAAUACUAACCAAGUUCUAAUCAAAUUUUUAAAAAAAUCUUAAAGAAAUUACAAAAGAUACAAUAAGAAAUCUUAAAUGAGUUUAAAAGAAAUCUUAAAGAAAUAUUAGAAUAAUCACAAAUAUAUAUUAAAUAAAUCUCAAUCACGUCCUAAUUUAAUUCUAAUUGAAAUCCUAAUGGAUUUCAGUCAAAUCUUAGGCCAAAUCCUAAAUCCUAAGCAAAUCUCAAAUUCUAAAUCAAACUCUAAAUAAAUCUUAAAUCCUAAAUCAAAUCCUAGACAAAUCCUAAAUCUUAAAUCAAAUCUUAAAUAAAUCCUAAAUUCUAAACUAAAUCUUAGACAAAUUCUAAACAAAUUUUAAAUAAAUCCUAAAUCCUAAUCUGACUUUAAAUCCUAAUCAAACCUUAAUCUUAAGCCAAUCCUAAAUCCUAAGCUAACUUUAAAUCAAAUCCUAAAUCCUAUUCUAAUCCUAAAUCCUAACCAAAUCUUAAUCAAAUCUUAAAUCUUAAUCCAAUCCUAAUCCUAAAUCAAAUCUUAACAAAAAUCUAACCAAUUCAAUCUAAAUUUAGUACAAUUUAGAACCUCAAUAUUUAUUGAUUAAACUAUCAAAAUUACUUAAAAUUUUAUCUGCUUUUUAAAAACUAAGUUAAGAAUAAAUAUAAAAUAUUUGAAGAUAAUCACACUCACCAAAUAGAAGAAAAAACCUAAAAUCCAAUAAGGUGUUGGCUGGUCUUAUACUCCAAUCUGAAUGUUGAAUUUCUAACACCAAUAUCUUCUUUUCAAACUAUUUAAUAGUUCUCAAAUUUUACAUAUGUGUAUCAAAUCAAGUCUAUUAUCUUUGUACAUAAAUUUCACUCCAAUCAAACUGGUAGAUUGCUAAAGAUCUUAGAAAUCCUAACUUCCAAUUUCCAAGACCUCAAGCUACUUAAAAUUCAAUAACCUUCAAUUCAAUCGUUUGAUUAAGCUCAAACUUAUAACAUAUUCUUCAAACAAUUAUUUACACAAGUCUUAAAAAUUUGAACUAAAGAUCUACUAUCAAAUUCAUGAAUUUUUUUAAAAUAUAAUAUGUUUUUUAUUUCACAAAUUCUAAAAUUAUUUAAAACAAUUGUAACUUUGCAAAGCUCUUACAAAGUCAUUGCACACUCAAAUCACUCAAAAUCAAUGUCCAAAAAAAUUCUAUCCCGUCUGCUUUCAAAUUCUACUCUCUAAUUUGCAAAAAAAAUCCCAAAGUUACUGUAGGUGUCUAGUUUUGUACCCUGGGGUCUGAUUUCGACCCAUGUUGAUAAUUGAUCUUGUGGAUAUCAAAUUUUAUCUUUUUGAGUUAAUUUUUACUAAAAUCAACUUCUAAAUUCUAUCUACAUAUGUUUAUAUUUUUUAUUUUUUUAAUCUAUCUUGUAUUACCUUAUUCAUGGUCUUACAAAGUAAUUAGAAGCCUACUUUAAAAAAGAUAGUAUUUACACCUUUAGUUUUAUUUUCUUUUGGACUAUUGUCUAUUUUUUAAGAUAAUUUGUUAUAAUAUUUGAAAUAAGUUCUUCUAUAAUAUAAUAAUUUCUUUACCCUUUUCACCUAUUAGUCAUGUUAUAUCAUGAUAUCUACGUCUGCUUAACUUGUGCAUCUUCUAGCAUGCAUUAAUGAUUCUUCAAUAUGUUGAUAUAGAGUAUUUUUUUUUUGUCUUGGUCAGAUUCUUGAUCUUCAAUGUGUUCUUCUUCUUCCAUCUCAAUGUCUUGUAAUAGAUUUUAUUUUUUUUAUCAAAAUGAAUGUUUUUAGCUCUUUGUUUAAAUAACUUAAUUCUCUUAUCUGCUAUAGGUAUCUUUAAUUUUUUACCAUGAAAUUCUUGUAAUAAGUAUGUUCCAUUGUUGUAUACUUGUUUGACAACAUAAGGUCUAAACCAUCUCCUUGCAAAUUUCUUUACCAUUUUAUACUGGUUGUCCAAAUUACUAUCAUAAAUUAAUAUCUAAUCACCAUUUCGAAUUAAUUUUGGAUACAAUCAAUGCUUUUUGUCAAACCUUUCUUUAUUUUUUUGCCUUACCUCUUUUAAUUUUCUUAUAGCUUCUUCAAUAUCCUUGGAUCUUCUUUCAAGUUGUUAAAUUUGUAAUGCUAAUAAUUCUUCUCUUAUUAAAUCAACUUCUCAAGGUAAUACAUUCCAUGUUGGUAUAACCUUCUUUAUUGGUAUCACUGGUUUUUGUUCAUACAUCAAUUCUAUUGACAUGUAUCUUAUAAUUUUACUAUGAAUUAUAUAAUGUGCCUAUAAUGUAAAUGAUAAUAAUUUAGGCCAAUCACCUAUCUUGCUUUUGCAUAUUUUAACCAAUGCUUUAAUAAUUGGUGAGUAACCACAUUCACUUUUGCUAUUUUUUUCCACAUUGUAUACAUUUGUUAAUGCGAGUCUAAUACCCAUCCUUCCAAAGAACUUUUGUGCUUCAUUUGCAUCUAAUUCUCUUCUAUCAAUAAUGAUUUUUUUAAUACAACCAUAUUGGCAAAUAAUUUCUUCCAAAAAUAGACUGACAUAUCCCUUUAGUAGUCUUUGUUCAAAGUACUUUCUCUUCUAUUUGAUUUGUCAAAUCCUCUUGAAUAAGUACCAAAUAUUUCUUUUGUCUAAAUCCCAUUGGCAUUGCAACUAAAUCAACUACCAAUUUAUAAUGAAUUUCUAAUGGAUAUAUUUGUUGUAAUCUAUUUCAAUGAUAAAUAUUUGAAUAUAUUUGACAAGUGUUAUAAGAUCCUACAAAAUUUGCCACAUCUUUAUAUAUGCCCUUCCACCAAUACUUUUCUUUUAUCUUUGCAAAUGUUGCCUAAAUACCUCAAUGUCUAGCCUACCAACUUUUAUAAAAUUCUUAAAUGAUAUUUUAUUGAGUGCCAUAAUUAUAUACAACUUGUUUUGGCACUCCAUCCCUUUCUUUUGAAUGAUUCUAUAAAAAUCUAUCUUGAAGAAAAUAUCCAUAGGCCUCUUUUUGAAUUUUUUUAAACUCAUAAUCUGUCCAAUCUUUUUGCAGCUUUAAUAUACUUAAGUAUUUUUUUUAUAUACAACUAUUCACCAUCAUAUAACUCUUUUGAAAAUAAUUCAAGUGGUGUAGUCAAACACAACCUAUCCUUUCUUACAUACAAAGUUGAAUAAAAGUUAGUGCUGAUAUUUACUUCAUCAUCAACCAUAUCAUAUUAAUCAUCGUAUCAUGCUUAUGACAACAUAUCUACAACUGCAUUGCCUUUUUCAAAAUAUGCUUAAAUUUUAGAUUCAUAAACUUUAUAUAUACAAUCCAUCUUAACAUUACUAUAUCUGGUAUAGAACAACUAAUAAACAUGCCUAAUAAGGAUUAAAAAAAAUUGUUUCUAUAACUACUGAUACACCAAUUAAAUAUUCUUUUUUAUUUUUCAAAGUUAUUACUACAAUUAUUCAAAAAAAUAUUUCAAUAUUGACAUAUUUUGGGAAUGGUAUAUUAUAGAUGAAUUAUAGCAAAUAAUAAUAUGUGAUUUAUAUAGCAAAUAAAGUACUAUUUUACCACUAUAAAAUGAGCUUAGGUUGAAAAGAAUUUGUUAGGUAAUUAUGGAGCUAUGACCAAUCCAAUUUGGAACAAUAUUGAAACAUUUUUUUGAGUGUAGUAUCCAAUUAUAUAUCAAUAUUUUGUAUGACCUUCUUUGGCCUUGAUAACUACUUCCAACCUCUUAGGCAUACUUUCUAUUAACUUUUGGCACAAAAUUACUUUAAUAUUAUUCUAUUCUAUAACUAUUCUGUCUUAUAAUUUCCAAACUCCUUUUGGUUUUAUCUUCCAAGUGUUGAGCUGGUGUUUAAGGUGCUCCCAAAGAUAUUCAAUAGAAUUAAGAUCAAAGACUAAGUUGGCUAAUUCAUUACUUUAAUUCCAUGAUGAUCAAACUACUUCCAUGUUAGUUUUGAGUUAUGCUUGGAGUCGUUAUCUUCUUGAAAAAUCACCUCUUCUUCAAAAAUGUCAAAUUCUUUAAUACUUGAAAGUAGGUUUUUUUCAAGAAUUUCCACAAAUUUCUUGGCAUCUAUUCUUCCUUCAACCUCUAUCAUCCUUCCAACUCCAUUCCAUCCCAUAUAACUCCAUACGAUUAUAUUUCUACUUCCAUGCUUAAUUAUUUCUUAGAACUUCUUAUUAAGUAAAGACUGACUUUUUUGUUUCUAUACCCACUUUCUACCAUCUCAUCCAAAUUUGUUAAUUUUUGUCUCAUCUGACUAAAUAAUCCUCUUUCAAUCCUCCAUAGUCUAUUCUUUGUACUUCACAACAAAGUUCAAGCAUUGUUUUUGAUGGCGGAUAGAUAGUAGUAGCUUUUUUUUCUUUACUAUAGCUUUCAUAUUUCAUUUAUUGAAAAUAUUUUGAAUAAUUUGGAUUGACACAAGAUUACUAAUAAUAUUAUUAAGGUUUUUAGCAACCUCAAUAAUAUUUUCAACCUUCUCAAUGUUGAUUUGGCAAAUGAUUGCCUUUCAUCUACUACAUUAAGUUUCUUUGGUUUGCCUAAAUUAAGAUUUUCCCUAUUAAAAGUGAUCUUUUUUGCUAGUAUAGAGAUAGUAGCUUUAUUACAACCAAAUUCAAAAGCAAUUUGACUAUAAGAUUUUUGAGAAUGAAGAAGAAAAGAGGUGAUUUUGUCUUGGAGAGAGUAGAGAAUAGAUCUCAUAGUUGUCUAAUGAGUUAUGAAAGACACAAGAAUCUAGUAAAGAAAUAUGUUAAGAUUAAAGACAAAGAAUGAGAUUGAUAGAAAAAGUGGUUCUAAAAUUUCCUAUUUAUAUUGUAAUGAAGAUUAUAAAAGUCUAUGGUACUUUCUAUGGAAGUUUUUAGAAAUCUAAAGAAGCUUUUAGAAGUCUAAAGAGGCUUCUAAAAGUCUAUAGAACUUUCUAAAAAAUUAUGGAAGAUUCUACAAAUAUCUAGAAGGUUCUAAAAAUUUGUAGAAGAUUUUAGAAGGUCUUAGAAUGUAGUAAUGUGGAACAUGUCGAUGCAAAAUUUUUGAUUAAGAAUGGUACUUUUAUAUUUAAUAAUAAGCAUUAAUGAUAAUAUUAAAUUAGUAUUAAUAUUAUCAUAAUAAAUCUGAUGAUGAUAGAAUGUUAUAAUGCUGAAUAAAUAAAAGAAUCCAAAAAUUAGAGGCCACAUUCAAAAACUUAUUUCAAUAAUACUCCAAAUUAGAUGGAUCAUAGCUCUACAAUUACCUAAUAAAUUCUUUUCAACCUAAGAUCAUUUGAUAGUUGUAAAGGAGUACUUUAUUUGUUAUACAAACUACGUGUCAUUAUUCAUUUCAAUUCAUUUGUAAUACACCAUUCUUUCCAAAAUAUGUUAAUAUUAAAAUAGUUUUUUGAAUCAUUGUAUACUCCAUAAUUUUCUUUUUAUUUGUGCAUAUGUCCUCUGCCUAGCAUUUAAAACCUUUGCCUUAAAUCUAACUACAUAUUUAUUCUCAUGUUCAUCAUCUUGUCUAACUAUCUAAUCUUUUCUAAUUGAAUUCGCAUCAACUAUUAAAAGCACCAAUCUUCUACAUUUAUAAAUUAUUUUCUUUAAAGUUGGAGGUGAAGAAAGAAAUUCUUUCAAUUUUUCCAUUGUUUUUUUUUUGUUCUUCUUUUCAAUGAAUUUUUUUACACUUUUGUAAUAAUUCAUACAAUAGAUCUUAUAUUGUGGUUAUUAUUUUAUUUAUUCUACAAAUUUCUUUCAGAAUAAACCUGUAGAGGGAGAUUCAAAUAUAGGAAAAGACUAUCGCAUGAGCUUACACAUUAAGAUCACACAAUUAACUAUAAUCCAAACCACUAAUAUACCAAGAAAUACUACAAUGUUUUUUCUUAGUAAUAAUACUCCUUCAUCAACUGAUAACAACAAUGUGCAAUCCUGCACUUUCAAAAGAUAGCUCAAAACACAUAAAUUCCAUCCAAUACUAGAAAUAACACACUUCACUUUAAUCAAUCUGAAUUCACACAAUUUUUGUAAUCACAGACUUCCUCUGUCAAAACACACACAACUUUCAAUAAACAACAAUCAUAAUCUUCUAUCCAUAAUCAAUCUUCUAAUAACUUCUCAUAUAAUUCAAUCACACAGUACUCCAAUUAUAUAAUCAAUAAUUCAUAAAUCAAUCUCUCACUUAUUCCAUAGAUUUAUUUCUCAGUAUUCAAAAACCAUCCAUUACUCUUCAACAACAAAGAAACAAAGAGGUAGCACCAAGCUUACCCUGACUCAUGGCUAUCACAGUUUGGCCCUUAUAACAUCUUCUUCAACUUACUUAUGCUUUACUUCUGAAAUUUCAGGUUCUAAUUUUCAUUCUCUACUUAACUAUUUUUCACAAAUAAUUCAAUCAUCCGUACUGCUGAAUUGACUAUCCUAAGAAUGAUUAAUCUACUUUACUAAUAUCUUAUAAAAAAAAAAUUCUAUCUCUUCUAUAGCUACAUGUGUAAAAUGAGGUAUUCAUAUAUGAUAGAAAAUACAUGUUCCUAAAAACCUUCAAACUUUCAUUGUAUUUGCACAUUCUUUCAUCUUUUUAAUAAUUUCAAUCUUUUCUUUACUUGUCUUGUGUCCAUAUGAUCUACACAUGUGUCAUACUACCAAAAAUUCUUUUACUCCAAACAUUGAUUUUGUCUCCAAUAAGGUUAAAUGAACUUCUUCUAAUCUUAUCAAAAUCUUUUCACAAUCAUCAAUAUGAUCUGCCGCAAACUUCUUACAUUCUUUUGAAUCCAAUGUCUCGUCUUUUCUUUAUUUUUACAUUUUUUAAUUGGCACUCAUCUAAAAAAGAUAUUCUUAUACUCAAAAUAAAUUUUCUUAAUAUCUUAUGCAUUCCAUUCAUCAUGUGUGGUACAAAAUUUGUAGCCCCUUGUGUUAAUGUACACAUUCUCACCAAUUCUAUUCUCAUCAUCAUAAUUGUGAAAUCUCUACUUUGCAUUGCUAAUUGAAAUUGAUCAUAUCUUGAAUAAAAAUUGCAUAUAGAAUAAAAUAAUUUUUUUACAAAUGCCUCUACAAAUUCAUCUAUUGUUAGACUAGAAUCCAUAUUUUUAAUAGUUAUCUUAUUUAUUGAAUGCAUGUCUUAAAUAAACCUCAAUGUUUUUUUUUUCUUAUGUAUUGUGAACUAUCGAUUAGAAUAUGGUGCAAUAGAUGGUUCUAAAAUUCUCAUCUUAAUCUUUUCAUUGAGUAAUUCAACAAGCUUAGCCAAAUAGGCUUUUGAAAUAGAAAUUAGCCUUAAAUUCCAUGAUUCAUGUAGAAUUGUGAAAAUAACCAUACGUGCCACUACACUUAAAUUCACACAUCCUAUUUCAUUUGGUUCAAAUUCAAAUGCCUUGUCAUGUCAAGAAAACAUCUCUUUGAAACAUCUUUCUUCAUCUUUCUUCAAAAAGUCCUUACAUCCAAUCUUCAAUCUAGCUAAUAUCAAAUUAUCUUUAAAUUCAUGCCCUAUUUUUCCUAGAUCUUUCAAAUUUGAUUACAUAGAAGCCCUUUCAAUCCUAUUCUAAUACUCCAAUGAUAGUGGCAAUGCUACUAGUUUAACAUUCUUGAUAAUAGUCUUGUAUUUAGUUUCCACCUUCAUAUUAUAUUUAUUAAUAUAUUCUUUCACUUUAUUCUAAAAUUCCUUAGAUUAUAUAUUUACUAACUUAUCAUCAUCCUCAAAUCAACUACAAUACAAAGAGAAGGCAUUACUAAUCUUUUCUACUAAAUCUUAGAGAAACAACACAUGUCAAUAAAAUAAUCAAUGAAAAUAACUUAGACAAUAACUUAUAGGAGGAGAUUUUUAAUUCUAUUAACUGAAUUUGUUGUUUACAUGAUGACAUGAUAAAAAAAAACAUCCCAAGUUGCACCAUUUUUGGAUUGAAGAGAUCCUAUAUUUAGCUUGAAUUAUAAAUAAGGUUGUUAGCAACAGUCAUGAAGAAGUGAAAUUUUGGACAUCUUCACCUUCAAUUAUGUGUUCCUUAUAUCUAAACAUGAGAAGAAAGUGCUUGAAGUCUAUCAAAAUUGAUAGCCAUUCCAUCUUACAUGGAGACUUGGAAUCAUACAAGCAUACAUAUAAAGCUAUCAAGAUGUACAACAAAAAGAUUUACGGUCUCAUGAGUUACACAAUUCACUAGUUUAAAUUUAGUGUUAAGGAUGCCAAGUUUAUCUAGAACUUUAGAGAAUUUGGGAGAAUUUAUGAUCCCUUUCCUUGGCUUCUGGCAUAUUUUAUUUGUAAUAAUUAUAUCCACAAAUGUUCUAUGGAUAUUCAUGAAAAAUUAAAAUAAAAAUAAAGUGAAGGAAAAGCACAAGUAUUAUUAAUGCCACCAUUAUGUGAUAUUUGUUCAAAAUGAAAAAUUCAUCAUCAUCAACUUUUGAAACAACUAUGGUUUUUUAUUUCUAUAGAUUUUAUUAAGAAUCUUUUAGUUUUAAGUUUGUAUGAUUCUAUAUUUAUGAUAGUAGAUCAUUUUAUUAAAAUGAUAUAUUUUAUUUUAUAUACAAAAUCUAUCACAGAUAAAAAAAAAUAGUUAAGUUUUUUCUUGACAAUAUCUAUUGCUAUUAUGGAUUGUCCAAAGAUAACAUAUUUGAUAGGAUAAUUGAAAUUGUAUUAAGAUUUUGGAGAAUCCUUUUUUUAAAUUUUAAUAGUAGAUAUAAAGCUAUUUUUGGCUUUUCAUCCUUUAUUUAAUAGAUAAAUAGACCAUGUAAAUCAAGUUUUGGAGUAAUAUUUAAGAUGUACUAUCGAUUAUUAAUAAGAUGAUUGAACAAAUCUUUUGCUAUUGAUACAGUAUACUUAUAAUAAUAUAAAAUAUUCUUUUAUGCAACAAACAUCUUUCUUUUCUAAUUAUGAUUAUCAUUUAUAACUUGAUGCUUUUUAAUUCUCAAAAGUUAAAAAUCUUGGAGCAAAAGAUUUAAAGAAUUAUAUAUCUGGGUUAUAUACAAAAAUGAAGGUAUAAUUAAAAAAAGCUCCAAAAAAAAAUUUAAAUAUAUAUAUAUAUAUAUAUAUAUAUAUUAAAAUAAUUCAUUCAUUGGUGUGGAUAUGAUAUUAGUAAACAUACAUGGAAGUCUGCCAAGAACCUUGUAAAUGCAACAAAGAAGGUUUAGGCUUUUUAUCAAUGACAAUGAUAAAAAAAAAAAAAAAAAAAAGAUAAAGAAUAACAAGAUCCACAAAAGAUGAUGAUUGCUUCUUAUGAAACUCAUUCCUAGAAAGUGAGGUAAUGUCACAAAUAUAUGUAUAUUUAUUCCAAUAAUUAUUUAUAUGAUUAGAUAGAAAUAGAUAAAAGUAGAUUAAUUUUAUAAUAUCUUUUAGAAAAAAAUUCUAAAAGCUUUAUAGAUAAGAUUUUGAUUUUAUACAUAUUUCUAAUUGGUUGAUAGGUUAGAAACUUGGUCAACAAAUUAAUCACAUGUCACAUAUAUUAAUAGCUUGUGGAACAAACUAAUCAUAUGAUACAUAUAUAAGAAACUUGCCUUAUAAGUUAAGAUACAUAUCUUCCAAAGUCAACAUGUAUUAGAGAUUUUAUAGAAUAUUAUCAUACAAUUCUUAAUUAGAUAGUAUAUAUGAAGGCAAGAAUAAAGCCUUUUUCACUCUUAUCAAUGCCUUUUUAGUCUUUAGUCUUUUUUUGAGACUUUUUAGUCUUGUCUUUGGCAAUAGCCAUUUUGAUUCGAUAUAUUAUCAUCUUUGAGUGAUUUUUUAGACUUUUCAAGUGACAUAAGAGUGUAUUGAGAUUUUUUUUUUUUUUUUUAAUUUAUACCCUUGAUAGUAAUUCAUAUUGAUGAAUAUGAGAAAUCAAAUAUUAUUAAAAAAGCCAUAAAUUUACUUUUUUGUAAAGAGUAGAGUGAUGCCAUGAAAGAAGAAUUCAAUUCUUUGAAAGAUCAUGGUAUAUGGAAUUUUUUUUUUAUCCAAUGGCAAGAAGGUUGUGAAUUUAAAAUAUGUUUUUUUAAAAAAAAUUUAAUAGCAAUGGCUCUAUUAAAUAUUUUAAAGCACAAUUGAUUGCAAAGGAUUUUAUUCAAUUAAAAGAUCUUGAUUUUUUAAAAAAACAUUGCACUAAUUAUUUUUUUCACAACAAUUUGCAUAUUUAUUAUAAUUAUUGCUAUCUUUAAUUGGAAUAUAUUGUAGCUUGAUAUUUUUUAAAAUUAUUUAAAUUAUGAAGUUAAAAAAGAUGACAUUUAUAUAAAGAUUCUAAAUUUUUUGGAAGUUUUAUCAAAAUACAAAGAUAAGGUAUUGUAAUUAAUAAAGACUUUAUAUGCUUUGAAGAAAUCUGAAUGUGGAUGAAACAAGAAUUUAGAUAAAUCUUUAUUGAAUUCUCAUUGGAAGCACUUAGAAUCAGACUCUUAUUUGUACACAAUAUAUAUUGAAGAAUUAGUUCUUGCACUAACUAUCUAUGUUGAUAAUAUAUUUAUUAAUAGUAAGAACUUUGAAAUCAUUAUAAAAUAUAAGAAUGAAUUACAAGAGUGCUACAAGAUGAAAGACCUUGAUGAACCUAGUGAUUAUUUUUUUCAUUGAUUUUUUGUAAGUUAAAAAAAAUGGUACUAUUAAUUUUAGUCAAACUAAGUAUAUUUAUUGAAAAUUGGACGAAUUUAAAAUGAAAGUUGAAAAAAAUAAUUACUACACCAAUGGUACAAAGUCAUGUCACUAAGCAUGGAAAUGAUGAUCUUUUUUAUACAAAAGAUAUAAAUUUUUAUUAAACAACUUUAGAUUCAUUAUUGUAUCUUGUAAAUGGUACAAGGUAUGAUAUUGCAUUUGCCUAUCAACACUAUGCUCAAUACAUAGCAUAUCUUUAUGUUUUGCAUUGAAAAGAAUCAAAUGAAUAUUUUGUUACUUGUAAAGAAUAAGGUAUUUGAUAUUACAGUAUAGAGAAAAGAAAGUAAAUUUAUUAUUUAUAGACUAUAUUGAUACAAAUAGAGCAAGUUGUGUAGAGAUGUAUCAUUGAGUAGGAGAUUAUGUAUUUAUAUUGAGUAGAUAAAUUAUCACUUGGUCAAACAAAAAAAAAUCUUUAGUUUCUAUUUUUCAACAAAGAUAGAGUAUAUAGCUUUGGCUGCUUUAAUAAAAGAAACUUUGUAGCUCUAUAAAGUACUUAGAAAUUAAGAUCUUCUUGAGCAAGGAAGGAUUUUUAUUUAUAAUGAUAACUACAAUACCAUUGUUAUUGCUAAGAAUCUAGGACAUCAUACUCAUGUAAAGCAUCGGGAUAUAAAAAAUCAUUUUAUUCGGCAACGUGUGGAGAUAGAAAAAAUUGGUUUGGAGUAUUGUUCCACAAAGGAGACGGGGUUAGAAAUCUUUACAAAACCUCUUUUUAAAGAUAAGUUUUUAUCUUUUAGGAUAUAUUAGGUCUUAUUUUAGUAAAUAAUUAAAUCUUACUUCUAAAAAAUGAGUGUUGAAUAUUCCAUAUUUUAUAUAUGAAAAAUUAUGACUUAUCUAGGUUUUAACAAAGUCAUCAAAAAUAUCCUUUUCUUGGCUUUUGGCACAUUUUAUUUGCAAUGCAUGAUAUCCAUCAUGUUUUCAUAAUAUAUUCUAUUUUUAUAACAAAAACUUCAUUACUUGAAUAUGCCCACCAGAAAAUAGACUUAUCAAAUUAUUUGCUACAAGCAAGUCUUACUCUCAAAAACUCUAACCUAACUAUUUCAACUUAAGGCGUGUCAUGUUGUCAUAUUGUAACACAACUAUAUAAUAAAAAUAUAAUCAAAAAUAAAAUUUUCAUUAAUAUUUACUUAUCUUGAUUCAAUAAUAGUCCAAGAUAUUUAAACAUGGCUUUUAUAAAAGCCUCUUAGUUCAUUUUUCUAUCUUAAUAGCUAAUAGAUUAAAAGUUGAUUAAUAAUUUUACCUUCUAGAUUAUAAAAUUAUUUUUAUUACCUUAAAAAGAUUAUAAAUUGAUUAAAAAAAAUAAGAUAGAAGAGAUAAAUAAUUAAUAUAGUUGAUACUAAGAUUAAGUUGAAGGUGGCAUUGAGCUAAAAAAUUCCUAGGAUAGGUUGGAAUAAUACCUAGGAAUCGACUAUUUGUGAGACAUGAUCAAAAUCACACCUCUAGCUACUUAAAUGGCUAUCUAGGACAAAGUAAGGAAGCAUUUAAAGAUCAGCAAUAGGGAUUUGUGAGCUAGCUUCAAGCUCAUUUUAAAAGUGUAAAGUUUGUUUUUUUAGGAUUUGAAAUGAUUUUGCAAUUGUUGUUCAAAAUAAGGAUUUGUAUUGAUGAUUUGGGAUUUAUGCAAUACAAUUAGGCCUAUCACUCUUGAUUAGUUCAUACAAUUGGUUUCACAUCUAUGAUUUAAAAUUUAAUAGUGCUUAGCUGAUUAGGUGUGCUAAGUAUGUAUAAAAUUUUGUGUUAAUCUAAUAGUGAAAUUGAGAGAUAUCCAGGUUUUGGUAUAAGAAGGUAUUAGAAGUUGGCAAUUUGGAGCUGGGUAGGAUUUCUAUGAUAUCUGAAGAUCUAUAAAUUGGACCAAAGUGAAAUUUGGUAUAACAUUAAAAGACUUCAAGAUCAAGCUAUAUACUAAUUUUGAGUUGAACUUAACAAUUAGAAAAGGAGAAAUUACUAUUGGAAUAUUUGCAUUAACUUUCAAGUUGGUAGCUAAGUGACAUUAGUGCAAUUUUUGGGCUUUAUUUUCACAAUUUAUAAGUUGAAUUGGAUUGAAUUUUUUUAAGCACAUAGAAGACUUAUAUUGACAUUUGUAUGCAAAAUUUUGUACCAAGUAAAUAACUAGAUUAUAAUUUAUAGCUCACCAAAGCUCACUAACUAGAAUUAGAACUUACAAAGAGAAAUCAAAAUUACCUAAUUAUAAAAGUAUUAUGGCAUUGAGAUUUAUGCAUAGUUAAAGUUAUUAAGAAGAGUGUUUUUGAACACUUUACACUAGCUUUAAGCACUUUUGAAUUAAAAUUCAAAUUACAUUUUUCAUAUUAAAUGAAACCUAUUAGGAUUUCUUGGAUAUUUAUAAAAUAUAACUUUGCCUUCCAUAGCCACAUGCCUAUUGCAUUCCCAAAAAAGACAACACAUAUUACAACAACAUUCUAUGUUCUUCCAAAUUUGUAAUACUUAGAAAAGAAGCAAUGCAUCUCUAGCAGUUAAAUACACUCUAUAUGAUCAUGUCCAUAUAAAUAAAUAUAAAAACAUAAUAUCUUGAUGUUGUUAUCUUCUAAAUCAUUGUAAUGAAAUAGUAUGAUAUGGAUUUGAGGCAUCAUGGUUCUCAACCAGUCGUCAUCAUUACCAUAUUAUGAUGCUAUACUAAUGAAUUUUAUUGAUUGGAAUUGCUAUCAAAAAAAUAAUGGAUGUCUGUAGAUCAUAUCCUCACAAACAAUUUUGGUCCUAUUUGGCCCUCCAAUUAGAAAUCUAUUUGAUUUCUCUUACCAAAGAUAUUCUAAAGAUUCAAAACAUUCAUGUUUUUUGUGAAAUAAAAUUGUGAAAUUUGAAGAAUGUUGGAUGAAAAGCCAAGUCUCUUUAAUGAUUUAUAAAAGAUUAUACUAAGUUGUUAUACUUACAUAAAAUAUGUAAUAAAAUUUGAUGAAAGGGAUUUCGUGUCCAAACAAUAAAUGAACAUGUAGAAAUUUCACCACAAUAUAUAAUUGCACAUUUCUAAGUAGAGCAAAAAAGUAAACAACACAAACAAAACAAAAACAAAAACAAAAAACAACCUACUUGUAGGUGAGUACCUACUUGUAAGCACCAUGGCUAUUUGUUCGGUGAUGAUAUGAGCAACAUCUAUUCUAAUUGCUAACUAUCAGAUCUGCAUGCAAAUAUGACUAGCAGCAUCCUUUUUUCCUGAUUCAAUUGCUUCAACUAGACAUGCAUAUGAAAGGUUUUCUGGUGCUUUUUUUGGUCAAAUCCUUUCUUUUCCUUGCAAUUGUGAAAUAGUGUGGGGUGGUGACUCUCUCUUGUCAAAGCCUGCAACCUAUGGUUUCCAAGAGGCCUCACAUUGCGGAUGUGCCAUGGUCAUUGUCUCCGUGUCUCAAGGUGUGCCCUUAGAUGCUUACAUGUCACAGACCAUUACAAGUUUGCCAGAAAAGGAUUAAAUGUUAAUUUUACUACAUUAGAAUGCAGUCUCAUGUUUUUAUGUUUUUGGGUAGUAGAGAUGGAACAACUAAGGUUGUAGUAUAUGACUAGUGUAUCUUGUCAAAUACAGACAGUCAUUGCUACUACUUUUUCUUAUAUUUCCUUUUUUAAUGUUACUGUGUGUGUGGCUCACACAACACUAAGUACCAUGGCAGAAUGUUCAAACUCAACAAUUUAUGUGUGAGAUAUUUGUGUGUAGAGAGAGAGAGAAUGUGUCAGCUGCAUAAAUAUCUUUUACUAUAUUAGUGAUAUGUAUGAGGUAAAGGUACAAUAAAUUAUUCCUUUACCAAUGCCAUUGCAUAUUGUAUCAUUCAGAGUCAAGUUAAUUAUGAAUACAUGUUUUCCAAUAGGCAUAGUCCAUUGUACAAUUGUCCAUAUAGUCCAUGCUGAUACAGUAUGGAAUACAAGUAUAACAAAAUAAAAUAAAAAUAAAAAUGCUAAAUGUAGAAAAUAAUAAUUGGUCAAAAUGCAUUAUGGAGUAGAAUUAUGCAAAAGAAAGAAUCAACUUAACUCUGAAUGGAUUAAGCAUAACAAAGAAUGAAAAGGAUAUUAAGAAAAUCAAUAAUAACACAAAUUGCACAAAUACUUUAAAACUGAAAAGGACAAAAGAAAUAUUUAGUACACACACAUCAACCAAAAGCAAAUAAAAAGUACUUUUAUUAUAUAGAAAAAUUAAUUUUUUACAUGUAGAUGUAUGUAUGUGUGUAUGUAUGUGUGUAUAUAUGUAUGUAUGUAUAAAUGUAUGAACAUAUAUUUACAUUUACAUGUAUGCAAAUCUUUCAACAAUUCAAGAUGUAUAAAAGACAUUUUUUUGUUAUGAACCUUGAUAUACUUUUUAAUCUCAGUAAUAAUAUUGUAUAAAAUUGAAUUUAGAUUAAAAUGAAAUCUUUCAUAAUGAAAAACCACAUAAAUAUCUACUAGAAUUUUAUUUGUUUAAAACAGUUUUGUGGUACUUUAAAACAAUACAUCUGUAUUGUUUUAGUUCAAAUGAUAUAUCUGAAAAAAUCAUUGUUCAUGAGUUACUUGUUAUAUAACAUUUUAGUUGUCACUCAUGUUUUCUAUAGAUAGAUUUUUUCUGUUACAUCAAUAUUUUUCAAGUGUUUUCAUUGUGAGAUCAACCAUUUAUUUUGCUUUUUAUUUUUUGGUUCAAUUUAAGCAAUCUUGUUUGUUGUUGAGAACACAACAUUAUGUUGAAGUAUAGUAUUUUAGAGGUCAGGUCAUUUACUGAACCUUUACUUUUAAACUUCAUCUGUUGGAUUUGAUCUUUCCUCAUAUUUGUUGGCCAAGUUGGAUGCAAAUGCAAAUAAGGAGAAACCAGAUUGGUUCAAAGAGUUAUAUGCUUGUUGCCUAUGUGAAGUAAAAGUAUGUUGGAAUUUUUGCCAUUUCUAUGAUUACUGUCUGCGUUUUGAAGAAGUAUACUUUCUAAAAGGCAACGUAAUAACUCAAGUAGGCAUUAGCUUUCAAUAGACAGAUAUUCAUAAAAAGUUCGACUCCUGUAAAGACUAGAGUUGAAAAUGAGUUGCCUUAGAUUGAAUAUCAAAGACUAAGUCUGCUAAAUCAAGAGAAAAUCAAAUACAAAACAAGUGGUGCAAACACAGGUUAUCCAUGUUGGGUUUUAAUUCGCUCUACACAGUUAAAUGAGCUCUUUUAUCACAAUAAGUAAAUGUAUUUCCAACAUGCGAACUAAUUCUUCAAGCAAAAAAAUCAGGAAGCCGUUCUCUCGUAAGAAUUAUUGCAUGUUUAUUGCAUGAUUAUACACAUGAAAAAUAUUUUCACUUUUCACUUCGACAAUCAGAAUUCCGAGAUAUCAGAGGCCUACACGAAUACCAUCAAACCAACAUCUGGGACUUUGAAGCGUUACAGACCACUAAGGGGAGAUGUCCAUUCUUGAUAGAGAUGAAGCGUUCCAGUAAAAUCAGUGAACAUACCAUCAACGCUCAUAUUGUGAAUCCAGUAUCUAUACUCCUGAUAAGGAUCUUGGUGAAAGUCAAAAUGUAAGAACUUAUUCUCAUUGCGGUAGGUGUACGGAUGUACCUGCAGCGGCAUCAAAUAGCUCACCAUCAGAACUAAAACUUUCGAUCAAGAAGUGCAGAAGCUGACAACAGAGCCAACCUGUGCAAACAGAAAACACAGCUUCAUAAUGGCUGAGUAAGAACCUGCAGAUUAUGAGCAUGAGCUCUUUUUAUAAGAUCGGUUGGUGUAGCCAGGUAAUUCUUCUCAUUAGGCGGAACAAUGGUGUCUUUCCAAGGCCCCAGGCCAACAACAUACUUGCUGAUGAACUUCAAGUACUCAUCCGACGUAAUUUCGGCGUAAGUCUGAGCGACAGGGAAUCAAAAUGAUGCUAUCGGGUGACCAUAUGCUUCGGAUGUAAGAAAACUAUACACGGAAAAGUUUGAAAAUAAACAGGAAUGCCCAGAAAAAUCGGACCUGAUUGGUGUCUUGAGUGUUAACGGUAACAUCAUCAAGAAGCAGAAUUAGAGGUGAAUCGGUAAGGUUGGAUGCCCGAAAGAGAGAAGUGGGUGCAAAUGACUGAAUGAACAACGGCUGCUUUUUCCACGCUUCCGAAAAGAAUUUCCCAGUGUAAUUAAACUUCAAAAGUGUCUCCACGAAUAUAUCCUCGUGUGUCUUACCACCAGGCCACUUCACCUAAAGUCGCAAAUUGUAACAUGGUCAUGUAAGCCAGAUUCAGGAAUGUCAAUGCUACCAACUCUACAGAUGAUCUCUUUUGAGCAAAGAACGUCGCAAGUACAUGUAGCAGCACACACAUACUGAAGGACAGUAGUUUACAUGUUUGUUCACAAAAACAGGGCUCUUGAUUUCUGGGUAGAUGCCAACGAUUCGCUCUGCAUUCAAUGCGAUUUUGAUGAACUCCUCGAAUGUGAUGAUCUGAUAUUUACCUGUAGAGGAAAGAAUCUGUUACAUGUUCGACGGUUCUACACAUAAGCACUGACCACCAAUGAAACAAAAUAAAAAUAAGACACACACACACAUGUAUAUAUAUAUAUAUAUAUAUAUGUGUGUGUGUGUGUGUAUGUAUACGAUGAGCAAGUUAUCGGCUAAGUGAGGGAAGAGGCUGCAGAACGAUGUCCUACCAUUAUAGGAUUGGUCGCGAAAUGGAAAGCGUUGGCGAGCUCGUAAUGUCUUGAUUUCCGCCAGAGUAAAGUCCACUGCAAAACAUGUUAAUUGAUUAAUUAAAUUAAAAUAUUUCAAAUGACAGAUACUGAUCUUUGAUUCAUGUACACCGCUUUUAGGACAGUCAAUUUAACGAGAAUCCCUACUAUUUUCCGCACAAAAGCACAACAAAUAAUAACCUGCAAAAUAUCCGGUAGUAUUUACUCCUUCAGCCUCGUAGGUUCGAAUACGAUCCUUAAACUCAGUGUGAUUGGCAACAUCGGUUACAUCGUCCAAUAUCAAAUCAUGAAAACAUAUAAGCUCUCCGUCCUUGGUGGCUGUGAUAUCGGACUCAAUGAAAUCAGCUCCCUCUGCAAUGGCUCUCUGCAGUAACAACUCACUUCAGAGAAGCAACAUUGAUUCCAAACCAUAUACCUUUAAUGUCUAAAAGAACUGGUCUGCAUGUCCAAUCAAUCGCAAGAAAAUGGGUCGAAUUUGUCAUAUUCCGGAGGGAGCUUAAAUAGACACUGCAGAGUCUGAGGAAAGAGACCAUGUAUGCCUCAGCAGUUUCCUCUGGGAUUUCGCCGUUGGAACCUCGAUGCGCAAUGUUGAAGGGACGCUGCAUUUGCAAGGGCUGCCGGCCAGGGUUCUCCUCCUGAUCUCGAAAGUAAGGAUACCGCCGAACCGCAUGUGAUAAUUGAGGCGCGGAUAUCCACAGGAGAAUCACCAGGAUAUAACCUUGCAUGAUUAUUCAGUACCACCGCCUCAGACGCUAUAUACAACCUCAUCCACAAACUGAAUGCAAUAAAUUUCACACUAGCUACAAAAAAUAAAAAUAAAAAAUAAAAAAAAUAAGAGUGAGAGAACUCACAGAAAGUUCGAAUUUGUAGCUUGAGGAGAGCCAUGGUGCUGAGAAAUCUCUCUUUUCGACCUUCAAAAUAUUUAUUUCACCUGCAAUUACCCCUGUCCCAAUUAAAGCUAUACACAAUCCUCUCUCACAAUAGAAUCAACUCUCAUCAAUAUGGAAGCUUCAACUUAACAAAUCAUCAAUUGCUUCAUCUCUACGAUCCUAACCUGAAAAUGGAAAAAAACUCUAUUAACAACUGUACCAUGUCCGACCAAGUCACGCAAUCUGCAUUCAGCAAAUACUGAACACAGCUUCUCUUGCUCCUACAAACUACAACACUCUUCGUGUAAUUCCUACAAAAUUCAAAUUCCCCACUCAACUCGAAGACAAACCCAAUUCCACUCUCUAAACAACCCAACUCCAGAGCUCACCUCAACCUCACUAGACCUAUCUACACCUACCCAUUCUCUCAUCAAAAAGGAGCACCCGAUGUGGACAAUGUCUUGUGUGACGCGCACAACACAAACAAUUGCACCUUCACUGCAUUCCCACCACAGCAAACGUGCAUUCUACUCAAUAGGGUCCCACGUCGGAGCCUCUACAUUAGAAUUAAGACUGUCUAGAAUUUAUGAUAAUUUACGUCGCGUUAGCUCACAGACAGACAGAUAUACACGGUACCAUGUCGCCAUUUCUGCACCAGCUUACAAAAAAUUGGCCGCAAACGAAAUACAUCUCGAGACACAGCUCGUCUUGCGACCAGUUCAGGAGCUGGUUCGCAGCACAGCGAGCAGUUCCUGAAUUCGAAUGAAUGAGCAUCACAGGAGCACGAAUUCCAUCGCAACGAGCGCAAUCUGCUUAAAUAUUCCAUCCAGGCAAGUAAACCCGAACUAAUUUCCUGGAAAGUUCGACGAAGAGGCACCCUCUCGCCCUGAUCCUUCCGCAGAAGUCUUCGGCAUAUUCCUUCGGAAGCUCCUCGAGAAACGGAUGUUUCAUCCAUGUGGUGGAUAUAAUAUCCAAGGAUGUGUGUUGUUUUCAUCCUUGAUUGGCAAUCCUUGGUAGUGGACAUAGGCAUCCAUUACCAUAAUUUUUGGAAUUUUUUUUGCCUUUUUUCCUUAUUUUGACAUUUACUUGUGAGAUUCAAAUUGUGAAAUUCGAAAGUUGUGGGGUGAACUAUGUUGUUAAAGACAAGAUCAGUUGAAUAUAUUGUAAAAGGUAUAAAAUUGAAAUACAUAAUUUUUUUAAUUGUAUAAUUGUUUUCAAACCAUUAUGUGAUGUAAAAUAUAUCAUUGUAUAUUGUAAAGCCUAAAUAUACACAAAGAAAUAAAUACAUCACUGCAUAAUGUCAAUGCAAUAAGCUAACCAAGCUCAUUGGCAAGUCCUCUCACCAUGUUGCAUCUUUAGUUGCUUCUAUAACAAUCAUCUAUUUUGCUUAAGUUGUUGAAGGAGCUCUAACUGACUUAUAUUUGCUGAAUUUUAAAAACUGCAUGAGAAAGAAAUAUUGUAUUAAAAUAAUACAUUAGUUAUGUGAGCAAUAAGAAAAAAAAAAAAAUAUAUAUAUAUAUAUAUAUAUAUAUAUAUAUAUAUAUAUACAUACAUAUUAAAACAUUAUAUAAACUUAUUUAAAUUACAGUACUAUAAAAUCAAGGUAACAAAACCAGCAUGACACAAAGUUCAAACAAAAAAAAAAUAAUUAUAUGUGAUCUACACUUAACAACAAAACAUUUAACAACCAUUAUUUUUCAAUUGAAAUUGUUAAAAUUGUUAAAAAAUUUGUGAUUAAAUACAUCAAAUGUUCUAAUAAUAACUAUUUAGAUAUUAUAACACUUAUUAUAGAUGCACUAAACAUAAUUUUUUAAAAUUUUUUAUCUAAUUUAAUACCAAAUAUCCUAUGAUAUUAUUUAAAAAUUUAUAUUACUAUGCAUUGACAUGAAAAUAAAAACUAAUAAAAAUUAUAAUAAUCACAAUAAUUAUCCUACCACCUAGACAAUAGUGAAAAAUAUAAAUGAGAUAUAGUACUUUAAGUCUAAAAAUAAAUCUAUACAUUUUUUCUUAAACAAUUUGUGUUCUAAAUACAUUUGAAAAUGAUAUGGCACUUGGUUAUUCUAAAUUUACUUAUCCCAAUUAUAGCAAUCUAUGUGAUAGAAUUUACAUUAAGUUAAUUAUUAUUGUUAUAAUUUGGUAUCUCUAUGAAUAGCUAAAUAUAUAAUUGAUACAUAUUUUAUGAAGCCAUCUUAACUUGAAUACAUUGAAGUAUUGUUAUUCACAAGAGUUUCAGAUUUAUAACCCACAAGUUGUAAAAUUUGUCUAAUUUAUCCAAAAGUUAAGAAUUGUUGUUGUUAUAGACAAACAAAACAUGUUUUAAAACUAACAACUUAUUUUUAAUAUAUAGAUUUUGUAAAUCCACAAUGAUAUUUAAUGGUAAAUGUAUUGAAUUUUUUUACAUAUAUAUUUUAUGUAUGUAUAUAUAUAUAUGUAUGUAUAUAUAUAUAUAUAUAUUCUCUUCCAUAAUUAUUUUUAUCAUAGUAAGAAAUAGCUCAAAGUUUUUAAAAAGAAAAGUUGACUAAGAGAAUAUUUUUUUAUAACAAUUUUUAAAAAUAUUUUUUUGCAAGAAAUUUUACAUGGUAUGUUUUUAAAUAGACAUUACAAUUAUAUUGGUACCAAACAAGAAGGUAAAAAAGCUUGUAACAAUUUUUUAAAGCCAUCACAUAUUAUCUAUGAAUUUUGUGUUAAUUAAAUUACUUACUCAAAUCUCUUAUAAACUUGAUUUUUAUCUAAAAAAUUUAUUACUUUUUUUCUAAAACAUACUUUAAAAGAAGUUGAAUCUUUCAAUGAAGCCAACUUAACCUGCUUUGAUUUCAAAAAUAAAUAUGUUGUUGCUUAAUGAAUUCAAUUAUAAUGGCAGCUUACACAAGUACGUAUUACAACUUUAGACUAAGAUGUAAGGUUGCCUUAUUUAUUUAGCAACAAUGUUAAGCUUAAGCAAUCAAUUAUUUCAAGUUGAAUUAAAGAUGUAAGAUUGCACACUUUAUUUGUCAAUGAUUUGAAUGCAAAGCAAAGCAAAGCAAAUAUGUAUUUGUUUUAGUUAAAAUAUAAGUUUGUCCAUUAUUUUUUACAAUAAUUUCAUACCUGUAUGUGUUUAUAUAUAUACAUAUAUUAAAAAAAUCCAAAUAUGUAACAUAGUUUAAUUAAUUUUGGAAAUGAUUUCAUAUUUAAGUAAUCUCUCAUAAUAAAUUCAAUCAAAGAUUGAAAUGUUUUCAAUAAAUUGGUAAUAUAAUCAAAAUUUUACAUCCUUACAAACUAAGUUUUUUCUUUAAAGUUAUAUUAUAUAUACAUUAUUUGAUAAUACUUCUAAGAAAUUUUAUCUUUAUAAAUCUAAUUCCAAAAAAUCAGUAAAAUCUAAAAAAAAAUUCAAGAAAUUAUUCAAAAAAAUAGUCUACUAAUGUUGCUUUUUAAUUUUAAGACAUUAAAACUCUUAAAUAUUUUUAAAAUAAACCCACUUGUCUAUAUCUAUAUAUAUACAUAUCAAGUCACUAGAUUUCCUCAAAAGAAAAAUUGCAGUCUACUUCCCAGGGUCCUACGUCGGAGCCUCCACACUAGAAGUUAGACUUCCUGGAGUUGAAGAUCAAUUACGUCGCACUCGCUCAGACAGAUAUAGGCUACCAUGACGCCAUUUCUGCUACAUCUUACAAAAAUCUGUCGAGAACGAAAUUCACUCCGGCUCAUCUUGCGACCGGUUCGGCAGCUUGUUCGAAGCGUAGCGGUUCUCGAGAUCGAAUGCAUGGGCGUCAGAGGUGCACGAAUUCCAUUGCAAUAAGUGCAAUCUGUAUUCACAUUUCUCCGAGCAAGCAAACCCUAAUUAUAUGCCUGGAAAGUUGGACGAGGAGGAGGCAUCGUCCCCUCACCCACUUCGAUACCUUGGAACGUUCUUUCGAUUGCUCCUUCGGGAAUGAUAUACCAUCCAUAUUCUGGAUGAAACGUCCCAAUAAUGGACAGAAUAUUCUAUUUGUGUAUGGAAUAUCCUAUCUGUUGGAUGGGAUAUCCAAGGAUGUGUGUUGUUAUUCAUCCUUUACGUGGCAAUCCUUGGUGGUGGGCGUAACUCUCCAUUACCAUAAUUUUUGGAUUUAUUGGAUUUUUUUAAUCUUUUUUUCUUAUUUUAACGUUUAUUUUGAGAUUCACCUCUUUGCUUUUAAAAGUUGUGUUGUUAUAUAUACUUGAAGUGAACACAACAUCUGAAAUGCUUUGGAUUACAAAUUAUGACUUGUAUGUUGUCUUUGUUUUGGAUGAUAAAUUCUGUGUUUGUUUAUUUCUUCUUUUUUUAUUUGGAGUUUGAUUUGAGAUGUGUGUGUUGAAAUAAAAGAAAUAAGUAAUGUUAUCAAAUUGUGAAAUUUGAGUGGUGUGGGAUGAACUAUGCUGUUGAAGACAUAAUUGGUUGAACAUUAUAAAAUAUCAGUAAAAUAAUUACAUAAUAAUGAUGAUGGUAUUAUUAUUGUUAUUCUUUUAUUCAAAAAUAAAUAUUCUUUAUAUAUGUAAUAAUACCGAUAUAAUGUGAUUUUUCUUUUUGUGAAAAAACAUAAAUUAAUUAAAUAUAUCACAACCAAUUCAUAGUUAGAAGACUAUGCAUAGAUAUGGUUAACAACAUACUAAUUAUAUUAUUCUAGAUUAAUAUGAUUAGUUUUUACUUGUUUAUUUUUAUUCCUAAUUUUAAAAAAUAGUGAUGUUAUUUAUUUGCAUAUGUAAACAUAAAUUAACACACAACGUAUCAAAUGAUGUAGCAAAUGUAAGUCUUACAAAAAUGUAUAUUUAUUAUAAGUAGAAUUCAUCUAUGUUUUGCACUAUUCCUCAACAUAUAUCCAUAACAUUAAGAAGGCAAAUGGAAUCAUAAAAUAAUACUUGUAAUACUUUAUUUAAUAACAUAUGAAGACAAAUAAUUUGUAGCAAUAAAAGUUUAGAAUACCAAAAAAUAUUUUAUCAUGAAACAUUUUAAAAGAUAUGAAUUCUGAAAUGAAAUAAUGACUUGAUAUGUUAAAUAACCUAAUGCUUCUACAAUUUCAGAUUAUUAGAGGAUCAUGACUUCUCCAUAACUUAUCAAUAGUAAGAGAAUGAACAUUUUUUUGGCAUUUAUUUUACAACCAAAAACACUAAUAAAAUAGUCACUUCUAUAAAACAAUAAAACACUAUUGUAACCAUAACUUCUAUUUAAUAUUCAUAUCCAAGGUAAUGUGCAUGAAGUAUAAUCCUUGCUAUCUCUACAAUGGUAAGAUUUGUUCUUUUAGCAAUUCCAUUUUGUUGUGGAAUAUAAAGAAUAGACGUUUGUCUUGUAAUAUCUUGAAUCUUCAAACAACCAUUAAAAUAUUUUUAUAUAUAUAUAUACUCUCAUUAUCUAUAUACAACAUUUUAAUCUUACAUUCACAUUGCUUCUCUAUAAGUGCCUUAAAAUCUUUAAAUCUUAAGAAAUAAUCAUUCUUAGCUCUAAGGAUGUAAAUUUACACCUUUUUUGAAAAUCAUCAAUAAAUAUGACAAAAUAGCUUAUUCUUCUAAUUAAUAGCUUCCACAUUAAUCUAUAUACAUCAAAAUAUACAAUCUCUAAUAAUUUUCUAGGACAUAUUACAACUCUACUUAGAAAUAAAGUCUUUUAUUGUUUAUCUUGGAUACAAUCUUCAGAAACAAGUGUUAUGGCAUUUGACUAAAUUGACCAAGUUUCAAACAAUUUAUCAUAGAUUGUAGCUUCUUCAUGCUUUUGGCAUUAAAAUAUCUAAGUUGUUAAUACCAAAUUCCAAACUUAUCUUGAUUUUGUGGAAAAUUAGCAAAUGCUACCACUUCAACUCUAUUGAACUUCUUACAAUUGAUGAAAUAGAGAUUGCCAUCUCUAAGGCCUUUGCCAACAUGUUUUCUAUCCAAUGUCUUUUCAAAAUAUCUAUUUAUGUCAAAUUGAACCUUACAAUCAUGUGAUAUAAGUUUGCUCAUCAAAAAGCCAUGUCUAAGAAAGAAUUGUAUAAAAUAAAUCAAGAAAAGAAAAGAUAGAGCUCUUAAAAUCAAUAAGAAGAUGUUGCUGCUUUAAAAAUCCAAAAUUCCUUCUUUAUGAAUAAACUAGUAAUUUCAUUCAUUAAUCAUUCUUUACUUUAUUCAUCAAACUUUUCAUAAGUCUUAUAUUCUAUCUAAACCUCUUGUAUAAGUUUUGCCACUCUUCAAUCACCUUUGAUAUCAAAUAAUACUUCUAAUCUCACAAAACAUUUCUUCUUAUUAUAAGAGGAUCUUUUAAAAACUUAAGCAUAUGAAAGUACAAUAUUAGUGUAUCAAUGAUGUAACUCAGCAAAGGAAUACAAAAUUAAUAUUUUAAAAUAUCAUUCUAGUAUCUAACAACCUCCAAGUCCAUGAGUGCAUUUAACAACAAAUAAAAGCAAAACUAUAUCAACAAUUAGAUGUAAAAGUGGAGUUAGAAGUUACCAAAUCCUAACAUCAUCAAUAAUCAUAAGAUCUAUUCCUCACAACAAGAAAGACUUCAAAUAACUUCAAAAUUCACAAGUAAAAGUAAAUGGACCCAUAAGCUAUUGAAAAAAAAGAACUUUAAAGUUAUAAUAUAUAACAUCAGCAAGAUUGUACACAAAGAGAAUAUGAAGUAAGAUGACUCUCUAUUCCAACACUCAUUACUUAUAAGUAGUGGUUGCUACCUUAAAAGAUAAAUUCCAUUCUUUAACUUUUAUAUACAUGGUCCUUGGAUCUUUAUAACUUAUCACAAAAAUAUCUUAUGAUUUUAAGAUCUUUUGGCAUCUUACUAAUUAUAAGGAUAUCCUAUGCUAAUCUUAAUUAUUCUUACCUAAUCUUCAAAUACAUUCUAGUUAGUAUUGAGAAGAAUUUUAUAAUAUAAUGUAGGCCAAAUAUAGAUGAGUUUGGCUUAUUUAUAUUAAGAUCAAGGAGUGCUAUUGGUCAAAGGACUUAUAUAAAGAUGUAGAGGAAUUUGUGAGUAUAAACUAAAAUAAACCUCCACUAAUUGGAAGCCUAUUCUAAUUCACCACAAUUUAAUUAUCUAAUUAAUUUAACACUUUUUGAUUAAUGUUUGAUUUAUGUCUAAUAGUUCUACUAACUCUCAAAUUGUGAGCUGAAUAAAUCCUUCUACUAGGUGGUUUAUUCUAGCUUACAACUAUCAACUAACUUAUGAAAUGAUUUAACAAAAUUUUCUCCUAUUUCUUAUUAAAGAAUUUAGAUCCUCUAACUAAUUUAAUUCAUACUCACACAACCCACCACAACAAUAGAAGCUACUUCAAAUAACUAUCAAGAAUUCCAACCUAAAAAGAGAAUUUUUUAUAUGAUUUUAUUUUAUGUUAGUUAAAUUUAUAAUUUUAUUUUCUAUCUUCAAUUAGUAAAAGUCAUUUAAGAUUAAAAUUCAUCUAAAAUAAUUCUUCAUCCAUGAAUAAGUUUUCAUCUAUAAAUAAAAAUUCAUCCAUUUAAUAGUUUUCAUCUACAAAAUUCAUCCAAGUUGAUUCAAAUUCAUCUUUGAUUAAAUUCAUCAUCCAACAUCUAAUAUUUUUCAUUCAAAACAGUAAUUUUUAUUUAGCCCUAAUUGAGUGUUUAAUUUUGACCUAAAUCUUUUCAAUAAUUUCAAAAUCACCUUGUGAUCUUCUAUUGAACUGAAUGAUGAAGGAGGUUACUAUUCUGGAUGCUCCUUCGCCAAUGACACCUUCAAAUGGUUGAGUUCAGUGCCUUACAUAGGUUGCAAUAGUAGCUCUCUGAUGAUGUAGUGAAGUCCUUAUGAAUGAUCAACAUUGACACCUUAGGCUCUGUCUAGGGCGCUAAGUUGCCGUUGACACAGCAACCGACUAAAGAUCCCUCGAUGAAUAGGUUGCGAAGUGUGGUGUGAGCUAGGAUGUAAUAAUCUCUAUUCCUUUUUUCAUUAAAUUGCUAUGGCAGAUAGCUCAACUAUACCUACUUUUAGAUUAAUUAUAACUACUUCCUUUGGUGAGUCAAUUUAGCUCUACAAAAUCUCUAGUUGAGUAUGUCGAUGAUGAUUCCGUCGCUGCGUCUCAUUCGACCUCUUGGUUAAUAAUCUUCAGUGAUGGGAGGCAACUAGUACUUGUUUUCACUCACCACUUUUAAUCCAUCUGGAAAAUUGGUGCAGAUCGAGUACGCCUUGAUGGCUUCAAGUACAGAUCAACUUCUCUAGGCAUCAAAGCUUCGAAUGGUGUGGUGAUUACAACCAAAUAGGAGCUCCCUUCAAUUUAUAUUGAUGAAUCGUUGAUUAACAAGAUUCAGUCGCUGACGCCAAAUACCAGAGUCUUCUACAGUGGUAUGGAUCCUCAUCCUCGUGUCUUAGUUUGCAAAAGCAAAAAGCGAGCACAAUUGGAACAGUAAAUUUAUUUAAAACCAGUUUUGAUCGUCUUGAAGCUAAGCACUCUAUAAUGCUCAAUAUUGGAGAGGAUAGCAAAACACAAAGAGCAAUCCACUAUAGUCAAUAGCACCCAAUUGCUAAAUGUCACAGUAUGGGAAUAUCGACCACCAGAGCGACACAAGAGAACUUUGUAAAUUCACGAUGCCGUGAUGCCACAACACCACAUUCCCACACCAAAAUCACAACUUGCAGAACUCUAGAAAACCAAAAUAAAAGAAGAGAACAGUCGAGAUGACACAUUCAACAACGUGAGGACAAAAAGGGCAAAAGUUUUCUUAGGCAUUGAAGAAGACAAGAUAGCGACGGUCGACAACUUGGGAUCUUCAAUACCGCAACUCCGAGGGGACGUAAAAUGCAUUGCUACACCACAGCUCCGCCUGUUGCACCAUAAUUAGCAGCUCUCACAUCGACUUUCAAAGACGAGAAGGAACAACAAUGAAAACAUGCCUACACAAACAUAGAGAGCUGCCACCAACAAUGCCAAUCGCAUAUGAAAGGCUUAAUCGGAGCACCCCGCUCCAAGUACAACCUUUGGAGAAAAAAAUUGGUAGCUGGCACCUUAGCACCACGCAGCAACAAUACUAACGACUUUCUCCAAAAAAACCACCAUAGACAAGAAAAAAAAAUGAAAAAACACCAAAUGUUGUCCGUCAAAUCUUGAGCCCUUCUUUGUGCACACGGAAAAAAUAAAAUGAAAUAAAGCGCAGUCCAGGGCAAUCCGGGCCCUUGUAAACAAAGAGGUCCUCCCGAAUUCGAGACUAGCUCCUUCUUUUUCUUUUCCUUCUUCUAUCUCUUUUUUUAUUUUAUUUUAUUUUUUCUAGUUUGAUGUUUUGAAUCAAGGAUUCUAUCCUCCUUUCUAAUCUAAUUUAAAUAUUUUAAUGAUAUUAAAAACUACUACUAUUAGAUUAAGAUUUAUAUUAGCUAAAUUGAAGCAAAUUGAAGCAAAUUAAGAUUUAUAUUAGCUAAUAUACUAUCUAUUUUAGAAUUUAUUUUCUAAAAAAUUUGCAAGAGAUCCAUUCUAACCACUAACAUUCUAUUAGUUGCUAUUUAUUUAAAAAAAAUUAUAUUAACUUCCUAAACUAGUGACUUAAAGCACCAUAAGUGUCUUUUUGUAUUAAAGCACCUCAAUGAGUCAAUUGUGUGACUCAUAGUGAGCUCUUAUAAAGAGUACCUAUUGUAAUCUAAAGUGACAUAUAGAAAUGGUUUAUGCCCUACCUAUCCACUUGCUAUUUAUUUUCAAUGGAUGAUUGAUUUGGUUACAAUGCCAAUAAAACUUUGAGGCAUGAAGUAUUUAGUUUUUGCAAGAAAAGAGCUCUCCAAUUAUGUAGAAGGAAGAAUAUUGAGAUUAAAGUCUAUAGAGGUGGUAUAUUAGUUUAUUUUAGACAAUAUUAUAUGUUGUUAUGGGAGCAUUGGAAAGAUGAGAGUAGAUUGGGAUAAGCUUGAUGCAAUUGACAUAUAUGAUUUCUUUACAAGAUAUGAGGUGCAAUUGAAAUUGACCACCUUCUAUAACGUUGAAGCCAAUAGUAAGAAUGAAAGAAAGUACCAUCCAAUCAUUCAAGCUUUAGUUAAGACAUGUAGGAAUCAAUCAAAGUAGUGGCCUACACUUGUGCUAUUUGUUUUAUCAACAAAUAUAACUAUUCAUAGCAUAAUUAUUGACUAUAUAUUGAUAGAAUUGACAUUGGAGCAAAAGCCCUUAAUACCUACAAAAAAAAUCUAUUCUUUCUUGGUUAUUUUUGUCUUGAAAAUAUGGCAUUGAUAGAAAGAGAUUAUUAGAGCUUCAAAUUUACUAAUUAAAGAAAUUAUUCAAGAAUCAUCAAAUUGCUAUAGAGAGGCUUAUAGCAGCAAGGUUGAAUAACAAAAAGAGAUUUGAUAAAACUCAACAAUUAAGGCCUAAGCCAAUUAAAGAGAGUGAUUGGAUUUUGAUUUAAGAUAGUUUGAUGCAUCAAUAUUUUACUCUUUGUAAGUUUUCAUGGCAAUGGUUUGGACCCUAUGUAGUCAUUGAAGUGCAUGAUAAUAUAACUUAUUCUCUUUGAAAGUUGAAUAGAAUACCAUUGAAGACUAGGAUUGUAGGAAAACAAAUUAAAGUCUUGAAGCGGCAAGAUAGGAUGAAUUAUAUAGAAGAUUUAGCAACUUUUGAGCCUCAAUAUUUUGAUCAACAAUUCAAAAGUGAUAUGACUUACAAUAAAUCUAAUUUUGAUGAAAGAAGUAUUGUAAUUUAAUUCUUUGGUACAUACUACAAUAUAUAUAUAUAUAGAUUUUAAAAAGAUAAGUAUCAUGAUGCACUUAAUUUGAGUACAUCAAAGUUAUUUGGAGAGCAAUUAAUUUUAUUUGUAAGAUAGAGGAAUAUAAUGCUAAUAUGUUUUUAAAUUUAGAUGAGAUUUAGAAUAGGAGAUUGAUGCCUUAGAUGGAUUAUUAAAGCUUUGAAGAUAUUACAUUUUAGAAUACAAAUUCAGCUUUAUAUGAGUUCAAGGUAGGUAUUAGAAGAAUGUUAAGGCAAGAUUAUUGGCAUCAAGUGGGAUUUUUUUCUCAAGGACUAGUGUGACAAGGAAGAAUAGAAGAGGAUCAUUGAAAUUUUGAACAACAAGAUUUAAGAGUAGUUUGGGUUUUUCCAUGCCAUUUAUUGUAUUUUCAUCUUUUUAUUUUAAAAAUUUGAGAGAAAUUAGAGCUUGUUGUUAACUUUCUAAUAAGCAUAAGCACACAAGAAAGAAAGUUUUGACAAAGGAGAUCAAAGCAAAUUUGUAGGAAGAAGAUUGCUGGAAUUUUGAGCAAUGAGAUUCAAGCUUAGAUUGAGGUUUUCCAUACCAUUUAUUAUAUUUUCAUCUUUUUGUAUUGAAAUUUUGAGAGAAGCUAGAUAUUAUUUUUAUCUUUCUAAUAAGCCUUAUUAUAUAAGAAAAUAAGCUAUGAUGUAAGAGAUCUAUGCAAAUUUGUGGUAAGGAGGUUACUGGAAUUUUUUAGCAACAAGAUUCAAGAUUAGUUUGGAUUUUUUUAUGUUAUUUAUUAUAUUUUCAUCUAUGUAUUUUGAGAUUUUGAGAGAAGCUAGAUCUUAUUUUUAGCUUUUCAAGAAGUCUUUGUAUGCAAGAAAAGAAUUUGUACAAAGGGAGAUCCAAACUAAUUUGUAGAUGGAGAUUUUAAUGGUUGUGGCCAUAGUAAGCAAUCAACUUUUUCCUUGGUUUGGCUCUCAUUUUCUUUGAAAUUUAUUUAUUGAAUUUGAUAUUUUGAAUUUUAUAGCUUGACUUAAGUUCAAUGAGCUAAAUUUAAAAUAAAUUGAAUUGAUAACAUAUAAAUUAUAGAUAUUUUAGAGAGAAGAGGUUUAGGUUUUAGAUUAAAGUUAGGAAUUGGAUGCAUCUUUGCAUAAAAAAAGAAUUAAUCUAAAAAUUAUACUUAGCCUUUAGGAUACAUUUUUAUAUUUGAAUUCAUUUGAAAAAAAUAAUAAUUUCUUACAACCUACCUGUAAUGAAAGACCUCAUAUUUUCUUGAGGGGACUUGCUCUUUUGAUAAUGUAUCUCUUCUUGAGCCAUAUAAGACAAUGAAUAUCUUAGAAAGAAGACAAAUAUCACUUUCUUUUAUAGAAGUGGAUAAUAAUCAAGAAGUUGAUGUAAAAGAAAUCUUAGAUUGAAAGUAAUGCCAAAAUAGGUUGGAAUAUCUUAUUCAUUGGUAUGGACAUGAUAUUAGUGAAUGCAUAUAGGAGCCAAGAAAGAAUCAUAUAAAUGCAACAAAGAUGAUUCAGGCUUUUCAUUGCCAAUAUCUAUUAAAAUCAAGAUAAAGAAUAAUAAGAUUCAUAAAAGAUGAUGAUUGCUCUUUGUAAAACUCAUUCCUAGAAAAGAGAGUUAUAUCACAAAUAUACAUAUUUAUUUCAUAUUUAUUUCAAUAAUUACCUAUAUGAUUAAAUAGGAGUAGGUGAAAAUAAAUUAAUUUCAUAUUAUCUUCUAAAGAACCUUCAUAGAAGCUUCAUAGAUGUAAUUUUGACUUCACAUGUAUUUCUAGUUGAUUGAUAGGUUAAAAACUUAGUCAACAACUUAGCCAUGUGUUGCACUUGCUGAUAAUUAGUGGAACAAGCUAACUAUGUGGCAUACAUAUAGAAAACUUGCCUUACAAGUUAAAACACAUAUCUUGCAAUUUAGAUAUGUAUCAAAGGUCCUAUAGAACAUUGUUACAUAGUUUCUAGUUAGAUAAUAUAUUUGGAAGCAAAAGUGAAGUCUUUUUUACUCUUGUCAACAUAUUUCUAGACCUUAGUCAUGUUUCAAGACUUUUUAGUCUCCUUAUCUUUGGCAAUAGUUAUUCUAGUUCAACAUAUUAUCAUCUUUGAAUGACUUUCUAACCUUUUUGACAUAAGUAUGUAUAGAGUUUUCAUUCUUUGGGAUUCAUGUCUUUGAUAUGAGCUAUAAUUUUUAAAUAACAAGAAUAUAAAUUUUAGAUUCAUUUUCCAAAGCUAUGUGAUUAUUUGAUAUUAGGUUCUUCUUAGAUUUUACAACUAUUAAAAUUAUAUAUUUUUUUUAAUUAUAAAGACUUAUAAUGAUGCAUGUAAUAUUCAAUUGUAUUUUUUUGUUUGAAAAAUCUAUAUUUUUAAUAAUUAUUUCUAAAAAUUAAUAUUACUAUUAUAUAAAUUAUUAUAUAUUUAUAUAUUUAUAUAUUUUCUAUAAUAUAAAAUAAAUUAAGAAUUAUUAUUUUUAUAUCUAAAAUUAUCAAAAAAAAAAUUAUUUUAUUAUCAAUUAAGAUUAGAUAUAAAUCUACGUACCUCUUUUUAUACAACUUUUUUCCAAAUUUUUCAAAGAUUAAUAGAGAAGUAACAAUAUAUAAUUUAAAGAAACUUAUUUAUUUAAACAUAGUCCAAGUGAAAUUAUUUUUUUCAGGUAUUCAAAGUGAAGAAUUAAAUAUAUAAACUAUCAAUGUAAAGAUUAUUUAAAUGUAAAUUUUGGGAAUAAAAAUUUAAACUGGACCAUCUAUACAAAAGAAAAAGAAGUGACCGAACAGAAAGAAAGAAAAAAAAAAAAAAAAAAAAAAAAGUAGAAACUGUCUUUAAAGUAGUGCGCUCACUCUCACACUCUCAAUGGAAAAGUCAAAUGCAUCCACUUCAUAAAACCCAUUUUCACAAAGUGCUUUUCAAAACCACAUGUGUUACGUUUUGGCGGUACAUCCAAUCCAAAAAUAUGUUUACUGCAUGAAUAGGAGUCUCUUAUCUGGUUAUUACAAAUAGAUUUCAUGGCUUUCGGAAUACCGCACUUGCUGCUUGGUUUCCACAAUUAGUGCAGCGAUGUUUCCCACCCAUGUCCAUAAAACAUCUUGCACGCUGGGAUGUUUCAACACAUCAUGAAUCCACGAGCCAUUCGAUGACAGACAAGAGCAGAUGAUUGACAUAACUCUCUCUCAAUUCAGCCAAACUAUACGUUACAAGUUAAAGCUUCUCUCUCUUUCAACCUCUCUGUUGCAUGUAGAUUAUAUCACAACAUUACAAACACGGUGGCAAUGUAUCAAGCACAUGAGGGUCAAAGCUAGCCCUCCGUUCCAAGUCUUUCAGCUGCAUUGGACAAGUCGCGAGAGAAGGGUUAUCGAGUCAUGGUGAUGAGCAACUGCACAACAAAAUAUUGCUAAAAAUAUGAAUGAUUUAUUGUAGAAACGAAAUCUCCUAUUCUAGGUCAUCGUGAUAUGGAUUUGAGACCAGCAAGCUGAUAUUUGGAAUUAUUCUAACGCUCUAAUUACAGCCGUGAUUGAGAGAACUAUAAUGCAGCUCAUCAAUUUUCGAAAAAUCCGUAGGCAAGUUUUGCUGAAUCAAGAGUAUUGGAAAGCAGCAUAGCAAUAGUCAUUGGUCCAACACCCCCCGGAACUGGGGUGAUCUGAGAAGCCACUCGACAGGCUUCUGCAAAGUAAACAUCUCCAACUACUCGAUAUCCAUUCUCAGAAUCAGGAUCCUGGAAGCAUCCGAAAAAAUAUUAAAUGCAGUUGGUACAAAAUUCGAACUUCUAAGCAACCACUAAAUUCGUCUUACUACACACCACUUAUAAUAAAAACAGUUCCGGGAGAGUAAAACCUUCUGGUUAGUUGCGUAAAAAGGAAACAAAACACUAACGAGUAUUCAUUUGAUUCUCAUCACGCGGGAUCUAGUGUAGCAUAAACGGAGGUGUGAGGGCCUCACCUCGAUGUGAUUGAUGCCAACAUCAAUAACGACAGCCCCAGGCUUCAACCAACUCCCCUGUACCAUGUAUGGCACACCAGCGGCAGCGAUGACUAUAUCAGCAUUCCUGGUGAGUUCUGGAAGGUUUGGAGUAUGUGAAUGCACCACAGUAACGGUUGCAUUUUGUCGCUGUAGGCACCAAACAUUUAGUAACUUGUCAGUGGUUAACUAGAUACCAAACAGAAUAACUAAGUUAAAAUAAAAGAUCACCACAUGACAAUGAUAUGUUCUCUUCUAUUAAAAUCUACUAAAUAGUUGUAUGUGAAAAUUAAAUUGUGGGACAGAAGCAACGUACUUGUAGAAGCAAAGCAGCUGGCAUGCCCACCACAUUACUGCGACCAAUAACCACUGCGUGUUUACCUUCUAUUUGCACUCCUGAUCGUAACAGCAACUCAAUGCAUCCUUUGGGAGUACAUGACACAAAGAGUGGAGCUCGACCUUGCAUGGCCAACCUUCCCACAUUCAUUGGAUGGAAGCCGUCCACGUCUUUCUGUAUGCUAACAGAACCCACAACCCUCUCCUCGCAAAUAUGCUGCGCGGUCAAAAACUCCAUUUAAGCACAUUUUUACAAAACCGAAGUUGCUAAAAAGUGGUUAUGUAGUUCAGUAUGUUAAAGUCAUUAUGAGUGCCUUUAAGCUUUGAAGGUAUAACUUCCAUGAAAAGCACCAGCAAGAGUAGUUACAAAAUAGUAAAUACUCUAUUGGGAAAGCACUCACGCGAGGAAGCGGAAGCUGCACCAAUACACCAUGAACAUUCGGGUCACAAUUAAAUCGUAGAACAGCUUCCACAAUCUCCUCUUCUGUGACGGUUUCUGGCAAAGAUACAUUGUAAGAGUUGAAGCCCACUUGCUCGCAUGCCCUCUGCUUACUUCGAACAUAUGUCUCGGAAUCCUUGCGUGACCCCACUAGGACCACUGCAAGGCCGGGAACCUUUCCAAUGGCAGAUCUCAUCCUCCCAACCUCUUCUGCGAUUUCACGUUUGACCUCCUGAGCAAUAGCUUUGCCAUCGAUAGUAUUGGUCGCAGGGUGCGAGAUGAUAGACGCUGCGUUGACUCAUUAGAGACUUGUCAGAGGGUGCCGAUGAUACAACAAACACCAAGGUUCAAAGCAAGCCCUUCUAUAAAACCAGGUAAGAAGCGAAAUUUUCAUUCUGUGAAAUUAUAGCUACAACGUGCUGCAGAGCUAGCAAAUUCUCUGUGGGCCCCAUGAAAAUAAAUGUAUCCAGCAUAGCAACAACAAGAAAUCAUAAGACAAAGAUGUGGAAGCAUUGACCUUCUUUUUUGAGAAUAGAUUCUGGUGGCCACAAAUCGUGGCGGCUUUUCCACUUAUCUAUAGUGUUCCAACUUAGGCCUUCAGCCGGUUUUAUUCGCUUCCGAAACUCACAUGAGCUCGAUUGCGAAUUGCCUGAAAACACCAACGCGGCAAUUCCAACUCAAUAAAAUACAACUAUGCAUCACAAAGACCCUACAACCCGUGCGAAAUAAUUCUCAAAAUCGCAGACCCAUAUCGAACGUGCCCUCCCACCUAUCCUCGCAAACGGACACACUUUUUAAUCUUAACACGAACCACAAGCCAACACUACAUAUAAUCUUCAUUUGUAAAAAUUAACCUUAAAUGAGUUAUUGCUUAUUCUAAUUUACUAAAACAAUUUAAGUUAUUAUGACAAUCGUAACAAACCUGAGGUGGUUGCUUGAUCAGAACUCGCGCAUUCAACAGUAGCCGAAUUCUCAAACAGAACGUCAGUCACAAAUUUCCGGUGGGAAGAGUAUAACCGCAAUGCUGCCUUCGGUACCUCUGCACGCCGCUGACAUACCCCAAACAUCUCUUACACUUUUCUUCACACUGCGAGUACCAAUCUCCCACUCCUCGGAAAUGAACGCAACACACCGCAAUGGACUGUCACAGUAUGUGCGUCCACGCCUUCAAAAUGCAACCUAUGCUUCAGCUUGCUAAUCCUACCAAACUCUAGCUUCUCAGCACGGUGACGCUCGUUGUUACCCGUAAAAAAACUAAAUCACACGAUCCCAGAUCACCAAUUUCUCAUUGCUGUGGUAUAUCUACUGAAUCCCAGCGCUCAAAACACACGCACCACAGUGCGAAGAGAAGAGGCAGCUUGGCGUUCUACCCACCACAACCCCACCUCCACGGCCGCCUCUCCCCAUUGCUACACUCUAUCAGUAACGAAAUCUUAUUCGAAAUCGGAAACUCACGACCAAUCAGCAGCAAAAUUCGACGUAGACAGCACAAGCGCAACGCAUUCUGGCCACCGCCAGAUCUCGCACUCUCAUUCCGUUGCUCGCAAUCGCUUCGCCAGCCCAAGUCCUCCUGCUCUCUCCGAUCAUCCUAGACAAAUCCUAGAUCUCACACGAUCUACUCUAACUUUAAUAUUCUUCUUAUAUCGUAGACUCUAUUGUAAAUAUCUAUAAAGUGGAUAUACGAAUAAAAACUUAAGCUCAUAAGGAUAGUAAUCGUUAUCUAUGUAAUGUGAACAUGCAUUGUGGUAGGGGGUGGUCACGGGGCCACGUCACUCGGCCACGUCGGCAUAACUUCUGGAGCCACUCUGACGUGGCGAUUUUUGAAAGGCACUAUGGCCAAUCCGAAAUGUUACUUUUGCGUUUUUUCUCAUUUCUUCGCUUUAUUUAUUAAAGUUUGGGGAAUGGUCUGACGAAAGUGUAAGAGUAAAAAGGUUAGUGGAUGGUGGUUCUUAGCUUCGAUUGAGUGACAUGUGUUGUGUCGUUGUGGCAAUCUUAUUGAUUUUUUUUCGAGAAAGGGGACUAAACAUUAAUGUUAUUGUUUAUUUCAAUUGAUACUGUUACUUAAAAAAAAUAAAAAUAUGUAAUAUUAAUACAUAUAUAUAUAUAUAUAUAUAUAUAGAGAGAGAGAGAGAGAGAGCUCUCAAAACACGGAUUUUUUUAUAUUAGAUAUUCAUAAACACAAGAUUGAUUUAUAUUGAAUCAUUUUCAAGUAGGUACUGAGUGAUAUCAAGGUACACACGUGAAUAUGUGGACAAGUUUACUCUUUUUUUUGCUUUUAAAAUUUUAAAAUUAGAUUCGUGUGCAUUAUAACUAAAGAUCAAGUACUGAAAUGGAUGAUAAAUGUACAAAUAUUUUAACAUUGCAGAAACUUUGAAAUUUCGGACCUUUAAAUAUUAGCACAAUCUUUAAAAAAAUAUAACUUUAAGUUGAAGAAUAGAUUUACAAGAAGUAGAGAACAUUGUGAUUUGUACAAAUAAAAGAUUGGUAUAUUUAUAUUUAGGAGAGUUUUAAUAAUUCCAUGACAGAAGCAACAAGAACCUUGGAACUUCUUUUAUUUUUAGAAAAACUUUAUACACAACAAUAUUGUUAGAUAAUAUUAGAUAUUUCUAAUAGUCAUUCAUCUCAUUCAAAUUCAAAUUAAAAUUAGAAUACUACAAUUGGUGAGUAGUAUUGGAAAAGAGAUAUUACAAUCAUUCUCCUCACAAGGAAUUGAACUUGAGGUCUUUAAUACCACAUCAAACUCACACACCUUUUAUACUGUAGGCUCAUGGUUAUGUUUUCUAGUGAAGAUUUGUUAUACAUAGAAAUAAAAAUAAGGACACUUGUUAUGAGUUCACUAAGUGUCAUGUCAAAGCACAAUAUAUACAUAAGAAAAAAAAUGAGUCUAAUUUGAUAUAGAUGUCUAGAAAAGGAUAAAUUAACAUGGUACAUUUAUAUCAUCAAUAAGAGUUUCAAAACAGCUCUAUAUUAGUAUUGAAAUAAAAUUACAAAUUGAAGAUAAGUUUGAUUUUAUUAUAGGCUUUCCCUCCAGAACCCUUUUAACUGUUUUUUCCUCUUUAUCUCAAAAAGAUAUCAUAUUAACCAUCAUUUGAAUGUCCUAAAAUUACCCCGUACUUUUUCUCAACCUUUGUUCAUGGCAUUAGCACUUCGAUAGCACAAAUUGGGCAUGAAAGAUUCCCUGCUUUAAUUAUUAAUAUUAUAGCAAAACAUUUUUUUUCCUUGGUUAGUAGUGAAUGGGAGGUUUCUAAGCAACUUAAGGCAAAGUCGGGAACCCUUUAAAACGGUUACCCACAUAGACUUGUUUUCCAAAGUACUGCAAUGCAUUACCAGGGCCUUACCAGAAGGUUACCAGAUAGUUACCAGGAGCUUAUCCGGAUCUCACCAGGCCCCACCGAAAGCGGAAGGGAGAGCCCACGUCGUCCUCCUGCGCCUCAAUCAAAACCAGACAAAUUUUUCGUAAUCCAGCAUCACGCCAUCGAACCACAUCCUUCAAUUUCUUACUGUCAGUGAGAAAAAAAACACGCAGCAAUCUCGCGAGGAAUGAUCCCACACAGCGAUACCAGAACCUACAAGGAUGUUUUCUGGAUAACAUUCCGCUUGUCGCAGCGUAAAUCUCAGCGAUGGUGGUAGCGCAAGCAGUUCACCAGCUUCGACACAGUUGGUCGUGUCCAGCUGAGGCCAGGAAUGUGUCACACGUCGCGUCGCUGGGAGCUGCACACUCUCGUGUGGGACCUCUCGAGAAGACGAGAAGGUCACGAGAGGGGUUGAAGGUGAGAUUUGGUGCGAGAGCAGCUGUGAAUGUGGACUCGCCGAACGCGUUGCCGAUUAAGAAGAGGCCCGUCGCACAGGCGAAGCGGAACCAGUAUGAUAUUACCACUUUCACCGCGUGGUUGGUUCGGCAGGAGAUAGAGGGGGCGAUUGAUGGGGAGUUGACCAUCGUGCUGUCGAGCAUCGCUCUGGCGUGUAAGCAGAUUGCGUCGUUGGUGCAGCGGGCUGGGAUUUCGAAUCUGACGGGGUUGCAGGGGGUGGAGAACAUUCAAGGGGAGGAGCAAAAGAAGCUGGACGUGAUCUCGAAUGAGGUUUGGAGUCCAUUUGUGUAAUUCUCGUGUCUUUGAGAAUGUUCGUGUGUGUUGACGUGCAUUAGGGUUUUUUCGAUUUUCGGAGUAUGAGACAAAUGGGUUGCGUUCCUCGAUGACGUUUCGUGUAGGUUGGUCAUUGGUGAGAGCAGGUGUUCUCGAACUGCUUGCGCUCCAAUGGCAGAACGGGCAUCAUCGCCAGUGAGGAAGAGGACGUCCCGGUCGCUGUUGAAGAGAGCUAUUCAGGGAACUACAUUGUGGUGUUCGAUCCUUUGGACGGCUCCGCCAACAUCGAUGCCGCUGUGUCUACAGGGCCCAUAUUCGGUAUCUACGCGAGCGAUCAGGAGUGCUUGACCAAUCUUGGAGGCGACCCGAGCGUAAGUCCUUUCCCCAGUGUCUUCCUGGAACCUAUUUGCAGACAACCACUUCUACGGCUUCAAUUUUCAGCUUGUCCAAGUCGCAGUAGCCGAAUGGUUUCCAUGGAUAUCAAUUUCUCCAACAAGCGCUGUCAGAGCUUCGUCUUCGUGUAGUAAUGUAUCAUAGGAGUGAACUAGGGUUUGGAUGAUUUGCACACAUGACGAGUCACCACAGGUUGAGUUUUUCAUUUCAAUUUGAUGCGAAGGAUUACAGUUUCUAAAUUUUAUCAUAAAAUGCUCUCGAAUCUGCGAUCGACUAGGUAGCACAGAACUGUGUGGUGAAUGUUUGCCAGCCUGGAAGCAACCUCCUGGCCGCGGGUUACUGCAUGUACUCCAGCUCCGUGGUGCUGGUCCUCUCCAUCGGCGAUGGCUUGUGCGCUUUCAGCCUGGAUUCCUUGUACGGGGAGUUUGUGCUCACUCACGAGAAGAUACAAGUCUCCACAAACACCAAGAAGCUGUACUCGUUCAAUGAGGGGCGGUACGAGCUGUGGGACGACAAGGUGAAGAGAUACGUCGACACCCUGAAAGUGCCAGACGGAUGGUGAGACGUACUCCUGCCGCUACCUGGGCUGCCUGGUGGCGGAUUUCCACAGGACGAUGUUGUAUGGAGGAAUUUAUGGCUAUCCUCGCGAUGCCAACAGCUCUAACAGCAAGCUUAGGUUGCUAUAUGAGUGUGCUCCGAUGAGUUUCCUGAUCGAGCAAGCCGGUGGGAAUAGCUCCGACGGCCAGCCCCGAAUCCUACACAUUCAGCCUGAGGAGGUACGCAUUGUCAAGCAAACUCUCGUCUCAGAUUUCCCACCUGCAAAGCUCGGCUACAAACAAACAAUUGUGGAAUGCUUGGUUUCAGGGUGUUGGACUCUGAGUACUGUAACUUUUAUACACACACACGUUAAUAUAUAUAUAUAUAUAUAUAUAUAUAGAUCGUGAGACCUUACACUCAGUCACCAGAAUGUGAGCCUGAAGUCGAUGUGGGUUGGUUGAUGUGCAGGUGCAUCAGCGAUGUCCGCUGUAUUUUGGCAGCCCAGAGGAAGUCGAUAAAGUAUUGAGCUUCUUAGCUUGAUAUGCACAUCCGUUGCCCUGCAGGUUGUGUGAAGGUCUCCUUUCAUUCAGGUCCUCAUUGUACUGCAAUUUGAAGCAAUGAGAUCACCCACAUCACUGCAUUCAUGAUAGAGAUCAACAGUGUGGCCAUCGCAUUACGGGAUUGAAUAAGCUCUUUUUUUUGUGGUGCAUUUACGUGUUGAUUUUGUCUAGAUUUCUUUCCUUGUUCAAUCUACUCUUCAUAACCUGCUGCUGCCCUUGUAGACAAUUCUGGUCAAUGAAAAACACUCUUCUGUUAUCUCUUCUCCUCGGAGGAUGUUUUCCCUCACGUUUUGUUUUUGUUUUUGGCUGCUUCUGAGGUUGUGUGACUUUCUUGAAGUUUUGACGCUCUUAUUCUGACUACAUCCCUGUAAAUAUAUUAAGUUUCCUAUUAUCUCAAACUUCUCUAAAGUUUCUUUAGUUCUACUGCUUAUAAACCGUAAGUCCAUCAAACUACUGUUACUAAGUUUCUUGUUAUGAGUGUGUUACCAUUAAGUUGUAUCAAUGAAUUUGCUAAUAAUUUGCAAAGAUAAAAUCAUAUUAUAUAUGCAUACACAAAUUGUUAAAAGUUUAAGAAAUCCAUUGAAACAAAAUUGAUUUAUGAUUUGCAAAGCAAUUCUUUAAAUCUUUUUUUUGGAUAUAUAUACAUGUACAAAUGGGUAUAUUUUUCUUUUUGGAAAGUGACUUGACAAGUUUAUAUCAAGUGUCUCGUCAACAAACAUCACCUUGUGACAAGUGGUUUACAAAAAAUGUUUGGUCAAGGAUAACACUUUGACUUGCAUCUAUUUCCCAAAACUUUUUUUUUUUUUUUUUUUUUUUUUUUUUUGACAAAGCCAAUAGUAGGUCAUAGAACAUGUGACGGCUGGGUGUAUUGUAGUAUAAAAAGCUGCAUACGUGAAUCUCUAAAUAAUUAUGAUUUAUAUUUCUUAUUGUUUCUGUUUUCAAAGUAUAUCAACUGUGCUCUUCUUUUUUUUUUAACAUACAAAUAUACAUGCAAGGUUUUAAAAAAUAAAUGAAUUUAAAACAUUAAUAUUUUAUUUUAAGAAUUGAAAAUUUAGGUUAAAAUUUUAAAAAUAGUAUUUUUAUUUUAAAAAAUAUUUAAGUUGUAAUCCCUACCUUUACUUGUCAUUCCUAGGCUAAUAAGUCAAGUGAGCAACAAAGAAGAUUUUGAAUUUGCUUACAUCCUCAUACAAAAUAAAUAUCUAAUAGAGAUGUUUAUUAUUAUAGCACUGUUGUUCAAUAUACACUCACUAGAUGUUUUUAUUUAUUCAUGUAUAGAGAGAAUUAAAAUAACUCCAUAAUAAAAAUUAUAAAUUAUUAUGUUUUAUCUUCGUAAAAUGAAAUUUAUCUGAGAUAUUAAAAGAAUUAUAAGUAAUAUUUAAUCUUUAUUUAGAUACAUAUUUGUAGACUUUUUUUUAUAGUCAAUAUGCAUUGCAUUUAACUUCCAUGUCUUUAUAAUUUUAAUAUUUUAAAUAAUUAUGGUUUCCAUAUCUUAUAUUAUUAUCUUCUUCACAUAAGUUAAUUUCUUAUCUUAAAUCAAUCCAAAACAUAAACACUUAUUGGUCAUAUGUUUGAUUGUUUGAUGUUAUUUGUAUUCAAUUGUAUAAUGUUUUUAAAAUGUAGUCUUGUUACAAAGUUGUGACAUUAAAAUAAAUAAAUAAACAUCUAAUAAUAGCAUGAUUCUUACAAAAACUACAUUCAAAAAAAACAAUGCAACUUUUCAACUUAUUCAAAAAUUCUCAUUUUUACAAUUUCAUUUGUUUAAUUGGAUUUAUAACACUACUGUUAUUUUUUUAUGUUAGGAUUGUUGUCAUCUAAAAAAAUAGCUUGUUAUAGAAUUAUAUUCUUAUGGACUAAAAAUAAUUUACAGAAAUUUACAAAAGUCAACAAUUGCAAUAUUUCCAGCACAUGUAAAUUUUAGUAUAGAAUAGAAUGAUGAUAAUUCUUUCAGAGAUCAAAUUUAAAACAGUUACUACAAAUAGAACUGAUGUAUGAGUAGUACAUUGUUUAAAUGUAAAUGUAUCUCUGUUUACAAGAUAAUAGUACAAAGAUAAAAACAAUAAAUGAAAUUAAAAUGAGUAAAAAUGAUACUUUAGCCAAAUUGAAAAAAUAACUAAAAUAAUUAAUUAAUUAAUUAAUUAAAAGUUGAAAAUGUAAAAAAAAAUUGAAACCUUAAAACAAAAAACAAUACAAAACUACCCAAUGUGAAAACUUUAUAAAGUUUUGACCAAGACACUUUAGUUGAAUAAACAUGACAAACAAAAACAGACAACUUACUGCAAGUAAGACAUUGUAUUAAGAUAUUGUAAUUAUUUUUCACGAAAGACCCUCUCUCAUUCAUUUUAAAAAAAGCUAACAAUGCAAAUAGCAAUAAUCCUUAUAUAUAAGAUUUCUACAUAAAUUAUAUUUGUACAUAUAUCAGAAAAAAUAAAUUCGAAUUACGUUAUAAUAUUAUACUUUAAACCACUAAUCUUUUGCAAUUGCAAACGGAUAGUUUAAGAAAUAAUAAAUCUACAUUAAUAGUACUCCAAGCGAAUAGCACUUUGGAAGAAGCAACUUUAGAUGGGGUACCCACCUUGACGUUCUAUAAAAUAUGCCAAAAAUAACAUAUAUCUUAAUAUACAGCACAUGUCUAUUCUCAUCAAACUAUUUUUUAUAACGUUUUUUUAGUACGCAUGCUAAAAAAUGGAACAACUCUUUAGCUUGAAGAGGUAUCGUAGCAACACAAACGCUUCAAACUUGUAUGUCGUAUAUCUGUAACAAUACAUUUAUGUAAAAAUAUGAAUUCGUGGUACCUUUAUGAGAUCCGUUAUAUUAUUAAACUCGGGGCCAAAAAGAUGAUGCAUCGGACCAUGCUUCAAGUGCGUGCACCUGACUCAAUUCGGACCACAUUCAUUCCCCACGAAAGUUUGAGGCCGAAGUGUGGUUUGUUGUGAAGAAAAAUUGGGUACCACCGUGUUCGAAUCUGUGAAAUUCCCCUAUUUUACAUAAUUUUACUCACACUCGCACAUUCUCCCGUAAACCUCUUGUGUAUAUCUCUACUUUCCAGGAGAAGUGGUCUGCGAUGUGAGGUGCAGUGUGAGUGUUUUAAAUGAAUCUUCGCCCACGAAAUUUAGUGUGCGAAGGUAAGGAUCUGAUCGAAACGCAAUGGAUUUGGAGUUGGAAAAGGAAUAUUCAGCUACGAGGCAAUGGUGUCAGGGAGCGGAGAUGGCUUAUCCGGGAAUGCAACAAUGGGCGGCAUUUGAUGAAAAGUGCGUGACUGUCCCUUUUCAAAUGAAACCAAAGCGUCCGAAUCCCCUAUUCUGGGUGCGCUUGAAGGACACCGCCGCCUCAAAGCGACUGCUGCAGAGAAGGAAGGCGGCCAGGAAUUUAGGGACAAAGUUACGAUAUACAUUGAGCAUGACCAUUCGACACACGCCAUCCAUUUCUGCACUGCAAGGUUUCAACGUUCGGGCAUCACUGCGCCUCCCUGGAACCAACUUAACAUACAACCUUUGCUUCGACUUCCCAGCAGUGAUCUGUAUCUCCAGACAUCAGUUCGGAAUCGUCUCUAGGAACUUGAAUCAGUCUAUUUGCUUGUCUCCCUGUCUCUCUGUCUGUCUGUCAGAGUUCAGAAGUCCUGGAACAUCACCACCCCUUCGCCGAUUAUGUGCUUUAUUAGGGGACUUUGACAGUUGGUCUGCUGUAAUCGCUAUGGUCAUCGAUGAACUGUUCAUACUCGAGUUGUCUAUCUCAUUGAGAAGGGGAUAUGCUAAAUAACGGAUCUACUGAGAAGGGACAUACUAAAUAAUGGAUUCAGUCCUCGGGCCGGUUUGUGCUAGUGCGUAACGUGUAGCAGUUGAGCUACACCUAGAAAACAAUAAUAGGUACUGGUGAUUAGGCUUAUCCUGUUCGGAGAAAUACACUGUCUAGUUGCUGCGUCACAUAUCCUUCCGCUUCUGGCAUUGGAGGAUGCGCCAACCAGUUAUUUCUUUUUCUUUUUCAACCUUUUUCAAACUUUGAAUACGAUUGUUUUUCAGAGGAGGGGCACACUGUGAUGUUUUCUGUCUGAAGUGUAUUCCCCUACACAACACGGCAGGUUUAUCUGACAUCUCCAACUAUUGAAGGUAUAAAAACAUGCAACAAUGACGGGGUAAGCUAUAAACCUUUCUGAUGCAUGUUUACCCUCUUGAGAUGUUUUUAUUACUUCGCAGUGGUCCGGCCAAACCUAGCCCCGAGCCGAGUCGGCAGUCCAGCUGCACUGCCACCGUGCAAAGCGCUGCUCUGCACUCUACUCUCGCGUAGUCUUCGUCGCGCUCACUCAUCUCCCCAUCCGACCUCGUCGCAAUCCAUCUCAUCUUCACCACCUCACUCUCAUACACUCUGCCUCUCCAUCACGGUCCACCUCUUACCGUUUGAGUCUCUCCCCUGAAUCUCCCGAUCUGUUACUAGAGUUCGUGCGUGUGCGAGAAGCUCAAUUGAUCGUUACUUUGCAUUGCCGUGCUUGACUUCCUCGAAAGCAUUGCCAGUUGCAGCGUAUGAAUGGUUGGAGUUGCAAUCGGAGUGCAGCGCGUGUGAUUGCAUAAGAUUCAUCGUAGGCAGUCAACCUGGGAUCACUGCGACUGGUGGUAAAGUUGCAGUGGGAUUUGACCUCUGGAUGUUGCUAUUCUGAGAGGUGAGAGAAGUAGAGAGGUAUUGUUUUUUGGAGGCUGUGGGGGCAGUUGUGGAGUUUUUGUGUUGGUUUCUGUGUGCUUGGGGUUUUGGAAGUGCAAGGUCGGAGGAGGAGCUCGAAGGAAGCUUAACGGGGUGUUAGAUUGACCAUGCUGGUGUACACUAGCGCGACGCGCCGUCCCUGCCGACUUCCCGGUGCGUGGAGGAGGCCUUGGGAGGAUUUGCACACUGACCACCUUGCGAAAACAAAGUUCUCCAUGGCACGUUAGACUCGCUGUUGAUAGUGCACGCAUGUGAGCUGUAUGAAAACCGCGCUAAGGUUUCAGGAAUCAUUGACUGUAGGCAGGUUUGGGUAGACUCCGGAAUAUUUUAGGUCGCUCCAGACGGUGAAUUCUGGGAUAUUAUUAGGGGGAUUUUUUGCGAUGGAAGAGUCAGACUCGCUCACGAAGAUGGCGAAGGCUUCACGAGGUGCCAAUAUAUCACCAAAGCAAGACAAAAAGAAGCAAGUAUGCCAGAAGAUUCUGCGGCAGCUUGCCGACAAUGAACAUGAGGCUGCUCAGAAACCUGAGUUUGUAGAAGAGCUUCAGGCCCACUUCAACCGUUUGCCAACCAGGUACAUUUUACGAAGGGCUUUUUUCGCCCUCUUGCGCUCAUCUGCUACAAUUCCUCACAGAAUGUAUGAUUGACUGUGUGCGUACAAGAUUUUGGAUGUGGUCCGUGGAUAGCAGAAGAUCGGUUAACAUAGACUGUAUUCAUGUCCCUCGAAGUGCAAGGUGCAUAUAACGAGGAGAAAAGGUCCUGUUAGCGACCAUUUUUUGCUAAAGUCGCAGAGGUCUGAGUUAGUAACGUUCUUUACAGCCCAGGAAGAUUUUAGGAGUGUUUUUUUAUUUUUUAUUUUUUAUUUUUAUCGUGCGCGACAAUCCCAUGGAUGUUUUCGUACAACUGAACGUGGAGGGUCAGAGAUUAUUCUGGUUUUUGGGACAAAUGCAUUCAUUUAAGCGCUUAAUGUGCUCUCAGCUUUAGCACAUGUGCAUCGGCCGUUAACUGUGAUCCAUUCGCAAUGGCCUCGUGUCCAUUUGCGAGUGGCAGUCGUGUUUGAGACGUGGCCAUUUUUCUGAGAUUUGGAACUUGCAGAUAUGCGUUAGACGUCCAUGUGGACAGAGCGGAGGAUGUUCUAACGCACAAACGGCUACUUGAGGAAGCCAAAGUUCCAGAGAAGAGGCCCGUGUUUCACGUACGAGCUGUUCAAGUGAGUAUUCAUUAAUCUGUACCGUCACCUUAGAUCCUAUUACGAUGUUCUACUGGCUGUUCUUAAGCAUAAUAGCUUCUCAGUUUUGCUAACAAGAUAAUGGGACGCUAAGGAAGAAAUAAUGGCUUGCAUGGACAGGUUCUUCCAGUUGAAUCUCAGGAUGAGCCACCGAGCCCAUCAGACCAUAGCACACUAUCGAAAUUCAGGUGCAUCUCUGAUUCCUAUUUUUUCAGGGUUUGGAACGCCACCCAGAUCACUGAUCGAGUCGUGAUCGACACUGUUGAAAUUUAUGGCUCUCACGUGUGCCAUUUGGUGGGUUAUAGAUUAGCGCCUCCAGUGUUUGGAUCCUCGGCGAAUUUAGAAGCUCUUGCAAUGGAUUUCAACAGUAAAUCUGUGGUUCACGGCGAAGAGAGCGAUGACAGCCACCACUCCGAGAGGUAAAGCCCACAAGCUCAAGCACGCGUGUGUUUGGGGAUUCUCAUGACUUAUGAUUGGACUUUCAGGUUUCUGUUAGCAAAUCGUAUGUUCUGCAGCUAACCUUCAAUUACUCUGUUUGUCAGUGCGAGUCACCUGCAAAUACCCAUGCAUGAAAUUACUUUCUCCACGAUUGACAAGCCGAAGCUUCUCAGUCAGGUGGGUGUGGCAUUGCUUGUUCGGUGAAUAAACUAGCGAAUUUUCACAAAGCCCAUUUCAGAUUACAAUUUACAAGUUCCUGCUAGAGUGAUUUUUUAAUGCGAGAGUUUUUUCACGGGUUUGUGAGUAUCAACCGCAUGUGGCCUCUAUUGGCGUGCAGAUGUCUGCUUUGCUCGCGGAUGUGGGGCUCAAUAUUCGUGAGGCACAUGUAUUUUCAACUACAGAUGGCUACUCCCUUGACGUGUUUGUGGUCGACGGCUGGCCAUCAGAGGUAUACCGAAUUUCACUUGUUUAGAGCAGGUGUGCGGUGAAACGCUCAAAGCUAAUCUUAUGUUAUUCAUUUGUGCAGAGAAAACGCACUUAAGUAGUUGCCAUUCUGGAUUGCAGGACACUCAUGAUCUGAGACGAGCACUUUUCAGUGCACUAUCAGCAAUGGAGGUAAGGGCUGGACUGUAACAUAUCACGGCAACCUUUACAACUUAAUUUGUAGUAUUUUCAAUUUUCUAAUUUUGUUUUUGCAGCAUGUAAUCAACGCCGCAACCUGAAUACAGUCAAUGAACCUACGCGCAGGAAGGAGUUUGGUUGAAAACUCCUGCAGCAACAGAGUCUCCAUCAUCACCAUCGUUGCAAAAUGGUGGGCAGAACGGUACACCGAGUUCGUCUAGGACCAGCGUGGAUGACUGGGAGAUUGACAGUACCCAACUUAAAUGCAACAAUAAAGUAGCCAGUGGCUCUUUCGGAGACUUGUGAGUGUUCCUUGCUCCUAGAUGAUUAAUAAGCUCAUGGUUUAUAUCUGACGUUAUUGCACGGACGAUCAAAAUUCCCUGAUUCUCUUGUUUCGUCAAUCCUUCUGUAGGUACCGAGGCACCUACUGCGGACAAGACGUAGCCAUUAAGAUUCUCAAACCGGAGCGCUUGAACGAGAACCUCCAACGAGAAUUUCAACAAGAAGUGUUUAUCAUGCGAAAGGUUAGACAUAAGAAUGUGGUUCAGUUCAUCGGUGCUUGCACCAUGCCUCCCAAUUUGUGCAUCGUUACCGAGUUUAUGUCAGGUGGGAGUGUAUACGACUACUUGCGCAAACAGAAAGUACUCUUGAAAAUGCCAAUGCUGCUUCGAGUGGCCAUUGAUGCCUCCAAAGGAAUGGAUUAUCUCCAUCAGAACAGCAUCAUUCACCGAGAUCUCAAGGCUGCUAAUCUCCUCUUGGACGAGAACGAAGUAAGUUGGACUUUUAUAUCCGUCUGACCUCAAACCCUUCACAUCAAGCCAUCAUCUUGUUUUAUUGGUUUCUGCCUAUGCAUAUUUUUGUUGGAUGUACAUGAAACUGAUGCUGAUUUCUGUGCUGCAGGUGGUCAAGGUAGCCGAUUUCGGAGUUGCAAGGGUGCAAUCCCAGUCAGGUAUCAUGACGGCAGAAACCGGCACAUACCGUUGGAUGGCACCUGAGAUUAUUGAGCACAAGCCAUAUGACAAGAAGGCUGAUGUGUUCAGCUUCGGAAUUGUGCUCUGGGAGCUUUUAACUGGAAAGGUUCCUUACGCAGAUAUGACUCCACUUCAAGCUGCCGUGGGGGUUGUACAGAAGGUAAUUUUGUUUUUCUGCACAGCUCUCGGUUGCUGCAUUGAAUGUCGUUCGUUUACUUCUUUUGUUAUGAUGCACUUCGAUGCACUUUGAGUAGGAAGUUGUGGAGUAAAGCAUGUUGUAGGAAUUUGCUGAAAGAUGUGUCGUGUUCAUGUUUUUAUUUUUUUGAUCAGGGCUUGCGACCUACUAUGCCUAGGAACAUUCCUGCAAAGCUGGUGGAUCUUUUGCAACGUUGUUGGAAGACUGACCCAUCAGAGCGCCCCGGAUUUUCUGAAACUACUGUGAUUCUACAAGAGAUUCUUAAAGAGGUACUUAUCUGUCACUCAUGGUUAGUAGAGUUCUAAAAGAGGUUCUUGUCUACCACUUACGGAUUGUUGAGUUUCCAAGGCUGUUGUGUGUCUACUCUACUUUCCUGUUUUCCAUGAGAACCUUUUUUUCUGUUUAUAAUCAACGAGGUGGGGUCUCUCAUUGUGCAGGUGAAUGAAGAGUUGGACAAUGAGAGUAAGCAGCCCAGGGACAAAAAGUCGAGUGGGUUGUUUUCCUCCUUCAAACGCUCCAUUGUUAGUAAAUAGCAAUUUUGAUAGUUCUUUAGGGUUUGUUUGUGGCAGGAGAGUUCUAGGUUGCUCUAGUGAAUCCCUUCUUUUAAAUUCCUUAGUACUCUUUACAGGGCAUCGCCUCUAGAUUUGGUGGAUACACUUUUGUUUCGACCUCCUUUAAAGUCAUUGUGGCUAUGCAAUAUUUAUAUACAAAGUAGAUGGCAUUUAAUUUAAUAUAAAAAUAUUUUAAUCAACUACAAUAUUUGAAAAAUAUAUAUAUAUAUAUAUAUAUAUAUAUUUGUACAUACAUAUUUGUAAUUUUUAUAAUGGUACAAUAAAAAGAUUAGUAAAAUUCCUUUACAAAACUCAUCUUAGACUUGUAUAAACUAAUAAUUAUCUUGACCGAUUCUUUAGUAGGUUAAACUUCACCAACUCUUAACAAAUAUUAAUGGCAUUAGUUGCACUAAAGAUUGUUGAAGUAUUAUUUUCUAAUGAAUCUUAUAUCCAAAUUAAUUUCUAAUAUUAUCUAGAUAGAUUAUAAUAUCAAAGAAAAAAUCAACUUUAUAUUUUAUUUUAUUAUUAUCACUCCUAUGUUAUAGAAGAAAACAAUUGAAGUUUAAAAUACUUCUUUAUAGAAUUAUUGUCUUGCAAUAUUAUUUUUGUAGUUUAACCUACUAGAUACAAUCAAAUUGUAGCAUUUUAUUAUAAUUAAUAAUAUAAGAGAGUUUUAAGAAAACCUCAAAGCCAUGUUAAGUUGCUACUUAAUAUUUUUUCAAUAGCAAACUUGUAGAAAGUUAUUGCUCCUUUAUUCAAAAAAGAUUGCAUUUCUAAAUCUUGUCUUUUUAUCUUUAUAAAUUUCAUCUUAUUAGACAAUAUUAUUGAAUGCAUAAUACAUUUAGUUCAUUCAUGUAAUUUUAAUAGUAGUUCUUUACAAUAUAUAUAUAUAUAUAUAUAUAUAUAUAUAUAUAUAUGUAUAUAUUUUAUUAUUAAAAUUAGGUAAGUUUUAUAAAAUUAAAAUGAGUUUUAAUUAUAUUUUUAGUUAGCUAGCUACAACAUAGGAUUGUUACUAUAUUUUAGUAUAAGUUUUAAUCUUUUUGUAAGCUAUAAACUUUUGAAUGAAGUAUAUUUGUAAAGAAGAUCUACAGAUAUCAAAUACAAGAAAUUUGUUUAGAAGUAAUUAUUCUUUGAUUCAAGAAGUUAUAGUUUGCUAUAAAUAAAUAUAGGUUUUAAUAAGUAUGUUUACUUUAAUGUGUCUUUCAAAGUAGAUCUUGUAAUAAAGUGGAGUUUUUAAGAAAGGUCAUUAAAAAUCAUAUAUUAUAAUUGUAUAUAUGUAAAUAAUUUAUUGAUAUUCAUAUUAGCUAGGAGGCAAUAAUUUAUGUGUGUUUUACUUAAAAGUUGUAAUAACCAUUUGGAUGUUCUAUCUCUUAUUUGUUGUUCUUACACAAUAUCUAUUUAUACAAAGAUACUUGUUUAUAUGGUAAGUUAGAAGUUAGUUUUUAGUUUCUUAUUUGUGGUUCAUUUUUUCAACCUCAAUAAUUAUAGAUUAGUAUUUCUUUGGCACAUUUAUCCCAUAUUCAUAAAGUCUAUUGUAAUUCAUUAUAAAAUAGAUCAAUUUUAAGUAAGACCAAAAAUAUAAAUAGACUUGCAAUGUAUUGGUUUGUUGAUGUAUUAUGUGUCUUGACUAAUUCUCAAUCAUUGGUGACAUCUUAUAUACUCAAUAGUUAUAAUCUAAGUAGAAUAAAAUAUUCUUAUUAUUAGAAUUCUUGUAUGUUUCAUUAAUUUUGUUUUGUUUUGUUUUUUGUUUUGUUUUUUGUUUUUUGUUUUUGUUUUGUUUUGUUUUGUUUUGUUUUUGUUUUUGUUUUUUUUUUUUUUGUUUUUGUUUUUGUUUUUUUUUUUUUUUGUGUUUAAUUGUAGGUCUUCUUUCCAUGGCUCUUUAGUAUUAAAAAGAGAUAUUUUUGUUGCUAAUAAUUUUUUUAUUGUUAUGUUGAAAUAUUGAUUGAUUGUUAUCAUUUAAUAUGAUUUGUAGCUAAAAUAUAAUUUGGAUGAAGCAAGUUAGAAUGAGACAAUCUUUAAUUAAAUGUGAAUUGAAAAGAUGUUUUUUUUUGUAAUUGAUGGAAAAUAAAUAAAUAAUUUUUUAAUUGGCUAAAUUUAUUUUUUCUACUUUUAUAUGUAAUAUUUUUUUUACUUCAUAUUAAUAAAAAUAAAAAUAAUAUUGAUUUGUAUAGAAGUUAUAGCUAUCUCUUUUUUAUUUAUCUUUAAAUAUAUCUCAAAUUAGCUUAAUUCUUCAUUCAAAUUUAAAAUUGUCAUUCAUAGUUGCAUCACACAUAUAUUCUAUUUUUGGUUUUAAAGAGAUUUUAGUAAGGCCUUUUGGAUUAUUUUAUAGAACUUGUUUUAUAAAUUCUAGUAUAGAACCAUCCUAACAUAAAAUUCUUUGGAUAUCUUGAAGAUAAUGUUUAUAAGCCAUAGAUUUAUACCUUUUGGUAAUUGUCUAGAUCCUAAAAGGUAUACCAUAAUAACACAUUUGUUUUUCAUAAAGCUUUGUUUUGUUUAUGAGCGACACAAGAUCCAACUUUAUAGAGACAAUUUUUUGAUUAAAAAUAAUCUAUUACAAUUCUAACAAAAGCCUUCAAAUAACACUUCUUUGCAUUAAGCUUGUAUGGAAAAAACAUCAAUAUAUUUCUUAAAAUCUGUUACAAUUGUAUUUAAUUCAAAUUUAUUGAUUCCAAUUUAAAAUGCAUAUUUCAUUCCCUUCUUACACUUCUAAGUUUCUUGACAAAAUAUGAGUAAAGACAACUAUAACUCCAUGUGAUUCCAAGCUUGUUAUCCCAUUGUUACUAAUAGUAUUGUUGUAACAUCCUUGGUGCAUUCUUGGUGCUAAUGUUGGACAACGAAUUAGUGUUACACUUCACAUGUAUAUCUCCAAACCAAAAACCUAAUGUUUCCAAAGAGUGGGUGAAUCUUAAAAAAUAUUCAAGGACCAAAGAACCCUAACAAUGUGCUACGACAGAACUUUCUUGUAAUUUUUUCUUUAACAGAGAAGGAAAACACCCCUUUUGUUUCAAAAUAAAGAAAUAAAAUAAAUCGAAAUAUGAUUGCUAUUGCUAUUGCGACCCUACCACACAAGUACAUUUCUUGGUGUAGAAGUUGUGUUGCUAUUUUCCGGUCGCAUAGGACAGGGAUCAAUCAGUACGUAAAAAUAGAUGCUAAAAUCCAGUUUGUGGCAGUGUAAAUUGGGAAUUCCUAUACUACUUCAAGGAGGAUGUGCACGUUGCCAGAGACAGCUUAAGUCAAUCCCUUCAUCAAAUAUCCUUCAAACUAUCUAUCUCUCUUUUUGAGGAGUACAUUCUCAGCAAGUGUGCUCCACGAACAGGGCGACUACAGAGUCAGCACCAAGAUAGAAAAGCAACCUGUAGUGUUCUGCUUCGUUGCGUAUACCCAGUUUAGUAAAUCUUCUUAUGUCAUUGCUACUCAAACUUAAGAAGGACGACACACUUGAAGGUAACCUGUAGAACACUUAAUCCUUGACAGGUUUUUGCUCAAAGAAAUUGCGGAAGCUGAAAGAAGUAUUUUCUACCUGCUUCUCCUUUUUGUCAGGAGUAGGCUUGGGAGGGUCAGUCUUCUUCUUGCCGUCCGAGUCCGGGAGAAUUGAGGGUAGCUCGAUUUGCUGAAGCUUUUCCAACAAGUUGGGGUUUUCAGCUGCAUCCCCGAUAGACUCUUUGUCCUUCUCUUUCGGCUCCUCGUCCGAACUGAAUAGCUCUCCCACAUAUCCAAACGGAUUACUUAGCUUACCUGCAACUCUUUUCGUCACUUUUACCACUUGAAACCUCCAGACCAUGGUGGUGACCGCCAUGAAUCCUAGUAACCAAUGUGUAAUUCUGUUGCUGUUCACGAUAGCUUUGCGCAUGCUACUAUCAGAAGACGCAGGGUUAGUCCUCGACUUCCUCCUCUUCUGUGAAGACGACUUCAUUGAUUUCAGAAUGAGCUCCAUUGCCUCGGUGUUCUUCGUCAUCGACACCGCAGCAGCCUCAGCUGCAUCUGCUGCUGCUUUGGCAGCCAUAGCUGCCGCUUCCAGGACCAUUCUCAGUUCUUCAUUGGUUGAGGACGAUGGUUUCUCUCUACCACGUCUUCUUUCGAAACUCCGGCCUCUGGCAGGUUUUGGAACUCUCUGAACUUCCGUUCCGAAUGCUUCAGAAGGUAUCUUGGAGCCGGUGGUCUGAUUUCUCCUCAAAUCAUGCACCUGAACAUUUACAUAAGGAUUUAGUAGAGUGCACCAAACUCAAGAACUUCUGUUACAUUCUUUAUGAAGUCCAAUGUUUACUUACGACGAGGAUGCGUCAUAUGAUACACUGCACGCACGGAAGUUGUCUGUAGUGUAUUCUAGAUUACCUCCAUGUGCUUAGAUUUACCAUUAUACUUGCACGGGUUUCCUCGAUUAGCUUUACAGGAUUUUCUUUAUUAAAAUCAAUUCAUAAUUCAUGAUUUCCACUUGUAAUAUUUAUGCAGUAUUUCAUUGAACCAAGUAGAAAUAUAGACAUCCACUUAUGAUCAGUUAUUUAUAAAGAAUGUAUUUACCAUAAGGUUAGAUAUCCAUAUGUAGUAGAUGAAACCACCCAGAACGACUCACAAAAAAAUGCAAUUCCUAAGAGAUAUAUAUAUAUAUAUAUAUAUAUAUAUAUAUAUAUACACACACAUAUAAAAGGACCACUAGAACAUUCUGAGACAAAGCUCGAACACAGACUAUCCUAGCAAAAUUGCAAACCAAUUUUAUCAUCCUACACACAGAUCACACUAAUGUAGAGAUCAAAGAAAGGAAAAAUAUCCACGGACCUGCUCCAACAACUUUGUAAGCAACGCUCUGUCUUCAGAGUCCGUGACCAUGGCUGGCGGAGCAUCUCCCAGGUCAGCCGAUGGGUUCUCCUCGCCUUCUGCAUUGAGGGAACCUCCUCGGAGUCUCGUCUCUACAACCGCCUUCGCAUCUUCCGAAUCAGCUUGUGAAGAAUAUUUCUUCAGCGUCCGAAGAAUCACGUCUUCCACUAAAGUCAAAAUAUCUUCACUACACCCCUCGCUGAGAGUAUCAUCAUUCUCCGUUUGUGUUAACCCAGCAGUCCCCGAAGCCGCAGACGACGUAAACUCCGUCCUAUCCAUCACUUCAGCUUGCCAUCAUCUCCAGUGAUAUUGGCGCUACUCAUCGCAGUCUCAAAGCACGUCUACGAGUACCCAUUUCCUUGCAAAAUCUAAUCACCUAUCCUAAUAGAUGAUGUAACUCGCUCAUUGCACAAUUGAUAAAACUAUCUACUCUUAACUCGCUCACUCUCUCUCUCUCUCUCUCUCGCUCUCGUUGUGCCCAUACUCUAGUAUUCCAUUUUCACCAUAGCCUAUUUCACAGAACUCUCAUAUGAUUCCCGUGUGCGCAUUCUGCGUGCAUUGCGCCAAGGAUUAAAGCCAACGGCACCAGAGUAAUACUCGUCCACAUAAAACUAUCUUAUCCACAAGGCUAAAUGCAAAACAAGGGGUGACACUAAGCCUGCAGCAAGGUCCCUCAAGCAUCAAUUCGGUGCCCACCUCCAACUCUUCUUGCCAUUGUCAAAUCCUCCAGAGACAUGAAACCCUCGCAGCCCACAUCCCUCAAUACGGAUUUUACUGCAACGCUGAUCCAUGUGCACAGGAAACACUCACCCACUGGUCGAAGAAUGCAGAGAUGUGGGUCGACACUACCUUUUGGAGUGAUGCCAGCUCUGCUGCAUCAACCUAAUUUAGCAGUCCCUUCGAAUUGGGUUUGUUGCCACAACCUGGUUUUGUUCAAAAAACAUAUUGACUGUGCUGUGUUUUGGAAGUCGAAAAUCAAGGUGAGGGCACUAAAGGUGGGAGUUUUCAUUUUAUCAGUAGCUAUUCCUUCUUUUGUUCCCUAAUGAGUAAUAAGGAACUUGUUGACAAAUUCUAUGAUAGAAUGAUAGAAUUAUCAAAAAAAUAAUCUUGUAACACAUCAAAUCAUAAUUUACUUUAUAUAAUAUUGAUUGUUUUUAAAAUUUUAAAAUUAAUCAUUGUCAUCGAUAUAUAUAUAUAUAUAUAUAUAUAUAUAUAGAUGUCAAAGAUAUGAAUUUCAAAGAAAGAAAAUCUCAAUACUCUUUUGUGUUACUCAAAAAGACUUAAAAAUCAUUCAAAGAUGGUAACACAUUGAACUAAAAUGGCUAUUACCAAAGACAAGAAGACUAGAAAGUCUUGAAACAAGACUAAGGACUAAAAAGACUUUGACAAGAGUGAAGAAGGCUUCAUUCUUGCAUCUAUAUAUAUUCUUUAAUUAGAAGUUAUGUGACAAUCUUUUGUAGGACUUCCAACAUAUAUUGACUUUGUUAAAUACAUGUCUUAACUUACAAGGCAAGUUAGCUAUAUGUAUACUACAUAAUUAGCUUGUUUUAUAAGCUAUCAAUACAUAUGGUAUAUGAAUAACUUGUUGACCAAGUUUUUAACCUAUCAAUCAAGUACAAACAUGUGUAAAGUCAAAAUUGUAUCUAUGAAGUUUCUAAGAAGCUCUUCUAGAAAAUAUUAUGAAAUUAAUUUAUAUUUAUCUAUUUUUAUUUUAACAUAUAAAUAACUAUUCAAAUAAAUGUGUAUGUCCAUAAUAUAAUCAUUAUUUUUAAGAACAAAUUUUUUGAGUAGUGGUCAUCAUCUUUUAUAUAUCUUACAAUUCUUCAUUUUGAUUUUAAUAGAUAUCAUUGAUGAAAAGCCUCAAUCUUCUUUGUUGCAUUGGCAAGAUUCUUUGUUGGCUCCUAUGUGCAUUCACAAAUAUCAUAUGAGCGCCAAUAAAUAAGAUAUUUCAACUUAUUUUGGUGUUGCCUUGAAUCUAAGACUUCUUCUACUUCAAACUCUUCAUUAUUAUCUACUUCUAUAGGAAGAAGUGACAUUUGUCUUUUUUCUAAGAUAUUCACUGUCUUAUAUGGUUCAAGAAGAAAUAUGUGGAAUAUAAGAUAGAUUGUCAUAGAUUCUAAUAGAUGUAAUAAAAAAGCAACAAGAUUGACUUAUUGACAAAUAAAAAAAGGUCCAAGCCUAUAAUAGUCCAACUUAUCAUAAGAAUAAGUAGUCUUGAAAUUGCAACAAAGUAAUUAUAUCUUUUUAUCGACAUUGAAUUAUGGUUGUAUCUUGAGAUAGGCAUCUACAUUAGUCUUUUGUCAUUUUUGAGCUUCGUUUAACUAUGCCUUCAUUAUUGCAUAUAGCUCUAACAAAUAAUUUCUCAAAUCUUUUGCCACAUGUUUAUCAACUUUUGAAAAGUCAAAAGUAUCAAUUUGUAGAUGAUAACCAUAAUUGGCAAAAAAAAAAAAAUUGUUGAAUAGAAGAAUAUAUCAAAUUAUUAUAUGUAAACUUUGCCAAUGAUAAAAGAGUUGUCCAAUCAUCUUAAUGAUAGUUGAUGGUAUGCUUCAAAUACUAUUGUAGAAUUUGAUUCAUUUCUUUUGUUUGUCCAUCAAUUUGAGGAUGAAAAGUCAAAGAAAGCUUUACAUCUACUAUUAGAAUCUUGAAAAGGAUUUUCUAAAAUCUUAAUAUAAAUGAAUCCUUCUAUCUGAUAUAAUAUCCUUAAAAAAUCCAUGAUAGUAAUAGAUAUUGUCAAAAAAAACUUAGUAGUUUUUUUACUUAAGAUAGAUUUUUUAUAUAAUAUAAAAUGUGCCAUCUUAGUAAAAUAAUCUACUUUUAAAAAUAUAAAAUCAUAAAAACUUAAAAUUAGAAGAUCCAUGAUAAAAUUCAUAGAUACAAAAGACCAUAGUAGUUUUAGAAUAUAUAAUAGCUGAAGAAGUUAAUAAGAUUAAUGACAAAGAAUUUUUGAUCUUGAAAAAAUAUUACAUGAUUGUAUAAAUUCUUUUACAGCCUUACAUAUUUGAGUCUAUUAAUUUUUUUUAUAUUAGUGCCAAAGAAUUAUUGUAUCCAAAAUAUUUAGUUGCUUAAAAGUUGUCACAAGCUUAAAGAAUAUAUAAUUGUCAUUUAUCUUUUGGAAUAUAUAAUUUUUCUUCAAAAUAAAAUAGAUUAUCUUUGAAUUUAAACUUAAAAGUAUGAUGAGACUUAGAAAAAUUAUUCUUAAUAUUAUGAAUAAGAUGAUCAGAGGACAUACUUGAUUGAAUUUGCUUAACAAAGGUUGAAUCAAUAGUCAAUAUUGUUUUUAUUGUUCAAAAAUGAAAAUGCUCUAGCUUCAAGAAAAUUGUUCUUUUUUGGUUAAAAGUUAUAUAUCUUUCUUUGGAUGUAAGAUAAGAAUGUCUAAAAAAAGUAUCUAAUAAAUCUUGUUAUUUUUUAAGUUGAUAAAUAAUCUUGAAACCAAAUCUUGAUAAAAACAUGAUUUAACAAGCUUGGAAAUGAUUCAAAAUAUGUGCUGACAUAAAGUAGUUGAGAUUCUUGUGAUCUAUAUAUACAAUGACUAGAUUAGAAGCACUUUUUAGAUAAUAAUGCCAUUCUUAAAAUGAAUAAGCAAUUGUAAGAAAUUCUUUGUUGUGGAUUUCAUAAUUAAUCUUGAUUGCUAAAAAUUUCUUAGAAUAAAAAGCUACUAGAUGGAGCUUGUCAUGUACUCUUAUUUGUCACAAAAUAAUACUUAUAGAAAAGUCUAAUAUAUUUUUUUCCAUAAAAAAUAUCUUAAAAAAAUUGAUACAAUAUAAAAUUAAUACAAAAAUAAAUGUUGUCUUUAAGGCUUCAAAAGAUGCUUCAAUUUCUUUGCUCUACUUAAGUUUAUCUUUACAUGUCAAGCAUAUAAGAAAAGCCGCAACUUAAAAAAAGUUUUUGAUGAAGAUCUUGUAAUAAUUAGCAAAUCUCAAAAAUCAUUAUACAUCUUUGAUUGUUUUUAAAAUCUUUCAAUCCAUGAUAGUCUAAAUCUUUUUUGGAUCUAUUAUUAGUCCUUCAUUGAAAAUGAUGUAUCUUAAGAGGUCAACUUAAGUAAUGUAGAAUACAUACUUUUCUAUCUUGGCAUACAAUCCUAUAUCUCUAAGUUUUUGUAACACAUGACAAACAUGAAGUUCAUAUUUUUUUAUAUUCUUAGAGUAGAUCAAAAUAUUGUCCAAAUAAUAGGCAACAAAAUCAUCAAGAAAUUCACAAAAAAUUUCAUUCAUGAAAUAAUAAAAAGUAACUGAUGCGUUUGUGAGUUCAAAAGGCAUAACAUUAUAUUUAAAAUAUCUAUACUUAGUUUGGAUACUAGUCUUUUAUUCAUCUCUUUCUUUCAUAUAAAUCAGAUUAUAUGCUUCUUGUAGAUUUAUUUUUAUAUAAAUCAUUGCUUAAUUGAAUUAAUUAAGAAGUCUUAAAACCAGAAGUAGGAAAUACCAAUUUUUGACAGUAAUUUUGUUAAGUCUUUGAUAUUCUAUGCUCAUCAGCAAAGAUCCAUCUUUUUUCUUCACAAAUAAGAUAGGAGUUAUUGUUGGAGAUUUUGAAUGGCAUAUGAAGUUUUUAGCCAAGUUCUCGUCAAUAUAUUCUUUUAGUGCAACCAACUUAUUUUGCGAUAAGCUAUAAAUAAAUCCAAAUAGUGGUUGAACUCCUUCUUACAAAUCAAUGGAAUGAUUAUAAGGUUGAUGCUCCAAAAGAAUAUAUAUAUUUUUUUUUUUUUCAAAAAUAACUUAGAAAUCUUGAUAUUAGCUAAAAAUACUACUUGAUGUCUUUCUACCAUCAAAAAUGGGCAUGACAUAUAUAGUAAAAGAUGAACUUUCUUUUGCCACAAUGUUAAAAGUUUUUGUACAUAUCAAUAAAGGUUUGGAUGUAUUAAACUUCUGUCUUUCUAUUUGACUAACGAGAUUUUCAAUCAAACUAUAAAAAAAAUUAAGAUUAUAAGAAAUUCAAUCUAUCUAAGGAUCAUAAUUUUUUAACUAUAAUAAUUCUAAAAUAAUUGAAUUAGAUAGAUAUCUUAUAACAUUAAAUAUUACUAUACUAUUAUAAUCUUUAAUUGUUACAUCUAAAGAAAUAAUCUUAUAGAUAUCAUCUCUAAAAGAUAAUAAAUAACCAUCUAUGAUUUUUAUAUGUAUAGGUUUAGUUUACUUAAUUAAUAAUAUUUCUUGUUUUUUUGACAAAAUCUUCAUCUAUUAAAUAAGAUGAGGCUCUUUAAUCUAACAAGGCUAAGACUUUGUGAUUUUUUGUUCACAAAUAAACUUCUAUUGUAAAACAAGGUGAAAAAUUUGAAGAAAAAGUUAGACCUUUAUUAGAUGUUAUACAAGAUUCUAACUGCACGAUCUCUAAUAUAGCUAGAAAAACUCAUUUUUUGACACAUUAUCCUCUUUGGCAACCAUGCUCUCUAUUUUGAAAUUGCAUUGCUUCUUUGAGUAAUGUUGAAUAAUGAACUUUGAUUUUUUAGAAUAUAAGUACAAAUCUUCUUAAUGACAAUGAAUCUUUUCUUAUUCAAUAAGAAAUGAAAAACAAACUAUGUCAUUUUACAUAGGCUUUGGCUUGAAUAAGUAAGCUUUUGAAAACUUAGAAGAUGUUUCUAUGGCUUGACUUCUAUUUCUCCAAUCAAAUCUUUGUUCUUGGCAUCUUUCAAAAAAUCAAUUGUUACAUAUAAUGGCUUAAGCAAUAAUUUAUUUUAACAAAUUUUCUUUUGAUAUUGUUAAUAAUUAAUCUUUGAUAUUAUCUUAUAAUUUAUAUUAAAACUGAUUGAUAAGGGCUUUGUCAUUUCAAUCCACAUUACAAGCAAGAUUUUGGAAUUUAAUAGCAUAUAUAGUGACUAAAGCUGAUCUUUGUCAUGGCAAUACAAGCUAAGUCUUUGUUAUGUUUUUUUAAUCAUUUUUUUCAAAUAUAUCCAUAAAUACUUCAAAAAAUAAAUUCAAAUUAUAGAGUAGUCGUGAAUCUUUUUUCAUCAAAAAUACAAACUAAAAGAAAAUACUUUUUGAAAGAAGUGCUUUUAUGAAUCUUACUUGAAUAAAUCUAUUGAAGUAUUGGAAAGGAUGGAAUAUUAAAUAGAGCUUAAUUUUUUAUAAAAAUCAUGGAAAUUUUGAUCUUAUUCCAUCAAACUUCCUAGGCAUACUAAUUCUUGCCUCUCUUAUGCUUAUAGAAGCAAAACUUUGUAAAUUUGGUUGUGAUGCUGAUCUACUUGUCCCCUUCAACUACACAUCUUUGCAAAGACUCUAAACUUCUUUUAUAUAUAUAAGAAUAAUACCUCUAUAAUUCACAUUAAAAAUACAUAAGAUUUUUAAUCUUGGAGUGUUGAUAAACUUGUGAAGAUCUAUAGUAGUUGCAAAUCUAUUGUCACUGUCACGGCCAUAAUCAUGUAAGCUAAUAAUUACAUAUAGAAAUAGGUAGAAGUAAGUAAAAGUAGAUAAAAGUAAGUUAAUUAUAUAAUAUUUAAUAUAGAAGCUUCCUAGAAACUUCCUAGAUGCUGCUUUGACUUCAUAGGUGUCUUUAAUUGACUUUUUGGAUUAGAAACGUGGUCAACAAGUUGGCCAUGUGCCACACAUGUUGUUAGCUUGAAGAUCAAGCUAACUAUGUGGCCCACACGUAGAAAAACUUGCCUUGUAAGUCAAGGCAUGUGUCCUACAAAGUCAACACAUAUUGGAGGUCCUAUAGAACGUCGCCACGUAGCCCCUAGUUAGAUAGUAUAUAUAGAGACAAGAGUGAAGGCUUCUUCACUCUUGUCAACUCCUUUCUUGCUUCUAGUCCAGGUUCAAGAGUCUUUAGUUUCUUGUCUUGUGGCAAUAGCCAUUCCAGUUUCCUUUUAAUAUACCUACUUGUUUAUAUUUUGACUUAUUAUAUCGAGAUAGCCUUUUGGUGUAUAUUUUUUCUCAUCGAGUCUUUGUCCUUGACAGAUUGACAAGAGUACACUUACAAUAUCAGAGCUUUGUUUUUUCUUGAGUAAGAGUGGAUUACCCCUUUCUCUUGACAAGACAUAAGCGUAUUAGAAGUUUGCGGAUUACCCACUUCUAAACUGAUAUUGUUCUUAGUAUCUUCUUUAUUAUCAAGUCUUUCUUUUCUUUUGUCUUGAGUAAUAUCAAACAAAUUUUUCUUCUUAGUGUCAUUAUGGCAGAACUUGUUGAAAUGAAGAGUGCAAUGGCACAAAUGCAAGAGCAAAUGAGGGAGUUAAUGCUUGCGAUGCAUCAACUCAAUUCACCAACACAUGAAAGAACAAGAAUAGCAGAAAGUGGAGAUAUAGAGAUGAUCGGAGCUACUUCAACAUCUACAACAAAUCACGUUCCUUCUCCAAUUGUACAACACCCUAUAAGCACUAGAGAACCAAGAAUUGCCUUACCUGAGAAAUUUGAUGGUACGAGAUCAAAGUUUCGAGGGUUCAUCAAUCAAGUACAAUUGGCAAUUGAACUUCAACUGCAAAGCUAUCCAACUCCAGGAUCACAAGUCAGGUUUAUUGGCACUCUACUUUCUGGUUCUGCAUUAUCGUGGUUUUCGUCUUUUCUUGAACAACGAAAUCCAAUAUUGGAUAAUUUGGAAGCUUUUUUGGCGGAGUUUCGAUCUAUGUAUGGUGAACACGAUGCAACUCGUGUUGCAACAAAUAAGAUCCGAAUUCUGCGACAAGGAAAUCGCUCAGUAACAGUAUAUGCUUCACAAUUUCGACAACUUGCAAUUGACAUCAAGUGGGAUGAUGCUGCACUCAUCAGUCAAUUUCUUUAUGGAUUGCAAUACGAAGUAAAGAAAUUGAUGCUCAACUUACCUGAUCCUCAAACUUUGAGUCAAGCAAUCGAUUUUGCGGUAAAAUGUGAUAAUCGACUUUUUGAAUUUUGAUCUGAGAAUCAUUCACGGGAACCUCAACGUUAUUACUCAAUGGCAACAUCAACAUCUUUGCCAAACGUACAUUUGGAAGUAGAAGACAUGCAAAUUGACGCAGUACGUUUUAAACCUCUAACUGAGCAAGAAAAGAUUCGUCGUCGUCAAGAAGGAUUAUGUUUAUAUUGCGGAGAACCUAAGCACACUGCUCAACAUUGUCCAAAGAAACGACGCAACUAUAAAAUGAGGGGUACGACGGUCAAAGAAGACAACAUGUCGGAAAACGGAUUCGUCCAGCUACAAUAGGGACCGUGCAGCUGGAACCUUGUACAAUUCCUAAUGAAGGUCCUAUCCUCUCCUCAGAACCCUCUCCUUGUUUUAUAAUAGACUUAUAUUUAGGACCUAAGAAUUACAAAGCCUCUACUUUAUUAGAUUCGAGAGCCUCAGCAUGUUUUUUAGAUGAACAAUUUGUUAAAAGUCGUAAAAUACCCUUUGUACAGAAACCUAAACCAGUACAUGUAGAAGUCAUAGAUGGUCGUCCCUUGUCUUCUGGAGAUGUCACUCAUGAAACUCAUCCUAUAAAAGUAACAAUAGAUGGUCAUGAUAGCUACAUAGCUUUUAACAUAAUUAAAUCUCCGUCCAAUCCAGUUAUUUUAGGUUUAUCCUGGCUAGAAAAAUAUAACCCUCGAAUAGAUUGGAAUUCGCAUAAACUUGACUUUUCCAAAAGCGUUAUUAAUAGUUCUACGAACCAAGUAAAAAAUUAUAAGUCUAGUACAAUAAAACCCGUACUGAUAGGUGCAAAAGCAUUUAUACACGCAGCAAAAGAAAGAUCAACUUUUGCUAUUUAUGCUGCACCUAUUUCUGAAAAUGUAAAGACUUCAAGUGGCAUUCCAAGUCAAUAUCAGGAGUAUCAAGACGUUUUUGAGAAAAAGAAUGCAGAUAUUCUUCCUGAGCAUCGUCCAUAUGAUUGUUCAAUCGACCUCAAGGAAGGAACUCAGCCACCAUUUGGACCAAUUUACAGUUUAUCGCAAGAUGAGAUGGCUAAACUCAAGACAUAUAUUGACGAGAAUUUAGCGAAGAAUUUCAUACGCCAUUCAAAAUCUCCAGCAGGAGCUCCAAUUCUAUUCGUAAAGAAAAAAGAUGGAUCUUUACGAAUGUGUGUUGAUUAUCGAGGACUCAACAAGAUCACAAUCAAGAACAGGUAUCCAUUACCUUUGAUAUCAGGACUCCUUGACCAGUUGAAUCAAGCUAAGAUCUAUACAAAAAUAGAUCUAAGAGGAGCAUAUAAUCUAGUACGGAUCAAAGAAGGAGAUGAAUGGAAGACUGCGUUUCGAACCAGGUAUGGACAUUUCGAAUAUAAUGUCAUGCCCUUUGGACUCACGAAUGCACCAGCUGCUUUUCAACAUUUCAUGAAUGAUAUAUUUCAUGAAUUCUUAGACAAUUUUGUCAUCUGCUAUCUAGACGAUAUCCUGAUCUAUUCUAAGAACGUCGAAGAACAUGAAAUACAUGUUCGUCAAGUAUUACAAAAACUUAGAGAUGCAGGAUUGUACGCCAAGAUGGAAAAGUGUGUAUUUCACACUACUCAAGUUGACUUUUUAGGAUACAUCAUUUCAAAUGAUGGUCUCAUGAUGGAUUCUAAGAAAGUCCAAACAAUCGUGGAUUGGAAGAUUCCAAGGACGAUAAGAGAUGUCCAAUGUUUCUUGGGAUUUGCCAAUUACUAUCGGAUCUUCAUCAAAGAUUUCUCACGAGUUGCAGCUCCACUUACACGCUUGACUAGUAAAGAUAAAUUUCAAUGGAAUCAAGAAGCGGAAGCAGCAUUUGAAGCCUUGAAGACAUCGUUUGUCUCUGCACCAGUCUUAUAUCGUGUUGACAUUUCCAAGGCAUUUUUUAUGGAAACAGAUGCAUCAGAUUUUGCCUUGGGUGCAGUUUUAUCACAAAUGGGAACAGAUGACAAACUCCAUCCGAUAGCUUUUCAUUCAAGAAAAUUCUCAGCAGCCGAGAUCAAUUAUGAGAUCCACGAUAAAGAACUUCUUGCGAUCGUGGAUUCCUUUCAAGAAUGGCGUCAUUAUCUAGAAGGCGCUUCUAGUCCAGUCACUGUGUAUACAGAUCACAAGAACCUCGAGUAUUUCUUGUCAGCACGCGUGUUGAAUCGUCGUCAAGCUCGUUGGAGUAUGUCUUUGUCAAGAUUCGAGUUCAUUAUCACUUAUCGGCCAGGAAAACAACAAGGUUUAUCCGAUGCCCUAUCUAGAUGUUCUUAUUUUGCACCAAAAGAAGGAGAUGCAGCUUUUGAGCAACAAAGAACGGUCCUCUUGAAACCGGAGCAAUUUCAUCUCCGAGCAAUGAAAUCAACAUUGACUGUUGAUUCAACUUUUCUCAAGCAAAUCCAGUCCAGUAUGUCCUCAGACCCUCUUGUUUAUGAUAUCGAGAAUAAUUCUUCCAAGUCUCAUGAUCCUUCUAAGUUUGAGUUCAAGAAUAAUCUAUUAUAUUUUGAAGGACGCCUAUAUGUUCCAGAAGGAGAAGCACGUUUACGUGUUCUUCAAGCACGUCAUGACUUUUCAGCAGCAGGGCACUUUGGAUAUAAUAAGACUUUGGAACUCAUAUCAAGAGAUUUUUGGUGGCCACAAAUGUGGAAGUCAGUCAAAGACUUUGUACAAUCAUGUGAUAUUUGUUCAAGAUCAAAAAUUCCUCGUCAUCGACCUUACGGACUUCUUCAGCCAUUACCUAUAUCAGAACAACCAUGGUCUUCUGUUUCUAUGGAUUUCAUCACAGAUCUUCCAAGCUCAAGAUCUUAUGAUUCUAUAUUUGUAAUAGUAGAUCGUUUCACCAAGAUGGCACAUUUUGUGCCAUGUACAAAAUCUAUCACAGGUGAAGAAACAGCUAAGCUUUUCAUUGAUAAUAUCUAUCGCUAUCAUGGAUUACCUAAAGAUAUCAUAUCGGAUAGGGGAACUCAAUUUGUGUCAAGAUUUUGGAGGACCCUUUUCAACAUUUUAAAAGUGGACAUAAAGCUAUCUUCGGCUUUCCAUCCUCAAACUGAUGGACAAACAGAGCGCGUAAACCAAGUCUUGGAGCAAUAUUUAAGGUGUACUAUCAACUACCAACAAGAUGAUUGGACAACCCUUCUGCCAUUGGCAGAGUUUGCUUAUAAUAAUACGGUACAUUCUUCCACGCAACAAACACCUUUCUUUGCCAAUUAUGGCUAUCAUCCACGACUUGAUACUUUUGAUUUUUCAAAAGUUGAUAAUCCUGCAGCAGAAGAUAUGGCAAAUCGGUUGUCAGAGUUACAUGCAAUAAUGAAGACACAAUUGAAGGAAGCUCAAGAACGACAAAAGAUAAACGCAGAUCUAUAUCAUAAGGAGCAACCACAAAUCAACGUGGGUGAUAAGGUAUGGCUACUUCGUCGCAAUAUCAAGACUACUCGACCUUGUGACAAGUUGGACUAUCGUAGGCUUGGCCCCUUUUCUGUUUCUGAACAGAUCAACCCAGUUGCAUAUCGGUUACAUCUACCGGAGUCAAUGAAGAUCCAUCCUGUAUUCCACGUAUCUCUUCUUGAACCAUAUAAGACAGUGGAUAUACAAGGAAGAAGACAAAUGCCACUGCCUCCUAUAGAAGUAGAUAAUAAUGAAGAAUUUGAGGUAGAAGAGAUAUUAGACUCAAGGCGGCGCCGAAAUAAGCUGGAAUAUCUUGUUCAUUGGCGCGGAUAUGAUAUUAGUGAAUGCACAUGGGAGCCAUCCAGGAAUCUAGCAAAUGCAUCAGCUAAAGUCAAAGUUUUUCAUCAACGACAUCCAUCAAAAUCAAGAUGAAAAUCUCUCUUAUAAAAGAGACAAGAUUGAGGCAAGAUAACAUUCAAUUUCCUAUCCUUGUUUGUAACUUCUUUACAUUUGUGAUGCUAAUUAGAUGGAGAGCCAACAACCAGCGGAUUCAACUCAAGAACCUUCGUUUGCUGACCUACCGGAUGAGACAUUACGAUUGUCACAACCUUCAAGACGACGCAAUCGAGAUGAAGAUCUUCAAGAACGACAUGUUCUUCCUCGAACAGAUGGUGAGAUACAACGCGUUUGGUAUCAUGAUUUGGGAAGGGACUCCCGAUGUUUGGUGAUUUUGCUAGAGGUAGGAACAACUCCUGAUGGUGUUCCGAAUAUUCUAUUCGAAGGAAGUUAUGAAGGCCUCAAUAAUGAUCAAAUAACUGGGUGGUCUUCUCGCCCUGGUAUGGGACACUACCGAUGGUUGAGAGGCCCUAUCAAUCAUCUUCGAAGAGAACAGAGAUCAGAGUAUGUGGCGAAUACAAUUCGUCGCAUCAUAGAUUUCCUCAACAUAUGAUAACCGCUCCUCGUGGAACUCGUCUCUAGAAGGGGGGGUAAUGUCACGGCCAUAAUCAUGUAAGCUAAUAAUUACAUAUAGAAAUAGGUAGAAGUAAGUAAAAGUAGAUAAAAGUAAGUUAAUUAUAUAAUAUUUAAUAUAGAAGCUUCCUAGAAACUUCCUAGAUGCUGCUUUGACUUCAUAGGUGUCUUUAAUUGACUUUUUGGAUUAGAAACGUGGUCAACAAGUUGGCCAUGUGCCACACAUGUUGUUAGCUUGAAGAUCAAGCUAACUAUGUGGCCCACACGUAGAAAAACUUGCCUUGUAAGUCAAGGCAUGUGUCCUACAAAGUCAACACAUAUUGGAGGUCCUAUAGAACGUCGCCACGUAGCCCCUAGUUAGAUAGUAUAUAUAGAGACAAGAGUGAAGGCUUCUUCACUCUUGUCAACUCCUUUCUUGCUUCUAGUCCAGGUUCAAGAGUCUUUAGUUUCUUGUCUUGUGGCAAUAGCCAUUCCAGUUUCCUUUUAAUAUACCUACUUGUUUAUAUUUUGACUUAUUAUAUCGAGAUAGCCUUUUGGUGUAUAUUUUUCUUCAUCGAGUCUUUGUCCUUGACAGUCACUUAUGUUAAAAAUAGCAUCCAUAAUUAUUUAUUUAUUUAUUUAUUUAUUUUUAUAGAAAAUUCAAAUAAAUUUAAAAAAUUAUAUUAGAGGAACGUAAUCUACAACCUCUAAUAUCAAAUGAAAAUUUCCAAAAAGAGGAAUAAUUCACUCUCUUUAAGAAAAAAAUCCGUGUUAGAAAACUAAACUAUUUAUUUAAAGGUACAUAGUUUAUAAUCUUUAAAAUACAAUAAUAGAAGCUAGAUAAUCUAUUCACUUUUAAAAAAAAUAAAAAAAAGAAGUUAACACUCUUAUUAAAAUCUCAAAAAAAAAAAAAAAAAAAUCAAUACAUUCUCGUGUUAUUCAAAAAGACUAAAAAAUCACUUAAAGAUGAUAAUAUAUUGAAUUAGAAUGGCUAUUGUCAAAAACAAAAAGAUUAAAAAGUCUUGAAACAAAACUAAGGACUAGAAAGGCAUUGAUAAGAAUGAAGAAGGCUUUAUUGUUGCCUCUAUAUAUACUCUCUAACUAGAAGCUACAUAGCAAUCUUCUAUAAGACCUCCAACAUGUAUUGACUUUGCUAGACAAAUGUCUUAACUUGCAAGGUAAGUUAUUUAUAUAUGCACCAUAUAGUUAUCUUAUUCUACAAGCUACAAAUAUAAGUGGUAUGUAAUUAAUUCUAACUUAUCAAUCAACUACAAACAUGUAUAAAAGUCAAAAUUAUAUCUAUAAAGCUUCUAAAAAGCUUUUUUAGAAGAUAUUAUAAAAUUAAUUUAUAUUUACUUAUUUCUAUCUAAUUAUUUAAGUAACUAUUGGAAUAAAUAUAUAUUUCCAUGAUAAUAUAAUUAUCUAGAUAAAAAAUAUUAGGUAAAAAAUAAAUACAGAAAAAUUUAAUAAUAUCUUAUAAAAAAGCUUAUUAAAAGCUUUAUAAAUAUAAAUUUGACUUUAUAUGUGUUUGUAAUUAAUUAUUAGGUUAGAAACUUGGUAAAAAAGUUGAUCUUCCAUUGGAUAUGUUUGCAACGUGUAGUAUAAGUUAACUAUGUGGCAUAUAUAUAUAUAAAAAAUAUUUUUCAAGUUUAACACUUCAUUGAGAUCAUAUAAUAUGUUCUUAUAUAGCUCCUAUUUAGAUAGUAUAUAUAGAAAAAAGAGUGAAGCCUUUUACAUUCUUAUCAAUAUCUUUUUUAUUUUUAAUCUUAUUUUUAGAAUCUAUAGUCUUUUAAUCUUUUAGCAAUAGCUAUUUUAAUUUUAAUAUUAUAUUAUAUUUGAAUAAAUAUCUAUUCUUUUCUAAUGACAUAAGAGUAUAUUUAAGAUUUUAUUAUUUAUAAUUCAUAUCUUUGAAAGUUUGACAAUAGUAUUAAUUCAUUAUUCUUAUUUUAUUUUAGAAUUGAAUAAAUUAUUCUACUUUUUUGUUGUAUUUUAAAGUUUAUAAACUACUUUUAUUUAAAUUAAUAUCUUUUAUAUUUUUUGAGAUUGAUUCUUUCUUUAAAAAGAAUAGACUAUUAUUUUUUGUAGAAAUAUUUAUUUGAUAUUAAUAAUUACUAAUUAUUUUCUUUUAAUUUGACUUAUGGAUUUGUUAUAGUUUUUUGCUAUAGAAAUGAAAGAAAAAAUUAUGAAUGCUAUACUUAACAGAAACAAGAAUAGACUUGUAACUAUUCCAAAUCUUCAAAAGCUUAAGAAUAAUUUUUAGAGUAAAAAUCUCAUGCAUUAGUCACACCAACUAUGAAAGUAUUAUUUUUUUGCAUAUGAAAGAAGUCCAUAAUAAGAUUUCGGAGUAACAUCAAGCACUUGUAUGAUGAAGAAAAGCAAGUAGAUCAACUUUGCAAAUAAAUUCAAGAAGUCUUUGCUAUUACAAGUAUGAAAGAAGCAAGGAUUAUUAUGCUAAAGAAGUUUGAUAGAGUAAUAUUAAAUUUUAAUUUUUUUUACAAUAAGUCAAGUUCUAUUUAAGAUUAUAUUAUCUUAAUUAAUUUAUUCAAGUUAGAUUGAUAGAUGCACUUCUAUUUGGAAGUGCUCUCUAUUAGUUUGUAUGUUUAAAGAAAAAAUAAUCACAACUUUUUCAUGAUCUUAAUUCAUUCUUUAAAGUUUUUUUAGUCACAUUUGAAGAUGAUAAUCAAGAAAAGAUAAAAAAGACCAAAGUCCUAUCUUUAUGACAAGAAUCAUAUUUAGCUACCAUAUGUACUACUAAAUUCCAAAAUCUUGCUUACAAUGUGGAUUGGAAUAACAAUGCCCUUAUUAAUUAAUUUUAAUAUAGAUUAAUAAAUAAUAUCAAAGAAUAAAUAUUAAUAAUAUCAAAAAUAAUUUAAUAGAUUAUUUUAUUACUUAAGCCAUUACAUACAAUAAUCAUCUUUUUAAAAGGUACUAAGAACAAAAAUUUGGUUGGAAAGAAAUAAAUCAAGUAAUGAAAAUAUGUCCUAAGUUUUUAAGAACUUAUUUAUCAAAUAUAGAACGUAUAAAAUUGAUAUAAUAUAUUUUAAAUCUCCUACUAAGCAUUAAAAGAUUUGAUGUUGUCAAGAAAGAUUGUAUUUGUAAUAUGGAGAGUCUAAGUACAUUGCUCAACAUUCUCUAUAGAAGCAACACAAUUGCAAAAUAAAGAGUAUGAUUAAUAAAGAGAAAAUGUAUUAGGAAAAGAAUUUCUAGCUAUAAUAAGAAUUAUAGGGCUAAAAUCUUAUACAACACCUAAUAAAAGUUAUGUUUUCUCCCUAGAUCUAUCACUUUAUUUUACAAUAGAUGUUUAUUUAGAAUCAAAAAAUUACCUCAUCUUUGUCUUAUUAGACUUAUAAGCUUUAACUUGUUUAUAAACAAAGACUUUGUUAAAAAAUAAAAAAUAAUUUUAGCCAAAAAAAACUAUGCCAAUGCAUGGAAAAAUCAUAAAAAAUUAUUUUUUGUCUUUUAAAAUUUUUAUUUAUUAAGCUAUUCUUUGAAAUGUAAUAACUAAUAGUUAUAAUAGCUUAAUAAUAUUUAAUAUUAUUAGAUCUCUUUUCAAUCUAAUUAUUUUAGAUUUGACAUGGAUAAAGUAAUAUAAUUCUUGAAUAGACUCAAUUUUUUAUAAUCAAAUUUUUUUUCAUAGUAUAUUUCAAGUUUUUGUUAUCCAAAUAAAAAUUCAUAAGUUUGAUACAACUUGUAGUAGUGCAAGAACUUUUAUACAUGUUACAAAAAAAGAUAGUUUGUUUUAUUUAUGCCACAUCCAUUUUUGAUCGUGAUAAGACUUCAAGUAAUAUUUCAAGUCAAUAUUAAGAUUAUUAAGAUUUUUUUUAAAAAAAAAAAAUAUUAUUCUUAUAAUUCCUCAAUUGUUCUUCAAGAAGGAACUCAACUAUGAUUUGGACCAAUUUAUAGCUUAUCACAAAAAAAAUUAGCUGCACUCAAGGAAUAUAUUGACAAGAAUUUAGAUAAAAACUUUAUACACCAUUCAAAAUCUCUAGCAGGAGCUCCUAUCCAAAUUUGUGUGGAUUAUUAAGAAUUCAAUAAGAUCACUAUCAAGAAUAAAUAUCCUCUAUAUAUUAUAUUAAAUUUUUUUAAUCAAUUGAAUCAAACAAAGAUCUAUAUCAAAAUGGAUUCAUAAAGAGUGUAUAAUCUAUUAUAUAUGAAAUAAAUAAAUAAAUAAAAUAUUUUAUUUUAAAUCAAUUAUGAAAAUUUGAAUAUAACGUUAUGUCUUUUGGACUCAAAAAUGCACCAAUUGUUUUUCAAUUUCUAAUUAAUGAUAUUUUUAAAGAAUUUUUAGAUGGUUUUAUUAUCUAUUAUUUAUGCAAUAUUUUAUUUUGCUCUAAGAAUACAAAAAAACAUGAAUUUCAUGUUCUUUCUAUAUUUCAAAAACUUAAAGAUAGAAGAUUAUAUGCUAAGAUGGACAUGUGUGUAUUACACACAAUUCAAAUUGAUUUCUUAAGAUACAUCAUUUCAAAUAAUGGCCUCAUGAUAAAUCCUAAGAAAGUUUAAGCUAUUGAAGAUUUAAAGAUUUUAUAAAUAAUAAAAAAUAUAUAAUAUUUUUUAGGAUUUGUGAAUUACCAUCAGAUCUUUAUUUAUAUUUUUUCAAAUCAUAAUUCUAUUCAUAUGUUUGACUUAUAAAAAUAUACUUAAAUAGAAUAAAAAAACUAAAGUAUCAGUUGAAGCUUUGAGACAAUUUUUACUUCUAUGUGAAUAUAGUAUUAUGUCAACUUAUAUAAGAUAUUUUUUAUGAAAAUAGAUGCAUUAGACUUUGCUUUGGAUGAUAUAUUCUUAUAAAUAAAAGAAAAUGAUAAUUUUUACACAAUAUUUUUUUAUUCAAGAAAUAUUUUAGUAAUAGAAAUUAAAGUAUGAGAUCUACAACAUAGAAUUUCUUAUAAUUUUGGACUUACUUUAAGAUUGGCACCAUUUUUUGAAAGACACUUUAAGUCUAAUAAUUAUUUAUAAAUAUCAAAAGAAAUUUAAAUAUUUUAUUUAUUACAAGUUCUAAAUCAUCACUAAGCUUAUUAGAGCAUGUUUUUAUAAAGGUUUGAAUUUAAGAUCACUUUUUAACCAAAAAAAUACUAAUAUUUAUUAGAUGCUAUUUUUAGAUGCUCUUAUCUUAGAUCAAAAGAAGAAAAUGCACCUUUUAAACAAUAAUGAAGAAUUCUUUUGAAACCAAAGCAAUUUCAUGUUUAAAUUUUAAAAUUAAUAUUAAGUGUUGAUUCAAAUUUUUUAAAGCAAAUUCAAUCAAAUAUGUCCUUAAAUCCUCUUUUUUAUAAUAUUAAGAAUAAUCCUUUUAAAAUUCAUGAUAUUUUUUAAUUUAAUUUUAAAAACAAUCUAUUGUAUUUUGAAGGAUGCUUAUAUGUUCUAAAAGAUGAAGGAUGAUUAUAUGCUCUUCAAGCUUCUCAUCAUUUUGUAGCUGUUGAAUAUUUUGGAUAGAAUAAGUCUUUAGAAUUAAUCUCAAGAGAUUUUUGGUUGCUUCAAAUAUGAAAGGUAAUCAAAGUCUUUGUAUAAUUUUUGAUAUUUAUUUAAGAUAAAAAACUCCUUGUUAUUGACCUUAUGGUCUUCUUUAGCCAUUACCAAUAAUAAAAUAACUAUAGUAUUUUGUUUCAAUGAAUCUUAUGGCAGAUCUUUUAAUCUCAAGCUCAUAUGAUUCUAUAUUUAUAAUAAUAUAUUAUUUCACCAAGAUGGUAUAUUUUGUACCAUAUAUAAAAUUUAUCUUAGAUGAAAAAAAAAUUAAUUUUUUUUACAAUAUUUAUUGCUAUCAUAGAUUGCCAAAAGAUAUUAUAUCAAAUAGAAAAUUUUAAUUUGUAUCAAGAUUUUAAAGAUUUUUUUUAAAAUAAUGAAAGUAGAUAUAAAAUUAUCAUUAGCUUUCUAUUAUAAAAUCAAUGGACAUACAAAACUUGUAAAUCAAGUUUUAGACUAGUCUUUAAGAUGUACCAUCAACUAUCAUCAAGAUAACUAGACAAUUAUUUUGUCACAAUUAAAAGAAGAUCAAGAAUGACAAAAAAUCAAUAUAGAUGCUUGUUGCAAGAGACAACUUCAAUUCUAUGUUGGCAACAAAGUAUGAUUAUUUUAUCCUAAUAUUAAAAUUAGGAAAUACUUUAAAAUUUUGGAUUAUUAUAGAUUUGGCCCAUUUUCUAUUAGUGAACAAAUCAAUCCAAUUGCUUAUUAAUUCCAUCUACCAAAAUCUAUAAAGAUCCAUCAUGUAUUCCACAUUUUUUUUUUUUAGCCAUAUAAGACAAUGGACGUAUUAAAAAAAAAGAUAAAAGUCACUUUCUCUUAUAAAAGUGAAUAAUAAUCAAAAAUUUGAGAUUAAAGAAGUCUUAGGCUUAAGAAAAAAGCUAAAAUAGGUUGGAAUAUUUUAUAUAUUGAUAUAAAUACAAUAUUAGUGAAUAUACAUAGAAGUUAGUCAAAAAUCAUGUAAAUGCUUUAAAGAAGCUUAAUGCUUGUUAUUGAUGAUAUCUAUCAAAGUUAAGAUGAAGAAUUAAUGAAUUAUUCCUAUAAAAAAAAUAAUGCUUAAUGGAGAGUACAUUAUAUUUUCAAUCUUUGUUUGUGAUUUUUGUAUAUUUGUGGUACUAUAAAUAGAGAAUUAUCAACCAAUAUAUUCAACUAAAGAACUACUAUUUAUUAAAUAUUGAAUAAUACAUUGAAAUUAUCACAAUCUUCAAGAUAAUGUAAUAGAUAUGAAGAUUCUCAAAAAUAGUAUGUUUUUCUUUGAAUACAUGGUAAGAUAUAAUGUAUUUGAAAUUAUAACUUUAGAAGAAACUCUCAAUAUUUGAUAAUAUUAUUAGAGGUGGAAACCACCCAUGAUGGUAUUUUAAAUAUUUUAUUUAAAAGAAGUUACAAAGAUCUCAAUAAUUAUUUAAUAUCAUAGUAGUCUUUACUUCUUGAUAUGAGACACUAUUGAUAAUUGAAGGACAUAUUAAUUGUAUACAAAAGAAACAAAUAUCAAAGUAUGUGAUAAAUAUAAUUUUUUGUAUUUUGGACUUCUUCAACAUGUAAUUAUUACUCUUCAUAGAACUUGUCCCUAGAAAUAAUAUUGUUAAAUUAUUGAUAUUUUUUUGAAAAGUUUCUCAAAAGCUUUGUAGACUUUACAUGUGAUUAUAAAUAAUUAAUAGGUUGACAACUUGGUGAAUAAGUUGGCUACAUAUUAUACAUUGAACUUCUUGUAUUAUAAGUUGGUCAUGUGGCACACUUGUUGGAGACUUGUCUUACAAAUCAAACAUUUAUCUCCAAAUUUAGAUAUGUGUCAUGUAGCCUAUAUGACAUUGUUAUUUAAUUUUUUUAGUAGAUAAUAUAUAUGGAGGCAAGUAUAAGGCAUUCUUUACUCUUUUCAAUCUUUUUUGUGUCAUCUAUUUUAAUUCAAGUUUUUUUAGUACUUUUUUAUUAAGCAUCAAUCAUUCUAAUUUUAAAUCUAUAUCUAUCUUUUAAUUGUCUACUUUCUCUCUUUUUAUGAUACAAAAAUAUAUUGUUAUUUUUAAAAUUGUGUUGUGAUUCAUAUCCUUAACAUUGAAGGUACAAUUAGAAGCAAAAAGAGAAAAUAUCUAGGAGUAGUAAAGAAGCAAUAGAAAUAGAAAUGAAGCAAUUAAGUGCAAAAUAUAAAAAUUAAGGUACUGGAAUAAGAAUAUAUAAAUAAAUAAAUAAAAAUUACUUACAUUACCUAUGAAUAAUAAGGCUAGCAACUACUAAAGACUUUGAGAAGCCUUCUAAAACACAAACCUUCUUAUGUCUCAUGCUUUUAACUUGGAAGGAGCAUAAGGCUAUGAUAAAUUUGUAAUAGAGGUUAUUAAAGUAAAAAUUGCAGAUAUAUAUAUAUAUAUAUAUAUAUAUAUAUAUAUGAAGUAGUCACUUUAUUCUUUUUUGACAUAAUUACAAGUAUAAUCCUAACUCUUAGUUAUACUACCAUAUAUAUAUAUAUAUAUAUAUAUAGAUAUAAAUUGGAUUGACAAUUCUUCCAAAAAUAUCAUAAGCCAUAGAACCUUGUUUCAUGAAAAUAGAAUAACAAACAAGAAGAAAACUAUAAAUUCAAAUAUAAAAAAAGAUGUAGUUUGAUUUAAAGGUUGAAAAAGUAAAAAUAUUAAUAUAAUUCAUAUAUAACAAAGACCUUGCCAUCAAUAUAUAGAGAGUAUAAGAAAGCAAAGAUGUAUCUCCACUUUAUCAAGUUUGUAACCUAAAUCUUCCAAAAAUAGUGAUGUAUUGUUUGAGAAUACUCUCAAGCCAAAAAAACUUGAGAUUAGAUUAUAUCAAUAAUGCAAAAGGUUGCUACUAGCCCCACCAUAAUUGGCCCUUGGCUAUCUUUUAUAUGGAAGUAAACAAUCGUUCCCAAGGAUACUCAUUCCAAGUUCAAAUAACAGAAAGUUAUAUGGUCUUUUUUUCAUGGUAUGUGCCAUUGGACAAUACAGAAAGAAUACAAUAACUUAUCUUUUAAUGAAAAAGUAAGAAAUGAUUAAAGAGUGUUUUUGAAAAUUUGAUCAAACCUACUAGAUUAUAGUAGAAUGAAAUAAAAACUUACAGAAGAUAUAUUAGGAAAGUAACCAAACAAUUGUGAAGCCAUGCUUUGCAGUUGGAAUAGAAUUGGGAUGGUGAAGAAAAUGACUAGCACAAACAAAUGAAAUCAAUUGUUUAAAAUUCAAAAAUUCUCAUAUUAUGAUAGUACAUGGUAGAACUUAAUCACUUAUAGACAAUCACUUGAUGUAGUGCUUUAUUUAACAGACACUCUCCCCCUCCAAUUUGUUUAGAUUCCAAGUUCUUGAAUGUCUUCUACUGAACCUUUUACUGAUUAAUUAGAAUUUAUGUUUGUUUUUGGAAACAACUUGAAUGUCUAACUGCAAGUUUAAGCACCGAGAUACCUCACAAAUGCAUACAAUCAACUUUUGUUUCCAUUCUAAGUUGUUUUUAUAUUUCAUUCUUCAUUAGGUUUGGUGGCAAUACGACUGCAGGUGGCUGGUGGGGCCAAGCAUGAUUCUGCACAUUAACAAUGCGUGGAACCAAAACUAUUCCUAUGAUUAAAAUACAGAAAAUGAAUUUGAUUCAUGUUGUAGUACUGAUCUUUAACUUCCCUAGUUUCGAGACUACAUUCCAACUUGGCACCAUUGCUUUAAGAUCACAGAAUAAGCAGCCAAAAGAGGUGGUACGAGGAAUCUAGUACAUGUCCGAGUCUGUAUUGUCUGUUGAAAAAUAAGCUGUAUGAGAUGAUUUACAGAACGUAGAUAGUAGUAUCAUGAUUCCAAAAAUGAUGCAAGUGUGAAAACCAGCUUCUCAACAAACAAUAAUUUAUCUGAUUUUGCAAAUGAAAAGUCAAAAUUAUAACCGUAGAAUUGAAGUUCUCCGAAGGGUGCACGCUUACACCUAGCCACAGAAUAGGUGAAGCACUGCACAUUCCACUGGAUUGCAUGUGCACCUCGCUUGCUAUUGAACACAUCUAGAAGUGUCAUAUGAAGAUGAACUCUAAGCGGUUGAAGGGUACUUUACAAUUCUCUUAGGUGAAAGUAUGAACUUGAAAUCGGCUCUAAGCGAUUGAAGGGUAAUUUACAACUCUUUCGAGAAAGUAUUCCUUAUCCUAAAGGCUACGUUAGGAAAUACCCGAGUUAGUUAAAGUAAUUGCAACAAAUAUCAUUGAAUAGUCGACCCACCUUUGAGAAGCACCUUCUCAACCCUGAGUCGAGAGCGGGGGAUUAAAUUAUAGAGUCCUUAGUAGGUACCCCGUUUCCACCAGUUGCGGCUUGGUGAUCGAGCUCAAAUUUCCGUUUCAACCAAGCUGUUUCCAUGUCAAUCAUAGCAAGAUCAGUUUCAAGGUAUCUCUGAAACGUACGUGAAAUCACAAGCUUCUCCGCAUCGAACCAAUCAGUUUCUUUGGUUCCCUUAAUUCCAUUCUGGAGCCUGGUCUCGUAAAGUUCUACCGAAGCGCGAGUGACUUCAUCUUUUCUUCCAUCUAAAAGUCUUCUUCGAGCUUCACUCCAGCAGUCUAUGUACGGAUGAGCCACCGGCCGGGAAGAUUUAACUGAAGCAACAGCAUCCUCCAAGUCCAUUUGUUGAACAAAUGUUAAGUGGCCAACUGUGGUCAAUGUCGCACGGUUGAUCCCAGCAGUGCAAUGCACAUAGACCUUCAUUCCUCUCCCAACAAGCGAAUUCAGAACUCGAAUAGCAACUGGAAGCAUCAAGGAUUGAUCUGCAUGAUCGAAAUCUCGUAUGGCCACUCGUUCCAAUCGAACCCCUCGCUCCACCUGCCAUUUUCAGAACAUUUUCAGAACGUUUCCUGUCAUUGCAUGUCCUAGGUUUACCCUAAGAAGCUGCUCAAUUCAGUCCAUCCGCUCAUAUAAUGAUCAAUAAACACUCAGUGCCAUGUCUCGCAUGCUCUCAAAAAGGCGGGUUUAUUCUUUGACUCUGUAAAACUACACGCCUUAAAUUGACCUGAUAGAAAAAAUACUGUGUGGACAAAGAGACAACCACAUCGCCCACACAUCAAAUUCGGAUGGAGAAAACUCAAAACUCAGAAGCACUUGCAAUCCUCACGAAAGCUGAAUAUCAACCGGAAUGAAAGAAAGAUGCAAUAUACGGCUAGAACAUGUAGAGAAACGAAAGGAUAUAGGUAGUUAUUGCAGGUUCUGCAACCGAAUUGGGCACUACUGUAAUAUUUCCAUAACUUACAACCAAAUUUCACUUCGUAUUCCCUUGAUGUACACUGGUCUAUCUGAAUGCGCCAUGAGAGACUUUUGAGGUAGGGAUACUCUACGGUAUUUCAGCAUAUUCAAGAAAUAAUAAACAAAAGAAAAAGUCAAUCCUUUUCGAUGUAAGUUUCUCAAACAUGAAAACGCUAAACAUAAAGAAGAUAGACUGGAAUAGACACAGAGUCGCUUUAGUGCAAGUAAAGAGCAGAUGUGAGCAAUACCGCUCUUGUCCGGAUGGCGUCGAAGGGAAUUUUGAGGGCGUCAAAGCAGAGAUCGCAUUGGAGAUUGAGGAUAGCAUCAAUUCCAGCUUCGUUCACCAUGCGGUCUAUGUCCCCAGGGCUUCGAGGACAAGAACCCACAAUUAUGUUGGGAGUGAUCUGAUUCCAAUUCAGGGUCCACCGCCACUGAAAGGGGUCUGCAGGGUCCUUGAUUUCAGCUGCCUCCUUCUGACGCUGCUCCCAGCCUGCUUGCUCUUCAACAGUCAUAGGAGGCACUUCUUCGGACUGCGCAUCUUCGAUUUUCGCAUGGCAGAUCAUCUCUCUCCUAGUACCAGGGACAAUUCCUCCACCAGGACAUAUAGACUUCGAACUUGCACCACCACUUGCCCGUACGCUUGCACUAUUGCCCACAGCCAACAGACCGAAAGAUUUCGCCGAGCUUUCCACAUUCAAAACUUGGAACGAUGAAGUGGACAUCGACGAGGAUACAUUUACUGGAGCGGGACAGGUCCUCCAACUUGAGUUACCACACGAACCUCCAACGUUCACAAUCUGGUAGACGCUACGUGUGGAAGAGUUGAAAGCAGCGGAGGAUGACAUCUGUGACACCGAAACGACGGAGGAGGCCAUUGCGGCCCGUCUGUGCAGCAGUUACUACAUUGGCCUCUGAUAGCGUGACAAACGCAGAAUUACCGGAGAAGAAGAGCUUAUGACAUCGGCACGCACGAAAAAUAAUUUCGAUCGACGCUUUCUCUCACGGAGUAAGCGAGACGAAGUCCAGUCGACACAAUUCCCAUGAACUAAAAACCCCGUAAAACCUCACCACGUGCAAUCUCUCCUCGACAACCAGGUCAACCACCUACGCAGCAACCUCUAGCUACCAAAUACUCUUCCCUCUAACAAAACUUCGCUAGACAAGCCUAAUAAGCUUCAUCUCCAAAUGAAUACCCUAAAGGAACCUUCUGAAAUAAAGAAGAUGGAAGCCCUAAACUACACAUUAAUCUACCCUUAAAAACCGCAUGCCCUGCUCUCUGCCAACUGGAAACAUGCUCUUAGCUUUCCGAGUCCGACACUCGAUGACCGGGUCAAAGAAAAAACAAAAAGAAAAAGAGACCCACCUCAGAUAUUUUCUCAAAAGUGCUACCCGGGCAUCUCUGCGACCGCAAGCAAUCCUGUAGUGUGCAGGUUCAUGGUACCCAAUCCUCGACAAUAUCCUCUUUUGCUCUACACAACCUAACAUGACAGCUUAAUCAUAACCUAAUUCCCAUACCCAUAAUGUACUACUCGUAUGUGUACAAUCUAAGACUGACUUUACCCUCCCUCCUCCUCCUCUAAUGACUCAAUCUGCCGAGAACCCUAGAAAAUUCCUAUGGCCAGGAAUAAAUAACAUGCAACCCCGAAAAUAUCCCACCCUCCUGCGGAUAUUCCGAGGCAUUUCCCCAACCCCGCCGGGAGCAAUUUCCACGCGCCGUGGGAUGUCAUAGUGAUCAUCUAAAAAGCGCACAAUGUUGCCAUGGAAUCCGACGAUCUUUUGAAAUGCCCAAGUGUCCCAGUUUUUCUGAGGGCAAAAAGCGGGAAUCUCCACUGCAGCAGCAAAGCCCAUGCCUCGACAAGCCUCACACAAAAUGUGCCGCAAGCCUCUUUCUAUUAUGGUCAUGGUGCGACAAGGUUUCAUACCCAGCAGUUUCAAAGAGUGUUUUGACCGGUUAUUCGGAAUUUUUUUUGAAGCAAAUUUUAAAAGGGGGGGGGGGGGGGGGGUGGGUGUGAAAAUUGGAAUGCGUGGAAUCUUGUUCGAGUGGAGUUAGCUUGGUGGAUUCCUUUUUGGAAAAUAAAAUAUGUAUGUUUCCUUUGGUAGAAUGAGUAUAAAAGUGGUUGCAUUCCAAAAAUCUAGUAAAAGCCUGGGUUAAUAUAUAUAUAUAUAUAUAUAUAUAUAUAUGUAUUUAUAUAUACUCUAAAUAUUUUGAUGGAUACUAUUUAAUAUAUGAUUUGAUUUUUAAAGUAGUGUUUGAAGAAGAAAAACAUAUUAUCAAUCAGGAAAUAUUAAGAUAUGGUAUCUUUACUACAUAUGAUAAGAGCUUAGUUUAGUUGUACAUGUCUUAUUUUUAAUUUUAAUUUUUUAAAAUAACUAUUAAGCUUAAAAUCUUGUUAAUUUGAAGAAUUUUAAAUUAUAAAAUUUUAAAGUUUAAUUUAGUAAAAUCUAUCUUAUUUUAUUUAACUAAGAAAAUAAUUUUUUUUUACAAUGUUAAAUAGACCAAGGCUUUUACUAAAUUUACUUAGUAAAAAUCUAGGUCUAUCUUAGGCAUCAUUGCACCCUUAGAGCCUCCAUCCCUGUUCUUAGCCAUUCCUUGUUCCCAACCAUUGCUAGAUAUGGAGGCAAGAUGCUAGAAGCAUCGAGAAUAAGGGCAAGGGGUUGGAAACAUUGGGAAUAGAGGCAAGGGGCUGAGAACAUCGAGAAUGGAGAUAAGAGGCUGGGAAUAAGGCAUGUAAAUUUCAAACAAAAUAAGAUAAUGAUACCAACUUUUAUGUUGCAAGUAUACAAUGGUUUAAUAAAUAUAUAUUUACGCAAUCUACAAAAAAAACUAAGUUUAUAUUUUAAAAGUUAUUUAAUAUUUUUUCUUUGGACUAGAUAUGAAUGUAUAUAUAUAUAUAUAUAUAUAUAUAUAGAUAUAUACAUACAUACAAACAUACACACACAUAAUUUAUCAUCUUUUGCAUUAACAUUAAUAAUUAUAUAAGAUUUUUUUAAAAUAUAUUUAAUAGAUUUAAAAAAUAUACGUAUUGCAUAUAUUUUUUUUAGUAUUUUUAACUAUCUAAACUUGCAAAUUUAAAGACAUGUAGCCAUUGUAUGUAUUAUAUAAAAUAAUUAUUAGAAAUAUAUUUUAAUUCAUAAUUUUUUUUAUCAAUUUAAGUAUGAAAAUUAUUAAUCUUUGCAUUAUUUGUGCCUUAAAUAAAAAUGAAGGUCACAAUAGAAUUUCAUAGUACUACUAAGAAUAUUAAGAUAUAUUUGAGAAGAAAACUAGUGGUUUAUUGCCAAAAUAUAAACCUUAUAAUUAUACAAUUAAUCAUUAUGAAGAAAUAUAUUGCUAAAAUACUUACAAAGAACUAAAUUUGACAUUCAAAAUCUCAUGCACAUGUGCCAAUCCUCUUCAUGAAGAAAAAAAAUAGAUCCUUGUAAAUGAAAAUAAAUUAUUGUAAAUUUUAAUAAAUUAAUUAUUAUGAAUCAAUAUUGUUUGUCUAUAAUGUUAGAGCUAUUUGAUCAAUUGACUUAAGCUAAGAUCUAGACUAAGAUAGAUCCACAAAAAACUUAUAAUUUUGUAAAUAUCAAAAAAAAAAAUGAAUAAAAAAUUAUGUUUUAAUCUAAGUAUGGCUAUUUUUAAUGUAAUAUCAUACCUUUUGAACUUAUAAGUAGUCUAGUUAUUUUUUAGUACUUGAAAAAAAAUAUAUAUAUAUAUGAAUUUUUAGAUAAUUAAGUUUUUUUUUAAUAAAACUUAGGAAUAAAAGAUUAUAUGAUAAGAUAGAAAAAUGUGUAUUCUAUAAGUUAAGUAGGAUUUUUGGAAUAUGUCAUUUUAAAUGGUAGUUUGUAAAUAUAUUCUCUAAAAGUAUAUACUAUUGUAGAUCAAAUAACUUUAAAAUUACACAUAAUGUCUAAUAAUUUUUUGAAUUUACAAAUAUAAGACAUUAUUAUAAGAUAUUUAUCAAAUAUUAAUAAGAUUUUAUUUUUAUUUUUUUACAUAUUUAAUUUCUAAAGACAAAAUAAAAUAGAAUAAAGAUGAAGAAGUAGUAUUUCAAAUUUUGAAAAUAAUUUUUAUCAUAACUCCUAUUUUAUGCAAGCUAAAUAUUUUAAGUUUUUUUUUUAUAGUUCCAUCACCAAUAGACUCAAAUGAUAUAAUUAAUCUUAUUAUAUUUUAAAUAAUAAAAUUUUAAUAAUUAAUAUUAAUUAUAAGAUUUAUAAAAGAUAGAAUUUUGAUAUUAUAGAUUCAUUCUAAGAAUGGCAUCAAUACCUAAAAGAUUCUUUGAUUCCUAUCGUAGUUUAUAUUUAUCAUUAGUAUCUUAAGUAUUUUAUACCAAUAUAUAUCUUAAAUUUUUAUUAAGUCCAUUGAAGCAUAUCUUUUUCAUAAUUUGUGUUUAAUAUUACAUCUUGUUAUAAAAAACAAUACAUUUUGUCAAAUGCCUUCUUUAAAUUUUCUUGUCUUACAUCAAAAAUAUGAGAUGCCAUAUAUAAAUAACAAUAGCUUGUUUUAUACUAAAGCAAGUGUAUCUUUAAGCUAAUAAACUAAUAAUUUUAAUUAAAAUUACCUUUUUUUUUAUGAAAUUCAUUUAAGUAUUUUAAUAUUUUUUUAUUAAAUUUUUAUAGAUUUUUAUUUUUAAAAUUAUAGAUAAAUAGAUUUUAUAAAUUAAGUAUUUAAAUAAUAUCUGAAAUUUAAUAUUAACUAUUAUUAAUGUAAUUAAAAAAAUUAUUAUUAGAAAUUUUUUCAUAUAAUAAUAAAAUAUAUUUUUUUAGAUAAUAAUUUUUUUUAAUAAUAAUUAUUAUCUAUAAUUUUAUUUUUUAAAAUUUAUAAAAAUUAAAAAUCUAGUGGUAAAAGAAUUAAAACAAAGAAUUAUAAAACUUUAUAUAAUAAUAAAGAUAUAAUUAAAUAAAAUUAAAAAUACUAUUAUAAAUAUUUUUGAAAAAAAAACCUCCAUUUAAAAUAAGUCAUAUGAAAUGGUUACUUUGUUCUAAUAUUAAAAUUUCAUGACCUUAUAAAAAUUAAAUUAUUAAAGAAUUGGCUUAUUAAUUUUUUAAUAAUAAAUUAAUCUAAUUUAGUAUUAAUUAUAGUUACUAAAAUUAAUGAAGAUAUAUCUUAUAUUUUAUAUAUUUUUUUAUUGAAUCUUUUUUAUAUUUUAUAUAUUGAGAAAAAAAUAAUUAUUGCCAUAUCUUGUAAAGAAAUAGGAAGAAAUUUAUAGAAUCAAUUCAUAUGUUAAUUGAUAAUUGUGAACUAAAAUAAAUCACAUAAAUUAGGAAAUUUUUUAGCUUACAAUUAAAAUUUUAUUAGACUCAUUGGAUAUAAAUCAAAUACUUAGGAAGAAUUUUUAAAAUCAUUAGAUAAUCAAAUUAUUGUGAAUUAAAAAAAGCUUCUAAUUAGUAGAGGUUUAUUUUAGUUUAUAAGUGUUACAAUGGAAAAUUUGCCUUGAUAGAAAUUUAGAUAGUAGAAUAUAGGCUUUGAUUACUGCCAUAACUUAUGUAAUUUUUUUAAUUGAAUUGAAGUCAUAUUAAUUAUGUUUUAUAUAACAUUUUUGUAAAAAAAUAUCUCUAAUCACAUUUAUGUGAAAACAAGCAAGGAUUGCAUAGCUACAUAUGUUAAAAAAUUAAUGGGAUCAAAUAGUUAGAUAUUGUUGAACCUCAUAAAUCAAAUAUAUCUCACUUUAUUUUUAUUUGACAUGCAUUGUACAUACAAUGGCUAUUUUGAAUCUUCCAACUUGAAUUAAUAUUGAAAAACUAACUUGAUUAUAUAUUAUGGAUUGAUAUAGAGAAUGUAUUUUGUGCAUUAUACUAUCCAUAGCAAAGGCAAUGGUGGAAUUUCUAUCAUGUUAUCAUUCCCUCAAAGAGCUACAUUUUUUUAGUCUUGAAGAGAUUAUAAUAUAUACCUUUAGAAAGAAUUAAUUUUUUUUUAUCAUUUCUAGAUAUUUGCACCUACAAAUACAACAACAAUGUAUGUUCAACAUACAAUAAGUAAUUAGUGGAUAUAAUGCAAAUGUACUACAAGGAAUGUAUUUACAAUAAGAACCUUUUAUUAUCACUCUACACAUUAAAAGAUAAAAAACUAGUAGACAUGACUUACUUCACCUUUGUCCAUGUAGUAAUAUAUCAAUUGCAUUUUUAUUUGAUGGAAGUAGUAGAAACAAUAGAUGGUCUAGGUCUAUAGCAAGAACUCAAUCAUCUAUAUUAAAAAGUUCAAACUAAAUAUUUCUAAUAUCAAACAUAAUGAAAGCAUAGUAUGUCAAUCUAGAUGGAUUUUUUUAGCUCCAAAUAGUAUAUAUGAUGUCGGAGGGCCCUAAUAGACAAAGAGAUUUUUUUCAACUACAAAAUCCUAAGUAAAGAUGAUUUUGUGAAUUAGCAAUUGAUAGUGAAGCAAACUUUGUUGCAUGUCAAGUAGCAAAAAUCAAAAUUCAGGAGCAUUCAAUAUUAAGUACAUUGCUAUUGAGUGACUUGAAUGAUUUAAAAAAGAUAGAACAAUAACAAAAUCAAAGAUAUGACAUGAAUAAUCCACCUUCAAGUUUUGAAGAUAAGAGCUAAAAUAAACCUCUAUAAGUUAGAAGUUUAUUCUACUUCACAACAAGUAAAUUAACUAUAGAAAUUUAAAAAUCCUAGUUUUUAUUUAAAUCUUAAUCAAUCCACUCUUAACUUCUUUAAAUCACUAUGUAUAAGAUAAAAAAUCUUCUAUUGAUUAGAACUUUAUCUUAGUUCAUAAUAAGUGAAUUAAUCAUAAAAUUUAAUAAAUUUUAGCUCUUAUUUAAAUCCUAAUUAAAUCACUAUUUAAUCUUCUUUUAAUACCUAAGUUAUUAAGCAAAAUCUCUACUAUUAACUUAUACUUAUAAUAGCAAUCUACUCACAACAUGCAUGCCAAAAAUUUCUUUUUCUUAACUUUUAAUUUAAUUUUGUUAAUUUUUAUAUUAUUUAUUAUUUUAUUUUAUUUUAUUUUAUUUAAUAAAAAUUCAUCCAUUGAAAAAAAUCAUCCACAUAUAAGUUAUUAUUUGUAAAUAACUUUUUAUCUAUGAAUAAUUUAUUAUCCAACUUAAAAUUCAUCUAAUUUAGAAUUUAUCCACAUUUAAAACCUUAUUAGUUUAUAUUCAACUUCCUCUGUAUUUGUACUCAUACAAUUAUUUGCAACAAAGAAACCAAAGAAACUCACAAUACUAAAUUAUAUAAAAUUUCUUAAUUUUUAGGCUAUUAGAAGCUAUGUACAAUUGAUCAUAUGUGCUCUUCUAUCCAUAAUGCGCAAUGCUUUAAUGACUUUUGCAAUGAUCAAAUAAAUAAUCUUUUAUAAGAAACCUUCCCCUCUUUUUGAUUGCAUAAUUUUUCCUUAUAAAAGACCAAUGGUGUGAUACAAUAACUAUGAUUAUCUGCUCUUCAAUUUCUUCUAUAAAAUUGUAAAAACUUAUCUUUGAAGAGUUCAGCUGAUAAUUAAUCAAAUCAUCUCUCUUUAUCUAUUGUCAUUAAAUUUUUUUUAUUCAUACAAUUUAUUGAAUAUAACCAGAUUCAAGAUUUUCACAAUAUAGACUACUUUAUUGACAAUUCAGAAAUAUCUUGCUUUCUUCCUCUUCCUAGUUAGCUCCUUCAAUGGAAUGAAACUAGGAGCAACUUAGUCAAAAAUUCAGUUCCACUCAUGAUUUUUUAUACAUGUGGCUCUAUUUAUUCUUGCAACUCUAAUACUUCUAUGAGAGUAGAUGUCACGGAUAUACAUAUUUAUUAUGAUAUUUACCUAUAUGAUUAAAUAAAAGUAAGUAAAAAUAGAUAUAUUUCAUAAUAUUUUUUUAAAUAGCUUCUUAGAAGCUUCAUAGACACUUCUUUGACUUUACAUAUGUUUGUAGUUGAUUGGUAGGAUAGAAACUUGGUCAAUAAAUUAACCACAUAUUCAUAGCUUGCGGAACAAGCUAACUAUGUGGCAUACAUAUAGAAAACGUGCCUUGCAAGUUAAGAUAUGUAUUUUACAAAGUCAACAUAUUUUGAGGGUCCUAUAGGAUAUUGCCAUAUAGUUCCUAGUUAAGAGUAUUGUGAUUGUCAUUUUACUUAUUCUACAAUUCUUUUUAGAAUAAACCUAUAUAGGAGAAUUCGAACACAGGAAAAGACUAAGUGCAUGAGUUUUUCUUGUUAGGGUCACACAAUUAACCGUAUUCCGAACCACUAAAACACUAAGAAAUAUUACAAUGCUUUCUUCCAGUAACAAUACUCCUUCAUCAACUGAUAACAACAAUGUGAAAUCUUGUACUUUCAAAAGUCCACUCAAAACACAUAAUUUCCAUCCAACACUAGAAAUAAUAGACUUCACUCCAACCAAUCUAAAUUCACAGAAUUUCUAUAAUUACCAACUUUCUUUGUUCAAAACACACACAGCUCUCAAUAAACAACAAUCAUAAUCUUCCAAUAACUCCUCAUAUAAUUCAAUCACUCAGUACUCCAAUUACAUAAUUAAUAACUCAUAAAUCAAUCUCUGAUUUAUUCCACAAACUCACUUCUCAAUAUUCAAAAAGUAUCCAUUACUCUUCAACAACAAAGAAAAUAAAGAAACAAAGAAGAGAUUAUCCCUCUUUGUAGAAAUUUUCAUUUGAUACUAGACUUUACAAACUACCCUCCUCUAAUUUGACUUGUGGAUUUGUUAAGUUAUUUAAAAUCGAAGAAAAAAUCAUGGAUGUUAUACUUGGUAGAAAUAAGAAUAGAUUUAUAACUAUUGCAGAUUUUUAUAAACUUGUUAAUAUUCUUAGAAUGAAAAUUUUAUGUAUCAUGAUUAACAACUAUGGAAAUAUUAAUCCCACGCCUAUGGAAGAAGUUUAAAAUCUAUGAUAAAAAAUUAUAUAAUGAAGAAAAAAAGUAAAUUAAUCUCACAAUCAAAUCUAAAAUUUUUUGCUUCUACAAGUAUGAUAAGGAUAUGGAUUAGUAUGCCGAAUAAUUUUAAUGAAAUGAGAUCAAAGUUUCAAGGAUUUUUACAACAAGUCGAGCUAUAUUUAAGAUUGCAUCUCUUCCAAUAUCCUGAUGGAUUUACUCAAGUUGGAUUCAUAUACAAACUUCUAUUUAAAAGUGAACUCUAUUAGUUUAUACUUUUAAUGAAAAAAUAUUUGCAUCUCUUUUAUAAUUUGAAUUCAUUUCUAGAAGUAUUUAUGGCUACAUUCAAAAAAAUGAUCAAAAAAGAAUAGUAGCCAUUAAACUUUUAUUUUUACAGUAAGGAUCAUAGUCACCUACUAUAUAUAUUACUAAAUUCUAAAAUAUCACUUGCAAUAUGGAGUGGAAUAACAAAGCCCUUAUCAAUCAAUUUUGAUAUGGAUUGAAGGAUAAUGUCAAAAAUUUGUUAUUGAUAAUUUCAAAAGUAAAAUCUUUAAAAUAAUUUAUUGCUCAAGCCAUUGCAUCCAAGAAUUGAUUAUUUAAAAGGCUUCAAGAAUAAAGAUUUAGCUACAGAGAAAUAAGUUAAGUCAUGAUAGUAAUUUCUAAGUUUUUAGAAACUUAUUCAUUAAAGGAAAACCAAUACAAAUUGAUAUAAUAUAUUUUAAAUCCCUCAUGCAGUAGGAAAAGAUUUGAUGUCGUUAAGAGGAUUUGUGCUUAUAUUAUGGAGAAGCUAAGCACAUCACUCAACAUUAUCUAAAGAAGCAAUAUAAUCAAAAAAUAAGGAUUUUAAUUACUAAAGAAGAUAAUGUAUCAAAAAAUGAGUUUUUCCAGCUACAAUAGAGACUAUGCAACUGGAAUCAUAUGUAACAUCUAAUAAAGGUCCUAUUUUCUCCUCAAAUAUAUCAUCUUGUUUUAUAAUAGAUAUUUGUCUAGGAUCUAAAAAUCAUAAUUUUUUUUUUAUUAUUAGAUUUAAGAGCCUCAGCUUGUUUUAUAAAUAAAGAUUUUAUUAAAAAAUAAAAAAUUUAUUUAAUCAAGAAAACUAAACCCUUACAUAUAGAAGUCAUAGAUGGCCAUUUGUUGACAUCUAGAGACAUCAUACAUGAAACUGUUCCUUUAGAUAUAACAAUUAAAAAUCAUAAUAGUGUAGUAAUAUUUAAUAAGAUAAGAUUUUUUUUCAAUCCACUUAUUUUAAAAUCAUCAUGAUUAAAAAAAUAUGAUCCUUACAUAAAUUAUAUUUCUUGUAAUCUUAAUUUUUCUUGUAGUUUAAUCCAAAAUUUUGAUAGUAAGGUAAAAAUAAAUAAUUCUAAUACAUCCAAAUCGUUAUUAGUAGGUAUAAGAAUUUUCAUGCAUAUAGUAUAAGAAGAUCCAUCUUUUUUUAUAUAUGCCACAUCUAUUUCUAAUAGUAGAAAGACAUCAAGUGGUAUUCUUAGCCAAUAUUAAGAUUUCUAAAAUAUUUUUAAAAAGAAAAAUGUAGAUAUUCUUUCAGAGCAUUUAUCCUAUGAUUGUAAAAUUGAUCUACAAGAAGGAGUCCUACCACCAUUUGGACCAAUCUACAACUUAUUGCAAAAUAAAUUGGACAUAUUAAAUGAGUACAUUAAUGAAAAAUUAGCUAAGAACUUCAUAUUCCUCUUGAAAUCUCUAAUAGGAGCUCUUAUCUUAUUUGUGAAGAAAAAAAUGGAUCUUUGCAGAUGUGUGUAGACUAUCGAGGACUUAAUAAGAUCACUAUCAAAAAUAGAUAUCAUCUACCUUUGAUUUUAGGAUUUCUUGAUCAACUCAAUGAAGCAAAGAUCUAUAUAAAAAUAGAUCUAUAAAAAUCAUACAAUCUACUCCCUAUUAAUGAAAGAAAUGAAUAGAAGCCUAUUUUUUGAACUAGGUAUGGACAUUUUGAAUAUAAUGUCAUGCCUUUUAGACUCACAAAUGUACCAACUACUUUUCAACAUAUCAUAAAUGAUGUCUUUUGUGAGUUUCUUGAUGAUUUUAUUGUUUGUUAUUUAGACAAAAUUCUAAUUUACUCUAAGAACAUAAAAAAAAUAUAAACUUUAGGUUUGUUGUAUAUUAAAAAAAUUUAGAGAUGCUAGAUUAUAUGCAAAGAUGAAAAAGUGUGUAUUCUAUAUUAUUCAAGUUGAUUUUUUAAAAUACAUUAUUUUUACCAAAAGAUUAAUAAUAGAUCUUAAAAAUAUCUAAAUUAUCAUAAAUUAGAAUAUUCCAAAAAUAAUCUGAGAUGUAUAAUAUUUUAAAAAAUUUACCAAUUAUUAUAAAAUCUUCAUCAAGAACUUUUUUCAAGUCGUAACUCUUUUUUUAUACUUGAUAUACAAGACCAAAUUAAAUGGAGCAAAAAAGCAAAAAUAUCUUUUGAAGUCUUAAAGAUAAAAUUUAUUUUUGCACCAAUUUUGUAUCAUGUUGAUUUUUUUAAGGUAUUCUUUAUGGAAACAAAUGCAUCAAACUUUGCUAUGGAUGUUGUUUUAUUAAAAAUAGGAGCAAAAGAUAAACUCCACCUAAUUGCUUUUUAUUGUAGGAAAUUUUGAACAGCUAAGAUUAAUUACGAGAUUUACAAUAAAGAAUUCCUUACAAUUGUAGAUUCAUUUUAAAAAUGAUGUUAUUAUCUAGAAGGUUCUUCUAAUCUAAUUAUUAUAUAUAUAGAUCACAAGAACCUUGAAUACUUCAUAUCAAUACAUAUUUUGAAUUAUUGUCAAGUCCAUUAGAAUAUUUCUUUAUCAAGAUUUGAUUUUAAAAUUACCUAUAGAACUAAAAAAUAACAAGAUAAAUCAGAUGAAUUUUCUAAAAAAAUUUAUUUUUUACCAAAAGAAAGAAAUGGGACUUUUCAUUAAGAAAGAAUGAUUUUCUUAAAGUCGAAACAUUUUUAUCUUUAAUCAAUAAAAUUACCAUUGAUUGUUGAUUCAAUCUUAGUCAAGCAAAUUCAAAUAAGUAUGUCUUUUAAUCUUCUUAUUCAUGAUAUUAAGAAUAAUUCUCUUGAGUCUCAUAACACUUUUAAGUUUAAAUUUAAGAAUAAUCUACUCUACUUUGAAGAAUAAUUAUACAUUCUAGAAGGCAAAGCACAAUUAUAUGUUCUUUAAGCUUAUCAUGAUUUUCUAGUAGUCAAACAUUUUAGAUACAAUAAGACUUUGGAGCUAAUAUCUAAAGAUUUUUGGGGGCCUCAAAUAUCGAAGGUAGUCAAAGACUUUGUACAAUCAUGUAAUAUUUAUUCAAGAUCCAAAACUCCUUAUCAUUGAUCUUAUAGACUUCUUCAACCAUUACUUAUUCCAAAACAACUAUGAUCUUCUAUUUCUAUGGUUAUUAUUAUGGAUCUUUUAAUUUGAGGUUUAUAUGAUUCUAUAUUUGUCAUAGUAGAUCAUUUUACCAAAAUAGCAUAUUUUUUAUAAUAUAUAAAAUCUAUCACAAGUAAAGAAACAACCAAGUUUUUUUUUGAUAACAUCUAUUGCUAUUAUGAAUUGUCUAAGGAUAUUAUAUCAAAUAGGAAGACUAAAUUUAUAUCAAGAUUUUAGAAAAUCCUUUUCAAGGUUCUAAAAGUAGAUAUAAAGCUUUCUUUAGCUUUUCAUCCUUAAAUUGAUAGACAAACAGAACUGGUGAAUUAAGUUUUGAAAUAGUAUUUUAGGUGUACUAUCAACUAUCAUCAAGAUGAUUGAAUGGCUCUUUUGCCAUUAGUAGAGUUUGAAUAUAAUAAUUUGAUAUAUUUUUUUUAUUCAAUAAAUACUUUUUUUUGCCAAUUAUGGUUAUCAUCCAUGAUUUGAUACUUUUAACUUUUUAAAAGUUGAUAAACCUACGAUAGAAGAUUUGGCAAAUCAUUUGUUAGAAUUACAUACAAAAAUAAAGGCAUAAUUAAAAGAAUCUCAAGAAUGAUAAAAGAUCAAUGGAGAUGUCUAUUAUAAGGAAUAAUUGCAAUUCAAUGUGGGUGACAAGAUAUGGUUAUUUCAUCACAAUAUCAAAACUAUUUGUUCUUGUAAAAAAUUGGAUUAUUUUAGGCUUAGAUCUUUUUUUAUUAGUAUACAAGUCAAUUCUAUUGCUUAAUAAUUAUAUUUAUUAGAAUCUAUGAAGAUCCAUUUUGUAUUCUAUGUAUCUCUUUUUGAGCCAUAUAAAACAAUGAAUAUCUUGAAAAGAAGAUAAAUGCCACCUCUUCUUAUAGAAGUAGAUACUAAUCAAGAAUUUGAGGUAGAAGAAGUUUUAGAUUCAAGGCGACACUGAAAUAGGAUAAAAUAUCUUAUUCAUUGGUGUGGAUAUAAUAAUUAAAUACAUAUAAGAGGCAACAAAGAAACUUACAAAUGUAAUAAAGGAGAUUGAUAUUUUUCAUUGACGGCAUCCAUCAAAACUAAGAUAAAGAAUAACAAAUCUUUGCUAUAAAAGAAAUAAGAUCUAGGAAAGAUUGUAUUCUACCUUUUAUUCUUGUUUGGUACUUUUGUAUAUUUUUGACUCUAAAAAGAUGGAAAACCAACAACUAGAAAAUUCAACUUAAGAGCUAUUAUUUGUUGACUUAUCAGAUAGAACAUUGCAAUUUUAAUAACCUUCAAGAUGACGUAAUUGAGAUGAAGUUCCUUAAGAAUGAUAUGUUUUUCUUUGAAUAAAUGGUGAGAUACAACAUAUUUGGUAUCAUGACCUUAGAAGAAACUCCUAAUGUUUGCUGAUUUUAUUAGAAGUUGAAACAACUUUUGAUGGUAUUCAAAAUAUUUUAUUUGAAGGAAGUUACAAAGGUCUCAACAAUAAUCAAAGAACAAGGUGGUCUUUUUGCCGUGGUAUGAGAUACUAUUGAUGGCUAAGAAGACCUAUCAACCAUCUUUAAAGAAAAUAAAGAUUAGAGUACAUAGAGAAUACAAUUUGCCACAUUUUAAAUUUUUUCAACAUAUGAUGACCACUUGUGGAAAUCAAUCUUAAAAGAGAAGGUAAUAUUAUGGACAUAUAUAUUUACUAUGAUAUUUACAUAUCUGAUUAAAUAGAAGUAAAUAAAAAUAAAUUUAUUUCAUAAUAUUUUUUAGAAAAUCAUCCUAGAAGCUUCAUGGACACUCUUUUGACUUUACAUAUGUUUGUAGUUGAUUGGUGGGAUAGAAACUUGGUCAAUAAGUUAACUACAUGUUGAUAGCUUACGAAAUAAGGUAAUUAUGUGGAAUAUAUAUAGAAAACUUGUUUUGUAAGUUAAGAUGCGUGCCUUACAAAGUCAACAUGUUUUAGAGAUCCUAUAAGAUAUUGCCAUAUAGCUCCUAGUUAAGAGUAUAUAUUGAGGCAAUAGUGAAGCCUUCUUCAAUGUUGUCAAUGCUUUUCUAGUCUUUAGUCUUAUUUCAAGUCUUUUUAGUUUUCUUAUUUUUAACAAUAUUCAUUCUAAUUUAAUACUAUAUCAUCUUUGACUGAUUUUUUAAUUCUUUUGAGUGACAUAAGAAUGUAUUGAAGAUUUUUUUCUGUAAGCUUCAUGUCUUUGAUAGUAGACUCAUAUGUAUAAACUUGCUCAAACUAUUGUAAUAGAAAUAGACUAAUUAAUUGCAAAGCCAGUAAAGACAAUAGCUUGUAAAUAAAGAUGAAUUAAAAAAACAAAAAUCCAUCAUAUUUUAUAUUCAAGUACUUAUUAUGCUUUUGUUAUUACGCUCAUUAAGCAACAAUACUAAAAUACAACACUUCUAGCAUCAAUGCUAUUACUUUAAAAAUAGUAAAAAAGGACCAUUGUACACAAAUUUUAAACUAGCUAUUACACAAAAAAAAGAAAGAAUAUACAAAUAGCCAUAUUUUUGUCAAAGAAAAUCUUUAUGAACUAAAAUAAAUUCUUAUUAAUUGAAAGCUUAUUCUAAUUUAUAAUAUUUUAAUUAUCUAGUUAAUCUAAUAUUUUUUAUUAAUAUUUGAUUUAUGUCCAAUAGUUCCACUAACUUUAUAAUUUUGAGCUAAAUAAAUCCCUUUAUUAGGAAAUUUAUUUUAUUUCACAACUACUAAUUAACUUGUGAAAUAAUUUAAUUAAUUUUUUUAAAUUUUUUUUAUUAAGAACUUAGAACCUCUAACUAAUUUAAUUGACAUUCAUACAACUUACUACAAUAAUGCAAGUUACUUCAAAUAACUAUAAAAAAUUCCAAAAAUAGAAUUUUUUUCAUAUAUUUUAUUUUAUAUUAGUAAAAAAAAUUAUUUUAUUUUAUAUGAGUUAAAUAUUUUAUUUUAUUUUCUAUCCACUCUUUUUUAUUUUAAUUGUUUAUUCUAUCAAUGUAUCUUUUGUUUUGUUUUGUUUUUUUUUGUUUUGUUUUGUUUUUUUUUUUUUUUUUUCCAUUAGACAGCCUUUAAUUAAUAACAACUUGGAUUAUUUUAAUUUGGAUUAUUUUAACUUAGAUAAUGUAGAUUCUAAAAAAGACACCGUUAAUGAUGAUACUCUAUAUAUAUUAAUAACAUAAUAAAUGACAAUAUAAUUCAAGUUAAUACUAAAACAUUGUCUCUUAUAUAUUGAUAUAAUGUAAUACAUAACAAUGGACUACAUAAUUGCUUUUAAUAACAUAAAAUCUAUAUUCUAUAAGAUAAUUAUAUAGUAAAAGAUAGAGAUAGAUGUUUUGAUAAUUAGAUAAAAUAUUAUAUAUAAUUAUGAUAAUUAUACUUUAAAAGUUGUAAUUACUAAGCUAUAAAAUAAUAAAUUAGAUAAUUAGUGACAUAUACAUUAGACAAAACAUCAAGUGCAGCAAUUGAGGCAGAGAAUGUUGUAUUAUGAAAUAAUAUAAGUUCUCUCUAUAAGUAUGUAUGAUAAAUCUUCUUUAGACCAUUUUGAAAUCCAUUGAAAUUAUUAACUUAUACAUAUGAUGGAUGAAUAAGGACUUAUGGUGAUGUUUAAUUCUUCUACACCAUUGCAUAAGAUGAUUUGUUCUAAUUCAACAAGGUACAAAACUGGUGCCAACUACAAUAUCCAUUGAGAGUUGCAAUUAGUGAAGUCUUUAUUAGAAAUCAUGUGUCAUGAACAUAUAUUUAUUGUAAUUUUUACUUAGAUAAUAUGAAUAAGUAGAAGUAGAUAAAAUAAAUUAAUAUCAUAAUAACUUCUAUGAAAGCUUUUAAGAAGCUUUUUAGAUGUUACUUUGACUUUAUAUGUAUUUGUAAUUGAUUGAUAGGUUACAAACUUGGUCAACAAGUUAACUACAAGCCAUACAUGUUCAUAGCCUACAAAAAAGUUAAUUAUAUAGCAUCCAUAUAAAAAACUUGUCUUAUAAGUUAAGAUAUGUGUUGUAUAAAGUCAACAAGUUUUGGAAUUCCUAUAAAAUGUUGCUAUAUAGCUUCUAGAUAGAUAGUAUAUAUAGAGGCAAGAGUGAAGCCUUCUUCAUUCUUGUCAAUUUUUUUUUUUGCUUCUAGUCUAGUUUCAAGAAAUCUCUAAUUUUUUUGUCUUUUGAAAAUAAUCAUUCUAAUUUUUUUUAAUAUACAUAAUUUUUUAUUUCUAUUUUAUUAUACUUCUUUAAAAAAGUUUCACUUCUUUAUUUAUUUUCAUUGAAUUCUUGUCUUUGAUAAAUUAACAAGAGUACACUUAUAAUAUUAGGGCUUUGUCUUUUUUUAAUUAAAAAUGGAGUAUUCUUUUUUCUUAAAAAGAUAUAAACAUAUUAGAAGUUACAAAUUAUCCUUUUUUAAAUUGAUAUUAUUUUUUUUGUUUAGAAGUUCUUUCUUUUAUUUAUCUUGAAUGACAUUAGAUAUAUUUUUUUUAAGUAUAAUUAUGGUAGAGCUUAUCAAAAUGAAGAGUGCAAUGGCACAAAUGUAAAAAAAAUUGAAGGAGUUAAUACUUAAGAUGCAUCAAUUCAAUUUAGUACUACAAAAAAAAAUGAAAAUGACAAAAAAUAGAGAUAUAGAGAUAAUUGAAGCUCCUUCAACAUCUACACCAAAUCAUGUCUCUUUUCUUAUAGUAGAACAUCAUUCAAGUGCUAGAAAACCAAAAAUUACCUUACUUGAAUAGUUUAAUAGUAUCAAAUCAAAGUUUCAAGGAUUCAUCAAUCAAAUACAACUAGCAAUUGAACUUCAAUCCCAAAACUAUCCAAUUUCAAGAUCACAAGUCAAGUUUAUUAAAACACUACUUUUUGAUUUUAUUAAUAUUAUUUUCAUCUUUUUUUGAAUGAUGUGAUUCAAUAUUGGACAAUUUAGAAGCUUUCUUGAUGAAGUUUUGAUCUAUGUAUGGAGAAUAUGAUAUAGUUUGUAUUACAAUAAAUAAGCUCUAUAUUUUGUAACAAAAAAAUUAAUUUGUAAUAUUGUAUGCUUCAUAAUUUAGACAACUUCUGAUUGAUAUCAAGUAGAAUGAUGUAGCAUUGACUAGCCAAUUUUUUUAUGGAUUAAAAUAUGAGGUAAAGAAAUUGAUGCUCAGUUUAUAUGAUCUUCAAACAUUGAAUCAAGGAAUUAAUUUUGCUGUAAAAUUUGAUAAUCAAUUUUUUAAAUUUUGAUUUAAUAAUUAUAUAAAUAAGCCUCAAUAUUGUUAUAAUUCAAUAGCAACACCAAUAUCUUUUCAAUACAUAUCUUUGGAAGUAGAAGAUAUGCAAAUUGAUGUGAUAUAUUUCAAAUCUCUUAUUGACCAAGUUAAGACUAAUUAUUUUCAAGAAGGAUUGUGUUUAUAUUAUGGAAAAACAAAGCACAUUGCUCAAUAUUAUCUAAAAAAAUAAUGCAAUCAUAAAAUGAGAAGUACAACUGUCAAAAAAGAUAAUAUGGUCAAAAAAUAAGUUUGUUGGGCUAUAAUAAGAAUCAAAUAGCUGAAAACUUGUAUAAUAUCUAAUAAAGGUCAUAUUCUCUCAUCAAAACUUUUUCUUUGUUUUAUAAUAGAUAUUAGUUUAGGACUUAAAUAUUACAAAGGCUUUUUCUUGCUAGAUUCAAGAGUCUCAAUUUGUUUUUUAAAUGAAGAGUUUGUUAAAAAAUAUAACAUACUUUUAGUAAAGAAAACAUAAGUUACUUAUGUAGAAAUCAUAGAUGGUUAUCUAUUAUCCUCUAAAGACAUCAUUCAUAAAAUAUUUACUCUAAAAUUAGUAACUAAUGGUCAUAGUAACUUUGUGGUAUUUAAUAUUAUUACAUCUCCUUCUAAUCCAAUCAUUUUAGAUUUAUUGUGGUUAAAAAAGUAUAAUCCCCAAAUAAAUUAAAUUUCUUGUAGUCUUAAUUUUUCUAAAAAUAUUUUAAGAAUAUAAUAAAUCAAGUAAAAAGUUAUAAGUCUAAUAUAAUCAAACUUAUAUUUGUAGAUAUAAGAGCUUUUUUUAUAUGCUACAAAAGAAAGAUUAUCUUAUGUCAUUUAUGCCAUAUCUAUUUCUUAUUGUGGAAAGACUUCAAAUAGAAUUUUUAAUCAAUAUCAAGAUUUUAAAAAAUUAUUUGAGAAGAAAAAUACAAAUAUUCUUACAAAAUAUUGUUUCUAUGACUAUUUAAUUGACCUUCAAGAAGGAACUCAACUGUCAUUUGAACCAAUCUAUAAUUUAUCACAAAAUAAGUUGGCUGAAUUCAAAGAGUAUAUUGAAGAAAAUUUAGCUAAAAACUUCAUACACCAUUCCAAAUCUCCAAUAAGAGCUCUAAUUUUAUUUUUUUAAAAAAAUAGAUCAUUAUAAAUAUGUAUCAAUUAUUGAAGACUCAACAAGAUCACUAUUAAGAAUAAGUAUUCGCUAUCUUUGAAAUUUAGACUUCUUUAUCAAUUAUAUCAAGCUAAGAUCUAUAAAAAAAAUAGAUCUAUAAAGAGCAUAUAAUCUAGUAAGCAUGAAAAUAAGAGAUGAAUAGAAGAUUAUAUUUUAAACCAAGUAUAGAUAUUUUGAAUAUAAUAUCAUACCUUUUGGACUUACAAAUACAUUAACAACUUUUAAAUAUUUAAUGAAUGAUGUAUUUUGAAAGUUUUUAAAUUAUUUUAUUGUCUGUUAUUAAGACAAUAUUUUAAUCUAUUUUAAGAAUAUAAACUUUAUGUUCAUUGUAUGAUACAAAAACUAAGAGAUGCAAGAUUCUAUAUUAAGAUAGAAAAGUGUGUAUUUUAUGCUAUUCAAGUCAACUUCUUAGGGUAUAUUAUUUCAAAUGAUGGACUUAUGAUGGAUCUUAAGAAAGUUCAAACUAUUAUAGAUUGGAAGAUUAAAAAAAUGAUAAAAUAUAUCUAAUAUUUUUUAAGAUUUUUCAACUAUUGGAUCUUUAUCAAAGACUUCUUUCAAAUUGUAGUUCCAUUUAUAUAUUUAAAUUGUGAAGAAAAACUUCAAUAGAAUUAAGAAGUAGAAGCAACAUUUAAAACUUUGAAGACAACCUUUAUUUAUAUACCAAUCUUAUAUUGUAUCAACUUUUUUAAACCAUUUUUUAUAGAAAUAAAUGCAUCAAAUUUUACUUUGAAUGCCAUAUUAUUACAAAUAGAAAUAGAUGAUAAAUUUUAUCUAAUAGCUUUUCAUUCCAAAAAACUUUCAAUAGCCAAUAUUAACUACAAGAUCCAUUACAAAGAAGUUCUUAUAAUUAUAGAGAGUAUAUUUGACAAAUCUUGUUAUUUUUUUGGUUAAUAAUUGAUUUUGAAUUCAAAUCUUGACAAGAACAUGCUCCAAUGGAUUUGGUGAUAAUUCAAAACAUAUAUUAAUAUAAAAUAUUUAAGUUUAUUUUAAUUUAUAUAUAUAUAGUGAUUAGAUUAGAAGUACCUUCUAAAUAAUGGUACCAUUCUUAUAAUUAUAGAUUUGAAUUUAAGAACAAUCUAUUAUAUUUUGAAGGCUACUUAUGUAUUCCAAAAAGUGAAGCUUGAUUACAAAUUCUUUAAGCUCAUCCUGACUUUCUAGCAAUAAGAUAUUUUAGGUACAAUAAGACUUUGGAACUAAUACCUAAGGAUUUUUGGUGGCCUCAAAUAUAGAAGGUAGUUAAAGAUUUUGUACAAUCUUGUGAUUUUUUCUCAAGAUCAAAAACUCAUUGUCAUUAAUCUUAUAGAUUUUUUCAGCUAUUAUUUAUUCUAGAACAAUUAUGGUCUUUUAUUUCUAUGGAUUUUAUCACAAAUCUUUUAGCAUCAAGUUUUUAUGACUCUAUAUUUAUGAUAGUAGAUCACGUCACCAAAAUGGCAAAUUUUAUAUCAUAUAUAAAAUCUAUUAUACGUAAAGAAAUAGCUAAGUUUUUUUUAAACAAAAUCUAUGGCUAUUAUGGAUUAUCUAAAGAUAUUAUUUUGAAUGAGGGAACUUAAUUUGUAUUAAGAUUUUAAAGGUAGAAAUAAAAAUAUCUUUGAUUUUUUAUCUUUAAAUUAAUGGAUAAAAAAACAUAUGAAUUAAGUUUUAGAGUAGUAUUUGAUGUGUAAUAUCAACUAUCAAUAAGAUAAUUAGACAAUUCUUUUGCCAUUGGUAAAGUUUGCUUAUAAUACCAUAAUACAUUCUUUUAUGUAAUAAAUAUUUUUUUUUAUUAAUUAUAGUUCUCAUCCAUGACUUGAUACUUUUGACUUUUUAAAAGUUGAUAAUCUUAUAACAAAAGAUUUGGCAAAUCAUUUAUUUGAGCUAUAUACAACAAUAAAGGUAUAACUAAAAGAGGCUUAAGAACAAAAAAAGAAUAACGUGGAUGAUUAUUGUAAGCAACAACCUCAUUUCUACAUUGGUGAUAAGGUAUGAUUAUUUUAUUAUAAUAUUAAAAUUACUCACUCUUGUGAUAAGUUGGAUUACUAUAGACUUGGACCAUUUCCUAUUUGUAAAUAAGUCAAUCGAGUUGCUUAUUGAUUACAUCUAUUGGAGUCUAUAAAAAUCUAUCUUGUAUUUUAAGUUGUUGUAUUAUAAUAAUUCUUGCUUGAAAAUGUACUAGGUACCUAGUUGUGGAAGAUAGAAAAGAAAUUGCAACAACAAGAUCCUAAAAAUUCUAAUUGAAUCCUAAAUAAAUUUUAAUUAAAUCUUAAUAAUUCUAAUUAAGCUUUAAUCAAAUCCAAAAGAAAUCUUAAAGAAAUUAUAAAAAAAGAUGAAGAAAUCCUAAAGUAAUAUUAGAGAAAUUUUAAAUAAGUCUUAAAUAAAGCUUAACUAAGUCUUAAUUUAAUCUUAAUUAAAAUUCUAAUGGAUCUUAACUAAAUCUUAGAUUAAAUACUAACUAAACUUUGAAUGAAAUUCUAAAAAAAUCUUAAAUCCUAAACCAAAUUCUAGAUAAAUCCUAAAUCCUAAACCAAACUCUAUACAAAUUUUAAAUCCUAAAUCAAAUCCUAGACAAAUCCUAAAUCCUAAAUUAAAUCUUAGAGAAAUCCUAAAUUCUAAACCAAAUCCUAAGAAAAUCCUAAAUCUUAAAUAAAAUUGUAGAUAAAUCUUAAAUUUUAAACUAAAUCCUAGACAAAUUUUAAAACUUAAAUCAAAUCUUAGACAAAUCCUAAAUUUUAAAUCAAAUCCUAAUUAAAACCUAACCCACUCAAACUAAGUUUAAGAUAGAUUAGAAACCUAAUAUCUAUUGAUUAAAUUAUUGAUCAUACUUAAAAAUUUAAAUACCUCUCAAUUUCUUAAUUAAAACAAGUAUAACAAAUUUGAAGAUCUUAAAAAUACUCAUUGUCCUUCAAACUCCAAUUAUUGAGACCUCAACCCACAAAAAUUUUUACAUACUUUGAUCUAAUUAUGUGAUUGACUUCAAAUUCAUAACACAUAUCAAAUACAACUAUAUCUACUAAUCCACAAAAUUUCACUUAUAGAUCUGCUAAAAAAUUCUUGAAAUUAUCCAAAAUAUCAACUCAAUUUUAUUUUACAAAAAUCCAAGUCAUCCAAAAAAAUGUUGACUUUGUAAAGCUCUUACAAAUUCAUUACAAAUUCAAAUCAUCCAAAUCUAAUGCUCAUAAAAACCUUAUUAAGUUUGCUCUUAAAUCCCAGUCUUCAAUCUACCAAAUAACCUUAGAAUCACCAUAGGUGCAUGGUUUUGUGUUUUAGGGUUUGAUUUUAACCCAAGUUGACAACUAGUCCUCUCUAGAUAUCAAUUCUUUGCUUCUUAAAGUAAAUUUUACUAAAAUCUAUUCUUAACACCCUUCAUCACUCUCCUAAUCGCCCACUUGGCANNNNNNNNNNNNNNNNNNNNNNNNNNNNNNNNNNNNNNNNNNNNNNNNNNNNNNNNNNNNNNNNNNNNNNNNNNNNNNNNNNNNNNNNNNNNNNNNNNNNNNNNNNNNUAGUGCUUUUAUUUACUAUCUUUUGACUGUUAAAUUUAUUCUAACGAUAAUUUUCUAUAAUAUUUUAAAAUAAGAUCUUCUAUAAUAAUUUUUUUUUCUUUUAUUCAUUAGUUGUAUUAUAUCAUGACAACAUGUCUUUUUUGGAGUCAUAUAAGAUAGUGAAUAUCUUAGAAAGAAGAAAAAUACCACCGCCUCUUAUAGAAGUGGAUAAUAAGCAAGAAUUUGAGAUAGAAGAAGUCUUAGACUCAAGGCGGUGCCAACUUAGAUUGAAAUAUUUUUUUCAUUGGCAUUAAUAUAAUAUUAGCAAAUGCAUAUAAAAGCCAAUAAAAAAUCUUACAAAUGUAAUAGAAAAGAUCAAAGCUUUUCAUCAACAACAUCUAUUAAUAUCAAGAUAAAAGAUAGCAAAACUUUGCUAUAAAAGAAAUAUAAUUUAAAAAAGAUUAGAUUCUACGUUCUAUCAUUGUUUGUAAUUUUUAUAUAAUUUUGGUAUUAAAGAGAUUAAGAACCAACUGCUAGCAUAUUCAACUCAAGAGCCAUUACUUAUUGACUUAUAAAAAGAGACAUUGCAAUUAUUUCAAUUUUGAAAACAACAUAAUAGAAAUGAAGAUCUUUAAGAAUGACAUGUUUUUUCUUGAAUAAAUGACAAGAUAUAAUAUAUUUACUAUCAUAACCUAGAAAAAGAUUCUCAAUAUUUGAUGAUUUUAUUAGAAGUAAGAAUUACUCCUAAUGGUGUUAUAAAUGUUUUGUUUGAAGAAAGUUAUGAACGUCUCAACAAUGAUAAAAUAACAAGGUGGUCUUUUUAUCCUACAAUGGGACAUUAUCAAUGGUUGAGAGGACCUAACAACUACCUUUAAAGAAAAUAAAGAUCAAAGUAUAUAAUAAAUAUAAUUUGUCACAUCUUAGACUUCCUCUAUAUAUGAUCACCGCUCCUUGUAGAAUUUGUUUCUAAAAAGAGGGAUAAUGUUAUAAACAUAUAUUUACUAUAAUUAUUAUUUGAAUAAUAUAAAUAAAUAGAAAUAAAUAAAAAUAAAAUAAUUUCAUAAUAUCUUCUAAAAAAGCUUUAUAAAAAUUUUAUAGAUAUUAAUUUAACUUUAUAUGUAUUUUUAGUUGAUUUAUAAAUUAUAAAUUUAGUCAAUAAGUUAAUAACAUACCACACAUAUUGGUAGCUUGCAGAAGAAGUUAAUUAUAUGGCAUCCAAAAUGUGAGAGUAAGUUUUUACUCCUUAACCCAAGUUAUAAGAUGGCCUCAAUUAAGAGUUGCUUGUAAUUGGUGGUGUGAAAUGAAGUAAGCAAAUAACAAGAACAAAAGAAGAAUAAACACAAAGCAAUUGAAAUAAAUGACAUGAAGCAAUUACAACACCCAAAACUAAGUCACAGUCUAUUUAUUAUGUUUUUAUCUAAUAAAAAUAAAAUUAAAAAUUAAAAAUUAUAUUUUUAGAUAGGUAAUUUUAUUAUCUUUCCAACGAAAUAAAAAAUAUGUAAAUCCUAAUUACUUUGAGUAAAUUAUGAAUUUUUAAAGAUAUGAAGUAAAUAAUUGAAAAGUGAAGUGAAAAUAUUUUACCUCAAAAGUAACUUACUUAUAGAUCAAGGAUUUGAGCCUCACCAAGGCUCACAUGUAAUAUAUAAGGGUAUCUAAGAGAGGAUCCGAGGCCUUAAUCUUAUCCUCCUAACUACCUUCAAGGUGCUACAACCCAUAUGUGACUUGUACACCCCUCUUUUUUCAAGGACUACACUAGCUGCUGGUCCUCCUGUUUUCUACUAGAAAGACCAAUAUUUUUGUAUUUUUGACCUCACCAUGGUGUUUAAAAAUACAAAAUUAUCCUAAGGACCUUGUAUAGCCUUCAAAUCUUGCUCCAUUUCUUCAUAAAGGCUCUCAAAGUAGUAAAACUCAUUUUUACCAAGAUCUUAAAAAUUGCUCUAAAAAUUCCUAAAAAAUUCUAAAUAAAUUCCAAAUAAAAUUUUAAAAAUUCUAUAAUAUUUUUAUAAUGCUAAUAUCCAUUUAAGGCUUUAUUUUUCUACCUUUGAGAUUUUUGAUAAUAAUAUAAAUUAAUUUAAAUCCACUAUAAAUCUUAUUUUUUAUAUCAAUAAUUAAAAUGACAUGAGGUUCUUUCUCAUGCUUCUUCUAACUACUAAAAUUUAAAGUUUUUAUAAGUAUCACAUAUAGAUAGAAGACAAAUAUAAAUAUUGGUCUUAAUAAAUAAUCCUUAAUAUUCAAUAAUGAAUAAAAAUACUAAACUAUUAAAUAUAAUUGCCUCCAAGACUUACUAAGACUCUAUUUCCACCACUAACAUUCUAAUUUUCUAUUUCUCUAAGUAUUUCUAUACUACUCACUAUAUAUUGUAAUUUAAAGCAUUCUAAAUACAUAUUUUUAUCCUAAAACAACAAGUGAGUCAAUUUGAUGACUUCUAUUCAUAUACAAAACUUCUUUUAUAAGUUAAGAUAUGUAUUAUACAAAGUCAAUAAGUUUUGGAGGUUUUAUAGAACUUUGCCAUAUAUCUCCUAUUUAGAUAGUAUAUAUAGAGGCAAGAAUAAAGCAUUCUUCAUUUUUAUUAACUCUUUUCUUGCUUCUAGUCUAAUUUCAAGAAGUCUUUAAUUUUCUUUUGGCAAUAGCCAUUUUAUUUUAUUUUUUUAAUAUAAAUAAUUUUUUAUUUUUAUUUUAUUAUAUUUUUUUAAGAAAGUUUCACUUAUUUAUUUAUUUUCAUCAAGUUUUUUCCUUGACAUCAUAAUAGAUUUGUAAAUUAGAGUUGACAAGAAAAUGAAAAUCAAUGUAACAAAAAUGGCCACAAUUUAUUAUAAAUUAGAUCUCAUACUUCAAAUAUAAAUAAGUUUAUCAAAAAUAUUGAAUUUAUUAUUGAAUCAUAAUCCAUAACAAAUUUAAAUAGAAAUACAAUUUCAAGAUAUAACAACAACAUCACAAUAUCAAGUAUAUAUGAAGAUGUAAACUUUUGUAGCUAUUACAUUCCAAUAAAAUCAUAUAAUGCAUUGAAUAUAUACUUUUUAAGUUUAUUUUUUAUAUAAUAGAGUAGACUCUAAUAUCAAAGUUUAUAUAUAGAAUUUCAACAAAUAAUAGAUAUACAAAAAAUAAGUACUAUUAAUAAGAUGUCUAGUAGUAAAAAAAUUGAAAGAACUAGGGGCUUUAAUAAUCUACUUGAUUCUAUCAUUUAGGCAUUAGAAUCUACUAAGACAAUAGAAAGUAAAUUGAGUUAGGAUGGAUACUAGAAUGGACAAUUCUACAAUAUAGAACAAGUAAUAAUUAGAUGAUUUAAUGGCAAUAUUUUUAAAAGCAAGAAAAGAUUAAUAGAAUGUGGUAAGUAUUGUAAAUUCUUUAUUAUCAAUUCUAUAUGGUAAGACAAUAUAGGAUACAUGAAUUUGAUAGAUUAUCAAAAUAUUAGAUUUUCUUCUCACAUAAAAAGAAAUGGUGCAAGUUUUUGUUUUACAAAUUUACAUACUAGAUCAAUUAUAUCCAAUAAAAUAUUAGAUAUUCCAAAAAAGAUAAGAAAAGAAUAAAGGAUUGAUAAGAGAGAAAAGAUCGUCAAAAGAAGAAUAGUGACAUUCUCUACCUUUGCAUGUAAAAUUGUAGAAAAAAUAUAGACUCUUCAAGGUAAAAAGUAUCGGAUAACAUAGAAACCAUCUAAAUACAUUGAUAGAGUUUUUUUUUCUAGAUUUAAAAUUUGUAAGAAAUAAGAUACAAAUUGAAUAAAAUUAAGAAAAGAUUUGAAAUGCUUCAAAAAAUUUAGUCAUGUCAUCUAAUAAAAUAAAAGGUGCUACCUUAAAAACUACAUUCAUAUAUUAUAAAAAUAAAUUUGAAGCAAAGUGUGGACUGAAUAAAUUUUUUGUAAAAUACUUAAUAAGAACCAUUGAAAACCAAAUUGGUUGUUUAGAUGCUAUAUCUAAAAUAUUCCAAUGAAGUUAUCACAAUAGGUUAGAAAAGACCACAUUGGCAAUUCCAUAAAAAAAAUCUUAUGUUCCUAAUAUAUAUGUUGUAUCAUGAAAAUAUGGUAUGCAACAAGUUACUAUCAACUAUAUAUAUUUCUAAUACAGCAACACAAAGCUUAUGUAUGGAAAUUUUCAGUAGGAAGAAAUUAAAAAAAUAGAGAUAUAAUCAAUAAAGAAGUUACAAAAGAUUCAACAAUCAUGUAGUUUAUAUCUUUCUUCUAUUUUAUGGAGGUUAAUUGAAUAAAAUGAUGAAUAAGUACAAGUAUGGAGUCAAAUUUUAUAUCAUAUAUUUUCAUGAAAAUUUUGUUUGGUUUUCAAUGUUAAGAAAUAAUUUUAUGAAUGCCUUGACUAAAAUUGAUAAAUGUACCUUUGUAAAUAAUUUGAAAUAGCUAUUCCAAUUCAUAAUUAUUAAUUAAUUUAUAAUUAAUUAAAUAAAAAAAUUCUUACUUUUUUUAAAAAAAAAUUAACCUUUUUAAAAAUUUAAAUUCACAUUCAAACAAUCACAAUCUAUAAUACAAGCCUUUCAAAAAUACAAAAAACCACUUAAAUAAUUCAAAAAUCACAUAAUUAAAAGAAAUUUUUUCAUAUGAUAUAAUUUAAUAUAAUUUUUUAAAAUUAUCUUGUAAAAAUUUCAUCCAAAAUUAAAUCCUCAUAUAAAAAUAAAAAUUCAUCUACUUCUAACCAACAUCCAUUUAAAACCUAAUUUAUUCAUACAUGACCUUGUUGAAUCUAAAUGAUUUUAAAUCAUAUAAUUUUUUUAAUUCAAGUCAAAUAUAAUUACAUAAUUUUAUAUUUUUUCUUAUUUUUAAUAUUAAUAAUUGAAUUCUUGGAAGUCCACAAUUCUUGCACAAUUUCCAAAGACCUAAUGAAUGUAUUCUAGUCACCACAAAUUCCUUAAUUUUAUUAUUGGAAGAAUUCCAAAUAUCUCUUUUAUUCACAAUCUUGAUAGUUGUUAUUGAACAAUGGCUCUUGAUCCUUGCUAUGACUCAAGUGGAUUUUUAAUUUGUAUGAUUAAUAAAAUCCAAUCACUUUGUUUUACUAUAUUUGCAUUUUGCCUAAUUGAUGGUUCUGAUAUUCCUACUAAUGAAGAGUCUAGUUACAAAUAGAAUGAUCCAAUGAAGAUCUUAUUCUUAUGGCUAUUGGUGGUAUUAACAAUCCUUACAAAUCAGAUAUAAGGGAUGCCAUUAAAAGAUGUCAAUGGCAAGAGUGAAGGCUUAGAAGAUUACAAAUAAUAACAAUUUUACAACCAUACUGUUGUAUUACGUGAAGUCUUGCUCGAGAGUGUAUUGGGCACCUAGUUAUGGAAGGUAGAAUGGAAAUUACAACAACAAAAUCUUAAUUCUAAUAGAAUACUAAAUAAACUCUAAUUAAACUUUAAAAAUGCUAAAUAAGUUUUAAUCAAAUUUAAAAGAAACCUUAAAAAAAUUACAAAAGAAAUAAUAAGAAAUAUUAAAGGAAUUGUAAAAAAAUCCAAAAUAAACUUUAAAAAUAACUUUAAAAAGUCUUAAAAAAUAUUAGAAUAAUGAAAAAUAUAUCUUAAAUAAAUCUCAACUAAGUUCUAAUUUAAUCCUAAUUAAAACCCUCAUGGACUUCAAUCAAAUCCUAGAUAAGUCCUAAAUUCUAAACAAAAUUCUAUAUCAAAUCUUAGACAAACCUCAAAUCCUAAAUAAAAUCUUAAAUCAAAUCUUAGACAAAUCCAAAAUCUAAAAUCAAACCUUAGAUCAAACACUAGAUUCUAAACUAAAUCUUAAAUCCUAAACCAAAUCCUAAAUCAAAUUCUAAACAAAUUCUAAAUCCUAAAUCAAAUCCUAGGUCAAAUCCUAGAUCUUAAACUAAAUCCUAAAUCAAAUUCUAAAUCAAAUCCUAAUCAAAUCCUAAAACAUAAACCAAAUCCUAGUUCAAACCUUAGAUCCUAAACCAAAUAUUAAUCCUACUCAAUCUAAUUCUAGUAUAGUUUAGAAGCUCAAUAUCUAUCAAUUGAACCAUUCAUCUUGCUUAAAAAUUUACAUACCUUUAAACAACUAAAUUGGCAAUAAGCAUACAAAUUUUAAAUAUAAUUGUAGUUACUAAAUGGAAGAAAAUCCCUAAAUUCUGCUAAAGUAUUGACUAUCCUCCUACUUCAAACUAAAUGUUGAAUUUCUAGUGCCAAUAUCUCCUUAUUAAACUAUUCAUUUUUUUUAAAAUUUUACAUGUUUGUAAAAAAUCAAGUCUCUUAUUCUUAAAUACAAAUUUCAUUGCAAUCCAAUUAAUAGUUUUCUAAAGAUCUUAGAAAUCCUAAGUGCCUUUCAAAGUGCAAUCUUUGAGACCUCAACCUAUUUGAAAUUCAAUAGCCUUCAAUUCAACCAUUUGAUCAAGCUCAAAUUUACAACAUAUAUUUUAAACAAUAAUUUUAAUAUUUUUUAAAAAUUUGAACUAUAGAUCUACUACCAAACUUCUAAAAUUCUCCAAAAUAUAAUACCAUUUUUAUUUCUAAAAUUCAAGAGUCAUCCAAAAUACUUGUGACUUUGCAAAGCUCUUACAAAGUCAUUACACAUUCAAUUUUCUCAAAAUCAAUGCUCAAAAAAAUCCUAUUAUGUUUGCUUUCAAACUCUAUUCUAUGAUUUCCUAAAAAGAAUUCUCAAAUUGCCAUAGGUACUCAAUUUUGUGCCUCGGAGUUUGAUUUCGAUCCAGAUUGAUAACCGAUCAUCUUUGAGUAUCAAUUUUUUUCUUUUUGAGUUAACUUUUAUUCCAAUCAACUCUUAAAUUCUUCCUACAUAUGUUCAUAUUCUUUAUUUUUCUAAUCUAUCUUGUUUUGCCUUAUUUAUGGUCUUAUAAAGUAAGUAGAAGUCUACUUUGUAAAAAUGUAGCAUUUAAAUCUUUAGUUCUACUUUCUUUUGGACUAUUGUCUAUUUUCUAAGAUAAUUUGUUAAAAUAUUUGAAGUAAUAUCUUCUAUAAUAUAAUAGAUUCUUCACUCCUUUCACUUAUUAGUUGUAUUAUAUCACAAUAAUAGUGAUUAUACAAGAAUGUGGUGCUAAAUGGUAAUAUGGAAUCUCAAUAAGUUCAACUUAUACAUCUAAGAUCAUCCAUGCUUAAUACAAUGCUUAUGCAUCUACUUACUUGACAUCCUUUUGAAUUCCUUUCAAGAAUUGAUAGAAUUUAAUUUCUUUUGAUAAUGCAAUUCUAUGAGCUCUACUACUUUAUAAUUGGCAACACUAAGAUGCUUGUGAUUGGAAAUUCUAGCCAUACUAUACUACGUCUUUGUUUCAACAAAAAGAUCAAUGCUUAGAUAUAUAGUAAAUAUAAAACUAAGUGUCUUUUUUUUAGUUUUGUGAAAUUGAUAUGGCUACAAAUGGCCAUAUUGAAGAAGCCAUGGUAGAUAAUUUCAAAUGUUUGAAAAAAGAAGGUUACCUUUAAUUAUUUGAUAAGGUUAGUUCUAGAUGUAUUACAAAAGUAAUGAAUAAAGUGGCAAUUAAUAAAGUAGUACCUUAUAGAUGGCGUAAGUGUGGUGGCAAAGAAUUCAAUAUAAGAGAUAUAGAUGCAAAUGCAAUUAGGAGUAAAGUGGAGUAUAGUAGAUAUGAGUGAAGGUUUAGAAUUUAGAAGCUGCAUUAUACUUCAAGAAAGGAAAGAAGAUAGAAUAACAAAAGUUCAUGACUAUAUAGAAAUAGAAAUAAGUGGUGAUUCCAAUUACAAAAGAUUGAAGAAUAUAGAAUAAAUAAAAAAAAAAAGAGAGCAUAGGAAUAAAUUAAAGAGUGCAUAGGUAAGUAAAAGAAUGGAUGAUUGAAUGGCCUAGUAAAUGAGACAACUUUAUGUACUAUAUUAUCAUGAGGCUCUAAAUCCUAAUUGUUUGAGUUCCAUAGGCAUCAAUAAUGAUGUUAUAUAAAUCCACUUUUAUUCCUUGUGUGUGUGUGUGUGUGUUUUUUUUUUUUUUUUUUUUUUUUUUUUUUUUUUUUUUUUUUUUUCAUCUUCACUUAUUUCUUUGAUACUUAUAUUGUAUUGUAGAUAUAUUAUCACAGACAUAUAUAUUUAUUUUAAUAAUUACUUAUAUGAUUAGAUAGAAAUAAAUAAAAGUAGAUAAAAAUAGAUUAAUUUUAUAAUAUCUUCUAGAGUAGCUUUUUAAAAGCUUCAUAAAUAUAUUUUGAUUUUACAUGUAUUUAUAAUUGACUUUUAGAUUAAAAAAUUAAUUAAUAAAUUAGCCUCAUGUCACAAAUGUAAAUAGCUUGUGGAACAAGCUAACUAUCUCAUGCAUAUAUAGAAACUUACCUUCCAAGUUAAGACAUGUGACUUGGAAAGUCGAUACAUGUUGAAGGCCUUAUAAAAUAUUGCCACAUAGCUCGAAGGUAGAUAAUAUAUAUAAAAGUAAGAAUGAAGCUUUCUUCUAAAUUAAUAUUUUUCUUCAUAUUUUUUUUGUUUUCAAGUCUUCUCUUCUAUUUUGCUUGAGUAAUAUUAUAUAAUUUUUUUAAAAUAUUAUUAUGAUAGAGCUUUUUAAAAUAAAAAGUAUAAUAGCACAAAUAGAAGAGCAAUUGAAGGAAUUAAUGCUUGUAAUACAUAAAUUCAAUUUACCACCACAAUGAGCAACAAGAAUGGCAGGGAGCAAAGAUAUAGAGAUGAUUGAAACAGCUUCAACAUCUUUACUAAAUCAUGUCUCUUUUAUUAUAGUGGAAUAUCUUUUUAAAGUUAGAAAAUCAAGGAUUAUACUAUCCAAGAAGUUUAAUAGCACAAGAUCCAAAUUUCAAGGGUUUAUCAAUCAAGUACAACUUGUGAUUGAUGUCACAAACAUAUACAUGUAAAUCAAUAAUUACUUAUAUGAUUUAGAUAAUAGUAGGUAAAAUUAAGUCAAUUCCAUAAUAUCUUCUAUACAAGCUUCAUAGAUGCUACUUUGACUUUAUAGGUGUCUUUAAUUGACUUUUUAAGUUAGAAACAUGGUCAACAAGUUGGCCAUGUGCCACACAUGUUGAUAGCUUAAAGAACAAGCUAACUAUGUGGCCCAUAUAUAGAAAACUUGUCUUGUAAGGUAAAGCAUGUGUCUUGCAAAGUCAAAACAUAUUAGAAGACCUAUAGAAGAUUGUCACAGAGCUUCUACUUAAAUAGUAUAUAUAGAGGCAAGAGUGAAGCUCUCUCCACUCUUGUCAACUCUUUUUUUGUUUUUAGUCUAGUUUGAAAAGUCUCAAGUUUUCUUGUCUUUUGGCAAUAAGCCAUUCCAGUUUCUUUUUAAUAUACGUACUUCUUUAUUUCUAUUUUGUCACUUUUUCUUUGAUAUAGAUUUCAUUGGUUUAUGCAUCAUCUUUUAGUUCAUAUCCUUGACAGAUUGAUAAGAGUAUACUUAUAAUAUCAAAGCUUUGUCUUAUCUUAAUUAAGAGUGGAUUAUCCCUUUCUCAUGAUAAGACAUAGCAUAUUAGAAGUUACGGAUUAUCCUCUUCUAAACUAAUAUUACUCCUAGUAUUUUUUUUGUCCUUAUGUCCUUUCUUCUACUUGUCUUGAGUGGUAUUAGAUAUUUUUUUGAGUGUUAUUAUGGCAGAGCUUGUUGAAAUGAAGAGUAUAAGAGCAAUUCAGAGAGUUGAUACUUGCGAUGCAUGAAUUUAGCUUAUCACCACAAAAAUCAAUUAAAAUGGCAAGAAAUGAGGAUACAAAGAUGAUUAGAGCUACUUCAACAUCUGUACUAAAUCAUAUCCUUCCACCUACAGUGGAACAUCCUUCAAGUAUUAGAGAACCAAGAAUUACCAUACCCAAGAAGUUUGAUGGUACAAGAUCUAAAUUUCGAAGAUUUAUCAAUCAAGUACAACUUGUGAUUGAACUUCAACAUCAAGGCUAUCCAAUUCCAGGAUCACAAAUUAGAUUCAUUAGUACACUUCUUUUAGGUUCAGCACUAUCGUGGUUUUCAUCUUUUCUUGAAUGAUAAGAUCCAAUAUUGGAUAAUUUGGAGGUAUUUUUGACAAAAUUCUAGUCUAUGUAUAGAAAAUAUGAUGCAACUUGUGUUGCAACCAACAAGAUCUGUAUUUUGUAACAAAGCAAUCGAUCUAUAAUAUUAUAUGCUUUAAAAUUUCAAUAACUUGUAAUUAAUAUCAAGUGGAAUGAUUCUGUAUUUAUUAGCCAAUUUUUUUAUAGAUUAUAAUAUGAAGUAAAGAAAUUGAUGCUCAACUUGAUCCUCAAAUAUUGAGAUAAGCAAUUGACUUUGCCGUGAAGUGUGACAAUUGACCUUUUGAAUUUUGAUCUAAGAGAUAUAUAAGUGGGCCUCAACAUUACUACAAUUUGAUGGCAAUACCAGCAUCUUUUCAGCACAUAUAUUCAUAAGUAAAGCAUAUGGAAAUUGAUGCAGUAUAUUUUAAACCUCUUAGUCAUAGAUGGUCGUCCAUUGUCUUUUGGAGAUAUUACUCAUAAAACACUUUCUAUAGAUGUAACAAAAAAUAGUUAUAGUACUUGCAUAAUCUUUAAUAUAAUUAGAUCUCCCUCUAAUCUGGUCAUUUUAGGUUCAUUGUAGUUAAAAAAGUAUAAACCUUGUAUAGAUUGGAUUUUUAAUACUCUUCAUUUCUCUAAAAAUAUAACUAAGACUGAUAUUAAUCUAAUAGAAAGUCAUAAGUCUAGCACAAUAAAACCUGUAUUUGUAGGUAUGAGAGUUUUUUUUGCAUGCUGUAAAAAGAAGGAUCACUUUUUGUCAUUUACAACUUACCUAUUUCUAAUGAUGCAGAGACUUCAAGUAGCACUUUAAGUCAAUAUCAAGAAUUUCAAGAUGUAUUCAAGAAAAAAAAUGCAGAUACUCUUCUAAAACAUCAUCCUUAUGAAUGCUCAAUUGACCUUCAAGAAGGAGCACAACUGCCAUUUGGACCAAUCUAUAGUUUAUUACAAAAUGAAUUAGCUGAAUUUAAGGAAUAUAUUGAAGAAAAUCUGGUCAAGAAUUUCAUACGCCAUUCCAAAUCACCAGCAAGAGCUUCAAUCAUAUUUGUGAAGAAGAAAGAUGGAUCAUUGCAAAUGUGUGUUGAUUAUCGAGGACUAAAUAAGAUCACCAUCAAGAAUAGAUACCUUCUAUCUUUGAUAUUCAGACUUCUUGAUCAAUUCAAUCAAGUUAAGAUCUACACAAAAAUAGAUCUAUGGAGAACAUACAAUUUAGUACAUAUUAAAGAAGGAGAUGAAUGGAAGACUACCUUUCGAACUAGGUAUGGACAUUUUGAAUACAACAUCAUACCUUUUGGAUUUAUAAAUGCACUGACAGCUUUUCAACAUCUAAUGAAUGAUAUUUUUUGAGAGUUUUUGGACGAUUUUGUUGUUUGUUAUGAGUAUGAUAUCUUGAUCUAUUCUAAGAACAUAGAUGAACAUAAACUUCAUAUUUGUCAUGUCUUAUAAAAAUUAAGAGAUGUGAGACUCUAUGUUAAGAUAGAAAAGUAUAUAUUAUAUACCACUCAAGUCGACUUCUUAGGAUACAUCAUUGCAAAUAAUCAACUUGUGAUGAAUCCUAAGAAAGUUUAAACUAUUAUGGAUUGGAAGAUUCCAAAAACGGUAAGAGAUGUCCAAUGUUUUUUGGACUUUAUUAAUUAUUAUUAGAUCUUCAUCAAAGAAUUUUUUCAAAUUGUAGCCCUACUUAUAAAUUUGACUUGCAAAGACAAACUUGAGUGGAACAAAGAAGCUAAAGCAUCUUUUGAAGCUUUGAAGUUAGCCUUUAAUUUUGCACCAAUCUUGUAUCACGAUGACUUUUUUAAGAUAUUUUUUAUGGAAAUAGACGCAUCAGAAUUUACUUUUGGUGUCAUAUUAUCACAAAAGAGAAUAGAUAAUAAACUUCAUGUAAUAGCUUUUCAUUCCAAAAAAAUUUAAUCAAUUCAGAUUAACUAUGAAAUUCAUAACAAAGAGCUUUUUGUAAAUAUGGAUUCAUUUCAAGAAUGGUGUCAUCAUCUAGAAGGCGCUUUUAAUCCAAUCACCAUGUAUACGGACAAUAAGAAUCUUAAGUACUUCAUGUUAGCACGUAUUUUGAAUCAUUGCCAAGCCUGUUGGAGCAUGUUUUUAUCAAGAUUUGAUUUCAAGUUCAUGUAUCAACCUAAAAAAUAAUAAAGUUUGUCAAACAUCCUAUUUAGAUAUUUUUAUCUUGCACCAAAAGAAGGAGAUGUAUCUUUUGAUCAAUAAAGAACAAUUUUUUUAAAGCCAAAGCAUUUUCAUCUUUAAGUAAUGAAAUCAACAUUGACUAUUGAUUCAAUCCUUAUGAAAUAAAUCCAAUUAAGUAUAUCUUGUGAUCUUCUUGUUCACAAUAUCAAGAAUCCUUCUUUUAAGUUUCAAGAUACUUUUAAAUUUGAGUUCAAAAAUAACCUACUCUAUUUUAGAGGUUGAUUAUAUGUUCUAAAAGUAAAAGCACGAUAAUAUGUUCUUUAUGCAUGUCACGACUUUUCAGCAGCAGGAUAUUUUGGAUACAAUAAGACUUUGGAGCUUAUAUCCAAAGAUUUUUGGAAGCCACAAAUGUGGAAGGAUGUGAAAGACUUUGUUCAGCCAUGCAAUAUUUGUUCAAGAUCAAAAACUCCCCGUUAUUGACCUUACGGACUUCUUCAACCAUUAUACAUUUUAAAACAACCAUGGUCUUUUGUUUCUAUGGAUUUCAUCAUAAAUCUUCCAAUCUCAAGUUCUUAUGACUCUAUAUUUGUGAUAGUAGAUCAUUUUACUAAGAUGGCAAAUUUUGUAUCUUGUACAAAAUCUAUCAUAGGUAAAGAAAUAACUAAAUUCUUUCUUGACAAUAUCUAUUACUAUCAUGGAUUAUCCAAGGAUAUUCUAUCAGAUAGAAAAAAUUAAUUUGUAUCAAGAUUUUGACAAAUUCUUUUCAAGAUUCUAAAAGUGGAUAUAAAAUUAUCUUUGGCAUUCCAUCUUCAAACUAAUGGACAAACAGAGCAUGUUAAUUAAAUUUUGAAAUAGUAUUUAAGAUGUACCAUCAAUUAUCAACAAGAUGAUUGGAUAACACUUUUGUUAUUGGUAGAAUUUGCUUAUAAUAACAUAAUAUAUUUUUCUACAAAAUAAAUACAUUUUUCUACAAAAUAAAUAUAUUUUUCUACAAAAUAAAUACAUUUUUUUGCCAAUUAUGGUUAUCAUCUACAACUUGAUACUUUUGACUUUUCAAAAGCUAAUAAUCUUGUGGUGAAAGAUUUGACAAAUCAUUUGUCAGAGUUACAUACAACAAUGAAGGCAUAAUUAAAAGAAGCUCAAAAAUUAAAAAAAAUUAAUAUGAAUGUCUAUUAAAAGGAAUAACCACCAUUCUACGUACAUGACAAGGUAUAGUUACUUUGUCACAAUAUCAAGACUAUUCGUCCUUAUAACAAAUUGGACUAUCAUAGGCUUAGAUAAUUUUCUAUUUCUACACAAAUCAAUCCAGUUGCAUUUUGUUUAUACCUACCAAAGUCAAUGGAAAUCCAUCCAAUAUUCCACGUAUCUCUUUUUGAAUCAUACAAGACAAUAGACCUACCAAAAAGAAGACAAGUAUUAUAUCUUCUUAUAGAAGUGGACAAUAAUGAAGAAUUUGAAGUGGAAGCAGUUUUAGACUCAAGGCGGCACCAAAAUAAGUUGGAAUAUCUUGUUCAUUAGUAUGGAUACAAUAUUAGUGAAUGCACAUGGAAGCCAGAAAAGAAUCUUACAAAUACAAUAAAGAAGAUAGAAGCUUUUCAUGGACAACAUCUAUCAAAAUCAAGAUGAAGAUCUUUUCUAUAAAAGAAACAAAAUCUAGAUAUGAUAACAUUCUACUUUCAAUCCUUGUUUGUAGCUUCUUUGUAUUUGUGACUCUAAAGAGAUGGAGAAUCAAUAACCAUGAUAUUCAAUUGAAGAGCCUUUGUUUGUUGACCUGCCAGAUGAGACAUUGCUAUAGUUACAACCUUCAAGUUGACACAAUUGAAAUGAAGAUUCUCAAGAAUAACAUGUUUUUUCUCAAAUAGAUGGUGAAAUAUAUCACGUUUGAUAUUACAACCUUGGAAGAGACUUCCAAUGUUUGAUAAUUUUAUUAGAGGUAGAAACCAUUCUUGACAGUGUUCUAAAUGUUUUAUUUGAAGAAAGUUAUGAAGGCAUCAACAACAAUCAAAUAAUAGGGAAGUCUUCUCGUUUUAGUAUAGGACACUAUUGAUGGUUGAGAGGGCCUAUCAAUUAACUUUAAAGACAACAAAGAUCAGAGUAUGUAGCAAAUAUAAUUUGCCACAUCUUGGAUUUCAUCAAGAUAUGAAGACCACUCUUCAUAGAAUUCGUCCCUAGAAGAGGGGAUAAUGUCAUGGACAUACACAUGUAAAUCAAUAAUUACUUAUAUGAUUUAGAUAAUAGUAGGUAAAAAUAGGUCAAUUCCAUAAUACCUUCUAUACGAGCUUUUUAGAAGCUCCAUAGAUACUACUUUGACUUUAUAGGCAUCUUUAAUUGACUUUUUAAAUUAGAAACAUGGUCAACAAGUUAGCCAUGUGCCACACAUGUUGAUAACUUAAAGAACAAGCUAACUAUAUGGCCCACAUAUAGAAAACUUGCCUUGUAAGCUAAGGCAUAUGUCUUACAAAGUCAACACAUAUUAGAAGACCUAUAGAAUAUUGCCACAUAGCUUCUACUUAAAUAGUAUAUAUAGAGGCAAGAGUGAAGCUCUCUCCACUCUUGUCAACUCUUUUUUUGCUUCUAGUCUAGUUUGAAGAGUCUCAAGUUUUUUUGUCUUUUGGAAAUAAGCCAUUCUAGUUUUUUUUUAAUAUACAUACUUCUUUAUUUCUAUUUUGAGGCUUUUUUGGUAGAAUCUUAAUCCAAAUAUGGAAAAUAUGAUGUAAUUUAUAUUGUAACAAAUAAAAUUCAUAUUUUACAACAAGAUAAUUGAUUAAGAACAUUAUAUAUUUUAUAAUUUUGAUAACUUAUAACUAAUAUUAAAUAAGAUGAUGUUGUACUUGUUAGCCAAUUUUUCUACAAAUUAUAAUAUGAGGUAAAAAAAUUGAUGUUCAACUUAUUUGAUCUUCUAACAUUAAAUCAAGUAAUUGGCUUUGUUGUGAAAUAUGACAAUUGACUUUUUAAAUUUUAAUUUGAGAGUUGUACAAGCGUACCUCAACAUUCUUAUAAUUCAAUGGUAAUACCAAAAUCUUCUCAAUAUAUAUAUUUAGAAGUAGAGAAUAUGCAAAUUGAUGCAAUAUGUUUCAAACUUCUUAUUGAGUAAGAAAAGACUUGUUGUUGUUAAGAAAGAUUGUGCUUGUAAUGUAGAGAACCUAAGCACACUACUCAAUAUUGUUCAAAAAAAUAAGACAAUCACAAAAUAAGAAUUAUAUGUAUCAAAAAAGAUAGUAUGUUGGAAAAUAAAUUUGUCCAGCUACAAUAGGAACUAUUUGAUUAGAACCUUGUACAACACCUAUUGCAGAUUUUAUUCUUUCCUCAAAAUCCUCUCUUUAUAUUACAAUAAAUAUUAGGACUUAAAUAUCACAAAGCUUCUACUUUCUUAGAUUCAAGAGUCUCAGUAUAUUUUUUAGAUGAAGAAUUUGCUAAAAGUCAUAGCAUAUCUUUAAUAAAAAUAUUUAAAUCUAUUCACAUAGAAGUCAUAAAUAAUCGUCUAUUAUCUUUAGAAUAUAUUAAUCAUGAAAUCUUUCCUAUAGAAGUAACAACUAAUAGUUAUAGUAGCUUUGUAAAAUUUAAUAUUAUUAAAUCUCUAUCUAAUUUAAUUAUUUUAAAUUUAUCAUCACUAAAAAUAUAUAAUUCUAAAAUAGAUUGGAUUUCUUAUAGUUUUGAUUUUUUUAAAAGUAGAACUAUGAGUGUACUUAAUCAAAUAAAAAGUUAUAAAUUUAAUACAACUAAACCUAUAUUUGUAGGUACAAGAGCUUUUUUGUAUGCUGUAAAAGAAGGAUUACCUUGUAUCAAUUAUAUUGCACAUGUUUUUAAUAGUAAGAAGACUUUAAGUGGCAUUUUAAUCUAAUAUCAAUAUUUUUAAGAUGUAUUUGGGAAGAAAAAUAUAGAUACUCUUUUGGAACAUUAUUCUUAUGACUGCUUCAUUGACCUUCAAGAAAGAAUUCAACUGCUAUUUGGAUUAAUCUAUAGUUUACCACAAAAUGAGUUGACUAAACUCAAAGAAUGUGUUAAAGAAAACCUGGCCAAAAAAUUCAUAUGUCAAUCCAAAUCUCUAACAAGAGCUCCAAUUUUAUUUAUAAAGAAAAAAAAUUGAUCAAUAUAGAUGUAUAUCAAUUAACUAAGACUCAAUAAAAUCACCAUCAAGAACAAGUACUUACUACUUUUGAUAUUUGGACUUCUUCAUCAAUUGAAUCAAGUCAAGAUCUAUACAAAAAUAGAACUACAAGGAGCAUAACAUGUGAUAUGCAUCAAAAAAAGAGACAAAUGAAAGAUUGUAUUUUGAAUUAAGUAUAGACAUUUUAAAUAUAAUAUUAUACCUCUUAGACUUAGAAAUACAUCAUUAACUUUCUAACAUCUAAUAAAUAAUUUCUUUUGAGAAUUUUUAGAUGACUUUAUUAUUUGUUAUCUAAAUAAUAUCUUAAUCAAUUCUAAGAAUACAAAAAAAAUAAACUUCAUAUUUGUCAUAUCUUACAAAAACCAAAAGAUGUAAGAUUCUAGGCUAAGAUAGAAAAAGUGUAAUUUUAUACUACUCAAGUUGACUUCUUAAGAUACAUCAUUUCAAAUCAUAGACUUAUAUUCGAUCUUAAAAAGGUUCAAACUAUUAUAGCUUAAAAGAUCUCAAAAAUGGUAAGAGAUAUUCAAUAAUUUUUGACAUUUGCCAACUAAUACUGAAUCUUCAUCAAGGACUUCUUUCAAGUUAUAGCUCUACUUACAUAUUUGACUUAUAAAGACAAACUUCAAUAGAAUCAAGAAGUGAAAGCAAUAUUUGAAGCUUUAAAGACAAUAUUUAUUUCUACACCAAACUUAUAUUAUAUUGACUUUUUUAAUCUAUUUUUAAUAGAAAUAGAUGAUAAACUUAAUCCAAUAUCUUUUUAUUCAAGAAAAAUUUUAUUAGCCAAGAUCAAUUACAAGAUUCAUAAUAAUUUUUUUUUUUAAAUAUAGAUUUGUUUCAAGGAUGGUGCUAUUAUCUAGAAGGCAUUUCUAAUCUAAUUAUUAUAUAUAUAGACCACAAGAAUCUUAAAUAUUUUAUGCCAAUACAUAUUUUAAAUUUUUGUCAAGCUUAUUAAAGCAUAUCUUUGUCAAGUUUUGAUUUUAAGAUCAUUUGUUGAUCCAAAAAAAAACAAAGUUUAUUAGACAUCCUUUCUAGACAUUCUUAUCUUGUAUCAAAAGAAGGAGAUGCAUCUUUUAAACAAAAAAGAAUGAUAUUCUUGAAGCCAAAGAAUUUUCAACUUUGAGCAAUAAAAUCAACAUUGAUUAUUGAUUCAACCUUUAUCAAAUAAAUUCAAUCGAGUAUGUUUUCUAAUUGUCUUAUUCAAGAUAUUAAGAAAUCUUCUUUUAAGCCUCAUGAUACUUCUAAGUUUGUGUUUAAGAACAACUUACUUUAUAUAUUUUAGAAAGAAAAGUAAAUCUACAUAUUCUUCAAACAUGUCAUGAUUUUUGAAUAGCUAGACAUUUUAGAUACAAAAAGACUUUGGAACUUAUAUCUAAAGUUUUUUGGUGGCUAUAAAUGUGGAAAUUAGUGAAAGACUUUGUCUAGUCAUAUGAUAUUUAUUCAAGGUCAAAAACUCCUUACUAUUGUUUCUAUAGAUUUCUUGUCAAGGAUAUAAAUUUUAAAGAAAGAAAUCCUCAAUAUAAUCUUGUGUCAUUAAAAAAAACUAAAAAGUUAUUGAAAGAUGAUAUAAUAUUGAAUUAGAAUGGCUAUUGUCAAAAAUAAGAAGACUAAAAAGUCUUGAAACAAGACUAAAGACUAAAAAAGCAUUAACAAGGGUAAAGAAGGCUUCACUUUUACCUCCAUAUAUACUCUUAAUUAAUAUCUACAUAGCCAUGUCCUAUAACACCUCCAAAACAUGUUGACUUUGUAAGACUCAUAUCUUAAUUUGCAAGGCAAGUUUUCUAUAUGUGUGCUACAUAAUUAACUUAGUUUGCAAGCUACUAAUACAUGGUUAACUAAUUGACCAAUUUUCUAAUCUAUUAAUUAAUUAUAAAUAUAUAUAAAAUCAAAGCAGUAUUUAUGAAGCUUUUAAAUAGAUUAUCUAGAAAAUAUUAAAAAAUAAAUCUAUUUUUAAUUACUUCUAUUUAAUCAUAUAGAUAAAAAUUAGGAUAAAUAUGUAUGUCCAUGAAAUUAUCUCCCUUUCUAGGAAUGAGUUCGAUGAGAAGUAGUCAUCAUAUAUCAAAGGAAUCUAAGAUGCGAUAAAUUGUAUUUGCUACAUACUUUGAUCUUUAUUCUCUUUGAAGAUGGUUGAUAGGCCCUCUUAGCCAUCGAUAUUUUUCUAUACUAGGAUAGGAAGACCACCUUAUUAUUUGGUCAUUAUUGAUGCCUUCGUAGUUUUCUUCAAAUAAAAUAUUUGAAACAUUGUUGUUGUAAUAUAACAUGACUAAUAGGUAAAAAAGAUAGAGAAACUAUUAUAUUAUAAAAGAUCAUACUUCAAAUAUUAUAGCAAGUUAUUUUAGAAAAUAAAAAAUAGUUUAAAAGAAAAUAAAAAUAAAGAUAUAAAUGCUAUCUUUUAUAAAAUAGACUUCUAUUUAUUUUAUAAGGCCAUAAAUAAGACAAAAUAAAGUAGAUUAGAAAAAUAAAAAAUAUGAGCAUAUAUAAGAAAAAAUCAGGAGUUGAUUUAGCAAAAAUUAACUCAAAAAAGUAAAAUUUGAUAUUUGGAGAGAACCGGUUAUUAACCUAGGUCGAAAUCAAACCCCAAGGCACAAAAUCGGAUACCUAUAGAAAAUCCAAGGUUCUUUUGCAAAUUGAAGAGUAGAAUUUGAGUGCAAACUUAAUAGGAUUUUUUUAGGCAUUAGUUUUAAGUAAUUCAAGUAUAUGAUGACUUUGUAAGAGCUUUGCAAAAUUAUAGUUGUUUUAAGUGAUUCUAGAAUUUGUGAAAUAAAAAAAUAUUAUGAUUUGAAAAAUUUUGUGAGUUUGGUAGUAGAUCUAUAGUUCAAGUUUUGAGAACUUAUGUGAAUAUUUGUUUGAAGUGUAUGCUAUAAGUUUGAGCUUGAUGAAAUGUUGAAUUAAAGGUUAUUGAAUUUCAAGUAGGUUGAGGUCUCAAAAAUUAGACUUUGAGGGACAAUUAGGAUUUCUAAGAUCUUCAGCAAUUUACUAAUUAGAUUGGAGUGAAAUUUAUAUAUAAAGGUAAUAGACUUGAUUUUCUACACAUUUGUAAAAUUUUUAAAAAAUUGAAUGGUUUAAAAAGGAGAUAUUUCUAUUAGAAGUUCAACAUUCAGGUUGAAAUAAGACCGGCCAUUACUCGAGCAAAUUUUAGGAUCUUUCUUCUAUUUGGUAAGUGUAAUUAUCUUUAAAUUUAUUCAAUUAUUUUUUAACUAAGAGAUUGUGAGGUAUAUAAAUUUUCAAGAAAGAUCAAUGGUUUAAUCAAUAGAUAUUAGGAUUCUAAUCUACAUUAGGAUUUUAUUUAGGAUUUAGGAUUUACUUAGGAUUUAGGAUUUGGCCUAUGAUUUGAUUUGAGUCCAUUAGAUUUUUAAUUAGGAUUUAAUUAGGACUUGAUUGAGAUUUUUAAAGAUAUAUUUGUGAUUAUUCUAAUAUUUCUUUAGGAUUUCUUUUGAACUCAUUUAAGAUUUCUUAUUAUUUUUUUGUAAUUUUUUAAAGAUUUUUUAAAAAUUUGAUUAAAACUUACUUAGCACUAUUAAAUAUUUGAUUAGAAUUAUUUAAUAUUUUAUUAGAAUUAAAAUUUUAUUAUUGUAAUUUUCGUUCUACCUUCUACAAUCAAGUGCUUGGUGCAUUCUUGAACAAGACUUUAUAUAAUACAACACUGUCAAGAGUUGUUCCUACCUCUAAUAAAUUCACCAAAAAUUGAGAGUCUCUUUCAAGGUCAUGAUACCAAAUAUGUUGUAUUUUGCCAUCUAUUCAAAGAAAGACAAGUUAUUUUUGAGGAUCUUUAUGUCAAUUAUGUUGUCUUGAAGGUUAUAACAAUUGCAAUGUUUCAUUUGAUAAGUCAACAAGUAAUAGCUUUUGAAUUGAAUCUAUUAGUUAUUGGUUCUUCAUUUUUUUAGUAUUACAAAUAUAUAAAAAUUAAAAAUAAGAGUAAGAAGUAGAAUAUUAUGUUCUUUAGAUCUCAUUUCUUUUACAACAAAAAUUUUCUAUUCUUCAUCUUGGUUUUGAUAAAUGUUGUUAAUGAAAAGCUUCAAUUCUUUUUGUUGCAUUUAUAAGAUUCUUUGCUUGCUCCUAUGUAUAUUCACUAAUAUCAUAUGUAUACUAAUGAACAAGAUAUUCUAACCUAUUUUGACACUACCUUAAAUCUAAGCCUACUUUCACUUCAAACUCUUGAUUAUUAUCCACUUCUUUAGGAAGAGGUGGCAUUUGUCUUCUUUUUGAGAUAUUCAUUGUCUUAUAUGAUUCAAAAAGAAAUAUGUAAAAUACAUGAUUGAUCUUCACAAAUUCUAAUAGAUAUAAUCAAUAAGCAACAGGAUUGAUUUAUUCAUAAAUAAAAAAAAGUCCAAACCUAUGGUAGUCCAACUUAUCAUAAGUACAAGUAAUCUUGAUAUUGUAACAAAAUAACGAUACUUUAUGACCUAAGUUGAAUUAUUGUUGUUCCUUGUGAUAUACAUCUGCAUUAAACUUUUGUUGUUCUUGAGCUCUCUUUAACUAUACCUUCAAUGUUGCAUGUAACUCUGACAAAUAAUUUGCAAAAUCUUUUGCUACAAGAUUAUUAAUUUUUGAAAAGUCAAAAGUAUCAAGUUAUAAAUGGUAACUAUAAUUGGCAAAGAAAAGUAUUUUUUGAGUGGAAAAAAAUAUUGAAUUAUUAUAUGCAAACUUUGCUAAUGGUAAAAAAAUUACCCAAUUAUCUUGAUAAUACCUCAAAUUCUACUCAAAAAUUUAAUUCAUCUCUUUUAUUUUCUAAUCAAUUUGAGAAUAAAAAGCCAAAGAGAGCUUAAUUUCUACCUUUAACAUCUUAAAAAGGAUUAUUUAAAAUCUUGAUAUAAAUUUAGUCCUCCUAUCUAAUAUAAUAUCUUUAGAUAAUUUGUAAUAGCAAUAGAUAUUGUUAAGAAAAAGCUUAGCCAUUUCUUCACCUAUAAUAGAUUUUGUACAUAGUACAAAAUAUGCCAUCUUGAUAAAAAUAAUCUAUUACUAAGAAUAUAGUAUCAUACAUAUCUAAGACUAAAAAAUUAGUCAUAAAAUCCAUAGAAAUAGAAGACUAUGGUUGUUCUGCAAUAGAUAAUAGGUGAAGAAGUCUAUAAAAUCAAUGGCAAGGAGUUUUGGAUCUUGAACAAAUAUGACAUGAUUGUACAAAGUCUUUGACUAUCUUUUACAUUUGAAGCUACUAAAAAUCUCUUAGUAUUAGCUUCAAAGUCUUAUUGUAUCUAAAAUGUCUGACUGUUGGAAGUGUUGACAAGUUUAAAGAAUACGUAAUCAUGUUCCACUUUUUGGAAUAUAUAAUUAUAUCUCAAUAUAAAGUAGGUUGUUUUUGAACUUGAACUUGGAAGUAUCAUGAGAUUUAAACAAAUUAUUCUUAAUAUCAUAGACAAAAGGAUCAAAAGACAUACUUGAUUGAAUUUAUUUAAAAAAUGUUGAAUCAAUAGUCAAUGUUAAUUUCAUUGUUCAAAUAUAAAGUUUCUCUAGCUUCAAGAGAAUCGUUCUUUCUUAAUUAAAAGUUAUAUCUCUUUUUUUUGGUACAAGAUAAGAACGUCUAGAAAGGAUGUGUGAUAAUUCUUAUUAUUUUUUGGAUUAAUAAGUGAUCUUGAAAUCAAAUCUUAAUAAAAAUAUCUUUCAAUAAGUAUGGCAAAAAUUCAAAAUACAUGUCAAGAUGAAGUACUUAAGGAAUUUUUGAUUUUUAUAUAUAAUCACUAGAAUCAAGGCAUCUUGUAAAUAAUGACACUAUUCUUGAAAUAAAUCAACAAUUUCAAGGAGUUCUUUAUCAUGGAUCUCAUAAUUAAUCUCAAAUAUUGAAAAUUUUCUAGAAUAGAAAGCUAUUGGAUGGAUUUUGUCAUUUAUUCUUAUAUGUGAUAAUAAUUCACUAAAGGAAAAAUCUAAUGCAUGUAUUUCUAUAAAAAAUGCCUUAAAAAAGUCAAUACAAUAUAAAAAUGGUACAAAAGUAAACACCUUCUUUAAAGCAUCAAAUGAUGCUUUGAUUUCUUAUUCCACUCAAGUUUAUCUUUAUAAGUUAAAUAUAUAAGUAGAGCUAUAAAUUGAAAAAAAAUCUUUAUAAAGAUCUAAUAAUAAUUGAUAAAGUUCAAAAGGUAUUACAUAUUUUUUAUUGUUUUUGGAAUCUUCCAAUUUAUAAUACUUUAGACCUUCUUUACAUCUAUCAUUAGCCCUUCAUUAAAAAUAAUAUAUUCUAAUAAGUCAAUUUAAAUAGUAUGGAAUAUAAAUCUUUUUAACUUGGCAUAUAAUCCUAUAUUUCUAAGUUUUUUUUAUACAAAAAAAAUAUAAAUUUUAUAUUUUUUUUAUAUUUUUAGAGUAGAUUAAGAUAUUUUUCAAAUAAUAGAUAAUAAAAUCAUCAAGAAACUCUCAAAAGACAUCAUUCAUUAGAUGUUAAAAGUAGUUGGUAUAUUUGUGAGUCUAAAAGGUAUGUCAUUAUAUUCAAAAUAAUAAUACCUUAUUUGAAAUGUAAUUUUCUAUUCAUCUCUUUUUUUAAUACAUACCAAAUUAUAUGCUCUUUAUAGAUCUAUUUUUGUAUAAACCUUUGCUUGAUUGACUUUAUCAAAAAGUCCUAAAAUUAAAGGUAGAAGAUACAUAUUUUUUUGGUGAUCUUGUUGAGUCUUCAAUAGUCCACAUACAUCUACAGAGAUCCAUCUUUUUUCUUUACAAACAAGAUAGGAGGCUCAAAUGGAGAUUUAGAAUGGCAUAUAAAAUUUUUAGCCAAGUUUUCAUCAAUAUACUUCUUGAGUGCAACCAACUAAUUUUGUGAUAGGCUAUAGAUUGGUCCAAAUAGUAGUUAAGUUCUUUUGUGAAGAUCAAUGGAAUAAUCAUAAAGAUAAUGCUCUAAAAAAUAUCUACAUUCUUUUUUUAAAAAAAUCUAGAAAUUUUUAAUACCAGCUACAAAUACUAAUUGAUAUCUUUUUACCAUAAAAAAUGGGCGUGGCAUAUAUAAAAAAAGAUAAAUCUUCUUUUGCAGCAUAUAUGAAAGCUCUUACACCUAUCAAUAAGGAAUUUGAUGUACUAGACUUAUGUAUUUCUACUUGAUUAACAAGUUUUUGGAUUAAAAUAUCACAAAAAUUAAGGUUAUAAAAGAUCCAAUUUAUUUGAAGAUUAUAUUUUUUUAACUAAGAUAAUCCUAAAAUAACCAAAUUGGAUGAAGAUUUUAUUAUAUUAAAUAUUAUUAUGCUAUUAUAAUCUUUAAUUGCUAUAUCUAAAAGAAUAGUCUCAUGUGUAAUAUCUUUAGAAGAUAAAAAAACGACCAUCUAUGACUUUUACAUGUAUAGAUUUAGUUUUUUUGAAUAAUUAUAUGUCUUAUUUUUUAAUAAAAUCUUUAUUUAUAAAACAAGCUAAAGCUUUUGAAUCUAACAAAGCUAAGACUUUGUGAUUUUUUGGUCCAAAAUAAACUACUAUUAUAAAAAAAUGUGAGGGAUUUGAGGAGAGAAUAUGAUCUUUACUACGAUUAUGUAAUAUUUUAGCUACAUAAUUCGUAUUGUUGCUAGAGAAAUUCAUUUUUUGACACAUUUUCUUCUUUGGCAACUAUACUUCUCAUUUUUUGGUUGUAUUGUUUCUUUGGACAAUAUUGAGUAAUGUAUUUAACUUUUCUAUAAUAUAAGUAUAAGCCUUUUUUAUGUUGUUGAGUCUUUUUCUAUUAUAUGAGGAGUUUAAAAUGUAUCAUAUUAAUUUACAUUAGUUUUGAUCUUGAUGAAUAAGUUUUUGAAAACUUAGGAGCUGUCAUCAUUAUUUGAUUUAUUCCUCUCCAACCAAGUUUUUGUUCUUAAUAUCUUUUAAAUAUUUUAUUGUCAUAUGUAAUGACUUGAGCAAUAAAUCAUUUUGAAGAUUUUUCCUUUGGUAUUGUUAAUAAAAAAUCUUUGACAUUAUUCUUCAACAAAUAUCAAAAUUGAAUGAUAAAGGCUUUGUCAUUCUAGUCCACAUCGCAAGUGAAGUUUUGGAAUUCAAUAGCAUAUAUAGUAGCUAAUUGUAAUCCUUGCCAUUAAGAUAAAAGCUUUGUCUCUACUAUUCUUUUUCAAUCACUUUUUCCAAAUGUACUCAUAAACUUUUUUAAGAAUGAAUUCAAAUCAUAAAGGAGUCACAAAUCUUUUUUUAUUUAAGGUGCAAAUCAAAACAAAGUACUUCUUGAUAGAAGUACACCUAUGAAUCUAACUUGAAUAAAUCCAUCAAGAUAUUGGAAAGGAUGUAAUCUUGAAUAGAGCUUGACAUAUUGCAAAAAUCUUUAAAUUUUUGAUUUUAUUCCAUCAAACUAAUUUGACAUACUAAUCUAUGUCCCUGUUGUAUUUAUAUAAAUAAAACUUCUUAAAUUUGGUUGUCGAGUUGAUGUACUUGCUUCCUUCAACUAUACAACUUCUUGACAUAGACUCUAAACUUCUUCCAUAGGCAUAGGAAUAGUAUCCCGUAGAUUCACAUUAAAAAUAUGUGAGAUUUUUACUCUUAGAGUAUUGACAAAUUUAUGAAGAUUUGUAAUAGUUAAAAAUUUAUUUUCAUUUCCAUUGAGAGUAGCAUUCAUAAUUUUUUCUUCCAUAGAUAAUUCAAAUAAAUUCAAAAAGUUAAAUUAGAGAUUUUUAGAAAAUAAGAUUAUUUGUUUAAAAGUGAGUAGUGUACAACCUCUAAAAUACAACAAUAGAAGUGAAAUAAUUCAUUCACUUCUAAAAUAAGAUAAAAAUAGUAAGUUAGUACUCUUAUCAAAAUAUCAAGGACAUAAAUCUUGAAGUAAAAAAUUCUCAAUAUACUCUUAUGUUAGUGAAAAGAACUAAAAAUUCAUUCAAAGAUGAUAUAAUAUUGAAUUAGAAUUACUAUUGCCAAAAAUAAGAAGACUAGAAAGUCUUGAAACAAGACUAAGGACUAAAAAAGCAUUAAGAAGAGUAAAGAAGGCUUCAUUCUUGUAUCUAUAUAUACUCUUAAUUAAAACUUAUGUCGCAAUGUUCUAUAAGAUCUCCAAAAUAUGUUAACUUUGCAAGACAUGUAUCUUAAUUUGAAAGAUAAGUUUUCUAUAUGUGCACUACAUAGUUAGCUUAUUCUGAAAACUAUCAAUAUAUGGUUAACUUAUUGACAAAGUUUCUAACCUACUAAUCAAUUAUAAAUAUAUGUAAACUUGAAACAGCAUCUAUGAAGCUUUUACAAAGCUUAUCUAAAAAAUAUUUUGAAAUAAAUCUAUUUUUUUAUUUCUAUUUAAUCAUAUAAGUAAAAAUUAGGAUAAAUAUGUAUAUUUGUGAUACUUCUCCAACCAUUGCCUAUACUUGAACAAUCAUGGUCUUUUAUUUCUAUGGAUUUUAUUAUGAAUCUUUUAGGUUCAGAUUUAUAUGAUUCUAUAUUUGUGGUAGUAGAUUUUUUUUUACUAAGAUUGUAUAUUUUGUGCCAUGUAUAAAAUUUAUCACAAGUGAAAAAAAUGAAUUUUUUUAAAAAAAAUAUCUAUUACUAUCAUAGAUUAUCUAAAGAUAUUAUAUCAAAUAUGAAAACUAAAUUUAUAUCAAGAUUUUGGAGAAUCUUUUUUAAGAUUUUAAAGAUAGAUAUAAAGUUUUUUUUAGUUUUAACUUCAAAUUAAUGGACAAAUUAAGCAUAUUAAUGAAGUUUUGGAAUAGUAUUUGAGAUGUAUCAUCAACUACCAAUAAAAUAAUUAGAUAACUAUUUUGCCUUUGGUAGAAUUUGCCUAUAAUAACACCAUAUACUCAUCUAUUCAUCAAAUAUAUUUUUUUGCUAAUUAUGGUUAUCUUCCACAAUUUAAUACUUUUGACUUUUUAAAAAUUAAUAAUCUUGUCACAACAGAUUUGAAAAAUCCUUUGUCAAAGCUACAUGUAAAAAUAAAGGUACAAUUAAAAGAACCUCAAGAAUGAUAAAAGAUAAAUACAAAUACAUAUCAUAAGGAAUAACUACAAUUCAAAAUAAGUGAUAGAAUAUGAUUACUUUGUUGUAAUAUCAAUACUACUUGCUCUUAUAACAAGUUGGACUAUCAUAACCUUAGACCUUUUCCUAUUUAUAAACAAAUCAAUCUAAUUUUUUAUUGAUAAUAUUUACCAAAAUCAAUGAGGAUAUAUCUCAUAUUUUACAUAUCUAUUCUUGAACCAUUCAAGAAAAUAUAUAUACCAAGAAAAAAAUACAUGCUACUUCCUCCUAUAGAAGUAAACAAUAAUAAAGAAUUUGAAGUAGAAGAAGUCUUAGACUCAAAGUGGCAUCAAAAUAGGUUGAAAGAUCUUAUUUAUUGGUAUGGAUAUAAUAUUAGUGAAUAUAUAUAGGAGCCACUAAAGAAAGUAGAGCCUUUUCAUCAAUAACAUCCAUCAAAAUCUAGAUGAAGAAUAGCAAAUCUUUGUUAUAAAAAAAACAAGUUUAAAGAAUAUACUAUUCUAAUUUCUAUUCUUGUUUGUAGCUUCUAUAUAUAUUGUGGCACUAAUGAGAUGGAGAAUAAAAAACCAAUGAAUUCAAUUCAAGAGCUACUGUUUGUUAACUUGUCAGAUGAGAUAUUGCGAUUGUUUCAACCUUCAAGCCUACAUAAUCAAGAUAAAGAUUUUCAAAAACAACAUAUUCUUCUUCAAAUAAAUGGCGAGGUAUAAUGUAUUUGAUAUCAUAACUUUGGAAGAGACUCCCAAAGUUUGGUGAUUUUAUUAGAAAUAGGAAUAACUCUUGAUAGUGUUUCAAAUAUUUUAUUUGAAAGAAGUUAUGAAAGCCUCCAUAACAAUCAAAUAAUAGGAUGGUAUUCAUGUCUUGAUAUGGGACAUUAUUGAUGGUUGAGAGGACCUAUUAACCAUCUUCAAAAAGAACAAAGAUCAAAAUAUGUGACAAAUAUAAUUUGUUGCAUCUUAGAUUUUCUCAACAUAUCAUAACCACGUCUCAUAGAACUUGUCUCAAGUAAGGUGGAUAAUGUCAUGGAUAUAAUAUCACAAAUAAAGAUACUUAUUCUAAUAAUUAUCCAUAUGAUUAGAUAGAAAUAAAUAAAAAUAAGUAAAAAUAGAUUAAUUUCAUAAUAUCUUCUAGAAAAGCUUUUUAGAAGCUUCAUAAAUAUAAUUUGACUUUAUAUGUGUUUAUAAUUGAUUUUUAAAUUAAAAACUUGGUCAAUAAAUUAGCCACAUAUCAUAUAUAUGACUAGUUUGUAGAAUAAGCUAAUUAUAAAGUACACACAUAGAAAACUUGCCUUGCAAGUUAAGACAUGUGGCUUACAAAAUUAACACAUAUUAAAGGUCCUAUGAAAUAUUGCCAUGUAGCUCCUAGUGGAUAAUAUAUAUAAAAGCAAGAGUGAAGCCUUCUUCAGUCUUGUCAAUUCUUUUAUUGCUUUAGUUUAGAUUUUAAAAUCUUUAAUUUUCUUAUUUUUUGGUAAUAGCCAUUUUUUUUUUUAAUAUAUAAGUUCUCUUACUUCUAUUUUGUUAUGCUUCUUCGAAAAAAGUCUCACUUGGUUAUUUAUUUUUAUUGGAUUCUUAUCUUUGAUAUAUUAUAUCCAAUAGACCAUCAUUGAUUUGACUUGUAAAUAUAUUAUUGAUAAUUUAUAUGACUUUCAAUGAAUAUAAUUAUAAUAAGCUAUAAAUAAAUAAUUGCAAGGAAUAUCAAGUUUUAUUUUGCUCUAAGAAUUCAUAGUAGUUUUAAUUUUCUACCAUGAUAAAUUCAUGAUUUCUUUUGACAUAAAUUUUUUUUGGUUGUUAUUUUAUAUAGUAACAAUUAAUUAUACUUUUAUCUUUAGAAGAGGUUUUUUGCAAUUCCUUGAGAAUUUUAUCAAAUUUAAAAAUUUAUGUUGUAGUUAUAGAUGAUUUUUAGGUUGUGCAAAGUAUUUAAUUAGAUUGAAGUUUUUAUCUCUAUGUUGAUUUUUUGUAUAGAUUGUCAUUGUGGUUGCAAUUCAAGUAUGCAUGUCUUACAAUAUAGAAUUUGUAAGUCACUUUGACCAAAUAUUUAUUUUUUUCUAAUACUCAUUAUUUAUUUUUUAUCACCAUUAACUUAAUUCCUAGACUUUAUUGAAUUGCAUCCUAACUAUCUUUCUAGAUUUCAUAAUUCAUCUUCCAUUAUCUAUUGGCUAUUAUAAUUGGACCAAAAUAUGAUUCAAAUUAAAACAUUAAUUCUUGCUUUGAUAUAAAGGAUAGUAUUGGUAUAAGGUACUAAAUGAGACAUGCAUCAUUAAUAGAAAAAUUUGGCUAGUUAAUCAAGAAUUAAUUGUUGUUAUUGACAUAGAAUUGACAAGGAUACUUUGUUAUUACAAUUUAUAUGUUUGCAAAUUAGAAGUGCUAAUCAAAAAUUACAAGUAAUUUUUUUGUAAAAACUAUCAAUAUCCUUGAUUUUAAGGCUCUAUAGAGAUAUUAUAUUUAUUUUUAAGAAUAUGUUCACAAUUGUUGUAGUUUGAUAUUAGAUAUUUUUUAAUAAAUACUAAAAAUACUAAAAAUGGUCAUAAUCAUGAAUAAAGAUGUAAUACAAAUGAUUUAGACUAUUAGCAAGUUAAUUAUAUUAGUUGGUAUUAUGAAACACAAGCAAGGAAUGAACCAAUUUAGUAUUGACACUAGAGAAUGGAUAUUAAAAUUGACCUUAAUGAUAUAGUUAUAGGCACUUAUGAUUUAGUUGAUAGAAUCCAAAAAGACAUAGCCUCUAAUAGGAUUUGUGAACAAUAAGAGAAAGUCAACACUAUUGGAUAAAAUUGUCAUUAAUAUAACAUUCAUUCUAUCAAUGACAAAGUGUCAUAAAAUAAAUCUAUUUGUGACUUUUAUUAAGCUUUUAUUAAUAAAGAAUGUAUUGAUAUUAUUAAUACAUGUAUUGACUAGCCUAUCCAAGAUGAAAAUACACCUAAUGUACAAUUACUACAAGUAGUCUCUAUAGUUAUAGAAGAUAAAUUGUUAAGUAAGUCUAAUGAUGAUGCCUUUGAUUGAAACAACUUUAACAACAAGACGGAUAUUUUUUUGAGUAGCAUUGGAAGAAGCUCUUAUGAUUUUCUUAUUGCAUGGCUUUAAACAUUCUAAUAUGAAAACUACUUGUGUGCCUCUCACUAGCACAAAGUUAAAUAUGUAUACAAUUAUACAUAUUGAUGAAUUCUUUUGGACCUUUAGUACAUGUUUCCUAUCUAUACCAAAUUUGCUACCAAUAUCUUAUUGUGGAGUGACGAAGUACUUGAAAUGCCUUGAUUAUUUUUAUAACAACUAUGAUACUUGUCCAAAUAAUUGCAAGCUAUUUUGAAGCAAUUAUUUUUAAGCUAUGGUGUACUUCAAGUAUUGUGCACUAUAAAAUAAAAUUAACAAUUGAUUUGAGGUGCUAUUCAAGAUUUGUAGAUAUUUUUCAUUGACAUUGAGAUUAAAAAAGAUGUAUAGCUUGCCAUUGCAAGCAAUUGCUUUCAUUUAGCAUAUAUUGCAAUAAUUUGACAAUAAUAUCAGACAACAUAUAUCUCACUUGUACUAAUGGAAAUGGAUAAACAAGAAAUAUUAGAAGUAGUUUAAAAAAGAAGACCAAAAUAUCAAAUUAGAUCUUGUAGCAAAUAGAUUUAAUCUAAGCUCAAAUAAAUAUAAUAUAUAUUUAAUAUGGCUUAAGCUUCUAUAAAAUUAUAAUAUAAUACCAUGGCUAUCCACCAAAAAAUACUUCAUCAUGCUUACUAUCAUAAUCUCAAGACCAUGUUUUUUUAAAGUAAAAUAUUUUGAUGAGUUUAUUAGACUUCUUAUAAAAAAUUUAUUAAAGUUGUAAACUUAUGUAUAUUGCAUAGACAUUGCUCCUAUAAAAACUUAUUCCAUUUUAUUUUGAAAGAAAUAGUAGUUUGAAUUAUUAGCAACUUUCUUACUUACAAAGUAAUGGUUAAAUGCACAAGUAAUAGAUUUGUUAGUUGCUAUAUAUAUAGAGAUAGAUUCAAGUCUAGAAGAUCUAAGAUAUUGAACAAGUAUAAAUUCUACAAUUGUGCUUAGAUGUACUUAGAUAAGGGCCAUCACAUACAUAUAAAUAUUAUCAAUCUUGAUAUAAAAGAACAUAGAGUACUACUUCUACCUAUAACAAGGAAAUAAGCUCUUGCAAAGACAAAAGAACAUGAAUGAUAGCUAUGCAAGGAAAGUUCACCAAUAGCUAAAGAUUCUAUUAAAACAUAUAGCAUGAAGUAAGUGUCAAGCUUAUUUUAUCUUUUUUAUUAAGUGAUAAAUAAUUUUUUUAUUUUAUAUAACAUAUAUCUUAUCAUACUUUAUUACAUUCAAUAUUAUAAUAAUAUUAAUAUAUUAAUCAAAUAUUAUUUAGUCUUAUCAUCUUAUAAUUAAUGAUGUUUCUAUUAGCUUUUAAAUUCUUUAGCUAUAUUGCAUGCUUAUAAGAGGUCAUAGUAAGACAUACUAUACAUAUAAUAUACAUCAAAAAGAAUAUGGUGUCCACAUUCUUGAGAUUCUUCUUAAGAAAAUCCAAAACUAUUAUAGUCCAUUGUAAUAUGAAAAUAAAGGCGUCAUACUAGAGCUCUACCUUAUAAGAAAAGGUACAAGUAAAACAUAUAUUAAGUCCAUUGCCUUGUACAUCCUUGACCUUAAGAAGAAGAAGAUAUUCUUUUAGAUCUUAUAUAAUGUGAGGAUUCUAUUAAGCUAUUUUAUAAACUCUUAGAAGCUUGUGAAUCUAAAAAAGGAUAAAUUGUAGUUUAUAAAAAUAAACAACUUGUAUAUACUUAUCUACAAGAUUUUUCCUAUAACAAUACAAGGUGCUCUAUUAAAAAAACUAGUAGGAGCAAUGAUUUUUUAAAGGUGUUUCUUUAAAUUCUUAUAUACAAAGAUUGUACAAAGAUUGGAUAUUCUUGAAUUCCAAACUUAUGUGGUGGAAACUAUAGUACUUUUAGAGAUCUACAUAUCUAUUAUCUUUUGGAAUUCAAUACUACAUCUUAUAUUACACCUAUCUUGUGAAUUAUACUAAUAUAGACCAAUCAAUGUAAGAUGGAUGUACAGUGCCAAGCAAUAUAUUAGCCACUUGAAAAGUUUGGUUCAUAAUAAAGCAAGACCGCAGAGAUCUAUUGCAAUGCAAUACACAUUUGAAGAGGUGCUUGAGUUCAUUAUCAAGUAUUAUAAGAACUUUCUUGUGCAAGCUUGUAUUAUCUAGGAUAUAGAUAAGGACAAUAAAGACUACACAAAGAUUAUGGAAGAAAAACCACUCAAGAUAGAGUGAAAAGAAUUAAUCCUUCAAGACAUUGACAAUCAUAUAUUAAUAUAUUUUUCCAUCACUGAGGCUUAAUAUAGAUGACGCCCUUAUCAAUAUAAUAUUAAUUAUGAUUAUUUGAACUUAGAUCUAUAUUAUAUCAUGGUAGUUGUUUAUUGUUAUUUUUUUAUCCAUAAAAUUAUUGUAAGUCACAGAAUUAAUUCAUUUGCAUAUUUAGUACAAAAAAUGUACUUAUGAUGCUUAAAGUCACUAGUCUAGUGAGUUAGUAUAGGAAUUUUGACAUAAAUAACAAAAAAAUAGAAUUCUAGUUGUAAGAAUGGAUCUCUUAUAGUGUUAUGUGGGAUAGAAUUCCAAAUAAAAUAUUUCCUCUUUAAAUUAGCUAAUAUGAAUUUAUGCUUUUUUGAAGUAGUUUUUAUUGUUGUCAUAUGUUUAAUUAGGCUAGAAACUAAGCAGAAUUAUUGAGCCAAAUCAACUCAAAAAUAAAUAAAUAAAUAAAUAAAAUAGAUGUGAAAGAAGGUAGGCAACUAGGAUGAAGAGAAAAGUAAAAGUAGGAAGAGAGAAGAGAAAAGGAAGGAGAAGAAAGAAAACGAAAAAAGAAAAAAAAGAAAAGUCAAAAAGUUUUCUUUACCGGUCGGAUGGAUGCCGGCCGGAUCUCUGGGAGGACUGCAGGGGUCCGGGGUAAUUCUGGACCCCGGCCGCAUUCCUCCGCCUCUCUCCUUUUGUUUUUGUUUUGUGAUCCAGUGAAAGAGCUCCAAGAAUUUCGAUCUGUCUCCUUCACCGGCGUGUGUGGUUACGAGUGUUCUUCUUUGUCCCGUGGAAGUGCUGUGGUGCAGCAUCUUCUUCUUUUGUUCGGUGAUCUGCGUGGAGCCUGGGAAUUGGAAGAUCUGGUUUUUUUUCCUGGUGUUUUCUUCUGGAGAUCCAAUUGUGAGGAGUUGCAGCAACUCGGUUUGGAGAAGUAUUGCUGCUGAGAUCCAAGAUUGCUGUUGUUUUUGUUUUUCCUUCUGUGCGGAAAAAGUCAAAGGGAAAGCUGCGGUAGAGGUUCUUCAUUUUCUGCUUGUUCUCUUCGAUUCGACGUAAGGAAAGGCGCAUGCGGCACUGAUCUAGUAAUUCCCGCUGUUUUUUCUUGUGUUUUCCUGUUAAAUGCGGUUGCAUUGCCAGUAGAGACGACUGCGACACUGUAGCAGUUUGUGCCAAGUGGUGGAUUGUAGUUUUGCGGUAUUGUGUAGUGCGGCGGUGCCUCUGCACUAAUCUUGUUCUUUGGAAGUAGCUCUUAGCUGAGGAGAAUCGCAGCAUAUGAUGGUGGUGUAGUAUUGAGAAGGUCGGCGCUUGCAUAUUGAGUUGGUCGUCGACAUCCUACCAAAAAAUCUUGUAAUGUGGCGAAAUCUUUACUUGCAAGUCGAGCUGCAGCUUGGUCGAGGUGCUCUCUUUCCCGUGGUGCUGGCCAAGGUUUGUUCCGGAGUUUGGACAAGAAUGCUAAGCUAGGUUGUAGAGGAUGGUGUUGGAAGUUAAAGUUCUUGACUGUGAAUUGGCUUGCGUGUAAUCGGAGGGCAGAUGCAGCCACUACGUUGAUCAAGGUUGGAGGUCUGAUGCGGGGCUAGCUGCUUCAUCAUAAACUACUGUAGCUGCUGCGCUGACGCCCACGGUAUUGAUGAUGACUUGAAAACCCCGCCACCAUUCCAAAUCUGAGUGUAGAGUUGGUAGAUUUGUUUGUGCAUUUGGACACAUUGUUAUCUUCCCUUGGCGCAUUUUUUUAUUCUUAAGUUGGCUGCUGCUCCACUUGAACAAUCAUCCUGCGGAGUAUUUUGCGGCGUACUUCUAUUUGUUUCCUUUUGUGUGUUGCGGAACGUAUGCGACCAGUAAGGUGUUUGGCUAGUUCGUCGCGGUGUUGAGGGCGACUCUCCCUGGGCGAUGUCGUUCUUAUUUUGGAGUCAUUGAAAUCUAUAUUGAUCGGGCUUGUUGACGAAGGAGGCAGCCUGAUUUUUUCUUGUAGUUCGGGCUUUGCAGUGGCUGUGGUAAAUGCAGAGCAUGUGGGCCAUUUGUGGAUGUAGCAAACAAAUCUUGCAAUCCUAAAUCCCUUGUUUGUUCGACAGGUCUUGGAUGCAAAAUUUCAUCACUUGCUGCAAGCUGAAAAACCACCGUAGUGCUGCAGCAGGGUCAAAGUCAUUCGUGUCAAUUCCAUAGGAUUGAUUUGGUACUCAAAGUUGUAUAGCAGUCGAAGCAGCGAAGGCGAUUACUUCGUCUCCAACAUUGCUUUUUAGUUACUCUUCAUCCUGUGCUUCUGCAAUCAGGAGCCCCCUUACUGUAUCAAUCUGUCAGUCUGGAGCAUAUUGUGCAUGCCCAAAGAUUAGAUUUAGUUGAUAAGUUACAUGCUAGAUCAUAGAAACUCUUUAGAUUGUUAGGAAGAUCAUAGUGUCGACUUGUUGGAUGCACGAGGUUGGAGAUGCUCAAGGAAUACAGCACUUUUUAAGUGUAUCUCUUGGUGGAGCAAAGAUUGGAGAAAAAUCAUGCAUGGUUGAUGGGCAAGGAAUACAAGUAAGACAAUCCAGUGAGCAGCAUAUGUAGGGUGGAGAUGUAAUUUAUUAUUAUAAGUGUGAGUUGGUAGUAGAGAUUUUGUUUGACUACUAAGGUGAUUUAAGGAGUUUUAAGAGUAGAUUAAAUUGGAUUGAACAAGAGCUAUAAAUUCUAGAAUUUACAUAGUUAAUUCACUUGUUGUGAAUUAGAAUAAACUUCCAACUAGUGGAGGUUUAUUUUAGCUUACAAUGGUUCAAUGAUGUGAAUAUCAUGCAACAUGUACAUAGAGUGUUGUGUUGCACAUGAAUAAAAGAUAAGGUGAUCAUUGCAAACUUUUUCAAAUUGGUUAUAGUACCAUGUUUAGUUCAUAAUUGCUAAAAGAGAGCAAACAAGUGAAGUUUUAAAACCAUGUCACAAAUUUCAUUUGCAAUAGUAAAGUAUUAUAAUUCCAUGUAUGCAUAUAGAUACCACUUUUGUGUUGAUGAGGAUAGAAGAAGAAGCAAUGUAACUUUCAAUAUAGAAAUAACUUCCAUCAUAAUUCAAAGUUGCAAAUUAUCACAAACAAAUUAUUACCUUAUUGAGGCUGCUCUAUAAUAUAUGGGUAUUAUAAAGGACAUCUUUGAAGUUGAUUAUUGACAUCUUAAGUACAACAUCAUUUGAUGUUCAUAGAUUAAGCCAAAUUUGGAAGAUUAUUCAAUCAUCUACUAAGAUGAGCAUGGUUUUUGGUUUAUACAAUACAAAGCUAGAAUAAACAAGGAAUUAAAGCCAUACAUCCUCUCAAGUCACACAUACUACGUGAUGACAAUUGUUGUAGCAUAGUAACCAUUAUAAUGCAUUAUUAUGAAAGUUUUUCAUGAAUAGAAAUGCAUACUGAUUGUUAAAUACUUGUAAGUCUCAAAUAUAUUUUAUGAACAAUUCCAUUGAUCCAAAGUAGAAAGUGGUAAGAUGUGUUGAUCUAAGGUCUAGGCAAGUUACUACGAAGACAAACGAGGAAAUAAUAAGUACUUUGAAACAUUGAGAUACAAUAUAAAAUCUUAGAUGAAAUAGAAAUAGUCCUACCAAAAGAUACACAACUACAAGUGAGGAUUAUCAAAGAGGAUGUAAUCCACAUUCUUACACAUGUAAAAACAUAUAAUAAAGCCAAAAAUCAUGAUAUAGAAUACUUGAAUGUUUACAAGAAAGAAACCAAGUUUGAAGAUUUUACAAUAGUUGAUGCAAGUAUUGCUUCAAAUUUUACUUGAUGAAUACUAAUUCAUUGACAUUGGAUUCAAGAAGGUGUUAUUGAUACAAUAGAUGUUAAAUUUGAAUUAGAACAAUAUUAGUUUUGUAAUUAAGAGACAUCUUUCUUUAUAAAGAUGUUAUAUUCAAAUAAAUUGAGAUGUUGAAAGUAAAAUUUAAAAACUUGGUUAUAUACUCAAUAUAUAUACUAAUGACUUUUUAUUGUAUCUAUACAUCCAAUAGUAUAUAAAUAUUUUUAAAAAUAAAAUUAAAAAUGUAAUAUGUGAUAUGUCAUGUUUGUUUUGAAUUUCUAAUUAAUAUUAAAAUUAUAAAAGUAACCAAAUUAUAAUACUAAAAAGUUAUAUAUACAUUUAAAUAAAAUAUAGAAACAUGUUUAAAAAAUUAAUUACAACAUGUUGAAUAAAGCAUUACAUUGCAUCUAAGUGACAUUUAUGAUUUGAUUGAAUAGAGAGAUUUUUGCAACACGUAUUGACAAGGCUCUUUUUCACAUCACCACUACUUCCUUAUCUAUGAAUGGUUUUUCUUCCUAAGGUAUCUUAGCAUAGUUUUUAGACAUUAACAACUUGUAUUGGCUAAAAUUAUGAUUGUUUUCUUCAUAUUUUGAUUGAUGAUUCAAUGUGUUCUAGAGGCUAUAUUUGAGAUUGGCUGAAAAGUGAUUUUUGGAUUUGAAAUGAUCAAUGAAGAUGGUCAUUUAUUGCACCUUUUGCCAAAUAUGAUGGUGAUAAAGUGUAUAUUGCCAGAGUGAAUGGACCAACUUAUAUGAAUUAGUUUGUCUUCAUAGCAUGAGAAAGAAAUAGUAUAGCAAGGUUCAUUUCUCACUUUGCAUUAUAGCACACUACUUAGGGACUCAAUAAACUUCUGCAUAAUCUUUAAGAUGGAAUCUCAUUUCCAAUGUAAAUACAUAAUAUUUGAAAUGUUAAGGUAUAAUUAAUUUUUUGAUUGCUUCUUUCUUAUGAUAAUUACAUGAUUAUACUUCAUUUGGCUUUAUUGGCUUACAAAGAAUUGCUUUAAAAAAUAGUGAAGGUACAAAAAAUAUUUUAUUAUAAAUAUUUGUAUAUGCUUUGAAUUUAAGUAAGUUCUGUGUUUCUUCAUAGGCCCCACUAGUUGCAUAAUAUAAAUAAAGUGGUAUCUUUGACAUGUUAUCAAUGGAAAUGUUUGAUAUGAGUGUCAUCUUUAUAUCUAAAAAAAAAAUCACAUGAAUCCAUUAUCUUCUAAGAUAAAUUUGAAAUAAUUUCUUUCAUUGAAAUGAUGUAAAUUAAAUUAUAUUAACAAUUUCAAAUUACUCUUUGAAUCUAAAGUGGUGCACAUUAAAAAAAAAUUGGCAGUAAGGACCACUAAUACCAUAUUCAAGAAAAAACCAAGAAUUAUAAUUUGUGAGUUGUUCAAUGAUGUAAUAUAAAACAAUAUUUUUGCUUUAUUUUCCAUUGUUGACUUGCAAGGGUCUGUUUAGAUGAUGAUAUUAAUGUAGAAAACAUUUCAUAGGUAAAAUACACAUAUGAUUUAAAUUCAAGUAUAUCUGUGGUUUCUUUCUAAGCCUUGUUGAUUAUAUAGUAUAAGUAAUAUCCUGACUAUAUCAACAAUAAAAAUAAUUGGUAUGAGUGUGAUCCUUAUAUCUAAAAUUCAUAUGUAUCCUAUAGCCUUGAAGAGAAAUUAGAAAUUAUUCCUCUUACUAAAAUGACAUCAAUUUAAUUACAUAUACAAGUUCAUAUUACUCUUACAAGGCUAUGGAUUAGUCAUUAAUUUUUUUUAGUAGUAGUAAGGAGUAUUGAUACAAUGUUUAAUUAACAAGUUGAUAAUCAUAAUAUGUGAGUUAUUGAAUAAAAUGGUAGCUUAUAUUGCUUAAUGCAUCAACGUUCUUUAUUUACAUAUACGAAUUCCACUUGAUUUUGCUGCCAUUACUAUGUAUGUAUGCAAAGAUACUUCAACUUUGUACAAAGAGCAUGUAGUUCUGUAAUGAGAUUCUUUUGUCACUUUUAUAUUGUGGUGUAUCAAUUGAGGACUUAGUAAGAUUCUUGAAAAAUAUUGGAUUGAAAUUUCUAUUUAAAGAUAAAUAUAUAAUAUUUAAAAUAUUAGAAUGUGACUUAAUUUUUUUAUUAUUUUUUUAUUGAUAUAAUAUAAUAUUUAUUAUUUAUUUUCUAUUUCUGGCUUGUAAGGAUUGGUUCAAGUAAUAGUGAGGGUGGGAUGAAUAAUUUAGUUAAUAUACACAUAUGAUAUGAGUUUAAUUUUAUCUAUGGUUUCUUCAUAAGUCUUUGUUGAUUGCAUAAUAUAAAUAAAGUGACAUUUUCAACAUAGCAAAGAUACAAUAAUACACAUUAACUUUUUUCUAUGGUAGUAAGGGACACUAAUACUAUGUACAAAUAACAAGUUUAGAAUCAUAAAAUAUGAGAUGUUAAACAAAGUAAUAGCUUGUAUUGUUUUAUAUAUAAACCAGCUAUGUUUAUACAUAAUAAUUCUACUUGGUUUUGUUGCCAUCAUUGUCUACAUAUCUUGCAUGCAAAAUUUGAAUGCUUCAAUAAAUAAAAGAUAUUUUGAGUUAUAAGGAGCACAAAUUGUAAUUUAUUGUCUACUACAUCCUCACAUAUAAAUUGAAGUUUCAUCCUCUUUACAAAUGCAAAUAUUUGUAUUGCUAAUUCCAUUGAAGAAUAUAUAAGCCUUUUUGAUUGUGUGCAUGCAAUAAGAAUAAAUGAUUCACAAUAAUAAAUGAGAUAAUGAGGUAAUAAAAUAGAAUGACUCAUUAACUUCUAUUUCACUAACCACCUUUCAUAUUGGAGCUGUUAUUAAUACAUUGUACAAAAAAAAAACUCAUAAGUUGACACAUUGCAAGUUCGAAAAUCACAACAUAAUUCUAUUGGCUCUAUGAAAUUGGGCCUUCAAAAAUCCACUUUUUGUCAAGAACAAGAAUUUGAUAAAAGUAAAUAAAGAAGUAUAACAAAAUAGAAAUAAAAAAGAAUAUGUGUUAAAAGAAAAUUGAAAUGGCUAUUGCCAAAAGACAAGGAAAUUAGAAACUCUUGAAUCUAAACUAAAAGCAAGAAAAGAGUUGACAAGAGUGAAGAGGUCUUCACUCUUGCCUCUAUAUAUACUAUCUAACUAAGAGCUAUGUGGCAAUGUUCUAUAGGACCUCUAAUAUGUGUUGACUUUGCAAAGUUGUUGAUCACGUUUUUAACCUAAAAUAUCAAUUAUAAAUACCUAUAAAAUCAAAGUAGCAUCUAUAAAGCUUCUAUAAAGCUUUAAUAGAAGAUAUUAUGAAAUUAAUUUACUUUUAUCUACUUUUACCUACUUCUAUCUAAUCAUAUAGGUAAUUAUGAUUAUAUUCAUGAUACUUUUCUGAGAAAAGACUCUAUUCAGCACAUAAGAGCAUUUAAUAGCAACAAAGCAUACUGAACAGGAAUUAGAAAUUAUUGAGAUCUUUAAAUAUAGCCGACACUUUCUAUACUAUUUAUUAUAGUCUAUAAUAUUUAUUGUAGCUAUAGUAUUUCAAAUAUAAUAGAUAAAAAUUAUUUAUCUUCUCUUUUUUUUAUAUAUAAAAAAUAUAAUCCUAUCAAUAAACUCACUUCUUGUGUGUGUGUAUGUUUACAUAUGUUUGCAUAUUACUUCUAACUACUCUUAUUUCUCUCUCUCUUUCUAUAACAUUCUUAACACAUUAUUAGCACGAUUACUUUUAUAUCCUAGUCUUGGUUCUUAAAAACUUAUAUACACUUUAUCCUUCAUUUUCUCCUCAAUUUUUUUUCUUCCUAUGUUGUUGUUGCUAUUAUGUUACUACUACUUAUGUCAUGUAUUGUUCUUGUUAUUGUUGCAAUUGUUGUUGUUUUGUAUUUCUAUUAUUGCUAUCAUAUGUUGCUGCUACUGUGCUAAUGUAUUACCACACAUUGCUAUCAAACUACUGCAUCUUGCCAUACUUUGCCGCCAUUUGCUACACCCUGUUGUGGUCCACUGCACAUCCUUAUUUUUGUAGAAACAAAAAAAAAAAAAAAAAUCCUAAAUUUUUUAAUAUUUUUGAUUUCUAGUUUCAACUUUAUCAUUUUAUUGAGCUUUAUAUUUUAAGAUGCAUUUUAUUCAACUUUUUUUAUUUGAUCUUAUAUUUUUGUUUAUAGAUUUAUUUAUAAUGAGUGCUUCAACAUCCUCAAUUUUCUUUAUUAUAUUUCCAAUUAUCACCACUAUAUCUCAACAUUUUCAAGUUCUUCUAUUUCUACCAUUGAUUGCUGAUAGAAAUAAUUAUCUAUUAUAGGCAAAAAUGACAAAAGUAAAUUUAUUUGUAGAAUAACUCUUGGAUGUAAUUCUGUUUGAAGAAUCUCUUAUUGUAAGUAUAUUAAUUCUUAUAACUAUCCAUUGGAAAGCACUUCUACUCUUUCAUUGACAUCUUGUACCUCCAUUGCAACAUCAAUAAUUAGAAAUGGAAAAUCUAGCAAAGCUUUGGGAGAAUCUUAAAUCUAGAUUUGAUCAUCAAAAGAUAAUUUUUUCCCAUGUAUAUGUCAUGAUUGGACACAUUUACAUAUCUUAGAUUUUCUAAAUUUAAAUCCUUUCAAUAGUGAAAUAUAUUAUAUUGUCUCAUAACUAUGGUUAUAUAGACAAAGCAUCUCUGAAGAAGGAAUGAUUGAAAAAACUCUCUCUACAUUUCGUCCCCCAUUUGCUGUGCUUGCACAACAAUAUGAGAACAUGAAAUUUCAGAGUCAUCUUGAUCUCAUGCCUUAUCUACUUCUUGUGGAGAAACAAAACAAGCUACUCUUGCGUAAUAUAGAAUCUUGUCCUAUUAGAACCACGAUUCCAAAAUCUCAUGCACUUAAUAUUCCAAAGUCUAAGAAAUAAUUAUAUAAACAUAAAAAAAAAAUGCUCAUAAAUACCAAGUCUAUCAUGGUUAUGACUAUUUCUAUCCAUAUGAAAAGAAUAAAUUUCUACAACUAAUUAAAUUAAAAGAAAAAAAAUCAAAUAUGCGUUCUUGCCAUAAACAUAUAAUUAUUGGAUAUUUAGUACAUGCAUGCCGUACUUCAAAAUACUUUGUUAAAAUAUUCUAAGAAAAUCAGAAACUUCAAGACGAGACUUGUGAAGUUCAUACUAUAGAUACGUCCAUAGAUUCAAUUGGUGUUGAUGAUUUAGAAGCUUAUAUGAAUGAUAUAACCUCUAAUGAUGAGUCAAAUGAUGUAUACAUUGAUUCUACAACAACACAUAUUAUCAUGCGAGAUAGAUGGUUUUUCAUUGAAAAAUCUUCAACCUAGAAAACUAAAAAUUUGAUGACUAUGGCUAUAAUGAAUACAUUUUAUUUUCAAGAGAGAAUAAUAAUGGUAAAAUUACUUGUGCGAUUUAUCAUAAAAUGUAAACAUGCAAUGUUUGCACCUUGAACACUUGAGAUCUAAUCAGCUAUCAAGAUAUGUAUGCCAAUGGUUAUGACUUCUCAACCGCUAUUCCAAAUAGGUGGGAGGUUUUGGUUCUUCAACAGAACCAUAAAGUUUUAGAAAAAGCCUUUGUUGCAACAAAUAGUUUAUACCGGAUUACAAUCUAGCCUUCUAUUAUAUUUAAUUUUAUAUCAUCUAUUACAAAAAAUUAUGUUUUUUUCUAGUAUGGACGAUUGAAACAUCCAAUUUCUACAUUAUUUCUUAAGAUAAUUCUAUAUAUAAUUAAGUAUAAUUUAAGACUUAUAAAUAUAAAUUCUAUGAAAUUAUGUCCUGCAUGUGUAUAAGGCAAGAUGAUUGUUUGGCCUUGAAUUUAGAAACUUCCACAGGAAUUACCACCAAUGCUUGAAAGAUUGCAUGGUGAUAUUUGUGAAUCUAUUAAUCUAAUAUCUGGACCAUUUUGUUAUUUUUUGGUCUUUUUUGAUGCAUCAAGCCAACAAUCACAUGUUUUAUUAUCAUGAAUUCAAAACAUAGUGUUUGCCAAACUUAUGUCUAUGCUUAUUUGUUUCCAAGCACAUUUUCUUAAUUAUCUUAUUAAAACAUUGCAUAUGGACAAUAUAAAAGAAUUUGCAUCAAAGUCCUUUGAAGAUUAUUGUACUACAAUAGAGAUUGAAUUGACAUAUUAUAUUCCAUAUGAACAUGCUCAAAAUAGACUUGCAAAGUCAAUUAUAAAGCAUAUACAACUCAAUAUCUGACCACUCCUUCUUCAUACAAAUUUACUUGCAUCUACGUGGCAUCAUGCAAUUUUGCAUACUACAGCAUUGAUAUGCCUUUGUUCUUUUUCACUUGAAAUUAUUACACCACAAGCGUUCAUUUCAGAUCAUAUUUUAAAUGUAUCUCACCUAUGGAUUUUUGGUUAUCUUGCUUGGAUUUCAGUACCAAAACUUCAAUGGCAUAUCAAUGGAACUCAUUGAUGAGAAGUCAUAUAUGUUGAUUUUGAUUCAUCAAGAAUUAUUUAUAUUAUUGAUCCAUGAACUGGCACAUUAUUAUAUGCAUAUUUUUAAACUUAUUAUUUUAAAGAGAAUAUAUUUUUAUCUCUUUAAAGAAGAAUAUUUAAUCAACAAAGAAAUAUAGUACUUAUAUUUGAAGCACCAAAAAAAUUUACAAUAAAUCCUAAUCCUAGAACAUCUUUGGUUGAAAGUAAAGUUACUUAGAUUUUGUAUCUAAAAUGGAUUUAGAUGAAACACAUGAUGGCUUCAAUGAUGUGCCUCAGAUUACAAGACUUUCAAUUAAUGAGGCUCUGAAUGAAUCCACUCAGAUUGCAAUACCACUAACAAAUAUACCUUAGGUUAAAAUAUCAACAAUUAAAAGGAAUUGUGGACCAAAUAAGCAACCACGAAAGAAGAAAGCUAUAACAUGUGAUGAUUUUGGUAUUGUUUCUAUAGAAGUUCCUACUAAACCUAUGGGACUAUCAAUUAAUGAAAAAAUAUCCAUGGACAUUAUACCUUCACUUUAAGCAAUAGCAAAUCUUGAAAUUAAGAGGAAUAAAAUCAAAUUGAAUACAAAAUUAUCUAUUCUAUAUUAUGUUAUAAAUGACCUUUGACAUAGAUCAUCUAUUAUAAUAGAUGAAUCAUUUGCAUUCAUGGUUACAGAAGCUCUUUCUUAUAAGAAAGAGAAUCCUGAACCUCAAACCAUUCAGAAAGCAAUGCAUUGCUCUGAUUGAUUAAUAUGAAAAAAUACCAUCAAGAAGGAGUAUGCUUCUUUGCAUGAAAAGAAAGUCUUUGGUCCAAUUGUAGACACUCUUAUUUCUUAUCUUGUGGAAUAUAAGAUGGUAUAAGUAUGCAAUCAAGAUGCUAAGGAUCAAAUAAUCUGCUAUAAAGCUCGUCUUAUUCUCUAAGAAUUUAUCCAAUAAUUUAACAUUGAUUAUGAAUCCUCAUAGUUUCUAGUCAUAGAUUCAAUUACAUUUUGAUAUAUUAUUAGAAUGGUAGUUCAUGCCAUCCUUGAGAUAUACCUUAUAGAUGUGGUAACUGCAUAUUUGUAUGGUUUUCUUGAUACAGAUAUUUAUAUGAAAGUUCUACUUGGUUUAAAAAUAGGAAUUCUAAAUGAACAUGUUCCAAGAUAAUAUUGUGGUAUUAAAUUACAUAAAAUCUUAUAUGAUCUAAAAUAAUCUAGAUGCAUGUGGUAUCAAUGUCUUUGAAAUUAUUUAAUUAUAAAUAAAUUUAUAAGUGAUCCAUUAAUCCCUUGCUUGUUUAUCAAAUAAGAUAAAACUAAUUUUGUGAUCAUUGUUGUAUAUAUUGAUAAUCUUAACCUAUUAGGUAUUAGAUCUAUAUGCAUUGUAGUUAUUAAUCUACUUAUCUAUGAAUUUGAAAUGAAAAUGUUAAAAAAAAAUAACUUUUUGUAUUGGUCUUUAGAUUAUGCAUCUCACAGAUGGUAGCAUUUUUCUCUACCAAUUAACAUAUUUUAAACAAAUCUUACAGAGAUUCAAUAUGUUUGAUGCUUAUCUAUUAUCUAUAUCAAUGGUUGAGCAUGGUUAUGAUGGUCAUGAUCCAUACCAUUUGUAUAAGGAAGAAGAGGAAAUAUUGAGAGAGCAAUAUCCAUAUUUCACAAUAAUUAGAGUACUUUUAUAUUUAGUCACAUCUACAAGACUAGAUAUUGUAUUCGAAGUUAGUGUUCUUGCAAGACACAGUACAUAUUCAACACUACAACAUUGGAAUGGCAUCAAGUAUUUACUACAUUAUUUUAAAAGUACUAAAGAUUUGGAAUUAUACUAUUUAUGAUCUAUAGAUCUAAAAUUGGUUGGAUAUUUUGAUAUAGGAUAUGAAUCUAAUAUUGCAAUAGCAAAUUUCAAACAAGCUAUAUAUUCUUAAGACAUGGAGCUGUAAUAUCAUUAAAAUCAAUGAAGCAAACUAUAACUGCAACUUCAUCCAACCAUGUUCAUUUUACUCGAGCAUGUUAAUAUUGGCUCAUGUUUAGGAUGUUGUUCUGUUGCAACACUACAUCUGUUGUCGAUAGUCCUGAAGGCGCUUGGUAGGAUUUGUUUUAUUCUGCCUUGGUGUUUAUUUUUUUGUGUGUAUUUUGCGGUUGAUUGGAUGCAUGUUGCGAUGGUGGUCGAUACUCUCAUUGUGAUUGGUAGUUGCUGUUCUUUCGUGCGAUUGGGUUUCUGGUACUAAUGGUUUUUAUUUUUUGUCCUUUUGCUCUCUAAUUCUAAUAAGGAUCUGCGGUAGCAGUGUUGCCAUUGUCUUCUUAGACAUGGUUGCUAGUAGUCAUCUUCUUCUAGACUUUUGGUUCUAGUGUAGAUUUAAAAUUCUUCAUGGAUACUCUAUUUAGAGAUUCUCCAACAAUUCAAAAUCCACCAUUGCCGCUCUCUCUCUCGCUUGGCACUUGUGUUGUGGAGUGAAGAUUUUAUCGCUGUGGUACAUGUGGCAGAGCCAUUGAUUGAGUGUUCAGCAACACUAGCUCUGCAGAUGCUACCAACGAUCACAACAUUCUUGAGUUUAAUUAUUGUAAGCAUGUGUUUGAAUAUAUCGCUUCACUUAUACAAUCAGAACUUGUAAAUACUUCUGCGAUGCUGUGAAAAUAGUGAAUAAGGCUCUAGGACACCAUAGUGAACGUUGAUAUUGUUGGAGAGAACCAAUUGUGCAUGACCGGUUGAGGUGUGGGCACAAAGAUGGAGACAACUUGUGUUGAAGAAAUAUGGUGGCAACAUGAUACUUCAUUGACGUGAUUUAUUUAUUUUUUUCUUUUUCUUUUUUUAAUUUAUUCUGUAGUGGUCAUCAAUAAGGCCCUGGAUUUUCUCUCGUGUUGAAUUUCAAUAGUUUUGGAUUUGUUUGGCGUCAGUUCCCUACUGUUGAUAGCAGCUGAGCCACGUCUUCUUUGACCACGUUGCUGUUCUUUCUAGUUCUUCUACAACCUAGUUGCUGCAAUUUCCAAGUACUAGAAAGCUCUAUAUAGGUCCAAAGUCAGUCUUCUUCUUGUAUAAGUUGUAGAAAUUUACUAAUAAUUAAUAGAUAUGUAAUAUAAAACAUAGUAUAAAUAAUAAAAAAGAAGUAGAACUAAUAAAUUUUACUCAAAUUAUAAUACAUUGAUAUAGUUGUCAUAGAGGUCAAAAGCCUAAUUUUUUAGAUCAAUGAGAGUACUUGUGGUCUUCUAAUCCUCAAAUAUUUUUUUUAGCCAAAGUUGUUCAUCGUCUUUCAACCUUUGUCAUCUUCAAUCAAAGGCACUCAUUAUCUUCUAUCAUAUGUCAUCUUUUGACCAAGACCACUCAUCAUUUUUCAACAUUUGUUACCUUCCAAUACUCCCUCUUGUACUCAUUUUUUUAUAUUCUUUUAUUGUCAUUUUUUGAUUAUCAAAUAAUUUUUGUAGAAGUUUUUAUUGUUAGCAUAUAUGCCACGGACAUACACAUGUAAGCCAACAAUUAUAUAUAUAAAUAGGUAGAAGUAAAUAAAAGUAAGUAAAAGUAAGUUAAUUCUAUAGUAUUUGAUAUGAAAGCUUCCUAGAAGCUUUAUAGAUACUGCUUUGACUUUAUAGGCGUCUCUAAUUGACUUUUUGGAUUAGAAACGUGGUCAACAAGUUGGCCAUGUGCCACACAUGUUGUUAGCUUGAAGACCAAGCUAACUAUGUGGCCCACACAUAGAAAAACUUGCCUUGUAAGACAAGGCAUGUAUCCUACAAAGUCAACACAUAUUGGAGGUCCUAUAGAAUGUCGCCACAUAGCCCCUAGUUAGAUAGUAUAUAUAGAGACAAGAGUGAAGCCUUCUUCACUCUUGUCAACUCCAUUCUUGUUUCUAGUCUAGUUUCAAGGGUCUCUAGUUUUCUUGUAUUUUGGCAAUAGCCAUUCCAAUUUCUUUUUUAAUAUACAUAUCAAGUUAUUUUUAUUUUGUCAUCUUUCUUUGAAAGAAGUCUCACUUGUUUAUUUGUCUUUAUUAUAUAAUUGUCCUUGACAAUAUAUUAAUAUUUAGAAAUUUCAUGUAUUUAGAUAUGAGAUUUUUUGAUUUUGCAUAUAAGUCUUUAUCUUAUGAUUAGUUUCAUGUCUUAUUUCUUAGUACCUUUGUCUUGUAAUUAGUUUUAUGUCUUGUUUUCUUGGUGCCUCUCAAAGAAAUAUUCCAUCUUUUUUUGUUAUAUGUUUUGAUUCUUGUAUCAUUGCAAAGCUUUAUUUAUUCUUCAAUUAUUGGUGUAUUUCAUGUUGGUGAUGUUAUUGAUGUUGUUUGUAUUCAAGAAGAUGUAUCAAUAACAAAGGAGACUUCUACUACAAUCUUGAUAGUAAGGCAAGGGUUUUUAAAUAGUUACGAAAAAAUCACUCUAAAAAUUUAUGUUUUUUUACAAGGUCUUUAACUUGGAGUCUAUACAUUUUGAAAAGAUUAUAGAAAAUAGAUUGAUAGGUACAACAAAGCAAAACAUAAGAAUUUUUGAAAUCUUGAAGAAACAAAGAAUAGUCCUAAAUAAAUUUAGAUAGAAUUAAUUUCCUUAAGUGACUUAAGCCAAAUCUUUGAUUUAUAAUUUUUGAAUUUAGUUUUAUUCAAAGCGUAGAUUAAAAUAUCUAUUAGUUUAUUUUUUAUAUUUUUAUUAUGUUAUCUUCAAGGAUUCUCAAAAGUAAAAUAUACAACAAAUUAUCUUUCUUUGAUACAAAGAUUGAAAUUAAUAUUAAAUUAAGGGAUUUAUUAUUAAUUCAAUAGCUUCGAAGGUAGCAAUAGAUAUAGUUUUAUUGUAGAAUGAUAAUAUGAGAAAUGCACAUCCAGUAUAUUACACAAGUUGAUUCAUAAUAGACUAUAAAAUCAAAUAUCCAUUGACCAAAAAGCUAGUUGUAGCAUUAUUGUUUGCUUGCAUAAAAUUCAAAUUUAUCUGCUAUCAAAUUUUGUUUUAUCAUAGUUCAAUGUGAUAUUGAUAGGUUAUAAUAAAAAAUACAACCAAGAUGUCAAAUUGUUUAAGAGUUAUUACAAACUAAGCUGUUUUUCUAACAAAAUGUAUUCAAUUCAUGUUUAUCAAUAACAAGCUAUAUUAAAGAGCAAAAGGUAAUAUUUUAAGAAAAAUUGUGAAUUGAUAGAAAAUUAUUAUAAUCUUCACAAAAUGUCACAAAAGACAUUACAAAGGGCACUUUGCCAUUGAAUCAACUACUUAUAAGAUUUUCAUAAUAAAAUUCUUUUGGCUUAGUCUUUCAAAGACUGAAAUCAAUAUUAUUAAGAAUUCUCCAACCUAUUAAGCAUAUAUCAAGCAAUCCUUACUUUACACCAAAUUCUAUUAUAUUCUUCCAAGAAAAGCCUCAAAGAAGUGGAAGAUUGAUUUUAUAGAGGUGCUACCUAAUAUCACAAGAAGAAAUGAAUACUCGAUAGUUGCAACCAAUAAUUCAAUAAAAUAGACCAAAGCCUUGGUAGUGAAAAAAUGCACAUAAUAAGUGGCUUCAAUUUUUUUCUAUAAUCAAGUGGUUUAUAGAUAUAAUUGCUUAUUAGAUGUAGUAAUAAAUCAAGAAUCACAUUUUGUCAACAAGAUGAUAAAUCAUCUAUUUGAAAAAUUCUUAGUCAAAUAUUGACAGAUUUUACUAUAUUAUUUACAAACAAAUGUCAUUCUUGAAAAGACGAACGGAAUAUUGUAAAUUGCCAAAAUGACAAGAACAAUGCAAUUAGGAUACCAAGUAUAAGUAUUGGUAUAAUAUUAGGUAGAAAAAUACUAAAUAUAAAUAAAAUAGAGCUAAUAGAUUAAUUGUAGCAAUAGUAUAAAUUCCCAAGUAGAAUUCAUCUUGGAGAGCAUCACAUAGACAUCUAGUGGACAUCUCAAGAGCAUUUUCAAGGAAUCUAGCAUAAUUGAUAUUCUAGUAGUAUAGGACCUGCAUAUAGUAUAGAUACCUUCUGGAAUAUACGAAAUAUGAUAAUAAUACCACAUGGAGAUGGCAUAGAUACAAUGGAAUACAAUAUGUAUAUAGUCUUUGUACGAUCGAUAUACGGUAUGUAUCCAGUACCAAUAUGGUCUCGAUAUGGUGGUAAAUUUUGUACAAGUAGAGAUAUAGUAUAUACACGAGGUAUGGGCAAAAUAUAGAUAGUAUACAAUAUAGGAUAUUGUAAACAAUACACAGAAUAGGAUAAUGUCUGGUUUCUGGUAUCGAGCAAGAUCGGUCCCAAUUAUUGAGCAGGGCUCUCAGUGCCGGGUAUUGGGCCUCAUCCCGAUAGGGGUCCUAGCCACCCUGGACCCUUCUCUCUUCUUCAGUGUUCCUGAUUAUUGUAGUUUUUUCGGGCUCUGUGCGCUCCGGAGGUUUUAGUCGUGGUUUUCUACGAUGGUAACUGAGGGUGCUAAUCAGGAGCGAUGCUGCUGCCAUCUUUUUCCUUGGGUUGGAAUGCUGCGACGCGUUUUAUUGGCAUCAAGCAGCUCGCUGGGACGAGUAUUGUUGCAGUGUCAAGGGGAUGUGCGGCGGUACUGGGCUGGUUGAAGACUUGCUGCUUUGGUGGUUGGAGAUUGUCGGUUGUUUUUUUUUUUUUUUUGUGUUCGUGUGUGCGUGCACUAAGUCAUCAGUGUGGUACUCACUGCUGGGCAGCAGAGGUGCCGUUUUUUUUUGUUCUUAAUCUUCUGCGGCUAGCGCAGCAUUGGUAGUAUUGCUAUGGUGUAGAAUUGCCACUAUUAUUGGUUUGAAUUCCUAGCAUUGAUCCCCUCAUCGUCGACUGUCAAUGUGGAUUCUAAUUGCGCUGCGAUUAGAACAACACAUUCUCCUCUUCAUUGGGUUCCAGCGCGAUUGAAGCCGGAAGUGAUCACUCCUUUGUGGAUUCAAGCAGCGGUUUGGUUUGAACUCUGGGCCAGAUUUCCUCCUUAUGUUGCUAGUUGGACGAUUAGGUGCGGCUGUGUCCACGAUUGGUUACAAUUUUAGUGUAGCAAAUGCAGCGAGGUUUACAAGUUUGGUGCCUCCUCCGUAGGAUUUCAGCAGCAUGGACUCUCCGCACAAAGGUAAGAGACCUAGCGUUGCAGUCACUAUAUUGUUGAAUCAGUGCCCGGAGCUUGCGAGUACUUUUAUGCAAUCAGAUUAGGUAGUGGUCAAGGUGAGCAUGCUUGGUGUACAAAGCUAUAGAUUGUUAGAGGCUCGUCACGGCAAGUCGUAAUCUGUAACGGCGAGUAACCAUUGUAUCGGUUGGAGGUCGUUUGGUAUUAGGAUUGCCCCCAAUCGACACGCCAGCUUUGCUUUGGCGUGGCGAUCCGGCCAUCUGGGUUGCUCCCGAUGAAGGGUGCAACAGCAUGAGCGCCUUUGCGGUGUAGAGAUCGGCGGAGCCGUCUUCCUCCUCCUCAUUAUCAACAUCGACAUCAAAUCGGUGUUUCAACCAGGAUGUAAUUCAUGGUCCAAGGUAACGGAAGAGGUCAUGGACAGGGCCGAGUAUUCUUAGAACAAAGAAAAAAUUCAACCUCUAGUGUCACAGUGCUGAUAAGGAUUUAAAAGGAAAAGGAAGAAACAAAAACAAUGCUACCGUUGCAGAUUUGACAACGGAAGAAAGGCAGACUCUGUUGUCACCUCGUCUAGUGGCCGUAAGGAUUCAUCUUCAAGGUGGCUGAGGUUCUGCUAAAAGGAACAGGGAGAGGGUAGCUUGAACAGUGAUCUUCAUGCUGCGAAUCCUCGUCAAUCCGACAUCAACCUCUGGUAGUAAGAACCCAGAUCGGAUGAGCAUGUAGCACUGGAUGAAACUCAUAAACUAAAACACGUUAGGUUAAAUUUGGAUGAAGUUGGGUUAGGACAACCAAUUUGGAUGACAAUUCUAAUUCUAAAUGAACUUCAAUUGACUUGGAUGAAAUUUUUCGGAUGAUAUUUGAUUAAGAUAGAUGAUAUAUCGUUUGUGGAUGAGAAAUCUUUCAUGGAUAAAAACUUAUUAGUGGAUGAAAAGUUAUCUUAGAUGAAUUAAUUAAUUAAUUAAUUAAUUUCUAAUAAUUAUUAUCAUCAAAAAUUAAUUAAUUAAUUAUUCAAUAUAAUAUAAUAAUAAUAAAUUAUAUGAACUUAUAUUAAAGCAAAUAAAAUUCGUCAUUAAGUAGGUGUCCUUUGAGUUAUUUGAGUGCCUUGUAUUGUUUUUUUUUGUGGUUGUGUAAGAGUGGUUUUUUCACUAGUUAAGAGAAUUAAGAAUUUAAGACAAAGUAGAAGACAACUUAAGCAAUUAAAUAGGAAGUUAGUUGAUAAUUAUGAAUUAGAAUAAAUCACUUACUAGAGUGGUUUAUUUUAGAUCAUAAUUGAAGAAUUUCUAAGUUGUUGAACAUAAAUCAAAUGUUAAUCAAGAAGUAUUAAAUUAUUUUAUAAUUAGAUUUUUAUAAAUCAAAUUAGGCUUCCAACUAGUAGGGGAUUAUUUUACUUCAAAAAUACUUUUCAAAAUCUUGUCUAAAAUAAUCAAAGACAUGCAACAAAUGCAGGACAAUUAUAUAGGCAAAGCUUUCUAGGCUUACAAAAUAAUAUACAAGCUAACAAUGGAAUUUAUGCCAUUUGACUUGACCUUUGAUUUUGAAGCUAUUAUUUCAAUUGAAUUAGAAAUUUCCUCUUUAUAGAUUAUUAUGCAACAUGGACAAAAAAAACAUAUAGUCAAUGAAUUAACAUUUGAUAGUUAUUGAAAAAUGCAACAAAAAUUGAAGGUCAGCAUUAUAAAAUAACAAAGUUAUUCAAGAAUAAUAUAUAAUCAUUCACAAUAGCAAUAGAAAAAUGAAUAGUUUUAAAUAGGUAAUCUAGUCAUAUUUGUCAAUAAUUGGUUACAAAAACAACAUAGAUAGAAAUUCAAAUCAAAAUAAAAAAGUCUUUUUGUUAUCUACCUCAAAGAAAUAAAUAAAUAAAUAAAUAAAAUAGUAUUAAAUGAAAAAAAUUAAAAAUUAAAAAAAUCUCUCUUCUUUGCCACUAUUAAUUUUUAAAUUCUUGCAAUAGUACCAUUACGAAACUACAGCGCUAUUAUAAAGAGUUGCGGUUUUUUAGAAGUUUUUAUUCAAAUGCUCCAAAUUGGUCUCAAUUUCAAUUUGGUGUUAGGACUUGGAGUAUCAUUGUUGUAUUCAUAAUAUAAUCCAAUGUCAUCAAGACAUUAGAGUAUAUUGCCAUUAUAAUACCAAGGAAUGAUACUAGUGUAUUAUGUGACCUACUCCAAAGGUAAAGAAUGUAUAUUCUUUUUUUUUGGAAUUAUAAAGAUGUUAUAAUAUCCAUCCAACAAUUCAUCAUUAAAGCUUAGAAAAGAGAUUUUAAUAAGAUAAGAGAAACAAGGAAUAAAAGAGCAAGUUGAAGCAAUAGUAAAUAACAAUAGUAAUAAGAAAGAAGUUUUUUCACUACUAUAAUCCAAGGACCAUGUAAGGACAAAGGCAAAUCUAGCUUACUUCCCUUUGAGGAAAACAUAAGUAAAACUAAACACAAUAAUUGGAACUAACUAAGGUGGUGAAAUCUCAAUAGUAAAACUUAACUUAUAAAAAAAUUACAAUUUAAAAAAUGCAAUAUUUUAGGUUGUAAGUUUCUUGGGAGAAUUUAAGAUUAAUGUAUCAAAAUUUUUAUGGUGUUAGAAUCAUAAAGGAAAAGAAUGUCAUGUUAGAAGAAGGAUAGAAUAUAAUAUUAAAAAUUCCUUAUUUUCUAAUCAAAUUCUUCUAUCUUGAGUAAAAAUAGAGAACAAAAUUAGCCAUAAAGUUGGUGUUAGGGACAUAGUCUUUAGAACCUUCUAAAGACAAGUUUCUAGAACCUUCUAGAAGCAAGUCUCUGGAACCUUUUAGAAGCUUCCUAGUUGAUGGAAGUUGCUUGAGAAGCUUCCUAGUUGGUAGAAGAUGUUAGGAACAUAGUCCUUAGAACCUUCUAGAGACAAGUUUCUAGAACCUUCUAGAAGCAAGUCUCUAGAACCUUCUAGAAGCUUCCUAGUUAGUAGAAGUUGCUUGAGAAGCUUCCUAAAUAGGAGUAUAUAUUGGAAUCGAGGUUGAAGAGUUCUUCAGUCUCGACAACACAUCUCUUGGAGCUUUAGCUCACCUCUCUAGUGUUGUUCUUGUAUUCAUCUGAUUAAUCUAGUUCUUGCCAGUUCUUCUUGAACUUCUUAUUAGAUCUCGAGCCUGUAUUUCUGUGUCCGUGAUAGUUUGUCGAGAUUGCACUCACCUCAGAUAUCAGAGCUAGUUUCUUCCUCGUUAGAGUGUGGAUUACCCCUCUGCUUGGAGGUGUACUAGCAUUUUAGAGGUUGAGGAUUACCCUCAUCUAAACUGAUACUUCUUUUGUUACAAUAUUGGAGUCUUAUUCUUUUUGGAGAGAGUGGAUUACCUCUUUUCUUGAAGCUCUUAAGGCGUUUUAGAAGUUGCGGAGUACCCUCCUCUAAACCAAUAUUGUCUUCUUGUAGAGUCAUUUCUAUCCUUCUCUUAGAAUGGCCGGAGGUCAAGACAUUAGUAUGACGGAAAGUUCGGAGUCCAAGUUCGAUGCUAUCAUGAAUGCCCUUGCUAUGUAAUCGCAAAGAACUGGAGAGAUUGAAGGAGUCGUGGCAAGGCUUCAUAAUGAUGGAGCAUCUGGGAUGGUACAAUCUAGGUUGCACCAGCCUCAAACUUCUACACUUGGAGAAGCAACUUUACCUCAGGUUCGACAAGCACCACUGGUUCUACAACAUAAGGAGCCCCAAGUUAGUCUUCUAGACAAGUUCGAUGGUACGUAUUCCAAGUUUCGAGGAUUCGUCAACCAAAUCAGAUUGAUAACAGUUUUACAACCCAAACGCUAUCCAACGGAGGAGUCACAUGUUGGGCUUGUUGGAACCUUACUUACAGGACAAGCUCUAUCAUGGUUUGCUCCUUUGUUUGAGAAAUGAUCGUCUAUACUAAACAACUUUGAAACCUUUUUGGAGGCGUUUGCGGAAGCAUUUGGUGAACACUACAAGGUUUGAUGGACUACAACAAAGAUCCGGUCACUACGACAAGGGAUGCGCUCUACAUCAAUCUAUACAUCAGAUUUGAGGCAAUUAGCAUGCGACAUCAAUUGGGAUGAAGAAGCAUUGAUGAGUCAAUUCUAUUGGGAUUUAAGGGACGAUGUGAAGGAUUUGCUGUUAACUCUUCUUGAUCCGUAAACGUUCAAUGAAGCUAUUAGCCAAGCUGUGAAGUAUGAUAAUCGCCUAUUCCAACGUCGCCAAGACCAACGUUCAAGACAACAUACGGUUUGCCACGCCCCAACUAUGUCGGCAAGCAAUGUGAAUUCACAUUCAGAGAUAGAAGACAUGCAAAUUGAUGCGAUAUGUGUCAAAUCCCUUACUCUAGAAGAAAAAAAGCGACGUAUGAGGGAAGGUCUAUGCUUGUAUUGUAGUGAAGAAGGUCCUAAAGUUGGAAACUAUCCCAAGAAGCAAAAUCGACGCAUUGGUAGGACCAGGGGCACGUUUAUUCAAGAAAACGAAGAUGCCUAAUCACAAUAGGAACCGUGCGACUGGACAGUGAAAUAUCACAACAACAACGAGGUUCCUUUCUUUCCGCUCAACCUACCCUUUGCUUUAUAAUCCCUUUGUUUAUUGGCCCUCAGAAACUGAGAACCUUAGCAUUAUUAGAUUCAGGAGCAUCUACUUGUUUCUUAGACAAAGAAUUUGCGAAGCAUCAUAAGAUCCCUUUAGUACAAAAAUUCAAACCUGUUCACGUUGAGGUCAUAGAUGGGCGACCUUUAUUGUCUGGUAGUGUCACCCAUGAAUCAGAACCUAUAGAAGUGACAUUUAAGAGCCAUAGUAGUCAUAUUAUUUUCAAUAUUAUUAGAACCUCAUCAAAUCCUGUUAUUCUUGGUCUUUCCUGGUUAGAAAAGCAUAAUCCAUCCAUAGAUUGGAGGUUGCGGAAGAUGACCUUUUCCACAAAACCACCUAAGAGCAAGCCUACUAAAAAACCCCAAAUAGAUAAAUCCUUAUUCAUUGGAGUAAGGGCGUUUAUAAGAUCGUCUAAAGAAGGCACACCAUUUGUCAUUUAUGCGACUCCAACUACCAAGGAGAAGAUCUCGACAUCAAGUAUACCAAAGUAAUAUAAGGAUUUUAAAGAUGUGUUUCAAAAGAAGAAUGCCGACAUACUAUCGAAACACCAACCAUAUGAUUGCACCAUAGACUUGUAGGAAGGAGCACAACCGCCUUUUGGCCCAAUCUAUAAUCUAUCGCAGAUGGAGUUGAUGGAGUUGCGGAAGUACAUCGACGAGAAUCUAGCCAAGAACUUCAUCCAUCAUUCAAAAUCGUCAGUUGGAGCACCCAUCUUAUUUGUGAAGAAGAAAGAUGGCUCGUUGUGGAUGUGCAUGGACUAUCGAGGCCUCAACAAGGUAACAAAGAAAAAUCAUUACCCGUUACCCUUGAUUUCUGGUUUCUUAGAACAACUUGGACGUGCAAGGAUCUUUAUAAAAAUUGAUCUAAGGGGAGCUUACAACCUCAUACGAAUCAAGGAAGGAGAUGAGUGGAAGACAGCAUUACAUACAAGGUAUGGCCAUUUUGAGUAUAAUGUCAUGCCCUUUGGUCUUACCAAUGCUCCAGCGGUCUUCCAACGUAUGAUGAAUGACAUUUUUCGGGAGCACCUUGACGAUUUUGUUGUCAUCUACUUGGAUGACAUUUUGAUAUUCUCCAAAAACAAAAAAGAGCAUGAAAAGCACAUUCAUUUGGUCUUGGAGAAACUACGCGAGCGAGGACUAUAUGCCAAGUUAGAAAAGUGUUUAUUUCACUAAAUGGAGAUGGAGUUUUUUGGGUUCGUUGCGACUACGGAAGGCUUGAAGAUGGACCCCAAGAAGGUGGAAGCAAUCGUGUCUUGGGAGGUUCCAAAGACGAUUAGAGACAUACAAUGCUUUCUUGGUUUUGCUAACUUCUAUCGGAUCUUCAUCAAGAAUUACUCUUAAGUUGCUGCUCCUCACAUUCGGUUGACAUGCAAGGAUAAGCUGGAAUGGGGACCUCUAGCUAAGAAGGCAUUUCAAGACCUGAAGACGACAUUUACUAUGGCUCCAAUCUUGGUACAUCCAGACUUUACAAAGGCCUUUUUUUUAGAAACUGAUGCUUCGGAUUUUGCUUUGGGAGCUAUACUUUCACAAAUGGGAGAAGACAAGAAGCUCCAUCUGGUUGCAUUCUAUUCUCGAAAGUUCUUUGCUGCUGAAAUCAAUUAUGAGAUCCACGAUAAGGAACUUCUUGCUAUAGUAGAUUCUUUCCAAGAAUGGCGUCACUUUCUUGAAGGAGCUACAUACCCAAUGACCAUAUACACGGAUCACAAGAAUUUGGAGUAUUUCAUGUCGGCUUGAGUUCUAAAUCGACGUCAAGCUUGGUGGAGUAUGUCGCUAUCUAGGUUUGAUUUUGUUAUCACUUAUCAACUUUGAAAGUAGCAAGGACUAUCCGAUGCCUUAUUGAGGAGAUUGUAUCUUGUACCAAAGGCUGGAGAAGCAACGUUUGAUCAACAAUGUACGACCUUGUUGAAGCGAGAGCAAUUUUGGCUUUGCGCUACUAUUGUGCCAAUUGAUGCUGAUUUCCUGAACUAGGUACAUGCCGUAACCAUUGAAGAUUUAGUAACCAUUGAUAUCAAGCAACGUGCCAAUAACGACAAGUUCAAGGUGGAGGGAGAUCUUUUAUACUUUGAGAAGCGGUUGUAUAUUCCAAAAAGACCAGCACGACUCUGAGUUCUUCAAUCUCGCCACGAUUUUCCAGCUGCGAGGCAUUUGGAUUCAACAAGACCUUCGAGCUUAUUUCUCGAGAUUUCUGGUGGUCCCAAAUGUGGAAGGAUGUGAAAGAUUUUGUCCUCUCUUGCGACAUCUGUUCAAGAUCUAAGAAUCCUCGACAUCGCCCUUAUGAACUUCUAUAGCUAUUGCCGAUUCCUUAUCGACCAUGGUCUUCAGUUUCCAUGGACUUCAUUACGAACCUGCUAUCAUCAAACUCAUUUGACAACAUCUUUGUGGUGGUACAUCGGCUUACAAAGAUAGCAUACUUUGUCCCUUAUAAAAAGACAUCGUCCAUUGAAGUCACAGCAAGGCUCUUUUUCGAUAAUGUGUAUCGAGAUCAUGGACUACCAGAUGAUAUCGUAUUAGAUCGAGGAAGCUAGUUUGUAUCAAAGUUUUGGAGAUCUCUCUUUGACAUACUGAAGGUGGAUAUCAAGCUUUCUUUGGCUUUUCAUCCUCAAACUGACGGCCAAACGGAAUGGGUGAACCAAGUCUUGGAACAAUACUUAUGAUGCAGCAUCAACUAACAGCAAGACGAUUGGACUGCAUAUCUGUCGCUAGCCGAGUUUGCAUAUAACAACACCCUCCAUGCGUCGGCUCAAUACACACCAUUCUUUUCCAACUAUGAGUAUCAUCCAAAGCUUGAUUUAUUGAAUAUGUCAAUAAAUAACAAUCCAGCAACUGAAGGAUUUGCGAAGCAAUUAUCAGAGCUUCAAACUACGUUGAAGCUUCAAUUACAAUCCGCUCAAGAAUCCUACAAGGCAUCUGCAGAUAGAUUUCGAAAUCAAGUCCCUACUUUCAAAAUUCGAGAUAAAACAUGGCUUCUUUGAUGGAAUAUCAAGACCAAGCGACCAUGUGAUAAGUUGGACUAUUAAAGAUUGGGACCAUUUAUCAUCCAGAAGUAAAUCAAUCCAGUGGCAUACCGUCUAGAAUUAUCGGCUUCUAUGAAGGUACAUCCAGUCUUUCAUGUUUCUCUGUUGGAGCCUUAUCGAGAGUCGUCUUUUUCUGGAAGAGUGCAAUGUCCGCCACCUAGUAUUGAGAUCAAGAACCACGAGGAAUACGAGGUCAAAAAGGUGUUGGAUUCACGACGAAGGUGGGCAAGUUGGAAUAUCUUAUUCAUUGGUGCAGCUAUGACAUUAAUGAGCGAACGUAGGAGCCAGCUAAAAAUCUUGCCAAUGCGCCGCAAAAGGUACAGGAGUUUCAUCAACAACAUCUUCAUAAACCUAAGCCGGUUCGACGAUAGCUUCUUUCUCAAGCUUGCUCACCCAAGAAUAUAAGAAAGAGGGAGAGCACCACCAAAAUUCGUAGUUGAUGUAGUUAUUUUCUCCAAGAUAAAGUAGAAUUUUUUCAGUAGCCAUAAUUUGGUCUUCAGAUAUGGAUAGCCAAGAGAUAGAUACUAUACUAGUCAGAUUAUCUCAACCGACUAGCUCACGAAGGCAACGCCGAGAUGAAGAACCGCCUACAGCAAUACGACGAUGGAGGAUAACAAGUAACUAAUUACUGGUGAUUGUAUUUGAGAUUGCGUCUGCUUACGAUGGUCAUCCAGAAGGCGUGUUUGCAGGACAAUUUCACAAUGAGGACACGGUGUCGUAUUACGUGCUUUCCUGCUCGAGAACGCGCCGGGCGUUUGGCUGUAGAAGGUAGUAUGGAGAUUUGCCGAUAGUCAAGCAGUCUAUCAGUUUUUGACUGCUGAAAUAUAAACGACUGCAACAAUGUACCGUAAAUCUAUACGGAUGCUCUUCGACUGCUUGUCGAAGUCUUUUUUUUUUUUUUUUUUUUUUUCCAGCCGAUAGGUCUCUAAACGUUAUAGAGAACCCUGAACAACCCAAACUGUUAAUCUUCAAUACCCCUUUGUACUUACGAUCUUGUAUCCACUGACUGUCCUGUUAGAUUAACCCAAUAAAUUUCAUUCACUCCGCAUACUCAAUCCUAUAGACACCCCUUUAAUCCUUCAAUCACAGACGUAACUCGAUUUUAUAAAACAGUCAAGAGUAUUCAAACCCACUUGAUUUAAAAAUUCCGAUUCACCAUUACAACACUGACUUCAGCAGCGAUUGCCUCAGUCUUCCCAAAACUCUACGAAGAAGAAAAAUCCAAAUUCUAUAUCUUUCCUUCCCCGACCCGAAGCAUGAAGCUCCUCUCUCUAAUUCCCUUGAUCUUCCAAAAACCUCCAAUGAAAAACCGAACUGGUAACCUUGCAAAAGCUUGAAAACUCCCUCCCCCCCCAAUUCCCCCCGAAAAAAAAACCUCCCCCCUCAAAACUAUAUCCCCCCCUAACCUUAUCCUCUGAAUUUCUUCAAUCUUCCGUCUUAGAUCCGGAAUUGGCUCCCACCUCAAGCUUGGAUCCGAAAUUGGCUCUCGCCGUCAAGCUUUCUCCUCCGUUUUUACCUUUAAGAAAUCCAUUUACCGAAAACAACGUUCCCUGAAAUGGCACAGAGAACAGGACAGCCUGAAACAGAAUCGAACCCCGUAAUCGGGACCACAUUGAGUCGCUUGACCAAUUCAGGUCUUAUAUUGGGAAAGAUGCCCGUAGUAACCUGGAUGUUCCUGUAAUUGGGUCAAAUUGGUCCUCGCGUCAGAUUGGCUAAGACCCGUAGUAAGACCUGGAUUUUCCGUAAUUAGACUGCAUUGGGUUGCCCCACCAAUACAGGUCUCAUAUUGGAUAAGAAGAUCCGGAUUGGAUUAUCGAAAUUGGAUCCAAUUGGCUCCUCGAACCCGUCGUGUGAAUUGGUCCUUCUCUUCCUGCUGACUCCCGUUAUUGGAAUCGAACGGAACAUUUCAGUAUGCCCCGGCUGACUGUAACGGAGUGACUGAACCUGACCACUCAGUAUUUGUACUGGAGUUGGUUGAUGCUCCCAAUAUUCGAGGUAACUGAAUAUUAAUAAAAUUCCCUUUUUUUUUUAUUUUCACUAUAUACUCGUGUUACAACACGACAUCCACCCCCUCUGAACCUGUGCAUCCUCCGGUAUGCACCAAUUUACCCAAUUGCUGUUUGAUUCAGAAUAUAUCCCCUACGUCUUUGUCCAGUUCGUCUUCGUCACCUUCAUUAUCCAUAUCACUUUCAUCUUCUUGCUGCGGAAUCUCUGUACCUUCAUUAAGGUCUUCCAUAUUCAUCUCUGUGUGUCUUCGUUUAAAUAUUUUUACUCGCUUCCCUGCAAUUGGUAUUUUCAAUUUUGUACCAUCUAACUCCCGUAAUGAGUAAGUCGCAUUAUCAUGAACAGUUGUUAUAACAUAUGGUCCAAACCAACGUUUUGAAAAUUUCCACAAAGUACUAUGUUGAUUAUCCAGACUAUUGUCAUAAACAAGUACCCAGUCACCUUCCUCGAUUGCUUUUGGUCUCAAUCGAUGUUGCUUAUCGAAUCGCGCCUUGUUUUGUAACCUUGCUCUUUUUAACCUUUCCAAUGCUAUCUGGACAUCUUCCGUUCUUUGCUCCAAUUGUCGAAUCCUAAUAGCUAGAAGUUCUUCUCUUGUCAAUCCAUCUUCCCAUAGUAGCAUACUCUAAGUAAGUACUUUUUUUUCAAUCGGCAUAAUUGGUUUUUGACCUAUCAUAAGUUCUACUGGCAUAUAUCCUGUCACCGAACUAUGUGUUGUUCGAUCAGCCCAUAAUGCAAAUGACAAAAGCCGUGGCCACUCUUUAACCUUCCCAUUACAAGCUUUAACUAAUGCUUUCACAAUCGGCCGGUGACCGCGUUCGCUUUUCGCAUUCCCUUUCGGAUUAUAAGCAGUAGUCAGUGAUAGUUUAACUCCACAUUUUUCAAAGAACUUACGAGCUUCUUGUGCAUUUAAUUCUCCACGAUCUGCAGUGAUUUUUCCUACGCACCCGUAACGGCAAAUGACAUCUUCAAGCAAAAACCUACAAAUCCCCUCUGUAGAUUUUGUCCUCAAUGCUCUUCCUUCUACUAGAUUUGAUAAAUCUUCACGAGCUAAAAUCAAAUAUCUCAUCUGCCAUAACCCAACCGGCAUAAUAACCAAAUCAACAACCCAUUUAAAAUGAAUAGCCAGAGGAUACGUAGGAUGAAGACCAUCUCGAUGUCAGAUAUUAGAAUACGAUUGACAGAUUUCACAUGACUCUACAAAUGAGAGCACAUCUCGAUACAUAUUUUUCCACCAAUAUCGUUCCUUGAGUUUAGCAAAAGUAGCCCAGAUUCUCCUAUGCCUUGCCCAUAAACUAUCAUGAAACUCCUUUAAUAAUUUUAGUUUUUCUUCCCUUUUGCCUAUCACUCGUUGUGGCAUCCCAAUUCCUUUCUUCGGUCUCUUCCAUAAGAAUCCAUCUCGAAGUAAAAAUCCAUAUGCUUUUUUUCUUAUUUGUUUGAAUUUUUCUGUAGACCAAUUCCCCUGCUUAGACAAGGUAUUCAAAUAAUGACCAAUAUCCAAUAAUUCUCCUUCAUAAGAUUCUUCAAGAAAUAGCUUGUCUUCUCUGUUGAGAUUCGAUAUUGAAUAGAAUUUCAAUCCGACAUCAUCAAUGUCUUCAAUCAUUUCGUCCUCCCUCUCGUAUCUUGCUCGAGAUAGCAUGUCUGCUACUAAAUUGUCUUUUCCAGUGAUAUGCUUAAAUUCUGGAUUUAGUGACUUAAUAUAAGCAAUCCAUCUCAACAUUGCAAUAUCUGGCGUUGAACAGUUAAUAAUCAUUCCAAGCAAUGGCAAGCAAUCUGUUUCAAUUACUACUACUGCACCAAUCAAAUAGUCCUUUUCAGCUUUCAUAGCCGAAACGACUCCCCAAAGUUCUCUUUUGACUUGCAAAUAUGCACGCUGACAAAUACUUAAAACUUUAGCCCCAAAUCGAACUGCAAAUCUACUCCCAUUCGAAUCAUCUUGACCCACCGCCCAUCCAACGGCAAUUGGACUAGCGUCUACAGUAAGAAUCACUGGUCUAUUGCACUUAUAAUCAACCUUCCUCAAUAUUGGAGGUGACAUCAAUAAUUUCUUCAAUCUUUGCAUUGCCUGAAUAUGCCUUUCUUUCCAUUCAAAUCGGUAAUCCUUGCGUAACAGUUCAUAUAAUGGAUCUGCUAUGUGAGCAAAAUGAGGGAUCCAGAUUCAAUAAAAUACACAUGCACCCAAAAACCUGCGAAUCUCUGUUAAAGAACCACAAUCUUCUUUCAUCCUUCCAAUUGCAUCAACUUUAGUCGGAUCUGGUUUUCUUCCGUAAGAUCCGCAUAAAUGUCCAACAAUUACAACCUCUCGCACUCCAAAUACGGACUUCAUACCCGAUAAUGUAAGAUGAACUUCUCCAAGCCGAGUUAAAAUCUUUUCACAAUCUUGUAUAUGAUCAACAACAUAUCUGCGACACCCCCUCGUAUCUAAAGUUUCAUCCUUGUCUCCUUCUCUGCACCCUUUUAUAGGAACAUCAUCCAGAAAAGGCAUAGUCUUUUCCGGAAUAAAAUCUCUCAAUACCUUAUUCAUCCCAUUCAUCAUAUGCGCAACCGAGUUGGUCGCGCCUUGAGGAAGAGUGCACAUUCUAACCAAUCCAAGCGGUGUCCUCAUCGUUGUCAUAUCUCUACUUCCUUCGGCAAGUUGAAAUUGAUCAUAACCUGAAUACAAAUCACCCAUGGAAUAGAUCGCCCUUCCAGCAAACGCCUCAGCAAAUUCAUCCACAAUAGGUCCAAUUCCUGCAUUCUUGACAGUUACAGCAUUCACCGGCUGCAUAUCUUGAAUAAACCGUAAUGACCCAUUCUUCUUAGGUACCGUAAACCAUCGACUAGAAUACGGCGCAAAUGAAGGUUCUAAUAUUUUCAUCUUUAUCUUUUCUUUCAAUAGUUCCACCAAUUUAGGUAAAUGUGCCCUCGGUACUGGAAUCGGUCUUAGAUUCCAAGGUACAUGCGGUACAGUGAAGAUAACCACAGGUGUUAUAAUAUUUGGAUCCACACACCCAAUUUCAUGAGAUUCGAAGGCAAACGAUCUACCUUGUUUAGCCAACAUCUUUUUGAAGCAAGUAAUUUCCUCCGGCAAUAAAGAACCAUCAGAACCAAUCUUCAAUUCUUCAAAAGUCUCUUCAGUAAACUGAUGUCCAAUACUCAUUGGAUCUCUUAAACUUGCUUCUUUUGAUGCUUCUCCCAUUUGUUCUUUAGAAUCCUCUGGUAAUGGUCCGGCAACAGGCUUUACCUUCUUAUCUGCCGUUUUAUAUCUCGUCUCUACUGUGACUUCUGGUGCUUGAAAAGAUUCAAGCAUGGUAUAAACCUCUCUCGAAUGAAUCUCAACAAUCUUAUCAUUAUCCCCUAACCUAAUAGAUGUAAUCAAUUCCAAUGAAUCUUCCAGCCCAUUUUCUUCAUAAACACCCAAAAUCCUCUCAUCAUCUUGCAAUGUACCUAUCUUGCGUAACUGUCCUUCAAUAUCAUAUAAUCUUUUUCUUUCUUUUCUUUUAAAAUCAUCAACUUUCUUAUACAUAAUAUUUCCUUUCUCCAAUAUACAAAUAAAACUCGCAUCAAAGGCACCUUCAUCUCGCGAGAGUACCUCCUCUUUUGUACCUCCAUAAUCUCGCUUUACAGUGGUACCUCCCCAAAAUCCUUAAAUCCUUCAACAAUCUUUGGCAAUGGUUUCUCCCUCAACCUAUCUCGAUUCCGUUCAUGGUUAGGAGAUACUGUUAAAAAUUGUACAGCUUUCCUCCCAUCUUCGCUCCGUACCCUUGCAUAAGCAGAACCAUCGUCAAGUACCUUUGUUUCCAUCCGUGUUGCCAUGAUAUAAGGUUGUCCUAAAAUCAACGAAUAAGACGUUGUAUCUUGAACGAAGAAAUGUUGCUCCGUCGCAACAUCCCCAAUCCGAAUUUUGACAUCUGGACAAGCUCCAUAUAAUUCGCCUCGUGUGUUAUUAGCUACUCGUAUUGCCCAUCCAUGUUCCAUAUCAAUUGGCCAUUUUUGCUUCUUAUAAAGAUCUUUAGACAUGAGAUUUAUUUCAGAACCAUGGUCCACCAAGGCAACUAUUGGUUCUUCUAUAUCUCCUACCUUCACCAAUACCUCAGUAGUUGCCCUUGUCCAAUGCUUUCGAGUAUAAUGGCUCAAAGUUUUCAUUUCCUUGUCACUAGAAUCUUCGAAACGUACUCGCUGAUUAUACCCAUUCUUUUCAUUUGUUGGUUGCUUGUAACCAAUAUCAACCUCUUCUUCAUCUCUACACAUUCUUGCAUCAAUAGCAUGACUCAUUCCAGUUUCGCUCAUUAAUUGCCUCUUUUGCUUAAUGCUGUCAAUGAUAACAUCAUGAAACUCCUUCUUUGCAAUUCCCAAGACUUCUUUCAAUGUGAAUUCCACCUUAGUGUUUAAUAUACGUUCUUCCAACACCCCUUUCAAAUUUGUUGCCGCUUCAAUAUCAAAAAGUAGCUUAUAAGCAAUUGAUUUGCCCUUAUCUUUUGUCUCCGUUGUUUUUUCUCCCAAUGAUGCUGAGGUAUCCUUUACAAGCAAUUCUUGUGAAGCUGCCUCCCGAGCCUUGUCUCCUCGAGUUUGCCUCUUAAAAGAAUUUCCUUCUCUAGUAUCAUCAAAAUUUCCUCGUCUUUUUUCUUCCAUCAAAGCUUCAUGUUGGCUCUUAGCAAUAUAUGCAUGAACUGAAAGAGACUCAACAGGAUCCUCCCAACCUGUUCUUCCUCGUAUUGUAGCUGCAGUUUUCAAUAACGCUUCUCGAGGUAAUUUCCCUUCUUGCAUUGUAGAAACGGCAGAAGCCCAAAACUCAAUAGUUUCCGUACUUCCACCAAUUUCAUCAUCUACUCUAGCACCAUAACUUGCACUUUCUCGUACUACUGUUUCAUGUUCUUUUAAGUAAUCUUAAACCAAUGCUCUCAUUCCUCCCUUGCCAAAAUUGGUUUGAAGAAGAUCCUCCCUAUCUUUCAAUGCUAUCUUCCCAUCUUUUCAGCAAAUAAUUCCCUGCCGUAUCAUAUUAUUAAAUUCAUUGCAAUCUUUUCUAGUGUGUGAAGCAUCAUCACACCAAAUGCAUCUUUGUACAUAUCCUUGUUUUGAAACAUUCUUCGAAUUGAUUAUAGAAGUAUUUUCUUCAAGUCUUACCAAUUUGAUUUGAAGAUCUCGCAUUCCUCGUAUAAUUUCUUCCAUAUCCAUAUCUGCUUUCUUUGACAAGGAUGUCGAAGGUUGAACUGUAGGCAUUGUCGGUGGUGUUGUACGUACUGGAGCUUUGGGUGUUUGUACUGUUUUCGGAAUAUUGCUCCUAUCCUUCCUCCUUUCUUUUUUUGUAAGCAAUCCUACCGCAUCUUCAACGUUCUUCCACUUCGUUGUCAAUCCUUCAUCUUCUUCUUUGUCUUCAAGAAGGGGUUCUAAUUUCUCUUGCAAUUCUCCAUCAGCAGCUUGAAGAAAUAGAUCAACUUUGUUCGGCUCCAAUGUCAAUUUUUCUACCUUGGAUAAUUGAGAGUACUGCCUCUCAAAUUCCCUUAGUAGCUUUGUUGCUUGCAAAUUCUUAUUGGGCCGUUCAAUCCAUUCCAAAAAUAGCUUCUUAGUAAUGCGAUCAGCAUCUUCUAAGAAAUAUUCGUCUUUCAAUGCAUGUGAAAAAUCCUCCCAUGAAUUCCCACAACGAUCCGUAAUCGAUGUAAUGUGGUCCCUUAUCUCCGGUAUCGUAGCAAGUCCAAAUAGUGCAACCAUUUUCUUCUCAGAAACCCGAUUUAAUUCCAUUUCACGAACAUAACAUCUUAAAUACCUUGAAAUAUUCCUCCCAUCAAAUUGAUCAAUUUUAUUGACCACUGCUUGCAAUGCUUUGGUUGCCAAAGCUUCCUUUCGAUCAUUGCUUUGUUGUUGCUGCAUUGACAAUGAGAAGGCUUGAAACAAACUAGCAAUAGAUGGAUCCAUGUGCAUACCUUGUCCUUUAGAAGACUCCCCACCAGAAACUUCUCCCAAAAAUCCUUCAAAAUUUUUAUUUUCGUUUUCCAUAAAAAUAAAGAUAAAAUCAACCGAAAUCCAAUACCUUCUACCUCAAGCUUUCACGUCGGGUUCACCACUUAUGUCGUAUUACGUGCUUUCCUGCUCGAGAACGCGCCGGGCGUCUGGUUGUAGAAGGUAGUAUGGAGAUUUGCCGAUAGUCAAGCAGUCUAUCAGUUUUUGACUGCUGGAAUAUAAACGACUGCAACAAUGUACCGUAAAUCUAUACGGAUGCUCUUCGACUACUUAUCGAAGUCUUUUUUUUUUUUUCUUUUCCAAUCGAUAGGUCUCUAAACAUUACAGAGAACCCCGAACAACCCAAACUGUUAAUCUUCAAUACCCCUUUGUACUUACGAUCUUGUAUCCACUGACUGUCCUGUUAGAUUAACCCAAUAAAUUUCAUUCACUCCGCAUACUCAAUCCUAUAGACACCCCUUUAAUCCUUCAAUCACAGACGUAACUCGAUUUUACAAAACAGUCAAGAGUAUUCAAACCCACUUCAUUUAAAAAUCCCGAUUCACCAUUACAACACUGACUUCAGCAGCGAUUGCCUCAGUCUUCCCAAAACUCUACGAAGAAGAAAAAUCCAAAUUCUAUGUCUUUCCUUCCCCGACCCGAAGCAUGAAGCUCCUCUCUCUAAUUCCCUUGAUCUUCCAAAAACCUCCAAUGAAAAACCGAACUGGUAACCUUGCAAAAGCUUGAAAACUCGCUCCCCCCCCAAUUCCCCCCGAAAAAAAAACCUCCCCCCUCAAAACUAUAUCCCCCUCUAACCUUAUCCUCUGAAUUUCUUCAAUCUUCCGUCUUAGAUCCGGAAUUGGCUCCCACCUCAAGCUUGGAUCCGAAAUUGGCUCUCGCCGUCAAGCUUUCUCCUCCGUUUUUACCUUUAAGAAAUCCAUUUACCAAAAACAACGUUCCCUGAAACGGCACAGAGAACAGGACAGCCUGAAACAGAAUCGAACCCCAUAAUCGGGACCACAUUGAGUCGCCUGAUCAAUUCAGGUCCUAUAUUGGGAAAGAUGCCCGUAGUAACCUGGAUGUUCCUGUAAUUGGGUCAAAUUGGUCCUCGCGUCAGAUUGGCUAAGACCCGUAGUAAGACCUGGAUUUUCCGUAAUUAGAUUGCAUUGGGUUGACCGGCCAAUUCAGGUCUCAUAUUGGAUAAGAAGACCCGGAUUGGAUUAUCGAAAUUGGAUCCAAUUGGCUCCUCGAACCCGUCGUGUGAAUUGGUCCUUCUCUUCCUGCUGACUCCCGUUAUUGGAAUCGAAUGGAGCAUUUCAGUAUGCCCCGGCUGACUGUAACGGAGUGACUGAACCUGACCACUCAGUAUUUGUACUGGAGUUGGUUGAUGCUCCCAAUAUUCGAGGUAACUGAAUAUUAAUAAAAUUCCCCUUUUUUUUUAUUUUCACUGUAUACUCGUGUUACAACACGACAACGGAAGUUCAUGCUUGGUCAGAAGUUGAAGGCAUGGGCCACUACCGUUGGCUUCAAGGGCCAAUGAACCACUUGCCUCGUGAACAACAAUUGGAGUUCAUAGCAGACGUUAUGCAAUAGAUCUUUAUUUUCUUGUAUUGGUACUGAUUAACAACAACAUUGCUUCUCAGAGACCUCGAAGCUAAAAGAGGGGGUGAUGUAAGGGACAUAGUCCUCAGAACCUUCUAGAGACAAGUUUCUAGAACCUUCUAGAAGCAAGUCUCUGGAACCUUCUAGAAGCUUCUUAGUUAGUAGAAGUUGCUUGAGAAGCUUCCUAAAUAGGAGUAUAUAUUAGAAUCGAGGUUGAAGAGUUCUUCAAUCUCGACAACACAUCUCUUGGAGCUCUAGCUCACCUCUCUAGUGUUGUUCUUGUAUUCAUUUGAUUAAUCUAAUUCUUGCUAGUUCUUCUUGAACUUCUUAUUAGAUCUCGAGCCUAUAUUUCUGUGUCCAUGACAGUUGGAUCUUACUUCUCUUUGAUUCAAUGUGAGGUGAAUUUUUUCCUCAAUCCAAAUUAUAAGAUGGUUUCAAUUAAAAGUUUCUUGUAAUUGGUGGUGUAAAGUAGAUGAUGCAAUAAACAAAAAUAAAAGAAAGAACAAUACAAAAUAAGUGAAAUAAAUGCAAUCAAACAAUUGUAUAUGAUAAAAAUAGUCUAUAAUUUUUUUAUUGAAUUUUUAUCCAAUAAAAAGUAAAAUUAAAUAUUAAAAAAUAUACUUUUAUAAAAUUAAUUUUAUCAUCUUUUUAAUGAUGUAAAAAACAUAUAAAUCCGAAUUACUAUGAAUAAGUUAUGAAAGUUUAAAGAUUGGAAGUGAAUAAUUAAAAAGUUAAGUGAAAAUAUUUUACCUCAAGGAUAACUUGCUUAUAGAUCAAGGAUUCAAGCCUCACCAAGGCUCUCUUAUAGUGUAUAUGGAUUGCUUAAAGAGGCCUCGAGGCCUUAGACCUAUCUUCCUACCUACAUCCAAGGUACUACAAUCCAUAUAGAACUUGUGAACCUCCCAUCUUACAAGAUUGAAUUAGUUGUUGGUCCUCCUAUUUUCUACUAGAAAAACUCGUAUUUUUUCAUUUUUGACUUUACCAUGAUGUUUUAAAACACUCAAAUAGCUAUAGAGUUUUUAUGGCCUUCAAAUCUUGUUCCAUUUUUUCAUAAUGGCUCCCAAAGUAAUAAAACUCAAUUUUAUUAAAGUCUUGAAAUCUUCUUUAAAAAUUAUAAAAAAAAAUUAUAUAACUAUAAAUAUCAAAAUAUACUUAAUAAAGAUUUGUUAUGUUAUUUUCUACCUUUAUAACUUAUUCAAUUUGUCUUAUCAAAUCAAAAAAUAUAUACUUAUAAUAUUUAUAUAAAUUUAUUAUUUUUAUUAGAUAUUUAAAAUUAGAAUUAUACAAGGUCUUUUUUAAAAGAAAAAAUAGAUGAUAAAUUUAAAUAAAGGUUUCUUAAAUGGAGGCACUUUAAUUGUGUUAUCAUUAGGUUCAAGUUCUCAGUAGGAUUCUUAUGUUAAAUAGGAUCAUACAUUUUUGUAAAUAAAUCUAGAUAUUUUAAUUAUUUGUCGUAAAUAUUUUUUCCACAAUUUAAAUUAAUAAAAGUAUUUAGCUCAUUCUUUAAAAAAAAUUAAUUAAUUUAUAUUAUAUUUGCUAAGUCCAUUGCAUCAUAUUUUAUUAUUUGGUCACAAUCAAAGGAGUUUUCAAUGGAUUUUUUUAUUAAAAGUGUCUUUUGUGAACAUUUGUUUUUAAAUUUUUAGUCUCUCAUAUAAAACAUCUACUUAAUAGAGUACCUUCCAUCAAAAGAACUUUUGUAUAAAGGCUUAAUAAGCUAUCUCAAAGGAACAUCUUUGUUCAAGGAUCUUUCAUAAAUUCUUUAAAAAAUGCUAUUAGUCAAUCAAAGGAUCAGAAAAAGAAAAAAAUUCUUAUCUUUAAAAAUCUUGAGAGUCUAUUUUUGAAAUUUUUCUAAAAUUAUAUAACUAUUAUUCCAAAAUUAAGUCAUUUUCCAAAAUGUGGCAUAAUUUUUUACUAGAAUUUCUUUAAAAAAUUAUUUUUUGUUUGCAAUAAGUUUUAUAUAACCUAUUUCUUGAUGUAAUAUCUAUGUUCUAUUGAAAUAUUAUUCUAAUAAUAAUAAACUUACAAAAUAUUAUUAUCCAUAUGAUAUGAUUUAAACCUCUAUUAUACUAUUAUAUUUACACACAGUUUACACAAAAUUGGCCAAAUUACUAAUUAUUUAAUUUUAAAAUAAAAUUAUUUGUGUGUGUGUAUAAAUAAAUAUAGAUAUAUAUAUAUAUAUAUAUAUGAGAAACGUAGACGAUGUAAGGAAGGUACUACCAUCGCCACUGACAAGGAGCCCUUUGGCGUCAGGGACCCGUGCCACCUUUGCUGCUCCAUCAAACCAAUGUGCUGUCAAGAGAAUUGACAUUCAAGCUUCUGAAGGACAAAAAACACGGUCUGUAGCAUUCAUGUACAGCCGCCAUCGUUGUAAAUCAGCAGCAUUAGGCUUACCUUAUUUUCCUUCUAUUUCCCCAAAUUUUGUCUUCUGUAUCUCAUCUUUCCAUGGUUUAAUCUACCUCCUUUGUUUGAAAUCCCUGGAUAUGGAAACGGGAACAAAGCUGGGAAGUGCACGGCCAGGAUGAGCACAAUGAUCUUCCUCUGACUUGAUCUUCUGGGUGAUCAGUCCGACCUUCAGGGCAUGGUACUGUUUCGUUCGAAUACUGCAUGUGUGUAACAUACUUAUCUCUGCAUGAAGUCUCAGAUUCCCAUACACCGUAAUCAAAAUGGUACAUUCCCAGGAUCCACCAUGUCAUAUAAUCUUAUUUAUAUGUGUAUAAAUGUAUGUAAACAGUGAAUGCUUUUAUAGAUAUUUGUAGAAUUUAUUCGGAAUUAUACUAAAAUGUUCUACAUUUCCCUUUUGGAAUGUACAUAUAUUCAGAUAUUAUAGUUGUCCUGCUUUUAGCAUGGUUUGUGAGCAGAAAGCUUCAGUUGUCGUUUAUAUCUUUGUUUACUGUUGAAGUUUGAAAGAAUUGUAAUAUCUCUUGUAUUGGAAAUUAGUAUUUGUUUCUGUCGCAGUGGCUUGAUUUAAAGCAUAAUUCUUUUACCUACAAAUGCACACAACAUACAUUAUGUUAAAAUCUCAUCAGUGUAUAUUAAAGUACUUUGAACAAUAAAUGAAGAGAGGACUUAGAAUGUUUUUAUACAUUGAAUGAUUCUGCAAUUGAAGAGCAUCAAAUCAUUGUGGUGAUCUCGUAUGUAUCAUUCAUAUUUAUUUUUAUUUUUGUUUUUGUUUCCAUCGUUGGAAUAAUCAAAAUAAUUUUUUCAUGACGGUCAUAUCAUUAGUUGACAAAGGUUUUAAAAAUAAUUUAUUUUCGAGAUUGAACACGAUAUUUAAAUUUUUGUACAGUUAAAUUACAGGAUACAUAUAUGAAUCACUAAUAUAUACACAUGUCUUUCAAAAUUAUAUUCAGUGAUAAAACAUUAUUAUUGACUCAAUAGCAAGGAUUUUAAAUUAAUGACUAUUUAAAACUAAUCUCCAGUGCUUUUAUUAAAAUACACUGUCAUAAGUGAUGGUAAAACAACAACCCAACAUCUCUCAUUUACAAUUCACGUUUUGAUGAAAAUUCAAUGAAACCUAAACAUUCAACAAUAUCUUUCAUUUUUAACCCCUAAACAUCAGGUUCACUGAUUUUUCCAUUGAUUCCCAGAGACAAAAGGUGAAUUUUAUUAUUGAUAUUUAAUUCUAAUUUCAAAGUCCAUUUAAUAUAUAUAUAUAUAUAUAUAUAUAUACACACACACACACACACACACACACACACACACAUAUGGUUUAGAAAUAAUGUUAAAAAAUAAGAAUGUUUAUAGUUGAUUUUUUAAAUAAAAAAUGAUGCCUCGAGCUUGUUGCAUAAAAGUCAUUUGGUCCUUCACUAGAUACAAAGAGUAAGCAUAGAAUGAUAUUUGGUAAUCAUGAUGAAUGUGGUUGGUUUUUAUUGGUUGCAAAUCCAAUAGUGGAGAAAUGAAUCCAAAGAUAAUUUUUUUCUUUUAAUGCUGGUUAGAAUAAUUUAAUAAAAUCUUGGACCUAUUUAACAUUCCCAUAUCUAUAUAUAGAUUCAAAAAACUCUAAAAAGGACACAAUAUUUGUUUUUAGUUAGUUUGCCAAAAUAUGAACCAAAGUUAAUAAACUAGACAUGAUAGAAACACUGUAAGGUGGAACACAACCCCACCUCCUACUGUCCAUAGAUCCUACCUCAUCCGUUAUUCUUGAAUAAUGACUCUAUGAGCAUGCAACCUAUUUCUUUCUUUCAAUAGCGACGAGGUAGAUCCUCACAUGUUUCUAAAGUAGAAGAACAAGACGAUGAAGGGUGUGCCAAUUGACGAGCAGGGUGUGUGUGAACGGGGACGUGGUCGAAGAGGAACGAGGACCAGUGGGAAAGGGGGAUUGAUGGGGGUGCUUUCAAAACUGGUUCCGCCUUCACGUGACACCGUGCGCCGACUCGUCGUCCCACAUGGGCCAGGACCCCGCCAUAGCCCCCCGUCACGCUAUCUUUAUCCCAGGGCCAACACCCCCGCCUAUUUCCACUCCUCGCUCCCGCCCCCACCCUGUCCUGUCGCUGCUGCCCACCGCACUCAUCUCACCGUGUCCCACUCUCGCAUAAUUCCCCUCUGGCGGGAAUUGGAGCUCGUCCCAUCCCCUCCUCUUCCUUCUUUCCUUCCUUUCGUCGAUCCCGCCGCGUCUGGGUCAAUCGCCACGACGAAUACAACACUUGGCGUAGAAAUCUUCUCAUGAACAUAACGAUGGGGUUGUCGCGGCCUGGGCAUCGACUGGAAGGGAUUGAGAGAGAACGCGACGAGGGAUAACGAGGAUAGAAAUUGGAUAGAGUCGUGAAUUGCGAGUGGUUUGGUUGCAGGUGCUAGGACUGACGUGAAGGGGGAGGUGGGAUUGCACUCGUGUUGUGGUUUGCGCGAAGGUCUUUCGUGGCGAGAUUUUUGAGAGUUUGCGGGAAUGCAUACAGGUGCGGUGUUGAGAACAUUGGGGGAGGUGUGAGGUGUUGCAAAUUUGCAUACAUUGUGUUGUUUGCAUAUGAGGCUGGAGGUUUGUGGAAGGUGCUCGCAGCUGGAGAAUGAGUUGCUGUUAGGGAGCGGUAAACGGGAAGAGGAUCUAUGUCAGGAUAGGUGUAGAAAAGUAGACAGUCUUAAUAUAGAAACGUACAACGCACUCUCACCUUGUACAAUGGUCAAGUGUCAGAUAGACGACGCCCUUAGAAAUGCUUUUCACUUUUUCCUUUUUGUUGGUUUUUGGGAGUUAUUGGACUGAAGAGAUUAGCUCAACUUGGAGGCCAGGAGCAGCGCCCUACUGCUCUGGUAAACGCUAAUCUGCUUCAAUCUUCGACUUACGGAGGAAUUUUGAUGUGGUGCAGUAGCUCGGUAUCUCGGCUCUAGAAUUUAUAUGCUCAUGAAUUGAUGUUUAGUUGUACGCAUUUGUUCGGAAGGUCUGAAGGUUCACCUUCGUACAUCAAAGUUGCAACUUUGCGGAAGCUUGUGCGGUUUCUGCGAUCGGUCCCACUCGGUCGUGAGAGAAUUUGAGAAGACUGUAAUUGGUUCGAAGAUUAAUAUUCCUGGAAAUUCCUAGUGCUACUACCGUGGUCCUUGGAGGUCGGAGCACGACUUCAACAUUACCUGGAGUAGCUGCGCAUUUUACUGCAGCGUAAGCGGCGAGCGCAUAGAGAAAAUGCAUCCGUUUGUUAACUUGAAGAAUCAGCCGUCAUGAUUUGUGUACUUGAGGCUUGGAAGACGGUUGAGAUGAUGAUUGCCAGAGUUCAUGCCAGCAGAGAGGCGGUCGAGUGGGUACACUUGACGGUAGUGCUGUUCAGAUACGGUAUUGCUACUAUGAUCUUUGGUGAUAAGUAACUAGUUUCUCGUUUACGAUAAGCAAUUAUGUUCCAGCUGGAGACCUUUCUGUGAACGUUCCUUCUUUCUAUUAUGUUCGUUAGCGUGAGGACAGCCACCGCUACUGGAUGAUGAAUUCAGCCGAACCGGUUGGUAGGGUUAGGGUACGACUUAAGGGAGUAUCACGGUAUUAUUCUCAAAACUGGAAGGAAUGAUUUGGACACAUCCAGGUCGGAAACAUCGCUAUACCAGGAGGAGUAUGGAUUUAUGUCCUACUUCUUACGUAUGUAUCUGCAGUCUGAGUAAAGGUGCUUCCCAAAUAAUAGUCGCCGCGGCUAAGCCGAGCAAGAUACUCCUUUUCACGCUUCUGCUGCUUUUGGUUAUUGAUCUUCCGACUUCGUUUACUUCCCUCCCCCGCCUCAUCCCGCUGAUCCCUUCCUAUCUUUUGAAGACCUUGGGAGUAUGUCGUUUGAUUUUCUUUACAUUAAUUGGCAGGCAAAUGAGCAUUGUCUAUUGACUUGUUCUUCUCCAGUAGACAUUUUGAUGUAGGCACCGAUGGUAGAGAACUUGGACGUUCUUUGAACUUGAAUAUUGGUGACGUCAAGCUUUUGCUUCCUGGGCUCCUCGAUGUCGAUUUGUCUGAAUAGUUUCAGUACUGAUCAUUUCCACAAGUUAAUUUGUACUGACUGUAGUUUUUUCUCUAAGCUUUGUACAAUCCAAUAUAGAUCAAUGAAAUUUAAGCUUGUAGUCAUUCAGAUCUACAAGUACGAUGUACUUGGCAGACAUUCGAAAAUGAAAAAAAUGGGACUAUGUUGUUGGACUCUUGUUGGUAAGGUAGGAGUUAGCGAGAAAUACAAUAUACUUGGUCACCCAAUUGGGAUUCAAUUUAAUGCGUACAUAUUCAAAUUAAAAUUCGUUUUCACAAUCCAGAACCUUAACAUUCCAACAUUGCAUCAUAUUUUCGGUGUAUUGAGACAUGCGAAAUGUACGUGGGCUUGCGGAUGCUUUUCAAUUGAUGAAUUUCUUGAAAUGUCACUUUUUAUAUUCUGACAGUUGCAAGUGGAGUAGAUCUUGUAUUUUUCUUCUCAAAAGUUAGUGGAGCUUCGAGAUACUGAAAAGUCUUCUGGGUUGUGUUUUGUGCAGGAGUCGGAGUUAACCUUUUGCAAGAAAUGUGUUUUCUACUCCGGUAAGCACCAAAUCCUCAAGAAAAUCUGACUUCCGUUUGAAGGCAUUUUCGACAAAAGUUAAGUUUUAAUAAGAUCUUCAUGUAUUUUUUUGAAUGAAUUAAAAAAUUAAAGUUGGUUGCCAUAGUGAAAUUAAAGAUUCCAAGAGCAUUGUACGAUAGCUGUCUUCAUAGCAGCUUGACUAAUUCUACCUCUUGUCUGCUCCCGACAGUCAUUUGGAUGGGUGAAACUAGAUUAUUCACUGGCUAUUCUUUAAAUUGAGACUGCAUCAGGCACUUUUUCAUUCCCGAAAUACCACAAUAUCUUGAACCCUACAUGAAGUGUCUUGUAAGCUCAAACGUAAAUCGUACCAAUUUCGUAGUAUUGAGCAUCAAAUUACAGGGUAGCAUUUGAAAAACUACUGCUCGAGGGCCUGCCAUCCCAAGUCCUGAUUCAUGCCUAGCUAUUCUCGUUGUGAUCUGAUACGUCAUCGUCACUUCCGUACAAGCUACCGCCAAUUUUUGAAAAUUUGGAGGUGUGCCUUCGGCGUAGCUGUGGACAAGAGUAUGAUUAUUUUAUAUGGGUCCAUGGUACGGCAACUUACAGGAGACGACGCCGAUGUGUAUGUAGAAGCAAUGUAAGCAUAAAGUCCUGAGAAACUGGUAGCACAAGCAGCUCCCAUCAAAUGAACUUCCGCGACGAGGAAUUGUAUCCUGAGGUACUCCUCAACCCAACCCACUGUUAACAACACGCAACCUCCUGAAUAAUCUUGGUCACAAGUAGGAUCAAUUGUCGUAAAUCACUGUUGAAAGACAUGAAAAUUUAAGUUUUGCAUCACUGCAUUUAUGAUUGUUAGUUGAGUAUGAGUUGAAAAGUGAUUGACAUUUUAGUUCGUUCGGAUUGUGUCAAGCUAUUUUUCUGCAACUAGGCAUCCAACUGAAUUGUGCGGUGUGGUUUUGCAAUAAUUUCUUGUAACAUCGUGUGCUGAGGCAAGAUUGUUUCGGUUGACAUUGGAACGUGCAUAGACAACAUUUAUGAAGCAUCCUGUAGUCUAUGAUUAUAUUUGGAGGCCUUUGUUGUACAGUUUACUUACGUUGCAAAGGUGAAUACUUGACCAGGAAAACAUAGGGAAACGAAGAAUCCGUGUGAUCGACGAACAGCCUUCAAUCAGUAAUUUGAAGGCUCCAGGCUAUAUUCUAUCGAGACCACCAGUUAGUAGUUACCAUCGGCCUGUGGCAGAUGGCUCGCAUAAGCCGCCCGUCGUGUUUGAUAGCUUUGGAGCAGUCACUAUUUCAACUGACAAGUUUGGUGCUGUUCAAUUGGACAAUAACCAGACCUCAAGCUUCGGUUCUACAUACAGUCGUCGAUUUGAGAAUACAGAAGAGUCAACUGGAUCUUUCAAUAUCCAUCUAGAUCACAAGAAGUUACUAGAAGAAGCCCGGGGAAAGUACCAUUGCACAGAAUCUGGUAGCCUUUCUUUUAACGAACCUGGAUGUGGAAAGAGAAAUCUGGAUCAUUCUGGUUCAGCUGCUACAAGCAAUCCUUGUUCCAGUAGAGUGUAUGAUGGCCCUUACUCAAAUUCAACGGCAUAUGCCUGCACUCGCGAUGAGCGAGCGUCGAACGAAAAUAACGACUACAAUAAUGAGAGCGGAGGAGGUCCUCCUGUUAAACGCUUUUGCGAUUUGUCUAGAUAUGUAAGCAACUGUUAUUCUCAGAACGAACUUGCAUUAGCACCUGCAUUAUUAUCCUUUUCCAUGGGAUGAACAUGUGAUUCGAGAUGGAGGUAUUGGGAAGUGUAUUGAAUAAGUUCCCGCCCACCGUAUGAUAGGUGCAUCGCUGAAGCAUUGUGGCGAUAGUGGUGGCCAGAAGAUUUAGGACCUCGAUAUAACCUAUUAUUUUAUGAUCACGUUAGUAUAUCACAAUAUUUUUACGGUUCUUUAAUUACCAUUUGAUUAGCAGUUUUGUGAAGUGGUGAUGUCAUGGUCUAGUCAUUGAAAUCUUUCACGAACAUGAUUAGUUGUUGCCGUAUAAGUUUGAGGUUCUGUAUGUAUCAUUGAUGGUUGAUGUACUGACUUUUGGGUGUUUUUGUUACUUACAAAAUGUACAGGGAAAGAGGACCGAGAAGAAACAAUUAAAUUUUCUAUCUCUGGAGACAGCAUCUACUGAUUGCAGUGGAUCUCAUGCGUCUAAUGUUAAUGAUUUGUUGCCAAGCUUAUCAUUGAAACGGAGUUUUGACGCGAGGAAUAUACCACCCCUUACUCCACAUGCUGGUUUUGGUAUUAAUUAUACAAGAGCGCAAUCAAUUGGUCCACCCUCAGCUUCCCAUAAUCCUCCUCGUCCUCAGCAGGGUCGUACGAAACCCGCCCAAUCCCUUGAUCUCAAUGAGUUACCAAAACCCUCGGUUGAAGAGGAUUCUAGAAGUUCCUUAAACUCUUUCGGAUCGGAGGAUGGAUCUGUGCGUGAAGUUCGGGCCAAUUAUAAAUUUGCUUCAAUUGGUCGACAGGCAUAUUUACGGCAGCGCAUGGAGGAGCGACAGAGAAUCCAAGUAAGUUUCUAAGGUCAUACGUCUGCAAGCAUUUUAAGCAACGAUCAAGCCGUGCAACCAAAUUUAUGUGGUGAAUAUAAUCACCUGAAUUCGUAAACGUUCUUUUUUUUUUUCCACCUUUUCCAUGCACGAGUCAAUCAUAAGCUAUUAUGAUUAUUUCUGACGUAUUUUGCUGAUUAAAUUUCGGGAUUGCAUGUGGCCUUUAUUGAUUUCUACGUGCUUUUCAUCGAGCUCAUCAUGUUUUAUCCUCUCUGUUUUCAGGAUUCUACCCCUGUAACCUCACGUAGUCUCCCUGAAACCCAUGGAGCAGAGAGAUGUCGCCAUGUUAUAUCUCCAGAGGUGUGUGUUUGUAGGCUUCGUGAAGUACGUCAGGGUUUAGUCGCAAGUGUGAUAAUUUUUUCAAUGAUUGAUGAGCAUCUUGUAACUGUGCAGCACCGUAGGGUUGAUUUUGUAUUUAUCUAGUUUGUCGUUAGUUAUAUUAUUGGUUGUUCCACAAAACAUAUGGUAAGUGUCAGAACUUACUCAACCCAUACCCGGUACGUAUUUGCAGGACCUUGUGUGGUUGAAUGUUCGACAUUAUUGUGGUAUGGUGCUUGACCGAGAGACGGGAGCUGUUUUGGGAACUGCUGUUCUCUUCAUACCCACUGAUUCCAAAAGCCGAAAGUCGGCCUGGGUAACGAGCGUGAACACAGUAGAGGGUCGAUGGGAGAUCGCUAUAAAAGACUGCAAAGGAGAGAUCCAAGUGGCAAAGCUGAUGCUAACUAGCACCGCAUUUGGGCUAGUUUUCUUCAGCGUUCGCCCUUGGCAGAAAACUUUUGCGCUAGCCUUCCUGAGCAUGGUCGCUGGCCCGGCUAGUCUUCCCCACCGAGCAUGUGUGGACGCCGAGCGAGGAGAUCAAGUCUAUGUUUUUGGGUGUCCAUUUCAAACCAUAUAUACCGCCAUAUAUAUAUAUAUAUAUUUACAUAUACAGAUAUAGAUUUGUAUGUAAAUGUCUUACACCUUCAUAUUUUACCGCCGUCGCAGAUCUGUAAGAAUAAUUUGAAGUUGAAUCGUAAGAUAAAAAUUGUUCAGUUCUUUAAUAAGAACAAUUUGUGCAGAUACGAGGAGCCCUGGGAGUCGGAAGUGGGGAAAAUAGCUGACGUUAGGGUCCGACCCGGGAUAAUAACGGAAGCUGGAAGUAUGGAGAUUCUGGAGAUCGAUUUUACGAAGGGUCGAUUAGGAGGCUCUAUCGCUACCCCUACCGGCUUCAGUGGAGGCUUAGUGGCGCGAGCAGAUGGGCUUUGGAUUGGUGUUAUAACUGGUCACAUGAUGCAGGGUCACCCCUCUCUCAUUGAUUUUUCUUCUGCUUACAGUGUUUAUUCCUUUCUUGACGAAUUGUAACCAGGUCGAUCAGCCUAUCCAUCAACCUCUUAUACCGUGUUAACAGAUUAUGAAAGAUCCUAAAUUAUUUUUACUGUAUCACCAUAUCUUAACGCGAACACACAAUUCUAUCAAUUUCAUCUUACGUCAAUCUUCAUAUCAUGUUAGGUUUUCAAACUGUCCCAUUUGACCUAUUCCAUUUUUCUGCCCACUUAGUUGUUACUGAAGUAAUCAAUUACUUUUAUUCUUUUGUGUCAUUCAAUCAAGUUGUCAAUCUGACAGAAACGAGUCGACUUUUAUCUUGUAAACGAAACACUCAUUUUGAACCAUGAUUUGGAAUGACUUAUCAAAUCCCUCUAUCAGCUACCUGCAGGAGUGCUCUCUUCACUGUAUUCUAUUGUGAAGAGAUUUUUCUUCGCUCAAAUUUGAUGUUUCGAUUCCAUCCCGCACGAAAACUCAUGCCAGCAACUUAUCCGCAUCAAAAACCUCCGAAUCUUUGUUAAAUACCUCUCUUAUUUGACCACUAAUCAACCGAAAGAAUAUGGCUUAUGCUUGAAAAAUCAUGGCAUGGAAUUUAGGAUUUCAGAAAUCUAGGGGUUCUGUAGUUCUUAUCUGUUCAGAGGGUGAUGUCAAUGGAUUCAAGUGUAUCUACCACAAUCAUAGAUUUCAGGAACUGCCUCGGCACCAUACUGGUGUAGUUGCGGUGCUUCUAAUUCCAUUUGAACUUCACGAGAAAGUGUCGAUGUUUGAGCGCGCGUUAGUUGCCACAGCGCCAAUUCACAGCGGCGAUGUCAGGAUUUGAGCUUGAGUGGCGCUUGUGUGCGGACAGUGUCUUGCACUCAGAGUGACGAGUAGCUCAAGUAUCGAUGAGGGUCUCGUUGUGGCUGCAAUUCGUGGCAUGGUUUUUUGCGGCGUUUGCCUGUAUCUGAUGCCACUGACCGUCUUGGUGGGGGAGCUCGCGAGUUGGAUUGGGAAUGAACAUGGACAGAGUUCGGUGCUUAGAUGACUUGAUCACACGGGAAUUUUCCUUGUGAGAAUCGAUUGAUAUCCUCUGUGUUUGUUGAUCGCAUUUAUCUGCGUCAAUCGCCUUGCUCUUGUGUUUCGUCGGAAAAUUCCCGUUUAAUAUUGGAAGUAGUGAUCUGACUGCCUUUUGAAAAUUUUCAAUUUCUUGGCUAGUGAUUGAAUGGUGUACUCCUGUGUAUCGUGUACGUUUCGGAACAUAUUUGGUGUCUUUAUUUGCCUAUUUUUAUCCAGAAGAACUCCGACCUACUCUGGAUUCUCAAUCUAAGCAGAAAUCUGAACAUAAUGUAAGUGUUCCUUCUAUUCUCUGUCAGAAUAAUUCACGACAGCUUUUGCUCUUGAAUGUUUCACAGCAUACAGGAACUUAUUUGGUCGGCACCGCACAAGAAUCCUUUUCCCCUGUGCAGCCGCAGGUGCGUUUGUUUUAUCAUUAUGUACUCUAGGAUUUGUGUUGCCAAAUAUUUAUUCUAUACAAAAUAUCUCUCAUCGUUUCACCGUUCCAUUGAACUACAGUAUCUUGUCGAAGCUGAAGAGUCUAAGUAGUGAUUGGCGAAAUGCUUCUCCAAUUACUCAACAGUCAGUCAUAAACUUGAUAGCGAUACUGGAUGUCGACACAAAAACUCUCAUAGAACUCCGCAAACGGUGUCUCGAGCUGCUGGCGCGGAAGCGUUCCACUGGAGGUAAACUGUUCCUACCAAGUUCAAAGCAUAGAAUACCUUAUACAGGCUCGACUCAUGCAAAAAAAAAGUUAUCAGUUCCUUUUUGCAUCGGAGGAUUAAUUUAGUGCCUGUUGGCAAUAAACAAACCAUCUUCGACAGUGUAUGGUUGUUGCGAAUUAUUCCAUCUGCUUAUGUCGUAUUGUUUUUGUGUGGCGAUGUUCAUAUCUGCGAAUUGCCUUCUGAAUGAACAUUGUGAAGGCAUGAUGGUAUGUAACUUCCAGAUGCCUACUCAAACUUCAUGAUCAGCCUGGAGAAGAAGGUGGACAGCAUCCUUGUUCAGCACAUUGAAUAUGCCUGGUGAGAUGUACUACUUGAAGGAGACCCCGUUUUGAUCAUAAAUGUCGGUAUCCUUCUUUCCCCUCUGCUCGACUUACUCCUUCUUCGUGACCAGGAAGGAGCUGAACUUGGAAUCCAUAGACGUACAUGCUCAGCGACAAAUGAAAAUUAACCAAGAUGGUUUGACUGCUGAUAUUCUUCAAAUUGUUUUCGAGGAUACUGUUCAGCAAUCCGAAGGUUGUAUCAAGGACGAAACUGCAGACGUAAUAUCCAAAAUGUCAAGAGCUAAUUACCAAGACAUGGAUGUAAGUUAUGUAUCACGCACGUGCAAAUAAUUUUUUUACGUUCCAAAAGAGGAAAGUCAAAGUUGUUUGAAACACUUGACGGAAUUGUGCGUCUAAUCUCCACAGAAACUGGAGUCUAAUAUGGUCCUCUGAAUCCUCUCCCUGGUUGCUGCACUAGUUCGAGUUAAAAAUAUUUUGCGCUUCGCUAUUCUCUCACUGAGGCUCUUUCAACCUCAGUGAUCAUCCUACUUACCUGACUUGUUUGGCACGCAAUGUAGGCUACUGAAAUUAGUACUAAGUGUUUUUCAAGUCCACUUCAGAGCGAGUCCUCUCCCCUCAGAGGUGAGCUUUUCCCAACGAUUUCUGGCCAGAAGCCAUGCUUUCCCACCAUCGUAGUACCUGUGAGAAUCGAAGUACCGGAUGGACAAUCUAAGAUUUCAGGAACCUCACACACCACCACACUGAAGGACACGGCCUCUGCAAUUCCCGAAGCCUAUGAAAAUUCCUUGCCAGCGUCGAUUGCAGAGAAUUUUUUUUGUGUUUCAUCCCAAAAGCCACUCUUCAUUUCUAUCCAAGCGCAGUCUGCACCUAACGAAGGUCAAUAUUCCACAUUACCAUUGGAUGAAGGGCCAAACCAUUCCAUAUUUCCUCCUGAGGUACCUGGAGACGUUGGAAGACGAGAAUCCAAUGACCCUUCACAGUGCAGUUCUCCAGCCGAUCGUGAAUCCACGGCAACCUUUGACGCUAAUCGAUGCAUGAAAGAAAUAGGAAAUCUUAUGGACGAUGCUGCCGAGGACGUCACUCAAUCUCAUGAAUUGAUUUCUACAGUUGAUGAAUACUAUUCAGCGAGUUCAGAUGGUGAACAUGAUGCUUCAACUAAGGCAGUAGAGACCAAAUAUAGUGUCGAUGCUGAUUUGCGACUUGCCAUGGUCGCCAAUGGAUCAUCAGCUUCGCUAACUGGGGAGAAUGGUUCCGAGACAACUGAAGUACAACGUUUACCCCCAAAUGCUGGACCUGGGUGUCCUGGAAGAAUGCAGGCUUUCUCUAACAACACAGACAUCAAUGGAGGAGUCCAGAAAUUUGAUGAGCAUGAUAUGUGUCACUCCCCUGUCUGUGGGAACGCUGGAGUCAAAUAUGAGUUUGAGAGCAAAUCUGUGGAAGAAUGCUCCAGAGACGAGGAACUUGUUGAGGUGGAAAUGACCAUGAGAGCCAAAAUUUGUGAACCAGAAGGGGAGGAACCUUAUUGGCAUGUCAUUUUUGCUCUCCUCAACCAUAGUAACUUCAAGAUCAGCGUACAGAAGCUGGAGUAUUGGUCCCUCGACCAACAGGAAGAUGUGAAGUGUAUACACUGGCCUCCUGGAGAGAUGAUACUUCGUGAGCAGCCAUCUUUUCUGUGCUACAGCAUCAAGCUGCCCUGCUGUGCAUUGAGUACCUCCCCGCGACUGGCGUUCAGCUGGCAAUAUAGGUAACCUACUACCGGCCGUGAAUUUCCCUGAUCUAAAUGUAUAGAUCAGAAUAUAGCUUAGAGCCACGGCGUUUGGUGUGUUAAACUCUAGUGAAGUUGGCAAGACUUUCAAUUAGCUCAGCAUAACAAGACACUAGUUUAGAGAUAGUAUUAAAGUUUGUUCCAAUGCUGGUUCUAUCCAAGCUGGUCCACAGCUGUUAGCCAACGAUUCAAAUUGAACGUAACUGUUCAGGCCUAAUUUCUUACACUGUGACUUCCUCAGGAAACUUCCAGAAUGGAUUCCUACGAAAGGUGGUAAACCCAAAUUAGAGGUACAUGCCUUCUCCGAGCAGCCAUUUGUACAAUUUUUGACAUCUGAUCAUCAAACAGUUUGUCUUGUUUCUGGGUAAAUAAAAGCAGCAUAUGAUUUGGUGAGAGAAAUACGUGAGAAAAUUAGAAACGACUCUCCAUGCACAUGGGACUCGGAUGUGAGUGUUGUAUCGCAAGUGCCUGUAAAUAUACUGCAGCUCAAUGAACACUUCCGAGCCUAAAAAUUAUCCUUAAUUGAUUGUAAAAUGUAAUGCCAGAAUCACUUCAGUGGCAAGGCAGCAUCAUCUGAGACAAGGAGGGCACUGACGUGUACGUAUCGCUUCAACGUUUAUGCAGAAAGUAACAAUCCGAAAGCGUUUCGGAGACAUGCUGGGGUUUGGGGAUGCUCAGAAGAAGCACAAGCUCGAAAAAGGACACGUGAAUUUGAAGUCAGCCAAGAAGCGGACAGCGUGAGACUUGAGGCAGCACCAAUGACCAAGGUUGCAAUCAUUGCAAUUUCUAGGACAUUUGGUCUAGGGGGUAAGCAGUAGCAAUUGAACGCCCACAACUGCUGAAGUAUAAUUGGGUUCCAGUGAACAGAAAAAAAAAACAAUAAUUAGCAAGAAGAACUAAACAACAACAAAAACAAAAACAAAACAUUUUUUAAAAAAAAAAAAUCGAAGCAUUGAAUGAUCAUGAACUUAAGGACGCAUAAUUCGUCGAUCGUGACACCUAACUCGCCAAGUUUUCUCUCCCUCGAUAUAGAGUGGAGGAUGCCACUUAAGAUCCCUUUACCAGAGAAGUCAAAAACACUCAUUGCAAUUCACUCAUUGAGCACAGCAAAAUAUUCACUCGCUGAAAUCACUGAGCACGCAUCAUUGUUCACCGCUCUUUAUGAUUUGGCUUCAAUUUUCACCAAAAUAAAAUCAAACUCGAUCUUUACUUUUCUAAUACAGAAAGUUCGCUGGCUAUACAGGGGUCUUAAUGUUACGGUAUCAUUCGAAUGUUUGCUAAACAAUUCUCCACUUCCUAAUCCCCAAGUCCUUGAAGAGAUCGGAGAGUCCUGUGGACCGAGGGCCCAUAAGACUUAGCUGACGGAGUUGAGAGUAGAGACUGACUUGUAUUGUUAUUUUUAUUCAUGAUGCAGCGUCUACUUUAGAGGAAAUUUUUAUUCGAAACCUUGGUUGUCCGUGGCGCUGCCUUUCGCCUUUGGCACGAGUGCGUAUGGAAGAGAUGAACGGCCUACGAAGGGUCCAAAGCACAAAUGUCAACGUUUCUUCCACCUCGAUCUUAAAUCUGUUAAUGAGACAUUGACUUCAAAGGUAAGCAUUGACGUAAAACUCAUGACUUCCACUUCGAAGGUUUCCUUAUGAAAUGCAAUGAUUCUUCGACGUAAGCGUAAUCCGACAAAGAGUAAACUGGCAACGUGGAUUUUAAAGGUUCCCUUGACAAAUCGAGGGUCACGUACCACUUCUGCAGACGCGAAUACAACGCGUCAUGUCUUUAAUUAAAUAUCUAUGUAUAUAUAUAUAUGUAUAUAGAUAUGUAAAGCGAAGAUCUUGAAGCAUUGAGCCGUCCUAGCUCAGUUGGUAGAGCGCGUGGCUUUUAACCACGUGGUCGUGGGUUCGAGUCCCACGGACGGCGGAAUUAGACGCUAACUUUUGAUUGUUAACCCCCCUCUUCACUUCUUGUCUAAGUUGACGGAGGCCAGUGUUUUGGUGGUGUAGACACUGGAAUGAUUAAUGUAAUCCUAACAGAUCCUAGGAAUGAAGAAUAUUCAAACGUUUUCAUGUCAACUCCAGCUUAAAUGAACGUUCCUAGUUAUAGCUUCGAAAUGCCGCGCAACUCACGCAACCUUAGUUUGCCUCAUCUGCCGCGGCAAGGAGAUCGGACUCCGCGUAUUCCUGAAAGAGUAGUGGAAUGUUGCUGCCCCACGCACCUUUCACAAGCCAUCUUGGGAGAAUUUAGACUGCGUGUGCAUGUCACUCGCCUCGAAGACGAAUCGUGUCAGAGCUUUACUAUUCUCUAUUAGCGCGGUUUGUCUCCGAUCCAGGUUAAGUGAACUCGCCAGCCCACGAACCGCACUCCAACUCCAUCAGGCACAAUUCCCCAUGUCGAUAUCUAUCACAUCUUGGAAUCGAUCUCCACAAACCUGCAGUGCGAGGCUUCUUGGGGUCGUGUGCAGAUGCACCCCCACGCCGGGAGGGGAAUGGUGUUCGGCCACACGACGGGGAACAUCACCGUGGGCGUUGUGGAUUGGGUCAAACCCAUGCGUUGAGCCCCCGCUAUCCGUGUCUGCAUAUCGAGCUCACAAGAUGCCUGCAGGAGCCCUCUCCACUGGCACUGUUUCAUCGGCAUCGGCGUUGACGGGUGGGAUCCGCGGCGACAAUGAUGCCUCAGUGCAAUGCAAGAUCGACAUUGAUGCCUCAGUGCAAUGCAAGGUCGACAGUGAUGUCUCAGUGCAAUGCAAGAUCGACAGUGGUGUCUCAGUGCAAUGCAAGAUCGACAAUGCUGAUAAAUCUCCGGGUAUCCAGAUGAUAUCUGUUGCGGAGGAUUCCGAAGUGGGUUAAAUAUGCACUUCAGAUAUUCUUCUACAGUUGCCGUUGUGUGCAGAUUCCCGAGGAGGGCAUUGUCGAUGUGAUGGCUACAGGGCCCCAUACUUAUUCCAUGCAUGCGUUCCUCCACUUCAGUAUUACCGCUAAAUUUUCUCAAACCGCAAUGUUCUCUUACAAGAUUCGUGUUCAAUCCUUGGUCAGAUAUUUUAUUUUUUUCUUAAUAAAUAUUAAUAACAACGAUGCAUGCAUGCAUGAAUGCACUAAGUAAAUGUAAAAUUGAUUGAAGAAUUAAAAAAUAGCAACAUGUCUUAUGUCUUGAUACACUAGGUAUGGAGCAUGCAUGAGACAACUAGAUUAAUAAGUAUUCUACAACUAACUUAUGUAAUUUAUUCACAACUAAUGCACAUGUAAUUAAACCACUAUGUAGCAUUCUGGUUUUCUAACUAAUUCUUUUUUUUUUUUUUUUUUUUUUU